rnacentral:lncRNA from 1 species
CGCUCGCGCCCCCACCCGGCAUGCAAACGUUGUCUCCGACGACAAGAUGGUGAGCCGCGCUCGCGCCCCCACCCUGCAUGCAAACCGUGUCUCCGAUGACAAGAUGGUGAGCCGCACUUGCUUCCCCCUCUCCUACUAGUGAUUUGAAAUUAACCGGUGCCUAAUGAUUUGAAGUUACUGACAAUCUUUAAUCUAGUCAUGUGAAUUGUAGUAGUGCUUACUGAAUUACCUGAUGUGUAUGUGCAAUUAUGCAUGAACUACGUGGUGUGUGUAUGUCAUUGGAUUUUCUAAUCGCUGCGUCUCAUCUGGCAGAUGGACGAGGACGAGAUGACGCCGGUCCAGGGGGUGUCGUGCAUGCGGGGGAGCAUCGCGUCGUCAAGUGCGGUUGGUAAGUAUACUUUAUGCUCCUUUAUACUGAAGAUUGUUAGCUCUGUCCAUGCUGGGCCUUAUUGUCAUCAUUAGUAUUGUUAUAUAUUGGAAUCCAAUAACUCCCGAACGUUCGGAUUUUGAGCAUUUCGUCCCGAACGUUUUUACAUGGCAACUUUAGUUGAUAGGGGAUGGCAACUUUGUCCUUUUUCGUUUUUGUCAGAAAAUUGCCAUGUUUCCCUAAAUUCACGCAAACUAAACUUGCUGUUAGAAUUAGAGAUAAACAUCUAUUGUAAUCUCAACGGUCUCUCCUUUGUAUCCCUCUCGUAUCUAUCUCCUCUCCCAGCGACAGCCUGUAUCCUAGCGAUCAGGUUGCAAGUCUUGUACGCCACGGUAGAGGCUAUUCCUGCCUCAUAUCAAUAUAUACCACGCGGCUCCUCAUCGAGGAGUAGGAACGCUUCAAUCUUACAUGGUAUCAGAGCCAAUUCUCUUCCCAAUCUAGCUACGAGAACUCAUCUCCAUCGCCAUGUCGUCUUCCUCACCAGCCGUCCUCAACCUCGGAUCUCCACCAGCCGAGAAGCUCACCAAGGGGAAUUACCUCUUGUGGAAGGCCCAGGUUAUGCCCGGCUUGCGAGGAGCGCAGGUCACGGGGCUCCUGGAUGGAACCUACGUCGCGCCCCCUCCAAUGGUGGAGCAGCAGCAGUCGGACAAGACCACAACAAUGGUGCCAAACCCACUAUACGCACCAUGCCUAUCGAAGGAUCAACAAGUUCUUGGUUUCUUGCUGAACUCCCUCUCCAAAGAAGUCCUCGCCCAAUUUGUUGGUAAGGAACACACUUAUGAUUUAUGGACUGGCAUCACUACCCUCUUUGCAUCGCAAUCUCAAUCCAGGAUUACAAACCUGAGAAUAGCCAUCACCACAACAAAGAAGGGCAACAUGUCCAGUACCUCCUUUAUCUCCAAGGUGAAGAGUCUUGGGGAUGAACUUGCGGCUGCAGGGCGCCCUGUUUCAGAUCCUGAGAUGGUUGAUUACGUGCUCGCUGGACUGGAUCGGGACUAUGAUCCAGUUGUGGCGGCCAUCGGCGCUGUCAAGUCUGUCAUCACCGUCGACGAGUUGUUUGCUCAGAUCGCUGCCUUCGACCAGCGCCUGGAGAUGCUAGGUGAUGGUGGUGAAGGCGGUUUCCACACAUCCGCCAAUCUGGCCUACCGUGGGCGCGGCCAGUACAAGCCUCGGGGGCGUGCACGCGGCACCAGAGGCCAUGGAUGAGGGAGACGAUCUCCUUCUGCUCCAAGCGGCGGCAACAGAGGAGCACGCGGGGGUCGUCCACAACGCCAACAGCAGCAACAUCGUGGGGGCGCCCGCGAGUGUUGGGAUCACUAUGAAGACGACGAGUACGAGGAGAAGGAGGCCAAUGCUGUCACCGACUCCUACGGUAUCGACACAAACUGGUACGCGGAUACCAGAGCUACAAAUCACAUCAUGGGGGAGCUCGACAAGCUGACGAUUAGAGACAAAUACCGUGGGGGCGAUCAAGUACACACUGCGAGUGGUUCUGGUAUGGAAAUUACUCAUGUUGGUAGUUCAAUUGUCAAAACCCCCAUGAAAAAUUUGCAUCUAAAACGAGUCUUAUACGUGCCUGAAACAUCAAAGAAUCUUCUUUCUGUUCAUCGUUUUACCCGUGAUAAUCGUGUUCUCAUUGAAUUCUAUCCUUAUUUCUUUUUGGUAAAGGAUUUGGACACGAGGAGGGUACUUCUUAGGGGCAAGUGCGUGGGUGGCCUCUACCCACUCAUAUCUUCAUCAUCGUCAUCGUCAAAUAAACAAGCUUUUGUUGCUAUCAAGCCUUCUUCAGCAAAGUGGCAUAGCCGAUUAGGUCAUCCCUCGUCAGUCAUUGUUAAGUUUGUUCUUAGUAAAAAUAAACUUCCCCAUAGUCAUGAGUCUAGCAUUGAGUCUGUGUGUGAUCCAUGUCAGCAAGCUAAAAGUCAUCAACUACCAUACCCUAUAUCUACCAGUAUUUCCACUGCACCCUUACAACUUGUAUUCUCAGAUGUUUGGGGGCCAGCUCCUAGUUCUGUUGGUAGACAUUCAUACUAUGUAAGCUUCAUUGAUGAUUAUAGCAAAUUUACUUGGAUCUAUCUUCUCAAGAAACGAUAUGAAGUGUUUUAAGUUUUCAAGAACUUUCAAAAUCUUGUUGAACGAAAACUUAACACUAAGAUCAUUGCCAUGCAAACCGACUGGGGAGGUGAAUACAAGAAACUGAACCUAUUUUUUCAGCAACUUGGUAUUUCAAACCAUGUUUCAUGUCCUCACGCACACCAACAGAAUGGUUCUUCCGAGAGAAAACAUCGCCAUGUUGUUGAAGUUGGAUUAGCUCUACUAGCAAAUGCAUCCAUGCCACUCAAAUUCUGGGAUGAGGCAUUCUUGACUGCCACAUAUCUCAUAAAUUUGCUUCCUAGCAAAGUCAUUGAUUUUGAUACUCCCAUCAUACGUCUUUUUGGCACUACUCCUGAUUAUAAAUCGCUUCGUGUUUUUGGUUGUGCUUGCUGGCCCAACCUUCAUCCAUACAAUACACGCAAACUUGCUUUUCGUUCAAAGAAAUGUGUAUUUCUUGGUUAUAGUCCCAUUCAUAAAGGAGUCAAGUGUCUGGAUGUGUCCACAGGAAGGGUUUAUAUAUCUCGAGAUGUUGUAUUCGAUGAGUCAGUAUAUCCUUUUGAAUCUUUGCAUCCAAAUGCCGGAGCUCUCCUUAGGAAAGAAAUUCUCCUCCUUCCAUCAAAUCCCAAAAAACUUGAUCAUGGGGGCGACGAUUGUACUAACUCAACUGAUAAUCCUACUAGUACUCGUACUGUGCUUCCUCAUGUGCAGGGACAUGCAGAAAAUGCAGAGGAAAAUGAUGCAGAAAAUGAUCAAUUUUUUGAAGAAAAUGACCCUAUAUUUCAUGCGCCAGAACUGGACGAAGCUGGCGCGGAGCACGAGGAAGAUCAGCUGUCUCCUGGAACUCGUGUGCGUCAGUCCUCCUUGGAUCGCGUGCACAGAUCCGCUCGGGAUCACGCGCCGGGCAGAGCUGAGCCGCCCCAAUCAGCGGGCGCCACGCCCCUGCAUGCAGGCACCGCGCGUGCGUGCACAGCGACCAGCCCGGCAGCGACUGCGGGAUCUGGCUCGGGAUCGGAGCCCCACAUGCAUGUGCAGGGCGGCUCUCCAGGAUCUUCUGCGGGCGGCUCCAGGCUGGAUGCGGUUACUCCCUUAGCCACACCACAGGUUACGGGAUCUGCUGUGGAAAGCGGAUCCAGAGGCUCUCCAGCAUCGUCUGUGGCUGGGUUCUCUACACCACCUCCUGUACAACGGGCUGCACUCCAUGUUCCACCGCAACUAGCGUCACGUGUUACAACUCGACUGCAAAAAGGUAUACGAAAUCCAAAAAUUCGAACUGAUGGCACUUUACGAUAUGGUAUGUUGUGCGUUACAGGAGAACCCACAAAAUUAGAAGAUGCACUUGAAGAUCCAAAGUGGAAAAAUGCAAUGGAUGAAGAAUACAUGGCACUCAUGAGGAAUAAGACGUGGCAUCUUGUACCUGAGCCAAGAGGUAAAAAUAUUAUUGAUUGUAAGUUGGUCUACAGAAUUAAAAAGAAGGCAGAUGGCUCGAUUGACAGGUAUAAGGCACGGUUAGUUGCAAAGGGCUUCAAGCAACGUUAUGGUUUAGACUAUGAAGAUACCUUUAGUCCUGUUGUUAAAGCUGCAACUAUUAGGCUUGUGUUAGCUAUUGUUGUUUCCAGGGGAUGGAGCUUAAGACAGCUAGAUGUUCAGAACGCAUUUUUACAUGGUGUUCUGGAAGAGGAGGUUUACAUGAGACAACCACCUGGGUAUGCAGAAAAACGGACACCUCGUUAUGUUUGCAAACUUGACAAGGCACUUUAUGGUUUGAAACAAGCAUCGAGAGCUUGGUACUCAAGGUUAAGCUCUCAGUUAAGGCGUUUGGGUUUUGCUGCAUCCAAAACUGAUACUUCACUUUUCAUUUAUAACAAGGCAAAUACAGCUAUAUUUGUAUUGAUAUAUGUUGAUGACAUUAUAGUUGCGAGUUCUUCACAAAGUGCUACUAAUGCUCUCUUGCAUGAUCUAAGUUCAGAGUUUGCUUUGAAAGAUCUGGGUGAUCUACACUUCUUUCUAGGUAUUGAAGUCAAGAAGAUUCAAGAUGGCAUAGUACUUAAUCAAGAGAAAUAUGCUACUGAACUUCUUGUUCGCAUGGGGAUGAAGGAUUGUAAGCCUUCACCCACACCAUUAUCUUCUUCAGAAGAACUUUUAGCCUUUGAAGGAGAACCGCUCAAGGAAGAAGAAAGUACAAAGUAUAGGAGUGCUGUAGGGGCUCUACAGUAUCUGACACUGACAAGACCGGAUAUAUCCUUUGCUGUUAAUAAGGUUUGUCAGUAUCUACAUGCACCUACUACUGUACAUUGGACAGCUGUUAAAAGAAUUGUACGGUAUAUAAAACACACUGUGAGCUUGGGCCUUCAGUUCAGACGUUCUAAUUCCACCCUUGUCAGUGCUUUCUCUGAUGCUGACUGUGCAGGAUGCAGUGAUGACAGAAAGUCAACUGGAGGAUUUGCAAUAUUCUUUGGCUCUAAUCUUAUUUCUUGGAGUGCCAGAAAACAAGCUACAGUGUCAAAUCAAGUACUGAGGCUGAAUACAAAUCACUAGCCAAUGCAACUGCUGAGAUCAUUUGGUUAGAAUCAUUGCUUCGUGAAUUGGGAAUCAAGCAGCAUCGUGUGUCAUGCUUGUGGUGUGACAACUUGGGAGCCAGUUAUCUCUCUGCAAAUCCAGUGUUUCAUGGAAGAACAAAACAUAUUGAGAUUGACUUUCAUUUUGUACGAGAAAGGGUUGCAGAGAAGAAGUUGGACAUACGGUUCAUUCCUUCCAAGGAUCAAGUUGCAGAUGGUUUUACUAAAGCUCUACCAAGCAAACCUUUUGAGGAGUUCAAGAAGAAUCUUAAUAUAGGAUAGUUGAGAUUAAGGGAGGGUGUUAGAAUUAGAGAUAAACAUCUAUUGUAAUCUCAACGGUCUCUCCUUUGUAUCCCUCUCGUAUCUAUCUCCUCUCCCAGCGACAGCCUGUAUCCUAGCGAUCAGGUUGCAAGUCUUGUACGCCACGGCAGAGGCUAUUCCUGCCUCAUAUCAAUAUAUACCACGCGGCUCCUCAUCGAGGAGUAGGAACGCUUCAAUCUUACACCAUCUAAAACCAUUCGGGUUGCCAUGCUUAACUCCAGAACAUUCGGGAAUUAUAAUUACCGUAUAUAUUAGCUGAAGUUGCACAUGUUUUCUUCAUUGACGUUGGUCGAGCGGUGCUACGCGUGAGUCGGCCGACUCACUCACCUGAUUUUAAUCAUGUCCCACCUAGACCUAGGAGUAGUUUGUUUUCUCACUAGCUGUGUAUACAUAGGCGAGCUCCAGCACUGUGUUGAGCGUGGAAGACAUAUGAACUGUAGUAAGAAACCUGCAAUGGCUAGAAACAUCUCCGUACAUAUUUUUGGGCACGUUUUAGGUGUCAACGAAACUAGUCGGAUCGCCAGCCAUCGGAUUGACACAUGGAGCAUUGGAUCACAGUACACGACAGACUCAGAGAGAGAAUGGAACCCGUCUUCCUCCAUAGCCUCCACAAUACAUGUGUAUCCCCCACCCGCCCCCACCCCCCAUCGUCGCGACAGACUAUUACGUCAGCCCCUCGCAGCACCUGGCAUCGGUGCCCUGAAGAUCCCUGAUGUCAUUUGCAUAUCCUGCAAGUAUUAUUACAGUGCGCCAACAAGGCGUUGUCCUUGCAACAUUGUCUUACAGCCAAUGUAGUUGAUGCCACCACCACCCUCACCCCUUGAUGCAUGGGUCGUGGCUUGUGGCACUGGUCAUAGGAUAAAACACACCCCGCGGGAUCAUGCGGUUGCACCACUGUGAUCUAUGCAACUUAGGAAUUGUUGUGACAGCCCCGGCAAAACUAGCGAUGAUGUGACCAUCGCCUUGCAACAUCAGUCGUAGUUGUAGCACAUAUGAGAAGAUGGUUGUAGCACCUAACAACAGUAUGUGUUUGUAGCACCAUAAGCGAGCACUGCCUUGCAACAUCGGCUAUCAGGAUGCAGCACCGACAAACACGUUCACGGCCUUGAAACGUCGUGCUCCUCUUUCAGCAUAUAGAGAUGGUUAUAUGCUACGCGUCAGCCGGCCGAUGGAUGGACGCCUUACUCAGCCGAUUUUAAUCAAGUCCCACCUAGGUGUAGUUUGUUUUGUCACUACCUGUGUAUACAUAGGCGAGCUCCAGCACUGUGUUGCAGCGUGGAAAACAUAUGAACUGUAAUAAGAAACAUGCAAUGGCUAGAAACAUCUCCACAUACUUCUUUGGGCAUGUUUUAGGUGUCAACGAAAUUAGUCGGAUCGCCGGCCAUCGAAUUGACACAUGGAGCAUUGGAUCACACUACACGGCAGCAGAGAGAAUGGAAACCAUGUUCCUCCAUAGCCUCCACAAUACAUGUGUAUACACCACCACUCCCCCAUCGUCGCAAUAGACAAUUACGUCGGCCCCUCGCAACACCUGGCUUCGGUACCCUAGAGAUCCCUGACAUCACUUGGAUAUCCUGCAAGUAUUAUUAUAGUGCACCAACGAGGCGUCAUCCUUGCAACAUUGUCUUACAGACAAUGUAGUUGAUGCCACCACCACCCUCACCCAUUUACACAUGGGCCAGUGCAUGUGGCACUGUCCGUGGGACAAAACACACCCCGCGAGAAUAUGCGGUUGCACCACUGCGAUGUAUGCAACUUAGGAAUUGUUGUGACUGCCCCUGCAAAACUAGCGAUGAUACGACCAUCGCCCUGCAACAUCGGCCAUACUUGUAGCACAUAUGAGCAGAUGGAUGCCGCACCUAACAACACAGUAUGUGUUUUUUGCACCAUAAGAAAGCACUGCCUUGCAACAUCGGCUAACGGGGUAUGCACAGACAAACACACUCCCGACCUUGAAACGUUGUAUGCCUUGGCCGAUGUAGCAUAGUGCUCCUCUUUCAGCAUAUAGCGAUGGCUUGUAGCAGUGAUGGUCGGAGAGUCGCGGCAUCAUUGAGUGGCAGUGCUAGCCCAACUCAUUGUCAUAGAGAAAGGGGAAUAAAGGAUGGGUGUGCACGUGGUGGAAAUAAAGCGAAUGGAUAUGGUGAAGAGAGAGGAAGACUAACAAGGGCAUCUGGCACUAGAGCGAGCUGAGUCAUUUCCCCCUGAAACCAGCCUAUUUAAUAUAAUUCAAUUUUCUUUUGAGAGACCUCAUAAAGACGUUGCAACAUGUCAGCAUGUCUAUACAAAAGAUUGUAGAUAUACACCACGUACUCAUUAGUUGCAACAAAUCAGUGAAAAAACACAAUGUAUAUAGGCCUGAACAGAUGAAUCAUUAGCAUGCAUCUACCAGCUCUUCCUAGGUUACGCCCAACCGUGAGUCGUUCAAUUCGGUCACACGUCACAACCCAAUCAACCACCAACUUAGUUGUUCCUCUCGUCUCCUCUCCCCACCCUUCGCAACAUACACCCAUGAUUCUCAACAAUAGACCAACAUGGAGUCGACAAUGGUGGCCAUGAUAGGCUAGUGAAAAGCACACUGGUGAUCAACCUUAAAACACUAAACAGAACAUUGCAACAUGAGGUAACCCCAACUUUCUAGCACUGGUGCACCAUUUUCAACCACCUUGUAGCAAUGAAAAGUUCACUCGCCAAUAGCAUUGCUGCAUCAAGUGACCGGCUUCUAGCACUGAAAACCCGGCUUGCAGCACCACGAUGAUCGAUGGUCGGCCUUUCAACAGUAUUAGUUAACAUUGCACACCUCGUCUCCAUUUUUAUGUACAUACACAUGAGAGAGCUUGGAACAUCAGUAACGUAUCAACAUUACCAAACAUGAAGACGAUAAAUUUGUUUCUCCAAGCAUCGAUAUUGCUGAAUAAGCGAGCAACUGCACAUCCACCACACGAGCCAUAAUUUUUUAGCUCUGCGACAACAGCUUAUAGUUGCAAAAGAGCUGACGAUGAUGGUUUAGAAUGUAUGUGAUCAAAAUAGAUUAAAUGGAGGGCAGGGUGGACUACCUAUGUUGAAUCAGACUAGCUGCAAGGUCACAAGUGCCUUGUCUAAAUAGCCAAAAAGACAAAAGGAGGCCUCCUGGAUUCUCCAUCCUGAAGCUAAGCAUAAGUCCAACCCCAGACACGCUCGGGGGCUACUAAAGGUGCAAUACGCUAGGGGUGUCUUCUGGGUGGGAAGCCCGGUAGCAGGCCUGCCUUAGGGCCCAAGAGGCCAAGUGGAGGAUCGGUGCAGUACGGCAGCUCAGGAGCCCAGAUAAGGACUGUGAGAGCAUCUUGGCAGGCAAGCUAAGAUGGCAGGGGUAUGAGAUCUGAUGGAUUCCUUGUAAACCUAGCCUUUGCCACCUAUAUAAGGAGGGGCUCGGGGUUUUCAUUCACAUAUACUCUCAUAGAUUGUACUCUCUAUAGCAUUAUACUUCAUCUCCACUCUAAACCCCUCGCACAAGGUGCUACACCAUGAACAAAAAUCAGAUACAUGAUGUUGGGCAUUACCUCUCACCAAGGGCUCGAACCUGGGUAAAAACCUUUGUGCAAACUCCCUUCUCGUGUAUCCGUACAAGUUCAGCACCCUACUAUGGGUACUCGCGAUUUUAUAUACUGCCACAUAUUUAAGUUCUGACACAUUUUCUCUGGGGAGUUGAAGCAACUCAUGCUGUAAGUAGGUGUUGCUUGAAGCACUGAUUCUACUAGCACCUCCUUUCCCGCCUUCGAGAUACCUUGUCCUUCCUAUCCAACCACUUUGCCAUUUGAGCUUUCUUUAAGAUGUUUAAAAUUUCCUUUCUUUGACCUACCCACUAUGGUCGGGAGCCCCAAAUAAUGCUUGCUCAAUGCCUUAGGAUCAAUGCAAAGAUAUUUACAACAACUUUGUCCUCCUAUUUGCCUCACUUCCCAAAGAACAUUGAGGCUUUUUGAAAUUUUCACAUUUGUCCCGAGCCCCACUCAUAGUCAAAGAGGAUAUAUUUAAGGUUACAAAGUUGCCAUUUGACGGUUGAAGAAAUAUUAUACUAUCAUCUGCAAAAAUAAGAUGGGCUACAUGGGGGUUAGUGCUCCCAAAGAUAUACCAUUGAUCUCUUUAUCUUUGAGCACUCAUGAGAAAGGCCAAAAAACUCGCAACAUAGAAAAUAAAAAAUAGGGAGACUGUGGGUCUCCUUGCCAGAGCCCUCUUCAUAGUGUAAAAAAUACAUAACACACUCCAUUCAAUUUGAUAGAAAACUUGGCCGGGGUACCACACAUCAUAAUCAUCAAGAUCAACCCAUCUGAGAAACGAAGUGCCCUCAUCAUUAGCUCGAGGAAAAUCCAAACCACCCUCUUAUAGGACUUCAUCAUGUAUAGUUUCAUUGCGAACAUUGGAUUUUUCUAUUUCUUGAACGAACGUACUUUGCCCUUGCGUGAUCAUUAUGGAUAGAACAACCUUGAAUCUCUUUGCUAGGCCUUUGAGGCAAUCUGACUGAGCGUGUUCAAUAAGUUGUUUGAUCCCAUUUGAGGAAGUAUCUCCAUUGAGGUAAUUUUGGGGAUCGGGACUAGAACCGUAUCACUAAAGUUUGGUGAAAUAACUCCAUUAAAAGAAUCACCUAUUACUAUGUGUACAUCAUUUUUUUAGAAAUAACUAGUGAAAUUGGUAAACAUAACUGAGAGGUUGUCUAGCCCCAUCGCUCUUUCCAGUCAAAUUUAGAAUAGUGCAUUCUCAAUUUCUUCAUCCAGCACGUCUGUGUUAACCCUCUCCUCCAUAUCACUAGUCACAUAGGGUCGGAUGUGAGCUAAGAUGUUGUCAACAUCAGUAGAGGCUUCUGAAGAAAACAACUAAGCAUAGAAAUCGGCCGAAAUCUUCCUCAUUUCAUUGUCAAUGUACAACUCGUGCCAUCCACCCUCAUGUUUUGAUCGUCUUCCUUGAGAAAUUCCAGUCGGGAACAUUGCAUACACAUUAUUUGUUCCUGUGCAUGAACCACAUGAAGCUACGCUUCAAUCUCGCUGGUCUUCAGUGAGGAUGAACGGAUCCCAAUGCUCUACCCUUUCCAUCGAAGCUGGACCUAGUGCCUAGUAAUCUCACAACAUACAAGACAAAAUACAGAGCAACUUCAAUGUUUCAUAUCAUUGGUGACAUUGUUACGCUUCCUAUAGAGCUCACUCUGGCUGGAAUUGUUAUCACAUGCACACUAUCAUGCCUCCAUGGGCAUGCACCUCUCCUCAAAUGUUAAUGCCCUCUUCUUACUUUUGGUAAUGACUAGGUUUUCUAGCGCUCUAUUAACGAGCGAACCAUGGUCUGGUCCUCCAUGACAACAUAUUCAAUGGGUGUAUCCUACAAUGAAUGCAUGAAUUCAUCAUUGCAUGGACCCCUAUCUACAUGUACAUAAAUGAUCUCAUCCCGCUCCCUCUUAUUGUCCCAAGUGUACAGGUUGGUACUAAACAAAGGUUUGAAAUGCAAUUAUUGGCUACACUCUCCCUAAUGCGCUCCAUUUGUGUGAAACUCCUCAACUAAUCUCCUAGUUGUCGUAAUUAAAAGAAUUAUUUGCUGAGGUAUCAGUGUAACAGAUAAAUGUAUUAUUAGGAUCCAGUCUCUCGAAGCCUCCCUUAGCUACACAAAUUUUCUUCAAUCUCUCUUCCUAUCCAGUAGCUUUAGGUGAUAAUCCUUGUGACGCCUUUGGUGGUCACCAUCACCUUGCCUUGUCUUAUGAACAAAAGUUCCUCAUCUACGUUGCUUGGUGGUAGAUGGGUCAUCUUUCCCAAUGGCCUUGCACCCUUUCCCAUAUAGAUUUUUUUCUGUCUUGCUUCCUUUCAUGCUCCUUUCUCAGGUCCCACUUCCUUUCUAGAUUUAAAUCAUCCCUUAGUUCACAAUCAUGUCAAAGAUAUUGCCUGCAUUGGUCCUCCCUGCACUUCAUCUUAGAUAGUUACCUUCUACAAGACCAUCUCAAGGAUCCUCGCUAGAUAGAGAGUCCACAGAGGGUGUAUAAUCAUUGUAUGACCUGCACCUAAAUGGACGGACAUGCAAUGCUACAUGACCCCUGCGCCCAUAGACGCCCUUGCUUGACCUAGUGCUCCCAAAACUAAAGAUCCUGCUUUCUGUCACUGUCCUCUACUUUGUUUUUGUCUGUGAGGAGCCAUGUCCAAGUGAUGCCCUCAACCAUUCACCCAACUGGGGUGAGGAAUCAACUUGUGGUUCAAGUCAUCUAUCAACAUGUGCUAGUAUGUCAUAGUCAAUCCAAAAGAGAGGUAUCUUCUCAAAUUGAAAAUCAAACAAGGUCCCCUCAUCUUUUGCUGAAGAGUGGAGAAAGAAGCAUCAGACUAGUGAAACAAAGAUGAAAAUUCUAGUUCUAAAUCUGAGAUGGUUCCCCCAUAAAUCCAUGCUUCUUAACAUCACUCUUUACCACGCCACCAAGACAAUUCCCAAGAGCAUUCCCAAAAGUAUAUGAUCAUUUAUAUAGGGGAGGAUCUGUAAUUAUCACCCAUGGCUCUGUCGUACAAAACAUUAUCUUCAAUGACCUAGUUUUGUCAUCAUAAUCCUUCAAAACUGUCACAAUAAAACCAAAUUGCCAUAUUUAAUUAUAUAGAGCGUGCUUUUAGACUCCUUUUUUCUUGAAUCUCAAGAAGAAUAUAUUAUUUCUAAUGUGACUUAUUUGGGCUUCCUAGUAGAGUCGCAUGUGUGUUGCAUAGCCCUAGCAAACACGUUGAUGUUGAUUUGCUGGAGUGAGCAUGCCUUUCCAACCACUGACCACCAAGUAGGCCGCUGUCGGUCUGGAACCCUGAUCCUCAAACAUGAGAUCUAUUAGUUCCUUUUUUUGUCAAUUUCUGGGCUCCUUGUUAAUUUGGUUGAGAGAUUAGUUGCCUUCCCUGAAGCAUUUCCGUCUGUUAGGGACUUUGAAGGUUCUCAUCUUAACGAUCCUUGGUCGCCCUGUCCACUUGAGCUGUUGACCUAUGCCACACCUUCUCUCCCAUCGUCGCACAAAGGAGUGGAAGCACCAAGACCAUUCAAUGUAGGAGUUUAUGGCGUCAUCGCCCCAUAGAAGAAAAAAACCCUAACCCUAGCACAACUUAUUGGUCGCCUAUAGUCGCCCUUAGCAUUUCUUUUCAUACUGGGCCCGCCACUAGGUAUUUAUAUGUGUCCUUCCAUUGUUACUUUUUUUGUGCUGCAGCCUUUCUGCUACAUUUGCCUUUCUACAAAGGCGGUCUUAUCCAAAUCAUAUAGUCUCCUCUAUCUAUAGGAAGCCAGGACAUUAGCUCUUCUUUUUUUCAAGGCAAAUAAACUUGCUAGUGUUCAAGCGACAUCGAAAGAAGUCUUGUCUCAUGUAAAGACGACGCUAAGAGUGUGACACAUAUAGGUGCCAACUUUAUGGAUAAUGCAAAUUUCAGCAAAUAUGAAUAGCUCCAGGGGAACGAGCGCACAAAGGAAUCAGCCACCAUAAAUGGAUCAUUUCCGAAGAAACGAAAUCACAAAGAGAGAGACAAGACAUUAGCUUCUUUAUGGGGAACACAAAUAUCUAAAUGUUGCCUUGCUCUCUGAUUAUUAACAAGAAAUAAUUCUUACUAAUAUACUAUGUGUAAAUCUUGAUAGAUAUGGAAUGUAUUUUGGUCAGUAUGUUUUAAGGAAUCAUAUCAGUUUUUGGUAUGUGGAAAUUAGAAGAAGUUCAUGUGCCUUCAAGGCAUGUUAAGGUGUGUUGUUCCACCUCAAAUUGGGACAUACUAAAUGGUUAUUCUCCCUACAUAUAGCCCCAAUUCUCAUGCUCUUGCUCUCUCUCUCUCUCUCUCUAUCUAUCUAUCUAUCUCUCUCUCUCCAUCUAUCUAUCUAUCUAUCUCUAUCUCUCUCCACAUUUUAUAUUCUAGACUACUCCAUAAAGCCUAACUGGUGAAGGUCCAGAAACACCCAGUAGUGACCGGUUCAACUCCCAUUAGUAGUCUAUACUUAGUGGAGGAGAAACAAGCCACUUACAGGCACGUGCCCGCCAAUGGUGAAUAAAUCAGAAAAGAAAAUCAGGCCGUGGCUGGUCCAAAUCUGGCACCUGCCAACAAUGUGUAGUCUCUAGUCUCCACUACUCGAACCCACUUUUCCUCGGUGUGUUACAUCAUGUUAUGUUUGGAGAAGCCAUAGAGUUGGGGAUCUAAAUAUAGAAAACAAUGAUGGGGAGUGGCUUGAAGAAUAGGAGCCAAGAAGCCGGACGGAGGAGGCCUACACCAUGCUGCACCAUUGGCCGAUACUGACCCGUAUGGUGCAAGGACCGAGGCAGAACUAACCACCAUCAUCAUCUGGGUUGCAAAGGAAGUUGGACCAGUGUGUUGCUCCUCUCGAACAAACUCAAUGAUUUCAUGCAGUUGGCACCCAUGCCACAUUCCACAGAGAUAACAACAUUGAGGAGGAGGAUGGGCAACACAAGGUUUCUUCCUCAUAGGAAUUACUUUCGAGGAAGUGGGGGGACGGUAUGGCAUGAUCAGCAGUUAACAAGGGAAGUUUGCAUGACUGUGGAGGACAAAUCGUGAAGACAAGUGUGUUAGUGGCUAGAUAAGGGAUGAAUGAUGGCAGGAAGCAAUAAUGAGCUUACUGGGUGAGGCUACUAUUUUUUAAGUUGCGACCUACUGACGUAACAACAAUUGAUCGUAACAACGUACCAUUGAUGAUACAGGGUAUUGAUUUAGUAACUGUCAAGAUGUGACUAGGGCUUGUAAGUGGUGGGUUGUAUAUUACUAACAAGUAGCAUGUUUUGCCUCAAUAUUGUCCUCUGUCACUCGUAACAACGUACCAUUGAUGGACCACAUAUUGGGAACAUCACUACUACCUUUUCCCAACAAAAAUAGAAUUUUAGUUAUAGUCAGAUUCACAACAAUCCUGCCGUCCAUUAGUGCUAAGUAGCACUGCUGACCAGUUUUGUGACUCACCACUUUUGAUCGAUAACUAGGCGAGAAUUCUAGUGUAGUGCCCAUUUGUUUUAUUAAGAACUUUUAGUGUUUUUAUGUGCACAAAGACAUGUCUUUCAACCCUAACAGGUGUUCUCUUUAGGUGGGGUCGAGAGUGAAGGACUGGGGAGCUUGGGAGCACGGGAAAUGGCACCUAGAGAGGUUCAGGUCUCCAUGAUCAAUAACCACAAUUUUGAUCUGAAUGAGCUGCCGACUGAGCAUGAUUAGCUCAAGAAGGAGUAGUCACCCAUGGAGCAAGAGUAGCCGCCUAUGGCACAACAUGAGAUUUAAUAUUCACAAUGGUUGGAGGCUACUCAAAUCCGCUUGUGUGAGCAAAAAUAACUCUUGGCCAAAAGUGUAGCCCUGUCAGAAAUUAUCGAAACAAUAUCCUUAUCCCAAGGACGAUUCUAAAGCUUAUGUGGUUUGAAUUUCUCGCUUCCUAUUUUUUGGUGAUUGACUGGCGCUAUUGCUAAACUUGAGGGAAGGAGUUGGUAUACUGCCUCAUGAUCAAUGUGUCAACUGGAAAUGGCUUUUCUAUUCAUUUCCUGUGAUGGUUUUGAUAUGUGGAUUGUUUGAACAAGCAGUUGUUCAUUCGGUAAAGCUUUGUGAAACAUCAACGUGUCAACUUCUUGACCUACUGUCAUUUCACAUGACAUGAGACCUAGCUCCACCGUUGAUAUUUCACAAAGCUUUACCGAAUGAACAAUUGCUUUUUCAAACAACCCACAUAUCAAAACCAUCACGGGAAAUGAAUAGAAAAUCCAUUUCCAGUUGACACGUUGAUCAUGUGGCACUAUACCAACUCAUUCCCUCAAGUUUAGCAAUAGCGUAAGUCAAUCACCAAAAAAUAGGAAGCAAGAAAUUCAAAAGUUCCACAUAAGCUUUACAACCGUCCUCGGGAUAAGGAUACUGUUUUGAUAAUUUCUGACAGGGCUACACUUUUGGCCAAGAGUUACUUUUGCUCACACAAGCGAAUUUGAGUAGCCUCCAACCAUUGUGAAUAAUAAAGCUCAUGUUGUGCCAUAGGCGGAUACUCUUGCUCCACGGGUGACUACUCCUUCUUGAGCUACUCAUGAUCAGUCGGCAGCUCAUUCAGAUCAAAAUUGUGGUUAUUGAUCAUGGAGAUCUAAACCCCUCUAGGUGCCAUUUCCCCUGCUUCCAAGCUCCCCAGUCCUUCACUCUCGACCCCACCUAAGGAGAACACCUAUUAGGGUUGAAAGAUAUGUCUUUGUGCACAUAAAACCACUAAAAGUUUGCAACAAAACAAAUGUGCACUACACUAGAGUUCUUGCCUAGUUAUCGAUCAAAACUGGUGGGUCACAAAACCGGUCAACGGUGCUACUUAGCACUAUUGGUUGGCAGGAUUGUUAUGAAUCUGACUAUAACUAAAAUUCUAUUUUUGUUGGAAAAAGGUAGUAGUGACGGGCCCAAUAUGUAGUCCAGCAAUGGUACGUUGUUACGAGUGACAGAGGACAAUAUUGAGGCUAAACAUGCUACUUGUUAGUAAUAUACAACCCACCACUAACAAGCCCUAGUCACAUCCUAACAGUUACUAAAUCAAUAUCCUGUAUCAUCAAUGGUACGUUGUUACAAUCAAUUGUUGUUACGAUCAGUAGGUCGCAACUUAAAAAAUAGUAGCCUCACCCAGUAAGCUCAUUAUUCCUUCUUGCUAUCAUUCAUCCCUUGUCUAGCUACUAGCACAUUUGUCUUCAGGAUUUGUUAUCCACGGUCAUGCAAACUUCCCUUGUUAACUGCUCAUCAUGCCAUACCCUCACCUCACAUCCUCGAAAGUAAUUCCUAUGAGGAAGAAACCUUGCGUUGCCCCUCAUCCUCCUCAAUGUAGUUAUCUUUGUGGAAUGUGGCAUGGGUGCCAACUACAUGAAAUCAAUGAGUUUUUCCGACAGGAGCAACACACUAGUCCAACUUCCUUUGCAACCCAGAUGAUGAAGGUGUUCAGUUCUACCUCGGUCCUUGCACCAUACGGGUCAGUAUCGGCCAAUGGUGCAGCAUGGUGGAGGCCUUCUCUGUCCGGCUUCUUGGCUCCUAUUCUUCAAGCCACUCCCCAUCGUUGUUUUUUAUAUUCGGAUCCCCGACACUAUGGCUUCUCCAAACAUCACAUGAUGUAACACAUUGAGGAAAAGUAGGUUAGAGUAGUGGAGACUACACAUUGUUAACAGGUGCCGGAUUUGGACCGGCCAUGGCCUAUUUUUUUCUCAUUUAUUCACCAUUGGCGGGCAUGUGCCUGUAAGUGCCUUGUUUCUCCUCCACUAAGUAUAGACUAUUAAUGGGAGUUGAACCUGUCACUGUUGGGUGUUUCUGGACCUUCACGGGUUAGGCUUUAUGGAGUAGUCUGGAAUAUAAAAUGUAGAGAGAGAGAGAGAGAGAGAGAGAACACCCAACAUAUAAACAGUGCUAACUGGGUGAGGCUACUAUUUUUUAAGUUGCGACCUACUGAUCGUAACAACAAUUGAUCAUAACAACGUACCAUUGAUGAUACAGGGUAUUGAUUUAGUAACUGUCAGGAUGUGACUAGGGCUUGUAAGUGGUGGGUUGUAUAUUACUAACAAGUAGCAUGUUUGGCCUCAAUAUUGUCGUCUGUAACUCGUAACAACAUACCAUUGAUGGCCUACAUAUUGGGCCCGUCACUACUACUUUUUUCCAACAAAAAUAGAAUUUUCUUAUAGUCAGAUUCACGACAAUCCCGCUGGCCAUUAGUGCUUAGUAGCACUGUUGACUGGUUUUGUGACCCACCACUUUUGAUCAAUAACUAGGAGAGAACUCUAGUGUAGUGCACAUUUGUUUUAUUGCGAACUUUUAGUGUUCUUAUGUGCACAAAUACAUAUCUUUCAACCCUAAUAGGUGUUCUCUUUAGGUGGGGUCGAGAGUGAAGGACUAGAACUAGUAGAAAAGGGGGCAUUGGUCCAGGUCGGGUCAGCCCAUUAUUCCCGGUUCAAUCCAGAACCGGGACCAAUGGUGGCAUUGGACCCGGUUCGUGAGCCCUGGGGGCUGGCCUGGCCACGUGGGCCAUUGGUCCCUGUUCAUCUGGACCUUUUGGUCCCGGUUGGUGGGACGAACCGGGACCAAUGGGCAUCGCUCCUGGCCCACCACCAUUUGUCCCGGUUGGUGGCUUGAACCGGGACCAAAGGCUUCCCUUUAGUCCCGGUUCAUGCCACCAACCGGGACCAAUGAGGUGCCUAUAUAUACCCCCUCUCGUAAGAGUAGAGCACACUGCUCUGUUUUUUCUGGCUGCCGAGGGGGAGAGGGCUUGGUGGUGCUCUAGCUCACCUCCUAUGCACAUAAGGUAUUCGAUGGAAUGCCCGAGCCACACUACUUAAACUUUCUCCUCUCCAAGCUUGACCUCCAAGCUCCAUUUUCUUCAAUAUUUGUCUAAGUUUAGCGGUCGGUCAUGCCCCGUCCCCGUCUUCACCGCCGUCGAUCACCCGCGCCGAUCUCAUCGCCGGCACCACCGUGAUGAGCCUCUUGUUCUUAUCUUCUUUCUGAAAGGAAAAAUAUUCUUACUUGUAUGUUUAGAUAGAUACUUGUAUUAUUUUCUUACUUUUAUUAUUGCAUCUUAUAUAGUGCGAUGGUUUUGGUAUCCGCCCCUGUCGGCCCUCAUCCUGUCUAUGAUUCGGAUGUGGUAUAUAUUAUCUUUUCAUAACUAUUGGUUCAUUUAUUGUUUAUGAAAAUUAUGCCGACCAACGUGACAUAGAUUUUAUUUAUCUAGGAGGUUGUUGAACCGGAAAUUACAACCGACCCUAUUGUCGAGAGGUUAAAUUUAGUUGAACAAUAAAACAAUUUCUUGAAGGAAAAAAUAAGAAAAAUUGAGGAGGAGAAGAUGAUAUUGGAGUUGCAUGUUGCGGAUGUCGUCGAUGAUCACAAGAUCUAUUAGGGUUUAAUUAAUUUAGAUGCUCUGCAGACCUUUAUGUUGUUCUGUAAUGAUUUUCGCUUGAAGAUGAGAACUAUGUAUGUACUUUGGUUUUAAUGUGAUGAUGAACUUCUAUUAAUUUGGUCACUUAGUUAUCUAUUCAUGAUGUUCUGUAAUGAUUUUUGACACACUUAAUUAUAUAUAAUGCAUGCAGAUGAACCGGCAAUGGAUGUACGGUGACAGACGCACCUCCGAGUACAUUAAGGGCGUGCAUGAUUUUCUUGAAGUGGCUGAGGCAAACAAGCAGAAUGGUUUUAUGUGUUGUCCAUGCCCUAUAUGUGGGAAUAUGAAGUCUUACUUUGACCGGAAAAUCCUUCACACCCACCUGCUUUACAAGGGUUUCAUGCCACACUAUAAUGUUUGGAUGAGGCACGGAGAAAUAGGGGUUAUGAUGGAAGACGGCGAAGAAGAAGAGUACGAUGACAACUAUGUGCCCCCUGAAUACGGUGAUGCUACUGAACAUCAAGAGGAACCAGACGAUGUGCACGAUGAUGCUGCAACGAGCGAAGCUGCUGAAGAUCAAGAGGAACCAGACGAUGUGCCCGAUGAUGAUGAUCUCCGCCUGGUCAUUGUCGAUGCAAGGACGCAAUGCGAAAGUCAAAAGGAGAAGCUGAAGUUCGAUCGCAUGUUAGAGGAUCACAAAAAAGGGUUGCACCCCAAUUGCGAAGAUGGCAACACAAAUCUCGGUACCGUACUGGAAUUGCUGCAGCCGAAGGCAGAGAAUGUUGUGCCAGACAAAGGAUUUGAGAAUCUACUGAAAAUAUUGAAGAAGAAGCUUCCAAAGGAUAAAGAAUUGCCCGACAGUACAUACGCAGCAAAGAAGGUCGUAUGCCCUCUAGGAUUGGAGGUGCAGAAAAUACAUGCAUGCCCUAAUGACUGCAUCCUCUACCAUGGUGCGUACAAGGAUCUGAACGCAUGCCCGGUAUGCGGUCCAUUACGGUAUAAGAUCAGACGAGAUGACCCUGGUGAUGUUGACGGCGACCCCCCCAGGAAGAGGGUUCCUGCGAAGGUGAUGUGGUAUGCUCCUAUAAUACCAUGGUUGAAACAUCUGUUCAGAAACGGAGAGCAUGCCAAGUUGAUGCGACGGCACAGUGAGGACCGUAAGAAAGACGGGAAGUUGAGAGCACCCGCUGACAGGUCACAGUGGAGAAAAUCGAGAGAAAGUACUGGGCUGAGUUUGCACGUGACCCAAGGAACGUAUGCUUUGCUUUAAGCGCGGAUGGCAUUAAUCCUUUCGGGGAGCAGAGCAGCAAUCACAACACCUGGCCAAUGACUCUAUGUAUGUAUAACCUUCCUCCUCGGAUGUGCAUGAAACGGAAGUUCAUUAUGAUGCCAGUUCUCAUCCAAGGACCUAAGCAACCCGGCAACGACAUUGAUGUGUACCUAAGGCCAUUAGUUGAAGAACUUUUACAGCUGUGGACUGGAAACGGUGUACGUACAUGGGAUGAGCACAAACAGGAGGAAUUUGACCUAAAGGCAUUGCUAUUCGUUACCAUCAAUGAUUGGCCCGCUCUCAGUAACCUUUCAGGAGAGACAAACAAGGGAUACCACGCAUGCACGCACUAUUUACUUGACACCGAAAGUAUAUACCUGGGAAGCUGCAGGAAGAAUGUGUACCUGGGCCAUCGUCGAUUUCUUCCGACCAACCAUCAAUGUCGAAAGAAAGGCAAGCAUUUCAAAGGCGAGGCAGAUCACCGGAAGAAGCCUGCCAUGCGUACCGGUGAUCACGUACUUGCUAUGGUCAAUGAUUUACACGUAAUCUUUGGAAAGGGUCCCGGCGCACUAGCUGUUCCGAAUCACGCUAGGGGACACGAACCCAUGUGGAAGAAGAAAUCUAUAUUUUGGGACCUACCCUACUGUAAAGACCUAGAGGUCCGCUCUUCAAUUGACGUGAUGCACGUGACGAAGAACCUUUGCGUGAACUUGCUAGGCUUCUUGGGCGUGUAUGGAAAGACAAAAGAUACAGCUGAGGCACGGGAGGACCUGCAACGUUUGCACGAAAAAGACAACAUGCCUCCAAAGUAGUAUGAAGGUCCUUGUCGGUGUCAAAACCGGCGGAUCUCGGGUAGGGGGUCCCGAACUGUGCGGCUAGGUGGAUGGUAACAGGAGACAAGGGACACGAUGUUUUACCCAGGUUCGGGCCCACUUGAUGGAGGUAAAACCCUACGUCCUGCUUGAUUGAUAUUGAUGAUGUGGGUAUUACAAGAGUAGAUCUACCACGAGAUCAAGGAGGCUAAACCCUAGAAGCUAGCCUAUGGUAUGAUUGUUGUUCGUCCUACGGACUAAAGCCAUCCAAUUUAUAUAGACACCGGAGAGGGCUAGGGUUACAUAGAGUCGGUUACAAUGGUAGGAGAUCUACAUAUUCGUAUUGCCAAGCUUGCCUUCCACGCCAAGGAAAGUCCCAUCCGGACACGGGAAGAAGUCUUCAAUCUUGUAUCUUCAUAGUCUUGGAGUCCGGCCGAUGAUGAUAGUUCGGCUAUCCGGACACCCCCUAUUCCAGGACUCCCUCAGUAGCCCCUGAACCAGGCUUCAAUGACGAUGAGUCCGGCGCGCAUGUUGUCUUCGGCAUUGCAAGGCGGGUUCCUUCUCCGAAUAAUUUAUAGAAGAUUGUGAACACCAGGAUAGUGUCCGGCUCUGCAAAAUAAAUUCCACAUACCACCGUAGAGAGAAUAAUAUUUACACAAGUUCAAUCUGGUGACGUUUUUGGCGGCAUGAUGUCACACCACUACCAAGCCUUUACUCGAAUCGUUUUUAUUGUACCACCUCAGCGUGUUUAGCGAAGCGGUUUCCUUGGCACGUAUUGUCGAAGCAGAGAUCGUGUUCCCCUUAUUCCGGGAUUCCCAUCAAUACGGACGUGGGUAACCCAACCGCGCCAUUGAUUGCGGCGCUUGGGAGAUAAGUGAGUUUUAUCAGGCCGGUGGGGACGCAUGUCUCAGUCCGCCCAUAUAAGGGGAUAAAGAUCCAACCCUUUUACCUAUACCUUCUUCCUCCUUGGCUUAUCCAUCUCCGCGAACUCGAGCUCCAGCGCCCAAGUCCGCACAUCUCACCUCAACCUUCUCCAACUAUGUCUGGAGCGGGAGGCAAGUGGAUGGCCUCCUCCAUUACGGAGGGGCACAUCCAGAAGCUGCGCAGCGCCAGAUAUCUGUCCAGCGACAUCACGCACUGGCUCCCCGACGAGGGAGAGCUCAACCCCACCCCCAGGCCCCACGAGAGGGUAGUAUUUCUUCCCCGUUUCCUCCGCGGACUGGGCUUCCCACUCCAUCCCUUUGUCCGGGGGUCAUGUUCUACUACGGCCUGGAUUUCCAUGAUCUGGCCCCGAAUUUUAUCCUCAAUAUCUCGGCAUUUAUCGUCGUGUGUGAGGCCUUCCUCUGGAUCCAGCCCCACUUCGGCUUGUGGCUCAAGACCUUCAGUAUCAAGCCGAAGGUGGUAAAGGGAAGCCAAGCGGAGUGCGGAGGCGCCAUGGUGGGCAAGAUGCCCAAAGUUACUUGGCUUGAGGGCACUUUCGUGGAAACCAUUAAGGGGUGGCAAUCAGGGUGGUUCUACAUCACCGAGCCGCGUGACCCUGAAUGGGCAGCGGCCCCCGAAUUCAGAUUUGGCAUCCCCACACGGCUCACCUCCUGGAAAGAGAGCGGCCGGACAUGGGGUGAUUCAGAGGAGCUGACCGGACUCCAAGCCUGCAUCAAAAAGCUAGUGAAAAGGAAGCUCAAGCUUGUCAACGUAGUCCAGGUCGUGCUUAUCCGCCGGAUUCUCCUGUGCCAACGACGGGGCUCCGGUAUGUGGGAGUUCGAUUCGGCGCAGCACCAGACUUUGAGCGGGCUCUUCGACACUACGUACGAAGAUGUCUGGAGGGUGCUGUUUAAAGGUGCCGAGGCCCUCGCAUCCGCUACCGAAGAUCGCGGAUUCAGCUCGCAGCGUCCGGCUAGCGAGGUAAGCGAUUUUUUCCUUUACGGGACAGUUGUUUUCCAUAGUUUGACUCUAUGCAGGAUCUAAACUCCCUCUCCUUUGACAGGACUGGCUGGAGAAGGCUGAACAGACUAUCUGUCCGGCCCCAUUGCCAGAGGACCCAGCGGACGCCCGCUUAACGGGCUUGCUGGCUCCGGCACCCCACGUGGUGCCGGAGAAGAAGGCCAAGAAGAAGGCCACGGGCACUCGGAAGAGUUCCCGUUUUCAGGUGUCAUCGGACGAUGACUCCGAGGCAAACUCCUCCCACGAAGGCGAGGAGGAGAAGAAGAAGGCCUCUCCCCCAGCGGGGGGAGGAAAGAAAAGGAAGGCUUCCCCAACGAGGGAGGCCGAAGGGUCCAAGAAGGGAAAGACUCUUCCCCCGGACUGCUCUGCCAAUGCCAGUGAUGACGACGAGGAUUGGCCUCCAAGGGCCAAGCCCCUGGUGAGAUCGUAAGUAUCCAGACUCACGAAUAACUUCAUGGUUUUUCUUUUCGCCACAUAGUGUCUUUCUAAUGCCGCAUACAACCCUGUAGUCCGCCCAAGGAUGAUUUUCCCGCUUCGUCGAGCGGGUCCUUGGGUGCGUCGGAUAUGGAUUCCCUUCCGACCGCCUCCACCCCCCGUGAUGCGGAUGAUGCCGAGGUGGGAUCCCGGGAAGGGACCCGCUAGGAGGAGGAGGCCCCGGAGGUGCCGCAGGGCAACCUCCUGGACUUUGCGCCGGACUCCGCACCGGAACCUGAAGUGGCUCUGGAGUCCGAUGGGUGCCCCCUUCGUAAGAAGGGCAAGACCGCGACGCCAGUGGCCUCCGUCCAACCGGAGGCGCCGGAUAGCUUGCUGGAGGCGCUCAACGGCGCCUCCAUCGAAGGGGAGCACCGCACCUUCAUGAGUGCGGUGAUUCAGAAGGUUCAGCUCGCCAAGAGCGGGCUGACCGAAGCCUGCAGCAGCCUUCUAACAGGCUUUUAGGUAAGAAUUUUGAUAUAUGUAGAAUAGUACCGCAUAGACAGUAGCCCCUGAUGCUCGGUUCGGUAUUCGGACAGAAAAGACGGACUGAGGAUCUAAAAAGAUAUACGCAGGAGUCAUAUAUAAAAAAUAUGUCAAUAUGGGAUUGCAGGCUAUGCUGCUGACCUCUGCCGCACUGACUGCGGAGGUCAAUACUUUGAAGCAAAGCCUCGAGCGGUCCGAGAACGAGCUCGGCCGUGCCAAGAAGCAGCUCGAGGACAAGGAAGGUGAAUAACACCGUAUUAAGAUUGUACCUUACAGAAAAGGAUUUGGUUGCAAAAAAUUGACAAGGAUAACAUGGGUAUUGCAGGUGCCACGACCGAGGUGGCGACCCUGAAGGAGGCGGUGUCCGUGGGUAAUGCGGCCGCGGAGCGCACCGAGUGAGAGAAACAGGAGGCGCGGGUGGCGGAGGUACAACAAGAGCUACAUGAUCUCGUGGAAAAACAUGAGAGCCUGGAGCGUGACUCGAAGACUCGAGAGUCCGAGCUUGCAUCGGCUCUUGAGAGUGCCAAAGCUGCUAAGGCCGAAGCCUACAAGGCCCUCCACGAAAUCGAGGCGUUGAAGAAAAUAGCAGCGGGUAAGGCAUUUUUCAUUCAAAGUAAGCAUGUGAGUGUGAUUUACCUAUCACUUACCCGAAUUCGGAGCUCUCCAGGAGCAUUCGCAGAUCUUCCUUGCAGCGUGUCCGAUGCUGCCGCUUUCUACCGGGCCGAGGAGGGGAGCUCGACGGAGAAGGUCUUCUAGUCUCAGUAUGCUGAGGCCGGACAUCCGGUGCCCCUUAGCGACCAGCUGAAGCAGCUGGUCGAGCUCCACAAGGUGGCCGAACAGGCCAUGAGGGGCCUCAUAGUUCGGCUGUGGCCUAAGGAGGCCGUGCCUGGGAGCUACUUUGGCCUGGUGCGGCGGCUGGUGGAUGUGUGUCCAUGGGUUGAAGUCAUCAAGCACUUCGCCUGUAUUGAAGGUGCCCGUCGGGCCCUUGCCCGUGCAAAGGUGCUCUGGGGCAAGAUGGAUGCUGAGAAGCUUGUGACGGACGCACCACCGCUGGCAAGGAGUAUCGUACGCCCGAGAUGUAUUAUAAGAAUUUUUUGAAGGGUGCCCGCACUAUUGCGGGUGAGUGCUCCAAAGAUGUAAUAUUUGAGUAGACUCGCAUUUUGUUAUCCUGUGCGCUGAAAACUUUGUUCAUAUGCGCAAAGCAACGCUUGUUAAUUUAAAAUAUUACCUUCUAUGCGGCCGUUUAUCAAAUAUGAGAGAUGGCAAGUCGUCGGCUUCGGCCCCCAUGCCACGAGUGCUGGGGUGUUCGCGAUAAAUUUGAGCACUCUUAUUCCCAUUUUUGGGACCAUCUAGGGAGGCGCUCAACACAACGAACAAGGCAACCAGACUUAUAAUGCUUGAACACUCUCACUUAGCCAUAGAAUUCUAUAAUUUUAAAUUUCGGCGAAGCCCCUAGUGUUCGGAAGGCCGAAUUUGGGGCGCUAUCCAUGCCUGGGCCGGACAAAGCCGGUUCCUCGCUCUAAGCGGCGUAAGUCUUUAGGGACUCGAAAAAACCUCUCGAACAGCGACCGGCUCUCGCCUCAUCAUGACGGUCAGUUUUAGCUUUCUCCACUGAGGCGCUCGCCCAGCUCAACUGGGGCGUAAUCGCAGUGGUUCUCCCAGUGCUACCUUUGCCGAUACAACGGAACAUAAGGUACCAAAACAUGGGAGCCGGGCAAACCCAACUAUUGACCCAAGACAUGAUUCGGAGCCGAUGCAUAUAAUGCUAUAAGUUCGGGGUGCCGCACUUGUGAAAGUGUUCGGACUUAUCGCACCAUGAUGCAGGAAACAUAAGCCCCUGGUGUAUUUAGCCGUACCAAAGUGUACGGAUGCAACAUGUCAUAAAUGAACAUAUGUAUAAGAAAGGAAUGCAAUUGUAAGAAAAAAGGUGCAUUGUUUAUUCACGAAAUACUGCUGUGAAUGCAGAACGAUACAAAUGGUGCGAUAAGCAAGGGAUGGGACUAUUAAACAUGUCCCCCUCCAGGGGUAGGCUGCGGAAUGGUGUAUAAAACAGAUUUAAUGCUCGUAAUGGAGAACACCUGGAUAUUCGUCGUAGCCUUUCUCCUUCCCUGGCUGUUGCAUCGUGAGUUCGGCAGGUGUACUGCCGGACAGGGCCUCUGAUGAACAGGGUCCUGUGGGUAAAAAAAGAAAAGAAAAAAGAACGACACACUUGAGAGCCCCUGGUGUGGUUAAGCCGCAUUCUGGGCCUAUUGUGGUCGUGCCCUUCCCCCUAUGCCCAUGGUAUCUUCAGAGCGUAAUGAUGUACGCGAAGGACCCAUCUUGAAAUUUUGUAGGGGCUAGGGUUGGGGCCGCAUUGCUACGCGUGAGUAGAACGUGCCAGGUGGUCUUGUUGUAGGUUACUCCGGGCACGUUUAGCCGUGUCCGGUCGCUUAACGGCCGGACUCGAGAAUUGCCUUAAGAGGCUGCACUGUACUUCUGCUGCGAGAGCCGCUGUAUGUUCCUCCGUUCGGAGAGAGCGUUCAGUGUUUCCGUUGACCGUGAUGACUCCUCGAGGGCCUGGCAUCUUGAGCUUAAGGUAUGCGUAGUGCGGUACCGUGUUGAACUUUGCAAACGCGGUGCGUCCGAGCAGAGCAUGAUAGCCGCUGCGGAACGGAACUAUGUCGAAGAUUAACUCUUCGCUUCGAAAGUUAUCCGGGGAUCCGAAUACCACUUCCAGUGUAACUGAGCCUGUACAAUUGGCCUCUACACCUGGUAUGACGCCUUUAAAGGUCGUCUUUGUAGAUUUAAUCCUUGAGGGGUCUAUACUCAUUUUGCACACUGUAUCCUGAUAAAGCAGGUUCAGGCUGCUGCCGCCGUCCAUCAGGACUCUGGUGAGGUGAAAUCCAUCAAUGAUUGGGUCUAAAAACAAUGCGGCGAAUCCGCCAUGGUGGAUGCUGGUGGGGUGGUCCCUUCGGUCAAAAGUGAUUGGGCAGGAGGACCAUGGAUUGAACUUCGGGGCAACUGGCUCCAUCGCGUAUACAUCCCUGAGUGCUCGCUUCCGCUCCCUUUUGGGUAUGUGGGUUGCGUAUAUCAUGUUCACCAUCCGCACUUGUGGGGCGAAACCCUUCUGUCCUCUAUUGUUCGGCGGUCGGGUUUCUUCCUCGUCAUCGCUAUGCAGCCCCUUGUCGUUGUUUUCGGCAAUUACCUUGCCUGCCUGCUUGAAUACCCAACAGUCCCUAUUGGUGCGGUUAGCUGGCUUUUUGGGGGUGCCGUGUAUCUGGCACGAGCGGUCGAGUAUUCGGUCCAAAUUGGACGGACUCGGAGUAGUUCUUUUGAAUGGCUUUUUCCGUUGAUCGGGUUUAGAGCCUCUGAAUCCGGCAUUGACUGCCGUAUCCUCACUAUUGUCGCUGUUAAUGCGGCGUUUGUUUUUGUUGCGACGCGGCCUACCAUUGCGGUCCUUGAUAUCCGGACUGCCAGAAUUUUUACUGAGGUUGUUGCUGCGUGCUAGCCAGCUGUCCUCACCCGCGCAGAAGCGGGUCAUGAGUGAUGUGAGGGCUGCCAUGGAUUUCGGCUUUUCCUGUCCCAGGUGCCGGGCAAGCCACUCGUCGCGGAUGUUAUGUUUGAAUGCCGCGAGGGCCUCCGCAUCCGGACAAUCGACGAUUUGAUUUUUCUUGGUUAAGAACCGUGUCUAGAAUUGUCUGGCCGAUUCGUCUGGCUGCUGAAUUAUAUGGCUUAGGUCGUCAGCGUCUGGUGGUCGCACGUACGUGCCUUGGAAGUUAUCGAGGAAUGCGGCUUCCAGGUCUUCCCAACUCCCAAUUGACUCUGCUGGCAAGCUGUUAAGCCAAUGCCGGGCUGGUCCUUUAAGCUUGAGUGGGAGAUAUUUGAUGGCGUGGAGAUCAUCACCGCGGGCCAUGUGGAUAUGAAGGAGAUAGUCCUCGAUCCAAACCGCGGGGUCUGUUGUGCCAUCAUAAGAUUCAAUGUUCACGGGUUUAAACCCUUCGGGGAUUUGAUGAUCCAUUACUUCAUAUGUGAAGCAUAGUGGGUGUGCGGCACCUCUGUACUGGGCGAUAUCACGACGGAGUUCAAAAGAGCUUCGUAUAUUUUGUUCGGCCCGGCCGGACUUACUGUGUCCGGCGCGACGAUUGUCCUCGGGUAUCAUGGGGCGCCCACGCGAUCCAUAGAUCGAUCUUGAUUGUCUUGCCUUAUCCUCCAAUAUAUCUCGCAAGUCCGGAGCAUUCCCCUGUGGCCUUGUGCUUUUCGAGCGAUGCCGGGGUACGGUUCUGGUGGAGGGCCUAGAGGCCUCUCUGUCGCGGCCACGGGGUGGUCGGUCAGCCGUAUUGUCUGCUGGUGAUCCAGGUUCAUAUGCCUCCUCCUCUAAUCGGGGGAGCAGCUUGCGUUUAGGGUAGCUUUUGGAGGGGCAGUCGAGCUCAUGCUCUUCGGCCGCAAGGACUUCAGUCCAUCUGUCGGCUAGCAGAUCUUGAUCAGCUCUAAGCUGUUGCUGCUUUUUCUUGUGGCUGUUUGCCGUGGCCAUAAGCCUGCGUUUAAAACGCUCUUGUUCGACGGGAUCCUCAGGCACGACGAAUUCGUCGUUGUCGAGGCUUGCCUCGUCUCCGGAGGGAGGCAUGUAAUCCUCUACUUCUUCGUCUGCUGCUUUCUCAUGAGGGCUGGCGUCGCCGUCCUCCUGUGCUGAAUCUUGCUGGAGGGGGUUGUCUUCGGCACUGUCUGGGGUGUUAUUAUCUCCGAUGUCGGAAUCUCCGUUCUUGCUGUGGCGGGAUUUAGAGCGGCGCCGCUGACGCCGGCGCUUGGGCUGUUUCUUGGAGGGGUCAUCCUCCGCUGUUCCUUCGCCAUUCCCAUCCUUUGGGAUAUCCACCAUUUAUAUGUCAUAUGAUGAGGUGGCUUUCCAGUGCCCAGUAGGCGCUGGUUCUUGGUCGUCUCCGGCAUCUUCGUCCAUACCGUCGAUGUCUUCGGAGUCGAAGUCUAGCAUGUCGGUUAGAUCGUCGACAGUGGCUACUAAGUGGGUGAUGGGUGGGCUUUGAAUAUCUUCGUCGUCCGCAUCCCAACCGUCCUGACCGCAGUCCGGCCAGGGCUCUCCUGAUAACGAGAGAUAUUUUAGCGAACUUAAGAUGUCGCCAAAAGGUGAGUGUUGAAAGAUGUCCGCAACGGUGAACUCCAUGACCGGUGCCCAAUCGGAGUCGAUUGGAGGGGGCGCGGGAGGUUCGGAGUCCGGCGAGGAGUCCGGCACCUCGGAGUCACGAGCUUCAUGAGGGACAAGGUCAGUGUUCGGCUCUAUCGCCGUAGAGGUUGCAGCCCCCGAGGCGGUGUCUAGCCACCCAUCCUCGAUCUGCGCAGCCGGCUCCGAGUUGGAGGUCAGAGCGGACUCGUGUGCGGCCUCCAGGUUACUAUCCGGCUGCAGAGCUAAGUCAUGCCCGUCGUGACAGUGCGGCGCGCUCGGCUGUGGCUCGAAUCCUUCGAAGAUCAAGUCCCCGCGGAUGUCAGCCGUGAAGUUCAAACUUCCAAAUCUGACCUGAUGGCCAGGGGUGUAGCUUUCGAUCUGCUCCAGAUGGCCAAGCGACUUGGCCCGCAGUGCAAAGCCGCCGAAUACGAAGAUCUGUCCGGGGAGGAAGGUCUCACCCUGGACUGCAUCGUUGUUGAUGAUUGGAGAAGCCAUCGAUCCUAUCGGUGACGACACAGAGGAACUCCUAAUGAAAGCAUCAAUUUCGGUGUCAAAACCGGCGGAUCUCGGGUAGGGGGUCCUGAACUGUGCGUCUAGGCGGAUGGUAACAGGAGACAAGGGACACGAUGUUUUACCCAGGUUCGGGCCCUCUUGAUGGAGGUAAAACCCUACGUCCUGCUUGAUUGAUAUUGAUGAUGUGGGUAUUACAAGAGUAGAUCUACCACGAGAGCAAGGAGGCUAAACCCUAGAAGCUAGCCUAUGGUAUGAUUGUUGUUUGUCCUACGGACUAAAACCCUCCGGUUUAUAUAGACACCGGAUAGGUUAGGGUUACACAGAGUCGGUUAAAAUGGUAGGAGAUCUACAUAUCUAUAUCGCGCCAAGCUUGCCUUCCACGCCAAGGAAAGUCCCAUCCGGACACGGGACGAAGUCUUCAAUCUUGUAUCUUCAUAGUCUUGGAGUCCGGCCGAUAAUGAUAGUUCGGCUAUCCGGACACCCCCUAUUCCAGGACUCCCUCAGUCCUGCCAGCUAUGCUCUUACCAAAGAAGAGAUGGAAGUCUUCUUUGAAUGCCUGCUUAGUAUGAAGGUUCCGACUGGCUUCUCAUCGAAUAUAAAGGGAAUAAUAAAUAUGCCAGAGAAAAAGUUCCAGAACCUAAAGUCUCAUGACUGCCACGUGAUUAUGACGCAACUGCUUCCGGUUGCAUUGAGGGGGCUUCUACCGGAAAACGUCCGAUUAGCCAUUGUGAAGCUAUGUGCAUUCCUCAAUGCAAUCUCUCAGAAGGUGACCGAUCCAGAAAUCAUGCCAAGGCUAAGGAGUGAUGUGGUGGAAUGUCUUGUCAGUUUCGAGCUUGUGUUCCCACCAUCCUUCGUCAAUAUCAUGAUGCACGUCCUAGUUCAUCUGGUCGACGAGAUUGUCAUUCUGGGCCCCGUAUUUCUACACAAUAUGUACCCCUUUGAGAGGUUCAUGGGACUCCUAAAGAAAUAUGUCCAUAACCGCGCUAGGCCAGAAGGAAGCAUCUCCAUGGGCCAUCAAACAGAGGAUGUCAUCGGGUUUUGUGUUGACUUCAUUCCUGGCCUUAAGAAGAUAGGUCUCCCUAAAUCGCGGUAUGAGGGGAGACUGACUGGAAAAGGCACGCUUGGAAGGGACUCAAUAAUAUGCAGGGACGGAUAUUCUUGGUCUCAAGCGCGCUACAUAGUUCUACAAAACCCUACCUUGGUGACCCCGUAUGUCAAUGAACAGAAGAACAGUCUGCGCUCCAAACACCCGGAGCAGUGCGACGACUGGAUUACAUGUGAACACAUCAGGACUUUCAGCAGUUGGUUGGAAACAUGUCUCAGAGGUGACAACACUGUUUGUGAUGAGCUGUACUUGUUGUCCAGGGGACCAUCCUCGACUGUUACGAUUUUGAAAGGAUACGAGAUAAAUGGGAAUACAUUUUACACGAUUGACCAAGAUAAAAAGAGAACCAACCAAAAUAGCGGUGUCCGCUUUGAUGAAACAACUGAGAGGGGAAAGGACACGUAUUAUGGUUACAUAGUGGACAUAUGGGAACUUGACUACGAACAUGAUUUUAAGGUUCCUUUGUUGAAGUGCAAAUGGGUCAAUCUGUCAGGAGGCGGGGUACAGGUAGACCCACAGUACUGAAUGACAACAGUGGAUCUGAAAAAUCUUGGGUAUACUGACAAACCGUUCGUCCUAGCCAAUGAUGUGGCACAGGUUAUCUAUGUGAAGGACAUGUCUACAGACCGAGAAAAAGAAAAGAUAAGGAAGUGAAUACAUCAUACGAUGAGCCAAAGCGCCACAUAGUUCUUUCAGGGAAAAGGGACAUCGUCGGAGUGGAGGGCAAGACAGACAUGUCUGAAGAUUAUGAAAAGUUUGAUGAAAUUCCUCCCUUCAAAGUCAAGGCUGAUCCCAGCAUCCUGAUAAACGAUGAAGAUUAUCCAUGGUUACGGCGCAAUAAGCAAAUGACACGAGUGAAGAAAAAGUGAAGACUUUCUCCCGCAACUAUUAUGAUGAUACCAUGCCAACUUUGUAACAGACGAGUAUGAUACCAUUGUCCGUUUUGUACAUGCACAUGCUAUGUGCGUGAAAUUAUGAUACCAUGCCAACUUUCAACUUUUUCAGAGUUCAUUUGAAAUGCUUUAAUGUCUUAUGGUUCGGCCCUCGUAAUACCAUUAAUCCCGGUUCGCUCCUUGUCAACUAUGUUCUCACCAAGAACACUCUCAAGAGGGCAGACACAUGGGCCAUUGGUCCCGGUUCGUCUGGACGUUUUUCUCUACUCAAAUUUGAAAACUAAUGGCACUAACAGAAAGUUUAUAAUUUUUCUAAAACUAAUGGCACUAACAGAAAGUUUAUAAUUUUGCUGACCUAAAAGCAAAAAGAAUUAAAAAAUAAAGCAAAAAACAAAAGAAAAUAAAUAAUGCAGAAAACAAAACAAAAAACUGGAAAGAAAAUAAAAAUAGCAACAAUAAUUAUUUUGUUGUAAGUAGAAACAAAAUAAAAUAAAUAAAGCAAAAAAGAAAAAAAAGUGUUUUCAAAUUUGAAAACUAAUGNNNNNNNNNNNNNNNNNNNNNNNNNNNNNNNNNNNNNNNNNNNNNNNNNNNNNNNNNNNNNNNNNNNNNNNNNNNNNNNNNNNNNNNNNNNNNNNNNNNNNNNNNNNNNNNNNNNNNNNNNNNNNNNNNNNNNNNNNNNNNNNNNNNNNNNNNNNNNNNNNNNNNNNNNNNNNNNNNNNNNNNNNNNNNNNNNNNNNNNNNNNNNNNNNNNNNNNNNNNNNNNNNNNNNNNNNNNNNNNNNNNNNNNNNNNNNNNNNNNNNNNNNNNNNNNNNNNNNNNNNNNNNNNNNNNNNNNNNNNNNNNNNNNNNNNNNNNNNNNNNNNNNNNNNNNNNNNNNNNNNNNNNNNNNNNNNNNNNNNNNNNNNNNNNNNNNNNNNNNNNNNNNNNNNNNNNNNNNNNNNNNNNNNNNNNNNNNNNNNNNNNNNNNNNNNNNNNNNNNNNNNNNNNNNNNNNNNNNNNNNNNNNNNNNNNNNNNNNNNNNNNNNNNNNNNNNNNNNNNNNNNNNNNNNNNNNNNNNNNNNNNNNNNNNNNNNNNCUUUACGCCCUUUGGGCUGCUGAAAAGAGGCCUUUGGUCCCGGUUGGUGGCACGAACCGAGACUAAACGGUGUAUUAGUCCUGGUUGGUGCCACGAACCGGGACCAAUGCUCUUGAUAUAUGUACAACACUUAGCAGUUUUGGACCAAAUCCCCCACUUCUCCCUGCUCCUCCUCGUCGCCGUCGCCGCCCGACGCCCCUGCUCCACCUUGCCAUCGCCGCCGCCACCGACGCCGUCAGGCUGCUCGCCUUCGCCGUCGCCGCCGCCACCGACGCCGUCACGCUGCUCGCCUUCGCCGUCGCCGCCGCCCCCUGUGAGCAGUCCCGUGCCCCACCCGUCCCGCGCACCUGCGCGGCCGACGCGCCGCCGCCCCUGCCCUGCAUUUUUUUUGUGUAUAUGUGUAUAUAUGCAUUUUUUGUGUAUAUGUGUAUAUAUGUGUAUAUAUGUGUUUGUAUGUGUAUAUAUGUGUAUUUUUUGUGUAUAUAUGUGUAUACAUAUAUGUGUUUGUAUGUGUAUAUAUGUGCAUUUUUUCAUAUAUAUAAUGUAUAUAUGUAUGUGGUAGCUAUAUGAUGAAUGGAUGUGGCUAUCUAUGUAUGAAUAUAAUGUUCAUAGCAUUUUUUUUGUUUAUAUAUGUUUUUUAAUAUGUGUAUUAAUUUUUUAUUUAGGUUGUUAGUAGAUAUCGAUUUUAGGUUAGUGCAUUUUAGGUUAGUGUAGAGGAAAAAGUAAAAUAAGGAAAAGGAUGAAAAGAAGAAGAAGGAAGAAGGAAGAAGAAGAAAAAGAAGAGGGGAAGAAGAAAGGAAUAGAGGAGAAGAAGAAAAAAUAGAAAAUAUUCCAUUUUUUCUUCUUCUUCUCCUCUUUUUUUCUUUUUUUUUCUUCGAUCUUCUCCUCUGUCGUCGUCGAUAUACCCCCCCUCGGCCCUCUCGCUCGACCAAAACUCUCGAGGACACCCAAACCCUAGAGAAAAAACGAUGUUGGUCUCCUACCCCCUCCCGCUGCACCCCUACCCGACGAACUCUCUUGAGGCCACCCAAAUUUACCAAGUUAAAAGAGUGUUGUCGUCGAGGCCACCCCAAACCCUUGAAGCGUUGUGUCAAGGCUACCCCAAACCCUUGAAGCGUUGUCUAGGCCACCCCAAACCCUAGAGAAGCAGCGUCGAGGCCACUAACAUGAUUCCUUAUUGUGAUUAGCUAGCUAGUUCUACGUUUGCCACUAAUAUAUAUCCAUCUGUACCAUGUUUGAAUAAUAAUUGACAUGUUGUAAAUAUUUGCAGAAACUAUGGAGCACUACCGAGACGAAGCAACAGAAGCGAUGUUGGGGGAGAUAAUCGCAGAAGGAACUGAUGUCAUUGCGUCAUUUUUCAACGACAUCGUUGGUCAGGAAGGACUGGGUGAAGAAGAGGGCUAUGUUCAUGAUGGCUCCGGCCCAUUAAUGCCGGUACAAGAAGAGGGCUAUGUUCAUGAUGGCUCCGGUGAUGACCCAAUGGAGGUACAAGAAGGAGACCAUGCUGACUGCUCCGGUGACCGAACCGAGUCCGGCCAGGUGUAUAUAUAUUAGUUAAGCCCGUGCUAACUAGUUAAUUGAUGCAUUCAUUGUUUUGGCAUAUGUACACAUAUUAGUUAACUUUCUUCCUUUUUCUACCCCUCCGGAUCGAGCACAACUUCGGUAAGGAGACGAGGACCGAAGAAAAAGUUGAGCUCGGAUGAAAGGUUUGAGAUCACAGCAAUCGCGCGCGACGGCGAACCGAUUGAACCCAUCCGGACAAAGAACACAUUUGUUGCUCAGUGCGGGGUUCUUGUUAGGGACAAGAUCCCGAUCAGCAUCCACCAAUGGUAUAAGCCUAAGGAGGAAGACCCUCAGGUGUCUUAUGUCAAUGAUAUGCAGAAGAAUGAUCUUUGGACUGAGCUGAAGGCAAAUUUCACCCUACCGCCAUAGGAGGAUCCGGAAAAGCCAGUUAAAGAGCAAUUAAUCAAGUCUUGUGCUCUUAAGAAGAUGGCAGACCUAUUCAGGAGGUGGAGGAAAGAGAUGAAAAAGUUUGUCGACAAAGAAGAGACACCAGAAUUCAUCGGUAAAUAUGAGAAGAUGAGAGAUCACUGGCCCGCAUUUGUGGCCUACACGACAUCGGAAAAGAGUAAGAAGAUGUCAGUGACAAACAAGCUAAAUGCUGCAAAGAAGAAGUUUCACCAUCGCACGGGGUCAGGUAGCUACCUGCAAGCCCGGCCUAAGUGGUCCAAGGCUGAGAAUGAUCUGCUUGAUAAAGGGAUCGAACCGGAGACAAUGAGAUGGCUAGACCGUUGCCGGACUUGGUUCUUCGGGGCUGGCGGAACCUUGGACCCUAUAUCAGGGAAGUGUCGUUGGACGGACGAGCAACUGAAAACACCAGUCACAAGGCUUCGGAAGUAUAUCCAUACAACGCAGCAAGGGACGUUCGUUCCAGACAGGGAGAAGGACGAGCUCACAAUGGCCCUCGAGAAUCCUGAGCACCCUGGACGGACAUGAGGCACGCCAGGCUCCAUUCCGUGGAAGGUUAGUUUUCCGGACGCACGGGUUUACAAAACCCACGAGACGAGGAAGAAACUGGAGCAGAGUCAACAGCACGCGCUGCACGAAAGGGUAAUGGGGCUAGAGGAGCGAGAAGAGGAACGAGAAGCAGCUGAUCGCAGCAAACAACCUACCGAAGCUUCCCCUGAAGCUACCCCGCCAUCUCAGCGGAGAAGUAGCAUGGAUUCCACCGAGCUGCUUCAGCCGGAGCAUGUCUUGACGGCUCCUGCCAGCUAUCCCGUCGAUGCUAUCACUGGGGCUCAAAAUUGCCACAUUAUGACAUGAUGGAUGAAUUUGAAGGUCAAGGCGGUUGUUGGCUAUGUUUAUCCUACUGAACAAGGCGCAACUUAUCACUGCCGGCCGAUUCCAGAAGGAUAUGUCAGGGUGAUGGUGGAUGAAAUAACGGAGGGAUUUGAGGACCUCCAGCUUGACUACCCUACCGGUGAAGGGGAGACUAGGCUGGGUUCUGCUCUAAAGACUCCAUGCCCAUGGCGGAAGGAGCUCAUCAACCUUCCGAACUGGACGCCUCCGCCUCCUCCUCCUCCUCCGGCAAGUCAGGGCACUCUGCCUCCUCCACCGCCUCCUCCUCCGGCGAGUGUCGAUCAGGGCACUGGGCCUCCUUCUCCGGCGCGUGGCGGCACUCCGCCUCCUUCUCCGCCUGCGCCGGCACGCCCGAGCAUCUAGCAUUCUCCUCCUUCUCCGGCGUGUGGUGGCACUCCGCCUCCUUCUCCGCCUGCGCUGGCGUGCCUGAGCAACCAGCAGCCUCCUCCUUCUCCGGCGCGUGAUGGCACUCCGCCUCCUUCUCCGCCUGCACCGGCGCGCCCGAGCAGCCAACACCUUCCUCCUUCUCUGCCUCGCCAGCAAGGGCGGAAGAGACCCGCCGCCGCCCCGGCUGCUCCGGCGCGUCGUAGUCCGUCUCCUCCGCCUCGUAAGUAAGCACGAAAGAAGACAGGCGCCACAGCCCCUCCGUCUGCUCCGGCGUCUAGCAGUACAGCCAACAGAGGCGGGAGGCAAUACAUAUACGGUCCACCUCUCAAGCCUCUAGAGAAGUUACCAUAUGAGAGGACCGAGGAGGAAAACGCGACGAUCAUGCGGGCCCACGUGAAGGACUUCUUUGAAGGGGUGAAAGCAAAGAGACAUCCACCUCCGGAGGAGAAGGUAGAUCCGGUGAAAGCAAAGCGCACUAUCGAUGCCCUGAGGAAACCACCAAAGUCUCCGCCGAGAGCCAACUAUGAGCGCAUUACUGAACAGACAUAUCUCGAAGCCUAGCGGUAGGGAAGUACUGUCAAUGAUAAAAGGUUAAAAGAACGAGCAGCUGGGAAAAAAAAUGCCCAGCUCGGUGAACAAGCAUAGCAAUCGUGCCCCCCGCUCAAUGUGUCUAAUGCUGCGGGGACGAUGGCCGGUUAUGGCAAUCUUGAAGAUUACCUACCUGACGAUCAACUUCCUGAUUUCUUGGAGGUGGACGAACACAAAUACGAGUACGGGAAGCCUCUCGUCAAAGAUAAAAAAUCUCUGACAACUAUGAUGCGAAGAUUCCAUAAUUGGUACAUGAAAACCUACAAAGAGUCUGGGGGGACGAAUGCUUUGUAUCUGAAUAUUAAAGAGGAGCACGACCUCGUUGCAACUGAUCUGUUGACUGUUCCAUUUGAUGAGUUCUUCGCGUUCUUCAAUCAAAAGGCCCUCGAUAAACUAAUGGUCUUUUGCUACUGUCUGUAAGUACUAUUUCUGUCAUUAAUUCUCUAUAUAUAGCUCGGCUCUUUCAUUGCAUGUAUUUAUAAUUAAUUAUCCUCACAAUAUUAUGCAGAUUGAAGAUCGUCGAGUGCAAAAAACAAGAAAUGUAUGAUAUUGGGUUCAUUAACACAAAUAUCAUAGAUGAAUUUUUGGUUAAAAAGCACCCCGCUGAGGCCGAGGAGAACUUGCUACAAUCGUUGAUCAAAAAUCAAAACAAAGAUUUAAUACUCUUUCCUUACAACUCCCAGUGAGUGUUACUGUCGUGUGCAUAUUCGGUUUCGCUUAUUACUCGAGCGAGGUUAUAGUAAUGUAAUUGAUGAGUUAUGCAUGCGUGCGCAGAUUCCACUAUGUUCUUCUGGAGAUUGAGCUUGAGCGGGGAGUAGUAAACGUCUUAGACUCGAGAAGAAAAGAUCCCCAAACCUAUGCGGACAUGACUGAAAUACUCAACAAGUAAGUUCAAUCGAUCAUUUAUCGCACCAUAUCGACAACUUUUUGUUCAUUUCCUGAUAUCUCAAGUGAUAAUAUUUAUUUUCUUUGUCUUGCGGGGUUUGGAAACAGUUCACCGCAGAAGUUCCGGGACUGCCGAAGGAGCUGAGAUAUACAUACCCGAAAGUAAGUACUACUAGCUAGCUAGUUGCGCGCAUCUCCCGUUGAUUCACUAGUAGAAAAAGGGUCAAACGUGAAGCACAUUAGUGCCAGUUUGUAUUAGAGCCGGCACAAAUGUAUACAUUAGUGCCGGUUCCAACGGCUAGCCUGGCCGCUCUCAUUAGUACCGGUUCGUGGCUAACCUUUAGCACCGGUUCGUGCCACGAACCGGUACUAAUGAGGGUGGUGGUAGGAUGUUGUCAGUCUGGGCCCCCUCCAGCACCUUUAGUACCGGUUCGUGCCACGAACCGGUACUAUAGGUCCUCCUGCAUAUAAACCCUUCGUCCAGCUCGCUCUGUUCUUCCCCCUUUCCCCUCUCCUCUCCUCUCUGUUCUUCCUCUUCCCCUCGAGCUCAUCACACAUUUUGCCCAAAAUUUGUCAAGAUUUGAAGGCCCCCAUCCAUUCAAGUGAUGACAAAGGUUAGCAACUUUGUCCUUUCAUCUCUCAUUGCUAGAUUAGCUCUUGCAAUGCUUUAUAUAGUUAUUAAUUUGUGAGUUUAGUAAUUUGGGAGGAAAUAUAUAUAUGUGCUAGUAUUUGAUUUAUAUGCAAAAAUAACACUUAGUUUGCAUAUGUAGGUGUGGUUUACUUAGUGCCUUCUAAAUCUCCAUCGUAACCACCAUCGAUCGCCCGCACCGUCCCGUCGCCGGCACCACCUUGUGGUGAGCCUCUUGUUCAUGAAUUUUUAUAUAAAAAUUUGAUGUUUGUGUGAUUUGGAUAUAUAGUUAAUCAUGUAAUAAUUAUCUUACCCGUACGUUGUUUGUUAUACAUAGUGCCAUGGUUUUGAUAUCCGUCCCCGUCAGCCCUCGUCCUUGUUAUGAUUCGGAUGUGGUAUAUUCUCUUUUAAAACUAUUUGUUGCAUUUCGUGUUUAUGACAAAUUAUGCCCAUCAAGUUGACAUAGAUAUUUUUAUCUAGGAGGUAUGUGAACCGGAAAUUCCAACCGACCCUAUUGUCGAGAGGUUAAAUUUAGUUGAAAGAGAAAACGAGUACUUGAAAGAAAAAUUGAAAAGAAUUGAGGGGGAGAAGAUGGAAUUGGAGUUGCAUGUUGCCGAUGUCGUCGAUGAUCACAAGAUCAAGAUGGAGAAAAUGCACUUGAAGAUUAGAAAGAUUAGAAAAUAUGCCAUCGAUGGUGAGGCUUGGUAUCAUUAUGCUGUUGGAUCAAUUGUUACCUUAGUUGCAAUCUUGAUCGCAUUUGUUGUUGCAUUUAAAUGCUUUAGCUAGAGAGUUAUUUGUUUGUUGCAUUUAAGUGUUGUAUGAACUUUAUGUAUGAACUUGUAAUAAUUUGGUCUAUUCGCUGUUGUGUAAUGAAGAUGAGCCGGCAAUGGAUGUACGAUGACCGAUGCUCUCCCUAGUUCAUUGAGCGCGUGCAUACUUUUCUGCUUGCGGCUGAGGCAAACAAGCGGGCGGAUGGUUUUAUGCCUUGUCCAUGUGCUGGCUGUAAGAAUGGUCACAAUUACUCUACGUCAAGAACCAUUCAUGUCCACCUGUUUGAGUCCGGUUUCAUGCCCCACUAUAAUGUUUGGACCAAGCACGGAGAAAGAAGGGUUAUGAUGGAAGACAAUGAAGAAGAAGAGGACGACGACAGCUAUCCUGGCCAUGGGUUCCCUGAAUACGAUGAUACAACAAUGGGGGAAGAAGCUGAGCCGGUAAUGCGGGAAGAAGCUGAGCCGGAAAUGCGGGAAGAAGCUGAAGAAGAGGCAUCAGAUGAGCCCGUUGAUGAUCUAGGUCGGGCCAUUGCCGAUGCAAAGAGAAACUGCGCAAGUGAUUUGGAGAAGAAGAAGUUGCAGCGCAUGUUAGAGGAUCACAAAAAAUUGUUGUACCCGAAUUGCAUAGGUGACAAAGAAAAAGCUGGGCACCACACUGGAAUUGUUGCAAUGGAAGGCAGAGAAUGGUGUAUCUGACAAGGGAUUUGGAAAGUUGCUGGUAAUGAUAAAGGAUAUGCUUCCAAAGGACAACGAAUUGCCCGAGAGUACGUACGAAGCAAAGAAGGCUGUCUGCCCUGUAGGGUUAGGGGUGCAGAAGAUACAUGCAUGCCCUAAUGAUUGCAUCCUCUACCACGGUGAGUACGAGGAUUUGAACGCUUGCCCAGUAUGUGGUGCAUUGCGCUAUAAGAUCAGCCGCGAUGAGCCUGGUGAUGUCGAGGGCGAGCGCCCCAGGAAGAAGAUUCCUGCCAAGGUGAUGUGGUAUUCUCCUAUAAUACCACGGUUGAAACGUUUGUUCCAAAACAAAGAGCAUGCCAAGGCGAUGCGAUGGCACAGAGAAGACCGUAAGAAAGACGGAAAGUUGAGAGUACCCGCUGACGGGUCGCAGUGGAGAAAAAUCGAAAGAAAGUACGGGAAGGAGUUUGUAGAUGACGCAAGGAGCGUAUGGUUUGGUCUAAGCGCAGAUGGCAUUAAUCCUUUUGGGGAGCGGAGCAGCAACCAUAGCACCUGGCCUGUGACUCUAUGUUUGUAUAACCUUCCUCCUUGGUUGUGCAUGAAGGGGAAGUUCAUUAUGAUGCCAGUGCUCAUCCAAGGCCCUAAGCAACCCGGCAACGACAUUGAUGUGUACCUAAGGCCAUUAGUUGAAGAACUCUUACAACUGUGGAAUGGAACAGGUGUACGUGCGUGGGAUGAGCAGAUGGGGGAAGAAUUUGACCUAAAGGCGUUGCUGUUCGUGACCAUCAAUGAUUGGCCUGCUCUCAGUAACCUUUCAGGACAGACAAACAAGGGAUACCGCGGAUGCAUGCACUAUUUGGAUGAUACCGACAGUAUAUAUUUGAAUAGUUGUAAGAAGAAUGUGUACCUGGGACAUCGUCGAUUUCUUCCGAGCAGGCAUCCCGUAAGAAAGAAAGGCAAGCAUUUCAAAGGUGAGGCAGAUCACCGGACGAAGCCUCGCCACCGUACUGGUGCUGAUGUACAUGAUAUGGUCAAGGAUUUGAAGGUGAUAUUUUGAAAGGGUCCUGGCGGACAACCUGUUCCGAAGGACGCGGACGGACGCGCACCCAUGUGGAAGAAGAAAUCUAUAUUUUGGGACCUGCCAUAUUGGAAAGACCUAGAGGUCCGCUCCGCAAUCGACGUGAUGCACGUGACGAAGAAUCUUUGCAUGACCCUGCUUGGCUUCUUGGGCGUGUAUGGGAAGACAAAAGAUACACCUGAGGCACGGGAGGACCAGCAACGUAUGCACGGAGAAGACGGCAUACAUCAGGGUCAUGCAAGCUACGCUCUUACCAAAGAGGAGAAGGAAAUCUUCUUUGAAUGCCUGCUCAGUAUUAAGGUACCGUCUGGCUUCUCGUCGAAUAUAAAGGGAAUAAUAAACAUGGCAGAGAAAAAGUUCCAGAACCUAAAGUCUCAUGACUGCCACGUGAUUAUGACGCAACUGCUUCCGGUUGCAUUGAGGGGGCUUCUACCGGAAAACGUUCGAUUAGCCAUUGUGAAGCUAUGUGCAUUUCUCAAUGCAAUCUCUCAGAAGGUAAUCGAUCCAGAAAUCAUACCAAGGUUACAGAAUGAUUUGGUGCAAUGUCUUGUCAGUUUCGAGUUGGUGUUCCCACCAUCCUUCUUCAACAUCAUGAUGCACGUCCUAGUUCACCUAUGCGAAGAGAUUAAUGUUUUGGGUCCUGUAUUUCUACACAAUAUGUUCCCCUUUGAGAGGUUCAUGGGAGUCUUAAAGAAAUAUGUUCAUAACCGUGCUAGGCCAGAAGGAAGCAUCUCCAAGGGCCAUCAAAAUGAGGAGGUCAUUGAGUUUUGUAUUGACUUUAUUCCUGACCUUAAGCCGAUUGGUGUUCCUGAAUCGCGGCAUAAGGGCAGACUGGAUGGAAAAGGCACGCUAGGAGGGGAACAAAUAAUAUGUAUGGACGGACAUUCUCUCACUGAAACACACUACAUAGUUCUACAGAAUUCCACCUUGGUGGCUCCGUAUAUGGAUGAACACAAGAAUUUGCUAUGCUCCAAACACCCGGAGCGGUCUGAUGACUGGAUUACACGUGAACAAACCAGGAGUUUCGCCAACUGGUUGCAGACACGUACCAUGCAUGACACCUCUAUUGAAGAUGACCUGUACUUGCUGUCCUAGUUACCAUCUUGGAAUAUAAUGACUUUCAAAGGGUACGAGAUAAAUGGUAAUACAUUUUACACGAUCGCAAAAGAUAAGAAGAGCACCAACCAAAACAGUGGUGUCCGCUUUGAUGCAGAAACCAAGACGGGAAAGGAAACAUAUUAUGGUUUUAUACAGGAUAUAUGGGAACUUGACUAUCGACGUGGUUUAAAGGCCCCUUUGUUUCGGUGCAAAUGGGUCAAUAUGACACGAGGCGGGGUAACGGAAGACCCGCAGUACGGAAUCACAACAGUGGAUCUCAACAAUCUUGCGUAUGCAGACGAACCAUUCGUCCUAGCCAAUGAUGUGGCAUAGGUUUUCUAUAUGAAGGACAUGUCUACCAAGCCAAGAAAAAGAAAAGAUAAGGAAGAGAAUGCAUCGUACGAUGAGCCAAAGCGGCACAUAGUUCUUUCUGGGAAGAGAAACAUCGUGGGAGUGGAUGACAAGACAGACAAGUCAGAAGAUUAUGAAAAGUUUGAUGAAAUUGCUCCAUUCACAGUGAAUAUUGACCCGAGCAUCCCGUUAAAUGAUGAAGAUUUUCCAUGGUUACGGCGCAAAGGGACACACGCGAAGAAAAAGUUUCACACCCAAAGAUCUGGGAUGUGAUCGGCUUCACUAUCAUCACUUUCUUCUGUGUUUCACACCCAGGAGGGAAUGUCUGUAAUAGUUAGGGUAGUUAUGUAUUUUGGCAUUUGAAACGCGAAGAAAUUUUAUGUGCAAACAAAUUCUUUUCAUGCAUUUACUGAUUUUUUUCCAGCUAAAUGACCCUGAAAUUGAAAAGCAAUAUAAAUGAACUCAGAAUAGGUUGAAAGUUGGCAUGGUAUCAUAAUUUCAUACAAAUAGCAUGUGCAAGAAAGUAGAGAGGGUUAAGGCAAAAACUGGAUGCACUUCGUGUACAAAAUGGAUAAUCUCUUUCGAAGUAUCAGGGUUUCCGACGAAAACUGAACUGUUACAAAGGCAUUUCAUUUUUUAAAUAACCUAAGCAUUACUAAAUUGAAUAUAAUGAUAAAACACACUAAUAUUAAACAUAAGAAAAAAGAAUCACUGAAAAAACCUUUUUCAAAGUUAAGUUAUUCACAAACUAGUGAUUCACACAAAUUUCAAAUAAUUCAAAAUUUAAACUAUUCAAAUUUGAAAUCUACCGGCACUAACAGAAAGUUUGCAAUUUUUUGUACCUAAAGCAAAAAUAUUCACAAAGAAACUCUAAAUACAGCAAAAAACAACUCAAAAAUAAAUAAAACAAAAAAAAUAAAGCAAAAAAAUAAAGCAAAAAAAAUUAAGAAAAAAAAGCCCGCCUACUGGGCCAAAGCGGCCUGCAUACGACUAGCGACACAACCUAUCGUUGGGCCAGGAUGCAGGCCCGUGAAGGCCCAGUAGGCCCACUAGGCGAAGAGGACAGGUAGGCCCAGUAGGCCUGGUUAGGAGAGGAGCUCGAGAGAGCUACCGCACUGGGGCUUAUAAACCAGUGUGGUAGCCCCUCGACUAGCGAGGUGGGACUAAACUUGCCGCACCGCACCUGCGCCAGCGCACCCCCUUUAGUACCGGGUCGUGGCACAAACCGGUACUAAAGGGGGGGCCUUUAGUACCGGUUUGUGCCACCACCCGGUACUAAAGGGGGUCGCUUCCCGCCGCUUGGCCUGGCCAAAACAGGCCUUUAGUACCGGUUGGUGGCUCCAACUGGUACUAAAGGUGCCCUCUAUAUAUGCUAGAGUGCGAAAAUUUCGUUUUCCCUCUCUGUUCGUUCCUCUGUUUCCGUCUUCGUCGCCGUCGCCGCCGCCCUCAAUCGUCUCCGUCGCCGCCCCCAUCCCCGUCGCCGCCCUCGUCUCCGUCGCUGCCCCGGGCCCGUCCUCGUCGCGUCGUCCCCGUCCCCGUCGCGCCGUCCCCGCCGUCGCCGCCCCGGCCGUCGCCUCGCCNNNNNNNNNNNNNNNNNNNNNNNNNNNNNNNNNNNNNNNNNNNNNNNNNNNNNNNNNNNNNNNNNNNNNNNNNNNNNNNNNNNNNNNNNNNNNNNNNNNNNNNNNNNNNNNNNNNNNNNNNNNNNNNNNNNNNNNNNNNNNNNNNNNNNNNNNNNNNNNNNNNNNNNNNNNNNNNNNNNNNNNNNNNNNNNNNNNNNNNNNNNNNNNNNNNNNNNNNNUUUAGAUAAUUAGUCUUUAAUUAGUUUAGAUUAUUUAGAUUAUUAUUUUGUAUGUUUAAUUAGUUUAGAUAAUUAGUGUUUAAUUAGUACACACACACACACGUAUUUUGUAUGUUUAAUUAGUUUAGAUUAUUUAGAUUAUUAUUUUUUCACUAUUAUAUAUGUAUGAAUGCAUGUUAGAUGGAUAUAAUUAGUGUUUAAUCAGUUAGAAAUUAGUGUUAUAUAGAAAUGUUAGAAAUUAGUGUUAUAUAGAAAUGUUAGAAAUGUUAGAAAUUUUAGUGUUAUUUAGAUUAUUUAGAUUAGCAUAAUUAGUGUUAUAUAGAAAUGUUAGAAAUUUUAGUUAUCAAAAUCCAAUCAUUAAAAAAAUGUUACUUUUUGCGGGCAUAUAGCUAGUAUUUGUUCUCGACGAUGCCCGGCCCGCAUCCUCGCCGUCGACCCGUCCGCGACGACGUCCAGCCGACCCAUGUCCGGGACUGGGCUCCGCCGGGCUGGCACUGGGAGGUGCUGCCUGGAGGGGCGCACCGCUUGAUGAGGAACCCGGCCCCGGGUCCCGUCAUCGACCCUGAUCUCGUUUGGUGGCGUUUGCGUGGGCCAGUUUCGGUGCGGAGGGACUCGGCCCCGCCGGAGGUGGUACGUCGCCGUGUUAGGGAGGAGGACGAGCACGUCCAUCGCUACAUGGUUGCGUUAGAGGGCGGCAGGUUCUCCAAUACGUGGCAGUUUUUUCAGGGAUCUCACUUCAGCUAUGAUCCUGUGAGGGUUCCUUCUCUUUGGGUGUCCACCGCCCGCGCCGGAGGAACGGCGAGUGUCCUAGAUUCUUCUGUAGUAUUCGAUCUUUAUUAGCUAAUAGCCAGUGAUGUACUAUUCAAUAUUAUAUAUUAUUCGAGACGAUGUAUUCGAGAUUAUAUCUAUUAUUCUAGAUGAUGUAUUCGAGAUUAUAUCUAUUAUUCGAGACGAUGUAAUUUGAAUACUAAAUUGUUUUAUAUUUCUUUUGGAUUAGUUAAACAAAAGCUAUGGCGGACAAUACCGACAGAGAGGGAGAACAGACCAUGUUCGAUAUGAUACGCGGGCGAGAUGAUAAUCAGAAUGAAGAAGAUUAUGAUGGCUCCGAAUUUCUAAACAACACCGGAGAGGGUGAUAUGAUAUUCGAUCGCGACGACCAAAUUGAUGAAGUCAUGAACUAUGAUUAUGACGAUGACGAAGAACAUGUUGAUCCUGAAACAACAAAGACCGACGAGGUAUAUAUAUUUAUAUAAGCAGGCAUCUGGUGAUCAUCACAUGUUUUAAAUGACUUGAAGAUAUAUUAACGAAUCGAUCUUUGUUCUUUCAGCCAUCCGGAUCGAGCAAAUCUUCAGGCAAAAUGACGAAACGAGGCCCGAACAAAAAGUUGAAGCCGGGCGUAAAGUACAAUAUCGAGGCAUCCAGCCCUACUGGCAAACCAUUAGCACCUAAGAAGAUUGUGGACAAGUUCGUUCCUCAGUGCGGAGUUCUUGUGAAGGACCAACUCCCAAUCAAACUUCAAGAAUGGAGAGAGCCAUCAAAGCCACGUCCAGAUGUUACUUUUGUUGACAAGAAUCAAAAAGAUCUGCUUUGGGAUACUCUCAUGGAACAUUUCACCCUACCAGAUCAUUUCACAGAAGCAGAUGUGCAGAAAGUCAAGGAGGCUGCUCUUAGGAUGAUGGCGAUUGCAUUCAAGAAUCACAAGAAUCGUGAAUGGAAGAAGUACGUCAAGGGAGGAAGGCAGACUCCAGUAUUCAAGGGAACACUAGAGAACCAACGUUAUCAUUGGGACAAUUUCGUGAAAUUCAAGGAUUCGGAAUUAGCUAAGGAACGGUCGAGAAUAAACAAGAAGAAUGCCGAAAAAAAGGAUAAGUUCCAUAAGCUGGGGCCAGGUGGCUAUGCGGUGGCAAUGCCUAAGUGGGAUAAGUCUGAGAAAGAGAUGGAGGAUGCAGGUGUCACUCCGGCUACUAAGAGCUGGCCCCCCAGGGUCAGGACUUGGUUCUAUGCGCAUGGGGGGAGUUGGACCCGGAGACAGGCAAUGUUUCGACGAGGGCAAGUCUGAAGGGAGCCGGCGAUGUGAUACUUAUUGCAAUAGAAGAGGCACGAUCGGGGGUGUUCCAGCCCAACACAGAGAACGACGAGCUUACGCGUGCCCUGGGAAAUCCUGAACACCCGAGAAGAACACGAGGCAAGGGCGCUAUUCCGUGGUAUGAGGGGUUUUCAGAAUGGAACACCGACUACAGAACCCGUGCGAGAAAGAAGAUUGCGGAGGAGAAGAAGAGGAAGAUGGAGGAGGAGCAGAGGAAGCGGGACUAUGAACGCCUUCAAGGCCUAGAAGCAAGUCAAGCGGAAUUGGCAGUCAAAUUCCAGCGGCAGCAGGAGCAGAUCGACUCACUUACCCAUCAAAGGGGGUCUCAGCAGCUGCAGCAGCUAGCGGAUGAUCCAACAUUGGAUAGCACCGGCCCAUCCAUGCCGAGAAGCAGCGUGGGUUCCGUCCCUGAAGACGCAAUGCUGGGUAGAUACCCCGUGGAUGACAUCACAGAGAACACUAACUGCGAGCUACAUGUCAAAAUGAAGAACAUAUCCAUGAAGGUGGCGGACGGCUUUGCUUUUACAAAUCCCCCCGAGGCAACCUUCCAUUGCAACCCGAUUCCAGCGGGCUAUGCUCGUGUCUUGGUUGAUGAGGUGGUGGACCCACCAUAUUCGGAGCUACGGCUUGACAUUGCUGGAGGUGACGGCGAGCGCUUUCUCGGAGAGGCCAAACAUCGUAUCAUCCUAUGGAAAAAGGAUUGCAUCAUCUUUUGAAGGCCACCGACACCGAGUCAGCCGAGUCCUCGUCGAAGUCCGCCACCGAGUCAGCAGACUCCCGCUCCUGCAAGUCCACCAAGUCCGGCAAAGUGUCAGGCCACUCCUCCUCCUCCAAGUCCGGCAAAGUGUCAGGACAAUCCUCCUCCUCCAAGUCCGCCACAACGUCAGACGUCCACUCCUCCUCCAAGUCUGGCACAACCUCAGGCCACUCCUCCUUGUCCAACUUAGCCCCGUCAGCCGUCUCCGCCGCCUCAGCAAUCACAGAAGAGAGACCCCGCAGCUAUGGUGCGUAGCGGUACGAGUCGAGGUAGUACAGGAAGUACAGGCGGAGGCAAGCGAUAUAAAUAUGGUCCAAGCCUCAAGCCUCUUCCGCAGAGGUCUUAUGACAGGUCCGAGGAGGAAAUCACAGCCAUAUCGAAGGCUGAGGUGGAAGACCAUUUUGCACCGAAACCGCCACCGCCGCCAAGGGAGAAAGUGCCUGAGGAAACGAUUGAUCACUUCAUUCGUAUGGCUCAACCACCAGAUCCCAAGCCUGUUGACACAGACUAUGAGCGCCACAUCAGGAAGUUAAAUCGAGCACGUCUACAAAGGGAGGCGAGCACAUCUACAUCGGGAUCGAGCAAACAAGAAGCAGUUGCCAAAAAAUGCGGGAAAACCAUUCCCCAGCUGGGAGAACAGGCGGCGCAAUCGAUCCCCUCGCUUGUUGUGCCAACAACAGGUGACAGUACGCGCGCCCAAUAUUAUUGUGGGCAAACAGUGCACGUUCCCGAGGUGGGCAAUGUGGUAAUAACGGAGAAGCAUAUAAUGCAGGCUGAAGUUCUCAACAUCACUGUUGGACAAAUCCUCGAGAUCGAGCCCAUGCCUUUGCUUAGAGAGGAUGAAAUAAAACGGAAAUAUGUCCGGGGCCAACCUUUGGUCGCGCCAGACAAGGUCAAGAACCUCCCAACGAGAAUGUAUGAAUUGCAUCAAUGGUACAUGAACAUUACCAAGAUUUCAGAUUGAUUGUCCCUCAUGGUGAAUGUCAAGCAGGACCAUUACUUCCAUGAGAAAGCUGUGUCCGUUGAGUAUUUAGAAAUGUUUCAGUUAUACAAUCAAGACGCACUCGACAAAUCUAUCGUCAGUUGCUAUUGUCUGUAAGUGAUUUCUUUCUAUAAUUUAAGUCUCAAGCUAGCUGUAGUGAUCCUUUUGAUCAAUCAUUACCUGUAAUUAUCCUCACUAUAUUCUUUUUUGUGGUAUUAUGCAGGAUGAAGAUAUAUGAAAUGAGAAAAGGUGGACGCUUUGGCAUUGGAUUCAUUGACCCAAACACCGUUAAUGAAUACACAUGGAAGAUAAAUCAACGUCAGCAAAAGAACAUAGAGGACAACAUGCUAGAGUUCUUGAAGUGCCUCAAAUACAAUGAAGAUAUACUACUUCCUUACAACUUCCAGUGAGUCACACUGUCUUGUACUACAAAUUCUCUGUUUUUGCCUACUAGCUAGCUACAUGUUUUUGCUUACAUAUGCCGCUUAAUUAAGACAUGCAAACGUCUAUGCAUGCAGAUUUCACUGGGUCUUGUGUAUCAUUAAAGUUGACGCCGGAACAGUUGAAGUACUGGACUCACUAAUCUCAGAAAAAAAUGACUAUAACAUCUUGUAUGGGAUAGUCAACAGGUAAUUUCAAUCAUUAUUAACUAUAUAUCUCGGCCUAUUUAGUUCGUCAUUUCAUGAUAUGAACUAUUUAAUAACCCCUUUAUUCAUUUUCUUUGUCGGCGGGCAGGGCUUGGGCAAGGUUCAUCGCCGUCACGCCCGGCGAAUGGAAACAAAAGCUUCAAUGGUUUCGACCCAAGGUAAGCAAUUAAGUAGUACUAGCUAGCUAGCUAGCUGCCAUCUCUUUAAUUAUCAUGCUUGAUUAAUUUUUAUCUAAUCAAAUUCCAUUCUUGUAAAGGCCCUGAAGCAGGCGCAGGGGACUGAUCUGUGUGCAUUCUGCGUUUGCGAGAGCAUUCGCAUGAUGGCGUCCGAAAGGAGCAGAUCUCAAAGACAGGAAUGGGUACGCUUGUCAGAACACUAUUCACAAUUUUUACACCAUUAUCGAUAUCUAGUCACACAACUAAUACACAUGCAUAUUGAUCUCCUUCUUAAUAGUUCAAAGAGGUGCGGGAGAAGCUCAUAGAAACGGAGUGCGUAGAAGCACUUCAAGAGAAAAUAGCGGGAUUUUUGCUCGACCAGGUCAUAAAUCCGAAGGGAGAAUUCUAUUACCCGCUACCGCCCCCAUGAAAACCACUUCCAAUUGUCAUCGUGCUCCGAAGGCACCAAUUAGGCUAAUGCCACUGGCUCCGAAGGCAACAUGCAUAUGUAGGAGAAAUUGUAUAUAGCUAUACAUGUGUGUAUUUGUGAAUUAAUUAAUAUGGUGGUUUGUGAGACAUUGAUGAUAUAUAUAUGCAUGAUNNNNNNNNNNNNNNNNNNNNNNNNNNNNNNNNNNNNNNNNNNNNNNNNNNNNNNNNNNNNNNNNNNNNNNNNNNNNNNNNNNNNNNNNNNNNNNNNNNNNNNNNNNNNNNNNNNNNNNNNNNNNNNNNNNNNNNNNNNNNNNNNNNNNNNNNNNNNNNNNNNNNNNNNNNNNNNNNNNNNNNNNNNNNNNNNNNNNNNNNNNNNNNNNNNNNNNNNNNNNNNNNNNNNNNNNNNNNNNNNNNNNNNNNNNNNNNNNNNNNNNNNNNNNNNNNNNNNNNNNNNNNNNNNNNNNNNNNNNNNNNNNNNNNNNNNNNNNNNNNNNNNNNNNNNNNNNNAUGCAUAACGUGUACAAUGUGUAGUAUCGUAAAAUACCAGCAAACAAAAAGAAUUAAAAUGGAAACACAAAAUUAAAUGAAAAAGAAAUCAUAAAACUAAAAACCCCCCAAACCUUAUAGUACCGGUUGGUCUUUCCAACCGGUACUAAAGGGCUCCAGGCCCCCGGAGCUGGCUCGUGCCACGUGGUUGCCCUUUAGCACCGGUUCGUGCUGAACCGGUACUAAGGGGGGGCCUUUAGUGACCACAAUUUAGUGCCGGUUAUGUAACCGGCACUACAGGGCCUUACGAACCGGUGCUAUUGCCCGGUUCUGCACUAGUGAUUCUAUAGCUGUACUUUCAUCAAUGCCAUUUAUAAUGCUUCAUUAUCAGUUUGAUUGACCUCUAUUCCUCGUAAAGUGCUUGUGGCAGGAACAAGGGAAUGAUUUCUGUGGAUUCUAGGUGUGCGAGUUCAUCUACAGCGCGACUUUGAAGAAUAAGCGGGGCUACUCUAAAAGACAAUAUGAAGUGCGUAAGCAAUAAUAUUCACAAUUUCAUUUUAUUACACCAUCAUUUUUGUUGAGUUUCAUUCAUAUAUGUAUUAACCCCCUUCUUCAAAUUAGACGUGGCAGAUGCGGGAUGAACUCCUAGAACAAGAUCGCAUGAAAGCAAUUCAAGAGGAAUUGGCGGGAUUCUUUCUUGACCACGUCAUCAAUAAAGCCGGCGAAUAUCAUGUGGAAAUUGAUUUCAAUUGCUAGGGGAUUGUAAGAGAUUUUACAUAUUGUAUAUGUAUGUAGCCAGUAGCGUCGGAUAGAUAAUACGAAAACUUGUUGUUUGACCAAUCUCUCGGAGAAGGAGAGGUCGAUCGAUCACUUCUCUCGGUAUGCAUGACCAAUUUCUGUACUAAUGGUUCCCUUCAUUUUCUUACUAGCUAGCGUGUCGAGGGCCUCUCUGUGUACAGUAUGUAGCGUCGACCAAGCACGGACAUAAGAGAGGACACUUCUCUCUAUUAAUUAGCUAGCUAACACAAUAUAUGAAACACCUAAAUUAACCCCCCAAAACCCCCAAACCGCCCCCCUUUCAAAAAAAAACAAAAACCACGGCCACUCAAAUGCUGACGCGUGCAUGCCUUUUGGUCCCGGUUGGUUCUACCAACCGGGACCAAAGGCCCUCCUGCCUGGGCUCGGCGCACCGGCCACGUGGAGGCACAUCUGUCCUAGUUCGUGAUAGAACCGGGACUAAAGGGGGGAGGCAUUAGUCACGACCCUUUAGUCCCGGUUCAAGAACCGGGACUAAAGGCCCUUACGAACCGGGACUGAUGCCCCCUUUUCUACUAGUGUGGGGAGCUUGGAAGCAGGGGAAAUGGCACCUAGAGGGGUUCAGAUCUCCAUGAUCAAUAACCACAAUUUUGAUCUGAAUGAGCUGCCGACUGAGCAUUAGUAGCUCAAGAAGGAGUAGUCACCCGUGGAGCAAGAGUAGCCGCCUAUGGCACAACAUGCGCUUUAAUAUUCACAAUGGUUGGAGGCUACUCAAAUCCGCUUGUGUGAGCAAAAGUAACUCUUUGCCAAAAGUGUAGCCCUGUCAGAAAUUAUCAAAACAAUAUCCUUAUCCCGAGGACGGUUGUAAAGCUUAUGUGGAACUUUUGAAUUUCUUGCUUCCUAUUUUUUGGUGAUUGACUUACGCUAUUGCUAAACUUGAGGGAAGGAGUUGGUAUACUGCCUCAUGAUCAACGUGUGAACUGGAAAUGGAUUUUCUAUUCAUUUCCCGUGAUGGUUUUGAUAUGUGGAUUGUUUGAACAAGCAGUUGUUCAUUCGGUAAAGCUUUGUGAAACAUCAACGGUGGAGCUAGGUCUCAGGUCAUGUGAAAUGACAGUAGGUCAAGAAGUGUGUUGGAUCAUGAGAUAACAUAUUUUCUAAGUUGUUAAUCAUGUGUGUUAACACCAUGGGUAGUAUGAGAGAAGGUCAGCAUGCAUGUUUGGGUCUAAAAUGACCUCAUGACCAAAAAAAUGGAGAAAAACAUGGCUAAUAGGAAUACGAACGAUAUGGAAGUUACUUGUUGCAUGGAUGUUAACUGUGGUUAUGCAACCACACAAGAUGUCAGAGGACCCGCAUCCUUACAUAUCAAGGUUGACUUCAUGUGCCAACUGGAAUUCGUCUAAAUUAUUGUAUAUGUAUGUAUUUUAUAUCUUGACAUCUUACCAAACAAAAAACACCAAAAAAUACACUAUUUACUUCUCUUUGAUGCAUAUUCUAGUUGAAGGGUAAUCAUAACCUUAUGUGGAUAUUUUUUCCAUAAUAGAAUCUAUAAUGGUCUAGUGAGGCAAGGUGUAAAUGGAGAGGACAAUAGUCGAACAUGAAAACAACCAACAUUAUGUCACACUUGCAUCUAGUUGUCUAGUGAGUCAAUAUGGAAAUGGAGGAGGCUCAUAGGGCAACACGAGAACACCCAACAUGUUGCUCUACUUACUUCCUAUUGGUAUGAAGAGACCGAGACUAGUGAACGGUUAAUCAAAACACAUGGACAAGAUCUCUCAUACAAGAUGAAAAUGGAGUUAGUCUUGUAUGAAAAUGCUAACAAAGUAUGAGUGUGCAUAGCAUGCCAUCCCCUCCCUUUCUUGUUCGAGUUUCCUUCACCAACCCCAUAGUACCCUGAUCAACACUAUUAUUUGAAUAUGCUUCUCACAUGAGAAAGAAUAGUUAUUGAGAGAUAGUUAUAUCGUUGUCUAGAUAGACUUGUUCAAGGGGCAACAAUGAAGGUGUCUUAUCUAUUAUAGCCACAUUUCGGAGAAGAAUAAAAAAAGUAGACACAACCUGAUAAUUUAUUGAGAUUUGAAUUAAGGAUUCAACAUACAUAAACUAUCCUACAUGUGAAUCAAAUCCACGUCCUAGAUGGGCAUUGGGCUUUAGUUGGACGACCACUUUAUGGACAAGCCAUGUGCUCCAUGUAGUCUAUGUUGCAAAGGCGGGAGGACAAGGAGCAAAUAGUUUUGAUGGCUGGACAUUGAAGUUAUUUGUCAAGAAAUUUCUUUCCCGACAUGGUUUUUUAUUUCAUUGUUUAGUAUUUCAUAUCGGUUCAAUGCUCUACUGUGCAUCCUUCUUCUCAAAUUUUGGGUCUAGCUCUUGGUGUUGAUGAGUUCAUUACUUAUGUUAACUAUUAUUGUUGUGCCCACUUGUUCGACAAGAGACUAUAAAGUUAACUUAGAUACUCCAGUAUUUAUAUUAAUAUAGUAAGCACUGAGGUAGUCAUCAACCUUGAAUAUUACUCAUAUUUGUCAAAUAGGAGGUCAAGUUGGAUCUGUCUGGCGCAUCAUCUGAGGUCACAUAUGGUGUAUUGUCUAUUCUAAACCCAAUGAGUAUCGUAGAAUGACAUGUGCCUACGAGGAGGAAUGAGUCACUCUUUUGUGUCAAGGGGUGAUGCCAUGCCUAAUAAUUUGCAAUAAAAAAUUAACCACCUACAUCAAAAGUCUAACCCAAGACAGGGAAUAUGCGCCAUUGCAAUUUUACCUCACAAAGUCAUCGGUAUUUUGCAAUUGAAUGUUCCUCAUGUUGUGACUGAGAACACAAAACACAAAACACCCCACAAAACCCUAUUUACGUCUCUUUGAUGCAUAUUCUAGUGGAAGGGUAGUCAUAGCCAUAUGAGAAUAUUUUUCCACAAUAGAAUCUAUAAUGGUCUAGUGAGGCAAGGUGUAAAUGGAGAGUAUAAUAGGCGAACAUGGAAACAACCAACAUUGUGUUGUACUUGCAUCUAGUUGUAUAGUGAGAUAACAUGGAAACGAAGGAGGCUCAUAGGGCAACAUGAGAACACCCAACAUGUUGCUCUACUUACUUCCUAUUGGUACCAAGGGACUGAGACUCGACCAUGGUUAAUCAUAACACAUGGACAAGAUCUCUCAUACUAGUUGAAAAUAGAACGAAUCUUGUAUGAAAAUGCUAACCAAGUAUGAGUGUCCGUAACAUGCCAUCUCCUCCCUUUCUUGUUGUAUUUUCCUUCACCACCCCCCAUAGUACCCUGAUCAGCAGUAUUAAUUCGAUGUGCUUCACAUCUGAGUUAGAAUUGUGAUUGGGAAUAGUUGUAUCAUUAUUUAGGUAGACUUCUUCAAGGGGAAAUAAUGGACGUGUCUUAUCUAUUAUAGCCACAUUCCGGCUAGGAAUAAAAAAGUAGACAUAACAAGAUGAUUUGUUGAGAUUUGAGUCAACAAUUCAACAUACAUCAACUAUUCUACAUGUAAAUCAAAUCCUCAUCCUACAUCGGCAUUCGGCUUUAGUUGGACUACCACUUUAUGGACAAGCCGUGUGGUCCAUGUGGUCUACGUCGCAAAGGCCAGAGGACAAGGAGAAAAUAGUUGUCGAUGAUUGGUCAUUGAAGUUAUUUGUCAAGAAAUUUGUUUCCCGACAUGGUUCAUUUAAUUCAUUAUUUAGCAUUUGAUAUGUGUUCUAUGCUCUAAUGUGUAACCACCCGUAUCUAUUAUAUACAUAUAACAGAAGUCAAACAAGCCACCACGUUGAUCGACACAGAUUAAAUUAUCUCGGCCGUAAAUUAUAGAUAUUAACAGCCAAGAUUUAAAAGAUGUAGCGUUACAUAUAAAUAUUAUGACAUAUAUACAACCUGGCACAUCACGUUGUCACCAUGAGUAUGAGAUAAUAACUUGCGUUGGUGUUACCAUGUACGGCAAGCAAAAAAAAUGAACAAGCCGGCACCAACUAAAAAAGUUCCAAUUCAGAAAAACAAAACAGUUUGGACACUUUCUUUUUCCGCGUAAAGAAAAGAGUCCAGAUAGGAAAAGUUACAUCCAAAUAAACAAUUAGUGAGCACAUACACCUAGGAAUAGUUAUGUACAAAUAAAAAAUUGAUGAGCACAUACACCUAUCUAUCCUGCUUAGUUUUGCGCGUGUAAAAAAAACAUUAGCUAGCACGUACGAACAGCUUGAUCCAUAACCAAACAUGUAUAUUGCCGAGCGCUUAAAUACCAGUCCUACUAGGACAUGUGCAUGCAAGCUAAUGUUUUUUCUUAAAUCCGAUUAGGAGACAGACGUUCAUUGUCAAGCCCUAUUUUUAAAUGCCAAUCCUACUAGGACACCAUACGUAUGUUGUCACGUAUAGAAAAAUAAAAUAAGGUACAAAUUCUAUCAUUCAUGUAUAUCACCUGAUGGACUAUGGACGUACGCUACCCCAACAUUCUAUUAAAAAUGGCUAGCAUUUUUCUAAAAGGAGAAUAUGCAACCACCGUUGAGGAAAAUCAAGUAGCCAAACUAUCCCACAAAAAGUUCAUCUCAUAAUUUGGACGAAAAUAGAACGGUGGCAACUAAGCGACUGCAUCAACUAAAUCCCCAUGGUAAGUUCAUUAGGCCUCCAAGUGAUAAAGAAACGUGCAAUUAGCACUAUAUAGCAGUAAACGUUGCAAGCAAUAAAUCAUAUUAUCUAUUAUCAAAUGAGUCUUUUUUUUUGUUCUCUGCAACAAUAAGUGUCGUUUCGAUCCUGCCAAAAAUUAAAUAAGCCAAUUAAUACAACAACGGCAUGAUAAGAAGUGAUAAAGUAUGACAAAAAAAUCAGAGAAAAUAUUUUCUGAUAAUUUCAAACUAUUAGAAAAUACCUACAAAUGAUUGAAUAAUAUACAAAUUCCUUAGAGAUAACAUUUAUUUAUAGAUCUUCUCAAAUAUAAUCAGUGCUAAUGCAAGUAGAACAUAACACAUGAUUUACAUACAAGUCGUCAACUUUUACGUGGAAAAUCGUACAAAAUAUUUUUGAUCAUUAGUCUUUAAAUCCCCGUGUCGAUAAAAAAUAAGAAAAAACAUAUUAUGAAAAUAAAUCCAACUUGGUUACAAAAUUAGCGGUUGGAAUUAUAUUUCUAAAGCAAGCAAUAGUACUAUACGAUAUAUGAAGAAAAUAAAUUAGAGGGUAUAUUUCCAAUUGAUAGUAUGCAACAUGCAAUGAAACAUGAUGAAUGCCAAUAUAGCAUGUCUCAAUUGUAUCUAUAUUUUUGGUUGAAUGCACAAAUAUACGUGCAUGAUUUUCUCAUUCAUGAAAAAGAAAGAUAUGUAUAGAACAAAUACAAAAAAAGUGGCAUAUGGAACAUAACUCUGCAAGCAUUGAUAGGUUAACAUUAGCCGAAAUUGAUGGACAAGUGGUUGUCUGGGAAUAAAUGAAGUUUUUUAUGGUUCGAUUACAUGGCUUGCAUGGCACUAAGUGAGGAGAUUAUGCAAAUUUUGCCAGUGGACUACUUGAAAAUUCAAGAAUACCACAUGAAAGAAGCAAAACGAUGUUGCUGGUUCGAAAGUGAAGGUUGUAAGCAAAAACUCAUGCCAACUCCAUUACGUUAUUUUAAUGUGUAGAACAAUAUUUAAUAAUAUGGAAGAACAAGAGACUAAGGAUAGUGAGCGAAUGAGGAUGUUAGAAAUUUUAGACCAAGAUACAUCAGUGGUGACAUUUUCUUGCAUGGCCAAACUGUUUGUUGACCAACAGAUAAAGAAAAGUGAAAGAGAUAAAAUGAGAACCACGAAGGAUAAUAUACUGAUCACCAUGUCUUACUCAUCUAAUUAGACCAAGUUAUAACCAAGAACUUGCACUGGAUGACAAUAUUCUCCACUGAAGUCCAAUAGAGUUUUAUUUACAUAUACAUUACACUAGAAGAUGCUUUUAUAUUAUUAUAAGUACGCAGCUUAUGUAAGAAAAAUCUAAACUUAUAAAGUAUAAAUAAUAAAUAAAAUAUCUUAACAAAUCUACCCGCGCAAAUGCGCGGGUCACCCCACUAGUUUAUAUUAAUAUAGUUGGCGGUGAGGUAAUCCUUGACCUUGAAUAUUACAUACAUUUGUCAAAUAGGAGGCCAAGCUGGAACUGUCUGCAUCAUCUAUGGUCACAUAUGGUGUAUUGCCUAUUCUAAAUCCAAUGAGUAUUACAUUAUGGCAUGUGCCUGCGAGGAGGAACGAGUUACUCUUUUAUUUCAAGGGGAGACGGCAUGCCUAAUAAUUGUCAAUGAAAAAUUAAUAGCCUACAUCAGAAGUCUAACCCAAGAAAGUGAAUAUGUGCCAUUGUAAUUUUACGACACUAAGGUCAUGUUCUGAUCUCUUCCCGCUCCACGCUUCACAAAUUCCUGGAGCAGAUACGAGCCGAACGAAAUAGCAGCGAGAAGCUCGCUCCAGGAAGCUAGGAUCGACCGCAGUGCAAAAUCAUGAAGCAGACUCGGCCAGCUCCACCGAUCCGGAAAGCUGAAGUUGGACAAUAUUAAAAGUGAACUGCCACCACCAAGUCAUACGAGCCAAACCGGUAUGCUUGAUCUGUUUGAUCGCUCCUCGUUCCCUCGCUCGUGCUCCCUCACUGCUCCUCUACAGGGCCGAUUUGGGCUGCCUCCAAUCGGCCCAACUAGCCCGAACAAGCCACGACCCUUCUAGCUGGGCUGUAGUGCAGCGAGAAGUUGCAAACCGAGCCGAACAAAUUUUUCAUCGCUGCUUGGAGUGAGAAGCUACUCUGAAAAGGUUAAUUUCUGAAGUUAUGGGAAGCUAGAUGAGAUCAGAAUAGGACCUAAGUCAUCGGUAUUUCAUAAUUGAAUGUUCUGCAUGUCGUGACUUUUGAUGGUGUAAACCCAAAUAAUCGCCAUUGUGAAAUUAAAUUCCUCCCGUGAGUCGAACCCACAUCCGUAAAGAUGUGCCACUACAAUCCACCUCAUGGCUAUCUUGGAGUCCUUAAUAUAAUCAACUGUGCCCAAUAUGGUGACUUAAUAUGUACUUAUUGACCCUAGGAUGCUAAUCGCCUCCAUCAAGACACAUUCCUGGUUCUCCUAUAACUAGAUUCCCCGAAACCACGAGAAUACUUAGAAUUGGAUUACAACUUAGCACCUUUUGUUUUCACAUAGUAAGAAGAGUUGCUCCUUGGAUAGCAAGGUACGAUCAAAGUUGUAACCUGUGUUCCGGAGGGAGUUAUUUUCUCGAAUCUUUGUUCUCAACUAUUCCAAUUCCAGCAAACAGAGGCCAUUGGGUCAAAGCUGUAGCGCACGCCCUGUAGUUUUCAAGUGGGGCGAGACAACUUUAGCUAAGGAACCUAUUUUCAUUCUGACCAGCUCCCUGAAAACAAUGUUCGACUACAUGUGCAGUCGGUGUAGAUGUGUCAUUGCAAUUCCACCACUAGGAUAUCACCAAGUCCUAUGUAUUACAUGACAACAUAUGCCACCAUAUGGUGACUUGAUAAAUUAAAUGGAUUUCACCAAGCUUUUGUGUUACAGUUAUAGUGAAGAUAGUGACUCACAUGUUAGCCUCCCCGACGGGAAGCAAAAUCACUCUGACUUUGGCAACCUAAUUUUUGGUGGAUUCAAGCAAACAUGUUGGAUUUGUAUUUUAUUUAUUUCAACAUAUAUAAUUAAAAUAAAUAAAUCAACUCAUAAUCGGAUUCUUGGAGACAUCCAUGUCAAUAAUGUGAAAUUAUGGGAAAUCUUAUUAUGUGCAUCAACAUAAGCCUAAACUCGUGGCUUAAGAGAUAUGUGUACAAUCUUCCAAUGGUUAUGCCCCCCUACUAGAUUCAUGAUGUUAACCAGUUCCCAUAAGUUGAGAAAGAACUUUAGUCAUGGGAUCAAUGUCCAGUGCAUCAUAUUUCCAGUUCCCAAAAAAAAUUAUUAUGGAAGUUGAGAAAGAAGAUUGGGCAACAUAUUUCUAGACACCUAUCAUGUCUAGGAUCGUAUCAAGCCUAGGUAAGCUUAGUCAUAGGAUCAAUGCAGGCUAUUAGUACACUGACCCGGUUCUUUUUUUUGCGAGAAAAUUUCCGAUCUAUUCAUCUUCAAUCAUGGCAGUACAACGAAUACCAGAAAUAAUAGAAGUUACAUCCAGAUCCGUAGACCACCUAGCGACAACUAUCAGCACUGAAGCGAGCCAAAGGCGCGCCGUCGUCAUCGCCCCUCCAUAGCCGGAGUCGGGCACAAGUUGUUGUAGUAGACAGUUGGGAAGUCGUCGUGCUAAGGCCCCAUAGGACCAGCGCACCAAAACAGCAACCGCCGCAGAUGAAGAAUAAUGUAGAUCACAACAAUCCAAUCCGAAGACACACGAAUGUAGAUGAACAACGACGAAAUCCGAGCAAAUCCACCAAAAAUAGAUCCGCCGGAGACACACCUCCACACACCCGCCAACGAUACUAGACGCAUCACCGGAAGGGGGGCUAGGCGGGGAGACCUUUAUUCCAUCUUCAGGGAGCCGCUGUCGUCUCGUCUUCCUCAGCAGGACACAAACCCUAGCAAAACUGAAAGAAACGAUUAAAAACGGAGUCCUUCCGCCGACCCUUGCCGAGACCCACUGGGCCACCAUGGCCCUAAGGCCAUCGGAGAGGAGGCGGACCUGCGACGGCGGCGGCGGGAGGCAAAAACCCUAGCUUUUUGUGGAGGAGAAGGAGGAGGCGGCGGCUACAAAGGAUCCACUGACCCGGUUCUUAACUCAAGUCCUCCUUGCUUGAUACAAUAUUGAAUGGAAAGUAUAUAAUCCAUUUACUUAAGUGGGUGAACAAUGUUGGCUAGUAUAUUUCAACACUCACCUCACAUGCAUCUUUUAGGGGCAUAUAAUGCAUCGUUAUGGAAACAUUUUUUUCUAGACUAAAUUCCAAUGGAAAAUUUUAAUUAAUUUAAUUAGUAGCAAUCUCGUAUGGCAAGGAUAUAUGGCAAAUGAAAAUGAGGGCCCAAAUGCUACUUGUUGGCACACAAAAAUCAAGUUGUAUUUUUCCUCCCAUGUUGAUCCUCCGUGGUUCGACAUUGGGCAUUACAAAGAGAUCAAGUUAUCUUUACACACUGCUAGUGCUACCAGACCCUGGAUGUUCCACAAUGAAUGUCCAUAUGGUGCAAUGAAUGAUAGCAAGGUAUAUUAGAACAUAUAGUUUACACCUUUAAAGUAAUUAAAUGGGCUAUUUUGCCUACUAUGAAAAAUAGUAUUUUAAGAGAAAACUAUGUAAGAGUUUUUGAUCUUUGUAUGUAAAAGCAUUAUUUGCCUUUGCUUGGUGUUAAUGCAGUUUGAUUUAUGGUAAAAAUGGAAAAUCAUGGGACAAUAAUUGUUGAUAUUCUUUGCGGUAAAGCGAGAUAUUUUCACUUUUCAGAUCACCCAAAAUAUUGUUUUUCUUAUAGGGGUGAUAUACAGUGUUCUAAAUCUGCACUUGUGAUGCGUUGUCCAUUUAAAUUUGGUUUCUUCCAUAGAUUAUGUUGGUUUGUUGCUGUAUUUAUAUCAGCACUGAAGUAUACUGAUGUUGCUAAGUCCAAUCAAAGGCCCAUGUUUUUAUCAUGUUAUACAAAUUAGUAAGCUAAGAUCUUACCAAACUCAAGUUACAUAAGCCCAGACUACGUGAAAUACACAUCAUGCAGUACACAUGUUCAUCUUAGUGUUAUGUUAUACUUGGCUCCGAGAUAACAAAUGGUAUCAAUUAUUACUAUCUUUUGCAGCUUGUUUCUGCCUGUUCAUCCUAGAAUUAUGUUAUGUGGUCUCCCAAGGUUCAUGCAACUUGGAUUUUCAUACUUUGGUAGUAUUAGUGUUCACUAGGACUAGGUGCCACUCUGUAGAAGCUGAGGAUACAGAUGGAGAAAGCAGUCAUGGUUUUUUUUUUCAAAAUGUUGGUUUAUAUGUAUAAGAGGUUUAUGAAUUUUCAGUGUAUAGUGUUGUGAAACGUAGAGUGUUUUAUCUCAUUUAACAUUGAACUACGCUUGCAAGGAAAAACCUUCAUUUGGCAUCGAACUAUGCAUGCAGGGCAAACACUCCGUGCAUCGGUGCCACCGCGCCGCGAACCCUGGGAGCUUGAACCUGGAUGGGUGUGAACUUAUGAUUGAUGUCAAGGUUAGGGGUCAGUCAUGGAUAGAGAAUAAAGGCGACUUUGCGAAACUGUUAUUAAUAAUAUGGAUGAACAUUGCCUUGUGGAGAGAAUAAGAUAUUUCCAGAGAUAUUUAUAAAUGGAUGCAUACUUGCAAUAGCAGUACAAAAUAUGAUGCUGACAUUUUAUUUUCAUUGUUGUUCCCAUUAAACUUCUGGUGGUGGCUCCAUUAUUCACAGCCUCGCACAUGAAAUGUUAUUUCGUUCGAGUAAAUGUUGCGUGUCGUUGCUCCUGUAGUUUUGCGGUUUGCAUCUCCUUGUAACUUGUGAGUUGGAUUUUGGGAAGUUGCAAUGCAAAUUUGGGAUGCAGGGAAGAUAAUAAACAAUGCUUUUUAAGAGCAUUGGAUAUUGGAGACGACUCAGAAAGAACGCAUGCAAAUGCAAGAUGCAAGACGUAGUAGCCACAUGUCCAGGUUUAUUAAGAGCAUCUACACCGGACGCCUCGUAUCUGCCACAAUCGCCAGGGCGUGCUGCCCGGUCAGUACUAGGAUGCAAAAUUGCCACCCAACAGGACCUGUCAAAUCCGGCCCAAACAUCUAGACACGACCGCACUCCCCAUACUCAGCCCAUAUCUCGGACGGAUAUGUGGAAGCCCAGAGGUGCCCGGAGACACCCGCCUGGUAGGAUCCGGCCGACUGCGGCCCACCCGACCCCACAUAAAUUGGACCCUAUCCGCACUCCGAGCGAAACCCAAGCCACAUUCGACUCCACUCUACUCCUCGCCAGGCCACUCCCCUCCACCCACAAGCUCCAUUUGCGGAUCUCCCACCAUUUCGAGCCGUUGAACCGUAGAUCGUCCCACGCGGCCUCAAGGAGGAAAUGGUCGACUGCCUUGCGCUUCUCCACUACCUGAGGAGUCCGCCCGGCAGCGGUCGAAAUCCAUCUGGCGGUAAUCCAUUGCGCCUUCCACAAUGGCGCAUGGAUCCCGCCCAAGGGCAGUCGCCGCUGCCUCAGCAGAGGCAGUGCAGUCCGUCUGGUGUCCGAACGCCAUGGAGGAUACGCAACCACUUUGUUGGUGCAACAGAAAGAGAUGCACACCCGCUUAACGUCUGAUACAAAUAUGGUGUGGUGCAUCCAUCGUGUUAGGCAAUGGGCACGGGAGCCCAUGGCUUCCCUCGUGCUAGACGCCAGUGGGGCAGACUCGCACUCUUCGGUGCCUCGUAUCGUGCCCGGCAGCCCUUGGCACCGAAAUCAUGUCGUGUUGGACGCAGCCGGCUCCACCAUGAUGGAUCAAUCAUCGACCUGGCAUCCACUGACGACAGGCAGGGCACGGGCUCCGACGAGAAAGAGUAGGCCAUGGGAGAUGGCGCCGACUCGAGUUUCUUUUGUCGGGUCAUGUCCCAUGUCCUACUCUACCUCACCGGAGAACGACCCUCCACUUCGACAGGCUAAGAAAGCCAACGGACAUGGACAGGGUCGGAACAACAAGGAUAAUCGCUGGCGCAAAUUUAGACUACAGCCGUCGAUGCGAGGUGAGCGCGGCACGAGUUAAUCGCUGAAGAGGUUGGGCCAUUCUGUCGCUCCUGGUCGUGUAGUUGCCGACAUAUUCCUCCAUGACCACUAGAUCGACGCCGCCGCCACUACAUGUCUAGGCGUCUCUGUUGUGGCUGAUGUCAUUUAAGUGUAUUUUCUUUGUAUUGUGAUGAUUGCAGACUGUGUUGCGUAUUGUGGCAUAUUUUCUUUGUAUUGUGAUGAUUGCAUACUGUACAAUGUAUUGUGGCAUAUUUUUUGUGGUCUAUUUUUAAAAAGGAAACUAUAAAUAGCUAAAAGUGAUGUGCAGAAUAAAUUUGUAUCCGCCACUACAAAACAAAUGCCAGUACUGGCACAUAUUUUUGCCCGCCAUUAAUAGCAAUGCCCGCCACUGCUAGAAGAUUGAGGUCGAUGGCGGGCUGUUUGUAACGCCCGCCACUAUUAUAGUCAUCUGUGGCAGGUGGAGCGCCCGCCACUAAUGCCAUGUUGCUAGGCUUUUGAUGCCGCCACUGCUACGCAUUCCUGUGGUAGUGUGCAAUUGCGUAUCUAGUAGAAUAUAUACAACGAUCCUCCCAACAAGCAGUUUCGUCCUACGAUGAAGUUAUAUCGCGCUGAAGACAUUCAUUUAUAAUCAAAAGGGACGUUGCAGUUGCAUAUCAAGUAGGACAUAUUUAACUGCCUAAUGACAAAACACUUUGUUUCCUAAGUUACUGUCGCCUUGGAGACAUGUAUUAGCGAGACGACACCACCUGUAGUUGCAUGUUUGGAGUUAUACAUGCAACUAGCUCCACAAUAAUAAUCUGAAUUUUAAGUUUUAAUGAAUUUUAAAUUAAAGAAAAAAGGAAAAGAUGAAGAUAUAAAAACAGAAAUAGAGAAAACAAACAAAAGGAAAAAUCCUAAAAAAGGCAAAAACAAAGAAAGGAAAAACCUGUUUGAAGUUUCUAGAAGCUACAUAAAACAAGUAGAAAGAGUCCAACAUGGGCCAGCCCACUCAGCAUGUAAAAAGAGCCAGGCGAGGCAUAUGUCGACUAGAUCAGAGUUGGGGAAUCCUAUUCCGCGCAUAGGUCGCUACGUAGCGACCUAUCACGUACCCCUCGGGUUUGUGGUCCUCUUCGAGUCGGUCCAUUCCAGGUUCUUCCCCAUACCGGGUUUUAGGAAGGUCUAGACCUUUUUUCUAUUUUCCUUGUUUUCUUCUAGUUUUUUCUUUCUUUUAUAUUUUAUAUAUUACUUCUUAUUUUCUUUUAUUUGAACUUUUCCUUUUUGGUGUUGCCGACAUAUUUUCAAAUUCGUAAACAUUUAUUGAAAUCAAGAACAGGUUUUGAGUUGACAAACAUAUAUCUGAAAUAAUGAAUAUUUUCUAAUUUGACAAUACAUUUUGGAUUCACAAAAUAAAAAAAAACUUUUGAGAACAUUUUUUUGAAAAUUCUGAACAUUUUUGUCAAUCGGCCGACAUUUUUUGAAUCGAUGAACAUUUCUAUGAAUUGACAUAAGUUUUUUGAAUUGGCAAACAUUUUUUGAAUCGAUGACCAUUUUUUGAAUCAAUGAAUAUUUUUUACAUGAAUGAACAUUUUUUGAAAUUCACAAUAAAAAAUUUAUGAACAUUUUAAAAACUUGUUGAAUAGUGCUUGUAUCCCAACUUCCGUCCUGAUUAAUUAAAUACAGUGGUGAUACCCAUCAAAAGAAAAUAGCUACGGUUGGCACAAAAAUUACUGCAAAUUAAUCAUGUGAUGAAAGACUUAGACGUGACAUAGUUUUUUUAUGGACCCUGAUAAGUGCCACACGUCAGGGACGUUCUCAUGACAACUUUGAACAUUUUUUAUGACAAGUUUAGUUGCACGAUGAUGGCAAAUUUAAUUGAAAAGCCUGAAAACUUUCGUGCGUUAUUUUAUUUUCAUAUAAACUUGUCGUGUGUCACUGAAAUUUGCCAUCCUUGGAUGACAAUAAUUGCCAUCAAAAAAGUCAGACCCAAAGUGCCAAGCACCUAAGACCUAUCAUUUGGAUACAUUAUACCUAAGAUAUUAUUUACCAAAACCAUAGCUGAGACAUUUUCCCCAAUGCAGGCGGGGCCGAUGAAAAGUCGAACCCCUUGCCAACCUACUCAAAAGGUGUACACGGUCUCCCUCCGUCCCGAAAUACUUGUCGGAGAAAUGGAUAUAUCUAGAUGUACUUUAGUUUUAGAUACAUCCAUUUUUAUGCAUUUCUACGACAAGUAUUUCCGGACGGAAGGAGUAGUAAGUAUAUAUUUGUUUCUAAAUAUAAGAAAAAUUACUAUUAAAUACUACUAUACCAAAGAUAUAAGAACAUUAAAUACUAGUAUACCAAAGAUAUNNNNNNNNNNNNNNNNNNNNNNNNNNNNNNNNNNNNNNNNNNNNNNNNNNNNNNNNNNNNNNNNNNNNNNNNNNNNNNNNNNNNNNNNNNNNNNNNNNNNNNNNNNNNNNNNNNNNNNNNNNNNNNNNNNNNNNNNNNNNNNNNNNNNNNNNNNNNNNNNNNNNNNNNNNNNNNNNNNNNNNNNNNNNNNNNNNNNNNNNNNNNNNNNNNNNNNNNNNNNNNNNNNNNNNNNNNNNNNNNNNNNNNNNNNNNNNNNNNNNNNNNNNNNNNNNNNNNNNNNNNNNNNNNNNNNNNNNNNNNNNNNNNNNNNNNNNCAAAAUGAAUAAAAGAGGAUGUAUCUAGAUGUAUUUUAGUUCUAGAUACAUCCCUUCCUAUCUGUUUUGAUCACAAGUAUUUUUGGAUGAAGGGAGUAUUAAAUACUAUCACAGCUAUUCUUAUAUUUAGUAACAGAGAUAAUAGUAUUUAAUAGUAGUAUAUCACUGCUCCUAAAUACUCCCUCCGUCCCAAAAUUCUUGUCUUACAUUUGUCUAGAUACGGAUGUAUCUAACAAUAAAAUGUAACUAGAUACAUUUGUAUUUAGAAAAAUCGAAGACAAGAAUUUGGGCACGGUGGGAGUAUAAGAAUAUUACUAGUAAAUACUAGUAUGCCAAAUAUAUAUAUAAUACUAUACAAAAAUAUAAGAAUAUUUAAUAGAAAUAUACCAAAGAUAUGCUACUAUUAAAUGUUGGUAUUAAAUAAAUAAAUCUGUAGUUCAACACGCGGUCCCCACCUUGGCCCGUGCCUUCCGUUUCAGUUCAUAAAGGGCAACACAUGCUUCUGCUCCUCGCUUACAUUCUUCUCAUCCCGCUCUCAUCGACCAACUCUGCGUGUCUGCUCGACCGAUCCACCGCAAUGUCUAGCUUCGGCGUCAAUGCCAUACCCGCAACCAACCAUGAGGACCAGAGCCUGGCAGCCCCCGCUCCGCCCCCUGCGGCCGCGAUCGCCCAGGGGAAAGGGAAGGUGCUUGCGCAACAGGUGCUUGCGCCAGUGGUUCACAAGCGCAAGCCCGGGAGACCCCAGGAGAAAAGCCCGCCCCCAGCGGCCACCAGAGAGGAGCUGGAAUCCCGGGAGUCCCGGGAAGGCCCCUUGAAGGUGCUUGCGCUCCCGGCGCCAGGGGCCCCGUGUACUCACGCUGUCUCUGGCGACAAGAUGAUGAGACGCGCUCGCGCCCCCACCCGGCAUGCCAACGUUGUCUCCGACGACAAGAUCCGCGUUCGCGCCCCCACCCUGCAUGCAAACCGUGUCUCCGAUGACAAGAUGGUGAGCCGCACUUGCUUUCCCCUGUCCUACUAGUGAUUUGAAGUUAACCGGUGCCUAAUGAUUUGAAGUUACUGGCAAUCUUUAAUUUAGUCAUGUGAAUUGUACUAGUGCUUACUGAAUUACCUGAUGUGUAUGUGCAUGAACUACGUGGUGUGUAUAUGUCCUUGGAUUUUCUAAUCACUGCGGUCUAUCUGGCAUAUGGACAAGAACGAGAUGGCGAGCCGCGCUCGCGCCCCCACACGGCAUGCAAGCGCUGUAUCCGACGACAAGAUGGUGAGCCGCGCUCGCUGCUCCCCUUCUGCUACUAGUGAUUUGAAGUUAACCAGUGCCUAAUGACCUGGAGUUAUUGAUAAUCUUUAAUCUAGUCAUUUGAAUUACUAGUACUAGUGCUUAAUUUACUACCUGAUGUGUAUGUUCAAGAAUUACGUGAUGGGUAUAUGUCCUUGGACUUUCUAAUCGCUACGGUCUCAUCUGGCAGAUGGACAGGGACGAGAUGGCGCCGGACCAGGGGGUGCCACGCAUGCGGGGGAGCAUCGCGUCGUCAAGUGCGGUUGGUAAGUAUACUUUAUGCUGCUUUUUUUGUCAGUAUCGUCUCCAUGCAGGCUACACUGGCAAACAAGCAGCUUAGCUCUUGUGCAUGCUGUUUUUUUGUCAUCACUAGGGGCGUGUUUUGUUGCCGUGUGCUAUAGUACCUGCGUUGCAUACCAAUGGCGGAGCUAGCAUUUGACAUCAGGGUGGUCUGACCCCCGAAAAAAAAUUAACAAGAAAUAUGACAUCUGGGCAUUCUAAAUACUUACCAAUAUGACACAAGUUCUCCAGCUUGCUCUUCGGCCACAUCUCACAUAUUCAUUGCCUUCUUCUUCUUCCCUAUCUUCAUAGCUUCUCUUUGAAAAGAGAAACAAUGUCUCCGGUCCUCUUCACUCUUCAAAAAUUCUGCAAUAAAAUUUAGUUUCUAUCAAUAAAGCUAAUUGAGGCAGAAAUGAUAUGCAAAAUUAUGUAUGUGUUCAUCAAUUCAUGAUAGUGUAGUGCAAAAAAGCAAACCCUAAGUCAAAAAAUAUGGGGUUUCAGUACCUUAAAUUUGAUUUGCACAUUUGCUGCGAAUCUGUGAUGCUACCGCUGGACGGCUGGAGACUUGCUGGUGAGCGGCACCUUCAACGGUCGUCGGCUUUGCAGGGAGGGCCGAGGGGGCGCAGGCAGUGGGCGGGCGGGCGGCAGGGCCAGGCGGCCACGGCUCCUGCUGGUCAAGGGGCGCGGGCGAGCGGUGGAGCCAGAGACGUCCAUGAGCGCCGGGGGGGGGGAGGGGAGGCGGCCGGCGAGGAACGGCAGCGCAGCGGCGGUGAGGCGUGAGGCGAGGGCUUCGGGGCGUCCUCUCCUCUGCCUCGAUGUGGAAUGAGCAAAGUUUCAAAUCGCGGGCGAAAUUGGCGCUAUUGCUGCUCUAUCGCGGCUGGAGAGGCUUCCUGCUAUGCUAUGUCAAAUUUUCCGCAAUUUGCCGCUACCGCCGCGAUCGCCGCGUGAAACAGCAAUAAGUGGCUUAGCUGUCACUGCAGUUUCGCUGGAAUGGCUGAGAUCGAUUUUAACAGGCUGAAACAGAGGCCCAGAACAAAUCGUAGCCCAAAUUUCCUCUGAUAGAGCAGCCUGUCCAGAAACCUUAUCUUCAUUAAAUCCUCUCGCUCCCAUCUAAAAAACUUGCGGCGGCUGCGGCUAGGCGGGCCGGCGUCUGCUUCGCAGCAAGCCGGAGUCAGCGACGAGCGAGGCGGCGACCAGGACUCCGACAGGAGGCUGCAUACUCCGUAGCUCUAGUACUCUGUCUGUUUGCUGUUAUUGAUCCAUCCUAGUCCGUUUGCUGAUUUAGUACGGAUGUUGUCUUUUUAUUUGCGGGGAGGAUAUUGACUUAUUUAUGACUGAAUUUAUACUGCCAAUCCUCUGUUUUCUGCUGAAAAUCCUCUGUUUUUUAGACAAAAAACAUGCAUAUGUACUUUUGCCGCUAAAUACCUUAGCGGCCGCUAUCGCCCGCUAUAGCGGCCCUAGCGUUUUGAUGAGCCAGCCGCGAAAUGCUUUUGCCCGUGAUCUUAAAGUUUGGGAACGAGGGGUCGUGGCCUCGUGGGCUAUGGCUGAACGACAGAAUGAGGGCUGGCAGUGUAUAUUGGGCCAUCUGUUUUUUUGGCCCAGUUAAAUACCCAUGGUAGGCUGCUCCAAAAUCCCAGGGUGGGCCGCGGCCCACCCUGGCCACCCUGUAGCUCCGUCCAUGUUGCAUACCCUUCUCCACUCAGUCUGGCUCUGAAAAAACAGCCUCAUAUGCAACAUCUGCGAGUUGUUUGGUUGCCUGCAUGUCCUCUUACCUGCAUGGGCUGAACCACACUGCCUGAUGUUUGAUUGCCCGCAUGUUAGUGGACAAACCCAAGGCAAGGUGUUUGGUUGUAUGCAACGCCUGGUGCGUGGUAACCUCUUUGGCUAGUUGGUGCGGUUACCAGCACACUUCGGCACAACCAUGUAUAGCACACAUCAUAAGCAGAGCAGAGUAUAAACAGAGCAUCAACUACUUAACAGCAUAAUUCAGAUAAGCAGUACCACACUUCAUAACAGUUCAACGCCUAAACCCUAAACAGUUCAAAGCAGACUCCUUGGCGGCGAAGGCUUCAUCGUGCUUCCCGCAAUUGCUGACGACCACAAUGCGAUCCUCGUUGAAGAUGGUGACCUUGAGGGUGUAGGGAGUGAGGAGCUUGAACGUCACCAUGUAGUCGAUCUUGAUCUGAUGAACGGCUGCGUGGGUGUCCCAACCCUGAUCCAGGGUCACCCUGUCGUUCACCAGCUUCACCGUCACCUUCAAGGACCAGCCGGUGUUUUUCCUGAGCUUAAACUCUGUCGGCACCGCAACGAAGUGCAUGGUGAAGUCCAGGGGCAUGGGGAUGCACUCAAGCUUCGGUGCAAGGAUGACGUUGCAGAAGUGAGUCGGGCCAUCCUCCUGAUGGUAGUGGUCGUAGUUGCGGCGCUUGUUGCUGGGGGGCACCUCCAUGCCCUCGUCGUCGCCACCCUCAAGCGUCUUCGGGUCUUCCUCGGCAGUGGGCGGCAGCACAACCUCGUCGGGCAUUGGGUGAAGGGGCUGCUUGCCCCUGUUCUCAACAGCCGGGAGCACCUCAUUGCUCUCCUCGAUCUGCACACAAUUCAUGGAUUCAGGCACAACACAGAGUUCAUGGCUUAUUGAAGAGCAUGCAGUUAAAACGGCAUGACUGUCACUCUUCUCCUCCUCUCCAUCGCCCCUAUAUUUACUCACCCUGCCCAACACUACUUACCCACCCCCUCUCUUCUCUCACUGUCACCUUCCUCCUCCCCAUCGCCAUGAGCUCUAGCUCCAGCUCGGAUGCCAACCCCUUCCCUUGGGGUAUUGGCGGGACAGCCUUCUUCCUAGGGUGGUCGAUUGGUGACCGCACCAAGUUCGAGAACACCAUGGAGGUGUGCUCGAACUUCGGCUCCAUGCCUGACAUGCAGAAGGAAUCUAAUGCAGUGCUCAUGAAGGCCACUGCAGAAGAGCUGAAGACGCCGAUUCCUGACCCAGCGAAGGGCGCGAUGGAAGUUGAUAUCAUUCGCGGGGCCAUGAAUUUGGCCGUCUCCGACGACGCUAAACAGAGAAAGAAGUGGUGCAGGUACAAGAACUAUUGGGCCCCUAAUGACCGCCAUGCCGCAGUGUACUGGGAGACGGCUAUCGCGCCUCCGGCGGUCAUCGGUGGGGAGCCUAAGAAGGAGGACAAGGAGGAAGAACCGGUGCAGAUGCCGGCAAGGGAGCCGGAGCCAGGUUGUCGUACCUGGAAGAUCGACCUCGACUCCUCCUAGGACGCCGACGACGACGACGUGCCACCCCGCACGACGAUGAAGAAGAAGAUGAAGGCCAGCCAGUCCACCCGCCGCUCCGCACGCCGGUGAUGGCGGCCGCGGUUAUGUACCCCCAAUCCCCCAAUCCCCCUUCUACUAUGUGCUACUAUUCGGAUCUACCUCUAUUCCGAUCCUGGAGGAACUACUAUGAACUCCUAGGUACUUGUAUGAACUAGUAUGCUUAUCUACCUCUAUUCCCCAUUCCCCUCUGCGCCGUGGAUCGAAUCUACCACCGGAUCAAACGCGAAAAAUUAGUGUGUGAUGAACAGAGAAGUUCUUACCGCCAUUGUCGCUGCCCAGGCGAUCCGCUCGCCUGUGAUGGAGUCCGGUGGUCUUCUUACUUUGCUCCGAUCCGCCGCCACCGAUGAGAGUUGCGAGAGUAGGGAGAGUGGGGAGAGGGAGCGGUGAGGGGCAGUGAGGCUAAUAACAGUCGGCGCUUCGGGAAGCAACGCAGCUUCUCGAGCAUGGCCGCGCGCGUGCAACCACCGCCGCCCACAUGCACCGCUCGGGCCUGGCCCUAGAGAAACUGCCGAUUCGGGCGUUUCCAGCGAGCCAGGCCUAGGACUGUUUUAAGGUCCGUGCCAUGCGGGCCGAAUAGUGAAAGCAGGCAACCAAACAGGCCGGAUUCUUCCCGCGCGGGCCUGGUUGGGCCUCAUGCAGGCAACCAAACACGCCCUAGUAUACUGAUAUUGGACUGAAGCUUGUUAGCUCUGUCCAUGCUGGGCCUUUUUGUCAUCAUUAGUAUUGUUAUAUAUUAGCUGAAGCUGCACAUGUUUUCUUUCCGUUGACGUUGGUGCGGGCGGUGCUACGCGUCAGUCGGCCGAUGGAUGGCCGCCUUACUCACCUGAUUUUAAUCAAGUCCGACCUAGCUGUAGUUUGUUUUGUCACUAGCUGCGUAUACAUAGGCGAGCUCCAGCACUGUGUUGCAGCGUGGAAAACAUAUGAACUCUAAUAAGAAACAUACAAUGGUUAGAAACAUAUCCACAUCUUUUUUUGGGCACGUUUUAGGUGUCAACGAAAUUAGUCGGAUCGCCAGCAGUCGAAUUGACACAUGGAGCAUUGGAUCACACUACACGGCAGCAGAGAGAAUGCAAACUGUGUUUCUCCAUAGCCUCCACAAUACAUGUGUAUCCGCCACACCUUCCCCAUCGUCGCAACAGACAAUUACGUCGGCCCCUCGCAACACCUUGCUUCGGUACCCUGGAGAUCCCUGAUGUUGCUUAGCUAUCCUGCAAGUACCCUAGAGACCCAAAGUGCCAAGCACCUGAGACCUAUCAUUUGGAUACUUUAUACCUAAGAUAUUAUUUACCAAAACCAUACCUGAGACAUUUUCCCCAAUGCAGGCGGGGCCGAUGAAAAGUCGAACCCCUUGCCAACCUACUCAAAAGGUGUACACGGUCUCCCUCCGUCCCGAAAUACUUGUCGGAGAAAUGGAUAUAUCUAGAUGUAUUUUAGUUUUAGAUACAUCCAUUUUUAUGCAUUUGUACGGCAAGUAUUUCCGGACGGAAGGAGUAGUAACUAUAUAUUUGUUUCUAAAUAUAAGAAAAAUUACUAUUAAAUACUACUAUACCAAAGAUAUAAGAUCAUUAAAUACUAGUAUAUCAAAGAUAUACCUAAAUAUAAGAAUAUUUAAUAGUAGUAUACCGAAGAUAUUCUACAGUUAAAUUCUAUUAACUCUGUUCCAAAAUAUAAGAAUAUUACUAUAAAAUACUAUUAGCUGUAUUCAAAUAAUUAGUAAUAGAAAUAAUAUUCUUUAGUAGUGAUAUAUCUUUAUUCAUCAUUAAAUAUAAGAAUAUUACUAGUAUUAAAUACUAGAAUCCCAAAGAUAUAUCUACUAGUAUACCAAAGAUAUACAACAAUCAAUAUUACCUCUGUUCCAAAAUAUAAGACUGUUACUGCUACCUCCGUCUGAAAAUAUUUGUAGUCAAAAUGAAUAAAAGAGGAUGUAUCUAGAUGUAUUUUAGUUCUAGAUACAUCCCUUUCUAUCUGUUUUGAUCACAAGUAUUUUUGGAUGAAGGGAGUAUUAAAUACUAUCACAGCUAUUCUUAUAUUUAGUAACAGAGAUAAUAGUAUUUAAUAGUAGUAUAUCAUUGUUCCUAAAUACUCCCUCCGUCCCAAAAUUCUUGUCUUACAUUUGUCUAGAUACGGAUGUAUCUAACACUGAAAUGUAACUAGAUACAUUUGCAUUUAGAAAAAUCGAAGAAAAGAAUUUGGGGACCGUGGGAGUAUAAGAAUAUUACUAUUAAAUACUAGUAUGCCAAAUAUAUAUUUAAUACUAUACCAAAAUAUAAGAAUAUUUAAUAGAAAUAUACCAAAAAUAUGCUACUAUUAAAUGCUGGUAUUAAAUAAAUAAAUCUGUAGUUCAACACGCGGUCCCCACCUUGGCCCGUGCCUUUUGUUUCAGUUCAUAAAGGACGACACAUGCUUCUGCUCCUCGCUCACAUUCUACUCAUCCCGCUCUCAUUGACCAACUCUGCGUGUCUGCUCGACCGAUCCACCGCAAUGUCUAGCUCCGGCGUCAAUGCCAUACCCGCAACCAACCAUGAGGAGCAGAGCCUGGCGGCCCCCGCUCCGCCCCCUGCGGCCGCGAUCGCCCAGGGGAAAGGGAAGGUGCUUGUGCAACAGGUGCCUGCGCCAGUGGUUCACAGGCGCAAGCCCGGGAGACCCCAGGAGACAAGCCCGCCCCCAGCGGCCACCAGAGAGGAGCUGGAAUCCCGGGAGUCCCGGGAAGGCCCCUUGAAGGUGCUUGCGCUCCCGGCGCCAGGGGCCCCGCGUACUCACGCUGUCUCUGGCGACAAGAUGAUGAGACGCGCUCGCGCCCCCACCCGGCAUGCCAACGUUGUCUCCGACGACAAGAUGGUGAGCCGCGUUCGCGCCUCCACCCUGCAUGCAAACCGUGUCUCCGAUGACAAGAUGGUGAGCCGCACUUGCUUUCCCCUCUCCUACAAGUGAUUUGAAGUUAACCGGUGCCUAAUGAUUUGAAGUUACUGGCAAUCUUUAAUUUAGUCAUGUGAAUUGUACUAGUGCUUACUGAAUUACCUGAUGUGUAUGUGCAUGAACUACGUGGUGUGUAUAUGUCCUUGGAUUUUCUAAUCGCUGUGGUCUAUCUGGCAUAUGGACAAGAACGACAUGGCGAGCCGCGCUCGCGCCCCCACACGGCGUGCAAGCGCUGUAUCCGACAACAAGAUGGUGAGCCGCGCUCGCUGCUCCCACUCUGCUACUAGUGAUUUGAAGUUAACCAGUGCCUAAUGACCUGGAGUUAUUGAUAAUCUUUAAUCUAGUCAUUUGAAUUACUAGUACUAGUGCUUAAUUUACUACCUGAUGUGUAUGUUCAAGAAUUACGUGAUGGGUAUAUGUCCUUGGACUUUCUAAUCGCUACGGUCUCAUCUGGCAGAUCGACAGGGACGAGAUGGCGCCGGACCAGGGGGUGCCACGCAUGCGGGGGAGCAUCGCGUCGUCAAGUGCGGUUGGUAAGUAUACUUUAUGCUGCUUUUUUUGUCAGCAUCGUCUCCAUGCAGGCUACACUGGCAAACAAGCAGCUUAGCUCUUGUGCAUGCUGUUUUUUUGUCAUCACUAGGGGCGUGUUUUGUUGCCGUGUGCUAUAGUACCUGCGUUGCAUACCAGUGGCGGAGCUAGCAUUUGACAUCAGGGUGGUCCGACCCCCGAAAAAAAAUUAACAAGAAAUAUGACAUCUGGGCAUUCUAAAUACUUACCAAUAUGACACAAGUUCUCCAGCUUGCUCUUCGGCCACAUCUCACAUAUUCAUUGCCUUCUUCUUCUUCCCUAUCUUCAUAGCUUCUCUUUGAAAAGAGAAACAAUGUCUCCGGUCCUCUUCAUUCUUCAAAAAUUCUGCAAUAAAAUUUAGUUUCUAUCAAUAAAGCUAAUUGAGGCAGAAAUGAUAUGCAAAAUUAUGUAUGUGUUCAUCAAUUCAUGAUAGUGUAGUGCAAAAAAGCAAACCCUAAGUCAAAAAAUAUGGGGUUUCAGUACCUUAAAUUUGAUUUGCACAUUUGCUGCGAAUCUGUGAUGCUACCGCUGGACGGCUGGAGACUUGCUGGUGAGCGGCACCUUCAACGGUCGUCGGCUUUGCAGGGAGGGCCGAGGGGGCGCAGGCAGUGGGCGGGCGGGCGGCAGGGCCAGGCGGCCACGGCUCCUGCUGGUCAAGGGGCGCGGGCGAGCGGUGGAGCNNNNNNNNNNGGCGUGAGGCGAGGGCUUCGGGGCAUCCUCUCCUCUGCCUCGAUGUGGAAUGAGCAAAGUUUCAAAUCGCGGGCGAAAUUGGCGCUAUUGCUGCUCUAUCGCGGCUGGAGAGGCUUCCUGCUAUGCUAUGUCAAAUUUUCCGCAAUUUGCCGCUACCGCCGCGAUCGCCGCGUGAAACAGCAAUAAGUGGCUUAGCUGUCGCUGCAGUUUCGCUGGAAUGGCUGAGAUCGAUUUUAACAGGCUGAAACAGAGGGCCAGAACAAAUCGUAGCCCAAAUUUCCUCUGAUAGAGCAGCCUGUCCAGAAACCUUAUCUUCAUUAAAUCCUCUCGCUCCCAUCUAAAAAACUUGCGGCGGCUGCGGCUAGGCGGGCCGGCGGCUGCUUCGCAGCAAGCCGGAGUCAGCGACGAGCGAGGCGGCGACCAGGACUCCGACAGGAGGCUGCAUACUCCGUAGCUCUAGUACUCUGUCUGUUUGCUGUUAUUGAUCCAUCCUAGUCCGUUUGCUGAUUCAGUACGGAUGUUGUCUUUUUAUUUGCGGGGAGGAUAUUGACUUAUUUAUGACUGAAUUUAUACUGCCAAUCCUCUGUUUUCUGCUGAAAAUCCUCUGUUUUUUAGACAAAAAACAUGCAUAUGUACUUUUGCCGCUAAAUACCUUAGCGGCCGCUAUCGCCCGCUAUAGCGGCCCUAGCGUUUUGAUGAGCCAGCCGCGAAAUGCUUUUGCCCGUGAUCUUAAAGUUUGGGAACGAGGGGUCGUGGCCUCGUGGGCUAUGGCUGAACGACAGAACAAGGGCUGGCAGUGUAUAUUGGGCCAUCUGUUUUUUUGGCCCAGUUAAAUACCCAUGGUAGGCUGCUCCAAAAUCCCAGGGUGGGCCGCGGCCCACCCUGGCCACCCUGUAGCUCCGUCCAUGUUGUAUACCCUUCUCCACUCAGUCUGGCUCUGAAAAAACAGCCUCAUAUGCAACAUCUGCGAGUUGUUUGGUUGCCUGCAUGUCCUCUUACCUGCAUGGGCUGAACCACACUGCCUGAUGUUUGAUUGCCUGCAUGUUAGUGGACAAACCCAAGGCAUGGUGUUUGGUUGUAUGCAACGCCUGGUGCGUGGUAACCUCUUUGGCUAGUUGGUGAGGUUACUAGCACACUUCGGCACAACCAUGUAUAGCACACAUCAUAAGCAGAGCAGACUAUAAACAGAGCAUCAACUACUUAACAGCAUAAUUCAGAUAAGCAGUACCACACUUCAUAACAGUUCAACGCCUAAACCCUAAACAGUUCAAAGCAGACUCCUUGCCGGCGAAGGCUUCAUCGUGCUUCCCGCACUUGCUGACGACCACAAUGCGAUCCUCGUUGAAGAUGGUGACCUUGAGGGUGUAGGGAGUGAGGAGCUUGAACGUCACCAUGUAGUCGAUCUUGAUCUGAUGAACGUUCACCAGCUUCACCGUCACCUUCAAGGACCAGCCGGUGUUUUUCCUGAGCUUAAACUCUGUCGGCACCGCAACGAAGUGCGUGGUGAAGUCCAGGGGCAUUGGGAUGCACUCAAGCUUCGGUGCAAGGAUGACGUUGCAGAAGUGAGUCGGGCCAUCCUCCUGAUGGUAGUGGUCGUAGUUGCGGUGCUUGUUGCUGGGGGGCACCUCCAUGCCCUCGUCGUCGCCACCCUCAAGCGUCUUUGGGUCUUCCUCGGCGGUGUGCGGCAGCACAACCUCGUCGGGCAUUGGGUGAAGGGGCUGCUUGCCCCUGUUCUCAACAGCCGGGAGCACCUCAUUGCUCUCCUCGAUCUGCACACAAUUCAUGGAUUCAGGCACAACACAGAGUUCAUGGCUUAUUGAAGAGCAUGCAGUUAAAACGGCAUGACUGUCACUCUUCUCCUCCUCUCCAUCGCCCCUAUAUUUACUCACCCUGCCCAACACUACUUACCCACCCCCUCUCUUCUCUCACUGUCAACCUUCCUCCUCCCCAUCGCCAUGAGCUCUAGCUCCAGCUCGGAUGCCAACCCCUUCCCUUGGGGUAUUGGCGGGACAGCCUUCUUCCUAGGGUGGUCGGUUGGUGACCGCACCAAGUUCGAGAACACCAUGGAGGUGUGCUCGAACUUUGGCUCCAUGCCUGACAUGCAGAAGGAAUCUAAUGCAGUGCUCAUGAAGGCCACUGCAGAAGAGCUGAAGACGCCGAUUCCUGACCCAGCGAAGGGCGCGAUGGCAGUUGACAUCAUUCGCGGGGCCAUGAAUUUGGCCGUCUCCGACGACGCUAAACAGAGAAAGAAGUGGUGCAGGUACAAGAACUAUUGGGCCCCUAAUGACCGCCAUGCCGCAGUGUACUGGGAGACGGCUAUCGCGCCUCCGGCGGUCAUCGGUGGGGAGCCUAAGAAGGAGGACAAGGAGGAAGAACCGGUGCAGAUGCCGGCAAGGGUGCAGAUGCCGGCAACAUACAACCAUGAUUCUCAGAAAUAGACCAUCAUGGAGCCGACAAUGGUGGCCAUGAUAGGCUAGUGAAAAGCACACUGGUGAUCAACCUUACAACACUAAACAAAAUAUUGCAACAUGAGGUAACCCCAACUUUGUAGCACUGGUCCACCAUUUUCAACCACCUUGUAGCAAUGAACAGUUCACUGACCAAUAGCAUUGCUGCAUCAAGUGACCGGCUUCCAGCACUGAACACCCGCGCUUGCAGCACCACGAUGAUCGAUGGUCGGCCUUUCUACAUUAUUAGUUAACAUUGCACACCUCGUCUCCAUUUUUAUGUACAUACACAUGAGUGAGCUUGGAACAUUAGUAACGUAUCAACAUUACCAAACAUGAAGAUGAUAAAUUUGUUUCUCCAAUCAUCGACAUUACUGAAUAAGCGAGCAACUGCACAUCCACCACACGAGCCAUAAUUUUUUAGCUCUGCGACAACAUCUUAUAGUUGCAAAAGAGCUGACGAUAAUGGUUUAGAAUGUAUGUGAUCAAAAUAGAUUCAAUGGAGGGGAGGGUGGACUACCUAUGUUGAAUCAGACUAGCUGCAAGGUCACAAGUGCCUUGUCUAAAUAGCCAAAAAGACAAAACGAGGCCCCCUGGAUUCUCCAUCCUGAAGCUAAGCAUAACUCCAACUCCACACACGCUCGGGGGCUACUAAAGGUGCAAUACGCUAGGGGUAUCUUCUGGGUGGGAAGCCUGGUAGCAGGCCUGCCUUAGGGCACAAGAGGCCAAGUGGAGGAUCAGUACAAUAGGGUAGCUCAGGAGCCCAGAUAAGGACCGUGAGAGCAUCUUGGCAGGCAAGCUAAGAUGGUAGUGGUAUGAGAUCUGAUGGAUUCCUUUUAAACCUAGCCCUUGCCACCUAUAUAAGGAGGGGCUCGGGGUUGUCAUUCACAUAUACUCUCAUAGACUGUACUCUCUGUAGCAUUAUACUUCAUCACCACUCUAAACCCCUCGCAUAAGGUGCUCCACCAAGAAUAAAAAUCAGAUACAUGAUGUUGGGCAUUACCUCUCACCGAGGGCCCGAACCUGGGUAAAAACCUUUGUGUGAACUCCUUUGUCGUGUAUCCGUACAAGUUCACCACCCUACUAUGGGUAUUCACGGUUUUACAUAUUGUCACAUAGUUAAGUUCUGACACAUUUUCUCUGGGGGGUUGAAGCAACUCAUGGUGUAAAUAGGUGUUUCUUGAAGCACUGAUUCUACUAGCACCUCCUUUCCCGGCUUCGAGAUAUCUUGUCCUUCCUAUCCAACCACUUUGCCAUUUGAGCUUUCUUUAAGAUGUUUAAAAUUUCCUUCAUUUGACCUGCCCACCAUGGUUGGGAGCCAAAAUAAUGCUCGCUCAAUGCCUUAGGAUCUGUGCAAAGAUAUUUACAACAACUUUGUCCUCCUAUUUGCCUCAGUUCCCAAAGAAUGUUGAGGCUUUUUGAAAAUUGCCCAUUUUUUCCGAGGCCCACUCAUAGUCAAAGAGGAUAUAUUUAAGGUUAAAAGUUGUCAUUUGACGGUUGAAGAAAUACUAUACUAUCAUCUGCAGAAAUAAGAUGGGCUACAUGGGGGUUAGUGCUCCCAAAAGAUAUACCAUUGAUCUCUUUAUCUUUCAGCAUUCAUGAGAAAGGUCGAAAAACUCGCAAGAUAGAAAAUAAAAAAAUAGGGAGACCAUGGGUCUCCUUGCCAGAGCCCUCUUCAUAGUGUACAAAAUACAUAACACACUCCAUUCAAUUUGAUAGAAAACCUGGCAGGGGUACCACACAUCAUAAUCAUCAAGAUCAACCUAUCUGAGAAACCAAGUGCCCUCAUCACCGGGUCGAGGAAAAUCCAAACCACCCUCUUAUAUGCCUUCAUCAUGUAUAGUUUAACUGCGAACAUUGGAUUUUUCUAUUUGUUGAAUGAACAUACUUUGCUCCUGCGUGAACAUUAUGGAUAGGACAACCAUCAAUCUCUUUGCUAGGCCUUUGAAGCAAUCUGACUGAGUGUGUUCAAUAAGUUGAUUGAUGCCAUUUGAGGAAGUAUCUCCAUUGAGGUAAUUUUGGGGAUCAGGACUAGAACCAUAUCACUAAAGUUUGUUGAAAUAACUCCAUUAAAAGAAUCACCUAUUACUAUGUGUACAUCAUAUUUUUAGAAGUAACUCGUGAAAUUAGUAAACAUAAGUGAGAGGUUGUCUAGCCCCUGCGCUCUUGCCAGUCAAAUUUAGAAUAGUGCAUUCUCAAUUUAUACAUCCAUCACGUCCGUGUUCACCCUCUCCUCCAUAUCACUAGUCACAGAGGGUCGGAUGUGAGCUAAGAUGUUGUCAGUAUCAGCAGAGGCUUCUGAACAGAACAACUAAGCAUAGAAAUCGGCCGAAAUCUUUCCCAUCUCAUUGUCAAUAGUACAACUCAUGCCAUCCGCCCUCAUGUUUUGAUCGUCUUCCUUGAGAAAUUCCAGUCGGGAACAUUGCAUACACAUUAUUUGUUCAUGUGCAUGAACCACAUGAAGCUACCCUUCAAUCUUGCUGGUCUUCAUCGAGGAUGUCUGGAUCCCAAUGCUCUACCCUUUCCAUCGAAGUUGGACCUUGUGCCUAGUAAUCUCACAACAUACAAGACAAAAUACAGAGCCAUUUCAAUGUAUCAUAUCAUUGGUGAAAUUGUUACGCUUCCUGUAGAGCUCACUCUGGCCGGAAUUGUUAUCACAUGCAUACUAUCAUGCCUCCAUGUGCAUCCACCUCUCCUCAAACGUUAAUGCCCUCUUCUUACUUUUGGUAAUGACUAGGUUUUCUAGCACUCUACUAACGAGUGAACCAUGGUCUGGUCCUCCAUGACAACAUGUUCAAUGGGUGUAUCCUACAAUGAAUGAACAAAUUCAUCAUUGCAUGGACCCGUGUCCACAUGUAUGUAAAUGAUCUCAUCCCACUCCCUCUUAUUGUCCCAAGUGAACACGUUGCUACUAAAACAAAGGUUUGAAAUGCUAUUAUUGUCUACACUCUCCCUAAUGCGCUCCAUUUGUGUGAAACUUCUAAAGUAAUCUCCUAGUUGUUGGGAUUAAAAGAAUUCUUUGUUGAGGUAUCAUUGUAACAGAUAAAUGUAUUAUUAGGAUCUAGUCUCUCAGAGCCUCCCUUAGCUAUACAAAUUUUCUUCAAUCUCUCUUCCUAUCCAGUAGCUUUAGGUGAUAAUCCUUGUGAUGCCUUUCGUGGUCACCAUCACCUUGGCUCGUCAUAUGAAUAAAAGUGCCUGGUCUGUGUAGCUUAGAGGUAGAUGGGUCAUAUUUCCCAAUGGCCUUGACCCUUUCCCUUAUAGAUUUUUUUAUGUCUUGCUCCCUUUCAUGCUCCUCUCUCAGGUCCCACUUCCUUUUUAGAUUGAAAUCAUCCCUUAGUUCACAAUCAUGUCACAGAUCUUGCCUACAUGGGUCCUCCCUGCACUUCAUGUUAGACAAUUACCCUCUACAAGACCAUCUCGAGGAUCCUCACCAGAGAGAGAGUCCAUAGAGGGUGUAUAAUCAUUGUAUGACCUGCACCUAAAUGGACGGACAUGCAACGCUACAUGACCCCUGCACCCAUAGACGCCCUUGCUUGACCUAGUGAUCCCAAAACUAAAUUUCAUGUUUUUUGUCACCGGCCUCUACUUUGUUUUUGUCUGUGAGGAGCCAUGUCCAAGUGAUGCCCUGUAACGCCCAAUAUGCGAUACUAUCCUAAAGAGACUCGAAGGUCCCACCAAGGAUAGAAUCGCAGAUUGAAACGCUUUUGCAAGGUGGAUAUCAUUACCUCAACAUUACAUAAUAGAUGGGGAUACAAACAAAAGGCAUACAAUGCCACACGAAUACAACAUCAUCUUACAUAAGAACACCAUCCGACUACGGAUGAAACACAAACAGAAACUCAAACGACAUCCACCCUGCUAGCCCAGGCUGCCGACCUGGAACCUAUCCCCUGAUCGAAGAAGAAGCAGAAGAAGAACUCCAAAACCAUCAAACAUCGCUCUCGCAUCAUGACCAUCACAAAACCUGUACCUGCAACUGUUGUUGUAGUAAUCUGUGAGCCACGAGGACUCAGCAAUCCCAUUACCAUGGGUAUCAAGACUAGCAAAGCUUAAAGGGAAAGGAAGGGGUAAAGUGGUGACUGGUGAGGUUGCAGCAGCGACUAAGCAUAUAUGAUGGCUAACAUACGCAAAUAAGAGCGAGAAGAGAAGCAACGGAAUGGUCGUGAAGCUAGCAAUGAUCAAGAAGUGAUCCUGAACUCCUACUUACGUCAAACAUGACCCAAAACCGUGUUCACUUCCCGGACUCCGCCGAAAAGAGACCAUCACGGCUACACACACGGUUGAUGCGUUUUAAUUCGGAUCUGGUGUCAAGUUAUCUACAACCGAACAUUAACAAAUUCCCAUGUGCCACAUAACCGCGGGCACGACUUUCGAAAGUUUAUACCCUGCAGGGGUGUCCCAACUUAGCCCAUCACAAGCUCCCAUGGUCAACGAAGGAUAUACCUUCUCCCAGGAAGACCCGAUCAGACUCGGAAUCGCGGUUUACAAGACAUUUCGACAAUGGUAAAACAAAACCAGCAAAACCUCUCGAUGUGUCGAUAAAUCCAGAUAGGAGCUGCAAAUAUCUCGUUCUCAGGGCACACCGGAUGAGCCAGACGUCGGGUUGGCAUAGACCCUGGUUGCCCAGGGGGUGCCGGACAUCGCUCGGUUUAGACCAGCACUUGGAGAAGCACUGGCCCGGGGGGGGGCUAAAAUAAAGAUGACCCUCGGGCUCCGGAAACCCAAGGGAAAAAGGGCUAGGUGAGGCAAAUGGUAAAACCAAGGUUGGGCCUUGCUGGAGGAGUUUUAUUCAAAGCGAACUGUCAAGGGGGUCCCAUAAAUCACCCAACCGCGUAAGGAACGCAAAAUCCGGGAACAUAACACCGGAAUGACGGAAACUAGGGCGGCAAGAGUGGAACAAAACACCAGGCAUAAGGCCGAGUUUUCCACCCUUUACCAAGUAUAUAGAUGCAUUAAUUAAAAUAAGAGAUAUUGUGAUAUCCCAACAUUAUCAUGUCCACCAUGGAGCAAUCUUCAACUUCACCUGCAACUAGCAACGCUAUAAGAGGGGUUGAGCAAAGCGGUAACAUAGCCAAGCAACGGUUUGCUAGGAAGGGUGGAAAUGUUAGAGGCUGACAUGGCAAUUUGGGAGGCUUGAAGAGCAAUUGGUAGGUAGCGCUGCAAAGCGAUAAAACGAAGCAACUAGCAUAGCAAUGAUAGUAGUGAGAUCCAGGGUAGCGGUCAUCUUGCCCGAAAUCCCGCAAGGAAGAAGAACGAUUCCAUGAAGAAGGUGAAGCCACGAAGACGAACCAAGCGUAGACGAACGAAUCCUCAUGAUCGCAAUGAAACGGGAACUAUCGAGAAGAAGCACACAACAUAGUAAACACACGACACAUGAACAAGGCAUGAUGCUCAACCAAGUAUGAUGCAUGACAGGGCUACAUGAAGCUACUCAUGGCAAGAGAUGAUGCAAACACGAGCAACACAUCAAGGCAAGUUUAAAUGAGGCCGGGAACAACAUAUAACAAUUCCGGUAAGUCCUCAUAUGCAAAUUUCGAAAUAGGUCCAGAUCUGAAUAAACCUUAUGUUCAAGUUGUUAAAUAGCAAGAUAAGAUACACCAAGAUGAUCUACACAAGAUUCUAGUCAAGUUACGUAUAAAGUUCAUUUAGUUCGGAGCUACGGCCUAGAAGAUAUGAGCAAAAAAAGUUAAACAUGGCAUUGAUGCAAAAUGCAUACAAACAUCUAGCAAACACAUCUAAACAAGGAUGCAACAUGUUAAUAUGAAACUACAUCCAAUUCUAAGCAAGUUUCAUAUAGAGCACACUCAAAACGGAGCAACGGUGCAACACAUACACUCCAAACAAGACAUAACAACAAUCUGCCCAAAACAGCAACUAGGCAUCUAGCAAGCAUCAAAACAAUAUGCUACAACACCCCAACGUAAGAACAAAAGGUAUGGGCAUGAUGUACAUGUAAAUCAUGACAAAACAUGAACACUGACCUAUCUCCAGAAAACACUAGAACAUGCUCAAAAAGGCAUGGCAACAUUGCAAGUAAUAACAGUUUACAGGCUUAGCAGAAAUAACAUCAGGUUGCAAUGUUUAGAGCUAUCAAACAACAUGUUACAUGAACAUAUCAUAGAAACUUAAGGCAUGACAUGAUUCUAAUGAAUGCAUAGAACAAAAGUACUUUACUGACCAUGAGCCAAAAGGGCACAGAAAAUAUGAUGGCAGCCAUGUAAACAUGGCAAGUUAUAUGACAGAUUCAAACAUGGCAGGAACAACUAUAAGUAGGCAUGUUGGUGAGCUUGUACCACUUACCACAGAGCAUUACAUGGCAUGAUAAGGCAACCAACAGUAAUAAUACAUGUUUAUGAAGCUAAGCAUGGCAAGAGCAAGUUCAUAGGGUGCAUGAAUCACUCACAAAACACAUGGCAAAAGUGCACUUAAUGUUAACAGGCUGACAGCAACAUUAUUUAGCAAUUUGAGAGCAAGAUUACAACAAGCUACAGCAGGCUAUAAAUGCAACCAGCGGCACGGGUGGAUAUAGCAUGACAUGUAGAACAAAACAUCCUUAGUGAGCAUCUCCAGAUUAUGCAUAGAAUGACUUGUAGCAGCAGGUUUACAUAGCAUCACGAAAUAACAGAUUCAGCCUAGCAAAAUAGCAACAGCAAGUAUUCUACUUCACGAGCUCGAUGCACUCACUAAAAGACUCACAAAAAUACAUGGAUUGCACCUCUGUAAAGAUGGAAUGAUGUAGAUCAAAAUACAUGUAGAGCUCAUGCUCAUAGGAUGCACACAUCAACUGCAACAAAAAUGACAAAUCGCCAAGUUAUAACAGUUUCAGCAGAUUAACAUCAUAUAGCACUCUUGCAACGAUGAUUCAGGUAUCAAGAUGAACUCAAAUGAACAUCGCACAAUGUAAUGAAAUGAAGAGAAUCUCCUGAUGAACAUUUUGAUAUAUUAUACACGCAAAACGGAGCAGUAUACAACAAGUUAUGGCAUAUCAAAGUAUGCACCAAAACGCAAACUAAUUCGGGACUUAGAGAAAAUCUGGGGUCAACCUUAGGUCUGCACGGAUUUCAAGGCGAGGCGGAUGUCGUCGGAGAGCUCACCGGAGAAGAGGAGGGAGAUGGGGCCGGCGAGGUCUUGCAGGGGCGGGACGAGGCGGAUCCGACCGGAUCUCGCCGGAUCCGGCCGAGCUCCGGCGAAGGCGACGCGGGGCCGGGCACGGGCGGCGGCCGGGGCGGCGCCGGCNNNNNNNNNNNNNNNNNNNNNNNNNNNNNNNNNNNNNNNNNNNNNNNNNNNNNNNNNNNNNNNNNNNNNNNNNNNNNNNNNNNNNNNNNNNNNNNNNNNNNNNNNNNNNNNNNNNNNNNNNNNNNNNNNNNNNNNNNNNNNNNNNNNNNNNNNNNNNNNNNNNNNNNNNNNNNNNNNNNNNNNNNNNNNNNNNNNNNNNNNNNNNNNNNNNNNNNNNNNNNNNNNNNNNNNNNNNNNNNNNNNNNNNNNNNNNNNNNNNNNNNNNNNNNNNNNNNNNNNUGGGCUCCGCGGGCCGCACGGUGGCGGGAGGCGGCGGCGACAGGUGUCCGGCCCUGAUUGGCGCAGGGAGGGUGCGCUGCUGAGGUGGCGCGCUCCUAUUGGCCGGAGCGACGUGGAGGCGGCGGUGGACGUGUCCGGCCGCCGGGCGGACAUGUCCGGCGGCGCGAGGAGGGAGAGGGCUAGGGUUCAUUUGCGCGAAAAAAUCGAAGGGGAUCACAUAUUUAUAGGUAGAGGGAGCUAAGAGACUCCAAAUGAGGUGCGGUUUUCGGCCACGCGAUCGUGAUCGAACGGCGGAGAGCAUGGAGGGGGUUAGGAUGGGUUUGGGGCCAGUUUGGAGGGGUUGUUGGGCAGCAACACAAAGAGGGCUUUACGGUUCCCAGUUAACCGUUGGAGUAUCAAACGGACUCCAAAUGGCACGAAACUUGACAGGCGGUCUACCGGUGCUAUACCAAGGCCACUUGGCAAACCUCGGUCCAUUCCGAGAAUGUUUAACACCCGCUCACAACAAGAGACAAAAAGGGGACGCCGGAGGACAUAGGAGUGUCGGAUUGCAAAACGAACAACGGGGAAAAUGCUCAAAUGCAUGAGACGAACACGUAUGCAAUGCAAUGCACAUGAUGACAUGAUAAAAUGCAACACGCAAGCACAUGACAUGGCAACAACAACGAAUAACUGGCAGACACCUGGCACAUCGAAUCCGGGGCGUUACAACACUCCUCCACUAACAAGAGAUCUCGUCCCGAGAUCUUAGGAACGAGACGGAAGAGAAAGAGGAAGAGGUGAAGCAAGAACUGAACAGAGAGGGUGAACAAAGUCGAGAGCACUCGCGUAGAAAAGAUGAGCGGUGAAUAUGACGAGAAUCAAAUGCUCAAGAAACAAAAUAGACUCUGAAAACACUCCGGUUAAAACGAGAUAAGAAACGAAUAAGACUGAAAAGGAUUUAGCAGAACUCUGACUGAACAUGGAAAGAAUAGAACAUGAACUUGAGAGGAUGGAAUGAUACUUGAUGAACUCUUGAAGAAUGAAAUAAAUCAUGAAGAACCACCAUGAAGAACUCCGGUGACAAAAGGAUGAUGAGAUAGACAUGAAGGAUGAAAGAAUAAGAUGAUCCUUGCGGUGACUUAGAUGGAGGUUCCGACGAAAUGACCGAGGAAAUUGAACUCCGGAAAAGAAAAGAUGAAAACACUUGGAACUAGAAUUUAUUCACCAAGAACAAACUCCGAAGAAAAGGAUUAAUCACUUGGAUGAAAUAAGAAUAAGAUUUAUUGUAUGCUUAUCCUUCAUCAAAUUUAAUUGAUGACAAGCCACGGAUUUGGCAUGCAACUUAUUCUUGUUGAAAAGAAUUGAGAAAUGAUGCAUCGCAAACUUGAGAAGGUCUUCAUGAACCACCGGUAGGAUUUGGAAGAACGAAUGAAUUAAAAUGAUAAUCAAGGAAAAGAAUCUUGAACGAACCACCGUAAGAAUUCGAAAAUGACUGAUGAAAGAGAAUGAAUCACCGGGAAGAAUUAUAAGAACAACUAUGCUAGAUGGAAUUUAAAUACAAGGGAAGGGGAAGAACUCGAGCUGAUUAAAGAAUAUUUGAAGGAAGCACCGGGAUAAAUAGAGAACGAUAGCUGAAAUGUGGGGAUGAAGAAUUCUUCUGGAACGAUGGCCUCCGGUGAAAAGAAAUGGAAAAAACAACUCAUGACAUAGUCCGGAUGGGUAAGAAAGAAUAUCCGGCCAAUGGAAUAAUUCGAGAGGGUAAUAAGAAGCUAGAACCACGAAUCUUCGGGAGAACGGGCAAGAUUGAGAGGAAAAACUCUUCUUCGGUCUUCAAAAGACGACGAGAAACACCACCAAAAUUACUGAGGUACUCCGGUUGAAUGAAAAACGAAGAGGUUGAGGCAACAAUGAAAAUUAUUUGAAAUCGAUCUCAAAGAAGGCAUGUGGCUGAUGGAAUCCAUUCUUACGCCACACUUUGAAAAUAAUUGAGAAUAACUCCAGGGAAUUAGAAGAGUCAGGUAAGAUCCUGGGAAAGGACCUGUGGGUUAGGGCCCACUGAAGAGAAAAACACCGUUGGAAAGGAUUGAUGAAAAGAUAGAUGAUUCACCGGAACAAUUGAAAUAUUUGAAUGAGGUAACAACCUCGAAUUAAUUGGAACACAGAUGAAUCUCCUGAGAUGUCUUGAGCACUCCGGAAGGAUAAACUGGCGAGAGGCGAGUGAGCAGGGAAAACACUUGAUCCAAGGAAAGGAAUGUGAUCAACCCGAAAAACUUGAAUUGAGUGCACCAGAAAAGAGAUGAAGACUGCCAAACAAAAGAGAAUUCACCGGUUGAAACAAUUGAUGGAAGACUGAAGAGGCUCCGCACGAAUGAAAUUGAUACUCGAAAUAGACUCGGGCUUCGGGAAGAAGAGGGUGGGAGGGCAGGAAAAAACAAAGGCAACUUUAAAGGGGGAACCGACGAAUAACUUGAAGAAAAAAACACCAGUUGAAAUAAUUGAGGAGAGAGAGCAAAAACUUCGCACGAGUAGGAUGGAUACUCGAUUACGGACUCCGGAUCCAAGAAGAAAAAGGGGGGGUGGGAAAAGAAAACAACUUAGGAUUGAACUCAAAGAUGAAGAGGCUCGAGUCGACUUGACGAGAAAUGCACCGGAUGCAAAGAGAGGAGAACCAACGACCGAAAAAACAUAUGCGUGGUCCUAAAGAAAACUUUGAAGGGGAAGAGGAGUAAUUCAAAACACCUACAUCAAGAUUCCUGACCAGAGCGACGAAGGGGGCUGAGGAGUAAAAAGAAGUCCUACUCUCCGAUAUAACUAGACUCCGAAAAGUUUUCUUCUAGACUCAACAAAGGCCAAACUACACGAUCAAUCAAGGGGGCUCCUAAGGUCAGUCGAGGCUCUGAUACCAACUUGUCACGCCCAAUAUGUGAUACUAUCCUAAAGAGACUCGAAGGUCCCACCAAGGAUAGAAUCGCAUAUUGAAAUGCUUUUGCAAGGUGGAUAUCGUUACCUCAAAAUUACAUAAUAGAUGGGGAUACAUACAAAAGGCAUACAAUGCCACACGAAUACAACAUCAGCUUACAUAGGAACACCAUCCGACUACGGAUGAAACACAAAUAGAAACUCAAACGACAUCCACCCUGCUAGCCCAGGAUGCCGACCUGGAACAUAUCCCCUGAUGGAAGAAGAAGUAGAAGAAGAACUCCAAAACAAUCAAACAUCGCUCUCGCGUCAUGAUCAUCGCAAAACCUAUACCUGCAACUGUUAUUGUAGUAAUCUGUGAGCCACGAGGACUCAGCAAUCCCAUUACCAUGGGUGUCAAGACUAGCAAAGCUUAAAGGGAAAGGAAGGGGUAAAGUGGUGAGGUUGCAGCAGCGACUAAGCAUAUAUGGUGGCUAACAUACGCAAAUAAGAGUGAGAAGAGAAGCAACGGAACGGUCAUGAAGCUAGCAAUGAUCAAGAAGUGAUCCUGAACUCCUACUUACGUCAAACAUAACCCAAAACUGUGUUCACUUCCCAGACUCCGCCGAAAAGAGACCAUCACGGCUACACACGCGGUUGAUGCGUUUUAAUUCGGAUCUGGUGUCAAGUUAUCUACAACCGGACAUUAACAAAUUCCCAUCUGCCACAUAACUGCGGGCACGGCUUUCGAAAGUUUAUACCCUGCAGGGGUGUCCCAACUUAGCCCAUCACAAGAUCUCACGGUCAACGAAGGAUAUACCUUCUCCCAGGAAGACCCGAUCUGACUUGGAAUCCCGGUUUACAAGACAUUUCAACAAUGGUAAAACAAGGCCAGCAAAACCUCCCGUUGUGCCGACAAAUCCCGAUAGGAGCUGCACAUAUCUCGUUCUCAGGGCACAUCGGAUGAACCAGACGUCGGGUUGGCAUAGACCCUGGUUGCCCAGGGAGCGCCGGACAUCGCUCAGUUUGGACCAGCACUUGGAGAAGCACUGCCCCAGGGGGGCUAAAAUAAAGAUGACCCUCGGGCUCCGGAAACCCAAGGGAAAAAGGGCUAGGUGAGGCAAAUGGUAAAACCAAGGUUGGGCCAUGCUGGAGGAGUAUUAUUCAAAGCGACCUGUCAAGGGGGUCCCAUAAAUCACCCAACCGCGUAAGGAACGCAAAAUUCGAGAACAUAACACUGGUAUGAAGGAAACUAGGGCGGCAAGAGUGGAACAAAACACCAGGCAUAAGGCCGAGUCUUCCACCAUUUACCAAGUAUAUAGAUGCAUUAAUUAAAAUAAGAGGUAUUGUGAUAUCCCAACAUAAUCCUGUCCACCAUGGAGCAAUCUUCAACUUCACCUGCAACUAGCAACACUAUAAGAGGGGUUGAGCAAAGCGGUAACAUAGCCAAGCAACGGUUUUCUAGGAAGGGUGGAAAUGUUAGAGGCUGACAUGGCAAUUUGGGAGGCUUGAAGAGCAAUUGGUAGGUAGCGCAGCAAAGUGAUAGAAUGAAGCAACUAGCAUAGCAAUGAUAGUAGUGAGAUCCAGGGUAGCGGUCAUCUUGGCUGAAAUCCCACAAGGAAGAAGAACGAGUCCAAGAAGAAGAUGAAGCCACGAAGACAAACCAAGCAUAGACGAACGAAUCCUCACGAUCGCAAUGAAACAGGAACUAUCGAGAAGAAGCACACAACAUAGUAAACACAUCACACAUGAACAAGGCAUGAUGCUCAACCAAGUAUGAUGCAUGACAAGGCUACAUGAAGCUACUCAUGGCAAGAGAUGAUGCAAACACGAGCAACACAUCAAGGCAAGUUUAAAUGAGGCCGGGAACAACAUAUAACAAUUCCGGUAAGUCCUCAUAUGCAAAUUUCGAAAUAGGUCCAGAUCUGAAUAAACCUUAUGUUCAAGUUGCUAAAUAGCAAGUUAAGAUACACCAAGUUGAUCUACAUGAGAUUCUAGUCAAGUUACAUAUAAAGUUCAUUUAGUUCGGAGCUACGGCCUAGAAGAUAUGAGCAAAACAAGUUAAACAUGACAUUGAUGCAAAAUGCAUACAAACAUCUAGCAAACACCUCAAAACAAGGAUGCAACAUGUUAAUAUGAAACUACAUGCAAUUCUAAGCAAGUUUCAUAUAGAGCACACUCAAAACAGAGCAACGGUGCAACACAUACACUCCAAACAAGACAUAACAACAAUCUGUCCAAAACAGUAACUAGGCAUCUAGCAAGCAUCAAAAAAAUAUGCUACAGCACCCCAACAUAAGAACAAAAGGCAUGGGCAUGAUGUACAGGUAAAGCAUGACAAAAUAUGAACACUGAACUAUCUCCAGAAAACACUAGAACAUGCUCAAAAAGACAUGGCAACAUUGCAAGUAAUAACAGUUUACAGGCUUAGCAGAAAUAACAUCAGGUUGCAAUGUUUAGAGCUAUCAAACAACAUGUUACAGGAACAUAUCAUAGAAACUUAAGGCAUGGCAUGAUACUACUGAAUGCAUAGAACAAAAGUCCUUUACUUACCAUGAGCCAAAAGGGCACAGAAAAUAUGAUGGCACCCAUAUAAACAUGGCAAGUUAUAUGACAGAUUCAAACAUGGCAGGAACAACGAUAAGUAGGCAUGUUGGUGAGCUUGUACCACUCACCACAGAGCAUUACAUGGCAUGACAAGGCAACCAACAGUAAGAAUACAUGUUUAUGAAGCUAAGCAUGGCAAGAUAAAGUUCAUAGGGUGCAUGGAUCACUCACAAAACACAUGGCAAAACUGCACUCAAUGUUAACAGGCUGACAGCAACAUUAUUUAGCAAUUUGAGAGCAAGAUUACAACAAGCUACAGCAAGCUAUAUAUGCAACCAGGGGCAUGGAUGGAUAGGGCAUGACAUGUAGAACAAAACAUCCUUAGUGAACAUCUACAGAUUAUGCAUAGAAUGACUUGUAGCAGCAGGUUUACAUAGCAUCACGAAAUAACAGAUUCAGCCUAGCAAAACAGCAACAACAAGUACUCUAUUUCACGAGCUCGAUGCACUCGCUACAAGAUUCACAAAAAUACAUGUAUUGCACCUCUGUAAAGAUGGCAUGAUAUAGAUCAAAACACAUGUAGAGCUCAUGCUCAUAGGAUGCACACAUCAAAUGCAACAAACAUGACAAAUCGCCAAGUUAUAACAGUUUCAGCAGAUUAACAUCAUAUAACACUCUUGCAACGAUGAUUCAGGCAUCAAGAUGAACUCAAAUAAACAUGGCACAUUUUGAUAUAUUAUACAUGCAAAACGGAGCAGUAUACAACAAGUUAUGGCAUAUCAAAGUAUGCACCAGAAUGCAAACUAAUUCGGGACUUAGAGAAAAACUGGGGUCAACCUUAGGUCUGCACGGAUUUCAAGGCGAGGCGGAUCUCGUUGGAGAGCUCACCGGAGAAGAGGAGGGAGAUGGGGCCGCCGGGGUCUUGCAGGGGCGGGACGAAGCGGAUCCGGCCGAGCUCCGGCGAAGGCGACGCGUGGCCGGGCGCGGGCGNNNNNNNNNNNNNNNNNNNNNNNNNNNNNNNNNNNNNNNNNNNNNNNNNNNNNNNNNNNNNNNNNNNNNNNNNNNNNNNNNNNNNNNNNNNNNNNNNNNNNNNNNNNNNNNNNNNNNNNNNNNNNNNNNNNNNNNNNNNNNNNNNNNNNNNNNNNNNNNNNNNNNNNNNNNNNNNNNNNNNNNNNNNNNNNNNNNNNNNNNNNNNNNNNNNNNNNNNNNNNNNNNNNNNNNNNNNNNNNNNNNNNNNNNNNNNNNNNNNNNNNNNNNNNNNNNNNNNNNNNNNNNNNNNNNNNNNNNNNNNNNNNNNNNNNNNNNNNNNNNNNNNNNNNNNNNNNNNNNNNNNNNNNNNNNNNNNNNNNNNNNNNNNNNNNNNNNNNNNNNNNNNNNNNNNNNNNNNNNNNNNNNNNNNNNNNNNNNNNNNNNNNNNNNNNNNNNNNNNNNNNNNNNNNNNNNNNNNNNNNNNNNNNNNNNNNNNNNNNNNNNNNNNNNNNNNNNNNNNNNNNNNNNNNNNNNNCAGGCGGCCAGCGGCGAGGCGCACGAGGAGGCGGGCGGAUGGGCCAGGCGGCGGCGGCGCGAGGGCCCGCCCGGGCCCACGAUGGGCUCCGCGGGCCGCACGGUGGCGGGAGGCGACGGUGACAGGUGUCCGGCCCUGAUUGGUGCGGGGAGGCUGCGCUGCUGAGGUGGCGCUCUCCUAUUGGCCGGAGCGAUGUGGAGGCGGCGGUGGAUGUGUCCGGCCGCCGGGCGGACAUGUCCUGCGGCGCGAGGAGGGAGAGGGCUAGGGUUCAUCUGCGCGAAAAAAUCGGAGGGGAUCACAUAUUUAUAGGUAGAGAGAGCUAGGAGACUCCAAAUGAGGUGCGGUUUUCGGCCACGCGAUCGUGAUCGAACGGCGGAGAUUAUGGAGGGGGUUACGAUGGGUUUUGGGCCAGUUUGGAGGGGGUGUUGGGCUGCAACACAAAGAGAGCUUUACGGUUCCCCGGUUAACCGUUGGAGUAUCAAACGGAUUCCAAAUGGCACGAAACUUGAUAGGCGGUCUACCGGUGCUAUACCAAGGCCGCUUGGCAAACCUCGGUCCAUUCCGAGAAUAUUUAACACCCGCUCACAACAAGAGACAAAAAGGGAACGCCGGAGGACAUAGGAGUGUUGGAUUACAAAACGGACAACGGGGAAAAUGCUCGGAUGCAUGAGAUGAACACGUAUGAAAUGCAAUGCACGUGAUGACAUGAUAAAAUGCAACACGCAAGCACAUGACAUGGCAACAAUGACGAAUAACUGGCAGAUACCUGGCGCAUCGAAUCCGGGGCGUUACAUGCCCUCAACCAUUCACCCUACUCGGGUGAGGAAUCAACUUGUGGUUCAAAUGAUCCGCCAACAUGUGCUAGUCUGUCGUAGUCAAUCCAAAAGAGAGGUAUCUUCUCAAAUUGAAAAUCAAACAAGGUCCCCUCAUCUUUUGCUGGAGAGUGAUGAAAGAAGCCUCGGACUAGUGAAACAAAUAUGAAAAUUCUAGCUCUAAAUCUGAGAUGGUUCCCUCAUAAAUCCAUCCUUCUUAACAUCGCUCUUUACCACGCCACCAAUUCAAUUCCCAAGAGAAUUCCCAAAAGUAUAUGAUCACUUAUAUAUGGAAGGAUCUGUAAUUAUCACCCAUGGCUCCAACAUACAAAACAUUAUCUUCGAUGACCUAGUUUUUUCAUCAUAAUCCUUCAAAACUAUCACAUUGAAACCAAAUUGCCACAUUAAAUUAUAUAGAGCGUGCUUCUAGACUCCUUUGUUCUUGAAUCUCAAGAAGAAGAUAUUAUUUCUAAUGUGACUUAUUUGGGCUUCCUAGUAGAGUCCCAUGUGUGUUGCAUAGCCCUAGCAAACACGUUGAUGUUGAUUUGUUGGAGUGAGCAUGCCUUUCCAACCACUGACCACCGAGUAGGCCUCGGUCGGUCUGGUAUCCUGAUCCUCAAACAUGAGAUCUAUUAGUUCCUUUUUUCCCAAGUUUAGGGCUCCUUGUUAAUUUGAUUGAGCGAUUAGCUGCCUCCCCUGAAGCAUUUCCGUCUGUCAGGGACUUUGAAGGUUCUCGUAUUAACGGUCCUUGGUUGCCCUGUUCACUUGAGCUGUCGAUUUAUGCCACGCCUUCUCUCCCAUCGUCACGCAAAGGAGUGGAAGCACCAAGACCAAUCAAUGUAGGAGUUUACAGCGUCAUCGCCCCAUAGAUAAAUAAAACUCUAACCCUAUAGUCGCCCUUAGCAUUUCUUUUCAUGCUGGGCCCGCCGCUAUGUAUUUAUACGUGUCCUUCCAUUGGUACUUUUUUUUGCUCUGGAGCCUUUCUGCUACAUUUGUCUUUCUACAAAGGUGGUCUUAUCCAAAUCAUAUAGUCUCCUCUAUCUAUAUUAAGCCAGGACAUUAGUUCUUCUUUUUUUCAAGGCAAAUACACUUGCUAGUGUUCAAGCGACAUCGAAAGAAGUCUUGUCACAUGUGUAGACGACGCUAAGAGUGUGACACAUAUAGGUGCCAACUUUAUGGAUAAUGCAAAUUUCAGCAAAUAUGAAUAGCUCCCGGGGGAACGAGCGCACAAAGGAAUCAGCCACCAUAAAUCGAUCAUUUCCAAUGAAACAGAGUCACAAAGAGAGAGACAAGACAUUAGCUUCUUUAUGGGGAACACAUACAUUUAAAUGUUGCCUUGCUAUCUGAUUAUUAACAAGAAAUAAUUUUUACUAAUAUAUUAUGUGUAAAUCUUGAUAGAUAUGGAAUGUAUUUUGGUCAGUAUGUUUUAAGGAAUCAUGUCAGUUUUUGGUAUGUUGAAAUUAGAAGAAGUUCAUGUGCCUUCAAGGCAUGUCAAGGUGUGUUGUUCCACCUCAAAUUGGGACAUACUAAAUGGUUAUUCUCCCUACAUAUAGCCCCAAUUCUCAUGCUCUUGCUCUCUCUCUCUCUCUCUCUCCAUUUUAUAUUCCAGACUACUCCAUAAAGCCUAACCGGUGAAGGUCCAGAAACACCCAGCAGUGACGGGUUCAACUCCCAUUAGUAGUCUAUACUUAGUGGAGGAGAAACAAGCCACUUACAGGCACAUGCCCGCCAAUGGUGAAUAAAUUAGAAAAGAAAAUCAGGCCAUGGCCGGUCCAUAUCCGGCAGCUGCCAACAAUGUGUAGUCUCCACUACUCUAACCUAAUUUUCCUCAAUGUGUUACAUCAUGUGAUGUUUGGAGAAGCCAUAGAGUCGGGGACCUGAAUAUAGAAAACAACGAUGGGGAGUGGCUUGAAGAAUAGGAGCCAAGAAGCCGGAAGGAGAAGGCCUCCACCAUGUUGCACCAUUGGCCGAUACUGACCCGUAUGGUGCAAGGACCAAGGUAGAACUAAACACCUUCAUCAUCUGGGUCGCAAAGGAAGUUGGACUAGUGUGUUGCUCCUCUCGGACAAACUCAAUGAUUUCAUGCAGUUGGCACCCAUGCAACAUUCCACAGAGAUAACAACACUGAGGACGAGGAGGGGCAACGCAAGGUUUCUUCCUCAUAGGAAUUACUUUCGAGGAUGUGGGGGGAGGGUAUGGCAUGAUGAGCAGUUAACAAGGGAAGUUUGCAUGACUGUGGAGGAGAAAUCAUGAAGACAAGUGUGCUAGUAGCUAGACAAGGGAUGAAUGAUAGCAGGAAGGAAUAAUGAGCUUACUGGGUGAGGCUACUAUUUUUUUAGUUGCGACCUACUGAUCAUAACAACAAUUGAUCGUAACAAUGUAGCAUUGAUGAUACAGGGUAUUGAUUUAGUAACUGUCAGGAUGUGACUAGGGCUUGUAAGUGGUGGGUUGUAUAUUACUAACAAGUAGCAUGUUUAGCCUCCAUCUUGUCCUCUGUCACUCGUAACAACAUACCAUUGAUGGACUACAUAUUGGGCCCGUCACUACUAUCUUUUUCCAACAAAAAUAGAAUUUUAGUUAUAGUCAGAUUCACAACAAUCCCGCCAGCCAUUAGUGCUAGGUAGCACUGUUGACCAGUUUUGUGAGCCACCACUUUUGAUCGAUAACGAGGCGAGAACUCUAGUGUAGUGCACAUUUGUUUUGUUGCGAACUUUUAGUGUUUUUAUGUGCACAAAGACAUAUCUUUCAACCCUAACAGGUGUUCUCUUUAGGUGGGGUCGAGAGUGAAGGACUGGGGAGCUUGGAAGCAGGGGAAAUGGCACCUAGAGGGGUUCAGAUCUCCAUGAUCAAUAACCACAAUUUUGAUCUGAAUGAGCUGUCGACUGAGCAUGAGUAGCUCAAGAAGGAGUAGUCACCCAUGGAGAAAGAGUAGCCGCCUAUGGCACAACAUGAGCUUUAAUAUUCACAAUGGUUGGAGGCUACUCAAAUCCGCUUGUGUGAGCAAAAGUAACUCUUGGGAAAAAGUGUAGCCUUGUCAGAAAUUAUCAAAACAAUAUCCUUAUCCUGAGGACGGUUGUAAAGCUUAUGUGGAACUUUUGAAUUUCUUGCUUCCUAUUUUUUGGUGAUUGACUUACGCUAUUGCUAAACUUGAGGGAAGGAGUUGGUAUACUGCCUCAUGAUCAACGUGUCAACUGGAAAUGGAUUUUCUAUUCGUUUCCUGUGAUGGUUUUGAUAUGUGGAUUUUUUGAACAAGUAGUUGUUCAUUCGGUAAAGCUUUGUGAAACAUCAACGGUGGAGCUAGGUAUCAGGUCAUGUGAAAAGACAGUAGGUCAAGAAGUGUGUUGGAUCAUGAGAUAACAUAUUUUCUAAGUUGUGAAUCAUGUGUGUUAACACCAUGGGUAGUAUGAGAGAAGGUCAGCAUGCAUGUUUGGGUCUAAAAUGACCUCACGACCAAGAAAAGGAGAAAAACAUGGCUAAUAUGAAUACAAACGAUAUGGAAGUUACUUGAUGCGUGGAUGUUAACUAUGGUUAUGCAACCACACAAGAUGUCAGAGGACCCGCAUCCAUACAUAUCAAGGUUGACUUCAUGUGCCAACUGGAUUUCGUCUAAAUUAUUGUAUAUGUAUGUAUGUUAUAUCUUGACAUCUUACCAAACAAAAAACACCAAAAAAAUACACUAUUUACUUCACUUUGAUGCAUAUUCUAGUUGAAGGGUAAUCAUAACCUUAUGUGGAUAUAUUUUCCAUAAUAGAAUCUAUAAUGGUCUAGUGAGGCAAGGUGUAAAUGGAGAGGACAAUAGUCGAACAUGAAAACAUCCAACAUUGUGUCAUACUUGCAUCUAGUUGUCUAGUGAGUAAAUAUGGAAAUGGAGGAGGCUCAUAGGGCAACACGAGAACACCACACAUGUUGAGACCGAGACUAGUUAAAGGUUAAUCAUAACACAUGGACAAGUUCUCUCAUACAAGAUGAAAAUGGAGUGAGUCUUGUAUGAAAAUGCUAACAAAGUAUGAGUGUGCAUAGCAUGCCAUCCCCUCCCUUUCUUGUUUGAGUUUCCUUCACCAACCCCAUAGUACCCUGAUCAACACUAUUAUUUGAAUAUGCUUCUCAUCUGAGAAAGAAUAGUUAUUGAGAGAUAGUUAUAUCAUUGUCUAGGUAGAAUUGUUAAAGGGGCAAUAAUGGAGGUGUCUUAUCUAUUAUAGCCACAUUCCGGAGAAGAAUAAAAAAAGUAGACACAACCUGAUAAUUUAUUGAGAUUUGAAUUGAGGAUUCAACAUACAUCAACUAUCCUACAUGUGAAUCAAAUCCACAUCCUACAUGGGCAUUGGGAUUUAGUUGGACUACCACUUUAUGGACAAGCCAUGUGCUCCAUGUAGUCUAUGUUGCAAAGGCGGGAGGACAAGGAGCAAAUAGUUUUCAAUGGCUGGACAUUGAAGUUAUUUGUCAAAAAUUUCUUUCCCGACAUGGUUUGUUUAUUUCAUUGUUUAGUAUUUGAUAUCGGUUCAAUGCUCUAGUGUGGAACCUUCUUCUCAAAUUUUGGGUCUAGCUCUUGGUGUUCAUGAGUUCAUUAAUUAUGUUAACUAUUAUUGGUGUGCCCACUUAUUCGACAAGAGACUAUAAAGGUAACUAAGAUACUCCAGUAUUUAUAUUAAUAUAGCUAGCAUUGAGGUAAUCAUCAACCUUGAAUAUUACUCAUAUUUGUCAAAUAGGAGGUCAAGCUGGAUCUUUCUGGCGCAUCAUCUGUGGUCACAUAUGGUGUAUUGUAUAUUCUAAACCCAAUGAGUAUCGUAGAAUGACAUGUCCCUACGAGGAGGAAUGAGUCACUCUUUUGUGUAAAGGGGUGAUGCCAUGCCUAAUAAUUGAUAAUCAAAAAUUAACCACCUACAUCAAAAGUCUAACCCAAGACAGGGAAUAUGUGCCAUUGCAAUUUUAUCGCACAAAGUCAUCUGUAUUUUGCAAUUGAAUGUUCCCCAUGUUGUGACUGAGAACACAAAAAACAAAACACCCCACAAAACCCUAUUUACUUCUCAUCGAUGUAUAUUCUAGUGGAAGGGUAGUCAUAACCAUAUGGGAAUAUUUUUCCACAAUAGAAUCUAUAAUGGUCUAGUGAGGCAAGGUGUAAAUGGAGAGUAUAAUAGGCGAACAUGGAAACAACCAACAUUGUGUUGUACUUGCAUCUAGUUGUAUAGUGAGAUAAUAUGGAAACGAAGGAGGCUCAUAGGGCAACAUGAGAACAGCCAACAUGUUGCUCUACUUACUUCCUAUUGGUACCAAGGGACUGAGACUCGACCAUGGUUAAUCAUAGCACAUGGACAAGAUCUCUCAUACUAGUUGAAAAUAGAACGAAUCUUGUAUGAAAAUGCUAACCAAGUAUGAGUGUGCGUAACAUGCCAUCUCCUCCCUUUCUUGUUGUAGUUUCCUUCACCAACCCUCAUAGUACCCUGAUCAGCACUAUUAAUUUGAUGUGCUUCACGUCUGCGUUAGAAUUGUGAUUGGGAAUAGUUGUAUCAUUAUCUAGGUAGACUUCUUCAAGGGGAAAUAAUGGACAUGUCUUAUCUAUUAUAGCCAGAUUCCGGCUAGGAAUAAAAAAGUAGACAUAACAAGAUAAUUUGUUGAGAUUUGAAUCGGCAAUUCAACAUACAUCAACUAUUCUACAUGUAAAUCAAAUCCCCAUCCUACAUCGGCAUUCGGAUUUAGUUGGACUACCACUUAAUGGACAAGCCGUGUGGUCCAUGUGGUCUACGUCGCAAAGGCCAGAGGACAAGGAGAAAAUAGUUGUCGAUGAUUGGUCAUUGAAGUUAUUUGUCAAGAAAUUUGUUUCCCGGCAUCAGUGGCUGAGCUAGCAUUUGACAUCAGGGUGGUCCGACCCCCUAAAAAUUUAACAAGAAAUAUGACAUCUGGGCAUUCUAACUACUUACCAAUAUGACACAAGUUCUCCCAGCUUGCUCUUCGGCCACAUUUCACAUAUUCAUUGCCUUCUUCUUCCCUAUCUUCAUAGCUUCUCUUUGAAAAGAGAAACAAUGUCUCCGGUCCUCUUCAUUCUUCAAAAAUUCUGCAAUAAAAUUUAGUUUCUAUCAAUAAAGCUAAUUGAGGCAGAAAUGAUAUGCAAAACACUACAGGAAACAGGUAAUAUGCCGUCUGGAGAUCACAGACGGCAAAGACCGAAAUCCAGACGGCAAAGAUUUUGCCGUCAGGAAGCAGACGGCAAAAUCAGACGGCAAAGAUAAGUCGACAAAGAAUAUUUUGCCGUCAGCUUUUCAUUUGCCAGACGGCAAACACUUUGCUGUCAGCCGAACCUUCUUUGCCAUCAGCCUUAUAAAUCAUAGACGGCAAAGAAAUGCAGUUUUGCCGUCAGUCAGAGUACAUGUUUGCCGUCAGCUAUUCACGUCUUUGCCGUUAGCCUCGUAUACCACAGACAGCAAAGAAGUUAAUUAAAAAAACACAACAGCAUUGCUCCCGAGCGAUGCGGUCAACUCAUGCGAGUGCAAAUCUUUCUUCUUCUUUUUUAACAGGGAAAGGCCAUCCGUGUGUAGUGCCAUUCAUUUAACGUUAUUGGAGUACAAAAUGCAAAUAUGAGCCCGAACCAAAACUAAAGUUACAGAGUAGUUCAGGAAAUUAACACAAAGGACCCUAACAAGUUAAACUGAAAAGCAAUCGGGUCCUUCUCCACUCCGGUGCUCUGCCCGCCCCGCUAUCCAGCCCGACGCUCGCCUUUCCUCUCUGCCAUGCUCUGCUCGCCGCUCCGCCGCCCGGCCCUGCUCAGCCGUGCAGCUCCGGCCCAGCCGCGCUCGGGAGCUGACUUGCUCCGGCGCCGCGGAGAGGCACGCGAGGGAGGUCGGGGAUGGCCGGUGCUCAACCGGCGGAGCGCCCGGCUGCUCUAGCGACGGAGCUUGCGAGGCGGAGCGCAGGACCGGCAGGUGAGGAGGAGCUCGGGGUGUGGACGGGUUCGGGUGCGCGGCUGGAGGAGCUGGGGUGGGCAAGGCCGACCGGUGAAGUCGAGCUGGCGAGGUAGAGCUUCACGCGGCGCUGGCGGUGUGGCGGACGGAUGGGCGGGAGGGCGCUGGGCGUGGCAGCGGACGGAAGGGGCUCGCCGUUGCUGGCCACGGCACGCGGCUGCUCGGGGACAAGAGGCGCUGGACGGGGGCGCCGGACGGGGGCGCUGGACGGGGGCGCCGGACGGGCAGGCGGCGCUGAACGGGGGCGCCGGACGGGCGGGCGGCGUUGGCCGGCGGCGUGUGGCUGCUCAGGGGAGAAGGAGGGAGGAGGGUGCUGGCACGGGGGAGAAGGAGGGAUGGCACGGCGGCGUGCUAAUGCUCGUGGAGAUGGAGAGAAUGAGAGAUGAGGGAGCACGGGGGAGAAGGAGGGAAUCGUGGGUGGGGCAGCCGGGCAGGUACGGGGUGGGGGCGCGUGCGUCGUGGGGUGGGUUGGGAUGGGAUGGGCGCGCACGACGGUCCUGAGUGGGCUGAGAUGUGUGUCUAAGAUGAUGCCAAGUCAUCAAUCCGUGUGCUCGAUCCGUGUGGUGUGCUUCUUCUUUGCCGUCUGCGGAAACAAAUACAGACAGCAAAGAGCUCAAUUUGCCAUCUGCGAAAAAACACAGACGGCGAAGAUUCUUUGCUGUCUACCAAAACAAACACAAACGGCAUAGAUGCUUUGCCGUCUGUGAUUUUUGUUGCAGACGGCAAAGUGAGCUAUUUGCCGUCUGUAUUUUGUUUCACAGACGGCAAAGUUUAUUCUGCCGUCAGUUUUUCUUUGCCGUCUGCCGAUGACGGCAAACACUUUCUUUGCCGUUUGCCCAACGAAAAGCUGACGGCAAAGACGACUCCUGACGGCAAAUUAGCUGUUUCCCGUAGUGAAAUUAUGUAUGUGUUCAUCAAUUCAUGAUAGUGCAGUGCAAAAAAGCAAACCCUAAGUCAAAAAAUAGGGGGUUUCAGUACCUUAAAUUUGAUUUGCACAUUUGCUAUGAAUCUGUGAUGCUACCGCUGGACGGCUGGAGACUUGCUGGUGAGCGGCACCUUCGACGGUCGUCGGUUUUGCAGGGAGGGCUGAGGGGGCGCAGGCAGUGGGCGGGCGGGCGGCAGGGCCAGGCGGCCACGGCUCCUGCUCGUCAAGGGGCGCGGGCGAGCGGUGGAGGCAGCGACGUCCUGGAGGGCAGCGAGGGGGAGGGGAGGCGGCCGGCGAGGAACAACGGCGCCGCGGCGGUGAGGGCGUGAGGCGAGGGCUUCGGGGCGUCCUCUCCUCUGCCUCGAUGUGGAAUGAGCAAAGUUUCAAAUCGCGGGCGAAAUUGGCGCUAUUGCUGCGCUAUCGCGGCUGGAGAGCCUUCCCGUACGCUAUGCCUAAUUUUCUGCGAUUUGCCGCUACCGCCGCGAUCGCUGCGCGAAACAACAAUAAGUGGCUUAGCUGUCGCUACAGUUUCGCUGGAGUGGCUGAGAUUCAUUUUUAACGGGCUGAAACAUAGGCCCGAAACAAAUCGUAGCCCAAAUUUCCUCUGAUAGAGCAGCAUGUCCAGAAACCUUAUCUUCAUUAAAUCCUCUCACUCCCAUCUAAAAAACUUGCGGUGGGUGCGGCUAGGUGGGCCGGUGUUUGCUUCGCCGCAAGCCGGAGUCAGCGACGAGCGAGGCGGCGACCAGGGCUCCGACAGGAGGCUGCAUACUCAGUAGCUCUAGUACUUUGUCUUUUUGCUGUUAUUGAUCCAUCCCAGUCGGUUUUCUGAUUCAGUAGGGAUGUUGUCUUUUUAUUUGCGGGGAGGAUAUUGACUCAUUUAUGACUGAAUUUAUACUGCCAAUCCUCUGUUUUCUGCUGAAAAUCCUCUGUUUUUUAGACAAAAACAUGCAUAUGUACUUUUGCCGCUAAAUGCCUUAGCGGCCGCUAUCGCCCGCUAUAGCGGCCCUAGCGUUUUGAUGAGCCAGCCGCGAAAUGCUUUUUCCUGCGAUCUUAAAGUUUGGGAACAAGAGCUCGUGGCCUCCUGGGCUAUGGCUGAACGACAGAACGAGGGCUGGCAAUGAUAUUGGGUCAUCUGUUUUUUUUGGCCCAGUUAAAUACCCAUGGUAGGCUGCUCCAAAAUCCCCUCAGCCCGUGCCCGACAUGGUUCAUUUAAUUCAUUAUUUAGCAUUUGAUAUGUGUUCUAUGCUCUAAUGUGUAGCCUUCUUCUCACGAUUUGGGUCUAGCUGUCGGUGGUCAUGAGUUCAUUACUUAUGUUAACUACUAUUGUUGUGUCCACUGGUUUGCCAAGAGACUAUAAAGUUAACUUAUAUCCUCCCGAAUUUAUAUUAAUAUAGUUGGCGGUGAGGUAAUCCUUGACCUUGAAUAUUACUCACAUUUGUCAAAUAGGAGGCCAAGCUGGAACUGUCUGGUGCAUCCUCUAUGGUCACAUAUGGUGUAUUGCCUAUUCUAAACCCAAUGAGUAUUACAUUAUGGCAUGUGCCUGCGAGGAGGAACGAGUUACUCUUUUAUGGCAUGUGCCUAUUCUAAACCCAAUGAGUAUCACAUUAUGGCAUGCCUAAUAAUUGUCAGUGAAAAAUUAAUAGCCUACAUCAGAAGUCUAACCCAAGAAAGUGAAUAUGUGCCAUUGUAACUUUCCAACACUAAGGGCCUGUUCUGAUCUCCUCCCGCUCCACGCUUCACUAAUUCCUGGAGCAGAUACGAGUCGAUCGAAAUAGCAGCGAGAAGCUAUCUCGAGGAAGCUAGGAUCGACCGCAGUGCAAAAUCGUGAAGCAGACUCGGCCCAGCUCCACCGAUCCGGAAAGCUGAAGUUAGCCAAUAUUAAAAGUGAACUGCCACCACCAAGUCAAACGAGCCGAACCGGUACGCUUGAUCUGUUUGAUCGCUCUUCGUUCCCUCACUCGUGCUCCCUCACUGCUCCUCUACAAGGCCGAUUUGGGCUGCCUCCAAUCGGACAAACUAGCCCGAACAAGCCACGACCCUUCUAGCUGGGUUGUAGUGCAGCGAGAAGUUGCAAACCGAGCCGAACAGAUUUUUCAUCGCUGCUUGGAGUGAGAAGCUACUCGGAAAAGUUGAAUUUCUGAAGUUUUGGGAAGCUAAAGGAGAUCAGAACAGGCCCUAAGUCAUCGGUAUUUCAUAAUUGAAUGUUCUCCAUGUCGUGACUUUUGAUGGUGUAAACCCAAAUAAUCGCCAUUGUGAAAUUAAAUUCCUCCCGUGAGUCGAACCCACAUCCGUAAAGAUGUGCCACUACAAUCCACCUCAUGGCUAUCUUGGAGUGCUCAGUAUAAUCAAGUGUGCCCAAUAUGGUGACUUAAUAUGUACUUAUUGACCCUAGGAAGCUAAUCGCCUCCAUCAAGACACCUUCCUGUUUCUCCUAUAACUAGAUUCCCCGAAACCACGAGAAUGCCUAGAAUGGGAUUACAACUUAGCACCUUUUGUUUUCAAAUGUUAAGAAGAGUUGCUCCUUGGAGAGCACGGUACGAUCAAAGUUGUAACCUGUGUUUCGGAGGGAGUUAUUGUCUUGAAACUUUGUUCUCAACUAUUCUGAUUCCAGCAAACAAAGGCCAUUGGGUCAAAGCUGUAGCGCACGCCCUGUAGUUUUCAAGUGGGGCGAGACAACUUUUGCUAGGAACCUAUUUUCAUUCUGACCAGCUCCCUGAAAACAAUGUUCGACUUCAUGUGUAGUCGGUGUAGAUGUGUCAUUGCAAUUCCACCACUAGGAUAUCACCAAUUCCUAUGUAUUACAUGACAACAUAUGCCACCAUAUGGUGACUUGAUAAAUUAAAUGGAUUUCACCAAGCUUUCCUGUUACAGUUAUAGUGAAGAUAGUGACUCACCUGUCAGCCUCCCCGGCGGGAAGCAAAAUCACUCUGACUUUGGCAACCUAAUUUUUGGUGGAUUCAAGCAAACAUGUUGGAUUUGUAUUUUAUUUAUUUCAACAUAUAUAAUUCAAAUAAAUGAAUCAAUUCAUACUAGGAGUCUUGGAGGCACCCAUGUCAAUAAUGUGAAAUUAUGGGAAAUCUUAUUAUGUGCAUCAACAUAAGCCAAAACUCGUGGCUUAAGAGAUAUGUGUACAAUCUUCCAAUGGUUAUGCCCCCCUACUAAAUUCAUGAUGUUAACCAGUUCCCAGAAGUUGAGAAAGAACUUUAGUCAUGGGAUCAAUGUCCAGUGCAUCAUAUUUCCAGUUCCCAAAAAAAUUUAUUAUGGAACGUUGAGAAAGAAGUUUGGGCAACAUAUUUCCAGACACCUGUCAUGUCUAGGAUCGUAUCAAGCCUAGGUAAGCUUAGUCAUGGGAUCAAUGCAGGCUAUUUGUACGCUGACCCGGUUCUUAACUCAAGUCCUCCUUGCUUGAUACAAUAUUGAAUGGAAAGUAUAUAAUCAAUUUACUUAAGUGGGUGAACAAUGUUGGCUAGUAUAUUUCAACACUCACCUCACAUGCAUCUUUUAGGGGCAUAUAAUGCAUCGUUAUGGAAACAUUUUUUCUAUAGACUAAAUUCCAAUGGAAAAUUUUAAUUAAUUUAAUUAGUAGCAAUCUCGUAUGGCAAGGAUAUAUGGCAAAUGAAAAUGAGGGCCCAAAUGCUACUUGUUGGCACACAAAAAUAAAGUUAUCUUUUUCCUCUCAUGUUGAUCCUCCGUGGUUCGACAUUGGGCAUUACAAAGAGAUCAAGUUAUCUUUACACACCGCUAGAGCUACCAGACCCCGGAUGUUCCACCAUGAAUGUCCAUAUGGUGCAAUGAGUGAUAGCGAGCUAUAUUAGAACAUAUAGUUUACACAGUUAAAGUAAUUAAAUGGGCUAUUUUGCCUACUAUGAAAAAUAUUAUUUCAAGAGAAAACUAUGUAAGAGUUUGUGAUCUUUGUAUGUAAAAGCAUUAUUUGCCUUUGCUUGGUGUUCAAGCAGUUUGAUUUAUGGCAAAAAUGGAAAAUCAUGGGACAAUAAUUGUUGAUAUUCUUUGCGGGAAAGCGAGAUGUUUUCACUUUUCAGCUCAAACAAAGUAUUGUUUUUCUUAUAGGGGUGAUAUACAGUGUUCGUGGACUUGUGAUUCGUUGUCCAUUUAAAUUUGGUUUCUUCCAUAGAUUAUGUUGGUUUGUUUCUGUAUUUAUAUCAGCACUAAAGUAUACUGAUGUUAGCUAAGUCCACUCAAAGGCCCAUGUUUUUAUCAUGUUAUGCAAAUUAGUAAGCUAAGAUCUUACCAAACUCAAGUUACAUAAGCCCAGACUACGUGAAAUACACAUCAUGCAGUACACAUGUUCAUCUUAGUGUUAUGUCAUACUUGGCUCCGAGAUAACAAAUGGUAUCAAUUAUUACUAUCUUUUGCAGCUUGUUUCUGCCUGUUCAUCCUAGAAUUAUGUUAUGUGGUCUCCCAAGGUUCAUGCAACUUGGAUUUUCAUACUUUGGUAGUAUUAGUGUUCACUAGGACUAGGUGCCACUCUAUAGAAGUUGAGGAUACAGAUGGAGAAAGUAGUCAUGGUUUUUAUUUUUCAAAUUGUUGGUUUAUAUCUAUAAGAGGUUUAUGAAUUUUCAGUUUAUGGUGUUGUGAAACCUAGAGUGUUUUAUCUCAUUUAACAUUGAACUACGCUUGCACGGAAAAACCUUAAUUUGACAUCGAACUAUGCAUGCAGGGCAAACACUCCGUGCAUCGGUGCCACCGCGCCGCGAACCCUGGGAGCUUGAACCUGGAUGGGUGUGAACUUAUGAUUGAUGUCAAGGUUAGGGGUCAGUCAUGGAUAGAGAAUAAAGGCGACUUUGCGAAACUGUUAUUAAUAAUAUGGAUGAACAUUGCCUUGUGCAGAGAAUAAGAUAUUUCCAGAGAUAUUUAUAAAUGGAUGCAUACUUGCAAUAGCAGUACAAAAUAUGAUGCUGACAUUUUAUUUUCAUUGUUGUUCCCAUUAAACUUCUGGUGAUGGCUCCAUUAUUCAAAGCCUCACACAUGAAAAUGUUAUUUCGUUCGAGUAAAUGUUGCGUGUCGUUGCUCCUGUAGUUUUGCGGUUUGCAUCUCCUUGUAACUUGUGAGUUGGAUUUUGGGAAGUUGCAAUGCAAAUUUGGGAUGCAGGGAAGAUAAUAAACAAUGCUUUCUAAGAACAUUGGAUAUUGGAUGCGACUCAGAAAGAACGCAUGCAAAUGCAAGAUGCAAGACGUAGUAGCCAAUGUCCAGGUUUAUUAAGAGCAUCUACACCGGACGCCUCAUAUCUGCCACAAUCGCCACGGCGUGCUGCCCGAUCUGUACUAGGAUGCAAAAUUGCCACCCAACAGGACCUGUAAAAUCCGGCCCAAAUGUAUAGACAUGACCGCACUCCCCAUACCCAGCCCAUAUCUCGGACGGAUAUGUGGAAGCCCAGAGGUGCCCGGACACACCCGCCAGGUAGGAUCCGGCCGACUGCGGCACACCCAACCCCACAUAAAUUGGACCCUAUCCGCACUCCGAGCGAAACCCAAGCCGCAUUCGACUCCACUCUACUCCUCGCCAGGCCACUCCCCUCCACCCACAAGCCCCAUUUGCGGAUCUCCCACCAUUUCGAGCCGUUGAACUGCUGAUCGUCCCACGCGGCCCCAAGGAGGAGAUGGUCGACUGCCUGGCGCUUCUCCACUACCGGAGGAGUCUGCCCGGCAGCGGUCGAAAUCCAUCUUGCGGGAAUCCAUUGCUUCUGCCACAAUGGUGCAUGGAUCCCGCCCGAGGGCAGUCGCCGCUGCCUCAGCAGAGGCAGUGCAGUCCGUCUGGUGUCCGAACGCCGUGGAGGAUAUGCAACCACUUUGUUGGCGCACUGAGAAAGAGAUGCACACCAGCUUAACGUCUGAUACAAAUAUGGUGUGGCGCAUCCAUCGUGUUAGGCAAUGGGCACGGGAGCACGUGGCUGCCCUCGUGCCAGACACCAGAGGGGUAGACUCGCACUCUUCGGUGCCUCGUAUCGUACCCGGCAGCCCUUGGCACCGAAAUCAUGUCGUGUUGGACGCGGCUGGCUCCACCAUGAUGGAUCAAUUAUCGACCUGGCAUCCACCGAUGACAGGCAGGGCACGGGCUCCAACGAGAAAGAGUAGGCCAUGGGAGAUGGCGCCGACUCGAGUUUCUUUUGCCGGGUCGUGUCCCAUGUCCUACUCUACCUCACCGGAGAACGACCCUCCACUUCGACAGGCUAAGACAGCCAACGGACAUGGACAGGGUUGGAACAACAAGGACAGUCGCUGGCGCAAAUUUAGACUACAGCCGUCGACGCGAGGUGAGCGCGGCACGAGUUAAUCGCUGAAGAGGUUGGGCCCUUCUGUCGCUCCUGGUCGUGCAGUAGCCGACGUAGUCCUCCAUGACCACUAGAUCGACGCCGCCACCACUGCAUGUCUAGGCGUCUCUGUAGUGGCUGAUGUCAUUAAAGUGUAUUUUCUUUGUAUUGUGAUGAUUGCAGACUGUGUUGCGUAUUGUGGCGUAUUUUCUUUGUAUUGUCAUGAUUGCAUACUGUACAAUUUAUUGUGGCAUAUUUUUUGUGGUCUAUCUUUAAAAAGAAAACUAUAAAUAGCUAAAAGUGAUGUGCAGAAUAAAUGUAUACCCGCCACUACAAAACAAAUGCCAGUACUGGCACAUAUUUUUGCCCGCCAUUAAUAGCAAUGCCUGCCACUACUACAAGAUUGAGGUCGAUGGCGGGCUGUUUGUAACGCCCGCCACUGUUAUAGUCAUCUGUGGGAGGUGGAGCGCCCGUCACUAAUGCCAUGUUGCUAGUGGCAGGCGCCUCUGAAAGCCUCACCCAUCAUUGCUAGGCUUUUGAUGCCGCCACUCCUACGCAUUCCUGUGGUAGUGUGCAAUUGCGUAUCUAGUAGAACAUAUACAACUAUCCUCCCAACAAGCAGUUUCGUCCUACCAUGAAGUUAUAGUCGCGUUGAAGACAUUCAUUUAUAAUCGAAAGUGACGUUGCAGUUGCAUAUCAAGUAGGAGAUAUUUAACUGCCUAAUGAAAAAACACUUUGUUCCCUAAGUUACAGUCGCGUUGGAGACAUGCAUUAGCGAAACGACACCACCUGUAGUUGCGUGUUUGGAGUUAGACAUGCAACUAGCUCCACAGUAAUAAUCUGAAUUUUAAGUUUUAAUGAAUUUUAAAUUAAAGAAAAAAAAUAAAAGAUGAAGAUAUAAAAACAGAAAUAGAGCAAACAAACAAUAGGAAAAAUCCUAAAAAAGGCAAAAACAAAGAAAGGAAAAACUUGUUUGAAGUUUCUAGAAGCUUCAUAAAACCAGUAGAAAGAGUCCUACAUGGGCCGGCCCACUCACACAUGUAAAAAGAGGCGGGCGAGGCAUAUGUCGACUAGCUCAGAGUUGGGGAAUCCUAUUCCGCGCAUAGGUCGCUACGUAGCGACCUAGCACGUACCCCUCGGGUUUGUGGUCCUCUUCGAGUCGGUCCAUUCCAGGUUCUUCCCCAUACCGGUUUUUAGGAAGGUUCCAGACCUUUUUUCUAUUUUCUUUGUUUUCUUCUAGUUUUUUCUUUCUUUUAUAUUUUAUAUAUUACUUCUUAUUUUCUUUUAUCUUAACUUUUCCUUUUUGGUGUUGCCAACAUAUUUUCAAAUUCAUAAACUUUUAUUGAAAUCAAGAACAGGUUUUGAGUUGACAAACAUAUAUCUGAAAUAAUAAACAUUUUCUAAUUUGACAAUACAUUUUGGAUUCACAAAAUAACAAAAAAAUUAAUUUUGAGAACAUUUUUUAAAAAAUUCUGAACAUUUUUGUCAAUCGGCCGACAUUUUUUGAAUCGAUGAACAUUUCUAUGAAUUGACAUAUGUUUUUUGAAUUGGCAAACAUUUUUUGAAUCGAUGACCAUUUUUUGAAUCAAUGAAUAUUUUUACAUGAAUGAACAUUUUUUGAAAUUCACAAUAAAAAAAUUUAUGAACAUUUAAAAAACUUGUUGAAUAGUGCUUGUAUCUCAAAUUCCGUCCUGAUUAAUUAAAGUGGUGAUACCUAUCAAAAGAAAAUAGCUACGGUUGGCACAAAAUUUACUGCAAAUUAAUCAUGUGAUGAAAGACUUAGACGUGACAUAGGUUUUUUAUGGACCCUGAUAAGUGCCACACGUCAGGGACGUUCUCAUGACAACAUUGAACAUUUUUAUGACAAGUUUAGUUGCACGAUGAUGGCAAAUUUAAUUGAAAAUCAUGAAAACUUUCGUUAUUUAUCUUAUUUUGAUAGAAACUUGUCGUGUGUCACUGGAAUUUGCGAUCCUUGGAUGACAAUAAUAUCCAUCAAAAAAGUCAGACCCAAAGUGCCAAGCACCUGACGUGUAAGACCUAUCAUUUGGAUACUUUAUACCUAAGAUAUUAUUUACCAAAACCAUAGCUGAGACAUUUUCCCCAAUGCAGGCGGGGCCGAUGAAAAGUCGAACCCCUUGCCAACCUACUCAAAAUGUGUACACGGUCUCCCUUCGUCCCGAAAUACUUGUCGGAGAAAUGGAUAUAUCUAGAUGUAUUUUAGUUCUAGAUAGAUCCAUUUUUAUGCAUUUCUACGACAAUUAUUUCCAGACGGAAGGAGUAGUAAGUAUAUAUUUGUUUCUAAAUAUAAAUAAAUUACUAUUAAAUACUACUAUACCAAAGAUAUAAGAACAUUAAAUACAAGUAUACCAAAGAUAUACCUAAAUAUAAGAAUAUUUAAUACUAGUAUACCGAAGAUAUUCUACAGUUAAAUUCUAUUAACUCUGUUCCAAAAUAUAAGAAUAUUACUAUAAAAUACUAUUAGUUGUGUUCAAAUAAUUAGUAAUAGAGAUAAUAUUCUUUAGUAGUGAUAUAUCUUUAUUGCUCAUUAAAUAUAAGAAUAUUACUAGUAUUAAAUACUAGAAUCCUAAAGAUAUAUCUAAUAGUAUACCAAAGAUAUACAACAAUUAAAUAAUAUUACCUCUGUUCCAAAAUAUAAGAUUGUUACUAUUACCUCCGCCUGGAAAUAUUUGUAAUCAAAAUGAAUAAAAAAGGAUCUAUCUAGAUGUAUUUUAGUUCUAGAUACAUCCCUUACUAUGUGUUUUGAUCACAAGUAUUUUCGGAUGGAGAGAGUAUUAAAUACUGUCACAGCUAUUCUUAAAUUUAGUAACAGAGAUAAUAGUAUUUAAUAGUAGUAUAUCAUUGUUCCAAAAUACUCCCUCCGUCGCAAAAUUCUUGUCUUACAUUUGUCUAGAUACGGAUGUAUUUAACACUAAAAUGUAACUAGAUACAUUUGUAUUUAGACAAAUCGAAGACAAGAAUUUUGGGACGGUGGGAGUAUUUGAAUAUUACUAUUAAAUACUAGUAUACCAAAUAUAUAUUUAAUACUAUACCAAAAUAUAAGAAUAUUUAAUAGAAAUAUACCAAAGAUAUGCUACUAUUAAAUGCUGGUAUUAAAUAAAUAAAUUUGUAGUUCAACGUGCGGUCCCCACCUUGGCCCGUGCCUUCCGUUUCAGUUCAUAAAGGGCAACACAUGCUUCUGCUCCUCGCUCUCAUCGACCAACUCCGCGUGUCUGCUCAACCGAUCCACCGCGAUGUCUAGCUCCGACGUCAGUGCCAUACCCGCAGCCAACCACGAGGAGCACAGCCUGGUGGCCCCCGCCCCGUCCCCUGCAGACGCUGUCGCCCAGGGGAAAGGGAAGGUGCUUGCGCAACAGGCGCCUGCGCCGGUGGUUCGCAAGCGCAAGCCCGGGAGACCCCAGGAAAAAAGCCCGCCCCCAACGGCCACCAGAGAGGAGCUGGAAUCCCGGGAGUCCCGGGAAGGCCCCUUGAAGGUGCUUGUGCUCCUGGCGCCAGGGGCCCCGCGUACUCACGCUGUCUUCGGCGACAAGAUGAUGAGACACGCUCGCGCCCUCGCCCGGCAUGCAAAGGCUGUCUCCGACGACAAGAUGGUGAGCCGUGCUCGCGCCCCCACCCUGCAUGCAAACCGUGUCUCCGAUGACAAGAUGGUGAGCCGCACUCGCUUCCCCCUCUCCAACUAGUAAUUUGAAGUUAACUCGGUGCCUAAUGAUUUGAAGUUACUGACAAUCUUUAAUCCAGUCAUGUGAAUUGUACUAGUGCUUACUGAAUUACCUGAUGUGUAUGUGCAUGAACUACGUGGUGUGUACAUGUCCUUGGAUUUUCUAAGCACUGCGGUCUCAUCUGGCAGAUGGACAAGAACGAGAUGGUGCCGGUCCAGGGGGUGCCGCGCAUGCGGGGGAGCAUCGCGUCGUCAAGUGCAGUUGGUAAGUAUACUUUAUGCUGCUUUUUAUUGUCAACAUCGUCUCCAUGCAGGCUACACUGGCAAACAAGCUGCUUAACUCUUGUGCAUGCUGGUUUUUUGUCAUCACUAGUAUACUGGUAUUGGACUGAAGCUUGUUAGCUCUGUCCAUGCUGGGCCUUUUUGUCAUCAUUAGUAUUGUUAUAUAUUAGCUGAAGCUGCACAUGUUUUCUUUCCAUUGACGUUGGUGUGGGCGGUGCUACGCGUCAGUCGGCCGAUGGAUGGACGCCUUACUCACCUGAUUUUAAUCAAGUGCCACCUAGGUGUAGUUUGUUUUGUCACUAGCUGUGUAUACAUAGGCGAGCUCCAGCACUGUGUUGCAGCGUGGAAAACAUAUGAACUGUAAUAAGAAACAUGCAAUGGCUAGAAACAUGUCCACAUAUUUUUUCAGCACGUUUUAGGUGUCAACGAAAUUAGUCGGAUCGCCAGCCGUCAAAUUGACACAUGGAGCAUUGGAUCACACUACACGGCAGCAGAGAGAAUGGAAACCGUGUUCCUCCAUAGCCUCCACAAUACAUGUGUAUCCACCAUCCCUCCCACAUCGUCGCAACAGACAAUUACAUCGGCCCCUUGCAACACCUGGCUUUGGUACCCAAGAGAUCCCUGAUGUCGCUUGGAUAUCAUGCAAGUAUUAUUACAGUGCGCCAACGAGGCGUCGUCCUUGCAAGGGCCGUGGCAUGUGGCACUAUUCGUGGGAUAAAACACACACCGCGAGAAUAUGCGGUUGCACCACUGCGAUCUGUGCAACUUAGGAAUUGUUGUGACUGCCCCUGCAAAACUAGCGAUGAUACGACCAUCGCCCUGCAACAUCGGCCAUAGUUGUAGCACAUAUGAGAAGACGGAUGCCCCACCUAACAACACAUUAUGUGUUUUUUUCACCAUAAGAAAGCACUGCCUUGCAACAUCGGCUAUCAGGGUGCUGCACCGACAAACACACUCACGACCUUGAGACGUCGUAUGCCUUGGCCGAUGUAGCAUAGUGGUCCUCUUUCAGCAUAUAGCGAUGGCUUGUAGCAAUGAUGGUCGGAGAGUCGCAGCAUCGUGGAGUGGCAGUGCUAGCCCAACUCAUUGUCAUAGAGAAAGGGGAAUAAAGGAUGGGUGUGCACGUGGUGGAAAUAAAGCGAAUGGAUAUGGUCAAGAGAGAAGAAGAUUAACAAGGGGCAUCUCGCGCUAGAGCGAUCUGACUGAUUACCCCCCAAAACCAGCUUGUUGAAUAUAAUUCAAUUUUCUUUUGAGAGACAUCAUAAAAACGUCGCAACAUGCGAGCAUGUCUAUACAAAAAAUUGUAGAUAUACGACACAUACUCAUUAGCUGCACCAAAUCAGUGAACACUAGUAGAAAAAGGGAUUUUAGUCCCGGUUCAUAAGGGCCUUUAGUCCCGGUUCUGGAACCGGGACUAAAGGGUCGUUACUAAAGCCUCCCCCUUUAGUCCCGGUUCUUACACGAACCGGGACUAAAGGCUCUCCACGUGGCCGCUGCCUGGAGGUCCACCUUUAGUCCCGGUUGGUAACACCAACCGGUACUAAAGAAAAUGAUAUGCUUUUUUUUAAAAAAAAUUUAAAAAAAAUUGGAAUAUUUUUUUUAUUUUCAAAUUUUUUAACCUCUCAUCUCUAAUCACCCCUCAUCAUCUAACUUCCCAGACGGUCACCCAUCCUCACACUACUCCAGCCUGAGUACGCUUAACUUCCGGGUUCGAUUCUCCCUCGUUUCCAAGUCCGCACUUGUAGUUUUCUUGACAAUAGUAAGAUGUCAAUCCUAUUAACCUCAGGAAUUUAGCUUGAGCAUGAAGUCACACAUUUCACUGUUUGAGUUUGAAACUAUUGUUCUAAAAAAUAACACUAAUAUUUAGUAACACUAAUACUUCUUGAAUAAUUAGUUUGACCAUUGUUUGACCAGAUUUGACCAAAAUUCAAAAAAAAUGAAAUAAUUAUUUAGUAACACUAAUAUUCUUGAAUAAUUAUUUAGUAACACUAAUACUUCUUGAAUAAGUAGUUUGACCAUAGUUUGACCAGAUUUAAAAAAAAAUAAAAAAAACUGAAAUUUGAGCAUAACUUUUUUUCCUUUUUCAUAUUACGCAUCAUAUUUUGAAAAACAAUUCCCGAAAAAAAAUUCGAAACUAAUUUUUUUUUCUGUUACUAGUAAGUUUGAAAUUUUUUGACUCCAGAUCUUAAAAGCCCCGUAACUUUUUUCUGUUAGGUUUGUGAGGAUUUUGAACAUUUUUAACGGAUGUAACUUUUUGAGUAGAUGCUUUUUCAUAUAAAAAACUUUUUCAUCCGAGUUAGUAUGCAAAAGUUAUGCCCAUUUUACAAAUUCCACAGAGAUUUUGCAAAUAAAGUCGAAAUUCAUAUUUGCAAAUUUUCCCAACAACUAGACCACAAAUCACAUGGGAAACUUAUUUUCUUUUAUUUUUUGACAUUUCCGUCAUUUUCUUUUAUUUUUUAAAACUGAAAAGGCGAUCCACCGGGGGGGGGGGGGUGUUAGAGUUUGAAAAUGGGACCUUUUAGUACCGGUUCGUGCCAUGAACCGGUACGAAUGCCUCAAACGCCAUUAGUCCCGGUUGGUGGCUCGAACCGGGACUAAAGGUCUAACCUUUAGUACCGGUUGGUGCCACGAACCGGUAGUAAUGGGCAUCGAACCCUUUAGUCCCGGUUUGCGGCACCAACUGGAACUAAAAGGUCCAGACGAACCGGGACAAAUGGCCCACGUGGCCCGGCCGGCCCCCUGGGCUCACGAACCGGGACCAAUGCCCCCAUGGGUCCCGGUUCUGGACUGAACCGGGACUAAUGGGCUAACCCGGCCUGGACCAAAGCCCUCUUUUCUACUAGUGGAAAAAACACAAUGUAUAUAGGCCUGAACCGAUGGAUCAUCAGCAUGCAUCUACCAGGUCUUCCUAGGUUACGCCCAAUCGUGACUCGUUCAAUUGGGUCACACAUCACUACCCAAUCAACCACCAACUUAGUUGUUCCUCUCGUCUCCUCUACCCACCCUUCGCAACAUACACCCAUGAUUCUCAGCAAUAGACCAACAUGGAGGCGACAAUGGUGGCCAUGAUAGGCUAGUGAAAAGCACACUGGUGAUCAACCUUACAACACUAAACAGAACAUUGGAACAUGAGGUAACCCCAACUUUGUAGCACUGGUGCACCAUUUUCAUCUACCUUGUAGAAAUGAAAAGUUCAAUGACCAAUAGCAUUGCUGCACCAAGUUACUGGCUUCCAGCACUGAACACACGGGCUUGCAGCACCGCGAUGAUCGAUGGUCGGCCUUUCAACAGUAUUAGUUAACAUUCCACGGCUCGUCUCCAUUUUUAUGUACAUACACAUGAGUGAUAUUGGAACAUCAGUAACGUAUCAACCUUACCAAACAUGAAGACGAUAAAUUUGUUUCUCCAAGCAUAGACGUUACUGAAUAAGCGUGCAACUGCACAUCCACCACAUGAGCCAUAAUUUUUUAGCUCUGCGACAACAGCUUAUAGUUUCAAAAGAGUUUUGAUGAUGGUUUAGAAUGUAUAUGAUCAAAAUAGAUUAAAUGGAGGGGAGGGUGGACUACCUAUGUUGAAUCAGACUAGCCGCAAGGUCACAAGUGCCUUGUCUAAAUAGCCAAAAAGACAAAAGGAGGCCUCCUGGAUUCUCCAUCCUGAAGCUAAGCAUAACUCCAACUCCGGACACGCUAGGGGGCUAAUAAAGGUGCAAUACGCUAGGGGUGUCUUCUGGGUGGGAAGCCCGGUAGCAAGCCUGACUUAGGGCCCAAGAGGCCAAGUGGAGGACCGGUGCAAUAGGGAAGCUCAGGAGCCCAGAUAAGGACUGUUAGAGCAUCUUGGCAGGCAAGCUAAGAUGGCAGUGGUAUGAGAUCUGAUGGAUUCCUUGUAAACCUAGCCAUCGCCACCUAUAUAAGGAGGGGCUCGGGGUUGUCAUUCACAUAUACUCUCGUAGACUAUACUCUCUGUAGCAUUAUACUUCAUCUCCACUCUAAACCCCUCGCACAAGGUGCUCCACCAUGAAUAAAAAUCAGAUACAGAAUGUUGGGCAUUACCUCUCACCGAGGGCCCGAACCUAGGUAAAAACCUUUGUGCGAACUCCCUUGUCGUGUAUCCCUACAAGUUCACCACCCUACUAUGGGUACUCACGGUUUUACAUAAUGUCACAUAGUUAAGUUCUGACACAUUUUCUCUGGGGAGUUGAAGCAACUCAUGGUGUAAGUAGGUGUUGCUUGAAGCACUGAUUCUACUAGCACCUCCUUUCCCGCCUUCUAGAUACCUUGUCCUUCCUAUCCGACCACUUUGCCAUUUGAGCUUUCUUUAAGAUGUUUAAAAUUUCCUUCCUUUGACCUACCCACCACGGUUGGGAGCCCCAAAUAAUGCUCGCUCAAUGCCUUAGGAUCUGUGCAAAGAUAUUUACAACAACUUAGUCCUCCUAUUUUUCUCACUUCCCAAAGAAUGUUGAGGCUUUUUUAAAAUUUCCUAUUUGUCCCGAGGCCCACUCGUAGUCAAAGAGGAUAUAUUUAAGGUUACAAAGUUGCCAUUUGAUGGUUGAAGAAAUACUAUACUAUCAUCUGCAGAAAUAAGAUGGGCUACAUGGGGGUUAGUGCUCCCAAAAGAUAUACCAUUGAUCUCUUUAUCUUUGAGCACUCAUGAGAAAGGCCAAGAAACUCGCAACAUAGAAAAUAAAAAAAUAGGGAGACCGUGGGUCUCCUUGCCAGAGCCCUCUUCAUUGUAUAAAAAAUACAUAACACACUCCUUUCAAUUUGAUAGAAAACUUGGCCAGGGUACCACACAUCAUAAUCAUCAAGAUCAACCUAUGCGAGAAACCAAGUGCCCUCAUCAUUAGAUCAAGGAAAAUCCAAACCACCCUCUUAUAGGCCUUCAUCAUGUAUAGUUUAAUUGCGAACAUUGGAUUUUUCUAUUUCUUGAACGAACAUACUUUGCUCCUGAGUGAUCAUUAUGGAUAGGACAACCUUCAAUCUCUUUGCUAGGCCUUUGAAGCAAUCUGACUGAGUGUGUUCAAUAAGUUGAUUGAUCCAAUUUAAGGAAGUAUCUCCACAGGUAAUUUUGGGGAUUAGGACUGGAACCAUAUCAAUAAAGUUUGUGAAAUAACUCCAUUAAAAGAAUCACCUAUUACUAUGCGUACAUCAUUUUUUAGAAAUAACUAGUGAAAUUGGUAAAAAUAAGUGAGAGGUUUGUCUAGCCCCUGCGCUCUUGCCAGUCAAAUUUAGAAUAGUGCAUUCUAAAUUUCUUCAUCCAUCACGUCCGUGUUCACCCUCUCCUCCAUAUGACUAGUCACACAGGGUCGGAUGUGAGCUAAGAUGUUGUCAGCAUCAGCAGAGGCUUCUGAAGAAAACAACUAAGCAUAGAAAUUGGCCGAAAUCUUCCCCAUCUCAUUGUCAAUAGUACAACUCGUGCCAUCCGCCCUCAUGUUUUGAUCGUCUUCCUUGAGAAAUUCCAGUCGGGAACAUUGCAUACACAUUAUUUGUUCCUGUGCACGAACCACAUGAAGCUACGCUUCAAUCUCGCUGGUCUUCAGCGAGGAUGUCUGGAUCCCAAUGCUCUACCCUUUCCAUCGAAGCUGGAACUUGUGCCUAGUAAUCUCACAACAUACAAGACAAAAUACAGAGCCACUUCAAUGUUUCAUAUCAUUUGUAACAUUGUUACGCUUCCUGUAGAGCUCACUCUGUCUGGAAUUGUUAUCACAUGCACACUAUCAUGCUUCCAUGGGCAUCCACCUCUCCUCAAACGUUAAUGCCCUAUUCUUACAUUUGGUAAUGACUAGGUUUUCUAGCGCUCUAUUAACGAGCAAACCAUGGUCUGAUCCUCCAUGACAACAUGUUCAAUGGGUGUAUCCUACAAUGAAUGCACAAAUUCAUCAUUGCAUGGACCCCUGUCCACAUGUACAUAAACGAUCUCAUCCCGCUUCCUCUUAUUGUCCCAAGUGUACAGGUUGCUACUAAAACAAAGUUUUGAAACACUAUUUUUGGCUACACUCUCCCUAAUGCGCUCCAUUUGUGUGAAACUCCUCAAGUAGUAUCCUAGUUGUUGUGAUUAAAAGAAUUCUUGGUUGAGGUAUCGUUGUAACAGAUAAAUGUAUUAUUAGGAUCCAUUCUCUCGGAGCCUCCCUUAGCUACACAAAUUUUCUUCAAUCUCUCUUCCUAUCCAGUAGCUUUAGGUGAUAAUCAUUGUGACGCCUUUGGUGGUCACCAUCACCUUGCCUCGUCUUAUGAACAAAAGUGCCUCGUCUGCGUUGCUCUAAGGUAGAUGGGUCAUCUUUGCCAAUGGCCUUGCACCCUUUCCCAUAUACAUUUUUUAUGUCUUGCUUCCUUUCAUGCUCCUUUCUCAGGUCCCACUUCCUUUUUAGAUUUAAAUCAUCCCUUAGUUCACAAUCAUGUCACAGAUCUUGCCUGCAUUGGUCCUCCCUUCACUUCAUCUUAGACAGUUACCCUCUACAAGACCAUCUCGAGAAUCCUCGCCAGAGAGAGAGAGUCCAUAGAGGGCGUAUAGUCAUUGUAUGACCUGCACGUAAAUGGACAGACAUGCAACGCUACAUGACCCAUGCGCCCAUACACGCCCUUGCUUGACCUGGUGCUCCCAAAACUAAAGUUCAUGCUUUCUUUCACCGGCCUCUACUUUGUUUUUGUCUGUGAGGAGCCAUGUCCAAGUGAUGCCCUCAACCAUUCACCCAACUGGGGGUGAGGAAUCAUUUUGUGGUUCAAAUCAUCCAUCAACAUGUGCUAGUCUAUCGUAGUCAAUCCAAAAGAGAGGUAUCUUGUCAAAUUGAAAAUCAAACAAGGUCCCCUCAUCUUUUGCUGAAGAGUGGAGAAAGAAGCCUCAGACUAGUGAAAGAAAUAUGAAAAUUCUAUCUCUAAAUCUGAGAUGGUUCCCCCAUAAAUCCAUCCUUCUUAACAUCACUCUUUACCACGCCACCAGGACAAUUCCCAAGAGCAUUCCCAAAAGUAUAUGAUCAUUUAUAUAGGGGAGGAUCGGUAAUUAUCACCCAUGGCUCUGUCAUACAAAACAUUAUCUUCGAUGACCUAGUUUUUUCAUCAUAAUCCUUCAAAACUAUCAAAUUAAAACCAAAUUGCCACAUUCAAUUAUAUAUAGCGUGCUUCUAGACUCCUUUGUUAUGGAAUCUAAAGAAGAAGAUAUUAUUUCUAAUGUGACUUAUUUGGGCUUCCUAGUAGAGUCCCAUGUAUGUUGCAUAGUGCUAGCAAACACGUUGAUGUUGAUUUGCUGGAGUGAGCAUGCCUUUCCAACCACUGACCACCGAGUAGGCCUCGGUUGGUCUUGAAUCCUGAUCCUCAAACAUGAGAUCUAUUAGUUCCUUUUGGUGUCAAGUUCAGGGCUCCUUGUUAAUUUGGUUGUGAGAUUAGCUGCCUCCCAUAAAGCAUUUCCUUUUGUCAGGGACUUUGAAGGUUCUCAUCUUAACGAUCCUUGGUCGCCCUAUUCACUUGAGCUGUCAAUUUACGCCACGCCUUCUCUCCCGUCGUUGUGCAAAGGAGUGGAAGCACCAAGACCAAUCAAUGUAGGAGUUUACAAUGUCAUCACCACAUAGAUGAAUAGAACCCUAACCCUAGCACACUUGUCGGUCCCCUAUAAUCGCCCUUAGCAUUUCUUUUCAUGCUGGGCCUGCCACUAGGUAUUUAUACGUGUGCUUCCAUUGGUACCUUUUUUGCGCUGGAGCCUUUCUGCUACAUUUUCCUUUAUACACAGGUGGUCUUAUCCAAAUCAUAUAGUCUCCUCUAUCUAUAGGAAGCGAGGACAUUAGCUCUUCUUUUUUUCAAGGCAAAUACACUUGCUAGUGUUCAAGCGACAUCGAAAAAAGUCUUGUCACAUGUGAAGACGACUCUAAGAGUGUGACACAUAUAGGUGCCAACUUGAAGAAUAAUGCAAAUUUCAGUAAAUAUUAAUAGCUCCAGGGGGAACGAGCGCACAAAGGAAUCAGCCACCAUAAAUGGAUCAUUUCCAAAGAAACAAAGUCACAAAGAGAGAGACAAGACAUUAGCUUCUUUAUGGGGAACACAUAUAUUUAAAUGUUUCCUUGCUCUCUGAUUAUUAACAAGAAAUAUUUUUUACUAAUAUAUUAUGUGUAAAUCUUGGUAGAUAUGGAAUGUAUUUUGGUCGGUAUAUUUUAAGCAAUCAUAUUAGUUUUUGGUAUGUUGAAAUUAGAAGAAGUUCAUGUGCCUUCAAGGUGUGUGGUUCCACCUCAAAAUUGGUACAUACGAAAUGGUUAUUCUCCCUACAUAUAGCCCCAAUUCUCAUGCUCUCUCUCUCUCUCUCUCUACAUUUUAUAUUCCAGACUACUCCAUAAAGCCUAACUGGUGAAGGUCCAGAAACACCCAGCAGUGACGGGUUCAACUCCCAUUAGUAGUCUAUACUUAGUGGAGGAGAAACAAGCCACUUAUAGGCACGAGCCUGCCAAUGGUGAAUAAAUCAGAAAAGAAAAUCAGGCCAUGGCUAGUCCAAAUCCGGCACCUGCCAACAAUGUGUAGUCUACAGUACUCGAACCUACUUUUCAUCAGUGUGUUACAUCAUGUGAUGUUUGGAGAAGCCAUAGAGUUGGGGUUCCGAAUAUUGAAAACAACAAUGGGGAGUGGCUUGAAGAAUCGGACACUAGUAGAAAAAGGGCCUACAGUCCCAGUUGGUGAGGGCCUUUAGUCCCGGUUCAUGAACCGGGACUAAAGGGUCGGUACUAAUGCCCUGACCCUUUAGUCCCGGUUCAAUCCAGAACCGGCAUUGGUAGAAAAAGAGGCUUCCGUCCAGCCCCAUUAGUCGCGAAACUGUAGGAACCGCGACUAAUGAAGUCUUUAGUCGCGGUUCGGCAGAUGAACCGCGACCAAAGGCCUGGGCCCAGGGCGCUCGGUGGCCAGCUGGUGCACGUGAGGGGCUUUAGUCGCGGUUGGCCAGGCCAACCGCGACUAAAGGUGCCCAAAGGCCUUUAGUCGCGGUUNNNNNNNNNNNNNNNNNNNNNNNNNNNNNNNNNNNNNNNNNNNNNNNNNNNNNNNNNNNNNNNNNNNNNNNNNNNNNNNNNNNNNNNNNNNNNNNNNNNNNNNNNNNNNNNNNNNNNNNNNNNNNNNNNNNNNNNNNNNNNNNNNNNNNNNNNNNNNNNNNNNNNNNNNNNNNNNNNNNNNNNNNNNNNNNNNNNNNNNNNNNNNNNNNNNNNNNNNNNNNNNNNNNNNNNNNNNNNNNNNNNNNNNNNNNNNNNNNNNNNNNNNNNNNNNNNNNNNNNNNNNNNNNNNNNNNNNNNNNNNNNNNNNNNNNNNNNNNNNNNNNNNNNNNNNNNNNNNNNNNNNNNNNNNNNNNNUGUAAGAAUCAGAAGGGUUACUCUUCCUCAAGAGAAGUUCACCUGCACCUGCUUCGGCACGGUUUCAUGCCAAGCUAUAAUUGUUGGACCAAGCAUGGAGAAAGAGGGGUUAUAAUGGAAGAAGAUGAAGAAGGGGAUGAUUUCAUCGAUGAAAGCUAUCUUGCUCAUUUCGGUGAUACUUUCAUGGAGGAUGCUGAAGGUGAAGGGGAAGGUGAAGGGGAAGGUGAAGGUGAAGAAGAGGCACGUGAUGAGACCGUUGAUGAUCUUGGUCGGACCAUUGCUGAUGCACGGAGACGCUGCGAAACUGAAAAGAAGAGGGAGAAUUUGGAUCGCAUGUUAGAGGAUCACAGAAAGUCGUUGUACCCCGGAUGCGAUGAUGGUCUGAAAAAGCUGGGCUGCACACUGGAUUUGCUGAAAUGGAAGGCACAGGCAGGUGUAGCUGACUCGGCAUUUGAAAACUUGCUGAAAAUGUUGAAGAAUAUGUUUCCAAAGAAUAACGAGUUGCCCGCCAGUACGUACGAAGCAAAGAAGGUUGUCUGCCCUCUAGGUUUAGAGGUUCUGAAGAUACAUGCAUGCAUCAACGACUGCAUCCUCUACCGCGGUGAAUACGAGAAUUUGAAUGAAUGCCCGGUAUGCACUGCAUUGCGUUAUAAGAUCAGAGGCGAUGACCCUGGUGACGAUGUUGAUGGCGAGAAACCCAGGAAGAGGGUUCCUGCCAAGGUGAUGUGGUAUGCUCCUAUAAUACCAUGGUUGAAACGUCUAUUCAGGAACAAAGAGCAUGCCAAGUUGUUGCGAUGGCACAAAGAGGACCGUAAGUCGGACGGGGAGUUGAGACACACCGCAGAUGGAACGCAAUGGAGAAAGAUCGACAGAGAGUUCAAAGAUUUUGCAGCUGACGCAAGGAACAUAAGAUUUGGUCUAAGUACAGAUGGCAUGAAUCCUUUUGGCGAGCAGAGCUCCAGCCAUAGCACCUGGCCCGUGACUCUAUGCAUCUACAACCUUCCUCCUUGGUUGUGCAUGAAGCGGAAGUUCAUUAUGAUGCCAGUGCUCAUCCAAGGUCCGAAGCAACCCGGCAACGACAUCGAUGUGUACCUAAGGCCAUUAGUUGAUGAACUUUUACAGCUGUGGGGCAGACCUGGUGUCCGUGUGUGGGAUGAGCACAAAAAAGAGGAAUUUAACCUACCAGGGUUGCUUUUCGUAACCAUCAACGAUUGGCCUGCUCUUAGUAACCUUUCGGGACUGUCAAAUAAGGGAUACAAUGCAUGCACGCACUGCUUACAUGAGACUGAAAGUGUACAUUUGCCAAAUUGUAAGAAGAACGUGUACCUUGGGCAUCGUCGAUUUCUUCCGAAAAUUCAUCCAGUAAGAAAGAAAGGCAAGCAUUACAACGGCAAGGCAGAUCACUGGCCGAAGCCUGCGGAACGCACUGGUGCUGAGGUAUUUGAUAUGGUCAAGGAUUUGAAAGUCAUCUUUGGAAAGGGUCCUGGCGGACAAUCAGUUCCGAAGGGAGCUGACGGGCACGCAGCCAUGUGGAAGAAGAAAUCUAUAUUCUGGGAGCUAGAAUAUUGGAAAGUCCUAGAAGUCCGCUCUGCAAUCGACGUGAUGCACGUUACGAAGAAUAUUUGCGUGAACCUCCUAAGCUUCUUGGGCGUGUAUGGGAAGACAAAUGAUACAAAGGAAGCACGACAGGACCAGCAACGUUUGAAAGACCCUGAUGACCGGCAUCCGGAAUGGUUUCAAGGUCGUGCCAGCUACGCUCUGACCAAAGAAGAGAAGGUCAUCUUUUUUGAAUGCCUGAGCAGUAUGAAGGUCCCGUCUGGAUUCUCGUCCAAUAUAAAGGGAAUAAUAAACAUGGCGGAGAAAAAGUUCCAAAAUCUGAAGUCUCACGACUGCCACGUGAUUAUGACGCAAUUGCUUCCGAUUGCUUUGAGGGGGCUCCUGCCGGAAAAUGUUCGAGUAGCCAUUGUGAAGCUAUGUGCAUUCCUCAAUGCAACCUCUCAAAAGGUAAUCAAUCCAGAAGAUCUACCACGGUUACAGAACGAUGUGAUCCAAUGUCUUGUCAGUUUCGAGUUGGUGUUCCCGCCAUCCUUCUUCAAUAUUAUGACGCACCUCUUGGUUCACCUAGUCGAAGAGAUUUUCAUUCUCGGUCCUGUAUUUCUACACAAUAUGUUCCCCUUCGAGAGGUUCAUGGGAGUAUUAAAGAAAUAUGUUCGUAACCGUGCUAGGCCAGAAGGAAGCAUCGCCAAGGGCUAUGGAAAUGAGGAGGUAAUUGAGUUUUGUGUUGACUUUGUUCCUGACCUUAAGCCGAUUGGUCUUCCUCGAUCGCGGCACGAGGGGAGACUAAGUGGAAAAGGCACGAUCGGAAGGAAAUCAACGAUAUGUAUGGACGGCCAUUCUCUGACUGAAGCACACCACACUGUACUGACCAAUUCCAGCUUGGUGGCUCCGUACUUUGAGAAACACAAGAAUAUUUUAUGCUCGGACAACCCGGGGAAGCCUAAAUCCUGGAUUAGGAAGGCCCACAUGGAGACUUUCGGCAGUUGGUUGAGGAAACAUUUAAUGAAUGACAAUGAUGUUGUAGAUCAGUUGUACAUGUUGGCCAAGACACCAUCUUCGACUAUAACGACUUUCCAAGGGUACGAGAUAAAUGGGAAUACAUUUUACAUGAUCGCCCAAGAUAAAAAGAGCACCAACCAAAACAGUGGUGUCCGCUUUGAUGCAGCAACCGAGAAUGGGCAAAAGGUCACAUAUUAUGGUUACAUAGAGGAGAUAUGGGAACUUGACUAUGGACCCUCCUUUAAGGUCCCUUUGUUCCGGUGCAAAUGGUUCAAGCUAACAGGAGGUGGGGUAAAGGUGGACCAGCAAUACGGAAUGACAAUGGUGGAUUUCAACAAUCUUGGUUACCUUGACGAACCAUGUUUACCUGGAGCACUCCACCACAACAACCCCAUUCAAGAUGGCUAUGCUCGUGUCAUGGUGGAGGACAUAGUCCAAGGGUUUGAGGACCUGGAGAUUGACAUUGCUACACCUGAAGGGGAGAAAAGACUUGGAGAUGUCAAGCGCCAUUUCAUUCUAUGGCAAAAGAAGUUUAUCAAGUUUCCAGGCGAGGCGCCAAGGACAACAAGUCCACCCCCCUACGGUGGUGGCGGUUCACCUACACCUCCAUCACGUCAGCUGACGCCCCCCAGUCCACAACGUCCGGCGGGUGAUCAGACGCCGCCCCCCAGUCCUCGUCCGGCGGGUGAUCAGACGCCGCCCCCCACCUCCGGCAAAGAAGCAGAAGCAGUCCUGGAUUAUUAACCCGGACCCUUAUGUACCUAAGACCACAAAGGUACCAGAGCCAUCACUGAAGCCUCUCCCCACAAGGCCUUGGGAACGUAGUGCCGAGGAAACUGCCGCGGCCGCGGCUGCUGAUCAUGAGAAAUGGAAGGCAGACUGCAAGAAGAAAAGAGAGCCCGAGCCCAAGCCAGUAUUUUCUGAUGAGCAAAAGAAGUGGGCUAAGUCAUUUUUGAGCACACCGUCCCAAGCCGCGAAGAAUCUGCCUGACGACUAUGCACGUGAACUUCGUAGGCAGGCACUCAUGUUGAAGGAGAAGAAAGAGCAGGCGGAGAACCAGGAGAACAAAGCCUUGGAGGAGGCCGAGAAAAUGGAAUUAGAAAGUAAAAAAAGCGGGAAACAAGUUGCCCAGCUCGGGGAACAAAGUAAACAAUCGAUUGCCCCGCUUAUAGUGAAAGCCGCCGGUCCGGAUGACCCCGAUAUCAUAGCAGCUGCGGCAGCACAUGGAUUGACUAUAACGAGUGCCAGAGAACAAGCAGCCAACUUAGGUAUUACUCUUCGUGAACUGUUAGGCCUUGAUGAGGCGCCAGUGAAGGAGGUAGUAAUUACAUAUGUGAAGAAUGGGCCUCUCGUCGAGCCUGCGCAGGAAGAGGAUCUACCUCCACAAAUGAAAGGUCUGCUGAAAUGGUACAAGGGUUACAUAAAAAAUAAAAACGCCAAAGAAUAUAUUUAUGCGGAAGUUAGAUAUGAGCAUCACAUCAAACAUUACUAUGUACAAAUUCAUCUGAGUGAAUUGUUCCAGCUUUUCAAUCUGCGCGAGCUCGACAAAUCUAUCAUCAGUUGCUACGUUCUGUAAGUGAUUUAUUUCUACCCCAUCUCGUUCAUAUUGCCUGCACUAUAUAUAUGUCCUAACUAUAUUGUUGUGUCCGCUAUUAUACAUGCAGAAUGAAGAUUAAGGAAUGCAGAGUAAGGAACAUCCAUGAUGUUGGGUUCAUUGACCCACACAUCAUUAAUGGAUAUGUGUUGGAGCAUCACCCCGCCGACAUGGAGGCAGACCUGUGGCAGUUUCUUACAAAGCAGGAACUCAAAAGUAAUAUUCUAUUUCCUUACCAUUUUGGGUGAGUGUUUCUGUCUUGAGCACAUUCUCUUUUGUUUACUCCAUGCAUGGUAUGUGGCCGGCUAAUCGAUGAGUUAUGCAUGACGUACUGUGCAUGUAUCGUGUCCGCAGGUUCCACUGGAUUCUGCUAGUAAUUAAAGUUGACACCUCAGAAUGUCUCGUCCACGACUCUCUGAAUAAGGAUCCAAAGCUUUGGGGCGGCAUGAGAAGAAUGCUGCAGAAGUAAUUAUUUUCAUUCAUUUGCGCUCUAUAUCGAUCGGCCUAUUUCGUUCAUUUCCUAAUAUCAUGUAACUAAUAACUCUCUUGUUCAUUUAAUUUUCUUUGCCUCGUAGGGUUUGGAGACGGUUCGUAGAUACAAAGGUCGGUGAAUUCAAAAAAGAGCUAGAAUUCAAAAGGUCAAAGGCUAAGAAUGGUGAGGAUAUUCAGCCAGCGGGGACCAAUCUAUGUGCAUACUAUGUCUGUGAGAUGAUCCGGAGAUACACCUCUGAGCGGCGGGUUCCGAGUGAUACCAAUGCUCAGAGGAAUAACCUCCGGAUGAUGCUUAGUCCAGAAGCUCGCUUCCGACCACUUCAAGAGGAACUAACUGGAUGGUUCAGGAGGGAAGUCCUCCAUCCUAAAGGAGAACACCAUUACGAGGACGUAGAACUUUAUAUGCAUUAAAUUAUGUAUGGAAACUUGUUCAAAAUUGUAUAUGAUCAUCCGAUGAUAUUGAAUAUAUAUUGUAUAUUCCUCUUGAAUUCUUUUUGGUUCUAAUUUCAAAUUUGUUUGAAAUUGUACAUUCAUAUGCAUGUAUGUAGUACCGUAGAAUAUGUGAAACUCCUUCAAAAUUAAAAUAAAGCACAAAAGAAAUAAAACAAUACAAAUUAAACAGAAAACAGGUUUAGGGGGGGGGGCUAAAACCCUAAACCUGCGGCGGCCUUUAGUCGCGGUUGGCCAGAAGAACCGCGACUAAAGGUCCUCCGCCCCGACGGCCGCCUGGCGCCCACGUGGACGGGCCUUUAGUCGCGGUUCUUAAGCAACCGCGACUAANNNNNNNNNNNNNNNNNNNNNNNNNNNNNNNNNNNNNNNNNNNNNNNNNNNNNNNNNNNNNNNNNNNNNNNNNNNNNNNNNNNNNNNNNNNNNNNNNNNNNNNNNNNNNNNNNNNNNNNNNNNNNNNNNNNNNNNNNNNNNNNNNNNNNNNNNNNNNNNNNNNNNNNNNNNNNNNNNNNNNNNNNNNNNNNNNNNNNCCAAUACCACUAAUAGAAAAAGGGCCUACAGUCCCGGUUGGUGAGGGCCUUUAGUCCCGGUUCAAUCCAGAACCGGGACAGAUGGGCCUCCACGUGGCCUGUCCGCUGAGCCCAGGCAGGAGGGCCUCUUGUCCCGGUUGGUGGCACCAACUGGGACCAAUAGGCAUCCACGCGUCAGCAUUUCUGUGGCUGGGGUUUUUGUUUUUUUUUUGAAAGGGGGGGGGGUUUGGGGGGUUUUGGGGGGUUAAUUUAGGUGUUUCAUAUAUUGUGCUAUAGCUAGCUAAUUAAUAGAGAGAAGUGUCCUCUCUUUUGUCCGUGCUUGGUCGACGCUACGUACCAUACAUACGUAUAGAGAGGACUAGCUAGACACGCUAGCUAGCUAGUAAGCAAACAGAAGAUCGUCAUGAACAUAUAUGCAUACAAAGAGAAGUGAUAUCGACCACCUCUCCUUCUUCGGGAGAUUGGUCGAACAACAAGUUCUCGUAUAUCUAUCCGACACUACCGGCUACAUAUAUACAAUAAUUAUCUUUUACAAAUAUAUAAUCUCCUAAAAUACGGAUGCGUGGUCCACAUAGUAUUCUCCGUCUUCAGCGAUCACGUGGUCAAGAAAGAAUGCCGCCAAUUCCUCUUGAAUUGCUCGCAUGCGAUCUGGUGCUAGGAGUUCAUCCCGCAUCCGAAACAUCUAAUUUUAAGAAGGGGGUCAAUACAUAUAUAUAUAUGAAUGAAUGAAACUCAACACAAAUGAUGGUAAUAAAAUAAAAUUGUGACUAUUGUUAUUUACGCACUUCAUAUUGUUUGUCGGAGUAGCCCCACUCACAGGUCGUGUGGCGGAUGGACUCGCAAAUGUAGUAUCCACAGAAAUCAUUUCCUUGUUCCUGCCACAACCACUUUACAAGAAAUAGAGGUCAAUCAAACUGAUAAUUAGCAAGCAUGCUAAAUGGUAUUGAUGAAACUAGCGCUUGAAUCACUAGGAGAUUCCUGGAAUAUGCUACUAUAUAGUACUUACUUUCGGGUGCCUAAAUUGCAGCUUCUUCGGUAGUCCCGGAGCUUUUUUGGUGAAUUUUCUCCCAGCCCUGCCAUACAAAGAAAACAAUUACUUGAUAUCAGAAAUGAACAAAGUUGCUGAUAUGGUGGAUAAUGAUCGAUUUAACUUACUUCUCGAGCAUUUCAGUCAUGUCCGCAUACUCCUUGGGAUUUUUUCGCUUGGAGUCUAAGACAGUUACUACUCCCUUCUCAAGCUUAAUCUCUAGGAGAAUAUAGUGGUAGCUGCGCACACAUGCAUAACUCAUCAAUAUUACAUUACUAUAACCUGGACUAAUAAGGAAACCGAAUAUGCCUUUGUGUUCAUUCACUUGAAGGGCUGAGUUGUAAGGAAAGAGUAUUAUAUCUUUGUGUUCAUUUAUUUCCAACGAUCGUAGCAAGUUGGCCUCGGUUUCUUGGGCACGAUAUUGAACCUCAGUUGCAUCUAUGAGAUACGUGUUAAUGAACCCAAUAUCUUCCACUUGUCUUUUCUUCAAUUCGGUGAUCUUCAAUCUGCAUAAUAUAGUGAGGAUAAUUAUAAAUACAUGCAAUGAAAGGGCUGAGUUAUAUAGAGAGACUUAAUGACAGAAGUAGUACUACUUACAGACAGUAGGAGGUGACCGUUGCUUUAUCGAUGGCCAAUUGAUUGAAAAACUGAUAGAACUCCUCAAAUGGAAUAGGCAACAGUUCAAUUCCAAGGAGGUCAUGCUCCUUUUUAACUCUCACAUACAAAGUACUCCUCCCCUCAGACUCUUUGCAGGUUUUCAUGUACCAAUCACGCAAUCUUCGCAUCAUCGUUGAUAGAGAAUUUUCAUCUUUGACGAGAGGCUUCCCGUACUCGUAUCUUUGUAUCUGCACCUCCAAGAUAUCAUAAUGUACAUCGUCGGGCAGGUAAUCUGCAGGAUUGCCAUAACCGGGCACCAUCCUUGGAUCGACGAUGUCGCUAGCAGGCACCUUGAGCGGGGGGCACGAUUGCUUCGCUUGUUCGCCGAGCUGGGCAAUUUGUUUCCCAGCUCGUCGUUCUUUCAUCCUUUGAUCACUUUUAGUACUUCCCGACCUCUCCGCUUCGGCAAAUGCCUUUCCAAUAAUGCGAUCAUAGUUGCCUUUCGGCGGAGACUUGGGUGGUUUUGUCAGGGCAGCCAAAGUGCGCUUCGCUUUCACCGGAUCUACCUUCUCCUCCGGAGGUGGAUGUCUCUUUGCUUUCAACCCUUGAAACCAGUCAUCCACUUCGGUCUACGCGAUCUUUGCGUUUUCCUCCUCGCUCCUCUCGUACGGUAACUUCUCUAGAGUCUUCAGAGAAGGACCGAAUCUGUAUCUUCUCCCGCCUUUGGCUGUACUGCUAGACGCCGGUAGAGUAGACAGAGCGGAUGUCUUCUUUCCUUGAUUACGAGGCGGAGGAGAAGGACUACGACGCGCUAGAGCAGCCGGAGCGGCGGCGGGUCUCUUCCGCCCUUGCUGAGAGGCGGAGAAGGAGGAGGCUGGCUGCUCGGGCGCGCCGGCGCAGGCGGAGAAGGAGGCGGAGUGCCGCCACGCGCCGGAGAAGGAGCCGGCCGAGUGCCCUGAUCGUCACUCGCCGGAGGAGGAGGCGGUGAAGGAGGCGGAGUGCCCUGACUCGUCAGAGGAGGAGGAGGAGGCGGAGGCGUCCAGUUCGGAAGGUUGAUGAGAUCCUUCCGCCAUAGGCAUGGAGUCUUCAGAGCAGAACCCAGCCGAUACUCCCCUUCACCAGUAGGGUGGUCAAGCCGGAGGUCCUCAAAUCCCUCCGUUAUUUCAUCGACCAUCACCUUAGCAUAUCCUUCUGGAAUCGGCCGGCAGUGAAAAGUUGAGUCGGGUUUAGUAGGAUAAACAGAGCCAACAGCCGCCUUGACCUUCAAAUUGCUCCAUUGCGCCAUAAGGUGGCAAUUUUCAGCAUCCGUGAUAGCAUCCACGGGAUAGCUGGCAGGAGCCGUCAAGGCAUGCUCUGGCUGAAGCAGCUCGGUGGAAGCCACGCUGCUUCUCCGCUGAGAUGGCGGGGUAGCUUCGGGGGAAGCUUCGGCAGGUCGUUUGCUGUGAUCUGCUUCUCGUUCCUCUAGCCCCAUUACCCUUUCGUGCAGCGCCUGCAGUUGGCUCUGCUCCAGUUUCUUCCUCCUCUCCUGGGUUUUGUAACCCCCUACGUCCGGAAAUUCAGCCUUCCACGAAAUGGAGCCUGGCAUGCCUCGUGUCCGUCCAGGGUGCUCAGGAUUGCCGAGGGCCAUUGUGAGCUCGUCCUUCUCCCUGUCUGGAACGAACGUCCCUUGCUGCGCUGCUUUGAUAUAUUGCUGAAGCCUCUUGACUGGUAUGUCCAAUUGUUCAUCUGUCCAAAUGCACUUCCCUGUUAUAGGGUCCAAGGAUUCGCUGGCCCCAAAGAACCAAGUCCGGCAACGUUCUGGCCAGUUCAUUGUCUCUGGUUCGAUCCCUUUAUCAAGCAGAUCAUUCUCAGCCUUGGCCCACUUAGGCCGGGCUACGAGGUGCCACCUGACCCCAUGCGAUGGUGAAGCUUCUUCUUCUCAGCAUUUCUCUUGUUUGUCACCGACAUCUUUUUACUCUUUUCCGAUGUCUUGUGGGCCACAAAUGCGGGCCAGUCAUCUCUGAUAUUCUCAUAUUUGCCCUUGAAUUCUGGUGUCUCAUUUUUUUCGACAUACCUAUUGAGGUCUUUCUUCCAAUUCUUGAAUAGGUCUGCCAUCUUCCUCAGAGCAAAAGACUUGAUUAAGGGCUCUAUAACUGGCUUCUCCGGAUCAUCCUCCGGCGGUAGGGUGAAAUUUGACUUCAGCUCAGUCCAAAGAUUCUUUUUCUGCAUAUCAUUGACAUAAGACACCUUAGGUUCUUCGUUCUUAGGCUUAUACCAUUGUUGGAUGCUGAUCGGGAUCUUGUCCCUAACCAGAACCCCGCACUGAGCAACAAAUGCCUUCUUUGUCUGGUAGGGUUCAAUCGGUUGGCCAUCGCACGCGAUUUGUAUGAUAUCAAACUUUUCAUCCGAGCUCAACUUUUUCUUCGGGCCUCGUCUCUUUACCGAAGUUGUGCUUGAUCCGGAGGGCUAGAAAAAAGAACAAAGACGAGAGUUAAUUAAUAUGUGUACAUACCAAAACAAUGAAUGCAUCAAUUAGCUAGUCAGCACAGGCUUAACUAAUAUAUAUACCUGGCCGGACUCGGUUUGGUGAUCACCGGAGCCGUCCUCACGGUCUACUUCUUCACCCUCUCCUUCUUGCACCGACAUUGGGUCAUCGGAGCCAUGUAAAUCAUAGCCAGCUGCUUCUUCACCCUCUCCUUCCAGACCAUCGUUGUCGUUGAGAAACAUCAACGAGGAGAGGGCAUCACUUCCUUGUGCGAUUAUGUCCCUCAACAAUGCUUCUUAUGCUUCGUCUCGGGGGGUGUCCAUAGUUUCUACAAAUAUUUACAACAUGGCAAUUAUUAUUCAAACAUGACAGAUAUGGAUAUAUUAGUGGCAAACGUAGAACUAGCUAGCUAAUCACAAUAAGGAAUCAUAUUAGUGGCCUCGACGCUGCUUCUCUAGGGUUUGGGGUGGCCUCAACAACGCUUCAAGGGUUAGGGGGUGGCCUCGAGAACGCUUCAAGGAGGGGGUAAUAUCGGCCCCCCCACGUGUUGAAGCUAUCGGGAGGGGGUCGGUGUUGAACACUACUUCUAUGUCCCACAAGUGACGUGGGCAUCGACGCCCGCGGUAGGGUAGAGGGUCGUGGAUUGCCGCGCGGUCGAGGGUCAAGGGGUCGAGGAUCGCCGAGGGGUCAGGAGGUUGCCUAGUGUCAAAGGAUUCAACAAAACCAUGUCUUCAUCAUUUGGCGAAAGUAACAGGUGCAUGAUGGUACGAAGCUCUCCAAAGUUAUUUUGGAACGGAGUCCCAGAUAGGAUAAUUCGCUUUUUGGUACAAAGUUCAGCAAGAACCUUCCGAAUAUUGUUAUUUGAAAGGCCUUUACUGAGAUUCGUACAAAAAGGCAAAUUAUCCUAUCCGGGACUCCAUUCCAGAAUAACUUUGGAGGACUUCGUACCAUCAUGCCACGGUUACUUCCGGCUAAUGAUGAAGCCAUGGAUUUCUUCAAUACUUUGACACUAUAGGAACCCUCGACCCUGAAACCUUCGACCCUUGACCCCUUAACGACCCUCGAUCCUGAAACCUUCGACCCUUGACCCCUUAACGACCCUCGACCCUCUACCCUAGUUCCCGACCCUCGACCCCUUGGUGAUCCUCGACACCCUCGUUAUAUCGACAACGACGCAACAUACAUAUACAUGGGAAAAUAAUGUUAUCGGGGAGGGGGUAUCGGUACCCCCCCUCGUGUCAAAGUUUCUUCUUUCUCCUCUAUUCCUUUCUUUCUUCUUCUCCUCUUCUUUUUCUUCUUAUCCCUCGAGAAAGGAAAAUAAGGAAAAAGGAAGAAAAGAGGAAGAAGGAAGAAGGAAGAAGGAGAAGAAAANNNNNNNNNNNNNNNNNNNNNNNNNNNNNNNNNNNNNNNNNNNNNNNNNNNNNNNNNNNNNNNNNNNNNNNNNNNNNNNNNNNNNNNNNNNNNNNNNNNNNNNNNNNNNNNNNNNNNNNNNNNNNNNNNNNNNNNNNNNNNNNNNNNNNCUCGAGAAAGGAAAAUAAGGAAAAAGGAAGAAAAGAGGAAGAAGGAAGAAGGAAGAAGAAGAAGAAAAAGAAGAAGAAAAAAAAGAGGAGAAGAAGAAAAGAAUAGAGGAGAAGAAGAAAAAAUAGAAUUUUUUUUCUAUUUUUUCUUCUUCUCCUCUAUUCCUUUCUUCUUCUCCUCGUCUUUUUCUUCUUUUUUCUUCUUCUUAUUUAUUUCUCCUCCUCUCCCCUCUUCUUCUCCUUUCUUCCUCUUCUUAUUUCCUUUUUCCUCUCAUUCUUUUUCUUCUUCUUCCUUCUUAAAAAUACAUGAAGUAGUAUUGCCUAAUUCAUUGUUCAUAUGAAUAUACAAACAUUUGCAUAUUUACACUAAUUAAUAUCACCAAAAAAAUCUAUGAACAGAAAAAAAAUCCUAAUUUUUCUAAAAAACUAUCUUUUGCAUUGUUCACAUACACAUAUACAUUAUAGCCACAUACACAUAUACAUCACAUAUGAACAAAAAAAUUAAAACAUAAAAAAACAGAGCAUAAAAAUAAAAAAAAGAGCUUAAACAUUAAAAGAGCCGGGCGGCGGCUCACAGCGCGGGGGCAGGCAAGGGCGCCGGCGCGCGGGGCGGGACGGGGCAGGGGGGCAGGGCGACGGCGACGAGGAGCGGGCNNNNNNNNNNNNNNNNNNNNNNNNNNNNNNNNNNNNNNNNNNNNNNNNNNNNNNNNNNNNNNNNNNNNNNNNNNNNNNNNNNNNNNNNNNNNNNNNNNNNNNNNNNNNNNNNNNNNNNNNNNNNNNNNNNNNNNNNNNNNNNNNNNNNNNNNNNNNNNNNNNNNNNNNNNNNNNNNNNNNNNNNNNNNNNNNNNNNNNNNNNNNNNNNNNNNNNNNNNNNNNNNNNNNNNNNNNNNNNNNNNNNNNNNNNNNNNNNNNNNNNNNNNNNNNNNNNNNNNNNNNNNNNNNNNNNNNNNNNNNNNNNNNNNNNNNNNNNNNNNNNNNNNNNNNNNNNNNNNNNNNNNNNNNNNNNNNNNNNNNNNNNNNNNNNNNNNNNNNNNNNNNNNNNNNNNNNNNNNNNNNNNNNNNNNNNNNNNNNNNNNNNNNNNNNNNNNNNNNNNNNNNNNNNNNNNNNNNNNNNNNNNNNNNNNNNNNNNNNNNNNNNNNNNNNNNNNNNNNNNNNNNNNNNNNNNNNNNNNNNNNNNNNGAGCACGGGCAGCCUGACGGCGUCGUCGCGUCGAGCUCGGGCAGCCUGGCGGCGUCGUCGGGGCGGGGAACUGGCGAUGAAAUCUGAAAAAACGCCAAGUCUUUGCUUAUAUAGAAAAGGCUUUGGUCCCGGUUCGUGCCACGACCCGGGACUAAUGCCCCCCUUUAGUCCCGGUUGGUGGGCAUUAGUCCCGGGUCGUAGCACCAACCGGGACUAAUGCACCCCUUUAGCCCCGGUUGGUGCCACCAACCGGGACCAAAGGCCUGUGCUGCCCCGAACCUAAUAUUUAGUCCCACCUCGGUAGUUGAGAGGGAGGCGCACCUGUUUAUAAGGUGCGGUGCGCCUUCCCUCUCGAGCUCCUCUCUUAAGCAGGCUUUCGGGCCUAACCCUGCAAUCUGUGCCUGUGGGCCUACUGGGCCUCCUGCGGGCCUGAAUCCUGGCCCAUGGUAGGGUUUCUAGUCGUAUUCAGGCCGUGGGGGCCCAGUAGGUGGCACUUUUUUUUUGUUUUCUUUGUUGCUUUAUUUAGUUUAUUUUGUUUCUAUUUACAACAAAAUACUUAUUGUUGCUAUAUUUAUUUUUUUCCAGUUUUUUGUUUUGUUUUCUGCAUUAUUUAUUUUCUUUUGUUUUCUUNNNNNNNNNNUAUUUUUUGUUGUUUUUUGCUUUAUUUUUUAAUUCUUUUUGCUUUUAGUUUUAGAAAAAUUAUAAACUUUCUGUUAGUGCCAUUAGUUUUCAAAUUUGAAAACACUUUUUUGCUUUAUUUAUUUAUUUUAUUUUGUUUCUACUUACAACAAAAUACUUAUUGUUGCUAUUUUUAUUUUUUUUCAAGUUUUUUUGUUUUGUUUUCUGCAUUAUUUAUUUUCUUUUGGUUUUUUGCUUUAUUUUUUAAUUCUUUUUGCUUUUAGGUCAGCAAAAUUAUAAACUUUCUGUUUGUGCCAUUAGUUUUCUUUGAAAUUUGUGUGAAUCACAAGUUUGUGAGCUCAACAAGGCGUGUAGAGGGACGGGAUUAUAAACCGGUGUGAGCGCCCUUCGGUUAGCGAGGUUUUCAAAUUCAUAGUUUUCAAAUGAACUCUGAAAAAGUUGGCAUAGCAUGUGCAUGUACAAAACGGACAAUGGUAUCAUACUCGUCUGUUACAAAGUUGGCAUGGUAUCAUCAUAAUAGUUGCGGGAGAAAGUCAUUACUUUUUCUUCGCUUGUGUCGUUUGCUUAUUGCGCCGUAACCAUGGAUAAUCUUCAUCGUUUAUCAGGAUGCUUGGGUCGGCCUUGACUUUGAAGGGGGGAAUUUCAUGAAACUUUUCAUACUCUUCAGACAUGUCUGUCUUGCCCUCCACUCCCAGGAUGUUCCUUUUUCCUGAAAGAACUAUGUGGCGCUUUGGCUUAUUGUAUGAUGUAUUCGCUUCCUUAUCUUUUCUUUUCCUCGGUCUGGUAGACAUGUCCUUCACAUAGAUAACCUGUGCCACAUCAUUGGCUAGGACGAACGGUUCGUCAGUGUACCCAAGAUUUUUCAGAUCCACUGUUGUCAUUCCGUACUGUGGGUCUACCUGUACCCCGCCUCCUGACAGAUUGACCCACUUGCACUUAAACAAAGGGACCUUAAAAUCUACUCCGUAGUCAAGUUCCCAUAUGUCUACUAUGUAACCAUAAUAUGUGUCAUUUCCAUUAUCGGUUGCUGCAUCAAAGCGGACACCGCUGUUUUGGUUGGUUCUCUUUUCAUCUUGGUCAAUCGUGUAAAAUGUAUUCCCAUUUAUCUCGUAUCCUUUCCAAAUCAUUACAGUCGAAGAUGGUCCCCUGGACAACAAGUACAGCUCAUCACAAACAGUGCUGUCACCUCUGAGACGUGUUUCCAACCAACUGCUGAAAGUCCUGAUGUGUUCACAUGUAAUCCAGUCGUCGCACUGCUUCGGGUGUUUGGAGCGCAGACUGUUCUUGUGUUCAUCGACAUACGAGGUAACCAAGGUAGAGUUCUGUAGAACUGUGUAGUGUGCUUGAGACCAAGAAUAUCCGUCCCUGCAUAUUAUUGAGUCCCUUCCAAGCGUGCCUUUUCCAGUCAGUCUCCCCUCAUACCGCGAUUUAGGGAGACCUAUCUUCUUAAGGCCAGGAAUGAAGUCAACACAAAACCCGAUGACAUCCUCUAUUUGAUGGCCCAUGGAGAUGCUUCCUUCUGGCCUAGCGCGGUUACGAACAUAUUUCUUUAGGACUCCCAUGAACCUCUCAAAGGGGUACAUAUUGUGUAGAAAUACGGGCCCCAGAAUGACAAUCUCGUCGCUAGAUGAACUAGGACGUGCGUCAUGAUAUUGAAGAAGGAUGGUGGGAACACCAGCUCGAAACUGACAAGACAUUGCGCCACAUCACUCCUUAGCGUUGGUAUGAUUUCUGGAUCGAUCACCUUCUGAGAUAUUCCAUUGAGGAAUGCACAUAGCUUCACAAUGGCUAAUCGGACGUUUUCCGGUAGAAGCCCUCUCAAUGCAACCGGAAGCAGUUGCGUCAUAAUCACGUGGCAGUCAUGAGACUUUAGGUUCUGGAACUUUUCUCUGGCAUAUUUAUUAUUCCCUUUAUAUUCGACGAGAAGCCAGUCGGGACCUUCAUACUGAGCAGGCAUUGAAAGAAUAUUUCUUUCUCUUCUUUCGUAAGAGCGUAGCUGGCAGGACCUUCAUACUGCUUCGGAGGCAUGCCCUCUUUUUCGUGCAAGCGUUGCAGGUCCUCUCGUGCCUCAGGUGUAUCUUUUGUCUUCCCAUACACGCCCAAGAAGCCUAGCAGGUUCACGCAAUGGUUCUUUGUCACGUGCAUCAUGUUGAUCGAAGAGCAGACCUCUAGGUAUUUCCAGUAGGGUAGGUCCCAAAAUAUAGAUUUCUUCUUCCACAUGGGUGCGUGAUUCUCAGCGUCAUUCGGAACAGCUAGUCCGCCGAGACCCUUUCCAAAGAUCACGUGUAAAUCAUUGACCAUAGCAAGUACGUGAUCACCGGUACGCAUGGCGGGCUUCUUCCGGUGAUCUGCCUCGCCUUUGAAAUGCUUGCCUUUCUUUCGACAUUGAUGGUUGGUCGAAAGAAAUCAACGAUGGCCCAGGUACACAUUCUUCCUACAGCUUCCCAGGUAUAUACUAUCGGUGUCAAGUAAACAAUGCAUGCAUGCGUGGUAUCCCUUGUUUGUCUGUCCUGAAAGGUUACUGAGAGCGGGCCAAUCGUUGAUGGUCACAAACAGCAACGCCUUUAGGUCAAAUUCCUCCUUUUUGUGCACAUCCCACGUACGUACACCGUUUCCAUUCCACAGCUGUAAAAGUUCUUCAACUAAUGGCCUUAGGUACACAUCAAUGUCGUUGCCGGGUUGCUUAGGGCCUUGGAUGAGAACUGGCAUCAUAAUGAACUUCCGCUUCAUGCACAUCCAAGGAGGAAGGUUAUACAUACAUAGAGUCACGGGCCAGGUGCUGUGAUUGCUGCUCUGCUCCCCAAAACGAUUAAGGCCAUCCGCGCUUAAAGCAAAGCAUACGUUCCUUGGGUCCUUUGCAAACUCAUCCCAGUACUUUCUCUCAAUUUUUCUCCACUGCGACCCGUCAGCGGGUGCUCUCAACUUCUCGUCUUUCUUAUGGUCCUCACUGUGCCAUCGCAUCAACUUGGCAUGCUCUCCGUUUCUGAACAGACGUUUCAACCGUGGUAUUAUAGGAGCAUACCACAUCACCUUCGCAGGAACCCUCUUCCUGGGAGGCUCGCCGUUAACAUCACCAGGGUCAUCUCGUCUGAUCUUAUACCGAAAUGCACCGCAUACCGGGCAUGCGUUCAGAUCCUUGUAGGCACCGCGGUAGAGGAUGCAGUCAUUAGGGCAUGCAUGUAUCUUCUCCACCUCCAAUCCUAGAGGGCAUAUGACCUUCUUUGCUGCGUAUGUACUGUCAGGCAAUUCGUUAUCCUUUGGAAGCUUCUUCUUCAUUAUUUUCAGUAGCUUCUCAAAUCCUUUAUCAGGCACAUCAUUCUCUGCCUUCCACUGCAGCAAUUCGAGUACGGUACCGAGCUUUGUGUUGCCAUCUUCGCAAUUGGGGUACAACCCCUUUUUGUGAUCCUCUAACAUGCGAUCGAACUUCAGCUUCUCCUUUUGACUUUCGCAUUGUGUCCUUGCAUCGACAAUGACCCGGCGGAGAUCAUCAUCAUCGGGCACAUCGUCUGGUUCCUCUUGAUCUUCAGCAGCUUCGCCCGUUGCAGCACCAUCGUGCACAUCGUCUGGUGCAUCUUGAUGUUCAGUAGCAUCACCGUAUUCAGGGGGCACAUAGUUGUCAUCGUACUCUUCUUCCUCGCCGUCUUCCAUCAUAACCCCUAUUUCCCCGUGCCUCGUCCAAACAUUAUAGUGUGGCAUGAAACCCUUGUAAAGCAGGUGGGUGUGAAGGAUUUUCCGGUCAGAGUAAGACUUCGUAUUCCCACAUAUAGGGCAUGGACAACACAUAAAACCAUUCUGCUUGUUUGCCUCAGCCACUUCGAGAAAAUCAUGCACGCCCUUAAUGUACUCGGAGGUGUGUCUAUCACCGUACAUCCAUUGCCGGUUCAUCUGCGUGCAUUAUAUAUAAUUAAGUGUGUCAAAAAUCAUUACAGAACAUCAUGAAUAGAUAAUUAAGUGACCAAAUUAAUAGAAGUUCAUCAUCACAUAAAAAUCAAAGUACAUACAUAGUUCUCAUCUAACAACAUAAAGCUCUGCAGAGCAUCUAAAUUAAUUAAACCAUAUAUUGAAACUAUGUAAAACAUUUCAAUGCGAAAACAAAUGCGAUCAUAAUCGCAACCAAGGUAACAACUGAUCCAACGGCAUAAUGAUACCAAGCCUCUGUAUGAAUGGCAUAUUUUCUAAUCUUUCUCAUCUUCAAGCGCAUUGCAUCCAUCUUGAUCUUGUGAUCAUCGACGACAUCCGCAACAUGCAACUCCAAUAUCGUCUUCUCCUCCUCAAGUUUUUUUAUUUUUUCCUUCAAGAAAUUGUUUUCUUCUUCAACUAAAUUUAACCUCUCGACAAUAGGGUCGGUUGGAAUUUCUGGUUCAACAACCUCCUAGAUAAAUAAAAUCUAUCGUUGGUCGGCAUAAUUUUCAUAAACAAUAAAUGAACCAAUAGUUAUGAAAAGAUAAUAUAUACCACAUCCGAAUCGUAGAUAGGACGAGGGCCGACGGGGGCGGAUACCAAAACCAUCGCACUAUAUAAGAUGCAAUAAUAAAAGAAAAUAAUACAAGUAAGAAUAUUUUUCCUUUCAGAAAGAAGAUAAGAACAAGAGGCUCACCACGGUGGUGCUGGCGAUGAGAUUGGCGCGGGUGAUCGACGGCGGUGAAGACGGGGACGGGGCGUGAUGGACCGCUAAACCUAGACAAAUAUUGAGGAAAAUAGAGGUUGGAGGUCGAGUUUGGAGAGGAGAAAGCUUAAGUAGUGUGGCUCGGGCAUUUCAUCGAACACCUCAUGUGCUAUGGAGGUGAGCUAGAGCACCACAAAGCCCCCCCUCGCCGGCAAGAGAAAAACAGAGCACUGGAGUGCUCUGCUCGCGAGCGAGGGGGUAUAUGUAGGUAGCACUAUUGGUCCCGGUUCGUGGCAUGAACCGGGACUAACGGGUAGCCAUUGGUCCCGGUUCAUGCCACCAACCGGGACCAAUAGUGGUGGGCCAGGAGCCAGGCCCAUUGGUCCCAGUUCGUCCCACCAACUGGGACCAAAAGGUCCGGACGAACCGGGACCAAUGGCCCACGUGGCCCGGCCGGCCCCCUGGGCUCACGAACCGGGGCAAAUAGCUCCAUUGGUCCCGGUUCUGGAUUGAACCGGGACUAAUGGGCUGAACUGGCCUGGGCCAUUGCCCCCUUUUCUACUAGUGGGAGCCAAGAAGCCGGACGGAGAAGGCAUCCACCAUGCUGCACCAUUGGCCGAUACUGACCCGUAUGGUGCAAGGACCGAGGUAGAACUGAACACCGUCAUCACCGAGCCGAACAGAUUUUUGAUCGCUGCUUGGAGUGAGAAGCUACUCUAAAAAGUUGAAUUUCUGAAGCUUUGGGAAGCUAGAGGAGAUCAGAACAGGCCCUAAGUCAUCGGUAUUUCAUAAUUGAAUGUUCUCCAUGUCGUGACUUUUGAUGGUGUAAACCCAAAUAAUCGCCGUUGUGAAAUUAAAUUCCUCCCUGAGUCAAACCCACAUCCGUAAAGAUGUGCCACGACAAUCCACCUCAUGGCUAUCUUGGAGUCCUUAAUAUAAUCAAGUGUGCCCAAUAUGGUGACUUAAUAUGUACUUAUUGACCCUACGAAGCUAAUCACCUGUAUCAAGACCCCUUCCUGGUUCUCCUAUAACUAGAUUCCCCGAAACCACGAGAAUCCUUAGAAUGGCAUUACAACUUAGCACCUUUCGUUUUCACAUAGUAAGAAGAGUUGCUCCUUGGAUAGCAUGGUACGAUCAAAGGUGUAACCUGUGUUUCGGAGGGAGUUAUUGUCUCGAAACUUUGUUCUCAACUAUUCCGAUUCCAGCAAGCGGAGGCCAUUGGGUCAUAGCCGUAGCGCACACCCUGUAGUUUUCAAGUGGGGUGAGAUAACUUUGGCUAGGAACCUAUUUUCAUUCUGACGAGCUCCCUGAAAACAAUGUUCGACUUCAUGUGUAGUUGGUGUAGAUGUGUCAUUGCAAUUACACCCCUAGGAUAUCACCAAGUCCUAUGUAUUACGUGACAACAUAUGCCACCAUAUAUUGACUUGAUAAAUUAAAUGGAUUUCACCAAGCUUUCGUGUUACAAUUAUAGUGAAGAUAGUGACUCACAUGUCAGCCUCCCUGACGGGAAGCAAAAUCACUCUGACUUUGGCAACCUAAUUUUUGGUGGGUUCAAGCAAACAUGUUGGAUUUGUAUUUUAUUUAUUUCAACAUAUAUAAUUCAUAUAAAUAAAUCAAUUCAUAAUAGGAGUCUUGGAGACACCCAUGUCAAUAAUGUGAAAUUAUGGGAAAUCUUAUUAUGUGCAUCAACAUAAGCAAAAACUCGUGGCUUAAGAGAUAUGUGUACAAUCUUCCAAUGGUUAUUCCCCCUACUAAAUUCAUGAUGUUAACUAGUUCCCAAAGGUUGAGAAAGAAGUUUAGUCAUGGGAUCAAUGUCCAAUGCAUCAUAUUUCCAGUUCCGAAUUUUUUUUAUUAUGGAAGUUGAGAAAGAAGUUUGGGCAACAUAUUUCCAGACACCUGUCAUGUCUAGGAUCUUCUCAAGCCUAGGUAAGCUAAGUCAUGGGAUCAAUGCAGGCUAUUAGUACAUUGACCCGGUUCUUAAUUCAAGUCCUCCUUGCUUGAUACAAUAUUGAAUUGAAAGUACAUAAUCAAUUUACUUAAGUUGGUGAACAAUAUUGGCUAGUAUAUUUCAACACUCACCUCACAUGCAUCUUUUAGAGGCAUAUAAUGCAUCGUGAUGGAAACAUUUUUUCUAUAGACUAAAUUCCAAUGGAAAAUUUUAAUUAAUUUAACUAGUAGCAAUCUCGUAUGGCAAGGAUAUAUGGCAAAUGAAAAUGAGGGCUCAAAUGCUAAUUGUUGGCACACAAAAGUCAAGUUGUCUUUUUCCUCCCAUGUUGAUCCUCCGUGGUUUGACAUUGGGCAUUACAAAGAGAUCAAGUUAUCUUUACACACCGCUAGAGCUACCAGACCCUGGAUGUUCCAUAUGGUGCAAUGAGUGAUAGCGAGGUAUAUUAGAACAUAUAGUUUACACCGUUAAAAUAAUUAAAUGGGCUUUUUUGCCUACUACGAAAAAUAGUAUUUUAAGAGAAAACUAUGUAAGAGUUUGUGAUCUUUGUAUGUAAAAGUAUUAUUUUCCUUUGCUUGGUGUUCACGCGGUUUCAUUUAUGGCAAAAAUGGAAAAUCAUCGUACAAUAAUUGUUGAUAUUCUUUGCGGGAAAGAGAGAUCUUUUCACUUUUCAGAUCACACAAAGUAUUGUAUUUCUUAUAGGGGUGAUAUACAGUGUUCUAAAUCUGCACUUGUGAUUCGUUGUCCAUUUAAAUUUGGUUUCUUCCACAGAUUAUGUUGGUUUGGUGCUGUAUUUAUCUCAGCACUAAAGUAUACUGAUGUUAGCUAAGUCCAAUCAAAGGCCCAUGUUUUUAUCAUGUUAUACAAAUUAGUAAGCUAAGAUCUUACCAAACUCAAGUUACAUAAGCCCACACUACGUUAAAUACACAUCAUGCAGUACACAUGUUCAUCUUAGUGUUACGUUAUACUUGGCUCCGAGAUAAAUAAUUGUAUCAAUUAUUACUAUCUUUUGCAGCUUGUUUCUGCCUGUUCAUUGUAGAAUUAUCUUAUGUAGUCUCCCAAGGUUCAUGCAACUUGAAUUUUCAUACUUUGUUAGUAUUAGUGUUCACUAGGACUAGGUGCCACUCUGUAGAAGCUGAGGAUACAGAUGGAGAAAGUAGUCAUGGUUUUUUUUUUAAAAGUUUGUUCAUAUCUAUAAGAGGUUUAUGAAUUUUCAGUGUAUAGUGUUGUGAAACCUAGAGUGUUUUAUCUCAUUUAACAUUGAACUACGCUUUCAAGGAAAAACCUUCAUUUGACAUCGAACUAUGCAUGCAGGGCAAACACCCCGUGCUUCGGUGCCACCGCGCCGCGAACCCUGGGAGCUUGACCCUGGAUGGGUGUGAACUUAAGAUUGAUGUCAAGGUUAGGGGUCAGUUAUGGAUAGUGAAUAAAGGGGACGCUGCGAAACUGUUAUUAAUAAUAUGGAUGAAACAUUGCCUUGUGGAGAGAAUAAGAUAUUUCCAGAGAUAUUUAUAAAUGGAUCCAUCCUUGCAAUAGCAGUACAAAAUAUGAUGCUAACAUUUUAUUUUCAUUGUUGUUCCCAUUAAACUUCUGGUGGUGGCCCCAUUAUUCACAGCCUCGCACAUGAAAAUGUUAUUUCGUUCGGGUAAAUGUUGCGUGUCGUUGCUCCUGUAGUUUUGCGGUUUGCAUCUCCUUAAACUUUUGAGUUGGAUUUUGCGAAGUUGCAAUGCAAAUUUGGGAUGCAGGGAAGAUAAUAAACAAUGCUUUCUAAGAGCAUUUGAUAUUGGAUGCGACUCAGAAAGAACGCAUGCAAAUGCAAGAUGCACGAAGUAGUAGGCACAUGUCCAGGUUUAUUAAGAGCAUCUGCACCGGACGCCUCAUAUCUGCCACAAACGCUAGGGCAAACUUCCCGGUCAGUACUAGGACGCAAAAUUGCCACCCAACAGGAUCUGUAAAACCCGGCCCAAACGUCUAGACAUGACCGCACUCCCCAUAUCCAGCCCAUAUCUCGGACGGAUAUGUGGAAGCCCAGAGGCGCCCGGACACACCCGCCAGGUAGGAUCCGGCGAGUGCGGCCCACCCGACCCCACAUAAAUUGGACCCUAUCCGCACUCCGAGCGAAACCCAAGCGACAUUCAACUCCACUCUACUCCUCGCCAGGCCACUCCCCUCCACCCACAAGCCCCAUUUGCGGAUCUCCCACCAUUUCGAGCCGUUGAACCGGAGAUCGUCCCACGCGGCCCCAAGGAGGAGAUGGUCGACUGCCUUGCGCUUCUCCACUACCGGAGGAGUCCGCCCAGCAGGGGUCGAAAUCCAUCUGGCGGGAAUCCAUUGCGUCUGCCACAAUGGCGCAUGGAUAUAGCCCGAGGGCAGUUGCGGCUGCCUUAGCAGAGGCAGUGCAGUCCAUCUGGAGUCGGAACGCCGUGGAGGGAUACGCAACCACUUUGUUGGCACACUGAGAAAGAUAUGCACACCCGCUUAACGUCUGCUACAAAUAUGGUGUGGCGCAUCCACCGUGUUAGGCAAUGGGCACGGGAGCCCGCGGCAGCCCUCGUGCCAGACGCCAGUGGGGCAGACUCGCACUCUUCGGUGCCUCGUAUCGUGCCCGGCAGUCCUUGGCGCUGAAAUCAUGUCGUGUUGGACGCGGCCGGCUCCACCAUCAUGGAUCAAUCAUCGACCUCACAUCCACGAACGACAGGAGGGCACGGGCUCCGACGAGAAAGAGUAGGCCAUGGGAGAUGGCGCCGACUCGAGUUUCUUUUGCCGGGUCGUGUCCCAUGUCCUACUCUACCUCACCGGAGACCGACCCUCCACUUCGACAGGCUCAGACAACCAUCGGACAUGGACAGGUUCGGAACAACAAGGACAGUCGCUGGCGCAAAUUUAGACUACAGCCGUCGACACGAGGUGAGCGCGGCACGAGUUAAUCGCUGAAGAGGUUGGGCCGUUCUGUCGCCCGUGGUCGUACAGUUGCCGACGUAGUCGUCCAUGACCACCAGAUCGACACCGCCGCCACUGCAAGUCUAGGGGUCUCUGUAGUGGCUGAAGUCAUUUUAGUGUAUUUUCUUUGUAUUGUGAUGAUUGCAUACUGUGUUGCGUAUUGUGGCGUAUUUUCUUUGUAUUGUGAUGAUUAUAUACUGUACAAUGUAUUGUGGCAUAUUUUUUGUGGUCUAUUUUUAAAAAGAAAACUACAAAUAGCUAAAAGUGGUGUGCAGAAUAAAUUUAUACCCGCCACUACAAAACAAAUGCCAGGACUGACACAUAUUUUUACCCACCAUUAAUAGUAAUGCCCGCCACUGCGACAAGAUCGAGGUCGAUGGCGGGCUGUUUGUAACGCCCGCCACUGUUAUAGUCAUUUGUGGCAGGUGGAGCGCCCGCCACUAAUGCCAUGUUGCCAGUGGCAGGCGCCUCUGAGAGCCUUACCCGUCAUUGCUAGGCUUUUGAUGCCGCCACUGCUACGCAUUCCUGCGAUAGUGUGCAAUUGCGUAUCUAGUAAAACAUAUACAACUAUCCUCCCAACAAACAGUUUCGUCCUACCAUGGAGUUAUAGUCGGGUUGAAGACAUUCAUUUAUAAUCGGAAGUGACGUUGCAGUUGCAUAUCAAGUAGGAGAUAUUUAACUGCCCUAGUGACAAAACACUUUUGUUCCCUAAGUUACAGUCGCAUUGGAGACAUGCAUUAUCGAAACGACACCACCUGUAGUUGCGUGUUUGGAGUUAGACAUGCAACUAGCUCCACAAUAAUAAUCUGAAUUUUAAGUUUUAUUUAAUUUUAAAUUAAAGAAAAAAGAAAAGCUGAAGAUAUAAAAACAGAAAUAGAGAAAACAAACAAUAGGAAAAAUCCUAAAAAAGGCAAAAACAAACAAAGGAAAAAAAUGUUUGAAGUUUCUAGAAGCUUCAUAAAACCAGUAGAAAGAGUCCUACAUGGGGCGGCCCACUCACACAUGUAAAAAGAGGUGGGCGAGGUGUAUGUCGACUAGCUCAGAGUUGGGGAAUCCUAUUCCGCACAUAGGUCGCUACGUAGCCACCUAGCGCGUACCCCUCGGGUUUGUGGUCCUCUUCGGGUCGGUCCAUUCCAGGUUCUUCCCCAUACCGGUUUUUAGGAAGGUUCUAGACCUUUUUUUCUAUUUUCUUUGUUUCCUUCUAGUUUUUUCUUUAUUUUAUAUUUUAUAUAUUACUUCUUAUUUUCUUUUAUUUUAAUUUUCCUUUCUGGUGUUGCAAACAUAUUUUCAAAUUCGUAAACGUUUAUUGAAAUCAAGAACAGUUUUUGAGUUGACAAACAUAUAUCCAAAAUAAUGAACAUUUUCUAAUUCGACAAUACAUUUUGAAAUCACAAAAUAACAAAAAAACUAACUUUUGAGGACAUUUUUUAUAAAUUCUGAAAAUGUUUGUCAAUCGGCCGACAUUUUUUGAAUCUGUGAACAUUUCUAUGAAUUGACAUGAUUUUUUUGAAUUGGCAAACAUUUUUUGAAUCGAUGACCAGUUUCUGAAUCAAUGAAUAUUUUUUACAUGAAUGAACAUUUUUUUAAAUUCACAAUAAAUUUUUUUGUGAACAUUUAAAAAACUUGUUGAAUAUUGCUUGUAUGUCAACUUCCGUCCUGAUUAAUUAAAUAAAGUGGUGAUACCCAUCAAAAGAAAAUAACUAUGGUUGGCACAAAAUUUACUGCAAAUUAAUCAUGUGAUGAAAGACUUAGACGUGACAUAGUUUUUAUGUAUCCUGAUAAGUGCCACACGUCAGGGACGUUCUCAUGACAACUUUGAACAUUUUUUAUGACAAGUUUAGUUGCACGAGGAUGGCAAAUUUAAUUGACAAGCAUGAAAACAUUCAUGCUUUAUUUUAUUUUAAUAGAAACUUGUCGUGUGUCACUGAAAUUUGCCAUCCUUGGAUGACAAGAAUUGCCAUAAAAAAAGUCAGGCCCAAAGUGCAAAGCACCUGACGUGUAAGACCUAUCAUUUGGAUACUUUAUAUCUAAGAUAUUAUUUACCAUAACCAUAGCUGAGACAUUUGCCCCAAUGCAGGCGGGGCCGAUGAAAAGUCGAACCCCUUGCCAACCUACUGAAAAGGUGUACACGGUCUCCUUGGCGCCUCUAGGGAAAUAGCGCUCGUGCAAACGGUAUCCAGCUGCGUUAGCGCCGGCCCUGUCUGCCUCGUCUUCUGUCAACUUAGGGCUAUGCAAGCAUGGUGAAUCCCGGCCUUUGCAGCGGGAGGGCUUUGUUUUUUAUAUUUUUAUAAUUUUUUUUAGGGUUUGUGUUCUGUUUAGAGACGAGGCGGUGACUGCUCUCGAAAAAUGGAAUAAGAUUCUUCACGCCUAGCAUCUCGUUUUGGUGGUGCUUCUAGCGUAGUUGGAGGGCGAGUGAAAGUUUGUCUACGGGGAUCUCGCGGGAGUCGGUCGGCGUUUGUCUUAGGUGGAUCCACGUGAAUCUGGUCUUUGUUCGUGUGUCGACAGGUUGGAUAUUCCUGUCGACGCAUCUUUUCCACAACGGCGGUUCCUGUUUUGGUGGGUUGACCCUACAGGGAUUUAGCAUGAUGACUUUCUGACUGUCUAUUAUAGAAGUUUUGCCCAGCAUCAAUGAAGGAGGGGCGAUGACGAUGACGCGCCAUCUGCUUGAUUCUGUUUUUGUAAUCAUCCUUGGAUGGUCUACUGACCUAAAUAUAAUUUUUAUUAUUUCUAAUACUCAUUGUACUGUUGUGAUCGAUGAUGAUGAAUAGAUUAGAAGGUUUUCUCAAGAAAAAGAAAAAAAGACAUUUGCCUCAAUAUGGGUGACAUCUCCUGGCUUCUCCCGUUUUCUAUAUUUGAAGCCUACAAGUUCCUGGAAUUCAGCUCGGCCCGCCAAAACCAUCCCUUCUUCGCCCUCCUCCUAUUCCCUCCGCACCCCUUGUCCGAUCCAUCGCCAUUUGCAACCUCGCCAAGCCAGCCUCCUUUGCUCCGUAUCUGCCUACCAAUGCUGUCGUCGAUGUUCGGGACGCGGCCGGCGGGGGAGCCGGACCCGCCGGAGCCCAAGCCGGAGCCGUCGGGGCGGCAGCUCUCGGACGGGGACCUGCUGGAGGAGCUGGUUGCCACCGUGGGAGCCGCACAGGCGUUCCAGGAGUUCCGACGGUCGCACCGCAAGGAGUGCUUCAACCUGCUCCGCUGGCUCCAGCUCGUGCUCCCGCUCAUCGAGGAGCUCCAAGAGGCGUCCCCACCCCGCCCGCUCACCGACGACGCCCACCGCCGCCUCGCGCUCCUCAGCCGCGCCUUCCAGGCCGCCCGCCGCCUCCUCCGCUGCUGCCAUGACGGCAGCAAGAUCUUUCUCGUGCCUAAUCGAUCGCCUCUUCGAUCGCGUCUCGUCUCCUGCCGUCAAGGGAUUGCCGGGAUUUCUGAUUCGUCUCUGGUUUUCAUGGUCGCAGUCGCUGGAGAGCGAGGCGGUGCAGGGGAGGUUCCGGGCCGUGUACGAGAAGCCUCAAGGGGUAUGUGGCGACCAUCGGCAUGCGACUGAUCAGGAGGAGGAGCAGGCAUGUGAGUGGCCCUGCGAGAACCGCGGGGGCAGGACGAAAAUGUCACUUGCACACCACGCUCCUCCUCCUCCAUCUCUUCUUCAUAGUCAGAGCCCUGGAAGAAGAGGACCCUGUGAUCACAGCCCAUUUUCCAGCAUGCUUGUGUGGACGCAACUCCUCCUGAGAGUCAUCAGAACCACCACGACGAGAGGCGCGGGCAGAGGUACCCCCGGCAUCCUUGUGAGCGGUGUGCUUGAUUUUCACCAUCAUGGGACGAACCUCACAAGAUCAGGAAGUGGGGCGACGGAGAGGAGGGGAGGCCGCGGCGAUGCAGCUCCCCCAGGCGACGGUGAGGGAACAAUCACCCUCCAGGCGACACGGCAGUGGACUCAAUUGUGGGGAGGGGGAAAAGAGGAUUGGGCAAACGCUCGGCCUGACCCCAAAGUAUUUAUGUGAACCACGGUCGGAUGUCCGGGCACUGGUGGACGUGCCAGGCGACGGACCGCCGGAGAACCUCGGUCAUCCGAGACCUGGGGAGUGAUUUGGGCGGUGCACGAUUUCUGGACAAGCAACCGGACAGCCCAGUGACUCCGGACGACCGGAACCUGCGAGUCAUCAGACUUCCGAGAAGCGUCAGACGACCAGUGGCAAAAUUUUGGCAGAUAGCACACAAAAUAUCUAGAGGAACCAAAAUACAAGAAUGGGUAUAAGACAAAAUAGUAUGGUUAAUCAGACAUGUAAGAUACCACAUGGUAAGCAACUAAACAGACAUGAUAAGAAUCCCCAAACAUGAUUGGACAUCCUCUCUUUUGAGGAGAGUCGGUGCCCACUAGGCCACAAUGUGUGAGUAUAAGUGUCGUGAUGGCGCGAAGAUAGUGUCCUUGGGCUCAAUAACUACUCCAUCACUUGAAGUGCCAUAGUUCGAAGAACAUGAUAACUUUGAGAGUGUUUGUUUUAUUUAUGCAUUAUAUAGGGUGAGAGUACUCAUGAGUUGAGUGUCUCCCCCUAAACGUAUGCCUACAUCUACACAAGACAUGAAUAAAAUGCAUGGAUGGGUACUAGGUUUCACAUAAUGUUGUCUAGCUCCAAGAUACCAAGUUCACGCCUAAGUUGACAAAACCUUGCUUCAUCCAAUGGCUUGGUGAAAAUGUCUACAAGUUGCAUAUCUGUGCCAACAUGAGCAACAUCAAUAUCACCCUUUCCCACAUGAUCUCUUAAGAAAUGAUACCUAAUAUCAAUGUGCUUGGUGCGGGUAUGAUCUUUGAAUUCUUAGCAAUAAUGAUGGCACUUUCAUUAUCACAUAGAAGAGGCACAUGUCUAUAGGUGAUACUGUAAUCCUUCAAAGUUUGCCUCAUCCAUAUUAAUUGAGUUGCACAACUGGCGGUUGCAAUGUAUUCGGCUUCGGCAGCGGAGAGGGCAACACAAGUUUGUUUCUUCGAGGACCAACUUACCAAGGAGCGUCCAACAAAUUGACAUGCACCGGAGGUGGACUUAUGAUCCACUUUGUCUCUAGCCCAAUCCGCAUCCGUGUACCCAAUGAGAUCAAACUUAGCAUCCUUGGGGUGCCAUAUAGACCCAACUUUGUGGUGUGAACAAGGUAUCUAAGAAUAUGCUUAACCGUCUUAUGAUGACUUUUCCUAGGGGAAGCUUGAAAGCUAGCACACAUGGAUACACUGAACAUGAUGUCUGGUAUAGAUGCACAAAGAUAAAGCAACGAACCAAUCAUAGAGCAGUAAGUAGAUGUGUCGAAGGGAUACCAUUUGUGACUUCAGUGAUUACAAUUUUGGUUGGCAUGAGCGUCUUACAUGGACUAGCAUCAGACAUGCCAAACUUCUCUAGAAUAUCCUUGAGGUACUUUGCUUGAGAAAAUAAUAUUCCUUCUUGAAAUUGUUGAAUUUGGAAUCCGAGAAAGAACUUAAAAUCCGCAUUGAGUGACAUCUCAAAGUUCUUGGUCAUGGAAACCACAAACUUCUUGCACAAAUGAAUGUUAGGACAAUCAAAAAUGAUAUCAUCUACAUACAUUUGGCAUAAGAUCAAAUCAGCCUUGUCCCUCUUAGUAAAAAGAGUGGGAUCGAUCACCACUCUCACAAAACCAUCAUCAAGUAAAAACUUAAGAUGAUCAUACCAAGCACGAGGUGCUUGUUUGAGGCCAUACAAAGCCUUAUGAUGUUUAUACACAUAGUAUUUGUGAUCGGGAUCAACGAACCCAGGUGGUUGUAAUACAUAUACUUCUUCCUGUAGAGGACCAUUAAGGAAAGAACUCUUCACAUCCAUUUGAUGUAAUGUAAAACCAUUGAAAGCAGCAUCAGAAAGUACGAUGCACAUAGAUUCAAGACGGGCAAUGGGAGCAAAGGUCUCACCAAAGUCCAAACCUUCAACUUGUGAGUACCCUUGUGCCACUAACCUUGCCUUAUUGCGUAUGAUUACACCAUUCCCAUCUUGCUUGUUCUUGAAAAUCCAUUUUGUUCCAAUGACAUUGUGUUCCGUAGUUGGCCUCUUGACUAAUGACCACACUUGGUUGCAUCCAAAGAUGUUCAACUCUUCUUGCAUAGCAAUGAGCCAAUCGUUGUCCAUCAAUGAUUCUUGUACCUUGAGAGGCUCAACACUAGACACAAACGAGAAGUGAGCACAAAAGUUUGUCAAUUGUUUACGAGUGACUCUACCUUCUGAUAUGCCGGUGAUAAUUUUAUCAACAUCAACACGACUGGGCACAUGGGGCAUGAUGGAGGUUAGGGUUUCAUGAGUUUAACUUCAUGUCCAUCAUCCACAUCCUCAACAUAUGGAUCAUUAAUGUGUGGUGGAAGAUCUUCCUCUUCAUAUUGCAUUUGUUGAGGUUCAUCAUCAAUGAUUGCACUUUCUUGUUCUUGCACUAGGUGAUGAUCUUGCUCAUGGAGAUAAUCAUGAUGAGGGACUUGAUCAUCUUCUUGUUCUGCAACUAUGGGCAUUGGUUGAACAAUAGGAGCUUGUGAUGCUAUGGGUGUUGAAGUGGUUUGAUGAUGUGCGAAACUUCCAUCUUCUUCUUCAUCAUCAUGAGGUUCUUGUUCCAUGGGAAUAAGAGCACCAACACCCAUGGAGAAAAUAUCUUGAGACGAAUCUUCUUCACCUACAUAACUUAGAUCAACUUGCUCCCCAUGGGAGUCAUUAAAUUCAUCAAACACCACAUCACAAGUUUCUACAACACAUCCAUUGGAUUUGUUAUAGACUCUAUAGGCGUGAGAGUUUGAUCCAUAACCAACAAAUAUGACCUCAGUUGUUUUGGAUUGAAAUUUUCCUAACCGUUCUCUUUUGUUGAGUAUGAAACAUGUGCACCAUAAUACACGAAAAUACUUGACAUUUGGCUAUUUACCGGUUAGGAGCUCAUAUGGAGUCUUUUCCAAUAUUUUGCGGAGAAAGAGCCGGUUUGAUGCAUGGCAUGCGGUGUUGACAGCCUCGGCCCAAAAACUAUGUGGCGACUUGUAUUCAUCCAACAUGGACCUUGCCAUCUCCACAAGUGUACGAUUCUUCCUUUCUGCAACACUAUUUUGUUGAAGCAUGUAUGGUGCAUAAUAUUGAUGCUCAAUCCCUUCAUCACUAAGAAAUCCUUCCAAGGUGUAGUUCUUCAACUCGGAGCCAUUAUCACUUCUUAUUGCCAAGAUUUCUUUGUCAAACUUGUGUUGUGCUUUCUUGGCAAAAUAAUGAAGGUGAUCUUCGUCUCGUCCUUGGAAAUGAGGAAAAACAGCCAAGUAUAUCUUGAGUAAUCAUCAACAAUGACAAAUCCAUACUUUUUCCCAUGAAGACUAUCCCAUGAAAGAGGCCCAAAAAGAUCCACAUGAAGGAGCUCCAAAGGCCUUGAAGUAGACACGAUAUUCUUGGGUGGGUGCUUUGAUUGAUGUAGCUUCCCGGCUAUGCAUGCACUACACACAUGAUCUUUCUCAAAAGAGACAUUGGUUAGUCCAAGGAUGCGAUUACCCUUUAAGAGAUCUUGAAGAUUUCUCAUGCCGACAUGGUCUAGCCGGUGAUGCCAUAGCCACCCCUUGUUGGCCUUGGCCAUUAGACAAGUUGCAUGGAAUGUUCUCUCUUUCGAGAAAUCAACCAUGUAAAGUUUGCCAUCCAACUCUCCAACAAAGGCCACUUCGAGAGUAUCUCUCUUAAAGACUUUCACAUCUGUUAGUCUAAAGAGUGUAUCAAAGCGAACAGAAGCCAGUUGGCGAACGAAAAGCGAAUGGUAUUUAAGGGAUUGGACAAGCAUGCCAUUUGCAAGAGACAUGUCAUUUGUGAUAGCCACCUUGCCCAAACCGAGUACCUCUCCUUUUGAUCCUCCACCAAACAUAAUGCUCAUAAAUGGUUGAAUAGCUUCCAUGAAAUCGCAAAGCAAUGUGCUAUCUCCGGUCAUAUGAUUUGUGCAUCCACUAUCGAUCACCCAUUUUACUCCACCAGAGAAAGCAACCUACACACAAUUAUGACUUGGUUAGAGGCACCCAUUUUUCAAUGGGACCUCUCAAGUUAGUCACAAGGGUCUUAGGACCCAAAUAGGAUAGAACCGGAAUGUAUUCUGAGGACCAACAAUUUUGCAUAAACUUCUCCAUCCUUAGUUUUACGGAGUACAUAGGAUGGAGGCAUGAACUCUUUUGGCUUGUUGAGAGUGGACAUGCCCCUAGUGGCCUUCCCACUCACAACCUUACCUCUCUCCUUAUGUCCUUUUUAUGCAAACAUUUCUUUUAGAGGAGUGGUGCACUUUUGAGAUGACGUCUUCUUCUUGCUUGUGCUUGGGUCAAACCCGAGCCCCUCUUUGGAAAACACCUCAUAGUGUUGGCUCAAUACCUCAUUAAAAUUCUUUUGUCUUGAGCACAUGUCAUGAGUCCUUUCUCGAUUUGCGCCUGGAGAAAGCGAUUUUCCUCAAGAGUAGAUGGUAGGUCACCACUAGAGUUAGUAGUACAAGCAUCAACAUUGAUAAUAGGAGAAGAGUAAGCCUUGGCUAGAGUUUCAAGAUAGGUAAGCUUGAGUGUCUCAAAAAUCUUUGUAAGAAGAGUGAGCUCUUCUUCCUUAGUCUUGAGGGACACGGAUAGAAGCUCACAAUCCUUGGAGAGAGAAGCAUCAGACUCCACAAGCUUACUUUCAUCAUUCAUCAACUCCUCGCAAGAAUCCUUUGCCUUUUUCAAGGAGGCACGCUCUUUAGCAUGAACAUCAAGGUUAGCACCAAUUUUCAUGCAUAGUUCAUCAUUUCGGGCUUCCUCAUAUUGGACUUUCCACUCAAGGAUUUCAUAUUUUUCCUUUCCUCGGUGACGAUGGUUUUGAGUUCCUUAAUGGUGAUAGUGUGCUUACUCUCCAUUUCCAUAAGCAUACGAAACAUAGUGAGCUUCUUUCCUUUGAGGGAGCACAUGAAGUUAUUUAGUUUAGCAAGCAUAGGAUCAUCUAUAUCGUCAUCAUCAUAACUAUCCUCCGCAUCAAGAUACUCAUCACUAGGAGUAGAAGGAGUGAAGAGAUGAGGGUUUGAUCGUGGGGUUACCUUGACCUUGUCAGGAGAGUUUUGGUCCUCUCCAUCUUCUACCACGGCCUUUGCCAUUAGACACUUGUGAGCGUUGACCUUGUAGUCUUUCAUAUAGUCGUAGGUGACAACAUCACUACUCUUGUUGACUAGCCUCAAAGUGUUUUGAGAAUCUUGAGCAACUCCGGCAACACCACUAACAUCAUCUGUAUCGGAUUCUUCAUGAGCAACCAUUACUUUCCCAUCUCUCUUCUUGAGCUUGGAGUUCAAAGGAUUUGGAAACUUUUUCUUGGGAAAGGUCUUAGGAGACCUUGGUUUAUCUUCUCUCUUCUCAUAAGGGCAAUCGUUUGAGAAGUGAUUGGUUUCUUCACAGUUGUAGCAUUUUCUCACUUUCUUCUUCUGGAAUCUUCCCUUAAAUUUUCCCGCGCUAAACUUCUUGACAAAGAGAGCAAUGUCUUCAUAUGAAGGGCUCUUGUCGGAGUCAAUCUCAUCACCAUCUUCUUCUUCACUUUGCUCUUCUUCACAUACAUACUUGGCCUUCAAUGCAAGAUUGAUCUUUGAUGUUGGGGUACCGUGCAUGACAAGAUGUUUUGUGGCAUUUGCCAUUGAUUCUUCAAAUAGUUUGAACAUGGAUAUGAUGUCAUCCAGGGUCAUUUCCUUGAAUCCAUGGUGUUGUCUUAUGUACCAUACCAUUUGGUGAUGAUAUGGAGCAAGAGCAUGAAGCAACUUGUCCACGAGAAAUCCCUUAGUCAAGUUGAAUCCAUCUUGUGUCUUGUCACAAUCACAAGACUCGAUGUCGGCGGUGAGAGUCAUGAGAUGUUCAAGGAGCUGCAUGGGGGAUUCACCAUUAUCCAUAAUUUUUUUUUGCAAUUUACCCUUGGCAAUUUCAUAUUGAGCAAGCCGGAGUGUGGAGGUGCCGGUCUUGGUACUCACAAUGCUAUCCCAUAAUUCCUUGGCACUUGUGAUGUGUAUGUAUGCUCUCCUUUGCUUGUCAGUCAUACCUCUCCUUGUGCACAUGAUUGCGGUCUCAUUGAGAUUCUUUUCAUAUACUUCUCUUGGUGUAAGAUUCUUCGGGUCUACAACUUGAUAACCAUACUUCAAGAUCUCCAACAUCUCGUCAUUUCCAUAUCGAAGAUGAUCCUGCAUAGCAACUCUCCACAAAGUAAAAUCGGUUGUGUCAUCAAGUAAAGGAGGUUUGCCUUGAGGUUUAUAUGUUGGUUUCUCUACUUGAGUCUUGCAUAAAGCCAAGGAACACUGGAGUGUUCAUUAGUAGGAGGUUGUUGGCCAAGUGAAGGAGUAGGCACAGUUGGCCUCGAGGGUGCACCACCAGAAAGUGGUGCAAGCAUCGUGGUCAAUGUGGCUAGUCUCAUUUGGACCAAGGACUCAAGAGAAGAAUCAUGCUCCUCCUUUUGCUUAGCAAGCGCCCGUUCCAGGUCCCCAGAAGUGAAGGACUUGUCUUCCGUGGAAGCCGCGCCCUUCUCCUGCGGAUCCGCAACAAGGGGAGUCCCAUCGGGGUUCAUCUCGCUCUAGAGCGGUUAAGCCACAAGAAUAGAGCACAAGGCUCCGAUACCAAUUGAAAGGAUCGAAAUGGACCUAGAGGGGGGUGAAUAGGUACAAUUACAAAUUUUAAUUAUUACUUAGCAAUUUUAGGCAAUAAAGCAGAAUCUAAAAGUGAUCCUAACAAGUGUAAGUAAGAUGCUAAGAGCUAAGCAAGGUAAACAAGUAACACAAGUAUGUGAGUAAGCAAACACAAUAUGAUAUAUGUAAGGCCUAAGAGACAAGUAACCACAAGUAGGAAGUUAGGGUUAGGGAUAACCGCAACUUCGAGAGACGAGGAUGUAUGCCGAUGUUCACUUCCUUGGAGGGAAGCUACGUCACUGUUAGAGAGGUGGAUGUUACCACGAAGGCACACCAACGCCAUGAAGGCUCACCCUAUUCUCCCUUGAGACAAAACCACGAAGGUGUUUCUCAAUGACUAGUGGUAUACCUUGGGGUGAUCUCCAAACCCUCACAAACUUUCCGGGGGUGAUCACAAUGAACAAUUCCUCUCCGAAUACUCCUACUGCCUAGGAGUCUCCAACCUCCAAGAGUAACAAGAACAAUGGGGAAAAUCUCAAGACUUGCUCAAAUCACGAAUUCCUUUGGUGCAAAGAGGGGGAAGGAGUGGAUCUAUCACUUGGGUAGACAACUUCUCUCAAUUGGCCUCAAUCCCUUGGGGAUCUAAGAUUUGGUAUUGGAGAUUGAGAGAGAGAGUGAAAUGUGUUCUGAGGAUGUUUGAAGUGAAUGGUCAACCCUCUCACGGGAUAGGAGAGAGAUAUUUAUAAGUGGCCGUUGGAGCCCAAAACAGCACAACAGCGUCAGACAUCCGAUGCACAAUGGAUGACCGAAGUCUCGGCAGACACCAGACGUCCGACAAGGAUCGGACGUCCGAUGUUUUGGCACGGUAUAGUUGGUACCAGAUGACCGGAGAAUCCCGGACAUCCGAUUUUUAGGCUCGGUGGAGAAGUUACUGGGCGAUUGAAGUAUAUCGAAUGACCGAUGUUUUGCCACUAUAUAGAAUAUACCGGAUGACCGAAGGGUUCCGGACAUCCGAUGUUUUGGUUCUGAUGGAAGAUUGUCGGACAUCCGUUGUGCACCGGAUGUCCAAUGUUUUGGUUUUGAUGAAAGAUUGCCAAACGUCCGGUGAAUGUUGGACGUUCGAUGUUUUGGCUUUGUAUAGGAGAAGUCGGACGUCUGGUGAGUACCGGUCGUCCAACAGAGAUGAAGACUAGAUAAUGAGCUUGAAGUAGAUAUUGAGCAAGACUCUCACAAGACCCCAUGUUCCCCUCUUAAUAGUGUGGGAUCCCUAUACUCAAGAAUAAACAUAAAUUUAGUCUUGUUUCUUCGUUCUUGAUGAAGUUAAAUAUUUCCUAACUCGUAGUCCACACACACAAUGGAUUCUGAGGGGAUUAAAACCUGAGAUAUACUUGACAAACUUUGUUAGUCCCCUAUGAGUAUAUUGUCAUCAACAUCAAAAUAAAAUUAAGGGCAUGAUUGCACUUUCACUUGGGCCGUCCAACCCCCCAUGUAUUAGCGCAUCGGGUCAGGGAUGCGGCAGGGACAGCGGUGGCACUCAGCGCGGUAGCGACUAUGACAGCGACAACGAUGACUACACCUGGUUCUACAGGCUCCUCGGCACGUAGAAGGCGGGAAGCGGCGGCGACAUAGUAGUGCUAGACGUAGUUCUCGUUCUUAAGUUACUUUAAUUUUUGUUUUCAAGUUUUUGUACAAAUGUCAAUGAAAUCGCCUAGUUUGGACGAAUUUGUGUCCUGUUUGGUCAAUUUUCUUUUUCAAAAAACAACGUCUGGGGCGACCUGGGGGCAGUGGCCGAGAACCCGAUCGGCCCCGUACCGAAAUUAUUGCCUGUUCACCUCUAGGCGGCGCUAUUUCUAGCCCAUGGGGGGUCAAAUGGCUGAAACAGGCUCCUCCUGCAUUGCAUGCUCGACUUGGCUCGGUUCUUUGACAUCUUGGAUUUGCUCCGUCCACUACUGACACACCUCUGUUCAUGUUCCAUCGUCCUGAGGUUACUAUGUACCUACUGGUUUAUGUUGAUGACAUUAUUCUUAUUAGCUCCUUAGUGACUGCCGCUGAUCAUCUGCUGUCUGCUCUAAGUGGUCGUUCUGCCGUCAAGGAUCUAGGUGCUCUCCAUUACUUCCUUGGUCUGGAAGUUUCACGGUCCCCUGCUAGCCCGACUCUCACUUAGCAUGAGUAUUCCUUGGACUUGUUGCGACAUGCUGGUACGUUGCAAUGCAAGCAUCCUACCACCCCUAUGUCUGCGACUGAUCGGUUAUCAACCUUGGAUAGUGCCUUGCUUCCUUCAGACAACCCUACAGAGUACCGCAGUAUUAUUAGUGGCUUGCAGUACUUGAAUAUCACACGACCGGAUAUCUCCAAUGCAGUCAACCGUGUGUGCCAGUAUCUUCAUGCUCCUCGUACUUCACACUACUCAUCUGUGAAGCAUAUACUACGUUAUCUCUCUCAUACCGUCUCCUAUGGCUUGCAUCUUUGGUCUACCUCCUCGAGUGUUCUCUCGGCAUUCUCUGAUGCAGAUUGGGUUGGGAGCCUAGAUGACCGGCGAUCAACGAGGGGCUAUCCUGUCUUUUUUUAUCGCAACCUGAUUGUCUAGAGUGCAAGGAAGAAGGCUACAGUAUCUUGGAGUGGCACUGAAGCAGAUUACAAGGCGGUUGCCAAUCCCACGACUGAGCUUAUUUGGGUACACAACCUCUCAAGAGUUGGGAGUCUCUCAAGAACAGCCACCGGUUCUUUGGUGUGAUAAUAUUGGUGUGACGUAUCUUUGAUCUAAUCUAGUUUUUCAUGCUCGUCCCAAGCACGGAGAAGUUUAAUAUCACUUCGUGAGGGAACGUGUUGCACAAAAGCUUCUUCAUAUCAAGUUCAUAUCCUCCAAAGAUCAACUUGCUGACAUCUUCAUGAAGCGACUUCCACAACCUCAGUUUGAAGGAUUUAGGCUCAAUCUUUACUUCCUUUGUACUUAAGGACACAGUUAAGCACUAGUGGAAAAAAGCCUAACUAUGGCGUGGCAAAUAGUACCUUGCUGGCGUAGACACCCAACCACUACUAGGGAAAACCUUAUACACAUAAUCUUACCAACAACGCGGUUUAAAAUAAGGCGCUACUGCUACUUAGCAGUAGCGUGUGGCAACAAACCACGCUACUGAUAUCUGCAUAGCAGUAGCGCGUUAGGAGGAAACAACGCUACUACUACAGUUGCCACGACUUUGCCGCGCUAGGUCCUAGGUAUUAAGAACAAUUAGUUAGUGUUGAUUAUAUAUGACUAUGAUGAUGAUGAGAAGUUUUUAUUAUGGCUACAAUGUGUUAGAGUUGAUGAUGAUGAGGAGGAGGAGGAGAUGUUAUUAUGAGUACUGUGAUCAUGAUGAGGAGGAUUUGUUAUUAUAACUAGUGACCAAGUUGUUAUAUGAUGUCUCAUGGAUGGAAAAGAUGAUGAGGAGUUGUUAUAUGAAAAUGAUGUAUUAUAAUGAUAAGUUGUUAAUGAUAUUAUGAUGAUGAUGAUGAUGAUGAGUUAUUACAUCAUUGGGUGAAAGAACCGUGGAUUAGUUUCAAGUUGAUGGAUCCAAUUUGACCAUUUGUCACUUUGGAUCAAUCCACUUGAAACUAAUUCGUGGUUCAUGGUCACUUUGGAUACAUUCACUUGAAACUAAUCCGCGGUUCUUUCACCCAAUGAUGUCAACUCAUUAUGAUGUAAAACCAAACUCUAAAUUGCUAUUGUAUGAAAACUUGUGUAAUGGUGUAUGAAUACGACAUAAAACAAAAAAGAAAUAGAAUACGUAAUAAUAGUAGUAGCGCAGUUAGAGAGCAGCGCUGCUAGUAACUUCCAGUAGCGCAUUGUACCAAAAGUGCUACUUCUAUGUAUGUAUAACAGUAGCGCGGGAAAACCCACGCAGCUGCUACACUUUAGUUGUAGUGCUGUAGAAGUACUGCUAGGAUUUUUACUAGUGUACGCCACAAACAUGGUGCCAUUGUUAAGAUAUAGUGGUGGUGUAGGUUGACACAUCAGUAGUAUCGUACAUCGUGCUCGCGUGUAACCAGUGCAGCGCCAGCACUAAGUUCAUCAUAACUCUAGCGACCCUACUUGUCCAAUACCAGCAAAUGAUUUUUUUGGUAAUAAUUUUUUCUCAACACUAUCUACUUACUUAAUAGAUACUAUUGAACACAAUAAACUCAUCAACACUAGGUACUUAAUUAAUAGACUGUCAUUACAGAAGAGGCUUGAGAACUCAACAAGUUGAUAUUAAUUAAACUUCACAAAAGUUGCUCACUCAAGUACUCUAGUUACUCGAUCAUCAUCAAAUAAUAAGAUGAACUAGUCUUCAUCAAGGAGUAUACCCAGAUGGAGAAGCUUCUUUCUAUCCCCCUCUCCUUCUCUUUCGAAAUGAUCUAUGUCCAUCUUGAGGUCAAUCCUCUCAUUCAUGAGGUGUCUCAUCUCCUCCUUCAGUUUAUCCCGAUCCUCGACGAGCUUAUCCCUCUUGUCCCUAAGCUGAUUAGUCUCCUGAAUGGGCCGAACAUUCUCCUUGUGUAGUUGUUUAAUCUCCCCCUUGAGCUCGUCAUUUGCCCCUUGCAUGCUCUUGAUGACAUACUCAUAAGUGUUUAAGAAUUCAUUGUUGGCCAUGUCCACAUCGCACACCGACUCGUUGUUACCUCCAGAAUUGGUCGUGACCUACAAACAGAAUGCGUAUACGAUCAAGAUAAUAUGCAACUUCAUAUCACUGAAUAAAUAUUGCAAUGUAUAGAACUAAUUAAACUAGAUAGCAGGUAUAGAACUAAUUAAACUAGAUAGCAAUGUAAUGUGUAGAACUAUUGGACUGUGACUACAUUUGCCACACUAUUUUGCCACACCUAACUUGGAACAUUACUUUCGAGUGGAAAUUUUCUUUGGACAAUCAACUAUUUUGCCACACCUAACUUGGAGCAUUACUUUCCAGUGGAAAUUUUCAUUGGUGAAAAAGUAGUACACAACAGAUUUUCCCCAAGGUAUUUAUGGAUUACAGUAGCAACUCAAACACUUUGUUUUAGAAUUUAAAAUGCUUCCAAAGAUGAUGACUCAAAAAAUAUAUCUACCUUACACUACACUAGGGAAAACCCUAGUAGUAUAGCGCUUGAAAUAUGCAUAGCAGUAGCGUUGGGUCCAGUGCUACUGCUAUCGCGCUACAUCUAAACCCUAGUAGUAGCGCUGGUAUGGGCAGCGCUACUGGUAAGUUGUAGCGACCAGACCUCAAACGGUCCGAUCUCUAUGCUUCAGUGUCAUCCCUGGAUUAGUAAUGCUGACACGCAUAGUACUUGAAGGAUUUAUAACAGAGUGGCAAUCACACACUUAUUACAACGAAUGUCUCAAAAGAGAACUUAUUACAAUAAAUAUGGCUUAAGGCCAUCUAAUAAAGAUAACAAUGGAAGGUUUGGAAGAUAAGUGAGUCCAUCAACUCCAAUGUCAUCACUGAGCAUAAGACCACGAUCCUAAGGCAUCUUACUUGUCGUCUGAAAAGUCUGCAACAUGAAUGUUGCAUCCCGGAAACGGGUCAGCACAUGGAAUGUGCUGGCAAUGUAACACAUAGAGAGUAAUGAACAUAAUAAUGCUAUCACUACAUGCAUAUAUGGCUGGUGGAGAACUCUAUGGUUACAGUUUUGCAUAAAUCUAAUUUUUCCCUACAACAAAGGAAUAAAUUUUAUUUAACUAUCAUGGUGAUUGUUAAACAUUGAGAAGGUAGACACCCUCUCAAUCCCAAUUAAGCAUCAUCGUUAAACCCAACAAAUUAAAUUAAAGUAACAUGAUGAGAUUCACAUGAUAAUCCAAGUACUAGAUACUCAAAACGUCUAUAAUCGGGGACACAACUAACCAUGAUUACUUUGUACACUCUGUAGAGGUCUGCGCACUUUUCCCCACAAGACUCGAUCUCCUCCGUUGGAUUUCUCGCACUACAAGGUGUUUGAGAAACGGAUGACCGAGACAUGGUCUUUCAGAAGCGUUUGCACCUUACGAUCGGGUAGAAAGUUACACCUACUUUCCCCUACAUCUGCUAGUCUACCACUGUAAGUGUUCACACGACUUAAUCAACUAUGCUAGAGCCCAUAGUAUCUUGUGGCUGCACAUGGAAGUUUCUAGCAUGAAUAAUCUCAUGAUCUGUUUGAGCCUGGGUGGCGGUCCAAAAAAACAGGCAAUCGCUGGAAUACCCAGGUGCCUCAAUCCACCCAGAUGUGUAUUAAAGUUGCCACCUUAAAUAAACCAUUUAAUAAUAAUCUCACAUCUAUCAUGGAUUCACUCACCCAACCCACGUCUACUAGCAUAUCAUAGCAAUAAAAGCAAAUGUAGAAGUAACUCCCAAAGGUUUGAUGAUAAAACAGGUAAUAGGUACUAUCUCAUCUACUUCUGAAAACCCACAUAUUAAUUAGAUCCUAAUCAUGCAACUUUUUGACGAUGGAUCUAAUGCAAUAAAACUGGGUAGUAAAGAGGUAUGAUCAAAGUGUUACUUGCCUUGAUGAUGAUCCGUGAAACCUAGAGAUUCGAAGUAGCAAGCGGCGCACUCCGGGUACUCUAUCGCAAACAAACAAACAAGCAUACAAUAAGUACUCAACUAAUGCAUAGGUAAAACUCAAAUAAGAGAUCUAACCAGAAAGUGCAACUUAAGAACUCCGGUUUGCAAAAAGAAUCAAAUCAAACGAACCAACGAAACUCAAACGGCGAAAGAACCAAGCUUCAUUUAAUAAUCUAGACCUAAGUCCAAAUUUUACAGUAGCCAAAACUUGUUUGAGUUGGUUAAACAGAAAGAGGGUUUCGAGACGAAACUCUAGGCGCUUGAAUCGCCUGAUUCCGAUAAACGAGCGAAAAGAUAAACUAAAAUGAAAAUCGGACCAGAAAUCACAAUCUAGAAUAAUCGCGGAAAAUCCGAGAAAAAUAAAAACUGACGAACAGUCUAACGGACAGACCUUCAUUGACUUCAACUAAACGACGAAACUCAUCUGUUAAAAUGAACGAUCGAGCGAACGCUCGCUAAAUAAAUAUACCGGAAGAAAAAUAAAAAAACCGAUCUAAAAAAAACGAACCAGUUUUCUCUAGAAAAACGGAGCGGCGGCGGGCGGCUACCUCGUCGGAACUCCGACGGGGUCCGGCGGCUUCCGCGGGUCCCGGUGGCGGCGGGGCUCCAGGCGGCGGCGGGAGGCGGUGGCGGCAGCGGCGAACGGCGGCGGCGGCGCGAACGUCGACGGCGGCGCGAACGGCGGAGGCGGGAGGCAAGGUGGAUUGGGUGGCGAGGUGGGGCUGGCGACGGUGGUAUUUAUAGGAGGGGGGCGACAGUGGCUUGGGGAAGAGGGCACCUGGGUCGGGGUCGGCCUCAGGAGGCGUGCUCCGGCCGGACUCGGCGGCGGCGGCGGGGAGGACUUCCCUCCCGCGAGGAAGGCGGCGGCGGCGCGGGCCUGGCCCGGCUCGGCUGGGCCUUCGCCCAGUCGGGCGCGCAGAACUUUUUUUUUAAAAUAAAUUCCGCAGAAACUAAGAAAAUUCUAGAAAAUAAAAUAAAAUUCUAAAAAUGCAAAAAAAAAUUUCACCGUCUAAAUAAAAUAUUUAGGACGAGAUGAACAUUUUCUUGGCCCUCAAAUGCAGUUUUGAAAAACGUGCAAUUUUUCCUAAAUUCAAAUAAAAUAGCGAAAAACUCCGAAAUAAAAUCUUAUUUGAUUUUUUUAUUAAAUCCUCAAUAUUUCUUUAUUUUUCGGAAGUCAUUUUUUCCCUCUCUCUUAUUUUUAUAAUCGAAAUAAUUGAAGAUAAAAUAAAUAAAAUCAAAUGAUCCUAUUUUCAAAAUUUGAGAAAAAUCAAAUAUGAAAAUAACGAAAUUCCCAACUCUCUCCAAGGGUCCUCGAGUUGCGUAAAAUUUCUAGGAUCAAGCCAAAAAGCAAUAAAAUAUGAUAUGCAAUGAUGAUCUAAUGUAUAACAUUCCAAAUUGAAAAUUUGGGAUGUUACAAAUCUACCCCCCUUAAGAUGAAUCUCGUCCUCGAGAUUCGGGUUGGCUAGCAAAUAGGUGAUGGUGGUCCUUCAGCAGAUCUUCCUCUCUCUCCCAUGUGGCUUCAUCCUCGAUGUGGUGGCUCCACUAAACUUUGCAAAACUUGAUAACCUUGUUGCGUGUGACUCGGUUGGCAAAUUCGAGAAUUUUGACUGGUUUCUCCUCAUAGGUCAAAUCAUUAUCCAACUGAAUCGCUUCCAGGGGCACUGUAUCUCUUAGCGGUAUAUCAGCCAUCUCUGAGUGCCAAUUCUUCAACUGGGAAACCUGGAACACAACAUGAACUCCUGACAAUCCUUCUGGCAAUUCCAACUUGUACGCAACUUCUCCCACGCGCUCCAAAACUUUUUAUGGUGCCACAAAAUGUGGCGCUAACUUCCCCUUAACUCCAAAGCGCUUAACUCCUCGAAGUGGAGAUACACGAAGAUAAACUCUGUCUCUGACUUCGUAAACUGCCUCCUUGCAUUUAGAAUCCACAUAGCUCUUUUGCCUGGACUGGGCUACCUUGAGCCUUUCGCGAAUCAACUUCACCUUCUGUUCAGACUCCUUAAUCAAAUCUGGUCCAAACAAUUGGCGAUCUCCAACUUCAUCCCACAACAAUGGGGUCCUGCACCUUCUUCCGUACAAGGCUUCGAAAGGGGCCAUCUUCAAACUGGAUUGAUAACUGUUGUUGGAAGAGAACUCUGCAUAAGGCAAAUUCUUGUCCCAACUAGACCCAUAAUCUAGCGCACAAGCUCUCAGCAUAUCCUCCAAAAUCUGAUUGAAUCUCUCGGUCUGUCCAUCUGUCUGCGGAUGAAAGGUUGUACUGAUCUCUAGCCUGGUACCCAAAGUUUCAUGCAACUGAUUCCAGAACUUUGAGGUAAACUGGGUUCCUCUAUCUGAUACGAUGCUCCUCGGAACUCCAUGCAUACAUACGAUCAUGGUCAUGUAUAUCUUUGCCAACUUAUCACUUGUAUAAGUGGUCUUCACUGGGAUGAAAUGACCUACCUUCGUCAAACAAUCGACUACAACCCAAAUCGAGUCAUAGCCUGAACGAGUCCUGGGCAAUCCUGUGAUAAAAUUCAUUCCUAGUUUAUCCCACUUCCAUUCGGGUAUCGGCAAUGGCUGUAGCAAUCCUGCUGGCUUAUGAUGUUCUGCCUUCACUCUCUGACAUACAUCACAAACUGCUACGUACUCCACAAUAUCCUUCUUCAUUCCGGUCCACCAGAAAGUGUCCUUCAAAUCCAGAUACAUCUUGGUAUUUCCUGGGUGAAUCGAGUAUGGCGAAUCAUGGGCCUCUUGUAGAAUCAACUUCCUGAUCUCCGGGUCAUUAGGCACAUAAACGCGGUCCUCAAACCAUAAGGUAUCGUGCUCAUCCUCACUAAAUCCUUUAGCUUUUCCUUUGCUCAUCCUCUCCUUUAUAGUGGCAAUCUCCUUGUCAGUCUUCUGAGCUUCUCUGAUCUUAUCCAUCAAAGUCGACUGAAUCUCCAAUGCUGCAACAUAGCCUCUCGGGACUAUCUCCAAAUAUAGCUCACGAAGAUCCUCAGCUAACUCCUUUGGUAACUCUCCAGUCAUGAGGGUGUUGACAUGGCUCUUGUGGCUCAACGCAUCGGCUACUACAUUAGCCUUUCCGGGGUGAUAAUGCAAUCUCAUAUCAUAAUCCUCGAUGAGCUCCAACCAUCUUCUUUGCCUGAGAUUCAACUCCUUUUGCGUGAAAAUGUACUUCAAACUCUUAUGAUCCGUGUACACCUCACAAUGGUUUGUAAUGAGAAAAUGUCUCCAUGCCUUCAAUGCAUGCACAACGGCUGCUAACUCCAAAGCAUGUGUAGCAUAAUUCAACUCAUGGGGCUUAAGCUGUCGUGAGGCAUACGAAACAACUCUUCCCUCUUGCAUAAGCACUGCUCCAAGUCCUCAACAUGAAGCGUUUCAAUACACUUCAUAAUCCUUGCGCUGAUCUGGCAGAAUCAACACGAGUGAUGUAACCAAAUGUUUCUUCUACUCCUGGAAACUGGCCACACAUUCCUCAGUCCACUUGAACUUGGUGUCCUUCUUCAACAACUCCGCCAUGGGCUUUGCAAUUUUUGAGAAAUUCUCAAUGAAUCUCCGGUAGUAUCCUGCAAGUCCAAGAAAACUUCCGAUCUCUCCAACUGUUGUUGGUGCUUUCCAAUUUGUCACUGUGACAACUUUGGUGGGAUCUACUGCUAUUCCUUCUCCAGAUAUAACAUGUCCGAAGAAUCCAACUUCCUUCAACCAAAACUCACAUUUGCUGAACUUGGUAUAUAACUGAUGUUCUCUGAGCUUCCCAAGUACCAAACGCAAAUGCUCCUUAUGCUCUUCUUCAUUCUUCGAGUAGACCAAGAUAUCAUCAAUGAACACUACGACGAACUUAUCCAGAAACUCCAUAAACACCUUGUUCAUCAUGUUCAUGAAAUAGGCAGGUGUGUUAGUCAGACCAAAUGACAUAACGGUAUACUCAUACAGCCCGUACCUGGUGGUAAAAGUUGUCUUAGGUAUAUCGUGCUCUCUAAUCUUCAACUGGUGGUAUCCUGAUCGCAGAUCGAUCUUGGAAAAUACCUUAACUAUUUGCAAUUGGUCAAACAAGUCAUUGAUCAUCGGCAGUGGGUACUUGUUCUUGAUUGUUACUUCAUUCAAUCCUCGAUAAUCAACAACCAUCCUCAAUGAUCCAUCCUUCUUCUCCACUAGAAGCACUGGCGAGCCCCAAGGUGAAGAACUUGGGCAAAUAUAACCUUUAUCCAAUAACUCCUUGAUUUGCUUCUUAAUUUCCUCCAAAUCUUUUGCGGGCAUCCUGUACGGUCUAUUAGCAAUUGGACCUGUGCCUGGAAAAAGCUCAAUCAAAAACUCACUGUCUCUAUCUGGUGGCAUGCCUGGCAAUUCUUCCGGAAAUACAUCGGGAAAAUCUUUCACCACUGGUACUUCCUCCUGUACAACUCCUGAUAAGGAAUUUACGUGCGUCCUCUUUGGCUCGUGCCGUGAUACAUACUUGAUCCUUCUCCCUUCUGGGGUGGUAAGCAAAAUCGACUUACUGGCGCAAUCGUUGUUUCCUCCAUUCAUCGAUAGCCAAUCCAUACCCAGAAUCACAUCCAAACCUUGCGAUUCUAAAAUGAUUAAAUCCGAGGGGAAGACAUGCCUACGUAUACUCAAUGGCACUUGAAAACAUCCUCGACUGGCCAUAUAGUCCGCUCAUGGUGAGCUUACUAACAUAGGUGUUCUAAGAACCUUGGUGGGAAGUUUAUACUUAUCCACAAAUCCCCUUGAUAUGUAUGAAUGCGAUGCACCAGUAUCAAAAAGAACGAGUGUAGUAAAUGACUUAACCAAAAACUUACCUAUUACUGCAUCUGGCUGAGCUUCAACCUCCACCACGUUUACGUGGUUCACCUGUCCCUUGUUGAAAGGGUUCGGCUUCUUCCCAGAGCUUCCAUUGCCAUUUCCAUUCUGGGCUUCAGGACAUUCAUUGGCAUAAUGUCCAGUCUUCUGACAAUUGUAGCAAGUGACUUGGCUCAGAUCUCUCUUGGCUAGGGUUGAUGGGUUGGUACGUUUAUGGCCGUUGCUUCCUCCAUUCUCAUUCCCAUUCUUGAGGCCAUUAUGAUUGUGCGAACUCCCUCCUCCAUGGGUAUGUUGAAAAUGUCCUCCCGAUUUCGGGGUAAAACAUGGCUUCUGCUAAGCUCCAGAAUUGUACUUCCCUUGUCCAUACUUCCUCUUGUGAUUGUCAAUCUGCUGCUGCUUCCCUUCAAUCAUAAGAGCUCUAUCUACCAACUCCUGGUAGUUGUUGAAGGUUGCUAUCAUUAACUGCAUGCUCAGCUCAUCAUUCAGUCCUUCCAGAAACUUCUCCUUCUUAGCUGCAUCUGUAGAAACGUCAUCUGGGGCAUAACGUGCUAGCUUACUAAAGUCAUCCACAUACUGGCCAACUGUACGUCCUCAUUGGCACAAGUUGCAAAACUCACGCUUCUUCAUGGCGAUAGCUCCUGCCGAAACAUGUGACAGUGUCGAUAGGGUAUGUGGCUGUAAAAUUCUCCCACCAUGAUUCUGCGGGUCCAUCAAGCUGAUGUGCGGCAAAACGCACCUUCUCCGCAUCUGUGCAUCCUGCAGUGGUUAACUCCCUUCCCAUCUUGCGGAUCCAAUCAUCUGCAACUAUCGGCUCGGUGCUACUGGAAAACACCGGUGGAUUAAGCCUCAAGAAAUGGGCUAAGUGAUCAACAGGUGGUGGUGGUGGUGGGUUGUUGUUGUUCCCCUGAUUCUGGUUCCGGAGUAGUAACUGCAUCAAUGCAUUCUGCUGCUGGAUCAACUGGGUGAGCUUCAGUGGGAAAGCAAAUCCAUUGUCACGUCUCGGAGGCAUCUAACGAUUUAGAAAAAAUGAUAAUAUAUAAUAGAAUGAGCCCUAGAAGGAAAACACUACCCAUAUGCACAUGAGACAAAUGCAAGCAGUAUCACUUCAAGCAAAAUCAAAAAAGGGCAUACAACGGUCUAGCUAAUCGUUUCAAAAGUGCUCAGACUAUACUAUAUACAUGGGGGAAUACUACUACUGUUUAUGGUGGUCGACGAGAAAAACUGCUCCGAUGAAGACUCCAUGAUAUCUGCUCCAGCUUCGUCAACAUAGUCAUCAUCGCUAUUGUCUGGGUCCGAAUUGGUGUCGUCGAUGAUGAUGUAGUUCUCCGGAAAAGUGCAAUCAUCGUCUUCUCCUCUAGUCGCGGAAAAUCUCAUGAAUACUUUUAGCUUCUUCUUCAGAUCAUCAUUCUUCUCCACAAGCGUUGCUAUUUCCUCCUCAUAUCCAUCGCGUGUAGACUUGAGUUCUUCCUCCAGUUCCAUGAUCUUGGUCAGAGCCUUCUUCAGAUCUACCAUGCUUGCGCACAUCUGGUUCUCCUGGCGACGAAUGUGCUGGUUUCACUCCUGGAUGAAAGCUGCAAUUGAUCUAUCCUUCCUGGUGCUGAUCAUCUCCCAUUGCUCAUCUCGGCGCCCAGAAAUCAGGUAGAUAGUAUCCUUGAGAUCCUUGUGGUAAACUUCUCCAAUGUGUCCCAUGGUGAUGUGAGCUGCCAUGCUCUUUCCUAAACUCUAGGUUUGUGCAUCAAAGGAAAACUCUAUGGGUUCAGUGACGUGCAUGAACGUCCUUCCUGGAAAUUGAACUUGAAUCAUCCAACGCUCCUCUUCUGGUAAAGUGGCGUUGUAGGUCCCGAUGAAGCUUGGUACUCCGAUGUUCACGACUUAGUGACUUCCUUCAAGUGGCGUCCAAAGGGUGUAUCUUCAUCCGGUUGCAUGAACUUGCUCCUUGCAUCCGCCAUCCUAAAAGAAUAUAAUAGAUGAGGAAUCAGAAAUGACAAGAGUGAGUAAUGAUCUAGGGCUUUUAGCUUAGUGGUCGUGUCCUACAGUCAGCAUGUGCUUUUAUACCAUCUUGUAGCGACCCGACCUCUGUGCUUCAGUGUCAUCCCUGGAUCAGUAAUGCUGACACGCAUCGUACUUGAAGGAUUUAUAACAGAGUGGCAAUCACACACUUAUUACAACGAAUGUCUCAAAAGAGAACUUACUACAAUAAAUAUGGCUUGAGGCCAUCUAAUAAAGAUAACAACGGAAGACUUGGAAGAUAAGUGAGUCCAUCAACUCCAACGGCAUCACUGAGUAUAAGACCACGAUCCUAAGGCAUUUUACUCAUCGUCUGAAAAUUCUGCAACAUGAAUGUUGCAGCCCGUAAACGGGUCAGCACAUGGUACAUGCUGGCAAUGUAACACAUAGAGAGUAAUGAACAUAAUAGUGCUAUCACUACAUGCAUAUAUGGCUAGUGGAAAACUCUAUGGUUACAGUUUUUCAUCAAACCAAUUUUUCCCUACAACAAAGGAAUAAAUUUUAUUUAACUAUCAUGGUGGUUGUUAAACAAUGAGAAGGUAGACACCCUCUCAAUCCCAAUUAAGCAUCAUCAUUAAACCCAACAAAUUAAAUUAAAGUAACAUGAUGAGAUUCACAUGAUAAUCCAAGUACUAGAUACUCAAAACGUCCAUAACCGGGGACACGGCUAACCAUGAUUUGUUUGUACACUCUGCAGAGGUUUGCGCACUUUUCCACACAAGACUCGAUCUCGUCCGUUGGAUUUCUCGCACUACAAGGUGUUUGAGAAACGGAUGACCGAGACAUAUUCUUUCAGAAGCGUUUGCACCUUACGAUCGGGUAGACAGUUACACCUACUUUCCCCCACAUCUGCUAGUCUACCACUGUAAGAGUUCACACGACUUAAUCAACUAUGCUAGAGCCCACAGUAGCUUGUGGCUGCACACGGAAGUUUCUAGCAUGAAUAAUCUCAUGAUCCCUUUGAGCCUGGGUGGCGGUCCAAAAAAACAGGCAAUCGCUGGAAUACCCAGGUGCCUCAAUCCACCCAGAUGUGUAUUAAAGUUGCCACCUUAAAUAAACCAUUUAAUAACAAUCUCACAUCUGUCAUGCAUUCACUCACCCAAUCCACGUCUAUUGGCAUAGCAUAGCAAUAAAAGCAAACGUAGAAGUAACUCUUGUAAUAAAACAGGUAAUAGGUACUAUCUCAUCUACUUCCCAAAACCCACAUAUUAAUCAGAUCCUAAUCAUGCAAUUUUUUGAGGAUUGAACUAAUGCAAUAAAACUGGGUAGUAAAGAGGUAUGAUCAAAGUGUUACUUGCCUUGUUGAUGAUCCGUGAAACCUAGAGAUUCGAAGUAGCAAGCGGCGCACUCUGGGUACUCUAACGCAAACAAACAAACAAGCAUACAAUAAGUACUCAACUAAUGCAUAUGUAAAACUCAAAUAAGAGAUCUAACCAAAAAGUGCAACUUAAGAACUCCGGUUUGCAAAAAGAAUCAAAUCAAACGAAGCAACGAAACUCAAAUGGCGAAAGAAACAAGCUUCAUUUACUAAUCUGGACCUAAGUCAAAAUUUUACAGUAGUAAAAACUUGUUGAGUUGGUUAAACGAAAAGAGGGUUUCAAGGCGAAACUCUAGGCGCUUGAAUCUCCUGAUUCUGAUAAAGGAGCGAAAAGAUAAACUAGAACGAAAAUUGGAUCAGAAACCACGAUCUGGAAUAAUCGCGGAAAAUCCGAGAAAAAGAAAAACUGACGAACUGUCUAACGGACAGACGUUCGUUGACUACAACUAAACGGCGAAACUCAUCCAUUAAAAUGAACGAUCGAGCGAACGCUCGCUAAAUAAAUAAACCAGAAGAAAUAUAAGAAAACUGAUCUAAAAAAUAAACCUAGGGUUUUCUAAAAAAAUGGAUUGGUUUUCUCUAGAAAACCGGGCGGCCACGGGCGGCUACCUCGUCGGAACUCCGGCGGGGUCCGGCGGCUUCCACGGGGUCCGGUGGCGGCGGGAGGCGGUGGCGGCAGUGGUGAACGGCGGCAGCAGCGGCGAACGGCGGCGGCGGGAGGCGAGCUGGACUGGAUGGAGGGUUGGGACUGGCAGCGGCGGUAUUUAUAGGAAGGGGGGCGACGGUGGCUUGGGGAAGGGGGCGACCGGGUCGGGAUUGGCAUCGGGAGGCAUGCCCCGGCCGGACUCGGUGGCGGCGUUGGGGAGGACUUCCCUCCCGCGGGGAAGGCGGAGGCGGCGCGGGCCUGGCCCGGCUCGGCUGGGCCUUCGGCCCAGUCCGGCGCGCGGAACUUUUUUUUAAAUAAAUUUCGCCGAAACUAAGAAAAAUACUAGAAAAUAAAAUAGAAUUCUAAAAAUGCCAAAACAAAUUUUCACCAUCUAAAUAAAAUAUUUAGGACAAGAUGAACAUUUUCUUGGCCCUAAAAUACAGUUUUGAAAAACGUGCAAGUUUUUCCUAAAUUCAAAUAAAAUAGCGAAAAACUCCGAAAUAAAAUCUUAUUUGAUUUUUAUUAAAUCCUCAAUAUUUCUUUAUUUUGGGAAAGUCAUUUUAUUCCCUCUCUCUUGUUUUUAUAAUCUAAAUAAUUGAAGAUAAAAUAAAUAAAAUCAAAUGAUCCUAUUUUCAAAAUUUGAUAAAACUCAAAUAUGAAAAUAACGAAAUUCCCAACUCUCUCCAAGGGUCAUCGAGUUGCGUAAAAUUUCUAGGAUCAAGCCAAAAAGCAAUAAAAUAUGAUAUGCAAUGAUGAUCUAAUGUAUAACAUUCCAAAUUUAAAAUAUGGGAUGUUACAUAAGUAUUGUUAGCAGUAGCGCUUCCCGGACCAGCGCUACUGAUAACUAUCUAUAGCGCUUGUUCAGAUGGUGCGCUGCUGCUAAGCCAGCGCUACUUAUAAGUAUUUUCCAGCACUACUGCUAAUAUUCCUGCUUUCACAUAUUUGCACCCUGUACAUAUUUGUGAUGUAUUUAUACAGGCUCUGUACAAUAGUUUCAUCACAUCAUACUAAACAUACACUAUUCUCACAUAUCAUAGACAUACAGUAGUCUCGUCAUAGCAUCAUCAUCAUCAUCAUUCAACACAAAUAUCAUCACAUCUCGAAAAUAGUGAUACACAAGUGCGAUCAUGUCAUGUCUUGAAUAAGUGCAACUGCAUGGUCAUGGCACACACACAAGUUUGAUCAUCUCUAUCUAAACCAUGAUGUAAAGGAGAAGAACAAUCAGCAUGAGCAAGAGCGCCACUAUGUAGUACCGGCGGUCCCGCUCCUGCUCAUGCUGGAGUGUCCACCUCAAGUAACUACGUUCCGCUUCGGCUCUGGUGUUGAACCCUCUGAGGCUAGCACCCGGGUACCUGUGCACCUGGGCCUGAGCGGCUGGCCAGUGGUUGUAGACUCCUGGAACCCGCCCAACGUACACGACGUAGUAGUCCUUCGCCAUCUCUGAUCUAUGUACCUGCAUCGUGAGUUGAUGAAUUGAAUGAUAAUAUGCAACAUAGUGUACUUAAGAAAACAAAGAGGCAUGAUUAGCAAAAUAAAAGCAACCAAUAGUAAACAUAAAUGACGAAGUUCCUCAUACCCAAACUAAUUAACUAGAGCGAUCUACGCUAGUUCAAGACCACGGUUUAGUUACAUCACAUAGUUUCGUCGUGCAUAAUUUCAAAAUUUUGCCAUAGAAAGACAGUAGUGAUAAGGCGAUUAGGACCACGGUUUAGUUACAUCACAUUGUCAUUGACAAUCAGUCCUCCAUGUCGGUGUUCCAAUCUUCAUAGUCAGGGAGGAAGCACCCGAGCUUCGUGAAAGGCUUCAGGUCCAGACAUUGAGCGACUAGCAGUGCUCGGACAUCAACCCGCGUGAUUGGACCAUGGUAGAACAUCCCCAUUGUUUUUUAGAACUUAUACAGUGGGAGAGGCUCCCACUGUGUUUGUAUUACUCAAAAGAUAUAGUACAAUGUACACCUCAUAUUUACAAGAUACUCAACCUCCACUUUGGGAGAGAGUGUAAUCAGACCAAGUUAUGGGCAAGCUAAUGGGGUGAUAGAGUGUUUACAAAAGAGAGAAUAAAGUCUCUCAAGUCUUCUCUAGUCAUGUGUUGAAGGAGGGUGAAGUCCUGCUUGAAUCUAUCAAGCCAAGAGUGGUAAAUAGGAGGGAUUCUUCUGAAGUGCUUGUUAUUCCUCUCUUUCCAUUUGCUCCAAGGUGCCUGUAAAAAGAUUUCCAUAAACAUGGGUUUGUCCCAAUUGUUGGAUGCCUGACUUAUCCAUUGUAACCUGGAGCCGGUGUCUUCCCACGUAAUCCCUAGUUUGGAGCAAUAGUUUUUACUGAAAGGGCAUUGGAAGAUCAUGUGUUCCACAUCCUCUUCUAUUUAUUGAUUACAUAGCAAGCAGUUGAAGUCAUCCCCUAUGUUAUAGUGCCACCUCUUGAGCAUGUUGCGAGUGUUUAGUCGAUCAGAGAGAAGCAACCACCCAAAUGUCUUGAUUUUCAGCAUGACCUUCGAUUUCCAGAGCCAUUGAUAUGAUUUGUGGGCCUUCACAUCCCUAAAGUAGAAUUUGUAGUAUAUGUUGGCCUUAAAAUCUCUCGAUCCCCAACAAUACUCACAAGUGUCAUGGGUAUGCAAGUCUUCAUGGUUACCUACGUGGAGCAUAUUUUGUUGUAGAUCGAGAACUUCUUCAUGUGCUUGCACCAAAAGGGGUCGGUGAAACCUUUCAUGGAGUGAGGUAGAUCCCAAGAAAUCUCUGACAGAAAUAUCAUCAUUUAUUGCGAAGGAGAAGGCCCGCGCGUAUUAUUCCGCCUCUGUAGUGUCUAACCAUAUAUCCUUCCACAUAAGUACCGUGUCUCCAACGUGCACAUUUUCUUUAGAUAUCCCUCUGUAGAUUGGGGUGAGCUUUAGCACAUCCUUCCACCAGAACUAUCCGCAUGGUUCCGACGCGUGCGGGAUCUUGUGCGUGUAAUAUGUUGUCUAGAUCAAAUCCACCCAGGGCAGGUCAUGGUGGUUCUCGGUGUCAAAACUGGCGGAUCUCGGGUAGGGGGUCCCGAUCUGUGCGUCUUAGGACCAAUGGUAACAUGAACACGGGAUUUUACCCAGCUUCGGGCUCUCUUGAUGAGAUAAUACCCUACAUGCUGCUUGAUUGACUAUAAUGAAUAUAGGGGUUACAAGAGUUGAUCUACCUCGAGAUCAUAUGUUGUGGUCUAAACCCUAGAGGUAUGAUGAGUAAUGUCAUAAUAAUCCUCUAUCGACUAGCCUAGCCUCGGUUUAUAUAAUGUACCAGAGGCCUAGGAUAACAAGAGUCCUAGCCGAAUAUGCCGGUGGGGGAGGAGUCCUUGUCUUGAUCACCAAGUCUUGUGGAAUCUUCCUUGUAUGCGGCAAUUGUCGAACUGGCCCAUGAGUAUACGGACAUGGGGGUGCUCGGCCCAAUCUAACUGAUCGGGGGAUGAUGUGGUGAGUACCCCCUAGUCCAGGACACCAUCAGUAGCCCCCUGAACCGGUCUUCAAGUUGGGGAGGCUCCUCGAUUCUUCCGAACUGUUCUUCAUCUUCGGUCGUCCGUCUUGAAAAUUGGUUCAACAAAUCUUCUCAUCUUCGAUCUUGAGGAUCGCAAAGUAAAUCCGAAGAGUUUAUACGUCGGGUAUCCGAGGAGCCCCUAUAAGUUUCCGGCAUUUAUCAAUGCCUUGUUAUUAUUAUGCCGCACUUCAGGUUUGAAGUUAUUCCCGGGCGGCAGCUUCCUCUUGCAUCCGAGCUCCAACGCCGGAUUUCAUUCGAGGUAUCUUUUGCAGCCAAGCACCAACGCCGGACUACUUCCGAGCUCCAAUGCCGAAAUAUAUCCAAGCUCUAACGCUGGACUAUGUCCAAGCUCCAACGCUGGACUGUAUCCGAGCUCCAAUGCCGGACUAUAUCCGAGAUGUCAUAGAUCAUCUGGGUUCAAAAAGUUGGAGGAGUUUAGCCGAGCUUAAUGCUGGAAAUGCCCUCUAUGGAGCCAGCCACUGGCGCCCGAGCUUAAUGCCGGAUUGCUUCCGAGGUGGUGCACCACCCCUAACUGUGGGCUGAUUUUUUGACUGGUGCAAUUUAUUAUCUUCCGAGAUAUAUAGCCAGUAGCCCUCGAGGUGUGUGCGUCGGUCUAAAACCCGAGAUGCACAUGAAGGAAAACAUGAAACCGCUAAUCCUAGUUGCCCCUGAGACUCAGGUCGGUGCACGAAAUCGGCAUGAGGAUCAACUCCUAGCUCGACAACAUACAUAGGAAUAGAAACGCGGUGUGCAAAGUCCUCGAGACUCAAGUUGGGUGCGGCCGACCAACCUGAGGAUAAUAAUCUCCUCGAAAACUAUAUUGCACUUUAAAUUUUCUGCAUUGGAUUGUCAAUGCAGUAGCCCCCGAGACACUGGUCGGGUGGCGACACUAGAUCAGGGGAUCAAUGUACCCCUUUAAUAUUUGUAAAUAAUAAGCACGAAGCCCAGUAGCCCCCGAGCCUUAAUGUGGGCACGGGUGGCCAAAUUAAGGAUCGAUAUCCAAAGUAAAAUCACAAAUUAUGUGUAAUGAUUCUAUGUAUCCAAGUACUUUGCAUCAUCAAUGCUCGCAUCCGCAUUGUACAAAACUUUGUCGACCUGCCAUCGGCUUCAACCUCCUUGGCCAGCAGCCAGGGAGUGUGUGUCCCACUUUAUAAAGCCUUUAUGGGGGCAAAGAUUUGUGGCAAACAAGGCAAUCCGGCCAUAUGGUUUUAUAAACAAAGGUACGCAGAGAGACAUGUUAUAUUAUUGUUUAACAUAAGAAACAUCAUCCAAAGAAAAUAGUCCCACUAUUGGUUCCUUUCUUUGGGUUGUCAUGCUAAGCAUGAUCAUGAAACCUCAGCUCUGAUCAAUGUGGGAGGGAAAUACUGAGGAUUUUAGUACGGGAAAAGCUUCCAAACUCUGUGGUCUAGGUGAACCCAAAUUUUUACUUCCGUUAUGACCGUUUAUAAUUUGAAAGUGGCCCAUCGUCGGCUUCUACCCCCUUGUAGAUGUUAUGCAGGGUGUUUCCGAAAUAACAAAUCAACCCUUAGCCGACGUCUCGGUACCCGAAGGCGGUUGUGUUGGCGGAAACAAGGCAAUCAGAUAUACGGGCUUUAUAACUUUCACUUAGUCAUAGGAACAUAUAGUUGGGAGGCCGGCAAGUAGCCCCCCGCUUAGUGUUCGGCGAAAGCCGAGGUCAAGCCGUAAACACUUAGGGCAAUGUUAUGAACGACCCGUCAUUUAACAUGCCGGUGGGGUCUGGGAUUCUGAUCCAAUCAUGCCGGUGGGGGAGGAGUCCUUGUCUUGAUCACCAAGUCUUGUGGAAUCUUCCUUGUAUGCGGCAAUUGUCGAACUGGCCCAUGAGUAUACGGACAUGGGGGUGCUCGGCCCAAUCUAACUGAUCGGGGGAUGAUGUGGUGAGUACCCCCUAGUCCAGGACACCAUCAGUAGCCCCCUGAACCGGUCUUCAAGUUGGGGAGGCUCCUCGAUUCUUCCGAACUGUUCUUCAUCUUCGGUCGUCCGUCUUGAAAAUUGGUUCAACAAAUCUUCUCAUCUUCGAUCUUGAGGAUCGCAAAGUAAAUCCGAAGAGUUUAUACGUCGGGUAUCCGAGGAGCCCCUAUAAGUUUCCGGCAUUUAUCAAUGCCUUGUUAUUAUUAUGCCGCACUUCAGGUUUGAAGUUAUUCCCGGGCGGCAGCUUCCUCUUGCAUCCGAGCUCCAACGCCGGAUUUCAUUCGAGGUAUCUUUUGCAGCCAAGCACCAACGCCGGACUACUUCCGAGCUCCAAUGCCGAAAUAUAUCCAAGCUCUAACGCUGGACUAUGUCCAAGCUCCAACGCUGGACUGUAUCCGAGCUCCAAUGCCGGACUAUAUCCGAGAUGUCAUAGAUCAUCUGGGUUCAAAAAGUUGGAGGAGUUUAGCCGAGCUUAAUGCUGGAAAUGCCCUCUAUGGAGCCAGCCACUGGCGCCCGAGCUUAAUGCCGGAUUGCUUCCGAGGUGGUGCACCACCCCUAACUGUGGGCUGAUUUUUUGACUGGUGCAAUUUAUUAUCUUCCGAGAUAUAUAGCCAGUAGCCCUCGAGGUGUGUGCGUCGGUCUAAAACCCGAGAUGCACAUGAAGGAAAACAUGAAACCGCUAAUCCUAGUUGCCCCUGAGACUCAGGUCGGUGCACGAAAUCGGCAUGAGGAUCAACUCCUAGCUCGACAACAUACAUAGGAAUAGAAACGCGGUGUGCAAAGUCCUCGAGACUCAAGUUGGGUGCGGCCGACCAACCUGAGGAUAAUAAUCUCCUCGAAAACUAUAUUGCACUUUAAAUUUUCUGCAUUGGAUUGUCAAUGCAGUAGCCCCCGAGACACUGGUCGGGUGGCGACACUAGAUCAGGGGAUCAAUGUACCCCUUUAAUAUUUGUAAAUAAUAAGCACGAAGCCCAGUAGCCCCCGAGCCUUAAUGUGGGCACGGGUGGCCAAAUUAAGGAUCGAUAUCCAAAGUAAAAUCACAAAUUAUGUGUAAUGAUUCUAUGUAUCCAAGUACUUUGCAUCAUCAAUGCUCGCAUCCGCAUUGUACAAAACUUUGUCGACCUGCCAUCGGCUUCAACCUCCUUGGCCAGCAGCCAGGGAGUGUGUGUCCCACUUUAUAAAGCCUUUAUGGGGGCAAAGAUUUGUGGCAAACAAGGCAAUCCGGCCAUAUGGUUUUAUAAACAAAGGUACGCAGAGAGACAUGUUAUAUUAUUGUUUAACAUAAGAAACAUCAUCCAAAGAAAAUAGUCCCACUAUUGGUUCCUUUCUUUGGGUUGUCAUGCUAAGCAUGAUCAUGAAACCUCAGCUCUGAUCAAUGUGGGAGGGAAAUACUGAGGAUUUUAGUACGGGAAAAGCUUCCAAACUCUGUGGUCUAGGUGAACCCAAAUUUUUACUUCCGUUAUGACCGUUUAUAAUUUGAAAGUGGCCCAUCGUCGGCUUCUACCCCCUUGUAGAUGUUAUGCAGGGUGUUUCCGAAAUAACAAAUCAACCCUUAGCCGACGUCUCGGUACCCGAAGGCGGUUGUGUUGGCGGAAACAAGGCAAUCAGAUAUACGGGCUUUAUAACUUUCACUUAGUCAUAGGAACAUAUAGUUGGGAGGCCGGCAAGUAGCCCCCCGCUUAGUGUUCGGCGAAAGCCGAGGUCAAGCCGUAAACACUUAGGGCAAUGUUAUGAACGACCCGUCAUUUAACAUAGUCAUCAGAUCGCUGACCGGUUUAUGCUUUAUUGUGACAGUCAGUUUUCGGCUUUCUCCAACGAGGUGCUUAACCAUACGAGUUGGAAGCACAAUCGCAGUGGCUCUCCUUUUGCACACCUAACCGAACAAAGCAGAAUGUAGGAGGCAAGCACCGGAGUCGGGCAACCCAACUAUCGACCGAAGACACAAUUUGAAACCGAUGCAUAUAUAGCAAUAUCCUAGAAUUUUUGCCAAAUCUCUAAAGGUGUCCAGCAUUGCACUGCGAGACUUAUGCGGAAAACACACAAAUAGUUGAAAAGGCCAUAGGUUUGGAAAACCAAAAAACGUCAGUGAAAACUCGACGUCCGAACUAUAUCAAGUGUUCGGUGCCAAUCCAAACAUUGAAAAAAUUGUGCUUCUGUCAUGCUUUAACAUGCCACAUCCUAUCUCAAGACUUCAAGCGGGUCAGCCUACGGCUUCAACCUCCUAUCCUAAAGGCGGAGUACUUUGGCGGCUUUGAGAGGGAAAUCCAGCUAUUGACCACACACUCGCGUCGAAAAAAGGAGUGAUAGAAAAAAACUUUGCAACGACUAGGAAGAAGAACACUUAUUAUAAAACAGCUCACAUAAAUUUAAGAGCCCCCGAGUGACUUGGGUAAAAGAAUUUUAUGUAUAAUGAUUGUAUGUACCAAAGUACUUGUAUCAUGUCUGUGUUCACCCGAACUUUAUACGCGUCUUAACCAAUUGUCGGCUUCUCCCUCUUCGGUCGAGGACCGAAAAGUGUUAUGUACUCCACCUGUCGAGAGUAUCGACGGUGUUUCCGAUAACCAGGCAACCAGGCCAUAAGGCUGUAACAGACAAAGCACGCUCAGGGAACUUAUGCUAUAUUACUAACAAAGUGUAAGAAGCAUCUUCGAAGAAAAUAGUACCCCCAUCGAUGCCUUUCUUCGGUGCUCAUUGUCAUUAUGAGACUUGUGCAAUAGAUUUUUUGUACUCAUGAGUUCCGUUGUGUGCCGACCAUGAUUGAAAACAAUAAGAGCGCUAGCUUUCGGCUUCACCCAGUCUGAGGUCUGAGCUCGGAAGAACCGGUCAUGACAAUCGCAGAGGUGCUCCCUUUACUCCCUAGCCGAACAAUCGGGAACAUAGGGGUAAGCACAGGAGCCAGCCAACCCAGCUUGCAAAUCACUUAGGUCAAUAUGGUGCAUAUUGUGGCGUAAUACAUGAACAACGAACGAAGCCGUACAAGUAUAAUCAUAUGCAAGAGGAAAAGCUUCAUAAAGGAAGCCCCAAGUAAACGGGGUAUUUGAAUUUGUGUGUCACAAACAAAGUUUGGACAUGGAAGUUCUUCACAAGCAACUUUUUGCCAAAAAGGUAUAAUGCUUGUUCAAACCGAACAAAAUUUAAGACUGAAAGUUUUUGAGCAUGAAAGAAACUUAGCUGGUUGAUAUGUUCGGCAUUGAUGACGCGGUCCGAGCUUGAUGUGGGACAGGGUUCCAGCCCCCAGGCUGGUCCCAAGGUGGCCGAGCAGAGAGUCCAGCACUCUGAGAAGAUGAAGCCCCUAGUCCGGCCACGGUAAUGGAGCAGGCCGGCGCGCCAAGGCGACAACACGGCUCAGUCCGAGUCCAUUGCCUGCACAGAUAAAAUAGUGCAAACCAAAAGAAAUGACAAAUAAAGAUAAUAAUGUAUAUAUAUAUAUAUAAUUCUUCUACUUAUUUAACACAAGUGAAGAAAAUAAUGAAAGAGAUGUGGCCUGAGCGUCGAGGUCAAUGUCGAUGCAGGGCGUGAUGCAGUGAAGGCGUGACAAAGCCCGAAUUCGCAGGUCAGUUCGAGUUCCGGAUACAGCGUUCGCCGAACUAUCCACCGAAACUGACCGAACCACCACACAAUCAUCGCUAAUGCGGCCACCAAUUGAUAGACCUAUGUACAGAUGAUGGAACAAAGCAGAGUAAUAAUUCCUUGGGAAAAAUGAACCCAAACGAGCAAAAUUUGCUAGGAUUAAUAGCACCUGGUUUAUCUGUUGUAACGGUUCGAAGAAAGGUUACUCCCAAAAUUGGGACUCGAUCCGCACACCCAUUUCCUGAUGGGUGAUGAAGCGAUGGCACGGCGAUCCUGGCAAAGGUUGGCUCGCCACAGCGAAGCCCGUGGUCCAGCUAAUGUGAUGAAGCUGGUCGGCUGGUGACGCCGAAGUCUCUGGAGUAAGUUGAUGAAGGGAUGAAGAAGCCCCCAGUCUAGGCGAGGAGACGGAGCAGGUCGGUGAGGAGAUGUGUCAGCCGAGGCGUUGAAGUAGUUCGGCGUGAUGGACAUCAGCUCGAUGAAGCAACAGUUCGGCCAUGCCGAUGCAGGUCGUAGCUUGUGACGUGAUCAAUGCUGGCUUGAUGAAGUGACCGUACGGCGAUGCCAUUGUGCCCGCUCCAUGUGAUCUGUGGGGCGGCGAUGUUGGUGACGAUUUAUCCUUCACGAUGCCGAACUAUUGUUCGGCUGGCCGAGAUGAUGGUCCGAAGAAGUUGAGCUCGGCUCAACAAAGCGACGACGUGUCUAGCACAGGUCGACCGCCAUGGAGUGAUGUUGUCAGGCCGGUUUGACACCGGCACGAUGGUGAAAAUCAUAUUGUAAAAAUACUUUUAAUAUUAAUGAGAUGUGUUUGAGAAUAAAACACAAUACCCCAUACGAUUACGUCCUUCAAAAAGGAUGUCCGAAAUCCCGUUCGUAAAGAAGAUGAACUUGGGUCGGAUUCGUUCUCGUGCAGAAAACAGAUUCGAAAAGUGAUGCACUAAUCAGAAGGUUCUCAGAGUUCGGACGGUCGGAUCGAGCUGAAUUGUUGGCAGGUGGUAGAUAUGGGAAUUCCACAGCCGAUCAACGGUUGGAUCUUCCAAAGGACGUCUGAGCUAGAUGCUGGACACCCCGCUCCAAACUCGUCCGGAUUCUCGUCCAGAUUCAACAGGGCUCCGCUAUAUCGGAGAUUGCCGGAGAUUCCUCCAUCGGAACUCGAAGAAAUCGUUUAGGCGACACUCGAGGAGGCAGUGGCGGCGGAUACAAGUUUGCUGUCUAGAAAAACAGCACGGUCGCCUGAGGGCAAUCUUGACGUUGAGCCCCCGAGCUCCAUGGAUGACUCCUCCAUGAUCUUGAUAGCGAUCGGAGUUGAUGUUGAUGAAGGCCCUCAUCCGAAAAUGACGAUCAGGGGUAGGGCGCAGUCCUCAGUCAAGCCAAGGUGACCAGUCGAGCUGGUGACGAAGAAGCCAAUGUCGCAGUUGACCUGCAGUCGAGCCAUUGAUCCUUUUGCCGAUCACACAGCGGAACUCUCAAUGAAAGCACCAAUGUCGGUGUCAAAACCGGCAGAUCUCGGGUAGGGGGUCCCGACCUGUGCGUCUUAGGAUCAAUGGCAACAUGAACACGAGAUUUUACCCAGCUUUUGGGAUCUCUUGAUGAGAUAAUACCCUACAUGCUGCUUGAUUGACUAUAAUGAAUAUAGGGGUUACAAGAGUUGAUCUACCUCAAGAUCAUAUGUUGUGGUCCAAACCCUAGAGGUAUGAUGAUUAAUGUCAUAAUAAUCCUCUAUCGACUAGCCUAGCCUCGGUUUAUAUAAUGUACCAGAGGCCUAGGAUAACAAGAGUCCUAACCGAAUACGCCGGUGGGGGAGGAGUCCUUGUCUUGAUCACCAAGUCUUGUGGAAUCUUUCUUGUAUGCGGGAACUGUCCGAACUGGCCCAUGAGUAUACGUACAUGGGGGUGCUCGGCCCAAUCUAACUGAUCGGGGGACGACGUGGUGAGUACCCCCUAGUCCAGGACACCGUCAGUGGUUGUAAAAUUUAUGCAUAUAUUUGAGAAGGAGGGCCUCACUUUGGAUACGGAGAUUGAUUAUGCCAAGUCCACCACUUUGUUUUGGUUGAAAAACCAUGUCCCAAGCUGCCAAUGAGUUACAUUUAUCCCCUUGCUCAGUCUUUUUUGUCCAAAGGCACUUUCUUCUUAUUUUAUCAAGUAGCUCUAAUAUCUUUGGUGGGAAUUUGAGAGUGUAGAGGGCGAAGAUGGUGAGAGAUGUAAUCAUCGUGUUGAGGAGUGACAGUUUUGCACCGUAUGGCAUCAAGGCUAAAGUGCUGGUCAUUCUUCGUUCCAUCAUGCAGACAAGAGGCAUGAGAUCUUGGACCAUAGACUUGGUUAUUCUGAGAGGCAGUCCCAAGUAAGUGAAGGGCAUAGAUCCUACCUUACAGCCAAAGAUAGAAGCGAUGUCGUUGUAACAAUCGGCAGCACAAUUAAUUGGGAUUGUUGUAGACUUGUGGAAGUUUAUCUUCAAUCCAAUAGAAGUAGCAUAGUCUGAGAGAAUAUCCUUGAUAGUCCUAGCUUGGUUGGGUCAAGCGGGGAGUAUAAUGAUCAUAUCAUCGGCAUAUUGGAUCACUGGAUAAUCAUGCUGGUUUUGUCUUUGGAACGGAAGCUGUAUUUUGCCUUGUCAGAAAGCGUCCGUAAUGGCAGCUUGAAUAAGGUCAGCUGCGAGCACAAAAAUGAGGGGUGAUAAAGGAUCACCUUGAUGAACACCACAUUUGCAGAUGAAUUGUCAGCCUGGUACACCAUUUAAGAGGACCGAUGAUUUUUCUGAGGAGAAGAUGCAUUUGAUCCAAUCAAGCCACAUGGCAUCAAACCCCGUGUGUUCCAUAAUUGUAAUCAUUGCAUCAUGCUCGAUCAUGUCAAAUGCUUUUCCAAAAUCUAGUUUUAGCACGACAAAAUUUUGUUUUGAGAUUUGACAGAGAUGGAUAUACACGAAAGCCCAGGCCAAACAGUCUUGUAUUGAUCUUCCUUUGAUGAAGCCAUAUUGAUUAGGAUGAAAUUUUUUAAGUACGAGCUUUUGGAGACGGUUUGCGAGCAGUUUAGUGAUAACCUUGAGGCAGCAGUUGAGCAAAGUAAUUGGUCUGAAAUCAGAAAUUGUCUCAGGUGACCGAACUAUGGGUAUGAGUGUGAUAAAUUCCUCAUUAAUGCUCUCAAGAUUAAGUCCGCCCUCGUAGAAUUGAUUGCAUAGCUAAUAAAAAUCCUCUUUAAUUAUGUGCCAACAUUUUUUCAGAAAUAAGCCAGUGAAUCCAUCCGGACCAGGUUCUCUGUCAGCCGGCAUUUCCUUGAUGACAUCAUCGAUUUCACCCUUGGUGAAAGGGACGGUCAAUUGAUCCAGACCCUCAACUUUAUCUUCGCCACCCAAUUUCACCCAUCGAAUGGUGCAUCUCUUUUGCCAGUAUUGUCUUUCGUAGUUCAAGAGGCGUAAAAUGUGUUUCUUCAGAAUUUUCCUAAAAUUAUGUUCUGGAGUAGAUUUCAGAGAUUUUUGAGGUCAUCUAGAUUGGCUAGGGUAAGAUUAGAGUUUUCAAUUGCCAUCUUAAGUUUAGAGAUACGUUUGCUCCACCUUUUCAACUCAUAUCUAAAUGCUUUGAACUUUCUGCACAGUAAAGUGGCCGCAUUUGUAUUGGCAUGUUUUAAUGGUCUUAUGCACACAGAUUGAACCAAAUCCAUAAAACUUGGGUGCUCCAUCCAAUAAGACUCAAAUCUAAAGAUUUUGCUGCGAGGGAUGGAGGUUUCAAUUUUGACAACACACGGAAUAUGAUCAGAAACAGGUUUCCUUACUGGCAUAACUAGAGUAUUAGGGUAACAUGAAUUCCAGUUGUUAGACAUGAGAAACCAGUCUAAUUGCUCAAGGAGGGGGUCUGUCUGCAUGUUCCUCCAAGUGUAAGCACGACCCUCAAUUGGCAGUUCAAUUAAUUGCUAAGAGCGGAUGAUGUCAUUAAAAGCAAUCGCGUCAUUAGGAUUACCUCCAGGUUUAUUUCUGUUAUCAGGGCUGCGAAUAUAGUUAAAGUCUCCUAGCAACAACCAAUCUUCAUUGGAGGGGAUAUUUAGAGUAUGAAGCCAAUCAGUGUAAGUCACUCUCGGGUCACCCUAACACGGGCCAUGUAUGUUCACCAGGGUCCACUCUUAGGUUGAUUGUGUGGAACGGAAUUUGAUGACAGAACCAUGCCAUGAGAACUGUUCCUGUGAAAAUGGCAUUGUUCCAAAUGGUGACAAUGCCUCCUGAAGCACCUUGGGAGGGGAUGUAUGCAAAUUUAUCAAAUCUUCUUGGGCAACAAGACUUCAGGAACAAGUUAUCAAUGACAUAUUUUCUUUCUUUCUUUCAGACAGAUGACUCCACAGCCACUGGAGGAGAUAGCAUUCGAGAACGCCAAAAGCUUAUGGUCAGAGUUUAAGCCUCUUAUAUUCCAUCACAAAAUAUUCUAGCUCGAUAAAAGUGCCAUGAUAAAAUAGAGCAAAUUAAAAAACAACUAAAAUAAAGCGAGGAAAUAGCUUAAGCAUUGGAGGGGUCGUCCUCAGCUUCAACCAUCAGAGCUUCAGAAGUAACUUCUUCUGGCGGAAUGGCGCACUUGAUGAUCCCAAUGUGUUGCAGCACUUGAACAGGAGAAGGUGGAGGGAUAUUGUCCUUGUUCAGUGAGUCAGGAACAACUUGACCUGCUUGGGCACCAGCACUAGGGACAAUUCUGGGCUUGACUUUAGAAGGUUUAGCCUUGCUGUCAAAAACUGAUGGUAUCUUGAAACCAUCAUACUUAUUAGAGUGGCUGCUGGGACGAACCUCAACCAUAGAUGCUGGUGCUUUCGCUUUGCCGCUCCUGAUUAUGGAUUUCCCCGAGCUCAUAACAUCACUUGCAAUAAAGCCAGUGGGGUCACUUGCAUCAGAACCAGAAGAGGUGGUCAUUGCAUCCAAUGAAAGUGUUGUUGCACCUUGAACAGGUAAGUCCAUCUCAUCCAAGAUUUCUGUGAUGACAACAUUGGAGUUGGAAGUCCUUGGUAUGAUAGCGAGAUCACUUGUUGGCUGAAGAGGGUUAUCCCCACAGGAUAGGGCCCAAGAACUACUGCCAGGGAUCAUCUCAGUGACAUAUACUGAAUCUGCAGUAUGUUGGACAGUUCUGGUGGAAGACAGAAUAGAGAACUAUCCCUCUUUCUCAGCAAUGCUAACAUUAAAUUGCACUGAAAUGUCACAAAAUCCAAACCCCGAGCUCCAGGGGCCAUAUGCAGCUAUAAUAGGCCUAAUAGCAGCUAGGAGGUAAGUGUUCAGCCUCAACAUUGGCACACAAUCAUUCAGAAGCAAAGAAGCAUUGGUGUUCUCAAGAGAAAGCAUAGAAAGAUGCAGACCAGCAUUUGAAAUAGACAGUGACAUUUCCAUGGGUGUUACCUCCUGGGUGGUCACAAGAUUGUAGGUGAUAAAACUCAGCUCGGAUUCGAUGAUCCGGUGUAUUUCCUAUGCCUGUGGCUCAGCUGACAAUCUCGACAUCUUCGGUAGUAGCUGACAUGCGAAGGCGUUGAUUGUCCCUUAUGUACUGCAUCAAGUGACGCAUGAGGUAGAAUCCAUCAGCCCUACUGGUGUGCGGUUGCUGGAUGCGGCAGAAGUCAAUCUUAUGGCAGAAAACCAGCCCGUUCUUCCUGUGCCAUUUCACCUUAAUAUAUCCACCAGACAGGCUGAAGGUUAACAUGGCACUAUUGAGAACAUCUUUACGUGCAUGUAAUCCUUUUUCUUGAGGUUCUUCGAUGAGUCCAAGUGCAUAGCAUGGGAGUAUUCUAGGUACAUAUUGACGAAGACGGCGCCGCCCCCACUGCGCGAAUUAAAUAGACCUCAAAUUAGACUCCAUGCUUGCAAAGGAAUGAUUAGCACGUACGAAAGGAUAUGCGUGGAUGACUUACUAGGGAUGAUAAGGCAGGAGAAUCGCUUCCUUGUCCUUUUUAGCGAUCAUGAAUUCGUCGAGGUGCUUGCUCGCAUAGUCACGGUGCUCUUUGCAAACUGCCAAGAAGCUCUCGUGCAUAUAGUACGCGUCCGCGAUGCAGAUAUAUUUUAUGGUCUCGAUCCUGAUGAAGUAGUUGAGAUACAACACAUACACGUGGAUGAACUGGAAAUCCAGCUUGGUUGUGUGUAACAUGUCGUAGAUGUAGUCAAAUCGCAGGAUGAACUGAUUCGCGGGCCAGGUAUCGACGUACAACUUCCACCUGAGCCACAUAAAGCGGGUAUCCUGGUUCUUUCGCGAUCAGAAGGAUUUUCUCUCUGGCUAGCACAUCCUCAUGGAGUCUCUUUAGAUCAUUGUUCAGUAUGUGAUCUAGCGCUUUGGUAGGUAGUAUCGGCUCACCGGCCACAUGGAAACGCGUCUUACCUUCGACAGGUAUUCUGUCUACCACCCGGGGCUUUAGAGGCGGCUGGCUUCUUGAAGCACCCAUGGAGCCUUUAGUGCCUUUCCUGGGCAGUCUCUUCCUUUGCUUCUUGGCGGGUGGCGGUAGUGAGCCCACCAUACCUUCCCUAACCACCACCCCCAGUGUCGUCGGCCUAAUCAGUGGACGGGCCUCGGGGGGUUGCUCGGUAGAGGCAGCAUCUGGAGGCGUCUCCUGUGAGGAUGGCUUGAAGAGAGACUUUUUUCAUUCCGCCUUAGAACGUUCCGGCUCCGGCAAAUUAGGCAGCAUCAAGUCAUCAUCUGCAUGCUCAUAGCAUGAGUCUUCGUCGUCCUGAGCCAUCAAUCCUCCAUCAUCAUAGGCGGUAUUUAAAUACUUGUCUGGGUCAUCAUCAUCAUCCUCCAUGUCAUCAUUAUCAUUUGCUUCUUCGACAACGGGGGUGACAUGAUCUGGCACUAAUGGAGGCUCUCCCUCGCGUCAUAAGCUACCAUCCGCCACGACAGCUGCAGGUAAUUUGGUAGGUGCGGUGGUGUUCAUACCUUCUUGAGAAUGUGGCGUUGGCGUGAUACUGGGCGCCUCGAGAUGAAGAAGAGACUUCGGCCAAGGCAAGAACCAGCUCUUGCAUGCGCCAAUCAUCUUAGGGGUCUCGUUGUCGUCGUCGACUAGUACCGGAGGAGGCAAAUCCUCGAAGCCCGCUAAGACACUGGCCACGUUAACCUUGAAGACACCAUCUGGCAUCUCUCGGUUGUGGAACAUUUGGUACUUUGGCUUCACGAUCGUUGCCUUUCCCGCAGCCACCUUCUGGCCCUUGAUGUCGUAGAAUAGGGUGCAUGGGGUAUCGUCGGCCUACGAAGGAGACAUGUCUACGACGUCAAACAUCUGAAAGGCAACAGAAACGAAAGACUAUAGACAUGCUGGUGAAAAGGGUAUGAUGCGUAAUUACCGUGAGGGCGUCGAGCUCAGCCAGCGACGAAUGCCCACCGAGCAUGCCAGAAACGGAGGUCGGGCUGCUAUGAAGAGGAACGGGACCUUUUGUGGUUGCUUGGGCAGGUGUUGGUGCUGUGGUGUUGGCCUAGUUGCUCCCGACAAAGCUAGGAAGGGGAAAGUCCUUCGGCCAUGCAUUUCGAUCACUCUUCGACCAAUCAAAAAUUGCCAGAAUCAAGCUGGCCAUCAUGUCAGUGACCAACCCACUGACUACCCCAAGCAACUCUUCUUUCGUCUCAGCUUUGGUCUUAUUAACCGCAAUCACAACCUUCUCUUCAAUGCUCUGUUGAGUGACGACCAACCGUCUCAUCCUUCUUUCCUCUAGCUCCUCGGGGUAGCACGUCCUCCAUGAGGCGCCAUCUCUGAUGUCAUGCACACGUCCAUAGGACGGCGGCUUGUCCACCGGGACCUUUUUCAGUAUGUUCAGGGCCCAGUUGAAUGGGGUGUCCCACUUGGGCCUCGCCGACGACUGUGACGACUCGUCGUUUUCGGCUGCCUUUUGGUGCUACUCUUUCUGCAAAAGGAACAUGGAUGGUUUACUAAUGUGACAAAACUUGAAGUAGAAUUGAUUGGAAGCUAAUAUGAUAAUGUGGUAAUAUAACAAUUACCACAAGUCUCAUGAACUCCCUCGUAUUCGGGUCUGUGUAAAAGAUCUUUUUGACUCUGUCCCACUUGUACCGGGCCCUGAUCCAAUCAUGCUCCAGAGGGUCUGUGAACUCUGCCAAGGGGUCUGGGAUUCCAAGACUUUCACGUUCGGCGUCCUCCUUGGCCCAUAUGUGCCUCUUCCCCUCAUAACAACGGCUUCUGAGGCGGUGGGGAGGCGUGUUCCUGUCCUGGAGCGCCUUCAUUUUCUCCGACUUUUCCUUGACUUCUUCUUUUCCGCAAUUCUCCUUGAAUUUUGCAAAGUCCUCUGCCGUUAUUGUUGGAUUAUCAACAUGAAUCUUGGGCCACGGUUCAUUCUUCGCAAUCGCUUUUUCACCCGAACUUUCCAGGAGGACAAGUCGUUGGUGAACAUCACCAUCGCAUUGUCGCUUAUCUUUGUCAUGCUGACGUCGUCCCAUGGCUCUUUAUAUUUGCCUUCAUCCUGGCAGGGGAACAGGAACCUAUUGUGCAACUUCUUUAGGAGCAUGUGCUCCAUAUGUGGUAUCUACUUCAACAUCUCGUCGUUGAUGUUGGCGGUUUCCCUGAGGAUGCAUCCAUAUUGGUUGCCCUAGCACGAGCGCGCUUCCUCCUGCGCCAUUGGUUCUAACUUCUUGGGGUGCAUCUCUGUGACCACAAUUUGUCUCAUGCCAAGCUCGUUUGGUCUUUGCGUCCUCUUCUUCUUCGGUGCUUUACCGGCUACGACAACAUCGUCGCCGGUCUCGGGGGUGGUGUCGGUGCCGGUGCCAGUGUCGGUGUCGGGGUUGGGGCCACUGCCGCCACCAUGCAGCCCCAUCUGGUGUUCGUCCAGGUAAUCGAAAUAGUUAUUUGCUUCCUCGAUGGGGUCUGCGGGACGAGCAGAACCACCCACGACUUCGACAUCGGUAGACAUGUUUCCUAUUCAACAAUUGUAAAUAAAACAUAUAAUGAAGAGAAAAAAAGGGACUAUAUUUUGUCGGAAUGUUCAUUCCCCUUCCGGCAAAUCCCGGGUACUCCAUAUGUCCUAGUUUCUAGCAUGAAAUUUUUGCCAUGACCUUUGCUAAAAGGUGGACAUAUGGAGUGCGUGAAAUUUGCCGGAACGGAAAUGAAUCAACAUUCCGGCAAAACAUAGGCCACUCGGAUAUUUUUCGGCAUUCAACCAACAUUGCAAAACCCACAUAUAACAUCAAUGACAUAUAUCAUUCAAGCAAAAGCAUGCUUGUACUUUAACACACAAAAAUGACAAAAAUAGCUACAAACUUGUCCUAGGGUUCAUACAUAGCUAACUUGCCCAAAAUUUUGCAAACUUUGCAAAAUUUGCUACUGUUUUUUUAAUGCGCUACUAUUUUUUUAUUUGCUACUGUUUUUAUACCUCAAUUUUUGCUACUAUUUUUCUAAAAUUACUGUUGUUUUUGUAAACUUUGCUACUGUUUUUUAAAUUCUUUUGCUACUGUUUUUUAAAUUCUUUUGCUAUAGUUUUUUAUACCUAAUUUUUUGCUAACUUGCCACAAAAAUUUGGUAACUUUCUAAUAUUUGCUACAAAAAUUUGAUAACUUGCUAAAAAACCAAAGAAACAAAAUUUGUUAAUUAGCUACUUCCCUAAUUAGCUACUGCCCUAAUUUGCUAACUUUGCUAACUUGCUAAAAAAUUGCUAACUUUGUUAACUUUACUAAAUUUGCCCUAAAAUUUGCAUACUUUGCUUCCGCAUUUGCUAACUUUGCUAAAAAAUUCCCCUAAUUUGAAAACCUAGAUGGGGACGAGGGGGAGGAGGAGGCCGGAGGGGGAGAGGGAGGUGGGGGCAGUACCUGAGGAGGAGGAGGUGGACGGAGGGGACGAGGAGGAGUAGGAGGCCAGAGCGGAUGAGGAGGAGGUCGGAGCGGCGGCGGCGCGGACGAGGAGGAGGUCGGAGUGGCGUGGACGAGGACGAGGAGGAGGCCGGCAUCGAGGUCGAGGGCGGGCAGGGCGACGGGUCAGCGUCAAGGUCCAGGUCGAGGGGCGACGGUCGGCGGGCAGGGGCGACAAUGGUGACGCGGGCGGCGCGUGCGACGACAAAAGAGGAGUGGGAGAGGUGGGAAGUAGGGGGAAUGGGGACUUUGCAAAAUUUUGCGCACGCGCGGGCGGUGGUUAACUCAAGAUAGCAGUAGCGCUGGUUUAGGAACCAACGCUAUAGCAGCUAUAGCAUUGGUUCAGCGCUACUGCUAAGUUUUCCAAUUUUACUUUUUUUAUUUCUAAAAUACAAGUAGAAGUAGCGUUGGGUUAGGAACAGCGCUAUAAUCAACUUAGCUAUAGCGUUGGUUCCCUAAACCAGCGCUACUGCUAAGUUUUCCACUUUUGUUUUUUUUAUUUCUAAAAUACAAGUAGCAGUAGCGCUAGGUUCGGAAAAAGCACUAUAGUUAACAUUUAUUUUCUUUUUAUUAUUUUCUGUUUACUUCUCUUUUUCUUUUGUAUUGCUUUAUCCCUUUUCUUUUCUGUUUACUUUAUUUUCUUUUGUAUUGCUUUAUCCCUUUUCUUUUCUGUUUACUUUUCUUUUCUUUUGUAUUUCUUUAUCCCUACGGCGUCUCCCUCCCACACUGCGCUAAUAUGACCGGAUGCAUGCAUGUAAUUGAAGGGAGAUGCAAUUACAUCAUUGACUGAUAACGGUUACCUAAGUGCAUACNNNNNNNNNNNNNNNNNNNNNNNNNNNNNNNNNNNNNNNNNNNNNNNNNNNNNNNNNNNNNNNNNNNNNNNNNNNNNNNNNNNNNNNNNNNNNNNNNNNNNNNNNNNNNNNNNNNNNNNNNNNNNNNNNNNNNNNNNNNNNNNNNNNNNNNNNNNNNNNNNNNNNNNNNNNNNNNNNNNNNNNNNNNNNNNNNNNNNNNNNNNNNNNNNNNNNNNNNNNNNNNNNNNNNNNNNNNNNNNNNNNNNNNNNNNNNNNNNNNNNNNNNNNNNNNNNNNNNNNNNNNNNNNNNNNNNNNNNNNNNNNNNNNNNNNNNNNNNNNNNNNNNNNNNNNNNNNNNNNNNNNNNNNNNNNNNNNNNNNNNNNNNNNNNNNNNNNNNNNNNNNNNNNNNNNNNNNNNNNNNNNNNNNNNNNNUAUAAAUUUAGGUUUCUGAUCAGCUGCGUCAACGACGUUUCACAUUAAGCUUCUUUCCUUUCUUGUUCGUUGCCGAGUAAUUGAGCCCCUCCUUGUGACUUUUCCGGGGCCAUGGAGUAUGAUCUUUCUUUGGUAAUGUAGUCUUGAUUCUUUGUUUCACGUAUGCUUCAUCAUCAUCGUCAUCUUCCCUCAUCGGGUUGCCGUAUUGGUCGUAGUCUUCCUCGUUGGCGACUCCAUCCAUUCCGACGAUGCUCCUUUUGGAUCUCCUCACGACAACCCGGCUGGGAUUAGCCGGGUCGGUUAUGAACAAGCAUUGUGUCACAUGCUUAGCGUAUACCCAUGGCUCAUUUUUGGCGAUACGUUAACGUUCGCGCGAGUGCUCUUCGCGCCGGGUAUAGACAUGGUGGUGAAAUACAUGUUUUCUCUAACAAUGUCCUUGGCCCAUUUGACACGGAACAUCUUCGCAUCGUGCAUUCCAGCAUAGUCCAGCUCCCAGAUCUGUUCGACCCUUCCGUAGAAUCUUUCAGUUGUGUCGUUGGCAUUGGUCAUGCAUUGAAUUGUCACCCCGGAGUUCUGGUAAUAACAGUCCAUGUCUUUGGCCUCCGUGUAGAACGUGUACCCAUUGAUACCGUAGGACUGAUUAGUCGCGAGCUUGGGCGCAGGGCCAUGUGCUAAGGCGUGUAUGAGCAAUCCCUCCGAACUGCCCUCUUCCGGGGUUCUUUUAAGAACUUGCUCUUUGAACCAACGCAAGAAAGUGGCGUUGUGCUCUACAAUAACUUCGCCGUCUGUCUUGAGCAUCCCCUUGUCAUGGUACUUCUUUGCAAUGCUUUCUUUGUGCCGUGCCACAUAAUCAUCUACCACAUCUAGGUGUUGUAGCACUACUAAGUUAGCCCUGUCAAAGUCAUUUCGUCGAUCCGAGUAGUCCACGUGCAAUUCCCUCCGGUCGUUGUUGUGACCAUCUCCUUCGAGCUUCCCAUUGUGCUUCUUGAUAGGCAAACCAACAACAGGUUCUCCGACCCUUAUGUAAUUCUCGAAGAAGGAGACGCACUCAAGCGUCAGAUACCCCUGGACGAUGCUCCCUUUGAGAUGGGACUUGUUACAAACGAAUCCUUUGAUGACCCCAUUCAUCCUCUUGAAAGACAUUAUGCUGUGAAGGAAUGUUGGCCCGAGGUCGACGAUGUUAAAGAAUGCGGACAAACAGAUGCACCAUGACAUUAAAGAACAUGGGCAGGAAGUACAUCUCAAGCUCACAUAGUAUGACAACGAUCUCUUGUUGUAGCCUUCGGAGCUGCUUCACACUUAUGGACUUUCGAGAGAUAACGUCGAAGAAGUUGCAGUGACCAGUAAGCGUGUCACGGACGUGCUUGUCUAUUAUCUCUCUAAUGGCAACCGGGAGUAUCUGCGUCAUCAUCACGUGACAGUCAUGAGACUUCAUCCCGCUGAACCUUUUCUUCUUGGGGUCUAGAAAUCUGCUUAUCUUCCCACAGUAACCGGAACGGACUUUGAUUCCCAUAAGGCACUUGAUGAAUUGAUCGAUCUCCUUCGCACUUAAGGUGAAGCAAGAAGGGGGGCAAUAAUUCUCCUCCUUCUUGUUGACUUUUCUGCCCCUUUCCCCCUCCCCUGUCUCCGUCUUUGUCUCCUCCAUCAACUUUUUAUGGUGGAGAUCUUUCUUGAUCUUCAAAUCUCCCAAGUCUUCCUUGGCUUCGGCCCAUCCUUUGUCUUCUCCGGCAUGUUCAUCAGUGUGCCAAGCAAGCCCUCGAGGACAUUCUUCGUGAUAUGCAUUUGAUCAAGGCAAUGAGGCGUGUCGUGAUUGGGCCAGUACUCUAAGUCCCAGAAAACAGACCUCGUUUUCCAUACCUUCAGCAGCGGCUCCGACGCCUUUUUGAUCUUUCCCGGUGCGGGGCAUUCUUCCCAGUUUCUCAACAGCUCAUCGAUUUUGGCGCUACUCCUCUUACGUGGAGGUCCUCGAAGCUAAGCCAACCCAUUGGAUAGAUCUCCACGCUUUCUCCACAGGUCAUCCUUCUUGAGCCAUCUAUGAUGCCCCAUGUACAUGAUUUUCCCGGAUACGCCAUCUUUUGUUGACAUAAGCUGCUGAGACAUUUUAUCAUCCAUGCACCUUGUGCAUCCACAGUAUCCGUGGCACACCUGGCCUGGGGUGUACCCGUAACCGAGAUAGUCGUGCACCAUCGUCAUCAGUGCGUCUCUCAUAUGGAAAUACUCUCCUUUGCUGGUGUCCCAUGUCCAUGCCGGUGAUUUCCAUAAUGUUUCUAGCUCCUCUUGCAGAAGCCCCAUAUACAAGUUAAUACUAUUUCUCGGUUGUUUCGACCCUUGAAUAAGCAUGCACAUGUGUUUGUACUUUUGUCUUCAUGCACCUCCAUGGGGGAGGUUGUACAUCCAUACAAACACAGGCCAUGUGUUGUGGUUGGUGCUCUGGUUUCCAAACCGAUUCAUGCCAUCGGUACUCGCACCAAGCACGAUGUUCCAUGGAUCUUAUGCAGCAAAUCCAUACUUGGUGUUGAAUGCUCUCCACUGGCUACCAUCUACGAGGUGUCUCAGCCUCGGAUCAUCUCCAUCUUUGGUCUUCCUCUCCGCGUGCCAGCGCAUGAGCUUUGCUUCCUUAGGAUCUACGAAAUACCGCUGCAGACGGGGAGUGAUCGGAAAGUACCAUACAAAUUUCUGAGGAGCUUUCUUUCCUUCCUUCUUGUAUCGAGAAGCAUUUGACACUGGACAGCUGGUUUUUCCACGUGCUCCCCCAAAUAAAUGAUGUAAUCGUUGAUGCAUGCGUGGUACCUAAUGUGCGGCAAAUCAAAAGGGAAAAUGAAUUUCUUGGCCUCCUCGACACUAGUAGGACACAUGUUCGCCGUAGGAAGAACUUUAUUAUGUAGAUACUUCAAAUUCUCAUCAAGGCUUUUGUCUGUCUAUUUGUUUUUGGCCUUCGUCUUUAGAAGUUCGAGCGUAAAACUCAAGCAGGUCAUCUUGGGAUCGCAACCGUCAUACAAUGGAGUCCUUGAGUCUACUUAAAGUUGCGCCAGCUUGGCCUCCUCUCUAGAGGAAGCUCUCUCACUAGUCGUACUCUUGCGAAGGAGGUCUUAAACAUGAGGGUCCUGCACGACUGCACUUAGUAGCAUCGAAGACUGCGGUGUGACCGCCGCCUCUUCUCCGCCAUGUCCGGACUGUUCUUCGCCGUGUCCGGAAUCUUCUCCGCCGCCAUCAUUUCCGGACACUUCCCCGCCGCCAUGUCCGGCGCCAUCGUCUUCGUGUCGAUCGGUCAUCUCUUCGUCUAGCCCCAUGUCGUUAUUCCCUACCAUCUGGACAUCCUCAUCAUCAUCAUCUUCUUCUUCACUUAUCCACUGAGUAUAGCCAUCCAUGAAACAAUUCAUCAGCAGGUGCGCCUUCAAAGUGCCACGAUCAAAAGGGUCCAAAAGGACUCCUUCCUUGCCCCUUGCAUCUUGCACACAGACAUCUAAUCCUAGUCCGAUUAUUUGCAUACAUGUCCAUCACCGCGGAUUGCAUGUACCGCUCCAGCUUCCAUCCACUCACCUUCAUGACCAAUUGCACGGUAUAACAAGCAAAAGGGUUAUAAAAUAAAUAAUGCAUGCAUGCUUCAAAGUCAUAUAAAAUUUUGGCAUGACCUUGCCUAAAAAUAGGAGAUAUUGGGUUUGCUCAAAAUUCACCGAAACGGAAAUAAAUCGAUAUUUCAGCAAAACAUAAGCAACUCGAGGGCAUGUCACACUCGCACAAAUCUCUCCAUGUAUAUAUCUCAAACACACGUAUUCUCAUUCACACACAUAUUCCCAUUCUUGAAAUGAAAAACUUUUUUACUCACCUAUAUAUCUCCCGAGAGAGACCGAUCGAGAGAGCACGCGGUUAAUUAGAUGAUGAGAGAGACCGAUCGAGAGAGCAUGCGUGGAUGGCUAAAUAGCUAGCUAGAUCUAGUUGUUUGGGAGGAGAGGUGAAUCUAGCUAGUUAACUAAUGGAGAUGGAGUUAUGGUGGAGGGGCAUUAAUGGGGAGAGGAAGAGAGGUAGGAGAAACAAAGAUGUGAGAGAGGCCAUUUAUGGAGAAGAGUUGUGGUGGAGGGGGACAUUAAUGAGGAGAGAAGAGAGGUACAAGGAAGAGAGAAGAAGAGCAAGAAUGGUGGAGAGUAGAGAGGGGAAAGGAGGGGGAGAGAGGGCAAAGUGGGGGAGAGGAGGGGGAGGGGUGAAAAGGUGGCACCAGCCGCAACUAGUAGUAGCGUUGCUUACCAAAAUGCGCUGCUGCUACCGUACUUAGUAGCAGUGCUUUCCUACAGAAGCGCUACUACUAAGUGGGGCCCAUUAGCAGUAGCGGCGCACUAAAAUACAACGCUACUACUAAACUGUUAGUAGUAAUGCUGGAUUCUGCACAGCGUUGGUACUACAGCUACCGUCGGUGGCCUCGUCUGGUCCACAUAGUAGUAGCGCGUUUUUGGUUUCCAGCGCUACUGCUAUACUGGAUCAGCGCUACUGCUAACUAGUAGCAGCGUUGACUAUUUUCCAGCGCUACUGCUAACUAGUAGCUGCUAACUUGUAUAAGCAUUUCCCUAGUAGUGUUAAUUUGAUUGACAGAUUGCACUUCUGGUUUCUACAGCUAGUUCUAACUAAUGAUUGAAAAAUAUAUCUACCUUAACUCUAGACAACCACAACACAUUGUCACUGCCUAACAGUGAUGAACCCUAGUGAUUCAAAUAAAAAAAUUACAAUGGCAGUGACCUAUAGCAGAAGAGGGAGGGAUGAUAUGUGCACCUGGGUUGGAGCUGAGGGUUUCCUACAGUCUACUUUGUCGCCGUCAUCAUCGCCUGGUUUCGUCGCUGAAACCCUAGCAGAUGAGAGUGGGAGGCACAGAUGCAAAACACACCUCUAAUUAAAAAAAUUCCAAAUGGACCAGAUGAGAGUGGGAAGCUCAGAUGUGUACCUCAAGACUGGAGAACGACGACAAUCGCCGGAAUCAGCCAAAAUCAAAGCGGCACGACCAGCAGCGAGAGAAGGAGAGAAAAGGGAAUGAAAUAGAGCAGCGGGUCAUAGAGAGGGAGUAGGUUGAGGGGGUCGUUGCCCCCGUUGGUUUUGACCCCCAUGGCAUUCUAAUACUAUUUGGGCUUGCCCAAUAAGAAAAAAGAUCACCACCUAAAUAUUGUCAACUCAAAACUAUAUAUUUCUAGUCUUAAACUAAAAAGGAAAAAAAGUAAAUUUAACAAAAGUACCUAUAAUAUACUAUUAAAAAGAUCACCAAAUAAAAAUCUUAAUUUUUUUUGGAAGUGUCUAAAUACAUAUUUGAAGGCUCAAAACUAUAUAUUUAUAGUCUUAAACUAAAGAGGAAAAACAAUUACAAGUCUCAAAGUACAUAUUAAUAAAAUGUCAUUAUUUCCAUUUAAAAUAAUAGAAAUUUCAUAAAAGUAAACUAUAAUAUACUAUAAAAAAGAUCACCACACAAAAAACUAAAAAGAAACAAAUUUUGAAGUGUCAAACUACAUAUUUGAAGGCUCAAUACUAUAUAUUUUAAGUCUUAAACUAAAAAGGAAAAAAUAUUAAAGCCUCAAAAUACAUAUUUAAAAACAUGUCAUUAUUUCCAUUUAAAACAAUAAAAUUUUAAUAGAAGUAAACUAUAAUAUAAUAUAAAAAAGUUCACCACAAAAAAAACUAAAAAGAAAAAAUAAAUUGGAAGUGUGAAACUACAUAUUUGAAUGCUCAAAACUAUAUAUUUCAAGUACUAACUGAAAAGGAAAAACGUAAAUUUAAAAUCUUAAGUACAUAUUUUUAAAAAUGUCAUUAUUUCUAUUUAAAAUAAUUGAAAAUUAAUAAAAGUAAACUAUAAUAUACUAUAAAAAAGUAUAUACCAAAAAAUAGUAAUAUAAGAAUGUUCGCAUUGACAAAAUAACAAUACCGGCGUCCGUUAUAACAGCACGCCACAACUAAAUAUAAUAGUGUUGGCGUUCCAUGCUAUUCCACGACAGCAAUAUAUUACGUCUGGUACAAAUUGUUGAUCUCAUGUAUUUCUGACACUGCCUUGUUUUCGAACGCCACCACUAUGCCCCUACUAAUGUCGUACCAAAUCAGCCAACGCCAUCACUACUUGAAAACAAAUAGUGGUGGCGUUGGUUGUAAUGGAGCGCCACCAACGAAAGUUGUGGCUAGCCCUUUUUCCACUAGUGAAGAUUGAGGGAGGCCGUUAGAUAAUGUUUAUGCAUAGCUAUCGUGUAGACACUUUAUAAUGGGAUAGCCACACCCGUAUUGGGUGUCGUGCAGUUUCCCACAAACAUAACGUUUUACAAUCCUGAGAGGCCAUCCAAGGGAGUCCGUCGUAGGUUGAUGCCGUUUUUACCCUCUCUAACUAAACCUAAAGUGGCGAAGUUACUAGCAUGUCGCCAUGUCCUUGCACUAGAGAAGGUAGUUGGGGACUAGACGAUCGUCUUGGAGAUGGACUGAAAGAUGGUUGUGAGCAAGCUCAACUCUGAAGGGAAGGACGGCUCACCCCAUGGACCGGCGGUUGAAGAUGUGAAGGGCAUGCUAGCUCCAAACUUUUAUUGAGUCCAAGAUCACUUGGGUUCAUGGAGUGAUGAAUUGUAUUACCUACGUCUUAACUAAUGAACAUUGUCGGAAUGAGUUGUGAAAAACAUCGCUUAGUGUGCCUCCGAAUUGUACUAGCGCCAUUUGAACUCUGGCAUUGCCGAGAACUCUGAAUACAAUGGCAACCAUUCUAUCUAAAAAAUGAUUCCUUACAGGUAUCUUUUACCUUAUCAAUAAAUCGAGUAUAAAAAAUUCAGUUUAAAUUAGAAGCAAGGUGAUUAUCAACAUACUUAUUUUAUUCCUUAUCUAUAUCUUAAUGCAUGGCUAUAAUAAGAUGAUAUACUUUUCGUCAAAAAGUUGCUAGUAUUACUUUUAAUUGACUAGGGAACUAAAUCAUGACUACGACUACCUCUGUCCUGAUUUAUUAGCGCUCCUUGUAGUUUGGGUCAAACUUUGAAAUUUAAUUUAACUAUUAGAAGAAUAAGUUAUAUACUCUAAGAAUAGUAUCACUGAAAUCCUCUUUCGAAUAUGAAUCCAACAAUAUAUGUUUUGUGACAUACAACUUAUAAUUUGUUAGUCAAAUCUACAGUCAAAGUUGGACACAAAAUAUGAAAGGGACCAAUAAACCCGGACGGAUAUAGUAGUAGUAGUAGUACUCCCUCCGAAACAAAUAAAUGCACUACCAAAUGCUCCCUCCGUCCCGAAAUACUAGUCGGAGAAAUGGAUAUAUCUAGAUGUAUUUUAGUUCUAGAUACAUCAAUUUUUAUGCAUUUCUACGACAAGUAUUUCCGGACGGAGGGAAUAAUAAGUGUAUAUUUGUUUCUAAAUAUGAAAAUAUUACUAUUAAAUACUACUAUACCAAAGAUAUAAGAAUAUUAAAUACUAGUAUACCAAAGAUACACAUAAAUAUAAGAAUAUUUAAUAGUAGUAUACCGAAGAUAUUCUACAGUUAAAUUCUAUUAACUCUGUUCCAAAAUAUAAUAAUAUUACUAUAAAAUACUAUUAGCUGUUUUCAAAUAAUUAGUAAUAGAGAUAAUAUUCUUUAGUAGUGAUAUAUCUUUAUUCCUCAUUAAAUAUAAGAAUAUUACUAGUAUUAAAUACUAGAAUCCCAAAGAUAUAUCUAAUAGUAUACCAAAAGAUAUACAACAAUUAAAUAAUAUUACCUCUGUUCCAAAAUAUAAGAAUGUUACUACUACCUCCGUCUGGAAAUAGUUGUCAUCAAAAUGAAUAAAGGAGGAUGUAUCUAGAUGUAUUUUAGUUCUAGAUACAUCUUUUUCUAUCUGUUUUGAUCACAAGUAUUUUCGGAUGGAGGAAGUAUUAAAUACUGUCACGGCUAUUCUUAUAUUUAGUAACAGAGAUAAUAGUAUUUAAUAGUAGUUUAUCAUUGUUCCUAAAUACUCCCUCCGUCCCAAAAUUCUUGUCUUAUAUUUGUCUAGAUACGGAUGUAUCUGAUACUAAAAUGUAACUAGAUACAUCCAUAUUUAGACAAAUCAAAGACAAGAAUUUUGGGACGGUGGGAGUAUAAGAAUAUUAUUAUUAAAUACUAGUAUAGAACUAUAUAUUUAGUACUAUACCAAAAUAUAAGAAUAUUUAAUGGAAAUAUACCAAAGAUAUGCUACUAUUAAAUGCUGGUAUUAAAUAAAUAAAUUUGUAGUUCAACACGCGGUCCCCACCUUGGCCCGUGCCUUCCGUUUCAGUUCAUAAAGGGCAACACAUGCUUCGCCUCCCCUCUCACAUUCUUCUCAUCCCGCUCACCUCAACCAACUCCGCGCGUCUGUUCGACCGAUCCUCCGUGAUGUCUAGCUCCGGCGUCAGUGCCAUACCCGCAGCCAACCACGAGGAGCACAGCUUGGCGGCCCCCGCCCCGCCCCCUGCGGUCGCGGUCGCCCAGGGGAAAGGGAAGAUGCUUGCGCAACAGGCGCCUGCGCCGGUGGUUCGCAAGCGCAAGCCUGGGAGACCCCGGGAGAAAAGCCCGCCCCCAAUGGCCACCAGAGAGGAGCUGGAAUUCAGGGAGUCCCGGGAAGGACCCUUGAACGUGCUUGCGCUCCCGGCGCCAGGGGCCCCGCCUGCUUAUGCUGUCUCAGACUACAAGAUGGUGAGUUGCACUCGCGCCCCCACACGGCGUGCAACCGCUGUAUCCGAAGACAAGAUGGUGAGCCGCGCUCGCUCCUCCCCCCUCUGCUACUAGUGAUUUGAAGUUAACUGGUGCCUAAUGAGCUAGAGUUAUUGACAAUCUUUAAUCUAGUCAUGUGAAUUAGUACUAGUGCUUAAUGAACUACCUGAUGUGUAUGUGCAAGAAUUACGUGCUGGGUAUAUGUCCUUGGACAUUCUAAUCGUUGCGAUCUCAUCUGGCAGAAGGACAGGAACCAGAUGGCGCUGGUGGUUCGCAGGCGCAAGCCCGGGAGACCCCGGGAGAAAAGCCCGCCCCCAGCGGCCACCAGAGAGGAGCUGGAAUCCCGGGAGUCCCGGGAAGGCCCCUUGAAGGUGCUUGCGCUCCCGGCGCCAGGGGCCCCGCGUACUCACGCUGUCUCCAGCGACAAGAUGAUGAGACGCGCUCGCGCCCCCACCCGGCAUGCAAACAUUGUCUCCGACGACAAGAAGGUGAGCCGUGAUCGCGCCCCCACCCUGCAUGCAAACCGUGUCUCCGAUGACAAGAUGGUGAGCCGCACUCGCUUCCCCCUCUCCUACUAGUGAUUUGGAGUUAACCGGUGCCUAAUGAUUUGAAGUUACUGACAAUCUUUAAUCCAGUCAUGUGAAUUGUACUAGUGCUUACUGAAUUACAUGAUGUGUAUGUGCAUGAACUACGUGGUGUGUACAUGUCCUUGGAUUUUCUAAGCAUUGCGGUCUCAUCUGGCAGAUGGACAAGAACGAGAUGGUGCCGGUCCAGGGGGUGUCGCGCAUGCGGGGGAGCAUCGCGUCGUCAAGUGUGGUUGGUAAGUAUACUUUAUGCUGCUUUUUAUUGUCAACAUCGUCUCCAUGCAGGCUACACUGGCAAACAAGCUGCUUAACUCUUGUGCAUGCUGGUUUUUUGUCAUCACUAGUAUACUGGUACUGGACUGGAGCUUGUUAGCUCUGUCCAUGCUGGGCCUUUUUGUCAUCAUUAGUAUUGUUAUAUAUUAGCUGAAGCUGCACAUGUUUUCUUUCCAUUGACGUUGGUGCGGGCGGUGCUACGCGUCAGUCGGCUGAUGGAUGGACGCCUUACUCACCUGAUUUUAAUCAAGUCCCACCUAGGUGUAGUUUGUUUUGUCACUAGCUGUGUAUACAUAGGCGAGCUCCAGCACUGCGUUGCAGCGUGGAAAACAUAUGAACUGUAAUAAGAAACAUGCAGUGGCUAGAAACAUCUCCACAUAUUUUUUCCAACACGUUUUAGGUGUCAACGAAAUUAGUCGGAUCGCCAGCCAUCGAAUUGACACAUGGAGCAUUGGAUCACAAUACACGGCAGCAGAGAGAAUGGAAACCGUGUUUGUCCAUUGCCUCCACAAUACAUAUGUAUCCACCACCCCUCCUACAUCGUCGCAACAGACAAUUACGUCGGCCCCUUCCGACACCUCGCUUUGGUACCCUAGAGACCCUGAUGUCGCUUGGAUAUCCUGCAAGUAUUAUUACAGUGCGCCAACAAGGCGUCGUCCUUGCAACAUUGUCUUACAGACAAUGUAGUUGAUGCCACCACCACCAUCACCCAUUUACACAUGGGCCGUCGCAUGUGGCACUGUUCGUGGGAUAAAACACACCCCGCGAGAAUACGUGGUUGCACCACUGCGAUCUAUGCACCUUAGGAAUUGUUUUGACUGCCCCUGCAAAACUAGCGAUGAUACGGCCAUCGCCCUGCAACAUUGGCCAUAGUUGUAGCACAUCUGAGAAGACGGAUGCCGCACCUAACAACACAGUAUGUGUUUUUUGCACCAUAAGAAAGCACUGCCUUGCAACGUCGGCUAUCAGGGUGCUGCACUGACAAACACACUCACGACCUUGAGACGUCGUAUGCCUUGGCCGAUGUAGCAUAGUGCUCCUCUUUCAGCACAUAGCGAUGGCUUGUAGCAUUGAUGGUCGGAGAGUCGCUGCAUCGUUGAGUGGCAGUGCUAGCCAAACUCAUUGUCAUAGAGAAGGGGGAAUAAAGGAUGGGUGUGCACGUGGUGGAAAUAAAGCGAAUGGAUAUGGUGAAGAGAGAGGAUGACUAACAAGGGGCAUCUGGCGCUAGAGCGAGCUGACUGAUUUCCCCCUAAAACCAGCCUGUUGAAUAUAAUUCAAUUUUCUUUUGAGAGACCUCAUAAAAACGUCGCAACAUGCGAGCAUGUCUAUACAAAAAAUUGUAGAUAUACAACACAUACUCAUUAGCUGCAACAAAUCAGUGAAAAACACAAUGUAUAUAGGCCUGAACCGAUGGAUCAUCAGCAUGCAUCUGCCAGCUCUUCCUAGGUUACGCCCAACCGUGAGUCGUUCAAUUGGGUCACACAUCACUACCCAAUCAACCACCAACUUAGUUGUUCCUCUCGUCUCCUCUACCCACCCUUGGCAACAUACACCCAUGAUUCUCAGCAAUAGACCAACAUGGAGGCGACAAUGGUGGCCAUGAUAGGCUAGUGAAAAGCACACUGGUUGGUCAACCUUACAACACUAAACAGAAACAUUGCAACAUGAGGUAACCCCAACUUUGUAGCACUGGUGCACCAUUUUCAACCACCUUGUAGCAAUGAAAAGUUCACUGACCAAUAGCAUUACUGCACCAAGUUACCGGCUUCCAGCACUGAACACCCGGGCUUGUAGCACCGCGAUGAUCGAUGGUCGGCCUUUCAACAGUAUUAGUUAACAUUGCACACCUCGUCUCCAUUUUUAUGUACAUACGCAUGAGUGACCUUGGAACAUCAGUAACGUGUCAACAUUAUCAAACUUGAAGACGAUAAAUUUGUUUCUCCAAGCAUCGACAUUACUGAAUAAGCGUGCAACUGCACAUCCACCACAUGAGCCAUAAUUUUUUAGCCCUGCGACAACAGCUUAUAGUUGCAAAAGAGCUGACGAUGAUGGUUUAGAAUGUAUAUGAUCAAAACAGAUUAAAUGGAGGGGAGGGUGGACUACCUAUGUUGAAUCAGACUAGCCGCAAGGUCACAAGUGCCUUGUCUAAAUAGCCAAAAAGACAAAAGGAGGCCUCCUGGAUUCUCCAUCCCGAAGCUAAGCAUAACUCCAACUCCAGACACGCUAGGGGGCUACUAAAGGUGCAAUACGGUAGGGGUGUCUUCUGGGUGGGAAGCCUGGUAGCAGGCCUACCUUAGGGCCCAAGAGGCCAAGUGGAGGAUCGGUGCAGUAGGGCAGCUCAGGAGCCCAGAUAAGGACUGUGAGAGCAUCUUGGCAUGCAAGCUAAGAUGGCAGUGGUAUGAGAUCUGAUGGAUUCCUUGUAAACCUAGCCCUUGCCACCUAUAUAAGGAGGGGCUCGGGGUUGUCAUUCACAUAUACUCUCAUAGACUAUACUCUUUGUAGCAUUAUACUUCAUCUCCACUCUAAACCCCUCGCACAAGGUGCUCCGCCAUGAAUAAAAAUCAGAUACAGGAAGUUGGGCAUUACCUCUCACCGAGGGCCCGAACCAAGGUAAAAACCUUUGUGUGAACUCCCUUGUCAUGGAUCCCUACAAGUUCACCACCCUACUAUGGGUACUCACAUUUUUACAUACUGUCACAUAGUUAAGUUCUGACACAUUUUCUCUGGGGAGUUGAAACAACUCAUGGUGUAAGUAGGUGUUGCUUGAAGCACUGAUUCUACUAGCACCUCCUUUCCAGCCUUCGAGAUACCUUGUCCUUCCUAUCCAACCACUUUGCCAUUUGAGCUUUCUUUAAGAUGUUUAAAAUUUCCCUCCUUUGACCUACCCACCACGGUUGGAAGCCCCAAAUAAUGCUCGCUCAAUGCCUUAGGAUCUGUGCAAAGAUAUUUACAACAACUUAGUCCUCCUAUUUGCCUCACUUCCCAAAGAAUGUUGAGGCUUUUUGAAAAUUUACCAUUUGUCCCGAGGCCCACUCGUAGUCAAUGAGGAUAUAUUUAAGGUUACAAAGUUGCCAUUUGACGGUUGAAGAAAUACUAUACUAUCAUCUGCAGAAAUAAGAUGGGCUACAUGGGGGUUAGUGCUCCCAAAAGAUAUACCAUUGAUCUCUUUAUCUUUGAGCACUCAUGAGAAAGGCCAAAAAACUCGCAACAUAGAAAAAAAAUAGGGAGACCUCUUCAUAGUAUAAAAAAAAUAGGGAGCCCUCUUCAUAGUAUAAAAAAAAUACAAAACACACUCCUUUCAAUUUGAUCGAAAACCUGGCCGGGGUACCACACAUCAUAAUCAUCAAGAUCAACCUAUCUGAGAAACCAAGUGCCCUCAUCAUCAGAUCGAGGAAAAUCUAAACCAACCUCUUAUAGGCCUUCAUCCUGUAUAGUUUAAUUGCCAACAUUGGAUUUUUUCUAUUUCUUGAAUGUACUUUGCUCCUUCGUGAUCAUAAUGGAUAGGACAACCUUCAAUCUCUUUGCUAGGCCUUUGAAGCAAUCUGACUAAGCGUGUUCAAUAAGUUGAUUGAUCCCAUUUGAGGAAGUAUCUCCAUUUAGGUAAUUUUGGGGAUUAGGACUAGAACCAUAUCACUAAAGUUUGGUGAAAUAACUCCAUUAAAAGAAUCAUCUAUUACUAUGCGUACAUCAUUUUUUAGAAAUAACUAGUGAAAUUGGUAAACAUGAGUGAGAGGUUGUCUAGCCCCUGCGCUCCAGUCAAAUUUAGAAUAGUGCAUUCUCAAUUUCUUCAUCCAUCACGUCUGUGUUCACCCUCUCCUCCAUAUCACUAGUCACACAGGGUCGGAAGUGAGCUAAGAUGUUGUCAGCAUCAGCAGAGGCUUCUGAAGAAAACAACUAAGCAUAGAAAUCGGCCGAAAUCUUCCACAUCUCAUUGUCAGUAGUACAACUCGUGCCAUCCGCCCUCAUGUUUUGAUCGUCUUUCUUGAGAAAUUCCACUCGAGAACAUUGCAUACACAUUAUUUGUUCCUGUGCACGAACCACAUGAAGCUAGGCUUCAAUCUCGCUGGUCUUCACCGAGGAUGUCUGGAUCCCAAUGAUCUACCCUUUCCAUCGAAGCUGGAACUUGUGCCUAGUUAUCUCACAACAUACAAGACAAAAUACAGAGCCACUUCAAUAUUUCAUAUCAUUGGUGACAUUGUUAUGCUUCAUGUAGAGCUCACUCUGGCCGGAAUUGUUAUCACAUGCACACCAUCAUGCCUCCAUGGGCAUCCACCUCUCCUCAAACGUUAAUGCCUUGUUCUUACUUUUGGUAAUGACUAGGUUUUCUAGCGCUCUAUUAACGAGCAAACCAUGGUCUCGUCCUCCAUGACAACAUGUUCAAUGGUUGUAUCCUACAAUGAAUGCACGACUUCAUCAUUGCAUGGACCCCUGUCCACAUGUACAUAAAGCAUCUCAUCUCGCUCCCUCUUAUUGUCCCAAGUGUACAGGUUGCUACUAAAACAAAGUUUUGAAACGCUAUUAUUGGCUACACUCUCCCUAAUGCGUUCCAUUUGUGUGAAACUCCUCAAGUAAUCUCCUAGUUGUUGUGAUUAAAAGAAUUCUUUGUUGAGCUAUCAUUGUAAUAGAUAAAUGUAUUAUUAGGAUCCAGUUUCUCGGAGCCUCCCUUAGCUACACAAAUUUUCUUCAAUCUCUCUUCCUAUCAAGUAGCUUUAGGUUAUAAUCAUUGUGAUGCCUUUGGUAGUCACCAUCACCUUGCCUCGUAUUAUGAACAAAAGUGCCUCAUCUGCGUUGCUCUGAGGUAGAUGGUCAUCUUUCCCAAUGGCCUUGCACCCUUUCCCAUAUAUAUUUUUUAUGUCUUGCUUCCUUUCAUGCUCCUUUCUCAUGUCCCACUUCCUUUUUAGAUUUAAAUCAUCCCUUAGUUCACAAUCAUGUCACAGAUCUUGCCUGCAUUGGUCCUCCCUGCACUUCAUCUUAGACAGUGACCCUCUACAAGACCAUCUCGAGGAUCCUCGUAGAGAGAGAGAGAGUCCACAGAGGGUGUAUAAUCAUUGUAUGACCUGCACGUAAAUGGACGCACAUGCAACGCUACAUGACCCAUCGCCCAUAGACGCCCUUGCUUGACCUAGUGCUCCCAAAACUAAAGUUCCUCCUUUCUUUCACCAGCCUCUACUUUGUUUUUGUCUGUGAGGAGCCACGUCCAAGUUAUGCCCUCAACCAUUCACCCAACUGGGGUGAGGAAUCAUUUUGUGGUUCAAAUCAUCCGUCAACAUGUGCUAGUCUGUCGUAGUCAAUCCAAAAGAGAGGUAUCUUCUCAAAUUGAAAAUCAAACAAGGUCCCCUCAUCUUUUGCUGAAGAGUGGAGAAAGAAGCCUUAGACUAGUGAAAGAAAUAUGAAAAUUCUAGCUCUUGAUCUGAGAUGGUUCCCCCAUAAAUCCAUCCUUCUUAACAUCACUCUUUACCACGCCACGAAGACAAUUCCCAAGAGCAUUCCCAAAAGUAUAUGAUCAUUUAUAUAGGGGAGGAUCUGUAAUUAUCACCCAUGGCUCCGUCAUACAAAACAUUAUCUUUGAUGACCUAGUUUUUUCAUCAUAAUCCUUCAAAAGUAUCACAUUAAAACCAAAUUGCCACAUUCAAUUAUAUAGAGCGUGCUUUUAGACUCCUUUGUUAUGGAAUCUAAAGAAGAAGAUAUUAUUUCUAAUGUGACUUAUUUGGGCUUCCUAGUAUAGUCCCAUGUAUGUUGCAUAGCCCUAGCAAACACGUUGAUGUUGAUUUGCUGGAGUGAGCAUGCCUUUCCAACCACUGACCACCAAGUAGGCCUCGGUCGGUCUGGAAUCCUGAUCCUCAAACAUGAGAUCUAUUAGUUCCUUUUGUUGUCAAGUUCAGGGCUCCUUGUUAAUUUGGUUGAGAGUUUAGCUGCCUCCCCUGAAGCAUUUCCAUCUGUCAGGGACUUUUGAAGGUUCUCAUCUUAACGAUCCUUGGUCGCCAUGUUCACUUGAGCUGUCGAUUUACGCCACGCCUUCUCUCCCAUCACCGCGAAAAGGAGUGGAAGCACCAAGACCAGUGAAUGUAGGAGUUUACAGUGUCAUCACCUCAUAGAUGAAUAAAAACCUAACCCUAGCACUACUUGUCGGUCGCCUAUAAUCACCCUUAGCAUUUCUUUUCAUGUUGGGCCUGCCACUAGGUAUUUAUACGUGUGCUUCCAUUGGUACUUUUUUUUCGCUGGAGCAUUUCUGCUACAUUUGCCUUUCUACAAAGGCGGUCUCAUCCAAAUCAUAUAGUCUCCUCUAUCUAUAGGAAGCGAGGACAUUAGCUCUUCUUUUUUUCAAGGCAAAUACACUUGCUACUGUUCAAGCGACAUCUAAAGAAGUCUUGUCACAUGUGAAGACGACGCUAAGAGUGUGACACAUAUAGGUGCCAACUUGAAGAAUAAUGCAAAUUUCAGUAAAUAUGAAUAGCUCCAGGGGAACGAGCGCACAAAGGAAUCAGCCACCAUAAAUGGAUCAUUUCCAAAGAAACAAAGUCACAAAGAGAGAGACAAGACAUUAGCUUCUUUAUGGGGAACACAUACAUUUAAAUGUUGCCUUGCUCUCUGAUUAUUAACAAGAAAUAAUUUUUACUAAUAUAUUAUGUGUAAAUCUUGAUAGAUAUGGAAUGUAUUUUGGUCAGUAUGUUUUAAGGAAUCAUAUUAGUUUUUGGUAUGUUGAAAUUAGAAGAAGUUCAUGUGCCUUCAAGGCAUGUCAAGGUGUGUUGUUCCACCUCAAAAUUGGUACAUACUAAAUGGUUAUUCUCCCUACAUAUAGUCCCAAUUCUCAUGCUCUCUCUCUCUAUCUAUCUAUCUAUCUAUCUAUCUAUCUAUCUCUCUACAUUUUAUAUUCCAGACUACUCCAUAAAGCCUAACUGGUGAAGGUCCAGAAACACCCAGCAGUGAUGGGUUCAACUCCCAUUAGUAGUCUAUACUUAGUGGAGGAGAAAAAAGCCAAGCCCGGCAAUGGUGAAUAAAUCAGAAAAGAAAAUAAGGCCAUGCCCAGUCCAAAUCCGGCACCUGCCAACAAUGUGUAGUCUCCACUACUCGAACCUACUUUUCCUCAGUGUGUUACAUCAUGUGAUGUUUGGAGAAGCCAUAGAGUUGGGGAUCCGAAUAUAGAAAACAACAAUGGGGAGUGGCUUGAAGAAUAGGAGCCAAGAAGCCGGACGGACAAGGCCUCCGCCAUGCUGUACCAUUGGCCGAUACUGACCCGUAUGGUGCAAGGACCGAGGCAGAACUGAACACCGUCAUCAUCUAGGUUGCAAAGGAAGUUGGACCACUGUGUUUCUUCUCUCGGACAAACUCAAUGAUUUCAUGCAGUUGGCACCCACGCCACAUUCCACAGAGAUAACAACAUUGAGGAGGAGGAGGAGGAGGGGCAACGCAAGGUUUCUUCCUCAUAGGAAUUACUUUCGAGGAAGUGGGGGACGGUAUGGCAUGAUGAGCAGUUAACAAGGGAAGUUUGCAUGACUGUGGAGGACAAAUCAUGAAGACAAGUGUGCUAGUAGCUAUAUAAGGGAUGAAUGAUAGCAGGAAGGAAUAAUGAGCUUACUGGGUGAGGCUACUAUUUUUUAAGUUGCGACCUACUGAUCAUAACAACAAUUGAUCGUAACAACGUACCAUUGAUGAUAUAGGGUAUUGAUUUAGUAACUGUCACGAUGUGACUAGGGCUUGUAAGCGGUGGGUUGUAUAUUACUAACAAGUAGCAUGUUUAGCCUCAAUAUUGUCCUCUGUCACUCGUAACAUCGUACCAUUGACGGACCCCGUCACUACUACCUUUUUCCAACAAAAAUAGAAUUUUAGUUAUAGUAAGAUUCACAACAAUCCCGCCGGCCAUUAGUGCUAAGUUGCACUGCUGACCGGUUUUUUGACCCACCACUUUUGAUCGAUAACUAGGCGAGACCUCUAGUCUGGUGCACAUUUCUUUUGUUCAGAAUUUUUAGUGUUUUUAUGUGUACAAAGACAUAUAUUUCAACCCUAACAGGUUCUCUUUAGGUGGGGUCGAGAGUGAAGGACUGGGGAGCUUGGAAGCAGGGGAAAUGGCACCUCAAGGGGUUCAGGUCUCUAUGAUCAAUAACCACAAUUUUGAUCUGAAUGAGCUGCCGACUGAGCAUGAGUAGCUCAAGAAGGAGUAGUCACCUCUGGAGCAAGAGUAUCCGCCUAUGGCACAACAUGAGAUUUAAUAUUCACAAUGGUUGGAGGCUACUCAAAUCCCUCUUGUGUGAGCAAAGUUAACUCUUGGCCCAAAGUGUAGCCCUGUCAGAAAUUAUCGAAACAAUAUCCUUAUCCCAAGGACGAUUGUAAAGCUUAUGUGGAACUUUUGAAUUUCUCACUUCCUAUUUUUUGUUGAUUGACUGACGCUAUUGCUAAACUUGAGGGAAGGACCUUGUAUACUGCUUCAUGAUCAACGUGUCAACUGGAAAUGGCUUUUCUAUUCAUUUCCCAUGAUGGUUUUGAUAUGUGGAUUGUUUGAACAAGCAGGUGUUCAUUCGGUAAAGCUUUGUGAAACAUCAACGGUGGAGCUAGGUCUCUGGUCAUGUGAAAUGAUAGUAGGUCAAGAAGUGUGUUGGAUCAUGAGAUAACAUAUUUUCUAAGUUGUUAAUCAUGUGUGUUAACACCAUGGGUAGUAUGAGAGAAGGUCAACAUGCAUGUUUGGGUCUGAAAUGACCUCAUGACCAAAAAAGGGAGAGAAACAUGGCUAAUAGGAAUACGAACGAUAUGGAAGUUACUUGUUGCAUGGAUGUUAACUGUGGUUAUGAAGCCACACAAGAUGUCAGAGGACCCGCAUCCUUACAUAUCAAGGUUGACUUCACAUGCCAACUGGAUUUCGUCUAAAUUAUUGUAUAUGUAUGUAUGUUAUAUCUUGAAAUCUUACCAAACAAAAAACACCAAAAAAUACACUAUUUACUUCUCUUUGAUGCAUACUCUAGUUGGAGGGUAAUCAAAAGCUUAUGUGGAUAUUUGUCCAUAAUAGAAUAUACAAUGGUCUAGUGAGGCAAGGUGUAAAUGGACAGGACAAUAGUCGAACAUGAAAACAUCCAACAUUGUGUUAUAGUUGCAUCAAGUUGUCUAGUGAGUUAAUAUGGAAAUGGAGGAGGCUCAUAGGGCAACACGAGAACACCCAACAUGUAGCUCUACUUACUUCCUAUUGGUACGAAGAGACCGAGACUAGUGAACGGUUAACCAUAACACAUGGACAAGAUAUCUCAUACAAGAUGAAAAUGGAGUGAGUCUUGUAUGAAAAUGAUAACAAAGUAUGAGUGUGCAUAGCAUGCCAUCCCACAUACAUCAACUAUCCUACAUGUGAAUCAAAUCCACAUCCUACAUGGGCAUUGGGCUUUAGUUGGACUACCACUUUAUGGACAAGCCAUGUGCUCCAUGUAGUCUAUAUUGCAAAGGCGGGAGGACAGGGAGCAAAUAGUUUUCGAUGGCUGGACAUUGAAGUUAUUUGUCAAGAAAUUUGUUUCCUGACAUGGUUUGUUUAUUUCAUUGUUUAGUAUUCGAUAUCGGUUCAAUGCUCUAGUAUGUAACCUUCUUCUCACAUUUUGGGUCUAGCUCUUGGUGUUCAUGAGUUCAUUACUUAUGUUAACUAUUAUUGUUGUGCCUACUUGUUCAUAAGAGACUAUAAAAAUAACUAAGAUACUCCCGUAUUUAUAUUAAUAUAGUUGGCACUAAGGUAAUCAUCAACAUUGAAUAUUGCUCAUAUUUGUCAAAUAGGAGGUCAAGCUGGAUCUGUCUGGCGCAUCAUCUAUGGUCACAUAUGGUGUAUUGUCUAUUCUAAACCCAAUGAGUAUUGCAGAAUGACAUGUGCCUGCGGGGAGGAAUGAGUCACUGUUUUGGGUCAAGGGGUGAUGCCAUGCCUCAUAAUUGACAAUAAAAAAUUAACCACCUACAUAAAAAGUCUAACCCAAGACAGGGAAUAUGCGCCAUUGCAAUUUUACUGCACAAAGUCAUCGGUAUUUUGCAAUUGAAUGUUCCCCAUGUUGUGACUGAGAACACAAAACACAAAACACCCCACAAAACACUAUUCACUUCUCCUCGAUGCAUAUUCUAGUGGAAGGGUAGUCAUAACCAUAUGGGAAUAUUUUACCACAAUAGAAUCUAUAAUGGUCUAGUGAGGCAAGGUGUAAAUGGAGAGGAUAAUAGGCGAACAUGGAAACAACCAACAUUGUGUUGUACUUUCAUCUAGUUGUAUAGUGAGAUAAUAUGGAAACGGAGGAGGCUCAUAGGGCAACAUGAGAACGCCCAACAUGUUGCUCUACUUACUUCCUAUUGUUACCAAGGGACUGAGACUCGAGCAUGGUUAAUCAUAACACAUGGAAAAGAUCUCUCAUACUAGUUGAUAAUAGAAUGAAUCUUGUAUGAUAAUGCUAACAAAGUAUGAGUGUAGAUAACAUGCCAUCUCCUCCCUUUCUUGUUGUAUUUUCCUUCACCAACCCCCAUAGUACCCUGAUCAACACUAUUAAUUCGAUAUGCUUCACAUCUGAGUUAGAAUUGUGAUUGGGAAUAGUUGUAUCAUUAUCUAAGUAGACUUAUUUAAGGGGAAAUAACGGACAUGUCUUAUCUAUUAUAGCCACAUUCCGGAUAGGAAUAAAAAAAGUUGACAUAACAAUAUAAUUUGUUGAGAUUUGAAUCGAAAAUUCAACAUACAUCAACUAUGCUACAUGUAAAUCAAAUCCUCAUCCUACAUCGGCAUUCGGCUUUAUUUGGACUACCACUUUAUGGACAAGCCGUGUGGUCCAUGUGGUCUACGUCACAACGGCCAGAGGACAAGGAGAAAAUAGUUGUCGAUGAUUGGUGAUUGAAGUUAUUUGUCAAGAAAUUUUUUCCCCAACAUGGUUCAUUUAAUUCAUUAUUUAGUAUUUGAUAUAGGUUCUAUGCUCUAAUGUGUAACCUUCUUCUCACGAUUUGGGUCUAGCUGACAGUGGUCAUGAGUUCAUUACUUAUGUUAACUACUAUUGUUGUGUCCACUUGUUCGCAAGAGACUAUAAAGUUAACUUAUAUCCUCCCGUAUUUAUAUUAAUAUAGUUGGUGGUUAGGUAAUCCUUGACCUGGAAUAUUACUCACAUUUUUCAAAUAGGAGGCCAAGCUGGAACUGUCUAGUGCAUCAUCUAUGGUCACAUAUGGUGUAUUGCCUAUUCUAAACCCAAUGAGUACUACAUUAUGGCAUGUGCCUGCAAGGAGGAAUGAGUUACUCUUUUAUGUCAAGGGGAGCGGCAUGCCUAAUAAUUGUCAAUGAAAAAUUAAUAGUCUACAUCAAAAGUCUAACCCAAGAAAGUGAAUAUGUGCCAUUGUAAUUUUACAACACUAAGGGCCUGUUCUGAUCUUGUCCAGCUCCACGCUUCACAAAUUCCUGGAGCAGAUACGAGCCGAAUGAAAUAGCAGCGAGAAGCUAGCUCCAGGAAGCUAGGAUCGACUGCAGUGCAAAAUCAUGAAGCAGACUCGGCCCAGCUCCACCGAUCUGGAAAGCUGAAGUUAGCCCAUAUUACAAGUGAACUGCCAUAGCCAAAUCAUACAAGCCGAACCGGUACGCUCGAUCAGUUUGAUUGCUCCUCGUUCCCUCGCUCGUGCUCCCUCACUGCUCCUCUACAAGGCCGAUUUGGGUUGCCUCCAGUCAGCCCAACUAGCUCGAACAAGCCACAACCCUUCUAGUUGGGUUGCAGUGCCGCGAGAAGCUACAAACCGAGCAUAACAGAUUUUUCAUCGCUGCUUGGAGUGAGAAGCUACUCUGAAAAGUUGAAUUUCUUAAGUUUUGGGAAGCUAGAGGAGAUCAUAACAGGCCCUAAGUCAUCGGUAUUUCAUAAUUGAAUAUUCUCCAUGUCGUGACUUUUGAUGGUGUAAACCCAAAUAAUCGCCAUUGUGAAAUUAAAUUCCUCUCGUGAGUCGAACCCACAUCCAUAAAGAUGUGCCACUAAAAUCCACCUCCAGGCUAUCUUGGAGUCCUUAAUAUAAUCAAGUGUGCCCAAUAUGGUGACUUAAUAUGUAUUUAUUGACCCUACGAAGCUAAUCACCUCCAUCAAGACCCAUUCCUGGUUCUCCUAUAACUAGAUUCCCCGAAACCACGAGAAUCCUUAGAAUGGGAUUACAACUUAGCACCUUUCGUUUUCACAUAGUAAGAAGAGUUGCUCCUUGGAUAGCACGGUACGAUCAAAGGUGCAACCUGUGUUUCGGAGGGAGUUAUUGUCUCGAAACUUUGUUCUCAGCUAUUCCGAUUCCAUCAAACGGAGGCCAUUGGGUCAAUGCUGUAGUGCACGCCCUGUAGUUUUCAAGUGGGGUGAGACAACUUUAGAUAGGAACCUAUUUUCAUUCUGACCAGCUCCCUGAAAACAAUGUUCGACUUCAUGUGUAGUCGGUGUAGAUGUGUCAUUGCAAUGCCACCACUAGGAUAUCAACAAGUCAUAUGUAUUACAUGACAACAUAUGCCACCAUAUGGUGACUUGAUAAAUUAAAUGGAUUUCACCAAGCUUUCGUGUUACAAUUAUAGUGAAGAUAGUGACUCACAUGUCAGCCUCCCUGAUGGGAAGCAAAAUCACUCUGACUUUGGCAACCUAAUUUUUGGUGGAUUCAAGCAAACAUGUUGGAUUUGUAUUUUAUUUAUUUCAACAUAUAUAAUUCAUAUAAAUAAAUCAAUUCAUAAUAGGUGUCUUAGAGACACCCAUGUCAAUAAUGUGAAAUUAUGGGAAAUCUUAUUGUGUGCAUCAACAUAAGCCAAAACUCGUGGCUUAAGAGAUAUGUGUACAAUCUUCCAAUGGUUAUUCCCCCUACUAAAUUCAUGAUGUUAACUAGUUCCCAGAAGUUGAGAAAGAAGUUUAGUCAUGGGAUCAAUGUCCAGUGCAUCAUAUUUCCAGUUCCCAAAAAAAUUUGUUAUGGAAGUUGAGAAAGAAGUUUGGGCAACAUAUUUCCAGACACCUGUCAUGUCUAGGAUCUUCUCAAGCCUAGGUAAGCUUAGUCAUGGGAUCAAUGCAGGCUAUUAGUACAUUGACCUGGUUCUUAAUUCAAGUCCUCCUUGCUUGAUACAAUAUUGAAUGGAAAGUACAUAAUCAAUUUACUUAAGUGGGUGAACAAUGUUGGCUAGUAUAUUUCAACACUCACCUCACAUGCAUCUUUUAGAGGCAUAUAAUGCAUCGUGAUGGAAACAUUUUUUCUAUAGACUAAAUUCCAAUGGAAAAUUUUAAUUAAUUUAAUUAGUAGCAAUCUCGUAUCGCAAGGAUAUAUGGCAAAUGAAAAUGAGGGCUCAAAUGCUACUUGUUGGCACACAAAAGUCAAGUUGUCUUUUUCCUCCCAUGUUGAUCCUCCGUGGUUCGACAUUGGGCAUUACAAAGAGAUCAAGUUAUCUUUACACACCGCUAGAGCUACCAGACCCUGGAUGUUCCAUCAUGAAUGUCCAUAUGGUGCAAUGAGUGAUAGCGAGGUAUAUUAGAACAUAUAGUUUACACCGUUAAAGUAAUUAAAUGGGCUAUUUUUCCUACUAUGAAAAAUAGUAUUUUAAGAGAAAACUAUAUAAGAGUUUGUGAUCUUUGUAUGUAAAAGCAUUAUUUGCCUUUGCUUGGUGUUCACGCAGUUUGAUUUAUGGCAAAAAUGGAAAAUCAUGGGACAAUAAUUGUUGAUAUUUUUUGCCGGAAAGCCAGAUCUUUUCACUUUUCAGAUCACACAAAGUAUUGUUUUUCUUAUAGGGGUGAUAUACAGUGUUCUAAAUCUGCACUUGUGAUUCGUUGUCCAUUUAAAUCUGGUUUCUUCCACAGAUUAUGUUGGUUUGUUGUUGUAUUUAUCUCAGCACUAAAGUAUACUGAUGUUAGCUAAGUCCAAUCAAAGGCCCGUGUUUUUAUCAUGUUAUACAAAUUAGUAAGCUAAGAUCUUACCAAACUCAAGUUACAUAAGCCCAGACUACGUGAAAUACACAUCAUGCAGUACACAUGUUCAUCUUAGUGUUAUGUUAUACUUGGCUCCGAGAUAACAAAUGGUAUCAAUUAUUACUAUCUUUUGCAGCUUGUUUCUGCCUGUUCAUCGUAGAAUUAUCUUAUGUGGUCUCCCAAGGUUCAUACAACUUGGAUUUUUCAUACUUUGGUAGUAUUAGUGUUCACUAGGACUAGGUGCCACUCUGCAGAACCUGAGGAUACAGAUGGAGAAAGUAGUCAUGGUUUUUUUUUCAAAAAGUUUGUUCAUAUCUAUAAGAGGUUUAUGAUUUUUCAGUGUAUAGUGUUGUGAAACCUAGAGUGUUUUAUCUCAUUUAACAUUGAACUACGCUUUCAAGGAAAAACCUUCAUUUGACAUCGAACUAUGCAUGCAGGGCAAACACCCCGUGCUUCGGUGCCACCGCGCCGCGAACCCUGGGAGCUUGAACCUGGAUGGGUGUGAACUUCAGAUUGAUGUCAAGGUUAGGGGUCAGUCAUGGAUAGAGAAUAAAGGGGACUUUGCAAAACUGUUAUUAAUAAUAUGGAUGAAACAUUGCCUUGUGGAGAGAAUAAGAUAUUUCCAGAGAUAUUUAUAAAUGGAUGCAUACUUGAAAUAGCAGUACAAAAUAUGAUGCUAACAUUUUAUUUUCAUUGUUGUUCCCAUUAAACUUCUGGUGGUGGCUCCAUUAUUCACAGCCUCGCACAUGAAAAUGUUAUUUCGUUCGGGUAAAUGUUGCGUGUCGUUGCUCCUGUAGUUUUGCGGUUUGCAUCUCCUUGAAACUUGUGAGUUGGAUUUUUCGAAGUUGCAAUGCAAAUUUGCGAUGCAGGGAAGAUAAUAAACAAUGCUUUCUAAGAGCAUUGGAUAUUGGAUGCGACUCAGAAAGAACGGAACGCAUGCAGAUGCAAGAUGCAAGACGUAGUAGGCAGUAGGCACAUGUCCAGGUUUAUUAAGAGCAUCUACACCGGACGCCUCAUAUCUGCCACAAACGCCAGGCCGAGCUUCCCGGUCAUUACUAGGACGCAAAAUUGCCACCCAACAGGAUCUGUCAAACCCGGCCCAAACGUCUAGACAUGACCGCAUUCCCCAUAUCCAGCCCAUAUCUCGGACGGAUAUGUGGAAGCCCAGAGGCGCUCGGACACACCUUCCAGGUAGGAUCCGGCCGAGUGCGGCCCACCCGAUCCCACAUAAAUUGGACCCUAUCCACACUCCGAGCGAAACCCAAGUGGCAUUCAACUCCACUUUACUCCUCGCCAGGCCACUCCCGUCCACCCACAAGCCCCAUUUGCGGAUCUCCCACCAUUUCGAGCCGUUGAACCGGAGAUCGUCCAACGCGGCCCCAAGGAGGAGAUGGUCGACUGCCUUGCGCUUCUCCACUACCGGAGGUGUCCGCCUGGCCGCGGUCGAAAUCCAUCUGGCGGGAAUCCAUUGCGUCUGCCACAAUGGAGCAUGGAUCCUGCCCGAGGGCAGUCGCCGCUGCCUUAGCAGAGGCAGUGCAGUCCGUCUGGCGUCCGAACGCCAUGGAGGAUACGCGACCACUUUGUUGGCGCACUGAGAAAGAGAUGCACACCUGCUUAACGUCUGAUACAAAUAUGGUGUGGCACAUCCACUGUGUUAGGCAGUGGGCACAGGAGCCUGCGGCAGCCCUCGUGCCAGAUGGCAGCGGGGCAGACUCACACUCUUCGAUGCCUCGUAUCGUGCCCGGCAGCCCUUGGCGCCGAAAUCAUGUCGUGUUGGACGCGGCCGGCUCCACCAUCAUGGAUCAACUAUCGACCUCACAUCCACCGAUGACAUGAGGGCAUGGGCUCCGACGAGAAAGAGUAGGCCAUGGGAGAUGGCGCCGACUCGAGUUUCUUUUGCAGGGUCGUGUCCCAUGUCCUACUCUACCUCACCGGAGACUGACCCUCCACUUCGACAGGCUCAGACAGCCAUCGGACAUGGACAGGUUCGGAACGACAAGGACAGUCGCUGGCGCAAAUUUAGACUACAGCCGUCGACGCGAGGUGAGCGCGCCACGAGUUAAUCGCUGAAGAGGUUGGGCCGUUCUGUCGCCGGUGGUCAUACAGUUGCCGACGUAGUCGUCCAUGACCACCAGAUCAACGCCGCCGCCACUGCAAGUCUAGGCAUCUCUAGUGGUUGAUGUCAUUUUAGUGUAUUUUCUUUGUAUUGUGAUGAUUGCAUACUGUGUUGCAUAUUGUGGCGUAUUUUCUUUGUAUUGUGAUGAUUGUAUACUGUACAAUGUAUUGUGGCAUAUUUUUUGUGGUCUAUUUUUGAAAAAGAAACUAUAAAUAGCUAAAAGUGGUGUGCAGAAUAAAUUUGUACCCGCCACUACAAAACAAAUGCCAGUACUGACAUAUAUUUUUGCCCACCAUUAAUAGUAAUGCCCGCCACUGCUACAAGAUCGAGGUCGAUGGCGGGCUGUUUGUAACGCCCGCCACUGUUAUAGUCAUUUGUGGCAGGUGGAGCGCCCACCACUAAUGCCAUGUUGCCAGUGGCAGGCGCCUCUAAGAGCCUUACCCGUCAUUGGUAGGCUUUUGAUGCCACCACUGCUACGCAUUCCUGCGAUAGUGUGCAAUUGCGUAUCUAGUAGAACAUAUAUAACUAUCGUCCCAACAAACAGUUUCGUCCUACCAUGAAGUUAUAGUCGGGUUGAAGACAUUCAUUUAUAAUCGGAAGUGACGUUGCAGUUGCAUAUCAAGUAGGAGAUAUUUAACUACCCUAAUGACAAAACACUUUUGUUCCCUAAAUUACAGUCGCAUUGGAGACAUGCAUUAGCGAAACGACACCACCUGUAGUUGUGUGUUUGGAGUUAGACAUGCAACUAGCUCCACAAUAAUAAUCUGAAUUUUAAGUUUUAAUGAAUUUUAAAUUAGAGAAAAAAGAAAAGAUGAAGAUAUAAAUGCAGAAAUAGAGAAAACAAACAAUAGGAAAAAUCCUAAAAAAGGCAAAAACAAAGAAAGGAAAAACCUGUUUGAAGUUUCUAGAAGCUUCAUAUAACCAGUAGAAAGAGUCCUACAUGGGGCGGCCCACUCACACAUGUAAAAAGAGGCGGGCGAGGCGUAUGUCGACUAGCUCAGAGUUGGGGAAUCCUAUUCCGUGCAUAGUCGCUACGUAGCGACCAAAGGCGUACCCCUCGGGUUUGUGGUCCUCUUCGGGUCGGUCCAUUCCAGGUUCUUCCGCAUACUGGUGCUUAGGAAGGUUCUAGACCUUUUUUUCUAUUUUCUUUGUUUUCUUCUAGUUUUUUCUUUCUUUUAUAUUUUAGUUAUUACUUCUUAUUUUCUUUUAUUUUAAAUUUUCCGUUUUGGUAUUGCAAACAUAUUUUCAAAUUCAUAAAUGUUUAUUGAAAUCGCUAACAGUUUUUGAGUUGACAAACAUAUAUCUGAAAUAAUGAACAUUUUCUAAUUCGACAAUACAUUUUGAAAUCACAAAAUAACAAAAAAAUAACUUUUGAGGACAUUUUCAAAAAAUUCUGAACAUGUUCGUCAAUCGGCCGACAUUUUUUGAAUCGAUGAACAUUUCUAUGAAUUGACAUGAUUUUUUUGAAUCGAUGACCAUUUUUUGAAUCAAUGAAUAUUUUUUACAUGAAUGAACAUUUUUUGAAAUUCACAAUAAAAAAAUUUGUGAACAUUUAAAAAACUUGUUGAAUAUUGCUUGUAUCUCAACUUCCGUCCUGAUUAAUUAAAUAAAGUGGUGAUACCCAUCAAAAGAAAAUAGCUACGGUUGGCACAAAAUUUACUGCAAAUUAAUCAUGUGAUGAAAGACUUAGACGUGACAUAGUUUUUAUGUACCCUGAUAAGUGCCACACGUCAGGGUCGUUCUCAUGACAACUUUGAACAUUUUUUAUGACAAGUUUAGUUGCACGAGGAUGGCAAAUUUAAUUGACAAGCAUGAAAACUUUCGUGCUUUAUUUUAUUUUAAUAGAAACUUGUCGUGUGUCAUUGAAAUUUGCCAUCCUUGGAUGACAAGAAUUGCCAUAAAAAAAGUCAGGCCCAAAGUGCAAAGCACCUGACGUGUAAGACCUAUCAUUUGGAUACUUUAUAUCUAAGAAUUACCAUAAAAAAAGUCAGUCCCAAAGUCUUCAUGGUUACCUACGUGGAGCACCUUUUGUUCUAGAUCGCGAACUUCUUCAUGUGCUUGCACCGAAAGGGGUAGGUGAAACGUUUCAUGGAGUGAGGUAGAUCCCAAGAAAUCUGUGACUGAAAUAUCCUCAUUUAUUGCAAAGGAGAAGGCCCACGCGUAUUAUUCCGCCAGUGUAGUGCCUAACCAUAUAUCCUUCCACAUAAGUACCGUGUCUCCAACGUGCACAUUUUCUUUAGAUAUCCCUCUGUAGAUUGGGGUGAGCUUUAGCACAUCCUUCCACCAAAAAUAUCUGCACGGUUCCGACACGUGCGGGAUCUUGUGCAUGUAAUAUGUUGUCCAGAUCAAAUCCACCCAGGGCAGGUCAUGGUGGUUGUAAAAUUUAUGCAGAUAUUUGAGAAAGAGGGCCUCACUUUGGAUAUGGAGAUUGAUUAUGCCAAGUCCACCACUUUGUUUUGGUUGACAAACCAUGUCCCAAGCUGCCAAUGAGUUACAUUUAUCCCCUUGCUCAGUCUUUUUUGUCCAAAGGCACUUCCUUCUUAUGUUAUCAAGUAGCUCUAAUAUCUUUGGUGGGAAUUUGAGAGUGCAGAGAGCAAAGAUGGUGAGAGAUGUAAUCAUCGUGUUGAGGAGUGACAGUUUUGCAUCGUAUGACGUCAAGGCUAAAGUGCUGGUCAUUCUUCGUUCCAUCGUGCAAACAAGAGGCAUGAGAUCUUGGACCGUAGGCUUGGUUAUUACGAGAGGCAGUCCCAAGUAAGUGAAGGGCAUAGAUCCUACCUUACAGCUAAAGAUAGAAGCGAUGUCGUUGUAACAAUCGGCAGCACAAUUAAUUGGGAUUGAUGUAGACUUGUGGAAGUUUAUCUUUAAUCCAAUAGAAGCAGCGUAGUCUGAGAGAAUAUCCUUGAUAGUCCUUGCUUGGUUGGGGCAAGCAGGGAGUAUAAUGAUCGUAUUGUCGGCAUAUUGGAUCACUGGAUAAUCAUGCUGGUUUUGUCUUUGGAACGGAAGCCGUUUUUUUCCUUGUCGGAAAGUGUCAUUAAUGGAACCUUGAAUAAGGUCAGCUGCGAGCACAAAAAUGAGGGGUGAUAAAGGAUCACCUUGACGAACACCACAUUUGCAGAUGAAUUGCCGGCCUGGUACACCAUUUAACAGGACCGAUGAUUUUCCCGAGGCGAAGAUGCAUUUGAUCCAAUCAAGCCACUUGGCAUCAAACCCCAUGUAUUCCAUAAUUGUAAUCAUUGCAUCAUGCUCGAUCAUGUCAAAGGCUUUUGCAAAAUUUAGUUUUAGCAGGACAAUAUUUUGUUUUGGGGUUUGACACUGAUGGAUGUACUCGAAAGCCCAGGCCAAACAGUCUUGUAUUGAUCUUCCUUUGAUGAAGCCAUAUUAAUUGCGAUGAACAAUUUUAAGUAUGAGCUUUUGGAGCCGCUUUGCGAGCAGUUUAGUGAUAACCUUGAGGCAGAAGUUGAGCAAAGUAAUUGGUUUGAAAUCAGAAAUUGUCUCAGGUGACCGAACUUUGGGUAUGAGUGUGAUAAAUCCCACAUUAAUGCUCUCAAGAUUAAGUCCGCCCUCAUAGAAUUGAUUGCAUAGCUCAUAAAAAUCCUCUUUAAUUAUGUUUCAACAUUUUUCGGAAAUAAGCCAGUGAAUCCAUCCGGACCAGGUCCUCUGUCAGCCAGCAUUUCCUUGAUGAAAGCAUCGAUUUCAUCCUUGGUGAAAGGGACAGUCAAUUGAUCCACACCCUCAACUUUCUUGAUGAUGCUUUGUAGGUUGAAUUUCAUUUGAAACUCUCCAGAUUUUCCAAGUCUUUCUUUGAACGGUUGGUAUAUGAUCGCCUCUUUACUAGCAUGAUCUUCUGCCACUGUGUCAUCAGAGAGUUUCAGUGUUGGAAUUGUGUUGCGUCUGUAUCUUUCUGAGGCCAUUGACUUUAAAAAUUUAGGGUCUUCAUCACCCAAUUUCACCCAUCGAAUGGUGCAUCUCUUUUGCCAGUAUUGUCUUUGGUAGUUCAAGAGGCGUAAAAUGUGUUUAUUCAGAAUUUUCCUAAAAUUAUGUUCUGGAGUAGAAAGGAUUCUAAGAUUUUUUAGGGCAUCUAGAUUGGCCAGGGCAAGAUUAGAGUUUUCAAUUGCCACCUUAAGUUUAGAGAUACGUUUGCUCCACCUUUUCAACUCAUAUCUAAAUGCUUUGAACUUUUUGCAUAGUAAAGUGGCGGCAUUUGUAUUGGCAUGUUUUAAUGGUCUUGUCCACACAGAUUGAACCAAAUCCAUAAAACCCGGGUGCUCCGUCCAAUAAGACUCAAAUCUAAAGAUAUUGCUGCGAGGGAUGGAGGUUUCAAUUUUGACAACACACGGAAUAUGAUCAGAAACUGGUUUCCCUAGUGGCAUAACUAGAGUGUUAGGGUAACACAAAGUCCAGUUGUUAGACGUGAGAAACCAGUCUAAUUGCUCAAGGAGGGGGGGGUCUGUCUGCAUGUUGCUCCAAGUGUAAUCACGACCCUCAAUUGGAAGUUCAAUUAAUUACUAAGAGCGGAUGAUGUCAUUAAAAGCAAUCAUGUCAUUAGGAUUACCUCUAGGUUUAUUUCUGUUAUCAGGGCUACGAAUAUAGUUGAAGUCUCCUAGCAACAACCAAUCUUCAUUGGAGGGGAUAUUUAGAGUAUGAAGCCAAUUAGUGUAAGUCACUCUCGGGUCACCCUGACACAGGCCAUGUAUAUUCACCAGGGUCCACUCUUAGGCCGAUUGUGUGGAACAGAAUUUGAUGAAAGAACCAUGCCAUGAGAACUGUUCCUGUGAAAAUGGCAUUGUUCCAAAUGGCGGCAAUGCCUCUUGAAGCACCCUGGGAGGGGAUGUAUGCAAAUUUAUAAAAUCUUCUUGGACAACAAGACUUCAGGAACAAGUUAUCAAUGACAGAUUUUUUUUGUUUCUUGCAGACAGAUGACUGCACAGCCACUGGAGGAGAUAGCAUUUGAGAACGCCAAAAGCUUAGGAUCAGAGUUUAAGCCUCUUACAUUCCAGCACAAAAUAUUCUAGCUCGAUAAAAGUGCCAUGAUAAAAUAGAGCAAAUUAAAAAACAACUAAAAUAAAGCGAGGAAAUAGCUUAAGCAUUGGAGGGGCCGUCCUCAGCUUCAGCCAUUAGAGCUUCAGAAGUAACUUCUUCUGGCGGAAUGGCGCACUUGAUGAUCCCAAUGUGUUGCAGCACUUGAACAGGAGUAGGUGGAGGGAUAUUGUCCUCGUUCAGUGAGUCAGGAACAACUUGACCUGCUUGGGCACCAGCACUAGGGACAAUUCUUGGCUUGACUUUGGAAGGUUUAGCCUUGCUGUCAGAAACUGAUGGUAUCUUGAAACCAUCAUACUUAUUAGAGCGGCUACUGUGACGAACCUCAACCACAGAUGCUGGUGCUUUAGCUUUGCCCCUCCUGAUUAUUGAUUUCCCUGAGCUCAUAGCGUCACUUGCAAUAAAGCCAGUGGAUUCACUUGCAUCAGAACUAGAAGAGGUGGUCAUUGCAUCCAAUGAAAGUGUUGUUGCACCUUGAACAGGUAAGUCCAUCUCAUCCAAGACUUCUGUGAUGACAACAUUGUAGUUGGAAGUCCUUGGUAUGACAGCGAGAUCAUUUGUUGGCUGAAGAGGGUUAUCCCCACAGGACAGGGCCCAAGAACUACUGCCAGGGAUCAUCUCAGUGACAUAUACUGAAUCUGCAGUAUGUUGGACGGUUCUGGUGGAAGACAGAAUAGAGAACUGUCCCUCUUUCUCAGCAAUGCUAACAUUAAAUUGCACUGAAAUGUCACAAAAUCCAAACCCCGAGCUCCACGGGCCAUAUGCAUCUAUAAUAGGCCUAAUAGAAGCUAGGAGGUAAGUGUUCAGCCUCAACAUUGGCACACAAUCAUUCAGAAGCAAAGAAGCAUUGGUGUUCUCAGGAGAAAGCAUAGAAAGUUGCAGACCAACAUAUGAAAUAGACAGUGACAUUUCCAUGGGUGUUACCUCCUAGGCGGUCACAAGAUUGUACGUGAUAAAACUCAGCUCGGAAUCGAUGAUCUGGUGUCUUUCCUAUGCUUGUGGCCCAGCUAACAAUCUCGACAUCUUCUGUACUGCAUCAGGUGAUGCAUGAGGUAGAAUCCAUCAGUCCUACUGGUGUGCGGUUGCUGGAUGCGGCAGAAGUCGGUCUUAUGGCGGAAAACCAGCCCGUUCUUCAUGUGCCUUUUCACCUUGAUAUAUCCACCAGAUAGGCUAAAGGUUAAUAGGGCACUAUCAAGAACACUCUUUAUGUGCAAGUAAUCCUUUUUCUGGAGGUUCUUCGAUGAGUCCAAGUACAUAGCAUGGGAGUAUUACGGGUACAGAACGAUGAGGACGGCGCCGCCCCCGCUGCGCGAAUUAAGUACACCUCAAAUUUGCCUCCAUGCUUGCAAAGGAACGAUUAACACGUACGAAAGCAUAUGCGCGGAUGACUUACUAGGGAUGAUAAGGCAGGAGAAUCGCUUCCUUGUGCUUAUUAGCGAUCAUGAAUUCACCGACAUAGUUGCUCGCAUAGUCACGGUGCUCUUUGCAAACUGCCAAGAAGCUCUCUGCAUAUAGUAUGGGUCCGCGACGCAGAUAUAUUUUAUGUUCUCGAUCUUGAUGAAGUAGUUGAGAUACAACACAUACACGCGGAUGAACUGGAAAUUCAGCUUGGUUGUGUGGAACAUGUCGUAGAUGUAGUCAAAUCGCAGGAUGAACUGAUUCGCGGGCCAGGUCUCGACGUACAACUUCCCACCCGGCACCUGAGCCAUGUAAAGCGGGUAUCCUGGUUCUUUCGCGAUCAGAAGGCUUUUCUCUCCAGCCAACACAUCUUCAUGGAGUCUCUUUAGAUCAUUAUUCAGUAAGAGAUCUAGCGCUUUGGUAGGUAGGAUCGGCUCGCCGGCGACAUGGAAACGCGUCUUACCUUCGCAGGUAUUCUGUCUACCACCCGGGCCUUCAGAGGCGGCUGGCUUCUUGAAGCACCUAUGGCGCCUUUAGGGCCUUUCCUGGGCGGUCUCUUCAUUUGCUUCUUGGCGGGUGGCUGUAGUGAGCCCACCAUACCUUCCCUAACCACCACCCCUAGUGUCAUCGGGCUAAUCAGUGGACGGGCCUCGGGGGGUUGCUGGGUAGAGGCGGCAUCUGAAGGCGUUUCCUGCGAGGAUGGCUUGAAGAGAGACUUUUUGCAUUCCGCCGUAGGACGUUCUGGCUCCGGCAAAUCAGGCAACAUCAAGUCAUCAUCUCCAUGCUCAUAGCCUGAGUCUUCAUCGUCCUGAGCCAUCAAUCCUCCAUCACCAUAGGCGGUAUUUAAAUACUUGUCUGCGUCAUCAUCAUCCUCCAUAUCAUCAUUAGCAUUUGCUUCUUUGACAGUGGGGGCGACAUGAUUUGGCACUAAUCGAGGCUCUCCCUCGCGUCAUACGCUACCAUCCGCCACGACAGGUGCAGGUAAUUUGAUAGGUGGGCUGGUGUUCAUACCUUCUUGAGAAGGUGGCGUUGGCGUGAUACUGGGCGCCUCAAGACGAAGAAGAGACUUCGGCCAAGGCAAGAACCAGCUCUUGCAUGCGCCAACCAUCUUAGGGUUCUCGUUGUCGUCAUCGACUGGUACCGGAGGAGGCAAAUCCUCGAAGCCCGCUAAGACACUGGCCACGUUAACCUUGAAGACUCCAUCGGGCAUCUCUCGGUUGUGGAACAUUCGGUACUUCGGCUUCACGAUCGUUGCCUUUCCCACAGCCACCUUCUGGCCCUUGAUGUCGUAGAGUAGGGUGCAUGGGGUAUCGUCGGCCUACGAAGGAGACAUGUCUGCGACGUCAAACAUCUGAAAGGCAACAGAAAUGAAAGACUAUAGACAUGCUGGUGAAAAGGGUAUGACGCGUAAAUACCGUGAGGUCAUCGAGCUCAGCCAGCGACGAAGGCCCGCCGAGCAUGCGAGAGACGGAGGUCGGGCUGCUAUGAACAGGAACGGGACCUUUUGCGGUUGCUUGGGCAGGUGUUGGUGCUGUGGUGUUUGCCGAAUUGCUGCCGAUAAAGCUAGGAAGGGGAAAGUCCUCCGGCCGUGCAUUUGGACUGCUCUUCGACGAAUCGAAAAUUGCCGGAAUCAAGCUGGCCACCGCGUCAGUGACCAACCCAGUGACCACCCCGAGCAACUCUUCUUUGAUCUCAGCUUUGGUCUUAUUAACCGCAAUCACGACCUUCUCAUCGAUGCUCUGCUGAGUGACGACCAACCCAUCCUUCUUUCCUCUGGCUCCUCGGGGUAGCACGUCCUCCAUGAGGCGCCAUCUCUGAUAUCGUGCACACGUCCAUAGGACGGCGGCUUGUCCACCGGGACCUUUUUCAGUAUGUUUAGGGCCCGGUUGAAUGGGGUGUCGCACUUGGGCCUCGCCGACGACUGUGACGACUCGUCGCUUUCGGCCGCCUUUUUGGUGCUGCUCUUUCUGCAAAAGGAACGUGGAUGGUUUACUAUUGUGAAAAAAGUUCAAGUCGAAUUGAUUGGAAGCUAAUAUGAUAAUGUGGUAAUAUAACAAUUAGCAGAAGUCUCAUGAACUCCCUCGUAUUCGGGCCUGUGUAAAAGAUCUUUCUGACUUUGUCCCACCCACUUGUACCGGGCCGUGAUCGAGUCAUGCUCCUGCAGGUCUGUGAACUCCGACAAGGGGUCUGGUAUUCCGAGACUUUCACGUUCGGCGUCCUCCUUGGCCCAUAUGUACCUCUUCCCCUCGUAACCAUGGCUUCCGAGGCGGUGGGGAGGCGUGUUCCUGGCCUGGAGCACCUUCAUUUUCUCUGACUUUGCCUUGACUUCUUCUUUUCCGCAAUUCUCCUUAAAUUUUACAAAGUCCUCUGCCGUUAUUGUUGGAUUAUCAGCACGAAUCUUGGGCCACGGUUCAUUCUUCGCAAUCGCUUUUUUCACCAGAACAUUCCAGGAGCACAAGUCGUUGGUGAACGUCACCAUCGCGUUGUCGCUUAUCUUUGUCAUGGUGACGUCGUCCCACAACUCUUUAUAUUUGCCUUCCUCCCGAUCGGGGAACAGGAACCUAUUGUGCAACUUCUUUAGGAGCAUGUGCUCCAUAUGUGGUAUCUACUUCAACCUCUCGUCGUUGAUAUUGGCGGUUUCCCUGAGGAUGCAUCCAUGUUGGCUGCCCUAGCACGAGCGCGCUUCCUCCAGCAUCGUUGGCUCUAACUUCUUGGGGUGCAUCUCUGUAACCACAAUUUGUCUGAUGCCAAGCUCGUUUGGUCUUCGCGUCCUCUUCUUCUUUGGUGCUUUACCGGCUACGACAACAUCGUUGCCGGUCUCGGGUGUGGUGUCGGUGCCGGUGCCAGUGCCGGUGUCAGGGUUGGGGCCACUCCCGCCACCAUGCAACCCUAUCUGGUGUUCGUCCAGGUAAUCGAAAUAGUUAUGUGCUGCCUCAAUGGGGUCUGCGAGGCGAGCAGACCACCCACGACUUCGGCGUUGGUGGACAUGUUUCCUAUUCAACAAUUGUAAAUAAAAGAUAUAAUGAAGAGAAAAAAGGGCCUAUAUUUGGUCGGUAUGUUCAUUCCCCUUCCGGGAAAUCCCGGGUACUCCAUAUGUCCUAGUUUCUAGCAUGAAAUUUUUGCCACGACAUUUGCUAAGAACUAGACAUAUGGAACGCCUGAAAUUUGCCAGAACAGAAAUGAAUCAACAUUCAGGCAAAACAUAGGCCAAUCGGAUAUUUUUUGGCAUUCAACCAACAUUGCAAAACCAACAUAUAACAUCAAUGACAUAUAUCAUUCAAGCAAAAGCAUGCUUGUACUUAAAUACACAAAAAUGACAAAAAUAGCACAAACUUGCUCAAACUUGCUCCUAGGGUUCAUACAUAGCUAACUUACCCAAAAUUUUGCUAAAUUUGCUACUGUUUUUUUUAUUUGGUACUGUUUUUAUACUUAAUUUUUUUGCUACUGUUUUUUUAAAUUACUAUUGUUUUUGUAAACUUUGCUACUGUUUUCUAAAUUCUUUUGCUAUUGUUUUUUAAAUUCUUUUGCUACUGUUUUUUAUACCUAAUUUUUUGCUAACUUUCUACAAAAAUUUGCUAACUAGCUAAUAUUUGCUACAAAAAUUUAGUAACUUGCUAAUAAAACAAAAAACAAAAAUUUGUUAAUUAGCUACUGCCCUAAUUUGCUACUUUUCUAACUUGCUAAAAAAUUCCUAACUUUGCUAACUUUACUAAAUUUGCCCUGAAAUUUGCUAACUUUGCUACUGCAUUUGCUAACUUUGCUCAAAAUUUCCCCUAAAUUGAAAACCUAGAUGGGGACGAGGGGGAGGAGGAGGUCGGAGGGGGAGAGGGAGGUGGGGGCAGUACCUGAGGAGGAGGACGGGGCCGGAGGGGACAAGGAGGAGUAGGAGGCCGGAGCGGACGAGGAGGAGGUCUGAGCGGCGGCGGCGCGGAAGAGAAGGAGGUCAGAGCGGCGCGGACGAGGACGAGGAGGAGGCCGGCGGCAAGGCCGAGUGCGGGCAGGGGCGACGGGUCGGCGUCAUGGUCCAGGUCGAGGGGGGACGGCCGGCGGGGCGGGCAGCGCGGGCGAUGACAGCAGAGGAGUGGGAGAGGUGGGAAGUAGGGCGAAUGGGGACUUUGCAAAAUUUUGAGUCCGUGCGGGCAAUGGUUAACUCAAAAUAGCAGUACCGCUGGUUUAGCUAUAGCGUUGGUUCAGCGCUACUGCUAAGUUUUUCAAUUUUACUUUUUUUAUUUCUAAAAUACAAGUAGCAGUAGCGCUGGGUUAGGAACAACGCUAUAGCUAACUUAGCUAUAGCGCUGGUUCCCUAAACCAGGGCUACUGCUAAGUUUUCCAAUUUUAUUUUUUUAUUUCUAAAAUACAAGUAGCAGUAGCGCUGGGUUAGGAAAAAGCACUAUAGCUAACAUUUCUUUUCUUUUUAUUAUUUUCUGUUUACUUCUUUUUUUUCUUUUGUAUUGCUUUAUCCCUUUUCUUUUCUGUUUACUUUCCUUUUCCUUUGUAUUGCUUUAUCGCUUUUCUUUUCUGUUUACUUUUCUUUUCUUUUGUAUCGCUUUAUCCCUACGGCGUCUCCCUCCCACACUGCACUGAUAUCACCGGAUGCAUGCAUGUAAUUGAAGGGAGAUGCGAUUACAUUAUUUGACCGAUAACGGUUACUUAAGUGCGUACACAAAAUAGAUAAAUAUAUAUAAAUGUAGGUUUGUGAUCAACUGCGUCGACAAUGUUUCACAUUAAGCUUCUUCCCUUUCUUGUUCGUUGCCGAGUAAUUGAGCCCCUCCUUGUGUCUUUUCCGGAGCCAUGGAGUAUGAUCUUUCUUAGGUAAUCUAGUCUUGAUUCUUCGUUUCACGUAUGCUUCAUCAUCAUCGUCAUCUUCCCUCAUCGGGUUGCCGUAUUGGUCGUAGUCUUCUUCAUUGGCGACUCCAUCCAUUCCAACGAUGCACCUUUUGGAUCUCCUCACGACAACACGGCUGGGAUUUCCUGGGUCGGUUAUGAAGAAGCAUUGUCUCACGUGCUUAGCGUAUACCCAUGGCUCAUUUUUGGCGAUGACGUUAAUGUUCACGGGAGAGCUCUUCGCGUCGGGUAUAGACAAGGUGGUGAAAUACAUGUUUUCUCUUACGAUUCCUUGGCCCAUCUGACACGGAACAUCGUCGCAUCGUGCAUUCCAGCAUAGUACAGCUCCAAGAUCUCUUCGACCCAUCCGUAGAAUCUUUUAGUUGUGUCGUUGGCGUUAGUCACGCAUUGAAUUAUCACCCUGGAGUUUUGGUAAUCACUGUCCAUGCCUUUGGCCUCCGUGUAGAACAUGUAUCCAUUGAUAUCGUAGGACUGAUAGGUCGCGAGCUUGGGCGCGGGGCCAUGUGCUAAGGCGUGUAUGAGCAAUCUGUCCGAACUGCCCUCUUCCGGGGGAUUUUUAAGAACUUGCUCUUCGAACCAACACAAGAAAGUGGCGUUGUGCUCUACAAUAAAUUCGUCGUCUGUCUUGAGCAUCCCCUUAUCACGGUACUUCUUUGCGAUGCUUUCUUUGUGCCGUGCCACAUAAUCAUCUACCACAUCUAGGUGUUGUAGCACUACUAAGUUAGCCCUGUCAAAGUCGUUCCAUAGAUCCAAGUAGUCCACAUGCAAUUCCCUCGGGCCGUUGUUGUGACCAUCUCCUUCGAGCUUCCCAUUGUGCUUCUUGACAAGCAAACCAACAACAGGGUCUCCGACCCUUAUAUAAUUCUCGAAGAAGGAGACGCACUCAUGCAUCAGAUACCCCUGGACGAUGCUCCCUUCGGGACGGGACUUGUUACGAACGAAUCCUUUGAUGACCCCAUUCAUCCUCUUCAACGGUAUUAUGAUGUGAAGGAAUGUCGGCCCGAGGUCGACGAUGUCAUCCACGAUGUGGACACAGAGAUGCACCAUGAUGUCAAAGAACGCGGGCGGGAAGUACAUCUGAAGCUCACAUAGUAUGACAACAAUCUCUUCCUGUAGCCUUUGGAGCUGCUUCACACUUAUGGGCUUUCGAGAGAUAAUGUCGAAGAAGUUGCAGUGACCAGUAAGCGUGUCACGGACGUGCUUGUCCAUUAUCUCUCUAAUGGCAACUGGGAGUAUCUGCGUCAUCAUCACGUGACAGUCAUGAGACUUCAUCCCGCUGAACCUUUUCUUCUUGGGGUCUAGAAAUCUGCUUAUCUUCCCAGAGUAACUGGAACUGACUUUGAUUCCCAUAAGGCACUUGAUGAAUUGAUCGAUCUCCUUCGCACUUAAGGUGAAGCAAGAAGGGGGGCAAUAAUUCUCCUCCUUCUUGUUAACUUUUCUGCCCCUUUUCCCCUCCUCCAUCUCCGUCUUUGUCUCCUCCAUGAACUUUUUACGGUGGAGAUCUUUCCUGAUCUUCAAAUCUUCCAAGUCUUUCCUUGCCUCCGGGCCAUCUUUUGUCUUCUCCGGCAUCUUCAUCAGUGUGCCAAGCAAGCCCUCGAGGACAUUCUUCGUGAUAUGCAUUUGAUCAAGGCAAUGAGGCGUGUCGUGAUUGGGCCAGUACUCCAAGUCCCAGAAAAUAGACCUCGUUUUCCAUACCUUCAGCAGCGGCUCUGACGCCUUUCUGAUCUUUCCAGGGGCGGGGCAUUCUUCCCAGUUUCUCAAUAGCUCAUCGAUUUUGGCGCCGCUCCUCUUACGUGGAGGUCCUCGAAGCUCAGCCAACCCAUUGAAUAGAUCUCCAUGCUUUCUCCACAGGUCAUCCUUCUUGAGCCAUCUAUGAUGCCCCAUGUACAUGGUUUUCCCGGAUACGCCCUCUUUCGUUGACGUAAGCUGCUGAGAAGUUUUAUGAUCCAUGCACCUCCUGCAUCCGCAGUAUCCGUGGCACACCUGGCCUGGGGUGUACGCGUAAUCGAGAUAGUCUUGCACCGUCGUCAUCAGCGUGGCUCUCAUAUGGAAAUACUCUCCUUUGCUGGUGUCCCAUGUCCAUGCCGGUGAUUUCCAUAACGUGUCUAGCUCCUCUUGCAGAAGCCCCAUAUACAGGUUAAUACUAUUUCCCGGUUGUUUCGGCCCUUGAAUCAGCAUGCACAUGUGUCUGUACUUUUGUCCUCAUGCACUUCCAUGGGAGAGGUUGUACAUCCAUACAAACACGGGCCAUGUGCUAUGGUUGGUGCUCCAGUUUCCAAACCGAUUCAUGCCAUCGGUACUCGCACCAAGCACGAUGUUCCUUGGAUCUUUUGCAGCAAAUCCAUACAUGGCGUUGAAUGCUCUCCACUGGCUACCAUCUACGAGGUGUCUUAGCCUCGUAUCAUCUCCAUCGUUGGGCUUCUUUCUCUCCGCAUGCCAGUGCAUGAGUUUUGCUUCCUUAGGAUCUAUGAAAUACCCCUACAGACGCGGAGUGAUCGAAAGUACCAUACAACUUUCUGAGGAGCUUUCUUUCCUUCCUUCUUGUAUCGAGAAGCAUUGCACACUGGAUAGCUGGUUUUUCCGCGUGCUCCCCCAGAUCAAUGAUGUAAUCGAUGAUGCAUGCGUGGUACCUAAUGUGUGGCAAAUCAAAAGGGCAAAUGAUUUUCUUGGCCUCCUCGACACUAGUAGGACACAUGUUCCCAGUGGGAAGAACUUUAUUAUGUAGAUACUUCAAAUGCGCAUCGAGGCUUUUGUCUGUCCAUUUGAUUUUGGCCUUCGUCUUUAGAAGUACGAGCAUGAAACUCAAGCGGGUCACCUUGGGAUCGCAACCGUCAUACAGUGGAGUCCUCGAGUCUACUUAAAGUUGCACCAGCUUAGCCUCCUCUCUAUAAGCAUCUCUCUCGCUAGUCGAACUCUUGCGAAGGAGGUCUUAAACGUGAGGAUCCUGCACGACUGCACUCAGUAGCGUCGAAGACAGUGUGACCGCCACCUCUUCUCCGCCAUGUCCGGACUCUUCUUCACCGUGUCCAGAAUCUUCUCCGCUGCCGUCACUUCCGGACUCUUCCCCGCCGCCAUGUCCGGCGCCACCGUCUUCAUGUUGAUGGGUCAUCUCUUCGUCUAGCCCCAUGUCUUUAUUACCUACCAUGUGGACAUCCUCAUCAUCAUCAUCUUCUUCACUUAUCCACUGAGUAUAGCCAUCCAUGAAACCAUUCAUCAGCAGGUGCGCCUUCAAAGUGACACGAUCAAAAGGGUCCAAAAGGACUCCUUCCUUGCCCCUUGCAUCUUGCACGCAGACAUAUAAUCCUAGUCCAAUUAUUUGCGUACAUGUCCAUCACCGCGGAUUGCAUGUACCGCUCCACCUUCCGUCAACUCACCUUCAUGACCGACUGCACGGUAUAAAAAGCAACAGGGUUAUAAAAUAAAUAAUGCAUGCAUGCUUCAAAGUCAUAUAAAAUUUUGGCAUGACCUUGCCUAAAAAUAGGACAUAUUGGGUUUGCUCGAAAUUCACCGAAAGAGAAAUAAAUCGACAUUUUAGCAAAACAUAAGCAACUCGAUGGCACGUCACACUCGCACAAAUCUCUCCAUAUCAAACACAUUUGAACACAUUUGAAAACGGGAAAAUUGAGAGUUGUACAUGGAACAGAUUUGAAGUUCAUGAAAAAUGUCAUCUUGAUUUUUUUCUUUUGAGCAAUGGAAUUGAAUUUUUGAUGACUAACAUAAUUAGGUCAAAUAAUCAGCUAGAUUUAUACUCUUGGAACUUUGAGGAAAAGUAACUCGAAACAAUGGUAGAGAACACUUCGAAACACUGCCGCUGUGGUUCCUCCAUACUCUCUGUCUCUCCCUCCCUCUUUUUUAUCUCCUACUAUAGGACGUGCGGAGCGGAAAACUGAGUGGCACACAAAUAUUAAAACAUCAAUACAAUGUGUACUAGUCAAUUUGGCCCUUUGUAUGUAGUUGAUCAUAACAAUGACCCAAGAUUGGAUCAAAGUUUUUCUUCUGAAGUAAUAAUAGGCUUCUCUUAGAACUCAUGAUUUACAAGUUGCACCAUAUUUGAACUUCCUCCUGGCUUUCUACGGAUCAUCUUGAAGAAGUCCUUAUUAGCCUUUUUAUUUGGAAUACAAACAUCAUACAUGUCUAGAACACAAAAACUCUGGUUGCCUUUUUCCUACUACGAACAGAUACUACAAUCACAAAACUCCAUAGAAUUGUUGCAUUUGUUUCUCAUACCUUUCUCUUGGGCCAAUAAACAAAAUAUUUAUUUCAAGAGUUCAAUCUUGUCUUAGACCUGCAAGGUAAGAUGUCGGCACUGAAUACACACACUAUACAACACACAUUCAAAGUAAAGAUGCAAGUAAAAAAGAACAUAUAUAUCUUGAUGCCUAAAUAAUAAUAAUUAUGGGUAUGGCAACAUCUAGUAUAUUUUUUCAAACAAAACUAAUCAAUCUUAAUUUUGCUUAUACAGUGGGAAACUAUUUCAAAUAUAACUUGCAUAUUAUUUCAUAUCUUAUUUAGUCUCAGGCUCCAAAAGAUCAUGGGAUAAAUAACUCAUGAUUGUAUAAUUCAUGCAAAAAUCAGUAUAAAUAAGGUGAAGAAUUUGCACUACCCAAAUCUAAAAGGAGUACAUGUCAAUCUCUGGAGGCAUGAGAUGUAGAUGGUAUGUACAUAAAUAUAGACUAAACCAACAUGUGUCACAGGUGAUUAUGACGAAGAUCGAACAGCUGCCGCCGGGUAGAUACUAAAAAUAAAUGAUGGAACAGGAUGAUAGUCAAAGCUGGGUUCGAGAACUACAGGAUUAGGGAGACCUUGAGACGCUGGAUAUAGGAGCGUAUACAUGUAUACUCAGACAGGAAUUUCAAAACGAUGCAAGACUACAUCAACCUCUCAUCCAAACAAGAAAUUCUGCUAUGUGCAAAUCCCUUCUUCUCCUUCCACUCUUCUUCCUCCCACUCAUCUUCACUUGUUGUGCCUGACCAUAAUGAGGCCGAGCACCUGCAACGUCGGAGAGGUAGUUACUAAGAUUGCCGGGAUUCUGCUACACAUUCUGCAGUAUUUGCCAAGCAUGAAGUCGGGGUGCUCGCAGUAAGCACACGUGAUGGGGUGGAAGCGAUCUUACUCGAGCGGUCCGACCCACUAAUUUUAGUAGUUUUAUGAAAUUAUCUCAGUUAAAUUGAGAGUAUCCAAUGAAACUUGAGGGAGAAAAAUGAAGAUAUGUGACCUAGUGAUAGUCCGCUCGCCUAACCUCUUGGUGGAAUUUACUAUUGUGGUUAUAAAUAGUUGCAAAUUUGAUAACAAUAUAAUCUAGCAGUUGCUAUGAAAACUCUAUGAGGGCAAACUACCAACCAACACUACCAACCAACAUAUAAUCUAGCAUUCCAGCAUAGUACAGCUCCCAGAUCUCUUCGACCCUUCCGUAGAAUCUUUCAGAUGUGUCGUUGGCAUUGGUCACGCAUUGAAUUGUCACCCCGGAGUUCUGGUAAUAACUGUCCAUGUCUUUGGCCUCCGUGUAGAACGUGUACCCAUUGAUACCGUAGGACUGAUAGGUCGCGAGCUUGGGCGCGGGGCCAUGUGCUAAGGCGUGUAUGAGCAAUCCGUCCGAACUGCCCUCUUCCGGGGGAUUUUUAAGAACUUGCUCUUUGAACCAACGCAAGAAAGUGGCGUUGUGCUCUACAAUAACUUCGCCGUCUGUCUUGAGCAUCCCCUUAUCAUGGUACUUCUUUGCAAUGCUUUCUUUGUGCCGUGCCACAUAAUCAUCUACCACAUCUAGGUGUUGUAGCACUACUAAGUUAGCCCUGUCAAAGUCGUUUCAUCGAUCCGAGUAGUCCACGUGCAAUUCCCUCCGGUUCUUGAUAGGCAAACCAACAACAGGUUCUCCGACCCUUAUAUAAUUCUCGAAGAAGGAGACGCACUCAAGCGUCAGAUACCCCUGGACGAUGCUCCCUUUGAGAUGGGACUUGUUACAAAUGAAUCCUUUGAUGACCCCAUUCAUUCUCUUGAAAGACAUUAUGCUAUGAAGGAAUGUUGGCCCGAGGUCGACGAUGUUAAAGAACGCAGACAAACAGAUGCACCAUGACAUUAAAGAACGUGGGCGGGAAGUACAUCUCAAGCUCACAUAGUAUGACAACGAUCUCUUGUUGUAGCCUUCGGAGCUGCUUCACACUUAUGGACUUUCGAGAGAUAACGUCGAAGAAGUUGCAGUGACCAGUAAUCGUGUCACGGAUGUGCUUGUCUAUUAUCUCUCUAAUGGCAACCGGGAGUAUCUGCUUCAUCAUCACGUGACAGUCAUGAGACUUCAUCCCGCUGAACCUUUUCUUCUUGGGGUCUAGAAAUCUGCUUAUCUUCCCACAGUAACCGGAAUGGACUUUGAUUCCCAUAAGGCACUUGAUGAAUUGAUCGAUCUCCUUCGCACUUAAGGUGAAGCAAGAAGGGGGGCAAUAAUUCUCCUCCUUCUUGUUGACUUUUCUGCCCCUUUCCCCCUCCUCCGUCUCCAUCUUUGUCUCCUCCAUCAACUUUUUAUGGUGGAGAUCUUUCCUGAUCUUCAAAUCUUCCAAGUCUUCCUUGCCUUCGGCCCAUCCUUUGUCUUCUCCGGCAUGUUCAUCAGUGUGCCAAGCAAGCCCUCGAGGACAUUCUUCGUGAUAUGCAUUUGAUCAAGGCAAUGAGGCGUGUCGUGAUUGGGCCAGUACUCCAAGUCCAAGAAAACAGACCUCGUUUUCCAUACCUUCAGCAGCGGCUCCGACGCCUUUUUGAUCUUUCCCGGCGCGGGGCAUUCUUCCCAGUUUCUCAACAGCUCAUCGAUUUUGGCGCCGCUCCUCUUACGUGGAGGUCCUCGAAGCUAAGCCAACCCAUUGAAUAGAUCUCCACACUUUCUCCAUAGGUCAUCCUUCUUGAGCCAUCUAUGAUGCCCCGGAUACGCCAUCUUUUUUUGACAUAAGCUGCUGAGACAUUUUAUCAUCCAUGCACCUCGUGCAUCUACAGUAUUCGUGGAACACCUGGCCUGGGGUGUACCCGUAACUGAGAUAGUCGUGCACCAUCAUCAUCAGUGCGGCUCUCAUAUGGAAAUACUCUCCUUUGCUGGUGUCCCAUGUCCAUGCCGGUGAUUUCCAUAAUGUUUCUAGCUCCUCUUGCAGAAGCCCCAUAUACAGGUUAAUACUAUUUCUCGGUUGUUUUGGCCCUUGAAUCAGCGUGCACAUGUGUUUGUACUUUUGUCUUCAUGCACCUCCAUGGGGGAGGUUGUACAUCCAUACAAACACGGGCCAUUUGUUAUGGUUGGUGCUCUGGUUUCCAAACCGAUUCAUGCCAUCGGUACUCGCACCAAGCACGAUGUUCCAUGGAUCUUAUGCAGCAAAUCCAUACUUGCUGUUGAAUGUUCUCCACUGGCUACCAUCUACAAGGUGUCUCAGCCUCGGAUCAUCUCCAUCGUUGGUCUUCUUCCUCUCCGCGUGCCAGCGCAUGAGCUUUGCUUCCUUAGGAUCUACGAAAUACCGCUGCAGACGGGGAGUGAUCGAAAGGUACCAUACAAAUUUCUGAGGAGCUUUCUUUCCUUCCUUCUUGUAUCGAGAAGCAUUGGACACUGGACAGCUGGUUUUUCCACGUGCCCCCCAAAUAAAUGAUGUAAUCGUUGAUGCAUGCGUGGUACCUAAUGUGCGGCAAAUCAAAAUGGAAAAUGAAUUUCAUGGCCUCCUCGACACUAGUAGGACACAUGUUCGCCGUAGGAAGAACUUUAUUAUGUAGAUACUUGAAAUGCUCAUCAAGGCUUUUGUCUGUCUAUUUGUUUUUGGCCUUCGUCUUUAGAAGUUCGACCGUAAAACUCAAGCAGGUCACCUUGGGAUCGCAACCGUCAUACAAUGGAGUCCUCGAGUCUACUUAAAGUUGCGCCAGCUUGGCCUCCUCUCUAGAGGAAGCCCUCUCACUAGUCGUACUCUUGCGAAGGAGGUCUUAAACAUGAGGGUCCUGCACAACUGCACUUAGUAGCAUCGAAGACUGCGGUGUGACCGCCGCCUCUUCUCCGCCAUGUCCGGACUCUUCUUCGCCGUGUCCGGAAUCUUCUCCACCGCCAUCAUUUCCGGACUCUUCCCCGCCGCCAUGUCCGGUGCCAUCGUCUUCGUGUCGAUCGGUCAUCUCUUCGUCUAGCCCCAUGUCGUUAUUCCCUGCCAUCUGGACAUCCUCAUCAUCAUCAUCUUCUUCUUCACUUAUCCACUGAGUAUAGCCAUCCAUGAAACCAUUCAUCAGCAGGUGCGCCUUCAAAGUGCCACGAUCAAAAGGGUCCAAAAGGACUCCUUCCUUGCCCGUUGCAUCUUGCACACGGACAUCUAAUCCUAGUCCGAUUAUUUGCAUACAUGUCCAUCACCGUGGAUUGCAUGUACCGCUCCAGCUUCCAUCCACUCACCUUCAUGACCAAUUGCACGGUAUAACAGGCAAAAGGGUUAUAAAAUAAAUAAUGCAUGCAUGCUUCAAAGUCAUAUAAAAUUUUGGCAUGACCUUGCCUAAAAAUAGGAGAUAUUGGGUUUGCUCGAAAUUCACCGAAACGGAAAUAAAUCGAUAUUUCAGCAAAACAUAAGCAACUCGAGGGCAUGUCACACUCGCACAAAUAUCUCCAUGUAUAUAUGCCAAACACACGUAUUCUCAUUCACACACAUAUUCCCAUUCUUGAAAUGAACAACUUUUUUACUCACCUAUAUAUCUCCCGAGAGAGACCGAUCGAGAGAGCACGCGGUUAAUUAGAUGAUGAGAGAGACCGAUCGAGAGAGCAUGCGUGGAUGGCUAAUUAGCUAGCUAGAUCUAGUUGUUGGGGAGGAGAGGUGAAUCUAGCUAGUUAACUAAUGGAGAUGGAGUUAUGGUGGAGGGGCAUUAAUGGGGAGAGGAAGAGAGGUAGGAGAAACAAAGAUGUGAGAGAGGCCAUUAAUGAGGAGAGUUGAGAGGGACAUUAAUGAGGAGGGAAGAGAGGUACAAGGAAGAGAGAAGAAGAGCAACAAUGGUGGAGAGUAGAGGGGGAAAGGAGGGGGAGAGAGGGCAAAGUGGGGGAGAGGAGGGGGAGGGGUGAAAAGGUGGCACCAGCCGCAACUAGUAGUAGCGUUGCUUACCAAAAUGCGCUGCUGCUACCGUACUUAGUAGCAGUGCUUUCCUACAGAAGCGCUACUACUAAGUGGGACCCAUUAGCAGUAGCGGCGCAGUAAAAUACAACACUACUACUAAAAUGUUAGUAGUAGCGCUGGAUUCUGCACAGCGCUGGUACUACAGCUACCGUCGGUGGCCUCGUCUGGUCCACAUAGUAGUAGCGCGUUUUUGGUUUCCAACGCUACUGCUAUAGACAGAAUAGUAGCGCUUCCCUGGAUCGGCGCUACUGCUAACUAGUAGCAGCGUUCACUAUUUUCCAGCGCUACUGCUAACUAGUAGCUGCUAACUUGUAUAAGCAUUUCCCUAGUAGUGUUAAUUUGAUUGACAGAUUGCACUUCUGGUUUCUACAGCUAGUUCUAACUAAUGAUUGAAAAAUAUAUCUACCUUAACUCUAGACAACUACAACACAUUGUCACUGCCUAACAGUGAUGAACCCUAGUGAUUCAAAUAAAAAAAUUACAAUGGCAGUGACCUAUAGCAAAAGAGGGAGGGAUGAUAUGCGCACCUGGGUUGGAGCCGAGGGUUUCCUACAGUCUACUCUGUCGCCGUCAUCAUCUCCUGGUUUCGUCGCUGAAACCCUAGCAGAUGAGAGUGGGAGGCACAGAUGCAAAACACACCUCUAAUUAAAAAAAUUCCAAAUGGACCAGAUGAGAGUGGGAAGCUCAGAUGUGUACCUCCAGACUGGAGAACGACGACAAUCGCCGGAAUCAGCCAAAAUCAAAGCGGCACGACCAGCGGCGAGAGAAGGAGAGAAAAGGGAACGAAACAGAGCAGCGGGUCAUAUAGAGGGAGUAGGUUGAGGGGGUCGUUGCCCCCGUUGGUUUUGACCCCCAUGGCAUUCUAAUACUAUUUGGGCUUGCCCAAUAAGAAAAAAGAUCACCACCUAAAAAUUGUCAACUCAAAACUAUAUAUUUCUGGUCUUAAACUAAAAAGGAAAAAAAGUAAAUUUAACAAAAGUAACUAUAAUAUACUAUUAAAAAGAUCAUUAUUUCCAUUUAAAAUAAUAGAAAUGUCAUUAUUAAUAAAAUGUCAUUAUUAAUAAAAUGUACAUAUUAAUAAAAUGUCAUUAUUUCCAUUUAAAAUAAUAGAAAUUUCAUAAAAGUAAACUAUAAUAUACUAUAAAAAAGAUCACCACACAAAAAACUAAAAAGAAACAAAUUUUGAUGUGUCAAACUACAUAUUUGAAGGCUCAAUACUAUAUAUUUUAAGUCUUAAACUAAAAAGGAAAAAAUAUUAAAGUCUCAAAAUACAUAUUUAAAAACAUGUCAUUAUUUCCAUUUAAAAUGAUAAAAUUUUAAUAGAAGUAAACUAUAAUAUAAUAUAAAAAAGUUCACCACAAAAAAACCUAAAAAGAAAAAAUAAAUUGGAAGUGUGAAACUACAUAUUUGAAGGCUCAAAACUAUAUAUUUCAAGUACUAACUGAAAAGGAAAAACGUAAAUUUAAAAUCUUAAGUACAUAUUUUUAAAAAUGUCAUUAUUUCUAUUUAAAAUAAUUGAAAAUUAAUAAAAGUAAACUAUAAUAUACUAUAAAAAAGUAUAUACCAAAAAAUAGUAAUAUAAGAAUGUUCGCAUUGACAAAAUAACAAUACCGGCGUCGGUUAUAACAGCACGCCGCAACUAAAUAUAAUAGUGUUGGCAUUCCAUGAUAUUCCACGACAGCAAUAUAUUACGUCUGGUACAAAUUGUUGAUCUCAUGUAUUUCUGACACUGCCUUGUUUUGGAACGCCACCACUAUGCCCCUAUUAAUGUCGUACCAAAUCAGCCAACGCCAUCACUAUUUGAAAACAGAUAGUGGUGGCGUUGGUUGUAAUGGAGCGCCACUAACGAAAGUUGUGGCUAGCCCUUUUUCCACUAGUGAAGAUUGAGGGAGGCUGUUAGAUAAUGUUUAUGCAUAGCUUUCGUGUAGACACUUUAUAAUGGGAUAGCCACUCCCGUAUUGGGUGUCGUGCAGUUUCCCACAAACAUAACGUUUUACAAUCCUGAGAGGCCAUCCAAGGGAGUCCGUCGUAGGUUGAUGCCGUUUUUACCCUCUCUAACUAAACCUAAAGUGGCGAAGUUGCUAGCAUGUCGCCAUGUCCUUGCACUAGAGAAGGUAGUUGGGGUCUAGACGAUCGUCUUGGAGAUGGACUGAAAGAUGGUUGUGAGCAAGCUCAACUCUGAAGGGAAGGACGGCUCACCCCAUGGCCCGGCGGUUGAAGAUGUGAAGGGCAUGCUAGCUCCAAACUUUUAUUGAGUCCAAGAUCACUUGGGUUCAUGGAGUGAUGAAUUGUAUUGCCUACGUCUUAACUAAUGAACAUUGUCGGAAUGAGUUGUGAAAAACAUCGCUUAGUGUGCCUCCGAAUUGUACUAGCGCCAUUUGAACUCUGGCAUUGCCGAGAACUCUGAAUACAAUGGCAACCAUUCUAUCUAAAAAAUGAUUCCUUACAGGUAUCUUUUGCCUUAUCAAUAAAUCGAGUAUAAAAAAUUCAGUUUAAAUUAGAAGCAAGGUGAUUACCAACAUACUUAUUUUAUUCCUUAUCUAUAUCUUAAAGCAUGGCUAUAAUAAGAUGAUAUACUUUUCGUCAAAAAGUUGCUAGUAUUACUUUUAAUUGACUAGGGAACUAAAUCAUGACUACGACUACCUCUGUCCUGAUUUAUUAGGGCUCCUUGUAGUUUGGGUCAAACUUUGAAAUUUAAUUUAACUAUUAGAAGAAUAAGUUAUAUACUCUAAGAAUAGUAUCACUGAAAUCCUCUUUCGAAUAUGAAUCCAACAAUAUAUGUUUUGUCACAUACAACUUAUAAUUUGUUAGUCAAAUCUACAGUCAAAGUUGGACACAAAAUAUGAAAGGGACCAAUAAACCCGGACGGAUGUAAUAGUAGUAGUAGUACUCCCUCCGAAACAAAUAAAUGCACUACCAAAUGCUCCCUCCGUCCCGAAAUACUUGUCGGAGAAAUGGAUAUAUCUAGAUGUAUUUUAGUUCUAGAUACAUCAUUUUUUAUGCAUUUCUACGACAAGUAUUUCCGGAUGGAGGGAAUAGUAAGUGUAUAUUUGUUUCUAAAUAUGAAAAUAUUACUAUUAAAUACUACUAUACCAAAGAUAUAAGAAUAUUAAAUACUAGUAUACCAAAGAUACACAUAAAUAUAAGAAUAUUUAAUAGUAUUAUAUGGAAGAUAUUCUAUAGUUAAAUCUAUUUACUCUGUUCCAAAAUAUAAGAAUAUUACUAUAAAAUACUAUUAGCUGUUUUCAAAUAAUUAGUAAUAGAGAUAAUAUUCUUUAGUAGUGAUAUAUCUUUAUUCCUCAUUAAAUAUAAGAAUAUUACUAGUAUUAAAUACUAGAAUCCCAAAGAUAUAUCUAAUAGUAUACCAAAAGAUAUACAACAAUUAAAUAAUAUUACCUCUGUUCCAAAAUAUAAGAAUGUUACUACUACCUCCGUCUCGAAAUAGUUGUCACCAAAAUGAAUAAAGGAGGAUGUAUCUAGAUGUAUUUUAGUUCUAGAUACAUCUUUUUCUAUCUGUUUUGAUCACAACUAUUUUUGGAUGGAGGAAGUAUUAAAUACUGUCACAGCUAUUCUUAUAUUUAGUAACAGAGAUAAUAGUAUUUAAUAGUAGUAUAUCAUUGUUCCUAAAUACUCCCUCCGUUCCAAAAUUCUUGUCUUAUAUUUGUCUAGAUACGGAUGUAUCUGAUACUAAAAUGUAACUAGAUACAUCCGUAUUUAGACAAAUCAAAGACAAGAACUUUGGGACGGUGGGAGUAUAAGAAUAUUACUAUUAAAUACUAGUAUACAAAUAUAUAUUUAGUACUAUACCAAAAUAUAAGAAUAUUUAAUGGAAAUAUACCAAAGAUAUGCUACUAUUAAAUGCUGGUAUUAAAUAAAUAAAUUUGUAGUUCAACACGCGGUCCCCACCUUGGCCCGUGCCUUCCGUUUCAAUUCAUAAAGGGCAACACAUGCUUCGCCUCCCCUCUCACAUUCUUCUCAUCCCGCUCACCUCAACCAACUCCGCGCGUCUGUUCGACCGAUCCUCCGCGAUGUCUAGCUCCGGCGUCAGUGCCAUACCCGCAGCCAACCACGAGGAGCACAGCUUGGCAGCCCCCGCCCCGCCCCCCGCGGUUGCGGUCGCCCAGGGGAAAGGGAAGAUGCUUGCGCAACAGGCGCCUGCGCCGGUGGUUCGCAAGCGCAAGCCUGGGAGACCCCAGGAGAAAAGCCCACCCCCAGCGGCCACCAGAGAGGAGCUGGAAUCCAGGGAGUCCCGGGAAGGACCCUUGAACGUGCUUGCGCUCCCGGCGCCAGGGGCCCCGCCUGCUUAUGCUGUCUCAGACUACAAGAUGGUGAGUCGCACUCGCGCCCCCACACGGCGUGCAACCGCUGUAUCCGAAGACAAGAUGGUGAGCCGCGCUCGCUCCUCCCCCCUCUGCUACUAGUGAUUUGAAGUUAACUGGUGCCUAAUGAGCUGGAGUUAUUGACAAUCUUUAAUCUAGUCAUGUGAAUUAGUACUAGUGCUUAAUGAACUACCUGAUGUGUAUGUGCAAGAAUUACGUGCUGGGUAUAUGUCCUUGGACAUUCUAAUCGUUGCGAUCUCAUCUGGCAGAUGGACAGGAAUGAGAUGGCGCUGGUGGUUCGCAGGCGCAAGCCCGGGAGACCCCAGGAGAAAAGCCCGCCCCCAGCAGCCACCAGAGAGGAGCUGGAAUCCCGGGCUUGCGCUCCCGGCGCCAGGGGCCCCACGUACUCACGCUGUCUCGCACUCGCGCCCCCACCCGGCAUGCAAACGUUGUCUCCGACGACAAGAUGGUGAGCCGUGAUCGCGCCCCCACCCUGCAUGCAAACCGUGUCUCCGAUGACAAGAUGGUGAGCCGCAGUCGCUUCCCCCUCUCCUACUAGUGAUUUGAAGUUAACCGGUGCCUAAUGAUUUGAAAUUACUGACAAUCUUUAAUCCAGUCAUGUGAAUUGUACUAGUGCUUACUGAAUUACCUGAUGUGUAUGUGCAUGAACUACGUGGUGUGUACAUGUCCUUGGAUUUUCUAAUCGCUGCGGUCUCAUCUGGCAGAUGGACAAGAACGAGAUGGUGCCGGUCCAGGGGGUGCCGCGCAUGCGGGGGAGCAUCGCGUCGUCAAGUGCGGUUGGUAAGUAUACUUUAUGCUGCUUUUUUUUGUCAACAUCGUCUCCAUGCAGGCUACACUGGGAAAGAAGCUGCUUAACUCUUGUGCAUGCUGGUUUUUUUUCAUCACUAGUAUACUGGUAUUGGACUGGAGCUUGAUAGCUCUGUCCAUGCUGGGCCUUUUUGUCAUCAUUAGUAUUGUUAUAUAUUAGCUGAAGCUGCACAUGUUUUCUUUCCAUUGACGUUGGUGCGGGCGGUGCUACGCGUCAGUCGGCCGAUGGAUGGACGCCUUACUCACCUGAUUUUAAUCAAGUCCCACCUAGGUGUAAUUUGUUUUGUCACUAGCUGUGUAUACAUAGGCGAGCUCCAGCACUGCAUUGCAGCGUGGAAAACAUAUGAACUGUAAUAAGAAACAUGCAGUGGCUAGAAACAUCUCCACAUAUUUUUUCAACACGUUUUAGGUGUCAACGAAAUUAGUCGGAUCGCCAGCCAUCGAAUUGACACAUGGAGCAUUGGAUCACAAUACAUGGCAGCAGGGAGAAUGGAAACCGUGUUCCUCCAUAGCCUCCACAAUACAUAUGUAUCCACCACCCCUCCCACAUCGUCGCAACAGACAAUUACGUCGGCCCCUUCCAACACCUCGCUUUGGUACCCUAGAGAUCCCUGAUGUCGCAUGGAUAUCCUGCAAGUAUUAUUACAGUGCGCCAAUGAGGCGUCAUCCUUGCAACAUUGUCUUACAGACAAUGUAGUUGAUGCCACCACCACCAUCACCCAUUUACACAUGGGCCGUCGCAUGUGGCACUGUUCGUGGGAUAAAACACACCCCGCGAGAAUACGCGGUUGCACCACUGCGAUCUAUGCAACUUAGGAAUUGUUGUGACUGCCCCUGCAAAACUAGCGAUGAUACGGCCAUCGCCCUGCAACAUUGGCCAUAGUUGUAGCACAUCUGAGAAGACGGAUGCCGCACCUAACAACACAGUAUGUGUUUUUUGCACCAUAAGGAAGCACUGCCUUGCAACAUCGGCUAUCAGGGUGCUGCACUGACAAACACACUCACGACCUUGAGAUGUCGUAUGCCUUGGCCGAUGUAGCAUAGUGCUCCUCUUUCAGCAUAUAGCGAUGGCUUGUAGCAUUGAUGGUCGGAGAGUCGCAGCAUCGUUGAGUGGCAGUGCUAGCCCAUCUCAUUGUCAUAGAGAAGGGGGAAUAAAGGAUGGGUGUGCACGUGGUGGAAAUAAAGCGAAUGGAUAUGGUGAAGAGAGAGGAAGACUAACAAGGGGCAUCUGGCGCUAGAGCGAGCUGACUGAUUUCCCCCUGAAACCAGCCUGUUGAAUAUAAUUCAAUUUUCUUUUGAGAGACCUCAUAAAAACGUCGCAACAUGCGAGCAUGUCUAUACAAAAAAUUGUAGAUAUACAACACACACUCAUUAGCUGCAACAAAUCAGUGAAAAACACAAUGUAUAUAGGCCUGAACCGAUGGAUCAUCAGCAUGCAUCUGCCAGCUCUUCCUAGGUUACGCCCAACCGUGAGUCGUUCAAUUGGGUCACACAUCACUACCCAAUCAACCACCAACUUAGUUGUUCCUCUCGUCUCCUCUACCCACCCUUGGCAACAUACACCCAUGAUUCUCAGCAAUAGACCAACAUGGAGGCGACAAUGGUGGCCAUGAUAGGCUAGUGAAAAGCACACUGGUUGGUCAACCUUACAACACUAAACAGAAACAUUGCAACAUGAGGUAACCCCAACUUUGUAGCACUGGUGCACCAUUUUCAACCACCUUGUAGCAAUGAAAAGUUCACUGACCAAUAGAAUUGCUGCACCAAGUUACUGGCUUCCAGCACUGAACACCCGGGCUUGUAGCACCACGAUGAUCGAUGGUCGGCCUUUCAACAGUAUUAGUUAACAUUGCACACCUCGUCUCCAUUUUUAUGUACAUACACAUGAGUGACCUUGGAACAUCAGUAACGUGUCAACAUUAUCAAACUUGAAGACGAUAAAUUUGUUUCUCCAAGCAUCGACAUUACUGAAUAAGCGUGCAACUGCACAUCCACCACAUGAGCCAUAAUUUUUUAGCCCUGCGACAACAGCUUAUAGUUGCAAAAGAGCUGACGAUGAUGGUUUAGAAUGUAUAUGAUCAAAAUAGAUUAAAUGGAGGGGAGGGUGGACUACCUAUGUUGAAUCAGACUAGCCACAAGGUCACAAGUGCCUUGUCUAAAUAGCCAAAAAGACAAAAGGAGGCCUCCUGGAUUCUCCAUCCUGAAGCUAAGCAUAACUCCAACUCCAGACACGCUAGGGGGCUACUAAAGGUGCAAUACGGUAGGGGUGUCUUCUGGGUGGGAAGCCUGGUAGCAGGCCUGCCUUAGGACCCAAGAGGCCAAGUGGAGGAUCGGUGCAGUAGGGCAGCUCAGGAGCCCAGAUAAGGACUAUGAGAGCAUCUUGGCAGGCAAGCUAAGAUGGCAGUGGUAUGAGAUCUGAUGGAUUCCUUGUAAACCUAGCCCUUGCCACCUAUAUAAGGAGGGGCUCGGGGUUGUCAUUCACAUAUACUCUCAUAGACUAUACUCUCUGUAGCAUUAUACUUCAUCUCCACUCUAAACCCCUCGCACAAGGUGCUCCACCAUGAAUAAAAAUCAGAUACAGGAAGUUGGGCAUUACCUCUCACCGAGGGCCGGAACCAAGGUAAAAACCUUUGUGUGAACUCCCUUGUCAUGGAUCCCUACAAGUUCACCACCCUACUAUGGUACUCACGGUUUUACAUACUAUCACAUAGUUAAGUUCUGACACAUUUUCUCUGGGGAGUUGAAACAACUCAUGGUGUAAGUAGGUGUUGCUUGAAGCACUGAUUCUACUAGCACCUCCUUUCCCGCCUUCGAGAUACCUUGUCCUUCCUAUCCAACCACUUUGCCAUUUGAGCUUUCUUUAAGAUGUUUAAAAUUUCCCUCCUUUGACCUACCCACCACGGUUGGGAGCCCCAAAUAAUGCUCGCUCAAUGCCUUAGGAUCUGUGCAAAGAUAUUUACAACAACUUACUCCUCCUAUUUGCCUCACUUCCCAAAGAAUGUUGAGGCUUUUUGAAAAUUUCCCAUUUGUCCCGAGGCCCACUCGUAGUCAAUGAGGAUAUAUUUAAGGUUACAAAGUUGCCAUUUGACGGUUGAAGAAAUACUAUACUAUCAUCUGCAGAAAUAAGAUGGACUACAUGGGGGUUAGUGCUCCCAAAAGAUAUACCAUUGAUCUCUUUAUCUUUGAGCACUCAUGAGAAAGGCCAAAAAACUCGCAACAUAGAAAAUAAAAAAAAAAUAGGGAGACCAUGGGUCUCCUUGCCAAAGCCCUCUUCAUAGUAUAAAAAAAUACAAAACACACUCCUUUCAAUUUGAUAGAAAACCUGGCCGGGGUACCACACAUCAUAAUCAUCAAGAUCAACCUAUCUGAGAAACCAAGUGCCCUCAUCAUCAGAUCGAGGAAAAUCCAAACCACCCUCUUAUAGGCCUUCAUCCUGUAUAGUUUAAUUGCAAACAUUGGAUUUUUCUAUUUCUUGAAUGUACUUUGCUCCUGUGUGAUCAUUAUGGAUAGGACAACCUUCAAUCUCUUUGCUAGGCCUUUGAAGCAAUCUGACUGAGCGUGUUCAAUAAGUUGAUUGAUCCCAUUUGAGGAAGUAUCUCCAUUUAGGUAAUUUUGGGGAUUAGGACUAGAACCAUAUCACUAAAGUUUGGUGAAAUAACUCCAUUAAAAGAAUCAUUUAUUACUAUGCGUACAUCAUUUUUUAGAAAUAACUAGUGAAAUUGGUAAACAUAAGUGAGAGGUUGUCUUGCCCCUGUGCUCCAGUCAAAUUUAGAAUAGUGCAUUCUCAAUUUCUUCAUCCAUCACGUCUGUUUUCACCCUCUCCUCCAUAUCACUAGUCACACAGGGUCGGAUGUGAGCUAAGAUGUUGUCAGCAUCAGCAGAGGCUUCUGAAGAAAACAACUAAGCAUAGAAAUCGGCUGAAAUCUUCCCCAUCUCAUUGUCAGUAGUACAACUCGUGCCAUCCGCCCUCAUGUUUUGAUCGUCUUUCUUGAGAAAUUCCAGUAGGGAACAUUGCAUACACAUUAUUUGUUCCUGUGCACGAACCACAUGAAGCUAGGCUUCAAUCUCACUGGUCUUCAGCGAGGAUGUCUGGAUCCCAAUGAUCUACCCUUUCCAUCGAAGCUGGACCUUGUGCCUAGUUAUCUCACAACAUACCAGACAAAAUACAAAGCCACUUCAAUAUUUCAUAUCAUUGGUGACAUUGUUAUGCUUCCUGUAGAGCUCACUCUGGCCGGAAUUGUUAUCACAUGCACACUAUCAUGCCUCCAUCCAUGGGCAUCCACCUCUCCUCAAACGUUAAUGCCCUCUUCUUACUUUUGGUAAUGACUAGGUUUUCUAGCGCUCUAUUAACGAGCAAACCAUGGUCUCGUCCUCCAUGACAACAUGUUCAAUGGUUGUAUCCUACAAUGAAUGCACGACUUCAUCAUUGCAUGGACCCCUGUCCACAUGUACAUAAAGGAUCUCAUCCCGCUCCCUCUUAUUGUCCCAAGUGUACAGGUUGCUAGUAAAACAAAGUUUUGAAACACUAUUAUUGGCUACACUCUCCCUAAUGCGCUCCAUUUGUGUGAAACUCCUCAAGUAAUCUCCUAGUUGUUGUGAUUAAAAGAAUUCUUUGUUGAGCUAUCAUUGUAACAGAUAAAUGUAUUAUUAGGAUCCAGUCUCUCGGAGCCUCCCUUAGCUACACAAAUUUUCUUCAAUCUCUCUUCCUAUCAAUUAGCUUUAGGUUAUAAUCAUUGUGAUGCCUUUGGUAGUCACCAUCACCUUGCCUCAUCCUAUGAACAAAAGUGCCUCAUCUGCGUUGCUCUGAGGUAGAUGGUCAUCUUUCCCAAUGGCCUUGCACCCUUUCCCAUAUAGAUUUUUUUAUGUCUUGCUUCCUUUCAUGCUCCUUUCUCAUGUCCCACUUCCUUUUUAGAUUUAAAUCAUCCCUUAGUUCACAAUCAUGUCACAGAUCUUGCCUGCAUUGGUCCUCCCUGCACUUCAUCUUAGACAGUGACCCUCUACAAGACCAUCUCGAGGAUCCUCGUAGAGAGAGAGUCCACAGAGGGUGUAUAAUCAUUGUAUGACCUGCACGUAAAUGGACGGACAUGCAACGCUACAUGACCCAUCGCCCAUAGACGCCCUUGCUUGACCUAGUGCUCCCAAAACUAAAGUUCAUGCUUUCUUUCACCGGCCUCUACUUUGUUUUUGUCUGUGAGGAGCCAUGUCCAAGUUAUGCCCUCAACCAUUCACCCAACUAGGGUGAGGAAUCAUUUUGUGGUUCAAAUCAUCCGUCAACAUGUGCUAGUCUGUCGUAGUCAAUCCAAAAGAGAGGUAUCUUUACAAAUUGAAAAUCAAACAAGGUCCCCUCAUCUUUUGCUGAAGAGUGGAGAAAGAAGCCUCAGACUAGUGAAAGAAAUAUGAAAAUUCUAGCUCUAGGUCUGAGAUGGUUCCCCCAUAAAUCCAUCCUUCCUAACAUCACUCUUUACCACGCCACCAAGACAAUUCCCUAGAGCAUUCCCAAAAGUAUAUGAUCAUUUAUAUAGGGGAGGAUCUAUAAUUAUCACCCAUGGCUCCGUCAUACAAAACAUUAUCUUCGAUGACCUAGUUUCUUCAUCAUAAUCCUUCAAAAGUAUCGCAUUAAAACCAAAUUGCCACAUUCAAUUAUAUAGAGCGUGCUUUUAGACUCCUUUGUUAUGGAAUCUAAAGAACAAGAUAUUAUUUCUAAUGUGACUUAUUUGGGCUUCCUAGUAUAGUCCCAUGUAUGUUGCAUAGCCCUAGCAAACACGUUGAUGUUGAUUUGCUGGAGUGACCAUGCCUUUCCAACCACUGACCACCGAGUAGGCCUCGGUAGGUCUGGAAUCCUGAUCCUCAAACAUGAGAUCUAUUAGUUACUUUUGUUGUCAAGUUCAGGGCUCCUUGUUAAUUUGGUUGAGAGUUUAGCUGCCUCCCCUGAAGCAUUUCCAUCUGUCAGGGACUUUUGAAGGUUCUCAUCUUAACGAUCCUUGGUCACCAUGUUCACUUGAGCUGUCGAUUUACGCCACGCCUUCUCUCCCAUCAUCGCGCAAAGGAGUGGAAGCACCAAGACCAAUCAAUGUAGGAGUAUACAGUGUCAUCACCUCAUAGAUGAAUAAAAACCUAACCCUAGCACUACUUGUCGGUCGCCUAUAAUCGCCCUUAGUAUUUCUUUUCAUGUUGGGCCCGCCACUAGGUAUUUAUACCUGUGCUUCCAUUGGUACUUUUUUUGCGCUGGAGCCUUUCUGCUACAUUUGCCUUUCUACAAAGGCGGUCUUAUCCAAAUCAUAUAGUCUCCUCUAUCUAUAGGAAGCGAGGACAUUAGCUCUUCUUUUUUUCAAGGCAAAUACACUUGCUAGUGUUCAAGCGACAUCUAAAGAAGUCUUGUCACAUGUGAAGACGAGGCUAAGAGUGUGACACAUAUAGGUGCCAACUUGAAGAAUAAUGCAAAUUUCAGUAAAUAUGAAUAGCUCCAGGGGAACGAGCGCACAAAGGAAUCAGCCACCAUAUAUGGAUCAUUUCCAAAGAAACAAAGUCACAAAGAGAGAGACAAGACAUUAGCUUCUUUAUGGGGAACACAUACAUUUAAAUGUUGCCUUGCUCUCUGAUUAUUAACAAGAAAUAAUUUUUACUAAUAUAUUAUGUGUAAAUCUUGAUAGAUAUGGAAUGUAUUUUGGUCAGUAUGUUUUAAGGAAUCAUAUUAGUUUUUGGUAUGUUGAAAUUAGAAGAAGUUCAUGUGCCUUCAAGGCAUGUCAAGGUGUGUUGUUCCACCUCAAAAUUGGUACAUACUAAAUGGUUAUUCUCCCUACAUAUAGCCCCAAUUCUCAUGCUCUCUCUCUCUAUCUAUCUAUCUAUCUAUCUAUCUAUCUAUCUAUCUCUCUCUCUCUCUACAUUUUAUAUUCCAGACUACUCCAUAAAGCCUAAUUGGUGAAGGUCCAUAAACACCCAGCAAUGAUGGGUUCAACUCCCAUUAGUAGUAUAUACUUAGUGGAGGAGAAACAAGCCAAGCCCGCCAAUGGUGAAUAAAUCAGAAAAGAAAAUCAGGCCAUGCCCAAUCCAAAUCCGGCACCUGCCAACAAUGUGUAGUCUCCACUACUCGAACCUACUUUUCCUCAGUGUGUUACAUCAUGUGAUGUUUGGAGAAGCCAUAGAGUUGGGGAUCCAAAUAUAGAUAACAACAAUGGGGAGUGGCUUGAAGAAUAGGAGCCAAGAAGCCGGACGGACAAGGCCUCCACCAUGCUGUACCAUUGGCCGAUACUGACCCGUAUGGUGCAAGGACCGACGCAGAACUGAACACCGUCAUCAUCUAGGUUGCAAAGGAAGUUGGACCACUGUGUUUCUUCUCUCGGACAAACUCAAUGAUUUCAUGCAGUUGGCACCCACGCCACAUUCCACAGAGAUAACAACAUUGAGGAGGAGGAGGAGGGGCAACGCAAGGUUUCUUCCUCAUAGGAAUUACUUUCGAGGAAGUGAGGGGACGGUAUGGCAUGAUGAGUAGUUAACAAGGGAAGUUUGCAUGACUGCGGCGGACAAAUCAUGAAGACAAGUGUGCUAGUAGCUAGAUAAGGGAUGAAUGAUAGCAGGAAGGAAUAAUGAGCUUACUGGGUGAGGCUACUAUUUUUUAAGUUGCGACCUACUGAUCAUAACAACAAUUGAUCGUAACAACGUACCAUUGAUGAUAUAGGGUAUUGAUUUAGUAACUGUUACGAUGUGACUAGGGCUUGUAAGCGGUGGGUUGUAUAUUACUAACAAGUAGCAUGUUUAGCCUCGAUAUUGUCCUCUGUCACUCGUAACAACGUACCAUUGACGGACCCCGUCACUACUACCUUUUUCCAACAAAAAUAGAAUUUUAGUUAUAGUAAGAUUCACAACAAUCCCGCCGGCCAUCAGUGCUAAGUUGCCUGCUGACGGGUUUUUUGACCCACCACUUUUGAUCGAUAACUAGGCGAGAACUCUAGUCUGGUGCACAUUUGUUUUGUUCAGAAUUUUUAGUGUUUUUAUGUGUACAAAGACAUAUAUUUCAACCCUAACAGGUUCUCUUUAGGUGGGGUCGAGAGUGAAGGACUGGGGAGCUUGGAAGCAGGGGAAAUGGCACCUCGAGGGGUUCAGGUCUCUAUGAUCAAUAACCACAAUUUUGAUCUGAAUGAGCUGCCGACUGAGCAUGAGUAGCUCAGGAAGGAGUAGUCACCUCUGGAGCAAGAGUAGCCUCCUAUGGCACAACAUGAGGUUUAAUAUUCACAAUGGUUGGAGGCUACUCAAAUCCCUCUUGUGUGAGCAAAGUUAACUCUUGGACCAAAGUGUAGCCCUGUUAGAAAUUAUCGAAACAAUAUCAUUAUCCCAAGGACGAUUGUAAAGCUUAUGUGGAACUUUUGAAUUUCUCGCUUCCUAUUUUUUGUUGAUUUACUGACGCUAUUGCUGAACUUGAGGGAAGGACUUGGUAUACUGCUUCAUGAUCAACGUGUCAACUGGAAAUGGCUUUUCUAUUCAUUUCCCGUGAUGGUUUUGAUAUGUGGAUUGUUUGAACAAGCAGGUGUUCAUUCGGUAAAGCUUUGUGAAACAACAACGGUGGAGCUAGGUCUCUGGUCAUGUGAAAUGACAGUAGGUCAAGAAGUGUGUUGGAUCAUGAGAUAACAUAUUUUCUAAGUUGUUAAUCAUGUGUGUUAACACCAUGGGUAGUAUGAGAGAAGGUCAACAUGCAUGUUUGGGUCUGAAAUGACCUCAUGACCAAAAAAGGGAGAGAAACAUGGCUAAUAGGAAUACGAACGAUAUGGAAGUUAGUUGUUGCAUGGAUGUUAACUGUGGUUAUGAAGCCACACAAGAUGUCAGAGGACCCGCAUCCUUACAUAUCAAGGUUGACUUCACAUGCCAACUGGAUUUCGUCUAAAUUAUUGUAUAUGUAUGUAUGUUAUAUCUUGAAAUCUUACCAAACAAAAAACACCAAAAAAUACACUAUUUACUUCUCUUUGAUGCAUAUUCUAGUUGGAGGGUAAUCAAAACCUUAUGUGGAUAUUUGUCCACAAUAGAAUAUACAAUGGUCUAGUGAGGCAAGGUGUAAAUGGAUAGGACAAUAAUCGAACAUGAAAACAUCCAACAUUGUGUUAUAGUUGCAUCAAGUUGUCUAGUGAGUCAAUAUGGAAAUGGAGGAGGCUCAUAGGGCAACACGAGAACACCCAACAUGUAGCUCUACUUACUUCCUAUUGGUACGAAGAGACCAAGACUAGUGAACGGUUAACCAUAACACAUGGACAAGAUAUCUCAUACAAGAUGAAAAUGGAGUGUGUCUUGUAUGAAAAUGCUAACAAAGUAUGAGUGUGUAUGGCAUGCCAUCCCCUCCCUUUCUUGUUCGAGUUUACUUCACCAACCCCAUAGUACCCUGAUCAACACUAUUAUUUGGAUAUGCUUCUCAUCUGAGAAAGAAUAGUUAUUGAGAGACAUUUAUAUCAUUGUCUAGAUAGACUUGUUCAAGGGGCAAUAAUGGAGGUGUCUUAUCUAUUAUAGCCACAUUCCAGAGAAGAAUAAAAAAAGUAGACACAACCUGAUAAUUUAUUGAGAUUUGAAUUGAGGAUUCCACAUACAUCAACUAUCCUACAUGUGAAUCAAAUCCACAUCCUACAUGGGCAUUGGGCUUUAGUUGGACUACCACUUUAUGGACAAGCCAUGUGCUCCAUGUAGUCUUUAUUGCAAAGGCGGGAGAACAGGGAGCAAAUAGUUUUCGAUGGCUGGACAUUGAAGUUAUUUGUCAAGAAAUUUGUUUCCUGACAUGGUUUGUUUAUUUCAUUGUUUAGUAUUUGAUAUCGGUUCAAUGCUCUAGUAUGUAACCUUCUUCUCACAUUUUGGGUCUAGCUCUUGGUGUUCAUGAGUUCAUUACUUAUGUUAACUAUUAUUGUUGUGCCCACUUGUUCACAAGAGACUAUAAAGUUAACUAAGAUACUCCCGUAUUUAUAUUAAUAUAGUUGGCACUAAGGUAAUCAUCAACCUUGAAUAUUACUCAUAUUUGUCAAAUAGGAGGUCAAGCUGGAUCUGUCUGGCGCAUCAUCUAUGGUCACAUAUGGUGUAUUGUCUAUUCUAAACCCAAUGAGUAUUGCAGAAUGACAUGUGCCUGCGGGGAGGAAUGAGUCACUGUUUUGGGUCAAGGGGUGAUGCCAUGCCUCAUAAUUGACAAUAAAAAAUUAACCACCUACAUAAAAAGUCUAACCCAAGACAGGGAAUAUGCACCAUUGCAAUUUUACUGCACAAAGUCAUCGGUAUUUUGCAAUUGAAUGUUCCCCAUGUUGUGACUGAGAACACAAAACACAAAACACCCCACAAAACACUAUUCACUUCUCCUCGAUGCAUAUUCUAGUGGAAGGGUAGUCAUAACCAUAUGGGAAUAUUUUACCACAAUAGAAUCUAUAAUGGUCUAGUGAGGCAAGGUGUAAAUGGAGAGGAUAAUAGGCGAACAUGGAAACAACCAACAUUGUGUUGUACUUUCAUCUAGUUGUAUAGUGAGAUAAUAAGGAAACGGAGGAGGCUCAUAGGGCAACAUGAGAACGCCCAACAUGUUGCUCUACUUACUUCCUAUUGUUACCAAGGGACUGAGACUCGAGCAUGGUUAAUCAUAACACAUGGACAAGAUCUCUCAUACUAGUUGAUAAUAGAAUGAAUCUUGUAUGAUAAUGCUAACAAAGUAUGAGUGUGGAUAACAUGCCAUCUCCUCCCUUUCUUGUUGUAUUUUCCUUCACCAACCCCCAUAGUACCCUGAUCAACACUAUUAAUUCGAUAUGCUUCACAUCUGAGUUAGAAUUGUGAUUGGGAAUAGUUGUAUCAUUAUCUAAGUAGACUUAUUUAAGGGGAAAUAAUGGACAUGUCUUAUCUAUUAUAGCCACAUUCCGGAUAGGAAUAAAAAAAUUGACAUAACAAGAUAAUUUGUUGAGAUUUGAAUCGAAAAUUCAACAUACAUCAACUAUGCUACAUGUAAAUCAAAUCCUCAUCCUACAUCGGCAUUCGGCUUUAUUUGGACAACCACUUUAUGGACAAGCCGUGUGGUCCAUGUGGUCUACGUCACAAAGGCCAUAGGACAAGGAGAAAAUAGUUGUCGAUGAUUGGUGAUUGAAGUUAUUUGUCAAGAAAUUUUCCCCCCAACAUGGUUCAUUUAAUUCAUUAUUUAGUAUUUGAUAUCGGUUCUAUGCUCUAAUGUGUAACCUUCUUCUCACGAUUUGGGUCUAGCUGUCAGUGGUCAUGAGUUCAUUACUUAUGUUAACUACUAUUGUUGUGUCCACUUGUUCGCAAGAGACUAUAAAGUUAACUUAUAUCCUCCCGUAUUUAUAUUAAUAUAGUUGGUGGUUAGGUAAUCCUUGACCUUGAAUAUUACUCACAUUUUUCAAAUAGGAGGCCAAGCUGGAACUGUCUAGUGCAUCAUCUAUUGUCACAUAUGGUGUAUUGCCUAUUCUAAACCCAAUGAGUAUUACAUUAUGGCAUGUGCCUGCAAGGAGGAAUGAGUUACUCUUUUAUGUCAAGGGGAGACGGCAUGCCUAAUAAUUGUCAAUGAAAAAUUAAUAGUCUACAUCAAAAGUCUAACCCAAGAAAGUGAAUAUGUGCCAUUGUAAUUUUACAACACUAAGGGCCUGUUCUGAUCUUGUCCCGCUCCACGCUUCACAAAUUCCUGGAGCAGAUACGAGCCGAAUGAAAUAGCAGCGAGAAGCUAGCUCCAGGAAGCUAGGAUCGACCGCAAUGCAAAAUCAUGAAGCAGACUCGGCCCAGCUCCACCGAUCUGGAAAGCUGAAGUUAGCCCAUAUUACAAGUGAACUGCCACAGCCAAAUCAUACAAGCCGAACCGGUAUGCUCGAUCUGUUUGAUUGCUCCUCGUUCCCUCGCUCGUGCUCCCUCACUGCUCCUCUACAAGGCCGAUUUGGGUUGCCUCCAAUCAACCCAACUAGCUCGAUUAGGCCACAACCCUUCUAGCUGGGUUGCAGUGCCGCGAGAAGCUACAAACCGAGCGUAACAGAUUUUUCAUCGCUGCUUGGAGUGAGAAGCUACUCUGAAAAGUUGAAUUUCUUAAGUUUUGGGAAGCUAGAGGAGAUCAUAACAGGCCCUAAGUCAUCGGUAUUUCAUAAUUGAAUGUUCUCCAUGUCGUGACGUUUGAUGGUGUAAACCCAAAUAAUCGCCAUUGUGAAAUUAAAUUCCUCCCGUGAGUCGAACCCACAUCCAUAAAGAUGUGCCACUAAAAUCCACCUCUAGGCUAUCUUGGAGUCCUUAAUAUAAUCAAGUGCGCCCAAUAUGGUGACUUAAUAUGUACUUAUUGACCCUACGAAGCUAAUCACCUCCAUCAAGACCCCUUCCUGGUUCUCCUAUAACUAGAUUUCCCGAAACCACGAGAAUCCUUAGAAUGGGAUUACAACUUAGCACCUUUCGUUUUCACAUAGUAAGAAGAGUUGCUCCUUGGAUAGCAUGGUACGAUCAAAGGUGUAACCUGUGUUUCGGAGGGAGUUAUUGUCUCGAAACUUUGUUCUCAGCUAUUCCGAUUCCAGCAAACGGAGGCCAUUGGGUCAAAGCUGUACUGCACGCCCUGUAGUUUUCAAGUGGGGUGAGACAACUUUAGCUAGGAACCAAUUUUCAUUCUGACUAGCUCCCUGAAAACAAUGUUCGACUUCAUGUGUAGUCGGUGUAGAUGUGUCAUUGCAAUUCCACCACUAGGAUAUCAACAAGUCCUAUGUAUUACAUGACAACAUAUGCCACCAUAUGGUGACUUGAUAAAUUAAAUGGAUUUCACCAAGCUUUCGUGUUACAAUUAUAGUGAAGAUAGUGACUCACAUGUCAGCCUCCCUGACGGGAAGCAAAAUCACUCUGACUUUGGCAACCUAAUUUUUGGUGGAUUCAAGCAAACAUGUUGGAUUUGUAUUUUAUUUAUUUCAACAUAUAUAAUUCAUAUAAAUAAAUCAAUUCAUAAUAGGUGUCUUGGAGACACCCAUGUCAAUAAUGUGAAAUUAUGGGAAAUCUUAUUAUGUGCAUCAACAUAAGCCAAAACUCGUGGCUUAAGAGAUAUGUGUACAAUCUUCGAAUGGUUAUUCCCCCUACUAAAUUCAUGAUGUUAGCUAGUUCCCAGAAGUUGAGAAAGAAGUUUAGUCAUGGGAUCAAUGUCCAGGUGCAUCAUAUUUCCAGUCCCAAAAAAAUUUGUUAUGGAAGUUGAGAAAGAAGUUUGGGCAACAUAUUUCUAGACACCUGUCAUGUCUAGGAUCUUCUCAAGCCUAGGUAAGCUUAGUCAUGGGAUCAAUGCAGGCUAUUAGUACAUUGACCUGGUUCUUAAUUCAAGUCCUCCUUGCUUGAUACAAUAUUGAAUGGAAAGUACAUAAUCAAUUUACUUAAGUGGGUGAACAAUGUUGGCUAGUAUAUUUCAACACUCACCUCACAUGCAUCUUUUAGAGGCAUAUAAUGCAUCGUGAUGGAAACAUUUUUUCUAUAGACUAAAUUUCAAUGGAAAAUUUUAAUUAAUUUAAUUAGUAGCAAUCUCGUAUCGCAAGGAUAUAUGGCAAAUGAAAAUGAGGGCUCAAAUGCUACUUGUUGGCACACAAAAGUCAAGUUGUCUUUUUCCUCCCAUGUUGAUCCUCCGUGGUUCGACAUUGGGCAUUACAAAGAGAUCAAGUUAUGUUUACACACCGCUAGAGCUACCAGACCCUGGAUGUUCCACCAUGAAUGUCCAUAUGGUGCAAUGAGUGAUAGCGAGGUAUAUUAGAACAUAUAGUUUACACCGUUAAAGUAAUUAAAUCGGCUAUUUUUCCUACUAUGAAAAAUAGUAUUUUAAGAGAAAACUAUAUAAGAGUUUGUGAUCUUUGUAUGUAAAAGCAUUAUUUUCCUUUGCUUGGUGUUCACGCAGUUUGUUUUAUGGCAAAAAUGGAAAAUCAUGGGACAAUAAUUGUUGAUAUUUUUUGCCGGAAAGCGAGAUCUUUUCACUUUUCAGAUCACACAAAGUAUUGUUUUUCUUAUAGGGGUGAUAUACAGUGUUCUAAAUCUGCACUUGUGAUUCGUUGUCCAUUUAAAUCUGGUUUCUUCCACAGAUUAUGUUGGUUUGUUGUUGUAUUUAUCUCAGCACUAAAGUAUACUGAUGUUAGCUAAGUCCAAUCAAAGGCCCGUGUUUUUAUCAUGUUAUACAAAUUAGUAAGCUAAGAUCUUACCAAACUCAAGUUACAUAAGCCCAGACUACGUGAAAUACACAUCAUGCAGUACACAUGUUCAUCUUAGUGUUAUGUUAUACUUGGCUCCGAGAUAACAAAUGGUAUCAAUUAUUACUAUCUUUUGCAGCUUGUUUCUGCCUGUUCAUCGUAGAAUUAUCUUAUGUGGUCUCCCAAGGUUCAUACAACUUGGAUUUUUCAUACUUUGGUAGUAUUAGUGUUCACUAGGACUAGGUGCCACUCUGCAGAAGCUGAGGAUACAGAUGGAGAAAGUAGUCAUGGUUUUUUUUUUCAAAAAGUUUGUUCAUAUCUAUAAGAGGUUUAUGAAUUUUCAGUGUAUAGUGUUGUGAAACCUAGAGUGUUUUAUCUCAUUUAACAUUGAACUACGCUUUCAAGGAAAAACCUUCAUUUGACAUCGAACUAUGCAUGCAGGGCAAACACCCCGUGCUUCGGUGCCACCGCGCCGCGAACCCUGGGAGCUUGAACCUGGAUGGGUGUGAACUUCAGAUUGAUGUCAAGGUUAGGGGUCAGUCAUGGAUAGAGAAUAAAGGGGACUUUGCAAAACUGUUAUUAAUAAUAUGGAUGAAACAUUGCCUUGUGGAGAGAAUAAGAUAUUUCCAGAGAUAUUUAUAAAUGGAUGCAUACUUGAAAUAGCAGUACAAAAUAUGAUGCUAACAUUUUAUUUUCAUUGUUGUUCCCAUAAAACUUCUGGUGGUGGCUCCAUUAUUCACAGCCUCGCACAUGAAAAUGUUAUUUCGUUCGGGUAAAUGUUGCGUGUCGUUGCUCCUGUAGUUUUGCGGUUUGCAUCUCCUUGAAACUUGUGAGUUGGAUUUUGUGAAGUUGCAAUGCAAAUUUGCGAUGCAGGGAAGAUAAUAAACAAUGCUUUCUAAGAGCAUUGGAUAUUGGAUGCGACUCAGAAAGAACGCAUGCAAACGCAAGAUGCAAGACGUAGUAGGCACAUGUCCAGGUUUAUUAAGAGCAUCUACACCGGACGCCUCAUAUCUGUCACAGACACAAAAUUGCCGGUCAGCACUAGGACGCAAAAUUGCCACCCAACAGGAUCUGUCAAACCCGGCCCAAACGUCUAGACAUGACCGCACUCCCCAUAUCCAGCUCAUAUCUCGGACAGAUAUGUGGAAGCCCAGAGACGCCCGGACACACCCGCCAUGUAGGAUCCGGCCGAGUGUGGCCCACCCGACCCUACAUAAAUAGGACCCUAUCCGCACUCCGAGCGAAACCCAAGCGGCAUUCAACUCCACUCUACUCCUCGCCAGGCCACUCCCGUCCACCCACAAGCCCCAUUUGCGAAUCUCCCACCAUUUCGAGCCGUUGAACCGGAGAUCAUCCCACGCGGCCCCAAGGAGGAGAUGGUCGACUGCCUUGCGCUUCUCCACUACCGGAGGAGUCCGCCCAGCCGCGGUCGAAAUCCAUCUGGUGGGAAUCCAUUGCGUCUGCCACAAUGGAGCAUGGAUCCCGCCCGAGGGCAGUCUACGCUGCCUUAGCAGAGGCAGUGCACUCCAUCUGGCGUCCGAACGCCGUGGAGGAUACGCAACCACUUUGUUGGCGCACUGAGAAAGAUAUGCACACCCGCUUAACGUCUGAUAUUAAUAUGGUGUGUGGCGCAUCCACCGUGUUAGGCAAUGGGCACGGGAACCCGUGGCAGCCCCCGUGCCAGACGCCAGCGGGGCAGACUCGCACUCUUCGGUGCCUCGUAUCGUGCCCGGCAGCCCUUGGCGCCGAAAUCAUGUCGUGUUGGAUGCGGCCGGCUCCACCAUCAUGGAUCAAUCAUUGACCUCACAUCCACCGACGACGGGAGAGCACGGGCUCCGACGAGAAAGAGUAGGCCAUGGGAGAUGGCGCCGAAUCGAGUUUCUUUUGCCGGGUCGUGUCCCAUGUCCUACUCUACCUCACCAGAGACCGACCCUCCACUUUGACAGGCUCAGACAGCCAUCGGACAUGGACAGGUUAGGAACAACAAGGACAGUCGCUGGCACAAAUUUAGACUACAGCCGUCGACGCGAGGUAAGUGCGGCAUGAGUUAAUCGCUGAAGAGGUUGGGCCGUUGUCGCCGGUUUGUCGUACAGUUGCCGACGUAGUCGUCCAUGACCACCAGAUCGACGCCGCCGUCACUGCAAGUCUAGGCGUCUCUGUAGUGGCUGAAGUCAUUUUAGUGUAUUUUCUUUGUAUUGUGAUGAUUGCAUACUGUGUUGCGUAUUGUGGCGUAUUUUCUUUGUAUUGUGAUGAUUGUAUACAGUACAAUGUAUUGUGGAUUUUCAUACUUUGGUAGUAUUAGUGUUCACUAGGACUAGGUGCCACUCUGUAGAAGCUAAGGAUACAGAUGGAGAAAGUAGUCAUGGUUUUUUUUUCAAAAAGUUUGUUCAUAUCUAUAAGAGGUUUAUGAUUUUUCAGUGUAUACUGUUAUGAAACCUAGAGUGUUUUAUCUCAUUUAACAUUGAACUACGCUUUCAAGGAAAAACCUUCAUUUGACAUCGAACUAUGCAUGCAGGGCAAACACCCCGUGCUUCGUUGCCACCGCGCCGCGAACCCUGGGAGCUUGAACCUGGAUGGGUGUGAACUUAAGAUUGAUGUCAAUGUUAGGGGUCAGUCAUGGAUAUAGAAUAAAGGGGACUUUGCGAAACUGUUAUUAAUAAUAUGGAUGAAACAUUGCCUUGUGGAGAGAAUAAGAUAUUUCGAGAGAUAUUUAUAAAUGGAUGCAUACCUGCAAUAGCAGUACAAAAUAUGAUGCUAACAUUUUAUUUUCAUUGUUGUUCCCAUUAAACUUCUGGUGGUGGCUCCAUUAUUCACAGCCUCGCACAUGAAAAUGUUAUUUCGUUCGGGUAAAUGUUGCGUGUCGUUGCUCCUGUAGUUUUGCGGUUUGCAUGUCCUUGAAACUUGUGAAUUGGAUUUUGCGAAGUUGCAAUGCAAAUUUGGGAUGCAGGGAAGAUAAUAAACAAUGCUUUCUAAGGGCAUUGGAUAUUGGAUGCGACUCAGAAAGAACGCAUGCAAACGCAGGUUUAUUAAGAGCAUCUACACCGGACGCCUCAUAUCUGCCACAAACGCCAGGCCGAGCUUCCCGGUCAUUACUAGGACGCAAAAUUGCCACCCAACAGGAUCUGUCAAACCCGGCCCAAACGUCUAGACAUGACCGCAUUCCCCAUAUCCAGCCCAUAUCUCGGAUGGAUAUGCGGAAGCCCAGAGGCGCCCGGACACACCCGCCAGGUAGGAUCCGGCCGAGUGCGGCCCACCCGAUCCCACAUAAAUUGGACCCUAUCCACACUCCGAGCGAAACCCAAGUGGCAUUCAACUCCACUUUACUCCUUGCCAGGCCACUCCCGUCCACCCACAAGCCCCAUUUGCGGAUCUCCCACCAUUUCGAGCCGUUGAACCGGAGAUCGUCCAACGCGGUCCCAAGGAGGAGAUGGUCGAUUGCCUUGCACUUCUCCACUACCGGAGGAGUCCGCCUGGCCGCGGUCGAAAUCCAUCUGGCGGGAAUCCAUUGCGUCUGCCACAAUGGAGCAUGGAUCCUCCCCGAGGGCAGUCGCCGCUGCCUUAGCAGAGGCAGUGCAGUCCGUCUGGCGUCCGAACGCCAUGGAGGAUACGCAACCACUUUGUUGGCGCACUGAGAAAGAGAUGCACACCUGCUUAACGUCUGAUACAAAUAUGGUGUGGCACAUCCACCGUGUUAGGCAAUGGGCACAGGAGCCUGCGGCAGCCCUCGUGCCAGACGGCAGCGGGGCAGACUCACACUCUUCGAUGCCUCGUAUCGUGCCCGGCAGCCCUUGGCGCCGAAAUCAUGUCGUGUUGGACGCGGCCGGCUCCACCAUCAUGGAUCAACUAUCGACCUCACAUCCACCGAUGACAGGAGGGCAUGGGCUCCGACGAGAAAGAGUAGGCCAUGGGAGAUGGCGCCGACUCGAGUUUCUUUUGCCGGGUCGUGUCCCAUGUCCUACUCUACCUCACCGGAGACUGACCCUCCACUUCGACAGGCUCAGACAGCCAUCGGACAUGGACAGGUUCGGAACAACAAGGACAGUCGCUGGCGCAAAUUUAGACUACAGCCGUCGACGCGAGGUGAGCGCUCCACGAGUUAAUCGCUGAAGAGGUUGGACCGUUCUGUCGCCGGUGGUCAUACAGUUGCCGACGUAGUCGUCCAUGACCACCAGAUCAACGCCGCCGCCACUACAAGUCUAGGCAUCUCUAGUGGUUGAUGUCAUUUUAGUGUAUUUUCUUUGUAUUGUGAUGAUUGCAUAUUGUGGCGUAUUUUCUUUGUAUUGUGAUGAUUGUAUACUGUACAAUGUAUUGUGGCAUAUUUUUUGUGGUCUACUUUUAAAAAAGAAACUAUAAAUAGCUAAAAGUGGUGUGCAGAAUAAAUUUGUACCCGCCACUACAAAACAAAUGCCAGUACUGACAUAUAUUUUUGCCCACCUAAUAGUAAUGCCCGCCACUGCUACAAGAUCGAGGUCGAUGGCGGGCUGUUUGUAACGCCCGCCACUGUUAUAGUCAUUUGUGGCAGGUGGAGCGCCCACCACUAAUGCCAUGUCGCCAGUGGCAGGCGCCUCUGAGAGCCUUACCCGUCAUUGCUAGGCUUUUGAUGCCACCACUGCUACGCAUUCCUGCGAUAGUGUGCAAUUGCGUAUCUAGUAGAACAUAUAUAACUAUCGUCCCAACAAACAGUUUCGUCCUACCAUGAAGUUAUAGUCGUGUUGAAGACAUUCAUUUAUAAUCGGAAGUGACGUUGCAGUUGCAUAUCAAGUAGGAGAUAUUUAACUGCCCUAAUGACAAAACACUUUUGUUCCCUAAAUUACAGUCGCAUUGGAGACAUGCAUUAGCGAAACGACACCACCUGUAGUUGUGUGUUUGGAGUUAGACAUGUAACUAGCUCCACAAUAAUAAUCUGAAUUUUAAGUUUUAAUGAAUUUUAAAUUAAAGAAAAAAGAAAAGAUGAAGAUAUAAAUACAGAAAUAGAGAAAACAAACAAUAGGAAAAAUCCUAAAAAAGGCAAAAACAAAGAAAGGAAAAACCUGUUUGAAGUUUCUAGAAGCUUCAUAUAACCAGAAGAAAGAGUCCUACAUGGGGCGGCCCACUCACACAUGUAAAAAGAGGCGGGCGAGGCGUAUGUCGACUAGCUCAGACUUGGGGAAUCCUAUUCCGCGCAUAGGUCGCUACGUAGCGACCAAACGCAUACCCCUCGGGUUUGUGGUCCUCUUCGAGUCGGUCCAUUCCAGGUUCUUCCGCAUACUGGUGUUUAGGAAGGUUCUAGACCUUUUUUUCUAUUUUCUUUGUUUUCUUCUAGUUUUUUCUUUCUUUUAUAUUUUAGAUAUUACUUCUUAUUUUCUUUUAUUUUAAAUUUUCCUUUUUGGUAUUGCAAACAUAUUGUCAAAUUCGUAAAUGUUUAUUGAAAUCGAGAACAGUUUUUGAGUUGACAAACAUAUAUCUGAAAUAAUGAACAUUUUCUAAUUCGACAAUACAUUUUGAAAUCACAAAAUAACAAAAAAAUAACUUUUGAGGACAUUUUUAAAAAAUUCUGAACAUGUUCGUCAAUCGGCCGACAUAUUUUGAAUCGAUGAAAAUUUCUAUGAAUUGACAUGAUUUUUUUGAAUUGGCAAACAUUUUUUGAAUCGAUGACCAUUUUUUGAAUCAAUGAAUAUUUUUUACAUGAAUGAACAUUUUUUGAAAUUCACAAUAAUAAAUUUUGUGAACAUUUAAAAAACUUGUUGAAUAUUGCUUGUAUCUCAACUUCCGUCCUGAUUAAUUAAAUAAUGUGGUGAUACCCAUCAAAAGAAAAUAGCUACGGUUGGCACAAAAUUUACUGCAAAUUAAUCAUGUGAUGAAAGACUUAGACGUGACAUAGUUUUUAUGUACCCUGAUAAGUGCCACACGUCAGGGUCAUUCUCAUGACAACUUUGAACAUUUUUUAUGACAAGUUUAGUUGCACGAGGAUGGCAAAUUUAAUUGACAAGCAUGAAAACUUUCGUGCUUUAUUUUAUUUUAAUAGAAACUUGUCGUGUGUCAUUGAAAUUUGCCAUCCUUGGAUGACAAGAAUUGCCAUAAAAAAAGUCAGGCCCAAAGUGCAAAGCACCUGACGUGUAAGACCUAUCAUUUGGAUACUUUAUAUCUAAGAAUUACCAUAAAAAAAGUCAGUCCCAAAGUCUUCAUGGUUACCUACGUGGAGCACCUUUUGUUCUAGAUCGCGAACUUCUUCAUGUGCUUGCACCGAAAGGGGUAGGUGAAACGUUUCAUGGAGUGAGGUAGAUCCCAAGAAAUCUGUGACUGAAAUAUCCUCAUUUAUUGCAAAGGAGAAGGCCCACGCGUAUUAUUCUGCCAGUGUAGUGCCUAACCAUAUAUCCUUCCACAUAAGUACCGUGUCUCCAACGUGCACAUUUUCUUUAGAUAUCCCUCUGUAGAUUGGGGUGAGCUUUAGCACAUCCUUCCACCAAAACUAUCUGCACGGUUCCGACACGUGCGGGAUCUUGUGCAUGUAAUAUGUUGUCCAGAUCAAAUCCACCCAGGGCAGGUCAUGGUGGUUGUAAAAUUUAUGCAGAUAUUUGAGAAAGAGGGCCUCACUUUGGAUAUGGAGAUUGAUUAUGCCAAGUCCACCACUUUGUUUUGGUUGACAAACCAUGUCCCAAGCUGCCAAUGAGUUACAUUUAUCCGCUUGCUCAGUCUUUUUUGUCCAAAGGCACUUCCUUCUUAUGUUAUCAAGUAGCUCUAAUAUCUUUGGUGGGAAUUUGAGAGUGCAGAGAGCGAAGAUGGUGAGAGAUGUAAUCAUCGUGUUGAGGAGUGACAGUUUUGCAUCGUAUCACGUCAAGGCUAAAGUACUGGUCAUUCUUCGUUCCAUCGUGCAAACAAGAGGCAUGAGAUCUUGGACCGUAGGCUUGGUUAUUACGAGAGGCAGUCCCAAGUAAGUGAAGGGCAUAGAUCCUACCUUACAGCUAAAGAUAGAAGCGAUGUCGUUGUAACAAUCGGCAGCACAUAUAAUUGGGAUUGAUGUAGACUUGUGGAAGUUUAUCUUUAAUCCAAUAGAAGCAGCGUAGUCUAAGGGAAUAUCCUUGAUAGUCCUUGCUUGGUUGGGGCAAGCAAGGAGUAUAAUGAUAGUAUCGUCGGCAUAUUGGAUCACUGGAUAAUCAUGCUGGUUUUGUCUUUGGAACGGAAGCCGUUUUUUUUCUUUUCGGAAAGCGUCAUUAAUGGCACCUUGAAUAAGGUCAGCUGCGAGCACAAAAAUGAGGGGUGAUAAAGGAUCACCUUGACGAACACCACAUUUGCAGAUGAAUUGCCGGCCUGGUACACCAUUUAACAGGACCGAUGAUUUUCCCGAGGCGAAGAUGCAUUUGAUCCAAUCAAGCCACUUGGCAUCAAACCCCAUGUGUUCCAUAAUUGUAAUCAUUGCAUCAUGCUCGAUCAUGUCAAAGGCUUUUGCAAAAUUUAGUUUUAGCAGGACAAUAUUUUGUUUUGGGGUUUGACACUGAUGGAUGUACUCGAAAGCCCAGGCCAAACAGUCUUGUAUUGAUCUUCCUUUGAUGAAGCCAUAUUGAUUGCGAUGAACAAUUUUAAGUAUGAGCUUUUGGAGCCGGUUUGCGAGAAGUUUAGUGAUAACCUUGAGGCAGAAGUUGAGCAAAGUAAUUGGUUUGAAAUCAGAAAUUGUCUCAGGUGACCGAACUUUGGGUAUGAGUGUGAUAAAUCCCACAUUAAUGCUCUCAAGAUUAAGUCCACCCUCGUAGAAUUGAUUGCAUAGCUCAUAAAAAUCCUCUUUAAUUAUGUUUCAACAUUUUUCAGAAAUAAGCCAGUGAAUCCAUCCGGACCAGGUCCUCUGUCAGCUGGCAUUUCCUUGAUGACAACAUCGAUUUCAUCCUUGGUGAAAGGGACAGUCAAUUGAUCCACACCCUCAACUUUCUUGAUGAUGCUUUGCAGGUUGAAUUUCAUUUGAAACUCUCCAGAUUUUCCAAGUCUUUCUUUGAACGCUUGGUAUAUGAUCGCCUCUUUAUUAGCAUGAUCUUGUGCCACUGUGUCAUCAGGGAGUUUUAGUGUUGGAAUUGUGUUGCGUCUGUAUCUUUCUGAGGCCAUUGGCUUUAAAAAUUUAGGGUCUUCAUCACCCAAUUUCACCCAUCGAAUGGUGCAUCUCUUUUGCCAGUAUUGUCUUUGGUAGUUCAAGAGGCGUAAAAUGUGUUUAUUCAGAAUUUUCCUAAAAUUAUGUUCUGGAGUAGAAAGGAUUCUAAGAUUUUUUAGGGCAUCUAGAUUGGCCAGGGGAAGAUUAGAGUUUUCAAUUGCCACCUUAAGUUUAGAGAUACGUUUGCUCCACCUUUUCAACUCAUAUCUAAAUGCUUUGAACUUUCUGCACAGUAAAGUGGCGGCAUUUGUAUUGGCAUGUUUUAAUGGUCUUGUCCAACAGAUUGAACCAAAUCCAUAAAACCUGGGUGCUCCGUCCAAUAAGACUCAAAUCUAAAGAUAUUGCUGCGAGGGAUGGAGGUUCCAAUUUUGACAACACGCGGAAUAUGAUCAGAAACUGGUUUCCCUAGUGGCAUAACUAGAGUGUUAGGGUAACACGAAGUCCAGUUGUUAGACGUGAGAAACCAGUCUAAUUGCUCAAGGAGGGGGGUCUGUAUGCAUAUUGCUCCAAGUGUAAGCACGACGCUCAAUUGGCAGUUCAAUUAAUUCCUAAGAGCGGAUGAUGUCAUUAAAAGCAAUCACGUCAUUAGAAUUACCUCUAGGUUUAUUUCUGUUAUCAGGGCUAUGAAUAUAGUUAAAGUCUCCUAGCAACAACCAAUCUUCAUUGGAGGGGAUAUUUAGAGUAUGAAGCCAAUUAGUGUAAGUCACUCACGGGUCACCCUGACACAGGCCAUGUAUAUUCACCAGGGUCCACUCUUAGGCCGAUUGUGUGGAACGGAAUUUGAUGAAAGAACCAUGCCAUGAGAACUGUUCCUGUGAAAAUGGCAUUGUUCCAAAUGGCGGCAAUGCCUCCUGAAGCACCCUGGGAGGGGAUGUAUGAAAAUUUAUAAAAUCUUCUUGGGCAACAAGACUUUAGGAACAAGUUAUCAAUGACAGAUUUUUUUGUUUCUUGCAGACAGAUGACUGCACAACCACUGGAGGAGAUAGCAUUCGAGAACGCCAAAAGCUUAGGAUCAGAGUUUAAGCCUCUUACAUUCCAGCACAAAAUAUUCUAGCUCGAUAAAAGUGCCAUGAUAAAAUAGAGAAAAUUAAAAAACAACUGAAAUAAAGCGAGGAAAUAGCUUAAGCAUUGGAGGGGCCGUCCUCAGCUUCAGCCAUCAGAGCUUCAGAAGUAACUUCUUCUGGCGGAAUGGCGCACUUGAUGAUCCCAAUGUGUUGCAGCACUUGAACAGGAGUAGGUGGAGGGAUAUUGUCCUCGUUCAGUGAAUCAGGAACAACUUGACCUGCUUGGGCACCAGUACUAGGGACAAUUCUUGGCUUGACUUUGGAAGGUUUAGCCUUGCUGUCAGAAACUGAUGGUAUCUUGAAACCAUCAUACUUAUUAGAGCGGCUGCUACGACGAACCUCAACCACAGAUGCUGGUGCUUUAGCUUUGCCCCUCCUGAUUAUUGAUUUCCCUGAGCUCAUAGCGUCACUUGCAAUAAAGCCAGUGGAGUCACUUGCAUCAGAACCAGAAGAGGUGGUCAUUGCAUCCAAUGGAAGUGUUGUUGCACCUUGAACAGGUAAGUCCAUCUCAUCCAAGACUUCUGUGAUGACAACAUUGGAGUUGGAAGUCCUUGGUAUGACAGCGAGAUCAUUUGUUGGCUGAAGAGGGUUAUCCCCACAGGAUAGGGCCCAAGAACUACUGCCAGGGAUCAUCUCAGUGACAUAUACUGAAUCUGCAGUAUGUUGGAUGGUUCUGGUGGAAGACAGAAUAGAGAACUGUCCCUCUUUGUCAGCAAUGCUAACAUUAAAUUGCACUGAAAUGUCACAAAAUCCAAACCCCGAGCUCCACGGGCCAUAUGCAUCUAUAAUAGGCCUAAUAGAAGCUAGGAGGGAAGUGUUCAGCCUCAACAUUGGCACACAAUCAUUCAGAAGCAAAGAAGCAUUGGUGUUCUCAGGAGAAAGCAUAGAAAGCUGCAGACCAGCAUAUGAAAUAGACAGUGACAUUUCCAUGGGUGUUACCUCCUAGGCGGUCACAAGAUUGUACGUGAUAAAACUCAGCUCGGAUUCGAUGAUCCGGUGUCUUCCCUAUGAUUGUGGCCCAGCUAACAAUCUCGACAUCUUUGGUAGUGGCUGGCAUGCGAAGGCGUUGAUUGUCCCUUCUGUACUGCAUCAGGUGAUGCAUGAGGUAGAAUCCAUCAGUCCUACUGGUGUGCGGUUGCUGGAUGCGGCAGAAGUCGGUCUUAUGGCGAAAAACCAGCCCGUUCUUCAUGUGCCUUUUCACCUUGAUAUAUCCACCAGACAGGCUAAAGGUUAACAGGGCACUAUCAAGAACACUUUUUAUGUGCAUGUAAUCCUUUUUCUUGAGGUUCUUCGAUGAGUCCAAGUACAUAGCAUGGGAGUAUUCUGGGUACAGAACGAUGAGGACGGCGCCGCCCCCGCUGCGCGAAUUAAGUACACCUCAAAUUAGCCUCCAUGCUUGCAAACGAAUGAUUAACACGUACGAAAGGAUAUGCGCGGAUGACUUACUAGGGAUAAUAAGGCAGGAGAAUCGCUUCCUUGUCCUUAUUAGCGAUCAUGAAUUCACCGACGUACUUGCUCGCAUAGUCACGGUGCUCUUUGCAAACUGCCAAGAAGCUCUCUGCAUAUAGUAUGGGUCCACGACGCAGAUAUAUUUUAUGUUCUUGAUCUUGAUGAAGUAGUUGAGAUACAACACAUACACGCGGAUGAACUGGAAAUUCAGCUUGGUUGUGUGGAACAUGUCGUAGAUGUAGUCAAAUCGCAGGAUGAACUGAUUCGCGGGCCAGGUCUCGACGUACAACUUCCCACCCGGCAACUGAGCCAGGUAAAGCGGGUAUCCUGGUUCUUUCGCGAUCAGAAGGCUUUUCUCUCCAGCCAGCACAUCUUCAUGGAGUCUCUUUAGAUCAUUGUUCAGUAAGAGAUCUAGCGCUUUGGUAGGUAGGAUCGGCUCGCCGGCGACAUGGAAAUGUGUCUUACCUUCGACAGGUAUUCUGUCUACCACCCGGGGCUUCAGAUGCGGCUGGCCUCUUGAAGCACCUAUGGCGCCUUUAGGGCCUUUCCUGGGCGGUCUCUUCAUUUGCUUCUUGGCGGGUGGCGGUAGUGAGCCCACCAUACCUUCCCUAACCACCACCCCUAGUGUCGUCGGGCUAAUCAGUGGACGGGCCUCGGGGGGUUGCUAGGUAUAGGCGGCAUCUGGAGGCGUUUCCUGCGAGGAUGGCUUGAAGAGAGACUUUUUGCAUUCCGCCUUAGGAUGUUCCGGCUCCGGCAAAUCAGGCAGCAUCAAGUCAUCAUCUCCAUGCUCAUAGCCUGAGUCUUCAUCGUCCUGAGCCAUCAAUCCUCCAUCACCAUAGGCGGUAUUUAAAUACUUGUUUGUGUCAUCAUCAUCCUCCAUGUCAUCAUUAGCAUUUGCUUCUUUGACAGUGGGGGCGACAUGAUCUGGUACUAAUCGAGGCUCUCCCUCGCGUCAUACGCUACCAUCCGCUACGACAGGUGCAGGUAAUUUGGUAGGUGGGGUGGUGUUCAUACCUUCUUGAGAAGGUGGCGUUGGCGUGAUACUGGGUGCCUCAAGACGAAGAAGAGACUUCGGCCAAGGCAAGAACCAGCUCUUGCAUGCGCCAACCAUCUUAGGGUUCUCGUUGUCGUCAUCGACUGGUACCGGAGGAGGCAAAUCCUCGAAGCCCGCUAAGACACUGGCCACGUUAACCUUGAAGACUCCAUCGGGCAUCUCUCGGUUGUGGAACAUUCGGUACUUCGGCUUCACGAUCGUUGCCUUUCCCACAGCCACCUUCUGGCCCUUGAUGUUGUAGAGUAGGGUGCAUGGGGUAUCGUCGGCCUACGAAGGAGACAUGUCUGCGACGUCAAACAUCUGAAAGGCAACAGAAACGAAAGACUAUAGACAUGCUGGUGAAAAGGGUAUGACGCGUAAAUACCGUGAGGGCGUCGAGCUCAGCCAGCGAUGAAGGCCCGCCGAGCAUGCGAGAGACGGAGGUCGGGCUGCUAUGAACAGGAACGAGACCUUUAGCGGUUGCUUGGGCAGGUGUUGGUGCUGUGGUGUUUGCCGAAUUGCUGCCGACAAAGCUAGGAAGGGGAAAGUCCUCCGGCCGUGCAUUUGGAUUGCUCUUCGACCAAUCGAAAAUUGCCGGAAUCAAGCUGGCCACCACAUCAGUGACCAACCCACUGACCGCCCCCAGCAACUCUUCUUUGGUCUCAGCUUUGGUCUUAUUAACCGCAAUCACGACCUUCUCAUCGAUGCUCUGCUGAGUGACGACCAACCGUCUCAUCCUUCUUUCCUCUGGCUCCUCGGGGUAGCACAUCCUCCAUGAGGCGCCAUCUCUGAUAUCGUGUACACGUCCAUAGGACGGCGGCUUGUCCACCGGGACCUUUUUCAGUAUGUUUACGGCCCGGUUGAAUGGGGUGUCGCACUUGGGCCACGCCGACGACUGUGACGACUCAUCGCUUUCGGCCGCCUUUUUGGUGCUGCUCUUUCUGCAAAAGGAACGUGGAUGGUUUACUAAUGUGAAAAAAGUUCAAGUCGAAUUGAUUGGAAGCUAAUAUGAUAAUGUGGUAAUAUAACAAUUAGCAGAAGUCUCAUGAACUCCCUCGUAUUCGGGCCUGUGUAAGAGAUCUUUCUUACUUUGUCCCACCCACUUGUAUCAGGCCCUGAUCGAGUCAUGCUCCUGCGGGACUGUGAACUCCGCCAAGGGGUCUGGGAUUCCAAGACUUUCACGUUCGGCGUCCUCCUUGGCCCAUAUGUGCCUGUUCCCCUCGUAACCAUGGCUUCCGAGGCGGUGGGGAGGCGUGUUCCUGUCCUGGAGCGCCUUCACUUUCUCCGACUUUGCCUUGACUUCUUCUUUUCCGCAAUUCUCCUUGAAUUUUACAAAGUCCUCUGUCGUUAUUGUUGGAUUAUCAGCAUGAAUCUUGGGCCACGGUUCAUUCUUCGCAAUCUCUUUUUUCACCAGAACAUUCUAGGAGGACAAGUUGUUGGUGAACGUCACCAUCGCGUUGUCGCUUAUCUUUGUCAUGGUGACGUCGUCCCACAGCUCUUUAUAUUUGCCUUCCUCCCGGUCGGGGAACAGGAACCUAUUUUGCAACUUCUUUAGGAGCAUGUGCUCCAUAUGUGGUAUCUAACUUCAACCUCUCGUCGUUGAUGUUGGCGGUUUCCCUGAGGAUGCAUCCAUGUUGGCUGCCCUAGCACGAGCGCGCUUCCUCCAGCGCCGUUGGCUCUAACUUCUUGGGGUGCAUCUCUGUGACCAUAAUUUAUCUGAUGCCAAGCUCGUUUGGUCUUCGCGUCCUCUUCUUCUUUGGUGCUUUACCGGCUACGACAACAUCGUUGCCGGUCUCGGGUGUAGUGUCGGUGUCGGUGCCAGUGCGAGUGUCGGCAUCGGUGUCAGGGUUGGGGCCACUGCCGCCACCAUGCAACCCCAUCUGGUGUUCAUCCAGGUAAUCGAAAUAGUUAUGUGCUGCCUCAAUGGGGUCUGCGAGGUGAGCAGACCACCCAUGACUUCGGCAUCGGUGGACAUGUUUCCUAUUCAACAAUUGUAAAUAAAAGAUAUAAUGAAGAGAAAAAAGGGCCUAUAUUUGGUCGGUAUGUUCAUUCCCCUUCCGGCAAAUCCCGGGUACUCCAUAUGUCCUAGUUUCUAGCAUGAAAUUUUUGGCAUGACAUUUGCUAAGAACUGGACAUAUGGAACGCCUGAAAUUUGCCAGAACAGAAAUGAAUCAACAUUCCGGCAAAACAUAGGCCACUCGGAUAUUUUUUGGCAUUCAACCAACAUUGCAAAACCAACAUAUAACAUCAAUGACAUAUAUCAUUCAAGCAAAAGCAUGCUUGUACUUAAAUACACAAAAAUGACAAAAAUAGCUACAAACUUGCUCAAACUUGCUCCUAGGGUUCAUACAUAGCUAACUUGCCCAAAAUUUUGCUAAAUUUGCUACUGUUUUUUUUAUUUGGUACUGUUUUUAUACCUAAUUUUUUUGCUACUAUUUUUUUAAAUUACUAUUGUUUUUGUAAACUUGGCUACUGUUUUCUAAAUUCUUUUGCUAUUGUUUUUUAAAUUCUUUUGCUACUGUUUUUUAUACCUAAUUUUUUGCUAACUUUCUACAAAAAUUUGCUAACUAGCUAAUAUUUGCUACAAAAAUUUAGUAACUUGCUAAAAAAACAAAAAACAAAAAUUUGUUAAUUAGCUACUGCCCUAAUUUGCUACUUUGCUAACUUGCUAAAAAAUCCCUAACUUUGCUAACUUUACUAAAUUUGCCCUAAAAUUUGCUAUCUUUGCUACUGCAUUUGCUAACUUUGCUCAANNNNNNNNNNNNNNNNNNNNNNNNNNNNNNNNNNNNNNNNNNNNNNNNNNNNNNNNNNNNNNNNNNNNNNNNNNNNNNNNNNNNNNNNNNNNNNNNNNNNNNNNNNNNNNNNNNNNNNNNNNNNNNNNNNNNNNNNNNNNNNNNNNNNNNNNNNNNNNNNNNNNNNNNNNNNNNNNNNNNNNNNNNNNNNNNNNNNNNNNNNNNNNNNNNNNNNNNNNNNNNNNNNNNNNNNNNNNNNNNNNNNNNNNNNNNNNNNNNNNNNNNNNNNAGGAGGCCGGAGCGGACGAGGAGGAGGUCGGAGCGGCGGCGGCGCGGAAGAGCAGGAGGUCGGAGCGGCGCGGACGAGGACGAGAAGGAGGCCGGCGGCGAGGCCGAGGGCGGGCAGGAGCGACGGGUCGGCGUCAAGGUCCAGGUCGAGGGGGGACGGCCGGCGGGGCGGGCAGCGCGGGCGAUGACAGCAGAGGAGUGGGAGAGGUGGGAAGUAGGGCGAAUGGGGACUUUGCAAAAUUUUGAGUCCGUGCGGGCAAUGGUUAACUCAAAAUAGCAGUACCGCUGGUUUAAGAACCAACGCUAUAGCUAACUUAGCUAUAGCGUUGGUUCAGCGCUACUGCUAAGUUUUUCAAUUUUACUUUUUUUAUUUCUAAAAUACAAGUAUCAGUAGCGCUGGGUUAGAAACAGCGCUAUAGCUAACUUAGCUAUAGCGCUAGUUCCCUAAACCAGCACUACUGCUAAGUUUUCCAAUUUUAUUUUUUUAUUUCUAAAAUACAAGUAGCAGUAGCGCUGGGUUAGGAAAAAGCACUAUAGCUAACAUUUCUUUUCUUUUUAUUAUUUUAUGUUUACUUCUUUUUUUUCUUUUGUAUUGCUUUAUCCCUUUUCUUUUCUGUUUACUUUUCUUUUCUUUUGUAUUGCUUUAUCGCUUUUCUUUUCUGUUUACUUUUCUUUUCUUUUGUAUUGCUUUAUCCCUACGGCGUCUCCCUCCCACACUGCGCUAAUAUCACCGGAUGCAUGCAUGUAAUUGAAGGGAGAUGCGAUUACAUUAUUUGACCGAUAACGGUUACUUAAGUGCGUACACAAAAUAGAUAAAUAUAUAUAAAUGUAGGUUUCUGAUCAGCUGCGUCGACAAUGUUUCACAUUAAGCUUCUUCCCUUUCUUGUUCGUUGCCGAGUAAUUGAGCCCCUCCUUGUGCCUUUUCCGGAGCCAUGGAGUAUGAUCUUUCUUAGGUAAUCUAGUCUUGAUUCUUCGUUUCACGUAUGCUUCAUCAUCAUCGUCAUCUUCCCUCAUCGGGUUGCCAUAUUGGUCGUAGUCUUCUUCGUUGGCGACUCCAUCCAUUCCGAUGAUGCUCCUUUUCGAUCUCCUCACGACAACACGGCUGGGAUUGUCUGGGUCGGUUAUGAAGAAGCAUUGUGUCACGUGCUUAGCGUAUACCCAUGGCUCAUUUUUGGCGAUGACGUUAACGUUCACGGGAGUGCUCUUCGCGUCGGGUAUAGACAAGGUGGUGAAAUACAUGUUUUCUCUUACGAUUCCUUGGCCCAUCUGACACGGAACAUCGUCGCAUUCCAGCAUAGUACAGCUCCAAGAUCUCUUCGACCCAUACGUAGAAUCUUUCAGUUGUGUCGUUGGCGUCGGUCACGCAUUGAAUUGUCACCCUGGAGUUUUGGUAAUCACUGUCCAUGUCUUUGGCCUCCGUGUAGAACGUGUACCCAUUGAUAUCGUAGGACUGAUAGGUCGCGAGCUUGGGCGCGGGGCCAUGUGCUAAGGCGUGUAUGAGCAAUCUGUCCGAACUGCCCUCUUCCGGGGGAUUUUUAAGAACUUGCUCUUCGAACCAACACAAGAAAGUGGCGUUGUGCUCUACAAUAACUUCGUCGUCUGUCUUGAGCAUCCCCUUAUCACGGUACUUCUUUGCGAUGCUUUCUUUGUGCCGUGACACAUAAUCAUCUACCACAUCUAGGUGUUGUAGCACUACUAAGUUAGCCCUGUCAGAGUCGUUCCGUAGAUCCGAGUAGUCCACAUGCAAUUCCCUCGGGCCGUUGUUGUGACCAUCUCCUUCGAGCUUCCCAUUGUGCUUCUUGACAAGCAAACCAACAACAGGGUCUCCGACCCUUAUAUAAUUCUCAAAGAAGGAGAUGCACUCAUGCAUCAGAUACCCCUGGACAAUGCUCCCUUCGGGAUGGGACUUGUUACGAACGAAUCCUUUGAUGACCCCAUUCAUCCUCUUCAACGGUAUUAUGAUGUGAAGGAAUGUCGGCCCGAGGUCGACGAUGUCGUCCACGAUGUGGACACAGAGAUGCACCAUGACGUCAAAGAACGCGGGCGGGAAGUACAUCUCAAGCUCACAUAGUAUGACAACGAUCUCUUCCUGUAGCCUUUGGAGCUGCUUCACACUUAUGGACUUUCGAGAGAUAACGUCGAAGAAGUUGCAGUGACCAGUAAGCGUGUCACGGACGUGCUUGUCCAUUAUCUCUCUAAUGGCAACCGGGAGUAUCUGCGUCAUCAUCACGUGACAGUCAUGAGACUUCAUCCCGCUGAACCUUUUCUUCUUGGGGUCUAGAAAUCUGCUUAUCUUCCCACAGUAACCGGAACUGACUUUGAUUCCCAUAAGGCAUUUGAUGAAUUGAUCGAUCUCCUUCGCACUUAAGGUGAAGCAAGAAGGGGGGCAAUAAUUCUCCUCCUUCUUGUUAACUUUUCUGACCCUUUUCCCCUCCUCCGUCUCCGUCUUUGUCUCCUCCAUCAACUUUUUACGGUGGAGAUCUUUCCUGAUCUUCAAAUCUUCCAAGUCUUUCCUUGCCUUCGGGCCAUCUUUUGUCUUCUCCGGCAUCUUCAUCAGUGUGCCAAGCAAGCCCUCGAGGACAUUCUUCGUGAUAUGCAUUUGAUCAAGGCAAUGAGGCGUGUCGUGAUUGGGCCAGUACUCCAAGUCCCAGAAAACAGACCUCGUUUUCCAUACCUUCAGCAGCGGCUCUGACGCCUUUCUGAUCUUUCCUGGGGUGGGGCAUUCUUCACAGUUUCUCAAUAGCUCAUCGAUUUUGGCGCCGCUCCUCUUACGUGGAGGUCCUCGAAGCUCAGCCAACCCAUUGAAUAGAUCUCCACGCUUUCUCCACAGGUCAUCCUUCUUGAGCCAUCUACGAUGCCCCAUGUACAUGGUUUUCCCAGAUACGCCAUCUUUCAUUGACGUAAGCUGUUGAGAAGUUUUAUGAUCCAUGCACCUCGUGCAUCCGCAGUAUCCGUGGCACACCUGGCCUGGGGUGUACCUGUAACCGAGAUAGUCUUGCACCGUCGUCAUCAGCGCGGCUCUCAUAUGGAAAUACUCUCCUUUGCUGGCGUCCCAUGUCCAUGCCGGUGAUUUCCAUAACGUGUCUAGCUCCUCUUGCAGAAGCCCCAUAUACAGGUUAAUACUAUUUCCUGGUUGUUUCGGCCCUUGAAUCAGCAUGCACAUGUGUCUGUACUUUUGUCCUCAUGCACUUCCAUGGGGGAGGUUGUGCAUCCAUACAAACACGGGCCAUGUGCUAUGGUUGGUGCUCCGGUUUCCAAACCGAUUCAUGCCAUUGGUACUCGCACCAAGCACGAUGUUCCUUGGAUCUUUUGCAGCAAAUCCAUACAUGACGUUCAAUGCUCUCCACUGGCUACCAUCUACGAGGUGUCUCAGCCUCGGAUCAUCUCCAUCCUUGGGCUUCUUUCUCUCCGCAUGCCAGUGCAUGUGUUUUGCUUCCUUAGGAUCUACGAAAUACCCCUGCAGACGGGGAGUGAUCGAAAGUACCAUACAACUUUCUGAGGAGCUUUCUUUCCUUCCUUCUUGUAUCGAGAAGCAUUGCACACUGGACAGCUGGUUUUUCCGCGUGCUCCCCCAGAUAAAUGAUGUAAUCGUUGAUGCAUGCGUGGUACCUAAUGUGCGGCAAAUCAAAAGGGCAAAUGAUUUUCUUGGCCUCCUCGACACUAGUAGGACACAUGUUCCCAGUGGGAAGAACUUUAUUAUGUAGAUACUUCAAAUGCUCAUCGAGGCUUUUGUCUGUCCAUUUGUUUUUGGCCUUCGUCUUUAGAAGUUCGAGCGUGAAACUCAAGCGGGUCACCUUGGGAUUGCAACCGUCAUACAAUGGUGUCCUCGAGUCUACUUAAAGUUGCACCAGCUUAGCCUCCUCUCUAGAAGCAUCUCUCUCUCUAGUCGUACUCUUGCGAAGGAGGUCUUAAAGAUGAGGAUCCUGCACGACUGCACUCAGUAGCGUCGAAGAUUGCAGCGUGACCGCCACCUCUUCUCCGCCAUGUCCGGACUCUUCUUCACCGUGUCCAGAAUCUUCUCCGCUGCCGUCACUUCCGGACUCUUCCCCGCCGCCAUGUCCGGCGCCAUCGUCUUCAUGUUGAUGGGUCAUCUCUUCGUCUAGCCCCAUGUCGUUAUUACCUGCCAUGUGGACAUCCUCAUCAUCAUCAUCUUCUUCACUUAUCCACUGAGUAUAGUCAUCCAUGAAACCAUUCAUCAGCAGGUGCGCCUUCAAAGUGCCACGAUCAAAAGGGUCCAAAAGGACUCCUUCCUUGCCCCUUGCAUCUUGCACGCAGACAUAUAAUCCUAGUCCGAUUAUUUGCAUACAUGUCCAUCACCGCGGAUUGCAUGUACCGCUCCACCUUCCAUCCACUCACCUUCAUGACCGACUGCACGGUAUAACAAGCAACAGGGUUAUAAAAUAAAUAAUGCAUGCAUGCUUCAAAGUCAAAUAAAAUUUUGGCAUGACCUUGCCUAAAAAUAGGACAUAUUGGGUUUGCUCGAAAUUCACCGAAACAGAAAUAAAUCGACAUUUCAGCAAAACAUAAGCAACUCGAGGGCACGUCACACUCGCACAAAUCUCUCCAUAUCAAACACAUUUGAACACAUUUGAAAACGGGAAAAUUGAGAGUUGUACAUGGAACACAUUUGAAGUUCAUGAAAAAUGUCAUCUUGAUUUUUUCUUUUGAGCAAUGGAAUUGAAUUUUUGAUGAGUAACAUAAUUAGGUCAAAUAAUCAGCUAGAUUUAUACUCUUGGAACUUUGAGGAAAAGUAACUCGAAACAAUGGUAGAGAACACUUCGAAACACUGCCGCUGUGGUUCCUCCAUACUCUCUGUCUCUCCCUCCCUCUUUUUUAUCUCCUACUACAGGACGUGCGGAGCGGAAUACUGAGUGGCACCCAAAUAUUAAAACAUCAAUACAAUGUGUACUAGUCAAUUUGGCCCUUUGUAUGUAGUUGAUCAUAACAAUGACCCAAGAUUGGAUCAAAGUUUUUCUUCUGAAGUAAUAAUAGGCUUCUCUUAGAACUCAUGAUUUACAAGUUGCACCAUAUUUGAACUUCCUCCUGGCUUUCUACGGAUCAUCUUGAAGAAGUCCUUAUUAGCCUUUUUAUUUGGAAUACAAACAUCAUACAUGUCUAGAACACAAAAACUCUGGUUGCCUUUUUCCUACUACGAACAGAUACUACAAUCACAAAACUCCAUAGAAUUGUUGCAUUUGUUUCUCAUACCUUUCUCUUGGGCCAAUAAACAAAAUAUUUAUUUCAAGAGUUCAAUCUUGUCUUAGACCUGCAAGGUAAGAUGUCGGCACUGAAUACACACACUAUACAACACACAUUCAAAGUAAAGAUGCAAGUAAAAAAGAACAUAUAUAUCUCGAUGCCUAAAUAAUCUCUCCCUAAUAAUAAAGCACGGAUUGAGUCUCCGGGUUCACCGUCACAAUGCGCUUCUUCCUAUGAUUUUACGCUUUUAGUUUGAAUUUAAAACAUAUAUCCGAGGUGGUACUUUUUUUUUGAGGGAAGGCCAUCAUGGCUAGCUUUAUUUACUCAGAUCAAAAUUACAUCGUUCACGAGGCUAUUGACGAUACAUGCAGGUGGUUCGUCAGUCCAACUAUCUGACGUUUUAUUACAAAAACUAUACUUAGCUAGCUCAUGAGGUGCGGUAUUCGCCUCACGAAAACAAUGCUUGAAGGUGACCCUCCCAAUUGAUGUAACAGUAUCUAGACACUCCGUAAAGACUGCUGCCGAUGCAUCCCACCAUUGUGUUUGUCCUGUGCAGAACUGAAUGACUUCAAGGGAGUCUGAUUCAGCCUCAACCCGAUUAAAGCCUAAUGAAUUUGCAAAUUGAAGGCCAUCUCGCAUGGCCCUAGCCUCCAUAGCCGUAGCAUCUGAAGCACAAUCAUUGUAUUUGCAUUGAGCAGCUAGAAAUUGCCCCUUCUCAUCUCAUUAUAGCGGCCGUUGCUCCUGCACCUGCAUCUUGAUAAAAAGCAGCGUCAACAUUUACUUUAACAAACUUUGGGUCUGGCCUCUUCCAUCUAUGCUCCGUGUCCUCCCUAUUUUGGUUUGUUUCUGUUUGGUCAUCAAUCAAUCGUACGAUUCCACCUAUCGAUCGCUCCGCGUGGGCCUUCAUAAGUCAUGUGCAUGGUUUCCGCAGAUCAAUCGCUACGUAUGGGCCGGCCCAUUUAAUUAUGAGCCACGGCUGAUCGCACGACUAAGCCAGCGACGUCGUUCGUUUUGUAAUACACAAUCGCUUGCCUCUUUUUCCGCCGCCCCGCACGUCCCUGUUUCCAGAUCCGUUUUCAAGAUCGAAGCGUUCGACAUCCGAACUCUUGCCCUCAGGUACCUAUAUAUUAGGUCAGCCAGGGGAGAAAACCAACUAUACGCCCGAGAAUUCUGAGCAUAUGUCAGGCCUCGCCUGUGAUCCGCGUCCUCGCCUCCAUGACUAGCGUUGUCCCGGAUAACUCGUGUGCUCACGAUGCGAUCCGCCACCUCGGUACGAGCCCCAAUCACGAGUUCAUCUGCCCCUCUCGCGCCUUCCUCCAGUCGCACUUCGGGGAGAUGCCAUCCAAUCAGGAAGGAGGGGAUCGAUGAGAAGGUCGCGAGAGGUGGCAUGGUUGGAGGAGGAAUUAUGCUUCCAUUGAUCCCUUCUGCGGGAGUGGAAGAGAAAUAGGAAGCCAUCAACUCGCCAUCCAGGUCGGGUAGCUGGCUAGAGCAAGCAUGCCGAUGCAUUGCAUGACCUAUGAACAUACAUGUAUGCAUGCGUGCGACCUUGCCGGCCUAGCCGAGGCAAACUUCCAUAGCGGCACGGCCUCAUCCGUCACCACGGAAUCCGGCGAGCUGUCUCUUCCGCCGUCGCCACUGUCACCAUCACAAGGAUACAAUCGAGGCGAUUAUUCCCCCGGCAAGUACUCCUUCGACUCCCCCCGCUCGCCUCGCCAUCUAGCUAUCCGAGCUCGAGGAGGCUUCGGCGUCCUGCAUCGCCGUGUGCGAGAGAUCUCGGCUCUCUGUGGUAAAUAAGGUCGCCACCCUCGAGGCCACGUUGGGCACGAGGCAGCCCUUCCUCGCCAAACUGAUCGUGUAUGCCUCUAGGCCCUAACAGGAGCUGCACGAGCUGAUGCUGCAAGCCUCAACAUGUCAGUGGACGCAUGAUUACACAGCGCUGGUAAUCAACAAGCCGAGAGGAGGGAAUAGAACGAACGAAUUAUAACCCUUUCACAGGGGAAGAGGGAGCAGUCGGUGAAGAAAACAGAUGAAAACCUGCGAAAUAGCACAAUCGACGGACGACCCCUUGAUUAAACAGGCCGGCUACCGGUGAAGAAAACAGAGAAGGAAUAAGAAUAAAUAAGGAUUGAACGCAUAUUAGGGCGUAACUCCUAGAAUCCCGUGAGGAGGGAGCAAGAGCGCAGCGGGUCACGAGCGCGUCGUACUCAAUCCAAAUCGAGACCAGACCGGUGAGCUUUGAGUAGAUCAAGCAGAGAGAUAGCAGGGGAUUUAUUUUAGGCAGAAAGAAGACAAACAAAUUCACCGGGUCCAGUGGCAAGCCAUUGAAGAGGGGAAAAGAGCUGAUCCAAGCGGAUUAUAAGGAGGGGGAAUUAUUUUUAGAACCUGCAGCACCGAAGAGGGGGACACCAAAAACCAGGACACCCAUGAUGUACGAGCAGCGGGCAGAGAAGCUAGGUUGCAGACGCCUCCACGCCCCGGCGAGCGCCUCAUGCGCUAGGGUUGCGACCUACUAACUAGCAAGGGGGAGGGGGAGGGAGGGGGAGGAGCGAGAGGCCAGCGGAGGAAGAGAAAAGGAGGAAGCUUGGAGAGACAGGCGGAGAGUACGAGGAAGGAGGCCGGGGAAAAACACUACUCUGAGCACUCGGUUCACGCUGGCUCCUACCUCUGUUAUUUCUUCGUAUGUGGUUAUGCUGGCUUCUCGUGGGAUAUUAAGCCUGAAGUGUUCCACAAAUAUAUUUCGUUUGCCCACGGCCACGUACAAGUUUAUGUGGGCUAAAUUAGGGGGUGCAUAGUAAAGUUUUUUAGGUGUGUGUGCGUCUCUCCAAAGUACACAUGUUUUUUUAGAGAAAGAGCCUACAUUCUAUUUCUUUUAGGCAGCCUACAAUUCGUGAAAUACUUGUUUGGGGAGUGGAAAGUAAAGAGUGCAGCGAGCACGGGAGCUGGCAGCAGCCCUCGCGGCGGACAAUGGCGUGGUUGAGUCGCCCUGUCCGACACCGCGUAUGGUAUUUAUCCCACCAACAAAUUCCAUUUUUAUAAGGGAAAAGUAUAUUUUUCGUUCCUCAGUUCUGUCGAGAGUAUAGAAAUGGUCCCUUAACUUCAAAACCAUCAAAUCUUAGUCCCUUAACUUUUGAAACCAGAUAAGUUUAGUCCCUCGUCCCACUUGAGCUGGUUUCGUCAGACGUGGAAGCGGUUUUGACCAAAACUUGACACAUAGUCCAGGUUUGACUGAGAAGAUGACGUGUGGGCCCACUCAUCAAUCUACGGACAGAUGAAAUAAAAGUACAGGUUUGUGUUCAAACACCAGACCUCCAAUCAGGUCAGCUUGCAUGAAACUAGCUCGAGGCCUCGAGCCACACACAAAAAAAAGGCGGAGCAGGUGCUCGCUCGCCGGCGACCACCAUUGUUGCCAGCCGGCCGUGACAAGCGCCGCUCGUCCGCAGCCCGCGCACCAACACGUUCUACUACGUCGGGCUCGCCGGCAUCUCCGUUGGCGACGAGGCCCUUUUCGUCCCAACCUCCGCCUUCGCCAUGGAUGACGCGGCUGCCACCCGCCUCCAGUCCUCCUCAUGCUUGCCUCUGGGGUCUGGCUCCAAUGUGAUCGCCAGGACACUCCCGCGAUCUCCUCCUCCGGCAAGCUCCGGUUCUCCCUGUAGACUUCCUAAGCUCGCUUUGGUCCUACCUGAGCAGCCCCUAAUCCUCGACAUCACCCCGACGCCAGCCCGGCCGUGCUCCGCCUCCCACUGCCGUCGACGCAACCGUCGCUUCGGUGCUUCCUCGCCGCGUCCGAGCACGCGUAGAUGCUCUAGUGAUACGCUGGUUACUCUCUCCUCUCCCGAAGCUUCCUCCCCGUACCAUCUAGCUGCCCGCAUAGCGCCACUCCUCAGUCCUCACCUCCGCUGCUGGAAGCCAUCGCCGGCAAAGCUUCGGCCGUCCCGCGUGCCCAUGCUUGCUUUCCCAGCCAUGCGGACACCCAGCAUUUUCAAAUUGUUCUUGAUUUUCAAAGAUAAUUCGCAUUUUUAACAAGUUCAUGCUUUUAAAAAAUACUCAAAAUUUUGAAAAGAAUGUUCCGAUAUUUUUAAAUACAUUUAAGAUUGUUCACAAAAUUAUGAAUAAAAUCAUAAUUUUGUUUUAAGAAUCAUGUGUUUAAAAAGUGUUCAGCUUCAAAACAUGUUCCAAUUAUAAUAAAAUAAAUAAAAAAUUCAAAAAAUAUUCAAUUCAAUAGAAAGAAAAAAAAGGAACAGUUUGGUUUUCGAAAAAGCAAAAAAUAAAACCGAUUGACAGACUAUUCCAUGUACAUGCACCACUACUCUUCCAUCGGAUAAACGAUGUUAGGGUAGCUUCUUCACGUCGACAUUCAUGCACCGAAAAGUGAUAACAAUAUAUCCUUAUCUCCGAUGUUUAUCAGAACUAGAUAUGAGAAAUGGCGCGUAUGAAUCAAGUUUUGUGACUUUUUUGCCCGUUGCAACGCACGGGCAUUUGUACUAGUAAUAAUUAUGGGUAUAGCAACAUCUAGUAUAUUUUUGCAAACAAAACUAAUCUAUCUUAAUUUUGCUUAUACAGUGGGAAACUAUUUCAAAUAUAACUUGCAUAUUAUUUCAUAUCUUAUUUAAUCUCAGGCUCCAAAAGAUCACGGGAUAAAUAACUCAUGAUUGUAUAAUUCAUGCAAAAAUCAGUAUAAAUAAGGUGAAGAAUUUGCACUAGCCAAAUCUAAAAGCAGUACAUGUCAAUCUCUGGAGGCAUGAGAUGUAGAUGGUAUGUACAUAAAUAUAGACUAAACCAACAUGUGUCACAGGUGAUUAUGUCGAAGAUCGAACAGCUGCCGCCGGGUAGAUACUAAAAAUAAAUGAUGGAACAAGAUGAUAGUCAAAGCUGGGUUCGAGAACAACAGGAUUAGGGAGACCUUGAGACGCUGGAUAUAGGAGCGUAUACAUGUAUACUCAUACAGGAAUUUCAAAACGAUGCAAGACUACAUCAACCUCUCAUCCAAACAACAAAUUCUGCUAUGUGCAAAUCCCUUCUUCUCCUUCCACUCUUCUUCCUCCCACUCAUCUUCACUUGUUGUGCCUGACCAUAAUGAGGCCGAGCACCUGCAACGUCGGAGAGGUAGUUGCUAAGAUUGCCGGGAUUCUGCUACACAUUCUGCAGUAUUUGCCAAGCAUGAAGUCGGGGUGCUCGCAGUAAGCACACGUGAUGGGGUGGAAGCGAUCUUACUCGAGCGGUCCGACCCACUAAUUUUAGUAGUUUUAUGAAAUUAUCUCAGUUAAAUUGAGAGUAUCCAAUGAAACUUGAGGGAGAAAAAUGAAGAUAUGUGACCUAGUGAUAGUCCGCUCGCCUAACCUCUUGGUGGAAUUUACUAUUGUGGUUAUAAAUAGUUGCAAAUUUGAUAACAAUAUAAUCUAGCAGUUGCUAUGAAAACUCUAUGAGGGCAAACUACCAACCAACACAUUCAACUCUAGAAGAAAGCUGGAAAAAAUUUGGGACAAAACAAAAAAUGGUGUUGGCGGCAAUACUCCUAAAAUGGCAUAUAUUGUCGACUUUGUUUUGUACUGAAGAUUCAGACACUGAAACCUGAAAAGUAGUACAAUCCAGAAAAAGAAUAAUGAUGCUGAAAUUACAAUCUAGCUAAAGCAUACUGGUUGCAUGAGCAACAAUAAGAACAAGCCUGCCACCUUGAGGAUUCCCAUGUGUCAACAAUGAUACAUAUAAAUGGAGCACUUUCAUGUAAAAACUAAAGAAGAUAAAUUUUAUCUCACAUUCCUUGUGUCCAAACAUCAGGAAAGGAAGCUAAACAAUGGUGAGAUCGAAUAUACAAACUCAAUAUAGAAAGCAUCAUUAAUUUUAAUCAGAAAAUAUCCAACUGAUGAUAGGAAAUUUCUGCAAGUCCAUUUAUUUCUACCAAUUAGUGCGAUGUGCAAGAUAAAUCAGCUAAAACUCAGUCAGGGGCCUCCUUGACCAGCUUUCCAGCAAGCGCUGCAUAUUCCCAUCCUGCACGCACGGCUGGGCGGGGCAGUGCUCGGUCACAGGCACACAUAGGGCAGCGGCGCUCGCGCUGCACUGCCUAAUUUCCUCCAUGAACAAUGUCCAAAAAGAUUAAAUCUCCUCUCCUAUGAUCGCAGAAAAAUACCAGCAAGUUCAUCUUCAUAUAGGCGAGAGGAAGAUAAAAAUAUCUGUCGUAAAGUACAAUUGAAUGUGCAAUGUAGCUUACGACAGGACUUGUAUUGUUCUUAUGUUCAGUUUCAGCAUAUCCAGACCAUAUAUCCUAUAGCGUCUGACCAUGAUUGUGAGAAAUAAAAAAAACCUGAAUAAAGAGACCAUCUGGUCAAGCAUAACAAACUCCUUAAAAGUUGGAACUAUGAUAAAGCUCUUAAUUAGUAGGCCGUCCAAAUUGCCGUAAACAUAUGUACAACACACAACUCAUUGAAUACACUAUUGUGAUAGACAAUCUAAUAAAACCUAUUUCUCCCCUUGCUGCUGCCAUACUACCACCACCUACAUAGACAUGGCCAAGGUCCCAGUUGUCAGAGUUAAUGCAGUAUAGACGAGGCUAGGGAAAGAAAAAGUGAACCACCAUGGGGAAGGACACAUUCUACGGUACUAACUUUUUUUUCGUUCCAAAUAGUGUGUCAGUUCACAUGGAGUCAAGCUUAUAUGUGCUAACUUCCAAUCGAUAAACAAAACAAAUAUCCUUUUUUUUAACCGGGCAUAACCCCUUUCCAUUACUGCGACAUAAUGAAAAAAACAGGUAUCCUUAAACAGUUAAGUAAUCAUUAGUACAAAUGCCCGUGCGUUGUAACGGGCUAAAAAUUCGUAAAACAUGCUCUGUGUGACAGUAGCGCCAUUUCUUAGAUCCAGUUUUGAUAAACAUCAAUAUUAGUUUAUAAUGUUAUCUCUUUCCGGAGUAUGACGCAUGGACUUAAAUAAGUCAUCCUAACAUCUUUCAUCAAUGAAAGAAUAGUGGUGCAUGGAAUAGUCUAGUAAUCGGUUCUAUUUUUUAUUUCUCAAAAAACACAAUUAUUUCUUUAUUCUAAAAUAAGUAAAAAAAUUGAAAUUUUUAUCUUUUUAUUAGAACUGAAACAUCUUUUGAAGAUGAUUUUUUUGACCACAUAUUUUUUAACUAUGAAAUUUGAAAAUUUUGAGGCCGAUUUUAAAUGGUUUUGUUAAAAUAAUUGGAACAUUUUUGAGAGUUUUGUUCAUUUAAAAGAAACAUGAACAUAUUUAAAAGCAUGUUCUUUUAAAUAAGAAGAUUUUGGAACACUCUUUGUCUAAAGAAACACACACACUUGGUGUCCGCAAUUAAAAAAAAUUGUUGGUGUCCAGACCAUGUAGUGUAAAGAUGAGAAAGUCGUCGGGGUGUCCUUUGAUGGCCCCUCCUUCAACUUAGCACUAUCAUGGGGCAGAAGAACGUAAGUGUUUUUAGCAGGAUAUACAGACGUUGAAAUUGUUGUAUACUGUUCGAGAGUUUAAUAACUAAUCUAAAUGUUUUUCCUAGAAUUUUCAAAAGGUUUCAAUGCAAAUGAAUUUAUUUUGGAUGAAAGAGUAGUGGUGCAUUGAAGUGGGAUUGUUUGUAUAUACAUUUUUUUGUUAAUAUUUAAAAGCAAACUGGCUUUUACUAUGUUGAUUUUUUUAAGAAAAUGUUAGUUGCUUGGUUUGCAAAAUUAUAUUGUGUUCCUUUUCUUUUGUACUACUUGAACUUGGCCCAAAGACCGAACCGCACUCACUCCGCAUCAUCACCAUAAAAAGACAAACUUUUUUGAUAAAUUUCAUGUGAAGGCCAUGUACACUAUCGAUCACGUAUAAGCUUCUUCCACAUUUUAGCAAACAAACAACAGCAGAUAAUUAUCCCCACGGCCAGUCGCUGUCUACUCGAGGCGUUCCUACCCUAGCCGCCGCCACCACCAAGCGUCUAGGGAGAAGCGAUCUAUUUCCUUUGAUCUCCACUGGCCGGGGCACUGGCCCCCUCUCCCUUCGGUCGCUGCUCCGGCGGCAGGAGGGAGGGGGCCCGUUCCUCCGCUCUGUAGUUAGGAUUUGGAUUUAUAGAUCGUGGUGCGUCGUUGGGGUGGUGGGAGCGGCGCCUGGACGAAUAAAUCUGUCUCAACUCCACUCCCACACCGGCGGUGUCUUUCAUGCCGGCUUCUCAGAGUUGAUGGCAUCGUGUAUCUGUCGAUCCCUCAGAUCGGCAGCAUUAGGGUUCAUGGAUGGUGUUGGCAAGGCGGAGGCGGCGACUCCAUUAGGUGUGUCUCUCCUUCAGCUCUGUCCCUAUUGUUGCGUUGUUGCCUCCGACAUCAUGGUGGAGCAGGGAGAUUUUGUCGUUUAGGAGUAUGCGCAGGCAGUUGUCUACGCAAGUGACAUCUGGAAGAUGGAGUAUCUUGUGUUGGGUCUGUGGUUGACGGCUGACAGUUCUGGUUUCCUCCUCCGACUUCUUCGUCAUGCGGGGGUGUCAGUUCUGAAGUUCGAUGGCAUGUCCGAGGACAUGUUGCCUCGGUCUGGUUCUUUCAACAUCUAUGGUUUUGCUUCGAACAAACUACUUUGAAGAUCCGUAAAGCUGCUGAUUAGUGAUGGAGCCGCAUCGAGCUUGGGUGAAGAGGUGAUAUGUCAUUUUUUCCUUUGGUGGCCACUUCGGUGGUGUCGAAGGAAAGGGACAGGCGCUGGUAUUCUGCAUAGGAUUAUCCAAUCUUUUCAAUUAUGUAUGGUCGGCGCUUACGUGCCUUGUAACUGUUCUAUAUUAAUGAGACACGUAUUAUCAUGCAAAAAAAUAAUAAUUAUCCCCACAUAGAACACAUACCAAUAUCCCCACCGAGUUAUCCUCCUGUGUGGCCUUCUUUUAUCCAUGCAAUGCUGCUCCUCAUCAUCGAGUAGGCCAGCACCCAACAUCCCACCCAGCAGCGCUGCUCCUCCUCUGCCCGGCCGCAGGUUCCCACCCACGGUACCGUGUGUACUCCCCCUCUUUCUCUUCCCUCUUCCACAAUUAACCAAGAAAACAGGAUCGGGCACGCGCGCGGUCACACCUCCUCAGCGUCGACGGUGCACUCCUGGAGUGCGCAGCCUUGUCGUGUCCGCCUUUGGCCUGGGCCAGGAGAAGAUGCCGGUGCCGGUGGUAUGCAACCCCCUCCUCUCCAAUCGCGGGUCCGUCGAGUGAAGCACCGGGGUGGCGGCGGUGUCCGUCGGUGCCCCUCUCCUCUGACGCUCGGCCUUGUCAUCUCAAUUUUGCUUGGCCCUAGCUCACGAGGCUCUGCAGUGUGAUCACGCUGGCUUCGUUAUGUUCCAUUUUCUUCAUCCUUCUAAUUCCAUUCCGUUCCCUUUCCUGGGUUGAUUUCCCAGGCCGGCGGCGGUUGCCGAUUGUCCUUAUCUGAUUUUCCAUAUUUGGUUUGGGCCACACACGCAUGGAUGUUGGCUGCCCGAUUGUGCACUUAUCUGAUUCUUCCUUCAAACGUACUCGCUCUUCCCUCUCUUGCGGAUUAAUUCCUUCAUUCUUUUCCCCUCAGAGGCUAGUUGAUUUCUGAUGCGGCAAAGUUACUCGCGUAUAUAAAUGGAUUGAGUUGGUUGAAAAGGAGCGAGGUGGAACUAUUUAUGAGUUCUAAAGUUUUUUUCGCUGUGCCCUCGUCUUCGCUUCUUCGACUUUCAAGCAUGUUCAUCGGCAUUGUAAUGUUGUGGCUCAUGUUUUAGCCAAGUCUUGUAAAAACUCUAGUCUGUUUUCUUUUUGUCUGUCUGCGUGUAUCCCGGACACUUUGUAUGAUUACUUGAUUAAUAAAAUGCCGACGUUCUCUCAAAAAAAGUUUUUUUUGCUGCUCCUCUGCUCAUCUUUUUAGUAAAAUGUGGGCCAUGUCAGUUCGGCCAACGCGUGUGACGAUGAAACUUAUGGCUUGGUCCAGUCGAGCGACGGACGAGACUCGACCCACCGCCAUUUAAGCCAUUUAGUCUCCUUGUCGAGAGGUCAUGAAUGCCAUUCGGACACUAUUGAACUUUAGUCACAUCGGCAUUGUAAUUAUAUGGAUGAUGGGUACCAAGGUAACAAAAGGUACACCAUCAAAAAUUUUACCUUUUUACGUUAAUGAGUUGGGAUAAUGAGAUUCAAAAGAUGCACCCCGGCCGCAUCACAUCAGGACGUGCGAUUAGGGCUGGACUAACGAGCAGCUCGGCUCGUUAAGCUCGUGCUCGUUAAGGCUCGGCUCGUUAAGCUCGUUAAUAUUAAUGAGCAGAAAACCCUGCUCGGCUCGGCUCGUUUGAAGCUCGUUAAGCUCGUGAGCGCUCGCGAGCGCUCGUUAACAGAUUAUAAUGUGUUACGAUAUACAUGAUGAAUGUGUAGGUUUGGUUUUCAAGAUGAAAUAUGGUGACUACAAAAAUAAAUAAAGUAGUUUGUUGCCUCAUACGUCGAUUAGAUUAAAUAGAUGGGCUGAGGUGCUACAAAAAGUUUGUCACAUAAUAUGAAAAUAUGUGUUGUAUUAUUACUAACGAGCUUAACGAGCUACUCGUGAAACUCGUUAGCUCGCUCGUUAAGCUCGUUAAGCUUAACGAGCUAAAAUCAAUGAUUAGCUCUGUUCAUUAAGAAGCGAGCUACGAGCUUAACAAGCCGAACUAUCGAGCGCUUGUUAAGCUCGCGAGCUACGAGCUUUUGAUCCAACCCUACGUGCGAUAGGCAAGUACGGCCCCGUUGGGCGAUAAAGACAAAUGUAUGUGUCGUAGCCGAUGAAAUAGCUGGAGGCACAAUAAAAUUGUAGACCGAACACUCGUAUUUUUAAGCUAGCAAAGCUACCGAUUCAGGCGGUUGGAUGAUCACACGUUACACAUCCAUAUCCGUGUAGUAUAGCCAAAAAUAUGUCUAACUGGAUGAUCACAUGUUACACAUCCAUGUCCGUGUAGCAAAACAAUGAAUCUCAAUAAGUCCCGUCUCAUUAUGAACCAAAAGGGGCUGGUAUUUUUCCAAGAAAUCUCUAGCCAACUUCUCACAAGAGGUUUUUCUUAACACCAAUGAAUUCUAGAGGAAAACGAUAGCCAUUUCUCAGGAGAAACCCCUUCCUUCUCGUGCAAUUAGCAGCAUCGACUCCUUUCUUCUUUUAUAUUUUUCUCAUGCCCCUUUAUUUUCGUGUAUCGUGCAGCCACAACGCCAAUCCACAUCUCAUCCUUCAUUAGUUAAUCCUCCAGGCUCCUUGUUGAUUGUCAUACAACUCAUAGUCCUAUAUAAAUCGGUGGAAUUAAAUUGAAAAAGGCGAGGUGGGACUAAUUAGCUGGCAACAAAUAGGCCUGUUUGGUUGGCUGCGUCCUUGGAGUGGCCCAGCUCGGCCCAUGUGUUGGAGAGAUUAAACUAAGUUUCAGGUAAUUAACAUGAUAAGCAAGCUAGCUGAAUUGGCUAGGGGCGCUAGGAUCGAUCGACCCUGGUUCAAAUCUUGCCGGACGCAGUUUUCCGCAUUUUUUCCUUUUUCCGUUAAAGCGUAUUGUGACGAUGAACCCAGAAACUCAAUCCGUGUUUCAUUAUUACUAGUACAAAUGCCCGUGCGUUGCACCGGGCAAAAAAAGGGCACAAUCUGCUUCAUGUGCCAUUAUGCAUCAUUUUUAUGUCCAAUUUAAAUAAACAUCGAUAAUUAGGUUAAUUUUGGUAAUUUUCUUAUUUUUAAUAGAAGUUAAUUCAUAUUUUCGUAAAAAUUGGAACACUAUUUGUCUUGUCCCAAACAAACACUUGCAGCAUUAGUUUACAAAGAACAUCUGGAUCAUUAGUAUCAGAAGACUAACCUCAACAUAUACACAUGCUCUUCCUAUGCCAUCACUCUAGAGAAAUUGUACAACCAGAAGGGGAUAAACCAUGCUGCUAGCUGUUAUAGUUGGACAUACAAGUCAUUGUACUCUAGAAGCUAAAUAGCAGAGGUAAUGCUCCAUCAACAAAAUUCCAGUGUCACAGUCUCACAGAUGAUCAUUGAUGUGUUCUUGCACAUCCGGCUGCAGUGAGAUCUGGGACCAUCUUUUCUGGUCCUGCCAUUUCAGUUUCUCGUGUUGGUGAUCCAUUGAAAUCCCCCGGGCACUGGCUUUGACCCCGACCUGCUUAUCUGGGAUGCCAAGAACAUUUUCUGCAAACCCUUCUCUAUGGAGGACUUCAUUGCAGCUGGCUGGAAUAGUUGAAAGCAAAGGAAUGUGAGGGACGGCCACAUUAAAGAAUUCAUGUGAACAUAUCAGACAUGGUUGCUUGAUAGAACAUUCUUCUGAACGAAGCAAGUUGUACAAAGACUACAAACAAAGUACCCCAUCCGUUUCUAAAUAAAGUCUUAGAUGAUUUUUCAAUAUGGACUACAAACGGUGGAAAUUGGUGAAUCUCACUUUAAAAUCCAUCUAUAUACAUGCUUAUCCAUGUGAUAUUAUGCACUAUAGUUUAACAUUUGUAAUAAAGUUGCAUUAAUUAUUAUUUUCAGAGUCUAAAGUUUGCACGUUAAAAAGCCCUCUUAGCGUUCUUUAUCUGAUGGAAGAUUAGUUUGGAAUAGUUUGUGAAUCAAUUUUUAUUUUUUACUUUUUUCUGAAAAACAUGAAUAUUUCUUUGUUUUUAAAAGUGAAUGUUUUAUUAAAACUUGAUUUUUUUAGGGAGAACAUUAUUUGAAUGUUUUUUAAAUAUUGUGAAUACUUUUUAUUUUGGUUUUGAAGGAAAAUUUGACCAGUUUUUAGAAAGUGUGAAUAAAUAUAUAACUAUGUACAUUUUUUUAACUAUUUUUACUAUGUUGAUUUUUAUCAAUAGAGUUUGUUGCUUGGUUGGGAAGAUUCUUUUUAUUUUUUUCAUCAUUUAGGCUUAGCCAAUAAAAAGCACUUCACGUACACAGUUCACUUAUAGAUAUAAAAAAAGACACCCAAACUCAUCUCCCUUUCCCCGUUUUCCAUUCUCAAGAGUCCCCCUGCCAGAGACCAAUUCUCUAGAUUUCUUUCCGUAAUUGCUAUUAUAUUGGCACACCCUAUACUAAUAAGCACCCCCACCAAUUUACCUUGAAGCAAUUGUAGGUCCCCUGCAAUGUCUGCAGCUUGGAAGAUGGCAUGAACCACUGGAUCUCUGCUAGAAGCGUCGGAAACAUGUCAUGAGCCACCGGCGAAGGCUUCUUUAGCGUGGAGUUCGCUCCCGAUGAUCCUGAAACCCAAAAUUUCAACAAAUAAUAACAUGAGAUCCAGGCACAUCUCGGAACAAUUACAACACCAAUUCAGACGCAGCACUCACUAACCUUGCAUCUGAUGGAGGUUGGGACACUUGAAGCUGACGACGUACUCUGGGAGGAUCCUCAUGUUCAUGUCCUUGCACCAAACAACAUACCACUGUGGGUUCUGCAUGUUGUCGAUGGCACUGUCGUAAUUGUCACUGCUGGGGUGGAGCUUGGAGGACCCGGCCGGGAUGGCCUCUGGCCGGCCCAACAGAACACGGCACAGCAUGAUAUGCGCCUCGCCGUUCUCAUCUUCAUUUGCUAGCAUUGCGCUGCAUAAAAAUGAUUUCAUACUCGUAAGUUCCUUUAUGCACUGCUUCACAGAACAUUCAGAACAUAUUUCAUCACCCGGACUCUAGGUAGCAGAAAACAUGAUUUAGUUUUGCUCGUAUUCCUCCCUUCCACAAACCAUUACCCAAUCAAAUUACUGCAUUCAUAGAUAAACUAAUACUGUCGUUCAUGCAAACUUGUUUCCCCAUAAUUUUUGAGCUAGGAGUAUGAAUCAAGAUAUAGAAACCAAAGGCUAAAAUAACAUGGAAUCAAUUAUAUUAUGGGACGGAGGGAUAAUAUGAAUGCAAGGAACAGAUCCUGAAUUGGUAACUGUGUCUGAUAAAUUAUCCUACAGCUAUAUGCCUAUAUUCAUGCUUGCCAUCGAUCAAAACCACAAAUUCAGAACUCUGACCUGACCUGGCAUAAGGAGACCGAGGCGGCGAGAGGUGGACGUCGUCGCCGUGCGCGCGAUGGAAAAGGACCCGGUUGUUCAUCCUGCCGAACCAGUGCUCCACCGCCGCCGCGGCCACAUCCACCGAUGGAGCGCCAUACCACGCGAACUUGGCAUUGCCCCCGUCGGCGCCGCGCGCAGCGGCUAGGAGCUGGCCCUGCAUCUUGUCGCUGCUCUCGUUGGACCUCUCAUCCACCCCGGACGAGGCCCCGUACUCCAGCUCAGGCUCGCCUCUCUUCCUCUUCAUCCCGCUCUCUGGAACAGGGAAGAAGCAGAUUUUCAAAAAUGAAAUCUAUUGUUAUAGCCCUCAAAAAGCAAAAAUAAGCAAAUUAAUUUUUUGAGCACAAACACACCGAGAUAAGAUAAGCAUGCCUUAUUUUUCUGAAUACAAACACAAUGACAUAAGAGAAUCUAAAUGAGGCAUCAUAAAUUAAUUUUCUGAAUACAAACACCCUGACAUAAGAGAAUUCAAAUGAGGCAUCAUGCCAUCAGGAGCCGAGCGAUGGAAACUUUCUGGUUAGGAUUAGAAACAUGGUUGAUUCUGAGAAAAAAAUGUAGGAGAUGACACCUCCCUUUGAAGAGAAAAAAUGUGAGAGAUGAUGAUUCCUGAUCUCACUGAGUUUGUGCAAGCUGUACAAAAAAAUUUCACAUAAAACUUGUAAUCAAGUAGUUGCAACCUUCAAUGUUUGGCCGGCAGCUAGAAUUUUAAAUGAGAAGACAAUGAUCUUUUUUGAUUAUUUGUCACAGUACUGCAGCUAAUCACCCUAGAAGGUCUUUCUGUAGUAGGUUAAAGAAAAUUCAGGUUGACGCUGAAACAUCCACAAUAAGAACCUCGCUUUCAGAAUAUGCUUUUAGACAAAGAGCACAAGACCAGCUUGCCAAUGUUGAAUUUGUCAAUUUCCUAGCUUAUAGCAGCACGAACUUCAUCAGAUUAAAGUAAAACAGCUUCGGCUUCUACCUGUUUGAUCAAACAGAGUAAAUCAUGUCACUAUCCGGACCAGAUUUCAUGACUUCGCAUGAACCGCAAAUCACAUGGUAGAUCAGACAAUCACCUAGCAUGUUGUAGGCAUAAUAAGAAAAUAUGCUCAAGGGAUUAAAUCAAAUGAGAGAAUGGAAGAGGCAAAUCAGGAGAGAGAGGGGGAGAUAGCAGUACCGAAUGCAUGGAUGUAGCCUUGCCAUGGCAGCCUACACAUCAGGCCUGCUGCACGGGGAGUGCUUGAGAGUGGCAGGAGAUUAGGCUGGAUUGAGGACUCCACCAUGUAGCUGCUCUCGUCGGACCUCUCAUCCACCUCGGACGACGCCCCGUCCCCCAGCUCAUGCUCGCCCCUCUUCCUCUUCCUCCCGCUUUCUGGCACAGGGAAGAAGCAGGCCCCGCGGUCAAUCCAGCCCAUGGCGACCACCUCGGCGGUGCCAGCGUCGAUGCGCACCAUCCACAGGAAGUCGAACAGGAACUCCCUGCCGCCAUACGUGGCCUCUGCGACGACCCUCCCGUCCAGGAAAGCCCGGCGUAGAGGCACAGCCGCCUCGCCCUCGACAUCAGCCCACGUGCCGCCCUCGAAGCAGAGGAACCUGACCAGAGCGCCGCUCCGCCGUUCUGGCAGCCCCGGAGGAGCGGGGGCGGACCGGCGCCCCCGAUGCCGCCGAAAGCCACGGCGGGCCGCGGGCGUGAGAUGCGGCGGAUCCUGCCGGUCUCGUCCGGAUUCGACGGUGGAAAGAGGACAGGCACCGGGGAGAGGGGGACGGGGACGGGGACGGUGGAAAGAGGACGGGCACCUGGCUCUGAUACCAACUUGUAACACCCACGAUGCGGCUAUAUCUCUCACGUGUCGAAGCACGACUUAGAGGCAUAACCGCAUGGUGGUUUUGUCGCAAGAAGGGUCAUCUUCACACAAUCCCAUGUAAUGAAUAAGAAUGGGAUAAAGAGUUGGCUUACAAUCGCCACUUCACACAAUGAACAUAUAAUUCAUACAUCAUUCAGAGUACACACAUAAUCCGACUAUGGACGAAGCCAAAAGAAAAGAAGAUAACCCAACUGCUAGAUCCCCGAUCGUCCCAACUGGGCUCCACUACUGAUCAACAUGAAACGAAACAUAGCAACGACCAAGGUCUUCUUUGAGCUCCCAUCUGAGCUCGGUUGCAUCAUCUGCACUGGUUUCAUCGGCAUCUGCAACUGUUGUGAUAGUAUCUGGUGAGUCACGAAGACUCAGCAAUCCAAAACCCGCGAGAUCAAGACUAUUUAAGCUUAUGGGAAAGGAAGGGGUAAAGUGGUGAGGUUGCAGCAGCGACUAGCAUAUAUGGUGGCUAACAUACGCAAAUAAGAGCGAGAAGAGAAGCAAUGGAACGGUCGUGAACUAGCAAUGAUCAAGAAGUGAUGCUAAACUCCUACUUACGUCAAACAUAACCCAAAACCGUGUUCACUUCCCGGACUCCGCCGAGAAGAGACCAUCACGGCUACUCACGCUGUUGAUGCGUUUUGAUUCGUAUCUGGUGUCAAGUUAUCUACAACCGGACAUUAACAAAUUCCCAUCUACAUAUAACCGCAUGCACGGCUUUUGAAAGAUUAUACCCUGCAGGGGUGUCCCAACUUAGCCCAUGAUAAGCUCUCACGAUCAACGAAGGAAUAGACCUUCUCCCAGGAAGACCCGAUCAGACUCGGAAUCCCGGUUUACAAGACAUUUCGACAAUGGUAAAACAAGACCAGCAAAGCCUCCCACUGUGCCGACAAAUCCCGAUAGGAGCUGCACAUAUCUCGUUCUCAGGGCACACCGGAUUGUCCAAACUUCCGGUAGGCCNNNNNNNNNNNNNNNNNNNNNNNNNNNNNNNNNNNNNNNNNNNNNNNNNNNNNNNNNNNNNNNNNNNNNNNNNNNNNNNNNNNNNNNNNNNNNNNNNNNNNNNNNNNNNNNNNNNNNNNNNNNNNNNNNNNNNNNNNNNNNNNNNNNNNNNNNNNNNNNNNNNNNNNNNNNNNNNNNNNNNNNNNNNNNNNNNNNNNNNNNNNNNNNNNNNNNNNNNNNNNNNNNNNNNNNNNNNNNNNNNNNNNNNNNNNNNNNNNNNNNNNNNNNNNNNNNNNNNNNNNNNNNNNNNNNNNNNNNNNNNNNNNNNNNNNNNNNNNNNNNNNNNNNNNNNNNNNNNGGGGGGUAAAAUAAAGAUGACCCUUGAGUCUGCAGAACCCAAGGGAAAAAGGCUUAGGUAGGCAAAUGGUAAAACCAAGGUUGGGCCUUGCUGGAGGAGUUUUAUUCAAAGCAAACUGUCAAGGGGGUCCCAUAAAUCACCCAACCGCGUAAGGAACGCAAAAUCCGGGAACAUAACACCGGUAUGACGGAAACUAGGGCGGCAAGAGUGGAACAAAACACCAGGCAUAAGGCCGAAUCUUCCAUCCUUUACCAAGUAUAUAGAUGCAUUAAUUAAAUAAGAGAUAUUGUGAUAUCCCAACAUAAUCCUGUCCAUCAUGGAGCAAUCUUCAACUUCACCUGCAACUAGCAACGCUAUAAGAGGGCUGAGCAAAGCGGUAACAUAGACAAGAAAUGGUUUGCUAGGAAUGGUGAAAAGGUUAGAGGCUGACAUGGCAGGGAGGCAUGGUAAACAAGUGAUAGGUAGCGCAGCACAACGAUAGAACGAAGCAACUAGCAAGCAAAGAUAGAAGUGAUAUCAAGGGUAAUGGUCAUCUUGCCUGAAAUCCCGAUAGGAAGAAGAACGAGUCCAUGAAGAAGACAAACGAACGUAGUCGAACGAAUCCUCACAACUCCGGAACGAAACCGAAGCUAACGAAAGAAGCAAACCGGAAAGAAGCAAACAACAUGGUAAACACACACGCAUAAACAUGGCAUGAUGCACAAACAAGUAUGAUGCAUGUCCGGUUUAAUGAGGCAUGGCAUGGCAAAGUGCAACAAACAAUACUACAAGUUAAGUGGAGCUCAAUAUGCAACGAGUUGCAUAUUGACGAAACACCACAUCAAUUAUUUAGUUCUCUCUCGUUUAUGCUAACAAACAAUAUUUAAUGUUGUUAAACAUGGCAAGAGGUGAAACAUAAUUAAACUAACUAUUUAGGCAAGUUUAAAUGAGGCCGGAAACAACAAACAACAAUUCCGGUAAAUCCCCAUAUGUCAAUUAGCAAUUUUAAAGCAAACAACAAUUUUAACUAUUUUAAAUGUUGUUAUCAUGAUGCGGAUGACAUAUGCAAGUUUUCUGCAAUUUUAUGAAAAUGUUAACAUGAGCAUGUUAUGAAGCAUUUGGUCACCAUGGCGGAACGAAAAGGGUGCCACGGCAACGAUAACGAAAAUGGUGCCACGGCAACAUAUCCGAAAAUGAUGCCACGGCAACAUAUUGGUCCCGAUAACUCGAGUGAGAUACCGAUGCAAACGAGAAGUGUGACGUGAGCGAUUCAUGCAAGAUGGUGGGGUGAUCCCGGCUACCGGGUUCCCUCGGGUUAGUGGCAUGGCAAAGAGUGACAAUUCGGACGCGGUGCACACACAAGCAUCUCAUACAACACAUAUUCAUUCGGUCCACAGUUGAUCGUCCCGGGGCUUAUACCUUCGAAGCGUGUGUUUUCGGAGCGGUUCAAAAACGUCGAGGGAAGUAGUCGUUCACGGGUCGUAGGGGAAGUAGUCGUUCACGUUCGUCUCGGAGAGGUACUUGACGAAUCCAACAUCUUCGGGGCGACGGUAGUGGUUCACGGACGUCGUGGGAAGUAGUGGAAGUAGUUGUACACGGCGACGAUAGUUGUACACACGUUGUAGUCGAACUUGACGGUCUCGGUCCUGGCGAUCCAAAGGGCACUUGGCGGUCUUGAUCGAACCGUAGUGGUACUGGGCGAGAUACACAGCCACGGUAGUCUUCGGCCUUGAUUUUCCUGUACAUGACUCCACGGGUCCUGAGGGGACUCGGCGAUGGCCAUGGCAAAGAGGCGGCGAGGCGUUGGACGGACUAACAGGCAGAUGUGGUCGUGGUAGUACUAGCUCAUGGGGAUGGCGGUCUUGGGCGGAAAACCUGCCGUAUUGGUGCAGCAGCGGCUGCUGGAGAGGCCAUGGCUGCAAGGGUGGCGAGCUCGAGCAAAUCCAACGAGGACGGCCGGGAUGGCUGGUGUUGCGAGGGAGCAGAGGUCGGGCGGUCGUGGCAGACGGCGGAGAGCACCUCAGCCACGGGGAAGGUGGACGGCAGGCUUCGGAGCAAGGGGAGGCAGAUGCGGGCGAGCGGAGCACGGCGGGGACGCGUGGAUGAUAAUGGAGAUAGACUUUUUUAGUUCGCACUCGUGUUCGUGUUGGAGACGGACUGCUCCUUCGUGUGCGAGACGGACGACGACGUGUUUUUUUCCUCUUCCCGGUUGAUGAUGCCAAUAUGGAGUGCGGGUUGAUUUCAUAAAAGACGAGGGACUUGUUUGCAAAAACGCCGCGACGGUGAACCCGGAGACCCAAUCCGUGCUUUAUUAUUAGGGAGAGAUUAGGGAAAGAUAUAUAUAUAUAUAUAUUUCUAUCAUAGCUUACUAUGGAAAUAGCUAUCAGAACCGUCGGACUCUGCCUCAAGAUUCGAACCGAAGUGUUCCAGUUCCUUUUCUUGUUCUUUUGUUGAUUUUUGGAUGGUGUAACCCACAAAUAGAAACUCAAACGACAUCCACCCUGCUAGCCCAGGCUGCCGACCUGGAACCUAUCCCCUGAUCGAAGAAGCAGAAGAAGAACUCAUGCAAGCAAGCAUCGCUCUCGCAUCAUGAUCAUCGCAAAACCUGUACCUGCAACUGUUGUUGUAGUAAUCUGUGAGCCACGAGGACUCAGCAAUCCCAUUACAAUGGGUAUCAAGACUAGCAAAGCUUAAAGGGAAAGGAAGGGGUAAAGUGGUGAGGCUGCAGCAGCGACUAAGCAUAUAUGGUGGCUAACAUACGCAAAUAAGAGCGAGAAGAGAGCAAGCAGAACGGUCGUGAAGCUAGCAAUGAUCAAGAAGUGAUCCUGAACUCCUACUUACGUCAAACAUAACCCAGAAACCGUGUUCACUUCCCGGACUCCGCCGAGAAGAGACCAUCACGGCUACACAAGCGGUUGAUGCGUUUUAAUUCGGAUCUGGUGUCAAGUUAUCUACAACCGGACAUUAACAAAUUCCCAUCUGCCUAUAACCGCAGGCACGGCUUUCGAAAGAUUAUACCCUGCAGGGGUGUCCCAACUUAGCGCAUGACAAGCUCUCGCGAUCAACGAAGGAAUAGACCUUUUUCCAGGAAGACCCGAUCAGACUCGGAAUCCCGGUUUACAAGACAUUUCGACAAUGGUAAAACAAGACCAGCAAGACCGCCCGAUGCGCCGACAAUCCAGAUAGGAGCUGCACAUAUCUCGUUCUCAGGGCAACACCGGAUGAGCAAUCCGUACAACUAAAACCAGACCUCAAGUUUCCCUUAGGGGGCGCUGCAAAGGGCUCUAGUUCGGACCAACACUUAGACAAGCACUGGCCCCCCGGGGGGGGGGCUAAAAUAAAGAUGACCCUCGGGAUGCGCGACUCCCAAGGGAAAAAGGGGUAGGUGAGGCAAAUGGUAAAACCAAGGUUGGGCCUUGCUGGAGUAGUUUUAUUCAAAGCGAACUGUCAAGGGGGGUCCCAUAAAUCACCCGACCGCGUAAGGAACGCAAAAUCCGGGAACAUAACACCGGUAUGAAGGAAACUAGGGCGGCAAGAGUGGAACAAAACACCAGGCAAAAGGCCGAGACUUCCACCCUUUACCAAGUAUAUAGAUGCAUUAAUAAUAUAAGAGAUAUUGUGAUAUCCCAACCAAAAUCCUGUCCACCAUGGAGAAAUCUUCAACUUCACCUGCAACUAGCAAUGCUAUAAGAGGGGCUGAGCAAAAGCGGUAACUUAGCCAAACAACGGUUUGCAUAGGAAAGGUGUCAAAGUUUAGAGGUUCAUGGCAAUAAGGGAUGGCUGGAUAAACAGGUGAUAGGUAGCGCAGCAUAGCGAUAGAACGAAACAACUAGCAUAGCAAUGAUAGUAGUGAGAUCCAGGGUAGCGGUCAUCUUGCCUGAAAUCCUGCUAGGAAGAAUAACGAGUCCAUGAAGAAGACGAACGGAUGAAGCCGAACCAAGCGUAGACGAACGAAUCCUCACGAUCGCAACGAAAUAAGAACUAUCGAAAAGAAGCACACAACAUAGUAAACACACCACACAUGAACAUGACAUGAUGCACAACAAGCAUGAUGCAUGACAAAGCUACAUGAAGCUACGCAUGGCAAGAGAUGAUGCAAACAAGAACAACACAACAAGGCAAGUUUAAAUGAGGCCGGGAACAACAUAUAACAAUUCCGGUAAGUCCUCAUAUGCAUAUUUCGAAAUUGGUCCAGAUCUGAAUAAACCUUAUGUUCAAGUUGUUAAACAGCAAGUUAAGAUGCAACAAGAUGAUCUACAGGAGAUUCUAGUCAAGUUACAUAUAAAGUUCAUUUAGUUCGGAGCUACGGCCUAGGAGAUAUGAGCAAAACAAGUUAAACAUGGCAUUGAUGCAAAAUUAAUGCACCCAAACAUCAAGCAAACACACUAAAACAAGGAUGCAACAUGAUAAUAUGAAACUACAUGCAAAAUCAAGCAAGUUUCAUAUAGAGCACACUCAAAACGGAGCAACGGUUCAACACACUCACACUAAACAAGUCAUAGCAACAAUCUGUCCAAAACAGCAACUAGGCAUAUUGCAAGCAUCAAAACAACAUGCUACAGGACCUCAACAAGAAAACAAAAGGAAUGGGCAUGAUGUACAGGUAAAGCAUUACAAAACAUGAACACUGAGCUAUCUCCAGAAAUCACUAGAACAUGCUCAAACACACAUGUUAAGAUUGCAAAUUAUAACAAUUUCAGACUUUGCAGAAAAUAACAUCACGAUGCAAUGUUUAGAGCUAUCAAACAACAUGUUACAGGAACUUAUCAUGGCAAACAAAGGCAUGGCAUGAAUCUACUAAUUGCAUAGAUCAAAAGUCCCUUAGUGACCAUAAGCCAAAAAGGACCAGAAAAUAUAAUGGCACCCACGUAAAUAUGGCAAGUUAUUAUACAGAUUCAAACAUGGCAGAAACAGAAUUAUGAAGGCGUGUAGAUGAGCUUGUGCAACUCACUAUAGAUCAUUACAUGGCAUGGCAAGGCACCCAACAGUAAUAAGGCAUGUUUGUGAAGCUAAGCAUGGCAAUAGCAAGGUCAUAGGGUUCAUGGAACACUAGCAAAACACAUGGAAACAAGUGAACUUAAUGUUAACAGGCUGACAGCAACAUUAUGAAGCAACUUUGGAGCAAGAUAUGAACAAGCUACAGCAAGCUAUAAAUGCAACCAGGGCAUGGAUGGAUAUAGCAUGACAUGUAGAACAAAACACAUUUGUAGAAUAUCUCCAGAUUAUGCAUAGAAUGAUUUGUAGAAGCAUGUUUAUAUAGCAUCACGAAAUAACAGAUUCAGCCUAGCAAAACAGCAACAUCAUGUACCCUACUUAACAAGCUCGGUUCACUCACCACAAGUCAUUGCAUGACAAGAUAAGCAUAGCAUCAUCAAGAAGACAUGUUUGUGAAACAAACCAAGUCAAGAACAAGUCCAUAGCAUGCAAGGAUCAACUACACAACCUUGGCUAAAUUGAAUGACAAGUAAACAAUCUGCCAGGAAACAUUUUGAAGCAAAAGUAGAGCACUCAAAUGACAUGCUAGACUACUCCAUAAUUGCAACCAAGGGCAUGAAUGGAUAGACAAUAACCAUAUGUUCAAAACAUUCUUACUGAAGUAUCUCAAAAUAUGCAUGGAUCUCUCUGUAGCAUCAAGUUUACAUGGCAUCAAAAUAACAGCAGAACAGGGACUAAAAUCAGUAACAUCACGAUGCCUAGCUUGCAUGCUUGUGCUAGUCACCACAUUGAUCACAAAAGUACAUGGUAAGCACCUCUGUAAAGAAGACAUGGCAUAGAUCAAAACACAUGUAGACAUCAACCUCAUAGGACGCACACAUCAAUCAUGGCAAAAAUGACAAAAGAGCUCGUUCUGAUAACAGACAGCAGAAAACAUUAUGAAGCACUCUUACAACGAUGAUUCAGGCAUCAAGAUGACCUCAAAUGAAUAUGAUGCAAUGUAAUGAAAUGAUUUACUCAUCGAGACGAACAAUUUGACAUAUUACACGCACGAAAUGGAGCUACGGAUGCAGAGAUACACCAGGUCAAACAUGGCAUGAAAAUUACACAGAUUCGGGGACUUGGGCAAAAUUAUACCUCGCGAAAAGUCAACCCGGGACGAGGACAUUCUAGGACGAAGGGAUCCAGGACGGGGGCGCCGUUUGGUUGGUGGGCCUGGUGGAUCUCAUCCACUCGUGGCGGAUCUGGCCGGAGGAGAGCUCCGGCGAGCUCUCCGGCGAGGCACGGUCGACGAGGGGCGCGGGGCCGGCGAGGUGGGACGGCGGGGAUCCGCGGCGGAGGCGCGCAGGGGCUCGGGAUCCGGAGGGGCGAGGUCGGCGGGGGAGCUCGGGUCCCGGCGAGGCUCCGAGGCUCGCGGCGGCACGAGGCGCGCCGGUCGGAGGAGCUUCUCCGGCGACGGGCGAAGACGUCGGCCGGGCGGANNNNNNNNNNNNNNNNNNNNNNNNNNNNNNNNNNNNNNNNNNNNNNNNNNNNNNNNNNNNNNNNNNNNNNNNNNNNNNNNNNNNNNNNNNNNNNNNNNNNNNNNNNNNNNNNNNNNNNNNNNNNNNNNNNNNNNNNNNNNNNNNNNNNNNNNNNCGCGGUGGCUGGCGGCGGAGAGGCCACGUGGCGCCUCCUAAUUGGCUGCAAGCGGCGGCGGACGCGUCCGGCGACGAGAUGGACAUGUCCGGCGCGGCGCGGAGGGGAAAAACUAGGGUUAGGGUGGAUUUGAUCCGCGAAUUUCGGGGGGAGGGGCUUAUAUAGUUUCUGGGAGCUAGGAGAGUCCAAAUGAGGAGCGGUUGAAAUAAUUUACAAAAGACUGAAGAGGUUCCGCACGAAUGAGAUAGAUGGUCGAGAGAGAGUCAGACUCCGGGAAGAAAAGGGUGGGAGGGCAGGAAAACAAAGGCAACUUGGAAGGGGGAACGACGAAUAUCUUGAAGAGAAAACUCCGGUUGAAAUCAUUGCGGAAAGAAAGCAAAGACUUCGCACGAGUAGGAUGGAUACUCGAUUACGGACUCCGGCUUCGAGAAGAAAAGGGGAGGGCGGGUGGGAAAAGAAAACAACUGAGGAUUGAACUUGCAAAGAUGAAGAGGGUCAAGUCAACUUGACGAGAAAUGCACCGGAUGAAAAGAGCUGAGGAACAANNNNNNNNNNUGAGAUAGAUGGUCGAGAGAGGGAAACCAAACGGUGGGAGGGCAGGAAACCAAAGGCAACUUGGAAGGGGGAACGACGAAUAUCUUGAAGAGAAAACUCCGGUUGAAAUCAUUGCGGAAAGAAAGCAAAGACUUCGCACGAGUAGGAUGGAUAGUCGAUUACGGACUCCGGCUUCGAGAAGAAAAGGGGAGGGCGGGUGGGAAAAGAAAACAACUGAGGAUUGAACUUGCAAAGAUGAAGAGGGUCAAGUCAACUUGACGAGAAAUGCACUGGAUGAAAAGAGCUGAGGAACAACAAUCGGAAAACCAACUGUGUGAUCCUAAAGAAAAAUUUGAAGGGGAAGAGGAGUAAUUGAAAACACCUACGUCAAGAUUCCUCACCAGAGCGACGAAGGGGCUGAGGAGUAAAAAGAAUUCCUACUCUCUGAUAUAACUAGACUCCGAAAACAGUUUUAUUCUAGACUCAACAUCGGCCAAACUACACGAUCAAUCAAGGGGGCUCCUAGGGUCGGUCGAGGCUCUGAUACCAACUUGUCACGCCCAAUAUGCGACCCUAUCCAAAAGGAACUCGAAGGUCCCACCAAAGAUAGGCCCGCAUAUUGAAACGCUUUUGCAAGGUGGAUAUCAUUACAUCAACAUUACAUAAUAUAUGGGGAAACAGACAUAAGGCAUACAAUGCCACAUGAAUACAACAUCACAAUACAUCAAAGCAUCAUCCUACUACGGAUGAAACACAAACAGAAACUCAAACGACAUCCACCCAGCUAGCCCAGGCUGGCGACCUGGAACCUAUCCCUGAUCGAAGAAGAAGCAGAAGAAGAACUCCAAAACAAGCAACAUCGCUCUCGCGUCAUGAUCAUCGCACCACCUGUACCUGCAACUGUUGUUGUAGUAAUCUGUGAGCCACGAGGACUCAGCAAUCCCAUUACCAUGGGUAUCAAGACUAGCAAAGCUUAAAGGGAAAGGAAGGGGUAAAGUGGUGAGGCUGCAGCAGCGGCUAAGCAUGAUAUGGUGGCUAACAUACGCAAAUAAGAGCGAGAAGAGAGCAAGCAGAACGGUCGUGAAACUAGCAAUGAUCAAGAAGUGAUCCUGAACUCCUACUUACAUCAAACAUAACCCAAAAACCGUGUUCACUUCCCGGACUCCGCCGAGAAGAGACCAUCACGGCUACACACGCGGUUGAUGCGUUUUAAUUCGGAUCUGGUGUCAAGUUAUCUACAACCGGACAUUAACAAAUUCCCAUCUGCCUAUAACCGCAGGUACGGCUUUCGAAAGAUUAUACCCUGCAGGGGUGUCCCAACUUAGCCGAUGACAAGCUCUCGCGAUCAACGAAGGAAUAGACCUUCUCCCAGGAAGACCCGAUCAGACUCGGAAUCCCGGUUUACAAGACAUUUCGACGAUGGUAAAACAAGACCAGCAAGACCGCCCGAUGCGCCGACAAUCCCGAUAGGAGCUGCACAUAUCUCGUUCUCAGGGCACACCGGAUUGUCCAAACUUCCGGUAGGCCUGCCCAGAGUUGCCCCUGGUGGCCACCGGCGGUUGACAGGUUGGACCAACACUCACGACGAGCACUGGCCCGGGGGGGGGGGAUAUAAUAAAGAUGACCCUCGAGAGCGCGACUCCCAAGGGAAAAAGGGCUAGGUGAGGCAAAUGGUAAAACCAAGGUUGGGCCUUGCUGGAGGAGUUUUAUUCAAAGCGAACUGUCAAGGGGGUCCCAUAAAUCACCCGACCUCGCCGGCGAUCCUCGAAAUCCGUGCACGAGUUGACUUUCUCACCCUCGAGGUUGAAUUUUCUGCUAAGUCCCUAUAUUUUGUUAUUUUCAUGCCAUGUUCGUCAUGCUGUAUGUCCGCAUCCGUUGCUCCGUUUCGUGCGUGUAAUAUGUCAAAUUGUUCGUCUCAACGUGUACAUCAUUUCAUUCCAUUGCAUCAUAUUCAUUUGAGGUCAUCUUGAUGCCUGAAUCAUUGUUGUAAGAGUGCUUCAUGAUGUUUUCUGCUGUCUGUUAUCAGAACGAGCUCUUUUGUCAUUUUUGCCAUGAUUGAUGUGUGCAUCUUAUGAGGUUGAUGUCUACAUGUGUUUUGAACUAUGCCAUGUGUUCUUUAUAGAGGUGAUUACCAUGUAUUUUUGUGAUCAAUAUGGUGACUAGCACAAGCAUGCAAACUAGGCAUCGUGAUGUUACUGAUUUUGGUCCCUGUUCUGCUGUUAUUUUGAUGCCAUGUAAACUUGAUGCUACAGAAAGAUCCAUGCAUAUUUUGAGACACUUCAGUAAGGGUGUUUUGAACAUGUGGUUAUUGUCUAUCCAUUCAUGCCCUUGGUUGCAAUUAUGGAGUAGUCUAGCAUGUCAUUUUCGUGCUCUACUUUUGCUUCAAAAUGUUUCCUGGCAGAUUGUUUACAUGUUAUUCAAUUUGGCCAAGGUUGCUAUAGUUGAUUCUUGCAUGCUAUGGACUUGUUCUUGACUUGGUUUGUUUCACAAACAUGUCUUCUUGAUGAUGCUAUGCUUAUCUUGUCAUGCAAUGACUUGUGGUGAGUGAAUCGAGCUUGUUAAGUAGGGUACUUGAUGUUGCUGUUUUGCUAGGCUGAAUCUGUUAUUUCGUGAUGCUAUAUAAACCUGCUGCUACUAAUCAUUCCAUGCAUAAUCUGAAGAUGUUCUAUAAACAUGUUUUGAUCUACAUGUUAUCCUAUAUCCAUCCAUGCCCCUGGUUGCAUUUAUAGCUUGCUGUAGAUUGUUAAUAUCUUGCUCCAAAGUUGCUUCAUAAUGUUGUUGUCAGCCUGUUAACAUUAAGUUCAGUUGUUGACAUGAUUGUUGCUAGUGUUCCAUACAUCCUAUGACCUUGCUGUUGCCAUGCUUAGCUUCACAAACAUGUCUUCUUACUGUUGGUUGCCUUGCCAUGCCACGUUUUGCUCUGUAGUCAGUUACACAAGCUCAUCUACAUGCCUUCAUAAUUCUGUUUCUGCCAUGUUUCAAUCUGUAAUAUAACUUGCCAUGUUUACAUGGGUGCCAUCAUAUUUUCUGAUCCUUUUUGGCUUAUGGUCAGUAAAGAACUUUUGAUCUAUGCAAUUAGUAGAUUCAUUCCAUGCCUUUGUUUGCCAUGAUAAGUUCGUGUAACAUGUUGUUUGAUAGCUCUAAACAUUGCAUCGUGAUGUUAUUUUCUGCAAAGUCUGAAAUUGUUAUAACUUGCAAUCUUACCAUAUGUGUUUGAGCAUGUUCUAGUGAUUUCUGGAGAUAGCUCAGUGUUCAUGUUUUGUUGUGCUUUACCUGUAAAUCAUGCCCAUGCAUUUUGUUUUCAUAUUGUGGUGCUGUAGCAUAUUGUUUUGAUGCUUGCAAUAUGCCUAGUUGCUGUUUUGGAUAGAUUGUUGCUUUAACUUGUAUAUGGUGUGUGUGCUGAACCGUUGCUCCGUUUUGAGUGUGCUCUAUAUGAAACUUGCUUGUUUUUGCAUAUAGUUUCAUAUUAUCAUGUUGCAUCCAUGUUUUGAGGUGUUUGCUUGAUGUUUGAGUGCAUUUUGCAUCAAUGCCAUGUUUAACUUGUUUUGCUCAUAUCUUCUAGGCCGUAGCUCCGAACUAAAUGAACUUUAUAUGUAACUUGACUAGAAUCUCGUGUAGAUCAUCUUGGUGCAUUUUAACUUGCUGUUUAACAACUUGAACAUAAGGUUUAUUCAGAUCUGGACCAACUUCGAAAUAUGCAUAUGAGGACUUAUCAGAAUUGUUAUAUGUUGUUCCCGGCCUCAUUUAAACUUGCCUUGAUGUGUUGUUCUUGUUUGCAUCAUCUCUGGCCAUGAGUAGCCUCAUCUAGAUUUGUCAUGCAUCAUGCUUGUUAUGCAUCAUGUCAUGUUCAUGUGUGGUGUGUUUACUAUGUUGUGUGCUUCUUUUCGAUAGUUCCCGUUUCGUUGCGAUCGUGAGGAUUCGUUCGUCUACGUUUGGUUCUUCUUCGUGGCUUCAUCUUCUUCAUGGACUCGUUCUUCUUCCUUGCGGGAUUUCAGGCAAGAUGACCGCUACCCUAGAUCUCACUACUAUCAUUGCUAUGCUAGUUGCUUCGUUCUAUCGCUAUGCUGUGUUACCUAUCUUCUGCUCAUCAAGCCUCCCAUAUUGCCAUGAACCUCUAACCUUUGACACCUUUCCUAUGCAAACCGUUGUUUGGCUAUGUUACCGCUUUUACCCAGCCCCUCUUAUAGCGUUGCUAGUUGCAGGUGAAGUUGAAGAUUUCUCCAUGGUGGACAGGAUUUUGGUUGGAUAUCACAAUAUCUCUUAUAUUAUUAAUGCAUCUAUAUACUUGGUAAAGGAUGGAAGACUCGGCCUUAUGCCUGGUGUUUUGUUCCACUCUUGCCACCCUAGUUUCCGUCAUACCGGUGUUAUAUUCCCGAAUUUUGCGUUCCUUACGCGGUCGGGUGAUUUAUGGGACCCCCUAGACAGUUCGCUUUGAAUAAAACUCCUCCAGCAAGGCCCAACCUUGGUUUUACCAUUUGCCUCACCACCACCUAUUUUUUCCUUGGGAGUCGCUCUCUCGAGGGUCAUCUUUAUUAUAGCCCCCCCGGGCCAGUGCUUGUCUAAGUGUUGGUCCGAACUAGAGCACUUUGCAGCGGCCCCUCAAGGAAACUUAAGGUCUGGUUUUAGUUGUACGGAUUGCUCAUCCGGUGUUGCCCUGACAACGAGAUAUGUGCAGCUCCUAUCAGGAUUGUCGGCGCAUCGGGCGGUCUUGCUGGUCUUGUUUUACCAUUGUCGAAAUGUCUUGUAAACCGGGAUUUCGAGUCUGAUCGGGUCUUAGCUUACUAUGGAAAUAGCUAUCAGAACCGUCGGACUCUGCCUCAAGAUUCGAACCGAAGUGUGGUCCGGUUCCUUUUCUUGUUCUUUUGUUGAUUUUUGGAUGGUGUAACCCGGCCCACGUGCUGACAACUUUACAGAUGGAGUAAAGACAGGGCCUGCCCCAUGUGGUUCUGGCUCGUUCUUGGACUAACUCGUCGGUCACGGACGUGUGCAAUGGAGGUUCCACGCCGUCCAUUGAACAUUUUUUUUAGCAUCAGUAGGCGCCUCGUCGUCGACGGGAACGUCUCCUCCCACUGAAAGCGCAUCGCCGGAAAUUCUGAAAUAAAUCCAGAAAUAAUGCGAGCACCAGGAUUUGAACCCUGAUGGGUUGGGGAUAUCAUUGUCCACCUAACCAACUCAACCACAGGUUGAUUCGCUCACCGUCCAUUGAACUUGCAUACCGGUUCCUGCUGCUCGUGAGCCUCGUUACGGCCAGUUCCUUCGUCGCAUGACACCUUUUUUUUCCAGUUGCCACGUCGCGUUCCUUUUCCAUGUCUUUGGCGAAUUUUGUGCUGAUAAAAGCCUGUGUUGACUCAGUACAGCACAAGUUCGGAGGUUCCACGCCCUCAUAAAAUGAAUGUGUAGGUUCUGUCGUAUAUAAUACUACCAUAGUACAUGAUUUUCCCUACAUAUACGUAGCCGGUGUGCAGGAGUGUCAGAACCUUCAAUGCAUGCACUGUAUCAGUGUCAUACACAUGCAAUAGGACAAAUUUUUUUAGCACAAAAGGAUGGAUAGUUUAAUGCAACCCCUCAUAUGGACAUACAGGCAGCUUAAUUCGUGCCGUGCUCCUACAGGUAAAUAUACUACCUGUAAUCGCAAUUGAAUAUGAAAAAAAAACAGUCGAUUCAACGUUUCAUGAAGACUCGUUUGGCACCACUCUUGGAUUUGAUGAUACUUCGUGGCAACCAACUCCCUCCUGUCGGUUCUUUUGUGAAGACUCGUUCGACACCGCCCUUGAAUUUGACGGUUCUUCGGGGUGACCAACUCCCUCCUAUCAGUUCUUUUGUGAAGACUCGUUCGGCAUCAUCCUUGAAUUUGACAUUUCUUCGAGGCGACCAACUCGCUCCUAUCGGUUCUUUCGUGAGACUCGUUCGGUACCACCCUUGGGUUUGACGGUUCUUCGUGGCGACCAACUCCCUCUUAACUGUUCUUUUCUGAAGACUUGUUCGGCACCACCAUUGGGUUUGGCGGUUCUUUGUGGCGACCAACUCCCUCUUAUCGGUUCUUUUGUGAUGACUCGUUCGGUACCACCCUCUGAUUUGACGGUUCUCCAUGGUGACCAACUCUCUCCCAUCGGUUCUUUGGUGAAGACUCGUUCGGCACCACCCUUUGAUUUGACGGUUCUUCAUGGUGAAUAACUUCCUCCUACCGGUUCUUGAUGGCGAUGUCGGCUCUUCACAAAUUCGAUUCCAGUUCCAAGUAUAGUUUUGACGGCUCUACGGAGGUGGAACCCGGUUCUUUGCAAAUUGUAUUCUGGUUCCAAGUAUAAUUUUGAUGGUACUGUGGAGGUGAGACAUCGGCCCUAGCGUAUUACCUUCUCACAAAAAAAGAACUUGUAUUACCUAGCGUAGUGGACACAAGCUAGUACAUACAGUUGUUUUAUACCUGAUGAAUAAUUAACUUAGCCAACACUAAUCAACUGUCUUGACAAGAUUACCUAACACGGUAGUCCCCCGUACAAGCCACGGGUCACAGCUAGGGAAGCAGGGAACGGAGACAGUGACCUCGAGGUACGGCAGUGCAUAUAUCGAAGCAUUGGCGCAUGCACAAGUGCACGCAUCUGCAGCAGUAGGGACAUACUCAUAUUAUAAUUUUCUGUGCAGCUCUAGCACCUAGUGCCCCAGCUCUGCACCAAGUCCUGAGGCCUGGAGUGUCAAUAGCUGCUUAGCCAAAAGAUCUCCUAAUGGAACGCAAAGUACAUUUCUGAUUUGUGCCAGCAUAUCCUUGCUUAGAAAAAAUCAUGCACCAAAAGCAGCCAGAAAAUCACACGGCAAGUAAACAAAUCAAGAGCCCUAGGGACACAAGUAAAUACAGGAACAAAAAUCAAGAGCAGAGUUAGAGAUCCACAAGUAAAUACUGGAAGAGAUUUUUUUAGUAACUCACUUAAAGUUAUUUUAAGAUUGUGGUGCGAACUAGGGUCCCAUUUUGAUUAAAAGGCCCUGUGCUUGUCACGUGGUUCAUUCCCAACGCUCGUCGGAAUGGCACUGCCUCUACGUGUUUGCGACCUCUGUUCUCCGUUUCAGUCUAAAAGGUUCCAUCAGUCUCAAAGUGUUGGUCAUAUGCGUCUCUGGUCCAUUCUCCAACCUAAACUCAUCAGAUGGACCACUGGUGGCCGUAGCCCGGGCGCAGCUUUUUCCUGUCAAACAGGCCACUAAAACUCCGAGAACUCCCUCCACAAUUUCUCCCCCUCCCGUGCUGCACGAAUCACAAAGUUUGGGGCAAUGACUUAGAUAGCUAUGUCUGGAGCAACCUAUGGUAGACAUAAUUUUGCACAUAUNNNNNNNNNNNNNNNNNNNNNNNNNNNNNNNNNNNNNNNNNNNNNNUGGAGAUGGAGUUAUGGUGGAGGGGGCAUUAAUGGGGAGAGGACGAGAGGUAGGAGAAAGAGAGAUGUGAGAGAGGCCAUUUAUGGAGAAGAGUUAUGGUGGAGGGGGACAUUAAUGAGGAGAGAAGAGAGGUAGUAGGAAGAGAGAAGAAGAGCAACAAUGGUGGAGAGUGGAGAGGGGAAAGGAGGGGGAGAGAGGGCAAAGUGGGGGAGAGGAGGGGGAGGGGGUGAAAAGGUGGCACCAGCCGCAACUAGCAGUAGCGCUGCUUACCAAAACGCGAUGCUGCUACCGUACUUAGUAGCAGUGCUUUCUUGGAGAAGCGCUACUACUAAGUGGGGCCCAUUAGCAGUAGCGGCGCAGUAAAAUAAAGCGCUACUACUAAACUGUUAGUAGUAGUGUUGGAUUCUGCACGACGCUGGUACUACAUCUAUCGUCGGUGGCCUCGUCUGGUCCCACGUAGUAGUACCGUGUUUUUGGUUUCCAGCGCUACUGCUAUAGACAGAAUAGUAGCACUUUCCUGGAUCAGCGCUACUGCUAACUAGUAGCAGCGUUGACUAUUUUCCAGCGCUACUGCUAACUAGUAGCUGCUAACUUGUAUAAGCAUUUCCCUAGUAGUGUUAAUUUUAUUGACAGAUUGCACUUCUAGUUUCUACAGCUAGUGCUAACCGAUGAUUGAAAAAUAUAUCUACCUUAACUCUAGACAACUACAUCACAUUGUCACUGCCUAGCAGUGAUGAACCCUAGCGAUACAAAUAAAAAAAUUACAAUGGCAGUGACCUACAGCAAAAGAGGGAGGGAUGAUAUGCUCACCUGGGUUGGAGCCGAGGGUUGCCUACAGUCUACUCUGUCGCCGUCAUCGUCUCCUGUGGUAGAUGGGAGUGGGAGGCUCAGAUGCAAAACACACCUCUAAAUUAAAAAAAAUUCCAAAUGGACUAGAUGAGAGUGGGAGCACAGAUGUGUACCACAAGACCGGAGAACGACGACAAUCGUUGGAAUCGGCCAAAAUCAAAGCGGCACGACCAGCGGCGAGAGAGGGAGAGAAAAGGGAACGAAACAGAGCAGUGGGUCACAGAGUGAGAGUGGGUUGAGGGGGUCGUUGCCCCCAUUGGUUUUGACCCCCACGGCAUUCUAAUACUAUUUGUGCUUGCCCAAUAAGAAAAAAGAUGACCACCUAGAAAUUGUCAUCUCAAAACUAUAUAUUUCAAGUCUUAAACUAAAAAGGAAAAAAAGUAAAUUUAACAAAAGUAAACUAUAAUAUACUGUUAAAAAGAUCACAGAAUAAAAAACUAAAAAAAUUUGGAAGUGUCAAAAUACAUAUUUGACGGCUCAAAACUAUAUAUUUCAAGUCUUAAACUAAAAAGGAAAAAAAAUUAAAGCCUCAAAGUACAUAUUAAAAAAAUGUCAUUAUUUCCAUUUAAAAUAAUAUAAAUUUAAUAAAAGUAAACUAUAAUAUACUAUAAAAAAUAUCACCACACAAAAAACUAAAAAGAAACAAAUUUUGAAGUGUCAAACUACAUAUUUGAAGGCUCAAUACUAUAUAUUUUAAGUCUUAAACUAAAAAGGAAACAAUAUUAAAGUCUCAAAAUACACAUUUUAAAAAAUGUCAUUAUGUCGAUUUAAAAUAAUAAAAUUUUAGUACAAGUAAACUAUAAUAGAAUAUAAAAAAGUUCACCACAAAAACCUAAAAAGGAAAAAAAUGGAACUGUGAAACUACAUAUUGGAAGGCUCAAAACUAUAUAUUUCNNNNNNNNNNNNNNNNNNNNNNNNNNNNNNNNNNNNNNNNNNNNNNNNNNNNNNNNNNNNNNNNNNNNNNNNNNNNNNNNNNNNNNNNNNNNNNNNNNNNNNNNNNNNNNNNNNNNNNNNNNNNNNNNNNNNNNNNNNNNNNNNNNNNNNNNNNNNNNNNNNNNNNNNNNNNNNNNNNNNNNNNNNNNNNNNNNNNNNNNNNNNNNNNNNNNNNNNNNNNNNNNNNNNNNNNNNNNNNNNNNNNNNNNNNNNNNNNNNNNNNNNNNNNNNNNNNNNNNNNNNNNNNNNNNNNNNNNNNNNNNNNNNNNNNNNNNNNNNNNNNNNNNNNNNNNNNNNNNNNNNNNNNNNNNNNNNNNNNNNNNNNNNNNNNNNNNNNNNNNNNNNNNNNNNNNNNNNNNNNNNNNNNNNNNNNNNNNAUAUCACCACAUAAAAAACUAAAAACUAAAAAUUUUUGAAGUGUGAAACUACAUAUUUGAAGGCUCAAAACUAUAUAUUUCAAGUACUAACUAAAAAGGAAAAAAGUAAACUUAAAAUCUUAAGUACAUAUUUUUAAAAAUGUCAAUAUUUCUAUUUAAAAUAAUUGAAAAUUAAUAAAAGUAAACAAUAAUAUACUAUAAAAAAAUAUACCAAAAAAAAUAGUAAUGUAAGAAUGUUGGCAUUGACAAAAUAACAAUACCGGCGUCGGUUAUAACAGCACGCCACAACUAAAUAUAAUAGUGUUGGCGUUCCAUGCUAUUCCACGACAGCAAUAUAUUACGCCUGGUACAAAUUGUUGAUCUCAUAUAUUUCUCACACUGCCUUGUUUUCGAACGCCACUACUAUUCGUACCAAAUCAGCCAACGCCAUCACUAUUUGAAAAAAAAUAGUGAUGGCGUUGGUUGUAAAUGGAGCGCCACCAACGAAAGUUGUGGCUAACCCUUUAUCCACUAGUGAAGAUUGAGGGAGGUUGUUAGAUAAUGUUUAUACGUAGCUUUCGUGUAGACACUUUAUAAUGAGAUAGCCACACCCGUAUUGGGUGUCGUUCAGUUUCCCACGAACAUAACGUUUUACAAUCCUGAGAGGCCAUCCAAGGGAGUCUGUUGUAGGCUGAUGCCGUUUUUACCCUCUCUAACUAAACCUAAAGUGGCGAAGUUACUAGCAUGUCGCCAUGUCCUUGCACUAGAGAAGGAAGUUGGGGUCUAGACGAUCGUCUUGGAGAUGGACUGAAAGAUGGUUGUGAGCAAGCUCAACUCUGAAGGGAAGGACGGAGGGAAUAGUAAGUGUAUAUUUGUUUCUAAAUAUGAAAAUAUUACUAUUAAAUACUAAUAUACCAAAGAUAUAAGAAUAUUAAAUACUAGUAUACCAAAGAUAUACCUAAAUAUAAGAAUAUUUAAUAGUAGUAUACCGAAGAUAUUCUACAGUUAAAUUCUAAUAACUCUGUUCCAAAAUAUAAGAAUAUUACUAUAAAAUACUAUUAGCUGUUUUCAAAUAAUUAGUAAUAGAGAUAAUAUUCUUUUGUNNNNNNNNNNNNNNNNNNNNNNNNNNNNNNNNNNNNNNNNNNNNNNNNNNNNNNNNNNNNNNNNNNNNNNNNNNNNNNNNNNNNNNNNNNNNNNNNNNNNNNNNNNNNNNNNNNNNNNNNNNNNNNNNNNNNNNNNNNNNNNNNNNNNNNNNNNNNNNNNNNNNNNNNNNNNNNNNNNNNNNNNNNNNNNNNNNNNNNNNNNNNNNNNNNNNNNNNNNNNNNNNNNNNNNNNNNNNNNNNNNNNNNNNNNNNNNNNNNNNNNNNNNNNNNNNNNNNNNNNNNNNNNNNNNNNNNNNNNNNNNNNNNNNNNNNNNNNNNNNNNNNNNNNNNNNNNNNNNNNNNNNNNNNNNNNNNNNNNNNNNNNNNNNNNNNNNNNNNNNNNNNNNNNNNNNNNNNNNNNNNNNNNNNNNNNNNNNNNNNNNNNNNNNNNNNNNNNNNNNNNNNNNNNNNNNNNNNNNNNNNNNNNNNNNNNNNNNNNNNNNNNNNNNNNNNNNNNNNNNNNNNNNNNNNNNNNNNNNNNNNNNNNNNNNNNNNNNNNNNNNNNNNNNNNNNNNNNNNNNNNNNNNNNNNNNNNNNNNNNNNNNNNNNNNNNNNNNNNNNNNNNNNNNNNNNNNNNNNNNNNNNNNNNNNNNNNNNNNNNNNNNNNNNNNNNNNNNNUCUAGAUGUAUUUUAGUUAUAGAUACAUCCCUUUCUAUUUGUUUUGAUCACAAGUAUUUUCGGAUGGAGGGAGUAUUAAAUACUGUCACAACUAUUCUUAUAUUUAGUAACAGAGAUAAUAGUAUUUAAUAGUAGUAUAUCAUUUUUCCUAAAUACUCCCUCCGUCCCAAAAUUCUUGUCUUAUAUUUAUCUAGAUACGGAUGUAUCUGACACUAAAAUGUAACUAGAUACAUCCGUAUUUAGACAAAUCAAAGACAAAAAUUUUGGGAUGGUGGGAGUAUAAGAAUAUUACUAUUAAAUACUAGUAUACAAAUAUAUAUUUAAUAGUAUACCAAAAUAUAAGAAUAUUUAAUAGAAAUAUACCAAAGAUAUGCUACUAUUAAUUGCUGGUAUUAAAUAAAUAAAUCUGUAGAUUAACACGCGGUCCCCACCUUGGCCUGUGCCUUCCGUUUCAGUUCAUAAAAGGCAACACAUGCUUCUCCUCCUCGCUCACAUUCUUCUCAUGCCGCUCUCCUCAACCAACUCCGCGCGUCUGCUCGACCGAUCCACCGCGAUGUCUAGCUCCGACGUCAGUGCCAUGCCCGCAGCCAACCACGAGGGGCACAGCCUGGCGGGCCCCGCCCCGCCCCCUGCGCCGGUGGUUCACAAGCGCAAGCCCGGGAGACCCCAGGAGAAAAGCCCGCCCCCAGCGGCCACCAGAGAGGAGCUGGAAUCCAAGGAGUCCCGGGAAGGUCCCUUGAAGGUGCUUGCGCUCCCGGCGCCAGGGGCCCGGCGUGCUUAUGUUGUCUCAGAUGACAAGAUGGUGAGCCGCGCUCGCGCCCCCACACGGCGUGCAAGCGCGGUAUCCGACGACAAGAUGGUGAGCCGCGCUCGCUCCCCCCCCCUCUGCUACUAGUGAUUUGAAGUUAACCGGUGCCUAAUGAGCUGGAGUUAUUGACAAUCUUUAAUCUAGUCAUGUGAAUUAGUGCUAGUGCUUAAUGAACUACCUGAUGUGUAUGUGCAAGAAUUACGUGCUGGGUAUAUGUCCUUGGACUUUCUAAUCGCUGCGAUCUCAUCUGGCAGAUGGACAGGAACGAGAUAACGCCGGUGGUUCGCAGGCGCAAGCCCGGGAGACCCCAGGAGAAAAGCCCGCCCCCAGCGGCCACCAGAGAGGAGCUGGAAUCCCGGGAGUCCCGGGAAGGCCCCUUGAAGGUGCUUUCACUCCCGGCGCCAGGGGCCCCGCGUACUCACGCUGUCUCCGGCGACAAGAUGAUGAGACGCGCUCGCGCCCCCACCCGGCAUGCAAACACUGUCUCCGACGACAAGAUGGUGAGCCGCGCUCGCGCCCCCACCCUGCAUGCAAACCAUGUCUCCGAUGACAAGAUGGUGAGCCGCACUCGCUUCCCCCUCUCCUACUAGUGAUUUGAAGUUAACCGGUGCCUAAUGAUUUGAAGUUACUGACAAUCUUUAAUCUAGUCAUGUGAAUUGUACUGUAGCUUACUGAAUUACCUGACGUGUAUGUGCAUGAACUACGUGGUGUGUAUAUGUCCUUGGAUUUUCUAAUCGCUGCGGUCUCGUCUGGCAGAUGGACAAGAACGAGAUGGCGCCGGUCCAGGGGGUGCCGCGCAUGCGAGGGAGCAUCGCGUCGUCAAGUGCGGUUGGUAAGUAUACUUUAUGCUGCUUUUUUUGUCAACAUCGUCUCCGUGCAGGCUACACUGGCAAACAAGCUGCUUAACUCUUGUGCAUGCUGGUUUUUCGUCAUCACUAGUAUACUGGUAUUGGACUGAAGCUUGUUAGCUCUGUCCAUGCUGGGUCUUUUUUUUUCAUGAUUAGUAUUGUUAUAUAUUAGCAGAAGCUGCACAUGUUUUCUUUCCAUUGACGUUGGUGCGGGCGGUGCUACGCGUCAGUCGGCCGAGGGAUGGACGCCUUACUCACCUGAUUUUAAUCAAGUCCCACCUAGGUGUAGUUCGUUUUGUCACUAGCUGUGUAUACAUAGGCGAGCUCCAGCACUAUGUUGCAGCGUGGAAAACAUAUGAACUGUAAUAAGAAACAUGCAAUGGCUAGAAAUAUCUCCACAUAUUUUUUCAGCAUGUUUUAGGUGUCAACGAAAUUAGUCGGAUCGCCAGCCAUCGAAUUGACAUAUGGAGCAUUGGAUCACACUACACGGCAGCAGAGAGAAUGGAAACCGUGUUCCUCCAUAGCCUCCACAAUACAUGUGUAUCCACCACCCCUCCCACAUCGUCGCAACAGACAAUUACGUCGGCCCCUUGCAACACCUGGCUUUGGUACCCUAGAGAUCCUUGAUAUCGCUUGGAUAUCCUGCAAGUAUUAUUACAGUGCGCCUACGAGGCGUCGUCCUUGCAACAUUGUCUUACAGACAAUGUAGUUGAUGCCACCACCACCAUCACCCAUUUACACAUGGGCCGUGGCAUGUGGCACUGUUCGUGGGAUAAAACACACCCCGCGAGAAUAUGCGGUUGCACCACUAUGAUCUGUGCAUCUUAGGAAUUGUUGUGACUGCCCCUGCAAAACUAGCGAUGAUACGACCAUCGCCCUGCAACAUCGGCCAUAGUUGUAGCACAUAUGAGAAGACGGAUGCCGCACCUAACAACACAUUAUGUGUUUUUUGCACCAUAUGAAAGCACUGCCUUGCAACAUCGGCUAUCAGGGUGCUGCACCGACAAACACACUCACGACCUUGAGAUGUCGUAUGCCUUGGCCGAUGUAGCAUAGUGCUCCUCUUUCAGCAUAUAGCGAUGGCUUGUAGAAUUGAUGGUCGGAGAGUCGCAACAUCAUUGAGUGGCAGUGCUAGCCCAACUCAUUGUCAUAGAGAAAGGGGAAUAAAGGAUGGGUGUGCACGUGGUGGAAAUAAAGUGAAUGGAUAUGGUGAAGAGAGAGGAAGACUAACAGGGGCAUCUGGCGCUAGAGCGAUCUGACUGAUUUACCCCUGAAACCAGCCUGUUGAAUAUAAUUCAAUUUUCUUUUGAGAGACCUCAUAUAAAAACGUCGCAACAUGCGAGCAUGUCUAUACAAAAAAUUGUAGAUAUACAACGCAUACUCAUUAGCUUCAACAAAUAAGUGAAAAAACACAAUGUAUAUAGGCCUGAACCGAUGGAUCAUCAGCAUGCAUCUACCAGAUCUUCCUAGGUUACGCCCAACCGUGAGUCGUUCAAUUGGGUCACACAUCACUACCCAAUCAACCACCAACUUAGUUGUUCCUCUCGUCUCCUCUACCCACCCUUCGCAACAUACACCCAUGAUUCUCAGCAAUAGACCAACAUGGAGGCGACAAUGGUGUCCAUGAUAGGCUAGUCAAAAGCACACUGGUGAUCAACCUUACAACACUAAACAGAACAUUGCAACAUGAGGUAACCCCAACUUUGUAGCACUGGUGCACCAUUUUCAACCACCUUGUAGCAAUGAAAAGUUCACUUACCAAUAGCAUUGUUAUACCAAGUUACCGGCUUCCAGCACUGAACACACGGGCUUGCAGCACCGCGAUGAUCAAUGGUCGGCCUUUCAACAAUAUUAGUUAACAUUGCACACCUCGUCUCCAUUUUUAUGUACAUACACAUGAGUGAGAUUGGAACAUCAGUAACGUAUCAACAUUACCAAACAUGAAGACAAUAAAUUUGUUUCUCCAAGCAUAGACGUUACUGAAUAAGCGUGCAACUGCACAUCCACCACAUGAGCCAUAAUUUUUUAGCUCUGUGACAACAGCUUAUAGUUGCAAAAGAGCUGAAGAUGAUGGUUUAGAAUGUAUAUGAUCAAAAUAGAUUAAAUGGAGGGGAGGAUGGACUACAUAUGUUGAAUCGGACUAGCCGCAAGGUCACAAGUGCCUUGUCUAAAUAGCCAAAAAGACAAAAGGAGGCCUCCUGGAUUCUCCAUCCUGAAGCUAAGCAUAACUCCAACUCCAGACACGCUAGGGGGCUACUAAAGGUGCAAUACACUAGGGAUGUCUUCUGGGUGGGAAGCCCGGUAGCAGGCUUGCCUUAGGGCCCAAGAGGCCAACUGGAGGAUCGGUGCAGUAGGGCAGCUCAGGAGCCUAGAUAAGGACUGUGGGAGCAUCUUGGCAGGCAAGCUAAGAUGGCAGUGGUAUGAGAUCUGAUGGAUUCCUUGUAAACCUAGCCCGCGCCACCUAUAUAAGGAGGGGCUCGGGGUUGUCAUUCACAUAUACUCUCAUAGACUAUACUCUCUGUAGCAUUAUACUUCAUCUCCACUCUAAACCCCUCGCACAAGGUGCUCCAACAUGAAUAAAAAUCAGAUACAGGAUGUUGGGCAUUACCUCUCACCGAGGGCCCGAACCUAGGUAAAAACCUUUGUGCAGACUACCUUGUCGUGUAUCCCUACAAGUUCACCACCCUACUAUGGGUACUCACAGUUUUCCAUACUAUCACAUAGUUAAGUUCUAACACAUUUUCUCUGGGGAGUUGAAGCAACUCAUGGUGUAAGUAGGUGUUGCUUGAAGCACUGAUUCUACUAGCACCUCCUUUCCCUCCUUUGAGAUACCUUGUCCUUCCAAUCCAACCACUUUGCCAUUUGAGCUUUCUUUAAUAUGUUUAAAAUUUCCUUCCUUUGACCUACCCACCACGGUUGGGAGCCCCAAAUAAUGCUCGCUCAAUGCCUUAGGAUCUGUGCAAAGAUAUUAACAACAACUUACUCCUCCUAUUUGCCUCACUUCCCAAAGAAUGUUGAAGCUUUUAGAAAAUUUCCCAUUUGUCCCGAGGCCCACUAGUAGUCAAAUAGGAUAUAUUUAAGGUUACAAAGUUGCCAUUUGACGGUUGAAGAAAUACUAUACUAUCAUCUGCAGAAAUAAGAUGGGCUACAUGGGGGUUAGUGCUCCCAAAAGAUAUACCAUUGAUCUCUUUAUCUUUGAGCACUCAUGAGAAAGGCCAAAAAACUCGCAACAUAGAAAAUAAGAAAAUAGGGAGACCAUCGGUCUCCUUGCCAGAGCCCUCUUCAUAGUAUAAAAAAUACAUAACACACUCCUUUCAAUUUGAUAGAAAACCUGGCCGGGGUACCACACAUCAUAAUCAUCAAGAUCAACCUAUCUGAGAAACCAAGUGCCCUCAUCAUCAGAUCGAGGAAAAUCCAAACCACCCUCUUAUAGGCCUUCAUCAUGUAUAGUUUAAUUGCGAACAUUGGAUUUUUCUAUUUCUUGAACGAACAUACUUUGCUCCUGCGUGAUCAUUAUGGAUAUGACAACCUUCAAUCUCUUUGCUAGGCCUUUGAAGCAAUCUGACUGAGCGUGUUCAAUAAGUUGAUUGAUCCCAUUUGAGGAAGUAUCUCCAUUGAGGUAAUUUUGGGGAUUAGGACUAGAACCAUAUCACUAAAGUUUGGUCAAAUAACUCCAUUAAAAGAAUCACCUAUUACUAUGCGUACAUCAUUUUUUAGAAAUAACUAGUGAAAUUGGUAAACAUAAGUGAGAGGUUGUCUAGCCCCUGCGCUCUUGCCAGUCAAAUUUAGAAUAGUGCAUUCUCAAUUUCUUCAUCCAUCACGUCCGUGUUCACCCUCUCCUCCAUAUCACUAGUCAGACAGGGUCGGAUGUGAGCUAAGAUGUUGUCAGCAUCAACAGAGGCUUCUGAAGAAAACAACUAAGCAUAGAAAUCGGCCGAAAUCUUCCCCAUCUCAUUGUCAAUAGUACAACUCGUGCCAUCUGCCCUCAUGUUUUGAUCGUCUUCCUUGAGAAAUUCCAGUUGGGAACAUUGCAUACACAUUAUUUGUUCCUGUGGACGAACCACAUGAAGCUAUGCUUCAAUCUCGCUGGUCUUCAGCAAGGAUGUCUGGAUCCCAAUGCGCUACCCUUUCCAUCGAAGCUGGACCUUGUGCCUAGUAAUCUCACAACAUACAAGACAAAAUACAGAGCCACUUCAAUGUUUCAUAUCAUUGGUGACAUUGUUACGCUUCCUGUAGAGCUCACUCUGGCCGAAAUUGUUAUCACAUGCACACUAUCAUGCCUACAUGGGCAUCCACCUCUCCUCAAACUUAAUGCCCUCUUCUUACUUUUGGUAAUGACUAGGUUUUCUAGCGAUCUAUUAACGAGAAAACCAUGGUCUGGUCCUCCAUGACAACAUGUUCAAUGGGUGUAUCCUACAAUGAAUGCACGAAUUCAUCAUUGCAUGGACCCCUGUCCACAUGUACAUAAACGAUCUCAUCCCGCUCCCUCUUAUUGUCCCAAGUGUACAUGUUGCUACUAAAACAAAGUUUUGAAACACUAUUAUUGGCUACACUCUCCCUAAUGCGCUCCAUUUGUGUGAAACUCCUCAAGUAAUCUCCUAGUUGUUGUGAUUAAAAGAAUUCUUUGUUGAGGUAUCAUUGUAACAGAUAAAUGUAUUAUUAGGAUCCAAUCUCUCGGAGCCUCCCUUAGCUACACAAAUUUUCAUCAAUCUCUCUUCCUAUCCAGUAGCUUUAGGUGAUAAUCAUUGUGACGCCUUUGGUGGUCACCAUCACGUUGCCUUGUCUUAUGAACAAAAGUGCCUCGUCUGCGUUGCUCUGAGGUAGAUGGGUCAUCUUUCCCAAUGGCCUUGCACCCUUUCCCAUAUAGAUUUUUUUAUGUCUUGCUUACUUUCAUGCUCCUUCCUCAGGUCCCACUUCCUUUUUAGAUUUAAAUCAUCCCUUAGUUCACAAUCAUGUCACAUUUCUUGCCUGCAUUGGUCCUCCCUACACUUCAUCUUAGGCAGUUACCCUGUACAAGACCAUCUCGAGGAUCCUCGCUAGAGAGAGAGUCCACAGAGGGUGUAUAAUCAGUGUAUGACCUGCACGUAAAUGGACGGGCAUGCAACGCUACAUGACCCCUGCGCCCAUAGACGCCCUUGCUUGACCUAGUGCUCCCAAAACUAAAGUUCCUGCUUUCUUUCACCGGCCUCUACUUAGUUUUUGUCUAUGAGGAGCCAUGUCCAAGUGAUGCCCUCAACCAUUCACCCAACUGGGGUCAGGAAUCAUUUUGUGGUUCAAAUCAUCUGUCAACAUGUGCUAGUCUGUCGUAGUCAAUCCAAAAGAGAGGUAUCUUCUCAAAUUGAAAAUCAAACAAGGUCCCCUCAUCUUUUGCUGAAGAGUGGAGAAAGAAGCCUUAGACUAGUGAAAGAAAUAUGAAAAAUCUAUCUCUAAAUCUGAGAUGGUUCCCCCAUAAAUCCAUCCUUCUUAACAUCACUCUUUACCACGCCACCAAGACAAUUCCCAAGAGCAUUCCCAAAAGUAUAUGAUCAUUUAUAUAGGGGAGGAUCUGUAAUUAUCACCCAUGGCUCCGUCAUACAAAACAUUAUCUUCGAUGACCUAGUUUUUUCAUCAUAAUCCUUCAAAACUAUCACAUUAAAACCAAAUUGCCACAUUCAAUUAUAUAGAGCGUGCUUCUAAACUCCUUUGUUAUGGAAUCUAAAGAAGAAGAUACUAUUUCUAAUGUGACUUACUUGGAUUUCCUAAUAGUGUCACAUGUAUGUUGCGUAGCCCUAGCAAACACGUUGAUCUUGAUUUGCUGGAGUGAGCAUGCCUUUCCAACCACUGACCACCGAGUAGGCCUCGGUCGGUCUGGAAUCCUGAUUCUCAAGCAUGAGAUCUAUUAGUUCCUUUUGUUGUUAACUUCAGGGCUCCUUGUUAAUUUGGUUGAGAGAUUAGUUGCCUCCCCUGAAGCAUUUCCAUCUGUCAGGGACUUUGAAGGUUCUCAUCUUAAUGAUCCUUGGUCGCCCUGUUCACUUGAGCUGUCGAUUUACGCCACGCCUUCUCUCCCAUCGUCGCGCAAAGGAGUGGAAGCACCAAGACCAAUCAAUGUAGGAGUAUAGAGUGUCAUCACCUCAUAGAUGAAUAGAAACCUAACCCUAGCACUACUUGUCGGUCGCCUAUAAUCGCCCUUAGCAUUUCUUUUCAUGUUGGGCCCGCCAUAAGGUAUUUAUACGUUCGCUUCCAUUGGUACUUUUUUUGCACUGGAGCCUUUCUGCUACAUUUGCCUUUCUACGAAGGAUGUCUUAUCCAAAUCAUAUAGUCUCCUCUAUCUAUAGGAAGCGAGGACAUUAGCUCUUCUUUUUUUCAAGGCAAAUACACUUGCUAGUGUUCAAGCGACAUCGAAAGAAGUCUUGUCACAUGUGAAGACGACGCUAAGAGUGUGACAAAUAUAGGUGCCAACUUGAAGAAUAAUGCAAAUUUCAGUAAAUAUGAAUAGCUCCUGGGGGAACGAGUGCAUAAAGGAAUCAGCCACCAUAAAUGGAUCAUCCAAAGAAACAAAGUCACAAAGAGAGAGACAAGACAUUAGCUUCUUUAUGGGGAACACAUAUAUUUAAAUGUUGCCUUGCUCUCUGAUUAUUAACAAGAAAUAAUUUUUACUAAUAUAUUAUGUGUAAAUCUUGAUAGAUAUGGAAUGUAUUUUGGUCAGUAUGUUUUAAGGAAUCAUAUUAGUUUUUGGUAUGUAGAAAUUAAAAGAAGUUCAUGUGCCUUCAAGGCAUGUCAAGGUGUGUUGUUCCACCUCAAAAUUGGUUCAUACUAAAUGGUUAUUCUCCCUACAUAUAGCCCCAAUUCUCAUGCUCUCUCUAUCUCUCUCUCUCUAUUUUAUAUUCCAGACUACUCCAUAAAGCCUAACUAGUGAAGGUCCAGAAACACCCAGCAGUGACGGGUUCAACUCCCAUUAGUAGUCUAUACUUAGUGGAGGAGAAACAAGCCACUUACAGGCACGAGCCCGCCAAUGGUGAAUAAAUCAGAAAAGAAAAUCAGGCCAUGGCCAGUCCAAAUCCAGCACCUGCCAACAAUGUGUAGUCUCCACUACGCGAACCUACUUUUCCUCAGUGCGUGACAUCAUGUGAUGUUUGGAGAAUCCAUAGAGUUGGGGAUCCGAAUAUAAAAAACAACAAUGGGGAGUGUCUUGAAGAAUAGGUGCCAAGAAGCCGGACGGAGAAGGCCUCCACCAUGCUGCACCAUUGGCCGAUACUGACCCGUAUGGUGCAAGGACAAAGGCAGAACUGAACACCGUCAUCAUCUAGGUUGCAAAGGAAGUUGGACCACUGUGUUGCUUCUCUCGGACAAACUCAAUGAUUUCAUGCAGUUGGCACCCGUGCCACAUUCCAUAGAGAUAACAACAUUGAGGAGGAGGAGGGACAACGCAAGGUUUCUUCCUCAUAGGAAUUAGUUUCGAGGAAGUGGGGGGACGAUAUGGCAUGAUGAGCAGUUAACAAGGGAAGUUUGCAUGACUGUGGAGGACAAAGCAUUAAGACAAGUGUGCUAGUAGCUAGAUAAGGGAUGAAUGAUAGUAGGAAGGAAUAAUGAGCUUACUGGGUGAGGCUACUAUUUUUUAAGUUGCGACCUACUGAUCAUAACAACAAUUGAUCGUAACAACGUACCAUUGAUGAUUUAGGGUAUUGAUUUAGUAACUGUCAGGAUGUGACUACAGCUUGUAAGUGGUGGGUUGUAUAUUACUAACAAGUAGCAUGUUUAGCCUCAAUAUUGUCCUCUGUCACUCGUAACAACGUGCCAUUGACGGACCACAUAUUGGGCCCGUCACUACUACCUUUUUCAAACAAAAAUAUAAUUUUAGUUAUAGUCAGAUUCACAACAAUCCCACCGGCCAUUAGUGUUAAGUAGCAUUGCUGACCGGUUUUUUGAACCACCACUUUUGAUCGAUAACUAGGCGAGAACUCUAGUGUAGUGCACAUUUGUUUGAUUGAGAAUUUUUAGUGUUUUUAUGUGCACAAAGACAUAUCGUUCAACCCUAACAUGUUCUCUUUAGGUGGGGUCGAGAGUGAAGGACUGGGGAGCUUGGAAGCAGGGGAAAUGGCACCUCGAGGGGUUCAGGUCUCCAUGAUCAAUAACCACAAUUUUGAUCUGAUGAGCUGCCGACUGAGCAUGAGUAGCUCAAGAAGGAGUAGUCACCCGUGGAGCAAGAGUAGCCGCCUAUGGCACAACAUGAGCUUUAAUAUUCACAAUGGUUGGAGGCUACUCAAAUCCCGCUUGUGUGAGCAAAAAUAACUCUUGGCCCAAAGUAUAGCCCUGUCAGAAAUUAUCGAAACAAUAUCCUUAUCCCAAGGACGAUUGUAAAGCUUAUGUGGAACUUUUCAAUUUCUUGCUUCCUAUUUUUUGGUGAUUGACUGACGCUAUUGCUAAACUUGAGGGAAGGACUUGGUAUACUGCCUCAUGAUCAACGUGUCACCUGGAAUGGCUUUUCUAUUCAUUUCCCAUGAUGGUUUUGAUAUGUAGAUUGUUUGAACAAGCAUUUAUUCAUUCGGUAAAGCUUUGUGAAACAUCAACGGUGGAGCUAGGUCUCUCGUCAUGUGAAAUGACAGUAGGUCAAGAAGUGUGUUGGAUCAUGAGAUAACAUAUUUUCUAAGUUGUUAAUCAUGUGUGUUAACACCAUGGGUAGUAUGAGAGAAGGUCAACAUGCAUGUUUGGGUCUAAAAUGACCUCAUGACCAAAAAGGGAGAGAAACAUGGCUAAUAGGAAUACGAACAAUAUGGAAGUUACUUGUUGCAUGGAUGUUAACUGUGGUUAUGAAACCACACAAGAUGUCAGAGGACCCGCAUCCUUACAUAUCAAGGUUGACUUCACAUGCCAACUAGAUUUCGACUAAAUUAUUGUAUAUGUAUGUAUGUUAUAUCUUGACAUCUUAACAAACAAAAAACACCAAAAAAUACACUAUUUACUUCUCUUUGAUGCAUAUUCUAGUUGGAGGGUAAUCAUAACCUUAUGUGGAUAUUUUUCCAUAAUAGAAUAUAUAAUGGUCUAGUGAGGCAAGGUGUAAAUGGAGAGGACAAUAGUCGAACAUGAAAACAUCCAACAUUGUGUUAUAGUUGCAUCAAGUUGUCUAGUGACUCAAUAUGGAAAUGGAGGAGGCUCAUAGGGCAACACGAGAACACCCAACAUGUUGCUCUACUUACUUCCUAUUGGUACGAAGAGACCGAGAGUAGUGAAAGGUUAAUCAUAACACAUGGACAAGAUAUCUCAUACAAGAUGAAAAUGGAGUGAGUCUUGUAUGAAAAUGCUAACAAAGUAUGAGUGUGCAUAGCAUGCCAUCCCCUCCCUUUCUUGUUCGAGUUUCCUUCACCAACCCCAUAGUACCCUGAUCAACACUAUUAUUUGGAUAUGCUUCUCAUCCGAGAAAGAAUCGUUAUUGAGAGACAUUUAUAUCAUUGUCUAGAUAGACUUGUUCAAGGGCCAAUAAUGGAGGUUUCUUAUCUAUUAUAGCCACAUUCCGGAGAAGAAUAAAAAAAGUAGACACAACCUGAUAAUUUAUUGAGAUUUGAAUUGAGGAUCCACAUACAUCAACUAUCCUACAUGUGAAUCAAAUCCACAUCCUACAUGGGCAUUGGGCUUUAGUUAGACUACCACUUUAUGGACAAGCCAUGUGCUCCAUGUAGUCUAUGUUGCAAAGGCGGGAGGACAAGGAGUAAAUAGUUUUCGAUGGCUGGACAUUGAAGUUAUUUGUCAAGAAAUUUGUUUCCUGACAUGGUUUGUUUAUUUCAUUAUUUAGUAUUUGAUAUCGGUUCAGUGCUCUAGUAUGUAACAUUCUUCUCACAUUUUGGGUCUAGCUCUUGGUGUUCAUGAGUUCAUUGCUUAUGUUAACUAUUAUUGUUGUGCCCACUUGUUCGACAAGAGACUAUAAAGUUAACUAAGAUACUGUCAUAUUUAUAUUAAUAUAGUUGGCAUUGAGGUAAUCAUAAAUCUUGAAUACUACUCAUAUUUGUCAAAUAGGAGGUCAAGCUGGAUCUGUCUGGCGCAUCAUCUAUGGUCACAUGGUGUAUUGUCUAUUCUAAACCCAAUGAGUAUUGCAGAAUGACAUGUUCCUGCGAGGAGGAAUGAGUCACUCUUUUGUGUCAAGGGGUGAUGCCAUGCCUCAUAAUUGACAAUAAAAAAUUAACCACCUACAUGAAAAGUCUAACCCAAGACAGGGAAUAUGCGCCAUUGCAAUUUUACCGCACAAAGUCAUCGGUAUUUUGCAAUUGAAUGUUCCCCAUGUUGUGAAUGAGAACACAAAACACAAAACACCCCACAAAACACUAUUCACUUCUCUUCGAUGCAUAUUCUAGUGGAAGGGUAGUCAUAACCAUAUGGGAAUAUUUUACCACAAUAGAAUCUAUAAUGGUCUAGUGAGGCAAGGUUUAAAUGGAGAGGAUAAUAGGCGAACAUGGAAACAACCAACAUUGUGUUUUACUUGCAUCUAGUUGUAUAGUGAGAUAAUAUUGAAACGGAGGAGGCUUAUAGGGCAACAUGAGAACACCCAAUAUGUUGCUCUACUUACUUCCUAUUGUUACCAAGGGACUGAGGCUCGAGCAUGGUUAAUCAUAACACAUGGAGAAGAUGUCUCAUACUAGUUGAUAAUAGAGUGAAUCUUGUAUGAAAAUGCUAACAAAGUAUGAGUGUGCAUAACAUGCCAUCUCCUCCCUUUCUUGUUGUAUUUUCCUUCACCAACCCCCAUAGUACCCUGAUCAGCACUAUUAAUUUGAUAUGCUUCACAUCUGAGUUAGAAUUGUGAUUGGGAAUAGUUGUAUCAUUAUCUAAGUAGACUUCUUCAAGGGGAAAUAAUGGAUGUGUCUUAUCUAUUAUAGCCACAUUCCGGAUAGGAAUGAAAAAGUAGACAUAACAAGAUAAUUUGUUGAGAUUUGAAUCGAAAAUUCAACAUACAUCAACUAUUCUACAUGUAAAUCAAAUCCUCAUCCUACAUCGGCAUUCGGCUUUAUGGACAAGCCGUGUGGUCCAUGUGGUCUACGUCACAAAUGCCAGAGGACAAGGAGAAAAUAGUUGUCGAUGAUUGAUCAUUGAAGUUAUUUGUCAAGAAAUUUUUCCCCGACAUGGUUCAUUUAAUUCAUUAUUUAGUAUUUGAUAUCGGUUCUAUGCUCUAAUGUGUAACCUUCUUCUCAUGAUUUGGGUCUAGCUAUCAGUGGUCAUGAGUUCAUUACUUAUGUUAACUACUAUUGUUGUGUCCACUUGUUCGCCAAGAGACUAUAAAGUUAACUUAUAUCCUCCCAUAUUUAUAUUAAUAUAGUUUGUGGUUAGGUAAUCCUUGACCUUGAAUAUUACUCACAUUUGUCAAAUAGGAGGCCAAGCUGGAACUGUCUAGUGCAUCAUCUGUGGUCACAUAUGGUGUAUUGCCUAUUCUAAACCCAAUGAGUAUUACAUUAUGGCAUGUGCCUGCGAGGAGGAACUGAGUUACUCUUUUAUGUCUAGGGGAGACGGCAUGCCUAAUGAUUCUCAAUGAAAUAUUAUAGCCUACAUCAAAAGUCUAACCCAAGAAAGUGAAUAUGUGCCAUUGUAAUUUUACAACACUAAGGGCGUGUUCUGAUCUUGUCCCGCUCCAUGCUUCACAAAUUCCUGGAGCAGAUACGAGCCGAACGAAAUAGCAGCGAGAAGCUAACUCCAGGAAGCUAGAAUCGACCGCAGCGCAAAAUCAUGAAGCAGACUCGGCCCAGCUCCACCAAUCCGAAAAGCUGAAGUUGGCCGAUAUUACAAGUAAACUGCCACAGCCAAGUCAUACGAGUCGAACCGGUACGCUCGAUCUGUUUGAUCGCUCCUCGUUCCGUCGCUCGUGCUCCCUCGUUGCUCCUCUACAAGGCCGAUUUGGGUUGCCUCCAGUCAGCCCAACUAGCUCGAACAGGCCACAACCCUUCUAGCUAGGUUGCAGUGCCGCGAGAAGCUGCAAACCGAGCCAAACAGAUUUUUCAUCGCUGCUUGGAGUGAGAAGCUACUCUGAAAAGAUGAAUUUCUGAAGUUUUGGGAAGCUAGAGGAGAUCAGAAAAGGCCCUAAGUCAUCGGUAUUUCAUAAUUGAAUGUUCUCCAUGUCAUGACUUCUGAUGGUGUAAAUCCAAAUAAUUGCCAUUGUGAAAUUAAAUUCCUUUCCUGAGUCAGAACCCACAUCCGUAAAGAUGUGCCACUACAAUCCACCUCAUGGCUAUCUUGGAGUCCUUAAUAUAAUCAAGUGUGCCCAAUAUGGUGACUUAAUAUGUACUUAUUGACCCUACGAAGCUAAUCGCCUCCAUCAAGACCCCUUCCUGGUUCUCCUAUAACUAGAUUCCUCGAAACCACGAGAAUCCUUACAAUGGGAUUACAACUUAGCACCUUUCGUUUUCACAUAGUAAGAAGAGUUGCUCCUUGGAUAGCACGGUACGAUCAAAGGUGUAACCUGUGUUUCGGAGCGAGUUAUUGUCUCGAAACUUUGUUCUCAACUAUUCCGAUUCCAGCAAACGGAGGCCAUUGGGUCAAAGCUGUAGCGCACGCCCUGUAGUUUUGAAGUGGGGCGAGACAACUUAGCUAGGAACCUAUUUUCAUUCUGACCAGCUCCCUGAAAACAAUGUUCGACUUCAUGUGUAGUCGGUGUAGAUGUGUCAUUGCAAUUCCACCACUAGGAUAUCACCAAGUCCUAUGUAUUACAUGUCAACAUAUGCCACCAUAUGGUUACUUGACAAAUUAAAUGGAUUUCACCAAGAUUUCAUGUUACAAUUAUAGUGAAGAUAGUGACUCACAUGUCAGCCUCCCUGACGGGAAGCAAAAUCACUCUGACUUUGGCAACCUAAUUCUUGGCGGGUUCAAGCAGACAUGUCGGAUUUGUAUUUUAUGUAUUUCAACAUAUAUAAUUCAUAUAAAUAAAUCAAUUCAUAAUAGGAGUCUUGGAGACACCGAUGUCAAUAAUGUGAAAUUAUGGGAAAUCUUAUUAUGUGCAUCAACAUAAGCCAGAACUCGUGGCUUAAGAGAUAUGUUUACAAUCUUCCAAUGGUUAUUCCCCCUACUAAAUUCAUGAUGUUAACUAGUUCCCAUAAGUUGAGAAAGAAGUUUAGUCAUGGGAUCAAUGUCCAGUGCAUCAUAUUUCCAGUUCCCAAAAAAAUUUAUUAUGGAAGUUGAGAAAGAAGUUUGGGCAACAUAUUUCCAGACAACUGUCAUGUCUAGGAUCUUCUCAAGCCUAGGUAAGCUUAGUCACGGGAUCAAUGCAGGCUAUUAGUACAUUGACCCGGUUCUUAAUUCAAGUCCUCCUUGCUUGAUACAAUAUUGAAUGGAAAGUACAUAAUCAAUUUAUUUAAGUGGGUGAACAAUGUUGGCUAGUAUAUUUCAACACUCACCUCACAUGCAUCUUUUAGAGGCAUAUAAUGCAUCGUGAUGGAAACAUUUUUUCUAUAGACUAAAUUCCAAUGGAAAAUUUUAAUUAAUUUAAUUAGUAGCAAUCUCGUAUGGUAAGGAUAUAUGGAAAAUGAAAAUGAGGGCUCAAAUGCUACUUGUUGGCACACAAAAGUCAUGUUGUCUUUUUCCUCCCAUGUUGAUCCUCCGUGGUUCGACAUUGGGCAUUACAAAGAGAACAAGUUAUCUUUACACACCUCUAGAGCUACCAGACCCUGGAUGCUCCACCAUGAAUGUCCAUAUGGUGCAAUGAGUGAUAGCGAGCUAUAUUAGAACAUAUAGUUUACACCGUUAAAGUAAUUAAAUGGGCUAUUUUGGCUACUAUGAAAAAUAGUAUUUUAAGAGAAAACUAUGUAAGAGUUUGUGAUCUUUGUAUGUAAAAGCAUUAUUUGCCUUUGCUUGGUGUUCACGCAGUUUGAUUUAUGGCAAAAAUGUAAAAUCAUGGGACAAUAAUUGUUGAUAUUCUUUGCGGGGAAAGCGAGAUCUUUCCACUUUUCAGAUCACACAAAGUAUUGUUUUUCUUAUAGGGGUGAUAUACAGUGUUCUAAAUCUGCACUUGUGAUUCGUUGUCCAUUUAAAUUUAAAUGGUUUCUUCCACAGAUUAUGUUGGUUUGUUGUUGUAUUUAUCUCAGCUCUAAAGUAUACUGAUGUUAGCUAAGUCCAAUCAAAGGCCCAAGUUACAUAAGCCCAGACUACGUGAAAUACACAUCAUGCAGUACACAUGUUCAUCUUAGUGUUAUGUUAUACUUGGCUCCGAGAUAACAAAUGAUAUCAAUUAUUACUAUCUUUUGCAGCUUGUUUCUGCCUGUUCAUCGUAGAAUUAUCUUAUGUGGUCUCCCAAGGUUCAUGCAACUUGGAUUUUCAUACUUUGGUAGUAUUAGUGUUCACUAGGACUAGGUGCCACUCUGUAGAAGCUAAGGAUACAGAUGGAGAAAGUAGUCAUGGUUUUUUUUUCAAAAAGUUUGUUCAUAUCUAUAAGAGGUUUAUGAUUUUUCAGUGUAUACUGUUGUGAAACCUAGAGUGUUUUAUCUCAUUUGACAUUGAACUACGCUUUGAAGGAAAAACCUUCAUUUGACAUCGAACUAUGCAUGCAGGGCAAACACCCCGUGCUUCGGUGCCACCGCGCCGCGAACCCUGGGAGCUUGAACCUGGAUGGGUGUGAACUUAAGAUUGAUGUCAAUGUUAGGGGUCAGUCAUGGAUAGAGAAUAAAGGGGACUUUGCGAAACUGUUAUUAAUAAUAUGGAUGAAACAUUGCCUUGUGGAGAGAAUAAGAUAUUUCGAGAGAUAUUUAUAAAUGGAUGCAUACUUGCAAUAGCAGUACAAAAUAUGAUGCUAACAUUUUAUUUUCAUAGUUGUUCCCAUUAAACUUCUGGUGGUGGCUCCAUUAUUCACAGUCUCGCACAUGAAAUGUUAUUUCGUUCGGGUAAAUGUUGCGUGUCGUUGCUCCUGUAGUUUUGCGGUUUGCAUGUCCUUGAAACUUGUGAAUUGGAUUUUACGAAGUUGCAAUGCAAAUUUGGGAUGCAGGGAAGAUAAUAAACAAUGCUUUCUAAGAGCAUUGGACAUUGGAUGCGACUCAGAAAGAACGCAUGCAAACGCAAGAUGCAAGACGUAGUAGGCACAUGUCCAGGUUUAUUAAGAGCACCUACACCGGACGCCUCAUAUCUGUCACAGACGCAAAAUUGCCGGUCAGCACUAGGACGCAAAAUUGCCACCCAACAGGAUCUGUCAAACCCGGCCCAAACGUCUAGACAUGACCGCACUUCCUAUAUCCAGCCCAUAUCUCGGACGGAUAUGUGGAAGCCCAGAGACGCCCGGACACACCCGCCAUGUAGGAUCCGGCCGAGUGCGGCCCACCCGACCCCACAUAAAUUGGACCCUAUCCGCACUCCGAGCGAAACCCAAGCGGCAUUCAACUCCACUCUACUCCUUGCCAGGCCACUCCCGUCCACCCACAAGCCCCAUUUGCAAAUCUCCCACCAUUUCGAGCCGUUGAACCGGAGAUCGUCCCACGCGGCCCCAAGGAGGAGAUGGUCGACUGCCUUGCGCUUCUCCACUACCGGAGGAGUCCGCCCAGCAGCGGUCGAAAUCCAUCUGGUGGGAAUCCAUUGCGUCUGCCAGAAUGGAGCAUGGAUCCCGCCCGAGGGCAGUCUACGCUGCCUUAGCAGAGGCAGUGCACUCCGUCUGGCGUCCGAACGCCGUGGAGGAUACACAACCACUUUGUUGGCGCACUGAGAAAGAUAAGCACACCCACUUAAUGUCUGAUAUUAAUAUGGUGUGUGGCGCAUCCACCGUGUUAGGCAAUGGGCACGGGAACCCGCGGCAGCCCUCGUGCCAGACGCCAGCGGGGCAGACUCGCACUCUUCGGUGCCUCGUAUCGUGCCCGGCAGCCCUUGGCGCCGAAAUCAUGUCGCGUUGGAUGCGGCCGGCUCCACCAUCAUGGAUCAAUCAUCGACCUCACAUCCACCGACGACAGGAGAGCACGGGCUCCGACGAGAAAGAGUAGGCCAUGGGAGAUGGCGCCGAAUCGAGUUUCUUUUGCCGGGUCGUGUCCCAUGUCCUACUCUACCUCACCAGAGACCGACCCUCCACUUCGACAGGCUCAGACAGCCAUCGGACAUGGACAGGUUAGGAACAACAAGGACAGUCGCUGGCACAAAUUUAGACUACAGCCAUCGACGCAAGGUGAGCGCGGCAUGAGUUAAUCGCUGAAGAGGUUGGGCCGUUGUCGCCGGUUUGUCGUACAGUUGCCGACGUAGUCGUCCAUGACCACCAGAUCGACGCCGCUGUCACUGCAAGUCUAGGCGUCUCUGUAGUGGCUGAAGUCAUUUUAGUGUAUUUUCUUUGUAUUGUGAUGAUUGCAUACUGUGUUGCGUAUUGUGGCGUAUUUUCUUUGUAUUGUGAUGAUUGUAUACAGUACAAUGUAUUGUGGCAUAUUUUUUGUGGUCUAUUUUUAAAAAGAAAACUAUAAAUAGCUAAAAGUGGUGUGCAGAAUAAAUUUAUACCCGCCACUACAAAACAAAUGCCAGUACUGACACAUAUUUUUGCCCACCAUCAAUAGUAAUGACCGCCACUGCUACAAGAUCGAGGUCGAUGGCGGGCUGUUUGUAACGCCCGCCACUGUUAUAGUCAUUGGCAGGUGGAGCGCCCGCCACUAAUGCCAUGUUGCCAGUGGCAGGCGCCUCUGAGAGCCUUACCCGUCAUUACUAGGCUUUUGAUGCCGCCACUGCUACGCACUCCUGCAAUAGUGUGCAAUUGCAUAUCUAGUAGAACAUAUACAACUAUCCUCCCAACAAACAGUUUCGUUCUACCAUGAAGUUAUAGUCGGGGUGAAGACAUUCAUUUAUAAUUGGAAGUGACGUUGCAGUUGCAUAUCAAGUAGGAGAUAUUUAACUGCCCUAAUGACAAAACACUUUUGUUCCCUGAGUUACAGUCGCAUUGGAGACAUGCAUUAGCGAAAUGACACCACCUGUAGUUGCGUGUUUGGAGUUAGACAUGCAACUAGCUCCACAAUAAUAAUCUGAAUUUUAAGUUUUAAUGAAUUUUAAAUUAAAGAAAAAAGAAAAGAUGCGAAUAUAAAAACAGAAAUAGAGAAAACAAACAAUAGGAAAAAUCCUAAAAAAGGCAAAAACAAAGAAAGGAAAAACUUGUUUGAAGUUUCUAGAAGCUUCAUAAAACCAGUAGAAAGAGUCCUACAUGGGGCGGCCCACUCACACAUGUAAAAAGAGGCGGGCGAGGUGUAUGUCGACUAGCUCAGAGUUGGGGAAUCCUAUUCCGCGCAUAGGUCGCUACGUAGCGACCUAGCGCGUACCCCUCGGGUUUGUGGUCCUGUUCGGGUCGGUCCAUUCCAGGUUCUUCCCCAUACCGGUUUUUAGGAAAGUUCUAGAGCUUUUUUUCUAUUUUCUUUGUUUUCUUCUAGUUUUUUAUUUCUUUUAUAUUUUAUAUAUCACUUCUUAUUUUCUUUUACUUUAAAUUUUCUUUUUUGGUGUUGCAAACAUAUUUUCAAAUUCGUAAACGUUUAUUGAAUUCAAGAACAGUUUUUGAGUUGACAAACAUAUAUCUGAAAUAAUGAACAUUUUCUAAUUCAACAGUACAUUUUAAAAUCACAAAAUAACAAAAAAAUAACUUUUGAGGACAUUUUUAAAAAAUUCUGAACAUGUUUGUCAAUCGGCCGACAUUUUUUGAAUCGAUGAACAUUUCUAUGAAUUGGCAUGAUUUUUUUGAAUUGGUAAACAUUUUUUGAAUCGAUGACCAUUUUUUGAAUCAAUGAAUAUUUUUUACAUGAAUGAACAUUUUUGGAAAUUCACAAUAUUUUUUUUAAACAUUUUAAAAACUUGUUGAACAUUGCUUGUAUCUCAACUUCCGUCCUGAUUAAUUAAAUAAAGUGGUGAUACCCAUCAAAAGAAAAUAGCUACGGUUGGCACAAAAUUCGCGAUCAACGAAGGAAUAGACUGUUGAGGAACGUUGCAGAAAAUUAAAAUUUUUCCUACGGUUUCACCAAGAUCCAUCUAUGAGUUCAUCUAAGCAACGAGUCAAGGGGAAGAGUUUGCAUCUACAUACCACUUGUAGAUCACGAGCGGAAGCUUGUCAAGGGGAUGGUGAUGAUGGAGUCAUACUCGAACGUGAUUCGGAUCACCGAUGUCCAAGUGCUGAACGGACAGCACCCCCGCGUUCAACACACGUACGGGACGGGAGACGUCUCCUCCGUCUUGAUCCAGCAAGGAGGAAGGAGAGGUUGAGGAAGGCAGCUCCAACGGCAGCACGACGGCGUGGUGUAGUUGGUGCAGCAGUACUUCGACCGAGCUUCGCCAAGCACGUACGGAGGAGGAGAGGUGUUGGGGAGGGGAGGGGCUGCGCCUUGAGUUGUGGUGUAUUGCAGCCCUCCCCUCACCCCUCUAUAUAUAGGGGAAGGGGCAAGGGGGGCCGGCCCUCUAGGGAAAACCCUAGGGGGGGGGGGCGGCGGCCAAGGGGUGGGGGGCUUGCCCCCCAAGCAAGGGGGGUGCGCCCCCUUUAGGGUUUCCCCCCCAACCCUAGGCGCAUGGGCCCAAAGGGGGGGGGCGCGCCAAGCCCACCAGGGGCUGGCUGCUAUCCCAAUGCAGCCCAAGUGGCCACCCGGGAGGGGUGGUCCCUCCCGGUGGACCCCCGGAACCUUUCCGGUGGUCCCGGUACAAUACCGGUAUGACCCCGAAACUUUCCGGUACCCGUUUAACAACUUCCCAUAUAUAAAACUUUACCUCCGGACCAUUCCGGAACUCCUCAUGACGUCCGGGAUCUCAUCCGGGACUCCGAACAACAUUCGGUAAUCACAUACUUGUCUUCCUGAUAACCCUAGCGUCACCGAACCUUAAGUGUGUAGACCCUACGGGUUCGGGAGACAUGCAGACAUGACCGAGACUCUCCGGUCAAUAACCAACAGCGGGAUCUGGAUACCCAUGCUGGCUCCCACAUGCUCCUCGAUGAAGUCAUCGGAUGAACCACGAUGUCAAGGAUUCGAUCAAACCCCGUAUACAAUUCCCUUUGUCAAUCGGUACGUUACUUGCCCGAGACUCGAUCGUCGGUAUCCCAAUACCUUGUUUAGUCUCGUUACUGGCAAGUCACUUUACUCGUACCGUAAUGCAUGAUCCCGUGGCCAACACCUUGGUCACCUUGAGCUCAUUAUGAUGAUGCAUUACCGAGUGGGCCCAGAGAUACCUCUCCGUCAUACGGAGUGACAACUCCCAGUCUCGAUCCGUGUCAACCCAAUAGACACUUUCGGAGAUACCUGUAGUGCACCUUUAUAGUCACCCAGUUACGUUGUGAUGUUUGAUACACCCAAAGCAUUCCUACGGUAUCCAGGAGUUACACGAUCUCAUGGUCGAAGGAAGAGAUACUUGACAUUGGAAAAGCUCUAGCAAACGAACUAACCGACCUUUGUGCUAUGCUUAGGAUUGGGUCUUGUCCAUCACAUCAUUCUCCUAAUGAUGGGAUCCCGUUAUCAACGACAUCCAAUGUCCAUAGCCAGGAAACCAUGACUAUCUGUUGAUCACAACGAGCUAGUUAACUAGAGGCUUACUAGGGACAUAUUGUGGUCUAUGUAUUCACACGUGUAUUACGAUUUCCGGAUAAUACAGUUAUAGCAUGAAUAAAAGACUAUUAUCAUGAACAAAGAAAUAUAAUAAUAACACUUUUAUUAUUGCCUCUAGGGCAUAUUUCCAACAGUCUCCCACUUGCACUAGAGUCACUAAUCUAGUUACAUUGUGAUGAAUUGAACACCCAUAGAGUUCUGGUGUUGAUCAUGUUUUGCUCGCGAGAGAGGUUUAGUCAACGGAUCUGCGACAUUCAGAUCUGUAUGUACUUUGCAAAUUUCUAUGUCUCCAUCUUGAACAUUUUCACGGAUGGAGUUGAAACGACGCUUGAUGUGCCUGGUCUUCUUGUGAAACCUGGGCUCCUUGGCAAGGGCAAUAGCUCCAGUGUUGUCACAGAAAAGUUUGAUUGGCCCCGACGCAUUGGGUAUGACUCCUAGGUCGGUGAUGAACUCCUUCACCCAAAUAGCUUCAUGCGCUGCCUCCGAGGCUGCCAUGUACUCCGCUUCACAUGUAGAUCCCGCCACGACGCUCUGCUUGCAGCUGCACCAGCUUACUGCUCCACCAUUCAACAUAUACACGUAUCCGGUUUGUGACUUAGAGUCAUCCAGAUCUGUGUUGAAGCUAGCGUCGACGUAACCCUUUACGACGAGUUCUUCGUCACCUCCAUAAAUGAGAAACAUGUCCUUUGUCCUUUUCAGGUACUUCAGGAUAUUCUUGACCGCUGUCCAGUGUUCCUUGCCGGGAUUACUCUGGUAUCUUGCUACCAAACUUACGGCAAGGUUUACAUCAGGUCUGGUACACAGCAUGGCAUACAUAAUAGAUCCUAUGGCUGAAGCAUAGGGGAUGACACUCAUCUCUUCUUUAUCUUUUGCCGUGGUCGGUGACUGAGCUGAGCUCAAUCUCACACCUUGUAACAUAGGCAAGAACCCUUUCUUGGACUCAUCCAUUUUGAACUUUUUCAAAAUCUUAUCAAGGUAUGUGCUUUGUGAAAGACCUAUGAGGCGUCUCGAUCUAUCUCUAUAGAUCUUGAUGCCUAAUAUAUAAGCAGCUUCUCCAAGGUCCUUCAUUGAAAAACAUUUGUUCAAGUAGGCCUUAAUGCUGUCCAGAAAUUCUAUAUUAUUACCCAUCAAGAGUAUGUCAUCCACAUAUAAUAUGAGAAAUGCUACAGAGCUCCCACUCACUUUCUUGUAAACGCAGGCUUCUCCAUAAGUCUGCAUAAACCCAAACGCUUUGAUCAUCUCAUCAAAGCGAAUAUUCCAACUCCGAGAUGCUUGCACCAGCCCAUAAAUGGAUCGCUGGAGCUUGCAUACUUUGUUAGCGUUCUUAGGAUCGACAAAACCUUCCGGCUGCAUCAUAUACAACUCUUCCUUAAGAUGCCCGUUAAGGAAUGCCGUUUUGACGUCCAUCUGCCAUAUCUCAUAAUCAUAGUAUGCGGCAAUUGCUAACAUGAUUCGGACGGACUUAAGCUUCGCUACGGGAGAGAAUGUCUCGUCGUAGUCAAUCCCUUGAACUUGUCGAUAACCCUUAGCGACAAGUCGAGCUUUAUAGAUGGUGACAUUACCAUCCGCGUCCGUCUUCUUCUUAAAGAUCCAUUUGUUUUCUAUCGCUCGCCGAUCAUCGGGCAAGUCAGUCAAAGUCCAUACUUUGUUUUCAUACAUGGAUUCUAUCUCGUAUUUCAUGGCUUCUAGCCAUUUGUUGGAAUCUGGGCCCGCCAUCGCUUCUUCAUAGUUCGAAGGUUCACCGUUGUCUAACAACAUGAUUUCCAGGACAGGGUUGUCGUACCACUCUGGUGCGGAACGUGUCCUUGUGGACCUACGAAGUUCAGUAGCAACUUGAUCCGAAGUACCUUGAUCAUCAUCAUUGGUUUCCUCUUCAGUUGGUGUGGGCAUCACAGGAACAUUUUCCUGAGCUGCAUCACUUUCCCGUUCGAGAGGUAGUACUUCAUCAAGUUCUACUUUCCUCCCACUUACUUCUUUCGAGAGAAACUCUUUUUCCAGAAAGCAUCCGUUCUUGGCAACAAAGAUCUUGCCCUCGGAUCUUAAGUAGAAGGUAUACCCUACAGUUUCCUUAGGGUAUCCUAUGAAGACGCAUUUGUCCGACUUGGGUUCGAGCUUUUCAGGUUGAAGUUUCUUGACAUAAGCAUCGCGUCGCCAAACUUUUAGAAACGACAGCUUAGGUUUCUUCCCAAACCAUAAUUCAUACGGUGUCGUCUCAACGGAUUUAGACGGUGCCCUAUUUAAAGUGAAUGUAGCUGUCUCUAGAGCGUAUCCCCAAAAUGAUAGCGGUAAAUCGGUAAGAGACAUCAUAGACCGCACCAUAUUCAAUAGAGUGCGAUUACGACGUUCGGACACACCAUUUCGCUGAGGUGUUCCAGGCGGCGUGAGUUGUGAAAUGAUUCCACAUUUCCUUAAGUGUGUGCCAAAUUCGUGACUUAAAUAUUCUCCUUCACGAUCUGAUCGUAGGAACUUUAUCUUUCGGUCACGUUGAUUCUCCACCUCAUUCUGAAAUUCGUUGAACUUUUCAAAGGUCUCAGACUUGUGUUUCAUUAAGUAGACAUACCCAUAUCUGCUUAAGUCAUCAGUGAGAGUGAGAACAUAACGAUAUCCUCUGCGAGCCUCAACGCUCAUUGGACCGCACACAUCGGUAUGUAUGAUUUCCAACAAGUUGGUUGCUCACUCCAUUGUUCCGGAGAACGGAGUCUUGGUCAUUUUUCCCAUGAGGCAUGGUUCGCAUGUGUGAUUCAUAAUCAAGAGACUCUAAAAGUCCAUCGGCAUGGAGCUUCUUCAUGCGCUUCACACCAAUGUGACCAAGUUGGCAGUGCCACAAGUAUGUGGGACUAUCGUUAUCAACUUUACAUCUUUUGGCAUCUACACUAUGAACAUGUGUAAUAUUACGCUCGAGAUUCAUUAAUAAUAAACCAUUGACCAUCGGAGCAUGACCAUAAUACAUAUCUCUCAUAUAAAUCGAACAACCAUUAUUCUCAGACUUAAAUGAGUAGCCAUCUCGUAUUAAACGAGAUCCAGAUACAAUAUUCAUGCUCAAACUUGGCACUAAAUAACAAUUAUUAAGGUUCAAAACUAAUCCCGUAGGUAAAUGUAGAAGCAGCGUGCCGACGGCGAUCACAUCGACUCUGGAACCAUUCCCGACGCGCAUCGUCACCUCGUCCUUCGCCAGUCUCCGUUUAUUCCGCAGCUCCUGCUGUGAGUUACAAAUAUGAGCAACGGCACCGGUAUCAAAUACCCAGGAGUUACUACGAGUACUGGUAAGGUACACAUCAAUUACAUGUAUAUCAAAUAUACCUUUGGUGUUGCCGGCCUUCUUAUCCGCUAAGUAUUUGGGGCAGUUCCGCUUCCAGUGACCCUUCCCCUUGCAAUAAAAGCACUCAGUCUCAGGCUUGGGUCCAUUCUUUGACUUCUUCCCGGCAACUGGCUUACCGGGCGCGGCAACCUCUUUGCUGUCCUUCUUGAAGUUCUUUUUACCCUUGCCCUUCUUGAACUUAGUGGUCUUAUUGACCAUCAGCACUUGAUGUUCUUUCUUGAUUUCAACCUCUGCUGACUUCAGCAUAGAAAAUACUUCAGGAGUGGUCUUUACCAUCCCCUGCAUAUUGUAGUUCAUCACAAAGCUCUUGUAGCUUGGUGGGAGCGACUGAAGGAUUCGGUCAACGACUGCCUCAUCAGGGAGGUUAAUAUUCAGCUGGGUCAUACGGUUGUGCAACCCAGACAUCUUGAGUAUUUGCUCACUGACAGAACUAUUUUCCUCCAUCUUACAACUAUAGAACUUGUCGGAGAUGUCAUAUCUCUCGACCCGGGCGUGAGCUUGAAAUACUAGUUUCAGCUCUUCGAACAUCUCAUAUGCUCCGUGAUGCUCAAAACGUUUUGGAGCCCCGGUUCUAAGCUGUAAAGCAUGCCGCACUGAACGAGGGAGUAAUCAUCAGCACGAGACUGCCAAGCAUUCAUAAUGUCUUGGUUCUCUAGGACGGGAGCGUCACCUAGCGGUCCUUCUAGGACAUAUUGUUUCCUGACAGCUAUGAGGAUGAUCCUCAGGUUCCGGACCCAGUCCAUAUAGUUGCUGCCAUCAUCUUUCAGCUUGGUUUUCUCUAGGAACGCGUUGAAGUUCAUGUUGACAUGAGCGUUGGCCAUUUGAUCUACAAGACAUAUUUGCAAAGGUUUUAGACUAAGUUCAUGAUAAUUAAGUUCUAAUCAAAUUAUGAACUCCCACUUAGAUUAGACAUCCCUCUAGUCAUCUAAGUGUUACACGAUCCGAGUCGACUAGCCCGUGUCCGAUCAUCACGUGAGACGGACUAGUCAUCGUCGGUGAACAUCUUCAUGUUGAUCGUAUCUUCCAUACGACUCGUGUUCGACCUUUCGGUCUCCGUGUUCCGAGGCCAUGUCUGCACAUGCUAGGCUCGUCAAGUUAACCCUAAGUGUUUUCACUGUGUAAAACUGUCUUACACCCGUUGUAUGUGAACGUAAGAAUCCAUCACACCCGAUCAUCACAUGGUGCUUAGAAGUGACGAACUGUAGCAACGGUGCACAGUUAGGGGAGAACACUUCUUGAAAUUUUGUAAGGGAUCAUCUUAUUUACUACCGUCGUCCUAAGUAAACAAGAUGCAUAAAACAUAAUAAACAUCACAUGCAAUUAUAUAAAGUAGUGACAUGAUAUGGCCAAUAUCAUAUAGCUCCUUUGAUCUCCAUCUUCGGGGCUCCAUGAUCAUCUUGUCACCGGCAUGACACCAUGAUCUCCAUCAUCGUGUCUUCAUGAAGUUGUCACGCCAACGACUACUUCUACAUCUAUGACUAACGCGUUUAGCAAUAAAGUAAAGUAAGUUACAUGGCGUUCUUCAAUGACACGCAGGUCAUACAAAAAUAAAGACAACUCCUAUGGCUCCUGCCGGUUGUCAUACCCAUCGACAUGCAAGUCGUGAAUCCUAUUACAAGAACAUGAUCUCAUACAUCACAAUUCAUCAUUCAUCACAACUUCUGGCCAUAUCACAUCACAUGAUCAAUCGCUGCAAAAACAAGUUAGACGUCCUCUAAUUGUUGUUGCAUCUUUUACGUGGCUGCAAUUGGGUUCUAGCAAGAACGUUUUCUUACCUACGAAUAACCACAACGUGAUUUUGACAACUUCUAUUUACCCUUCAUAAGGGCCCUUUUCAUCGAAUCCGCUCCAACUAAAGUGGGAGAGACAGACACCCGCCAGCCACCUUAUGCAACUAGUGCAUGUUAAUCGGUGGAACCGGUCUCACGUAAGCGUACGUGUAAGGUUGGUCCGGGCCGCUUCAUCCCACAAUACCGCUGAAGCAAGAAAAUACUAGUAGAGGCAAGCAAGUUGACAAGAUCCACGCCCACAACAAAAUUGUGUUCUACUCGUGCAAAGAGAACUACGCAUAGACCUAGCUCAUGAUGCCACUGUUGGGGAACGUUGCAGAAAAUUAAAAUUUUUCCUACGGUUUCACCAAGAUCCAUCUAUGAGUUCAUCUAAGCAACGAGUCCAGGGGAAGAGUUUGCAUCUACAUACCACUUGUAGAUCACGAGCGGAAGCUUGUCAAGGGGAUGGUGAUGAUGGAGUCGUACUCGAACGUGAUUCGGAUCACCGAUGUCCAAGUGCUGAACGGACAGCACCUCCGUGUUCAACACACGUACGGGACGGGAGACGUCUCCUCCGUCUUGAUCCAGCAAGGAGGAAGGAGAGGUUGAGGAAGGCAGCUCCAACGGCAGCACGACGGCGUGGUGUAGUUGGUGCAGCAGUACUCCGAUAGAGCUUCGCCAAGCACAUACGGAGGAGGAGAGGUGUUGGGGAGGGGAGGGGCUGCGCCUUGAGUUGUGGUGUAUUGCAGCCCUCCCCUCACCCCUCUAUAUAUAAGGGAAGGGGCAAGGGGGGCCGGCCCUCUAGGGAAAACCCUAGGGGGGGCGGCGGCCAAGGGGUGGGGGGCUUGCCCCCCAAGCAAGGGGGAUGCGCCCCCUUUAGGGUUUCCCCCCCAACCCUAGGCGCAUGGGCCCAAAGGGGGGGGGGCGCCAAGCCCACCAGGGGCUGGCUGCUAUCCCUACGCAGCCCAAGUGGCCCCCCGGGAGGGGUGGUCCCUCCCGGUGGACCCUCGGAACCUUUCCGGUGGUCCCGGUACAAUACCGGUAUGACCCCGAAACUUUCCGGUGCUCGUUUAACAACUUCCCAUAUAUAAAACUUUACCUCCGGACCAUUUCGGAACUCCUCGUGACGUCCGGGAUCUCAUCCGGGACUCCGAACAACAUUCGGUAAUCACAUACUUGUCUUCCUGAUAACCCUAGCGUCACCGAACCUUAAGUGUGUAGACCCUACGGGUUCGGGAGACAUGCAGACAUGACCGAGACUAUCAGGUCAAUAACCAACAGCGGGAUCUGGAUACCCAUGUUGGCUCCCACAUGCUCCUCGAUGAAGUCAUCGGAUGAACCACGAUGUCGAGGAUUCGAUCAAACCCCGUAUACAAUUCCCUUUGUCAAUCGGUACGUUACUUGCCUGAGACUCGAUCAUCGGUAUCCCAAUACCUUGUUCAGUCUCGUUACUGGCAAGUCACUUUACUCGUACCGUAAUGCAUGAUCCCGUGGCCAACACCUUGGUCACCUUGAGCUCAUUAUGAUGAUGCAUUACCGAGUGGGCCCAGAGAUACCUCUCCGUCAUACGGAGUGACAAAUCCCAGUCUCUAUCCGUGUCAACCCAAUAGACUCUUUCGGAGAUACCUGUAGUGCACCUUUAUAGUCACCCAGUUACGUUGCGACGUUUGAUACACCCAAAGCAUUCCUACGGUAUCCAGGAGUUACACGAUCUCAUGGUCGAAGGAAGAGAUACUUGACAUUGGAAAAGCUCUAGCAAACGAACUAACCGACCUUUGUGCUAUGCUUAGGAUUGGGUCUUGUCCAUCACAUCAUUCUCCUAAUGAUGUGAUCCCGUUAUCGUCGACAUCCAAUGUCCAUAGCCAGGAAACCAUGACUAUCUGUUGAUCACAACGAGCUAGUCAACUAGAGGCUUACUAGGGACAUAUUGUGGUCUAUGUAUUCACACGUGUAUUACGAUUUCUGGAUAAUACAGUUAUAGCAUGAAUAAAAGACUAUUAUCAUGAACAAAGAAAUAUAAUAAUAAAACUUUUAUGAUUGCCUCUAGGGCAUAUUUCCAACAUAGACCUUCUCCCAGGAAGACCCGAUCAGACUCGGAAUCCCGGUUUACAAGACAUUUCGACAAUGGUAAAACAAGACCAGCAAAGCCUCCCGCUGUGCUGACAAAUCCCGAUAGGAGCUGCACAUAUCUCGUUCUCAGGGAACACCGGAUUGUCCAAACUUCCGGUAGGCUAGCCCAGAGUUGCCCCUGGUGGCCACCGGCGGCUGACAGGUUGGACCAACACUCACGACGAGCACUGGCCCGGGGGGGGGGGUAAAAUAAAGAUGACCCUUGAGUCUGCAGAACCCAAGGGAAAAAGGCUUAGGUAGGCAAAUGGUAAAACCAAGGUUGGGCCUUGCUGGAGGAGUUUUAGUCAAAGCGAACUGUCAAGGGGGUCCCAUAAAUCACCCAACCGCGUAAGGAACGCAAAAUCCGGGAACAUAACACUGGUAUGACGGAAACUAGGGCGGCAAGAGUGGAACAAAACACCAGGCAUAAGGCCGACUCUUCCAUCCUUUACCAAGUAUAUAGAUGCAUUAAUUAAAUAAGAGAUAUUGUGACAUCCCAACAUAAUCCUGUCCAUCAUGGAGCAAUCUUCAACUUCACCUGCAACUAGCAACGCUAUAAGAGGGCUGAGCAAAGCCGUAACAUAGCCAAGCAAUGGUUUGCUAGGAAUGGUGAAAAGGUUAGAGGCUGACAUGGCAAUAUGGGAGGCAUGGUAAACAAGUGAUAGGUAGCGCAGCACAGCGAUAGAACGAAGCAACUAGCAAGCAAAGAUAGAAGUGAUAUCAAGGGUAAUGGUCAUCUUGCCUGAAAUCCCGAUAGGAAGAACGAGUCCAUGAAGAAGACAAACGAACAUAGUCGAACGAAUCCUCACAACUCCGGAACGAAACCGAAGCUAACGAAAGAAGCAAACCGGAAAGAAGCAAACAACAUCGUAAACACACACGCAUAAACAUGGCAUGAUGCACAAACAAGUAUCAUGCAUGUCCGGUUUAAUGAGGCAUGGCAUGGCAAAGUGCAACAAACAAUACUACAAGUUAAGUGGAGCUCAAUAUGCAACGAGGUGCAUAUUGACGAAACACCACAUCAAUUAUUUAGUUCUCUCUCGUUUAGGCUAACAAACAAUAUUUAAUGUUGUUAAACAUGUCAAGAGGUGAAACAUAAUUAAACUAACUAUUUAGGCAAGUUUAAAUGAGGCCGGAAACAACAAACAACAAUUCCGGUAAAUCCCCAUAUGUCAAUUAGCAAUUUUAAAGCAAACAACAAUUUUAACCAUUUUAAAUGUUGUUAUCAUGAUGCGGAUGACAUAUGCAAGUUUUAUGCAAUUUUAUGAAAAUGUUGACAUGAGCAUGUUAUGAAGCAUUUGGUCACCAUGGCGGAACGAAAAGGGUGCCACGGCAACGAUAACCAAAAUGGUGCCACUGCAACAUAUCCGAAAAUGAUGCCACGGCAACAUAUCGGUCCCGAUAACUCAAGUGAGAUACCGAUGCAAACGAGAAGUGUGACGUGAGCGAGUCAUGCAAUAUGGUGGGGUGAUCCCGGCUACCGGGUUCCCAUGGGUUAGUGGCAUGGCAAAGAGCGACAAUUCGGACGCGGUGCACACACAAGCAUCUCAUACAACACAUAUUCAUUCGGUCCACGGUUGAUCGUCUCGGGGCUUAUACCUUCGAAGCGUGCGUUUUCGGAGCGGUUCAAAAACGUCGAGGGAAGUAGUCGUUCACGGGUCGUAGGGGAAGUAGUGGUUCACGUUCGUCUCGGAGAGGUACUUGACGAAACCAACAUCUUCGGGGCGACGGUAGUGGUUCACGGACGUCGUGGGAAGUAGUGGAAGUAGUUGUACACGGCGACGGUAGUUGUACACACGUUGUAGUCGAACUUGACGGUCUCGGUCCUGGCGAUCCAAAGGGCACUUGGCGGUUUUAAUCGAACCGUAGUGGUACUGGGCGAGAUACACAUCCACGGUAGUCUUCGGCCUUGAUUUUCCUGUACAUGGCUCCACAGGUCCUGAGGGGACUCGGCGAUGGCCAUGGCAAAGAGGCGGCGAGGCGUUGGACGGACUAACAGGCAGAGGUGGUCGUGGUAGUACUAGCUCAUGGGGAUGGCGGUCUUGGGCGGCAACAACCUGCCGUGUUGGUGCAGCAGCGGCUGCUGGAGAGGCCAUGGCUACAAGGGUGGCGAGCUCGAGCAAAUCCGACGAGGACGGCCGGGAUGGCUGGGGUUGCGAGGGAGCAGAGGUCGGCCGGUCGUGGCAGACGGCGGAGAGCACCUCAGCCACGGGGAAGGUGGACGGCGGGCUUCGGAGCAAGGGGAGGCAGAUGCGGGCGAGCGGAGCACGGCGGGGACGCGGGGAUGCUGAUGGCACGCGACAGAUAGACUUUUUUAGUUCGCACUCGUGUUCGUGUUGGAGACGGACUGCUCCUUCGUAUGCGAGACGGACGACGACGUGUUUUUUUCCUCUUCCCGGUUGAUGAUGCCCAUAUGGAGUGCGGGUUGAUUUCAUAAAAGAUGAGGGACUUGUUUGCAAAAACGCCGCAACGGUGAACCGAGAGACCCAAUCCGUGCUUUAUUAUUAGGGAGAGNNNNNNNNNNNNNNNNNNNNNNNNNNNNNNNNNNNNNNNNNNNNNNNNNNNNNNNNNNNNNNNNNNNNNNNNNNNNNNNNNNNNNNNNNNNNNNNNNNNNNNNNNNNNNNNNNNNNNNNNNNNNNNNNNNNNNNNNNNNNNNNNNNNNNNNNNNNNNNNNNNNNNNNNNNNNNNNNNNNNNNNNNNNNNNNNNNNNNNNNNNNNNNNNNNNNNNNNNNNNNNNNNNNNNNNNNNNNNNNNNNNNNNNNNNNNNNNNNNNNNNNNNNNNNNNNNNNNNNNNNNNNNNNNNNNNNNNNNNNNNNNNNNNNNNNNNNNNNNNNNNNNNNNNNNNNNNNNNNNNNNNNNNNNNNNNNNNNNNNNNNNNNNNNNNNNNNNNNNNNNNNNNNNNNNNNNNNNNNNNNNNNNNNNNNNNNNNNNNNNNNNNNNNNNNNNNNNNNNNNNNNNNNNNNNNNNNNNNNNNNNNNNNNNNNNNNNNNNNNNNNNNNNNNNNNNNNNNNNNNNNNNNNNNNAUAUAUAUAUAUAUAUAUAUAUAUAUAUAUAUAUUUCUAUCAUAGCUUACUAUGGAAAUAGCUAUCAGAACCGUCGGACUCUACCUCAAGAUUCGAACCGAAGUGUGGUCCGGUUCCUUUUCUUGUUCUUUUGUUGAUUUUUGGAUGGUGUAACCCACAAACAGAAACUCAAACGACAUCCACCCUGCUAGCCCAGGCUGCCGACCUGGAACCUAUCCCCUGAUCAAAGAAGCAGAAGAAGAACUCACGCAAGCAAGCAUCGCUCUCGCGUCAUGAUCAUCGCAAAACAUGUACCUGCAACUGUUGUUGUAGUAAUCUGUGACCCACGAGGACUCAGCAAUCCCAUUGCCAUGGGUAUCAAGACUAGCAAAGCUUAAAGGUAAAGGAAGGGGUAAAGUGGUGAGGCUGCAGCAGCGACUAAGCAUAUAUGGUGGCUAACAUACACAAAUAAGAGCGAGAAGAGAGCAAGCAGAACGGUCGUGAAGCUAGCAAUGAUCAAGAAGUGAUCCUGAACUCCUACUUACGUCAAACAUAACCCAGAAACCGUGUUCACUUCCCGGACUCCGCCGAGAAGAGACCAUCACGGCUACGCACACGGUUGAUGCAUUUUAAUUCUGAUCUGGUGUCAAGUUAUCUACAACCGGACAUUAAUAACUUCCCAUCUGCCUAUAACCGCAGGCACGGCUUUCGAAAGAUUAUACCCUGCAGGGGUGUCCCAACUUAGCGCAUGACAAGCUCUCGCGAUCAACGAAGGAAUAGACCUUCUCCCAGGAAUACCCGAUCAGACUCGGAAUCCUGGUUUACAAGACAUUUCGACAAUGGUAAAACAAGACCAGCAAGACCGCCAGAUGCGCCGACAAUCCCGAUAGGAGCUGCACAUAUCUCGUUCUCAGGGCAACACCGGAUGAGCAAUCCGUACAACUAAAACCAGACCUCAAGUUUCCCUGAGGGGGUGCUGCAAAUGGCUCUAGUUCGGACCAACACUUAGACAAGCACUGGCCCGAGGGGGGGGGGGGCUAAAAUAAAGAUGACCCUCGAGAGCGCGACUCCCAUGGGAAAAAGGGCUAUGUGAGGCAAAUGGUAAAACCAAGGUUGGGCCUUGCUGGAGGAGUUUUAUUCAAAGCGAACUGUCAAGGGGGUCCCAUAAAUCACCCGACCUCCCCGGCGAUCCUCGAAAUCCGUGCACGAGUUGACUUUCUCACCCUCGAGGUUGAAUUUUCUGAUGUCCCUAUAUUUUGUUAUUUUCACGCCAUGUUCGUCAUGUUGUAUCUCUGCAUCCGUAGCUCCGUUUCAUGCGUGUAAUAUGUCAAAUUGUUCGUCUCAAUGAGUACAUCAUUUCAUUCCAUUGCAUCAUAUUCAUUUAAGGUAAUCUUGAUGCCUGAAUCAUCAUUGUAAGAGUGCUUCAUGAUGUUUUCUGCUGUCUGUUAUCAGAACGAGCUCUUUUGUCAUUUUUGCCAUGAUUGAUGUGUGCAUCCUAUGAGGUUGAUGUCUACAUGUGUUUUGAACUAUGCCAUGUCUUCUUUACAGAGGUGCUUACCAUGUAUUUUUGUGAUCAAUGUGGUGACUAGCACAAGCAUGCAAACUAGGCAUCGUGAUGUUACUGAUUUUAGUCCCUGUUCUGCUGUUAUUUUGAUGCCAUGUAAACUUGAUGCUACAGAAAGAUCCAUGCAUAUUUUGAGAUACUUCAGUAAGGGUGUUUUGAACAUGUGGUUAUUGUCUAUCCAUUCAUGCCCUUGGUUGCAAUUAUGGAGUAGCCUAGAAUGUCAUUUUCGUGCUCUACUUUUGCUUCAAAAUGUUUCCUGGCAGAUUGUUUACAUGUUAUUCAAUUUGGCCAAGGUUGAUAUAGUUGAUCCUUGCAUGCUAUGGACUUGUUCUUGACUUGGUUUGUUUCACAAACAUGUAUUCUUGAUGAUGCUAUGCUUAUCUUGUCAUGCAAAGACUUGUGGUGAGUGAAUCGAGCUUGCUAAGUAGGGUACUUGAUGUUGUUGUUUUGCUAGGCUGAAUAUAUUAUUUCGUGAUGCUAUAUAAACCUACUGCUACUAAUCAUUCUAUGCAUAAUCUGGAGAUGUUCUAUAAACAUGUUUUGAUCUACAUGUCAUCCUAUAUCCAUCCAUGCCCCUGGUUGCAUUUAUAGCUUGUUGUAGAUUGUUCAUAUCUUGCUCCAAACUUGCUUCAUAAUGUUGUUGUCAGUCUGUUAACAUUAAGUUCAGUUGUUGACAUGAUUGUUGCUAGUGUUCCAUACAUCCUAUGACCUUGCUAUUGCCAUGCUUAGCUUCACAAACAUGCCUUCUUACUGUUGGUUGCCUUGCCAUGCCAUGUUUUGCUCUGUAGUGAGUUCACAAGCUCAUCUACAUGCCUUCAUAAUUCUGUUUCUGCCAUGUUUGAAUCUGUAAUAUAACUUGCCAUAUUUACAUGGGUGCCAUCAUAUUUUCUGAUCCUUUUUGGCUUAUGGUCAGUAAAGUACUUUUGAUCUAUGAAAUUAGUAGAUUCAUGCCAUGCCUUUGUUUGCCAUGAUAAGUUCCUGUAACAUGUUGUUUGAUAGCUCUAAACAUUGCAUCGUGAUGUUAUUUUCUGCAAAGUCUGAAAUUGUUAUAACUUGCAAUCUUACCAUGUGUGUUUGAGCAUGUUCUAAUGAUUUCUGGAGAUAGCUCAGUGUUCAUGUUUUGUUGUGCUUUACCUGUACAUCAUGCUCAUGCAUUUUAUUUUCAUAUUGUGGUGCUGUAGCAUAUUGUUUUGAUGCUUGCAAUAUACCUAGUUGCUGUUUUGGACAGAUUGUUGCUUUCACUUGUAUAUGGUGUGUGUGCUGAACCGUUGCUCUGUUUUGAGUGUGCUCUAUAUGAAACUUGCUUGUUUUUGCAUGUAGUUUCAUAUUAUCAUGUUGCAUCCAUGUUUUGAGGUGUUUGCUUGAUGUUUGAGUGCAUUUUACAUCAAUGCCAUGUUUAACUUGUUUUGCUCAUAUCUUCUAGGCCGUAGCUCCGAACUAAAUGAACUUUAUAUGUAACUUGACUAGAAUCUUGUGUAGAUCAUCUUUGUGCAUCUUAACUUGCUGUUUAACAACUUGAACAUAAGGUUUAUUCAGAUCUGGACCAACUUCGAAAUAUGCAUAUGAGGACUUAUCAGAAUUGUUAUAUGUUGUUCCCGGCCUCAUUUAAACUUGCCUUGAUGUGUUGUUCUUGUUUGCAUUAUCUCUGGCCAAGAGUAGCCUCAUCUAGAUUUGUCAUGCAUCAUGCUUGUUGUGCAUCAUGUCAUGUUCAUGUGUGGUGUGUUUACUAUGUUGUGUGCUUCUUUUCGAUAGUUCCCGUUUUGUUGCGAUCGUGAGGAUUCGUUCGUCUACGCUUGGUUCUUCUUCGUGGCUUCAUCUUCUUCAUGGACUCGUUCUUCUUCCUUGCGGGAUUUCAGGAAAGAUGACCGCUACCCUGGAUCUCACUACUAUCAUUGCUAUGCUAGUUGCUUCGUUCUAUCGCUAUGCUGCGUUACCUAUCUCUGCUCAUCAAGCCUUCCAUAUUGCCAUGAACCUCUAACCUUUGACACCUUUCCUAUGCAAACCGUUGUUUUGCUAUGUUACCGCUUUUGCUCAGCCCGUCUUAUAGCGUUGCUAGUUGCAGGUGAAGUUGAAGAUUUCUCCAUGGUGGACAGGAUUUUUAUUGGGAUAUCAUAAUAUCUCGUAUAUUAUUAAUGCAUCUAUAUACUUGGUAAAGGGUGGAAGACUCGGCCUUAUGCCUGGUGUUUUGUUCCACUCUUGCCGCCCUAGUUUCCGUCAUACCGGUGUUAUGUUCCCGGAUUUUGCGUUCCUUACGCGGUCGGGUGAUUUAUGGGACCCCCUUGACAGUUCGCUUUGAAUAAAACUCCUCCAGCAAGACCCAACCUUGGUUUUACCAUUUGCCUCAUAUUUCUAUCAUAGCUUACUAUGGAAAUAGCUAUCAGAACCGUCAGACUCUGCCUCAAGAUUCGAACCGAAGUGUGGUCCGGUUCCUUUUCUUGUUCUUUUGUUGAUUUUUGGAUGGUGUAACCCGGCCCACAUGCUGACAACUUUACAGAUGGAGUAAAGACAGGGCCUGCCCCAUGUGGUUCUGACUCGUUCUUGGACCAACUCGUCGGUCACGGACGUGUGCAAUGGAGGUUCCACGCCGUCCAUUGAACUUUUUUUAGCAUCAGUAGGCGCCUCGUCGUCGAUGGGAACGUCUUCUCCCACUGAAAGUGCAUCGCCAGAAAUUCUGAAAUAAAUCCAGAAAUAAUGCAAGCACCAGGAUUUGAACCCGGAUGGGUUAGGGAUAUCACUGUCCACCUAACCAACUCAACCACAGGUUGAUUCGCUCACCGUCCAUUGAACUUGCAUACCGGUUCCUGCUGCUCGUGAGCCUCGUUACGGCCAGUUCCUUCGUCGCAUGACACCUUUUUUUUCCAGUUGCCACGUCGCGUUCCUUUUCCAUCUCUUUGGCGAAUUUUGUGCUGAUAAAAGCCUGUGUUGAGUCAGUACAGCACAAGUUCGGAGGUUCCACGCCCUCAUAAAAUGAACGUGUAGGUUCUGUCGUAUAUAAUACUACCAUAGUACAUGAUUUUCCCUACAUAUACGUAGCCGGCGUGCAGGAGUGUCAGAACCUUCAAUGCAUGCACUGUAUCAGUGUCAUACACAUGCAAUAGGACAAAUUUUUUAAGCACAAAAGGAUGGAUAGUUUAAUGCAACCCCUCAUAUGGACAUACAGGCAGCUUAAUUCGUGCCGUGCUCCUACAGGUAAAUAUACUACCUGUAAUCGCAAUUGAAUAUGAAAAAAAAACAGUCGAUUCAACGUUUCAUGAAGACUCGUUUGGCACCACUCUUGGAUUUGAUGAUACUUCGUGGCAACCAACUCCCUCCUGUCGGUUCUUUUAUGAAGACUCGUUCGACACCGCCCUUGAAUUUGACGGUUCUUCGGGGUGACCAACUCCCUCCUAUCGGUUCUUUUGUGAAGACUCGUUCGGCAUCAUCCUUGAAUUUGACAUUUCUUCGGGGCGACCAACUCGCUCCUAUCGGUUCUUUCGUGAGACUCGUUCGGCACCACCCUUGGGUUUGACGGUUCUUCGUGGCGACCAACUCCCUCUUAACUGUUCUUUUUUGAAGACUUGUUCGGCACCACCAUUGGGUUUGGCGGUUCUUUGUGGCGACCAACUCCCUCUUAUCGGUUCUUUUGUGAUGACUCGUUCGGUACUACCCUCUGAUUUGACGGUUCUCCAUGGUGACCAACUCUCUCCCAUCGGUUCUUUGGUGAAGACUCGUUCGGCACCACCCUUUGAUUUGACGGUUCUUCAUGAUGAAUAACUUCCUCCUACCAGUUCUUGAUGGCGAUGUCGGUUCUUCACAAAUUCGAUUCCAGUUGCAAGUAUAGUUUUGACGGCUCUACGGAGGUGGAAUCCGGUUCUUUGCAAAUUGUAUUCUGGUUCCAAGUAUAAUUUUGAUGGUACUGUGGAGGUGAGACAUCGGCCCUAGCGUAUUACCUUCUCACAAAAAAAGAACUUGUAUUACCUAGCGUAGUGGACACAAGCUAGUACAUACAGUUGUUUUAUACCUGAUGAAUAAUUAACUUAGCCAACACUAAUCAACUGUCUUGACAAGAUUACCUAACACAGUAGUCCCCCGUACAAGCCACGGGUCACAGCUAGGGAAGCAGGGAACGGAGACAGUGACCUCGAGGUACGGCAGUGCAUAUAUCGAAGCAUUGGCGCAUGCACAAGUGCACGCAUCUGCAGCAGUAGGGACAUACUCAUAUUAUAAUUUUCUGUGAAGCUCUAGCACCUAGUGCCCCAGCUCUGCACCAAGUCCUGAGGCCUGGAGUGUCAAUAGCUGCUUAGCCAAAAGAUCUNNNNNNNNNNNNNNNNNNNNNNNNNNNNNNNNNNNNNNNNNNNNNNNNNNNNNNNNNNNNNNNNNNNNNNNNNNNNNNNNNNNNNNNNNNNNNNNNNNNNNNNNNNNNNNNNNNNNNNNNNNNNNNNNNNNNNNNNNNNNNNNNNNNNNNNNNNNNNNNNNNNNNNNNNNNNNNNNNNNNNNNNNNNNNNNNNNNNNNNNNNNNNNNNNNNNNNNNNNNNNNNNNNNNNNNNNNNNNNNNNNNNNNNNNNNNNNNNNNNNNNNNNNNNNNNNNNNNNNNNNNNNNNNNNNNNNNNNNNNNNNNNNNNNNNNNNNNNNNNNNNNNNNNNNNNNNNNNNNNNNNNNNNNNNNNNNNNNNNNNNNNNNNNNNNNNNNNNNNNNNNNNNNNNNNNNNNNNNNNNNNNNNNNNNNNNNNNNNNNNNNNNNNNNNNNNNNNNNNNNNNNNNNNNNNNNNNNNNNNNNNNNNNNNNNNNNNNNNNNNNNNNNNNNNNNNNNNNNNNNNNNNNNNNNNNNNNNNNNNNNNNNNNNNNNNNNNNNNNNNNNNNNNNNNNNNNNNNNNNNNNNNNNNNNNNNNNNNNNNNNNNNNNNNNNNNNNNNNNNNNNNNNNNNNNNNNNNNNNNNNNNNNNNNNNNNNNNNNNNNNNNNNNNNNNNNNNNNNNNNNNNNNNNNNNNNNNNNNNNNNNNNNNNNNNNNNNNNNNNNNNNNNNNNNNNNNNNNNNNNNNNNNNNNNNNNNNNNNNNNNNNNNNNNNNNNNNNNNNNNNNNNNNNNNNNNNNNNNNNNNNNNNNNNNNNNNNNNNNNNNNNNNNNNNNNNNNNNNNNNNNNNNNNNNNNNNNNNNNNNNNNNNNNNNNNNNNNNNNNNNNNNNNNNNNNNNNNNNNNNNNNNNNNNNNNNNNNNNNNNNNNNNNNNNNNNNNNNNNNNNNNNNNNNNNNNNNNNNNNNNNNNNNNNNNNNNNNNNNNNNNNNNNNNNNNNNNNNNNUGGAGAUGGAGUUAUGGUGGAGGGGGCAUUAAUGGGGAGAGGACGAGAGGUAGGAGAAAGAGAGAUGUGAGAGAGGCCAUUUAUGGAGAAGAGUUAUGGUGGAGGGGGACAUUAAUGAGGAGAGAAGAGAGGUAGUAGGAAGAGAGAAGAAGAGCAACAAUGGUGGAGAGUGGAGAGGGGAAAGGAGGGGGAGAGAGGGCAAAGUGGGGGAGAGGAGGGGGAGGGGGUGAAAAGGUGGCACCAGCCGCAACUAGCAGUAGCGCUGCUUACCAAAACGCGAUGCUGCUACCGUACUUAGUAGCAGUGCUUUCCUGGAGAAGCGCUACUACUAAGUGGGGCCCAUUAGCAGUAGCGGCGCAGUAAAAUAAAGCGCUACUACUAAACUGUUAGUAGUAGUGUUGGAUUCUGCACAGCGCUGGUACUACAUCUAUCGUCGGUGGCCUCGUCUGGUCCCACGUAGUAGUAUCGUGUUUUUGGUUUCCAGCGCUACUGCUAUAGACAGAAUAGUAGCACUUUCCUGGAUUGGCGCUACUGCUAACUAGUAGCAGCAUUGACUAUUUUCUAGCGCUACUGCUAACUAGUAGCUGCUAACUUGUAUAAGCAUUUCCCUAGUAGUGUUAAUUUUAUUGACAGAUUGCACUUCUAGUUUCUACAGCUAGUGCUAACCGAUGAUUGAAAAAUAUAUCUACCUUAACUCUAGACAACUACAUCACAUUGUCACUGCCUAGCAGUGAUGAACCCUAGCGAUACAAAUAAAAAAAUUACAAUGGCAGUGACCUACAGCAAAAGAGGGAGGGAUGAUAUGCUCACCUGGGUUGGAGCCGAGGGUUGCCUACAGUCUACUCUGUCGCCGUCAUCGUCACCUGUGGUAGAUGAGAGUGGGAGGCUCAGAUGCAAAACACACCUCUAAAUUAAAAAAAAUUUCCAAAUGGACUAGAUGAGAGUGGGAGGCUCAGAUGUGUACCUCAAGACCGGAGAACGACGACAAUCGUCGAAAUCGGCCAAAAUCGAAGUGGCACGACCAGCGGCGAGAGAGGGAGAGAAAAGGGAACGAAACAGAGCAGCGGGUCACAGAGUGAGAGUGGGUUGAGGGGGUCGUUGCCCCCAUUGGUUUUGACCCCCACGGCAUUCUAAUACUAUUUGUGCUUGCCCAAUAAGAAAAAAGAUCACCACCUAGAAAUUGUCAUCUCAAAACUAUAUAUUUCAAGUCUUAAACUAAAAAGGAAAAAAAGUAAAUUUAACAAAAGUAAACUAUAAUAUACUAUUAAAAAGAUCACAGAAUAAAAAACUAAAAAAAUUUGGAAGUGUCAAAAUACAUAUUUGAAGGCUCAAAACUAUAUAUUUCAAGUCUUAAACUAAAAAGGAAAAAAAUUAAAGUCUCAAAGUACAUAUUAAAAAAAUGUCAUUAUUUCCAUUUAAAAUAAUAUAAAUUUAAUAAAAGUAAACUAUAAUAUACUAUAAAAAAGAUNNNNNNNNNNNNNNNNNNNNNNNNNNNNNNNNNNNNNNNNNNNNNNNNNNNNNNNNNNNNNNNNNNNNNNNNNNNNNNNNNNNNNNNNNNNNNNNNNNNNNNNNNNNNNNNNNNNNNNNNNNNNNNNNNNNNNNNNNNNNNNNNNNNNNNNNNNNNNNNNNNNNNNNNNNNNNNNNNNNNNNNNNNNNNNNNNNNNNNNNNNNNNNNNNNNNNNNNNNNNNNNNNNNNNNNNNNNNNNNNNNNNNNNNNNNNNNNNNNNNNNNNNNNNNNNNNNNNNNNNNNNNNNNNNNNNNNNNNNNNNNNNNNNNNNNNNNNNNNNNNNNNNNNNNNNNNNNNNNNNNNNNNNNNNNNNNNNNNNNNNNNNNNNNNNNNNNNNNNNNNNNNNNNNNNNNNNNNNNNNNNNNNNNNNNNNNNNNNNNNNNNNNNNNNNNNNNNNNNNNNNNNNNNNNNNNNNNNNNNNNNNNNNNNNNNNNNNNNNNNNNNNNNNNNNNNNNNNNNNNNNNNNNNNNNNNNNNNNNNNNNNNNNNNNNNNNNNNNNNNNNNNNNNNNNNNNNNNNNNNNNNNNNNNNNNNNNNNNNNNNNNNNNNNNNNNNNNNNNNNNNNNNNNNNNNNNNNNNNNNNNNNNNNNNNNNNNNNNNNNNNNNNNNNNNNNNNNNNNNNNNNNNNNNNNNNNNNNNNNNNNNNNNNNNNNNNNNNNNNNNNNNNNNNNNNNNNNNNNNNNNNNNNNNNNNNNNNNNNNNNNNNNNNNNNNNNNNNNNNNNNNNNNNNNNNNNNNNNNNNNNNNNNNNNNNNNNNNNNNNNNNNNNNNNNNNNNNNNNNNNNNNNNNNNNNNNNNNNNNNNNNNNNNNNNNNNNNNNNNNNNNNNNNNNNNNNNNNNNNNNNNNNNNNNNNNNNNNNNNNNNNNNNNNNNNNNNNNNNNNNNNNNNNNNNNNNNNNNNNNNNNNNNNNCCCUCUCUAACUAAACCUAAAGUGGCGAAGUUACUAGCAUGUCGCCAUGUCCUUGCACUAGAGAAGGAAGUUGGGGUCUAGACGAUCGUCUUGGAGAUGGACUGAAAGAUGGUUGUGAGCAAGCUCAACUCUGAAGGGAAGGACGGAGGGAAUAGUAAGUGUAUAUUUGUUUCUAAAUAUGAAAAUAUUACUAUUAAAUACUAAUAUACCAAAGAUAUAAGAAUAUUAAAUACUAGUAUACCAAAGAUAUACCUACAUAUAAGAAUAUUUAAUAGUAGUAUACCGAAGAUAUUCUACAGUUAAAUUCUAAUAACUCUGUUCCAAAAUAUAAGAAUAUUACUAUAAAAUACUAUUAGCUGUUUUCAAAUAAUUAGUAAUAGAGAUAAUAUUCUUUUGUAGUGAUAUAUCUUUAUUCCUCAUUAAAUAUAAGAAUAUUACUAGUAUUAAAUACUAGAAUCCCAAAGAUAUAUCUAAUAGUAUACCAAAGAUAUACAACAAUUAAAUAAUAUUACAUAUGUUCCAAAAUAUAAGAAUGUUACUACUACCUCCGUCUGAAAAUAGUUGUCAUCAAAAUGAAUAAAGGAGGCUGUAUUUUAGUUCUAGAUACAUCCCUUUCUAUUUGUUUUGAUCACAAGUAUUUUCGGAUGGAGGGAGUAUUAAAUACUGUCACAACUAUUCUUAUAUUUAGUAACAGAGAUAAUAGUAUUUAAUAGUAGUAUAUCAUUUUUCAUAAAUACUCCCUCCGUACCAAAAUUCUUGUCUUAUAUUUGUCUAGAUACGGAUGUAUCUGACACUAAAAUGUAACUAGAUACAUCCGUAUUUAGACAAAUCAAACACAAAAAUUUUGGGAUGGUGGGAGUAUAAGAAUAUUACUAUUAAAUACUAGUAUAAAAAUAUAUAUUUAAUAGUAUACCAAAAUAUAAGAAUAUUUAAUAGAAAUAUACCAAAGAUAUGCUACUAUUUAUUGCCGGUAUUAAAUAAAUAAAUCUGUAGAUUAACACGCGGUCCCCACCUUGGCCUGUGGCUUCCGUUUCAGUUCAUAAAAGGCAACACAUGCUUCUCCUCCUCGCUCACAUUCUUCUCAUCCCGCUCUCCACAACCAACUCCGCGCGUCUGCUCGACCGAUCCACCGCGAUGUCUAGCUCCGACGUCAGUGCCAUGCCCGCAGCCAACCACGAGGGGCACAGCCUAGCGGGCCCCGCCCCGCCCCCUGCGCCGGUGGUUCACAAGCGCAAGCCCGGGAGACCCCAGGAGAAAAGCCCGCCCCCAGCGGCCACCAGAGAGGAGCUGGAAUCCAGGGAGUCCUGGGAAGGACCCUUGAAGGUGCUUGCGCUCCCGGCGCCAGGGGCCCGGCGUGCUUAUGUUGUCUCAGAUGACAAGAUGGUGAGCCGCGCUCGCGCCCCCACACGGCGUGCAAGCGCGGUAUCCNNNNNNNNNNNNNNNNNNNNNNNNNNNNNNNNNNNNNNNNNNNNNNNNNNNNNNNNNNNNNNNNNNNNNNNNNNNNNNNNNNNNNNNNNNNNNNNNNNNNNNNNNNNNNNNNNNNNNNNNNNNNNNNNNNNNNNNNNNNNNNNNNNNNNNNNNNNNNNNNNNNNNNNNNNNNNNNNNNNNNNNNNNNNNNUUUUUUUGUCAACAUCGUCUCCGUGCAGGCUACACUGGCAAACAAGCUGCUUAACUCUUGUGCAUGCUGGUUUUUCGUCAUCACUAGUAUACUGGUAUUGGACUGAAGCUUGUUAGCUCUGUCCAUGCUGGGUCUUUUUUUUUCAUUAUUAGUAUUGUUAUAUAUUAGCUGAAGCUGCACAUGUUUUCUUUCCAUUGACGUUGGUGCGGGCGGUGCUACGCGUCAGUCGGCCGAGGGAUGGACGCCUUACUCACCUGAUUUUAAUCAAGUCCCACCUAGGUGUAGUUUGUUUUGUCACUAGCUGUGUAUACAUAGGCGAGCUCCAGCACUAUGUUGCAGCGUGGAAAACAUAUGAACUGUAAUAAGAAACAUGCAAUGGCUAGAAAUAUCUCCACAUAUUUUUUCAGCACGUUUUAGGUGUCAACGAAAUUAGUCGGAUCGCCAGCCAUCGAAUUGACAUGUGGAGCAUUGGAUCACACUACACGGCAGCAGAGAGAAUGGAAACCGUGUUCCUCCAUAGCCUCCACAAUACAUGUGUAUCCACCACCCCUCCCACAUCGUCGCAACAGACAAUUACGUCGGCCCCUUGCAACACCUGGCUUUGGUACCCUAGAGAUCCCUGAUAUCGCUUGGAUAUCCUGCAAGUAUUAUUACAAUGCGCCAACGAGGCGUCGUCCUUGCAACAUUGUCUUACAGACAAUGUAGUUGAUGCCACCACCACCAUCACCCAUUUACACAUGGGCCGUGGCAUGUGGCACUGUUCGUGGGAUAAAACACACCCCGCGAGAAUAUGCGGUUGCACCACUAUGAUCUGUGCAUCUUAGGAAUUGUUGUGACUGCCCCUGCAAAAGUAGCGAUGAUACGACCAUCGCCCUGCAACAUCGGCCAUAGUUGUAGCACAUAUGAGAAGACGGAUGCCGCACCUAACAACACAUUAUGUGUUUUUUGCACCAUAUGAAAGCACUGCCUUGCAACAUCGGCUAUCAGGGUGCUGCACCGACAAACACACUCACGACCUUGAGAUGUCGUAUGCCUUGGCCGAUGUAGCAUAGUGCUCCUCUUUCAGCAUAUAGCGAUGGCUUGUAGCAUUGAUGGUCGGAGAGUCGCAACAUCAUUGAGUGGCAGUGCUAGCCCAACUCAUUGUCAUAGAGAAAGGGGAAUAAAGGAUGGGUGUGCACGUGGUGGAAAUAAAGUGAAUGGAUAUGGUGAAGAGAGAGGAAGACUAACAGGGGCAUCCGGCGCUAGAGCGAUCUGACUGAUUUACCCCUGAAACCAGCCUGUUGAAUAUAAUUCAAUUUUCUUUUGAGAGACCUCAUAAAAACGUCGCAACAUGCGAGCAUGUCUAUACAAAAAAUUGUAGAUAUACAAAUCAUUAGCUUCAACAAAUAAGUGAAAAAACACAAUGUAUAUAGGCCUGAACCGAUGGAUCAUCAGCAUGCAUCUACCAGAUCUUCCUAGGUUACGCCCAACCGUGAGUCGUUCAAUUGGGUCACACAUCACUACCCAAUCAACCACCAACUUAGUUGUUCCUCUCGUCUCCUCUACCCACCCUUCGCAACAUACACCCAUGAUUCUCAGCAAUAGACCAACAUGGAGGCGACAAUGGUGUCCAUGAUAGGCUAGUCAAAAGCACACCGGUGAUCAACCUUACAACACUAAACAGAACAUUGCAACAUGAGGUAACCCCAACUUUGUAGCACUGGUGCACCAUUUUCAACCACCUUGUAGCAAUGAAAAGUUCACUGACCAAUAGCAUUGCUGCACCAAGUUACUGGCUUCCAGCACUGAACACACGGGCUUGCAGCACCGCGAUGAUCGAUGGUCGGCCUUUCAACAAUAUUAGUUAACAUUGCACACCUCGUCUCCAUUUUUAUGUACAUACACAUGAGUGAGAUUGGAACAUCAGUAACGUAUCAACAUUACCAAACAUGAAGACAAUAAAUUUGUUUCUCCAAGCAUAGACGUUACUGAAUAAGCGUGCAACUGCACAUCCACCACAUGAGCCAUAAUUUUUUAGCUCUGUGACAACAGCUUAUAGUUGCAAAAGAGCUGACGAUGAUGGUUUAGAAUGUAUAUGAUCAAAAUAGAUUAAAUGGAGGGGAGGAUGGACUACCUAUGUUGAAUCGGACUAGCCGCAAGGUCACAAGUGCCUUGUCUAAAUAGCCAAAAAGACAAAAGGAGGCCUCCUGGAUUCUCCAUCCUGAAGCUAAGCAUAACUCCAACUCCAGACACGCUAGGGGGCUACUAAAGGUGCAAUACGCUAGGGAUGUCUUCUGGGUGGGAAGCCCGGUAGCAGGCUUGCCUUAGGGCCCAAGAGGCCAACUGGAGGAUCGGUGCAGUAGGGCAGCUCAGGAGCCUAGAUAAGGACUGUGGGAGCAUCUUGGCAGGCAAGCUAAGAUGGCAGUGGUAUGAGAUCUGAUGGAUUCCUUGUAAACCUAGCCCGCGCCACCUAUAUAAGGAGGGGCUCGGGGUUGUCAUUCACAUAUACUCUCAUAGACUAUACUCUCUGUAGCAUUAUACUUCAUCUCCACUCUAAACCCCUCGCACAAGGUGCUCCACCAUGAAUAAAAAUCAGAUACAGGAUGUUGGGCAUUACCUCUCACCGAGGGCCCGAACCUAGGUAAAAACCUUUGUGCGGACUACCUUGUCGUGUAUCCCCACAAGUUCACCACCCUACUAUGGGUACUCACGGUUUUCCAUACUAUCACAUAGUUAAGUUCUAACACAUUUUCUUUGGGGAGUUGAAGCAACUCAUGGUGUAAGUAGGUGUUGCUUGAAGCACUGAUUCUACUAGCACCUCCUUUCCCUCCUUUGAGAUACCUUGUCCUUCCAAUCCAACCACUUUGCCAUUUGAGCUUUCUUUAAUAUGUUUAAAAUUUCCUUCCUUUGACCUACCCACCACGGUUGGGACCCCAAAUAAUGCUCGCUCAAUGCCUUAGGAUCUGUGCAAAGAUAUUAACAACAACUUAGUCCUCCUAUUUGCCUCACUUCCCAAAGAAUGUUGAAGCUUUUAGAAAAUUUCCCAUUUGUCCCGAGGCCCACUCGUAGUCAAAUAGGAUAUAUUUAAGGUUACAAAGUUGCCAUUUGACGGUUGAAGAAAUACUAUACUAUCAUCUGCAGAAAUAAGAUGGGAUACAUGGGGGUUAGUGCUCCCAAAAGAUAUACCAUUGAUCUCUUUAUCUUUGAGCACCCAUGAGAAAGGCCAAAAAACUCGCAACAUAGAAAAUAAGAAAAUAGGGAGACCAUCGGUCUCCUUGCCAGAGCCCUCUUCAUAGUAUAAAAAAUACAUAACACACUCCUUUCAAUUUGAUAGAAAACCUGGCCGGGGUACCACACAUCAUAAUCAUCAAGAUCAACCUAUCUGAGAAACCAAGUGCCCUCAUCAUCAGAUCGAGGAAAAUCCAAACCACCCUCUUAUAGGCCUUCAUCAUGUAUAGUUUAAUUGCGAACAUUGGAUUUUUCUAUUUCUUGAACGAACAUACUUUGCUCCUGCGUGAUCAUUAUGGAUAUGACAACCUUCAAUCUCUUUGCUAGGCCUUUGAAGCAAUCUGACUGAGCGUGUUCAAUAAGUUGAUUGAUCCCAUUUGAGGAAGUAUCUCCAUUGAGGUAAUUUUGGGGAUUAGGACUAGAACCAUAUCACUAAAGUUUGGUCAAAUAACUCCAUUAAAAGAAUCACCUAUUACUAUGCGUACAUCAUUUUUUAGAAAUAACUAGUGAAAUUGGUAAACAUAAGUGAGAGGUUGUCUAGCCCCUGCGCUCUUGCCAGUCAAAUUUAGAAUAGUGCAUUCUCAAUUUCUUCAUCCAUCACGUCCGUGUUCACCCUCUCCUCCAUAUCACUAGUCACACAGGGUCGGAUGUGAGCUAAGAUGUUGUCAGCAUCAACAGAGGCUUCUGAAGAAAACAACUAAGCAUAGAAAUCGGCCGAAAUCUUCCCCAUCUCAUUGUCAAUAGUACAACUCGUGCCAUCCGCCCUCAUGUUUUGAUCGUCUUCCUUGAGAAAUUCCAGUUGGGAACAUUGCAUACACAUUAUUUGUUCCUGUGCACGAACCACAUGAAGCUACGCUUCAAUCUCGCUGGUCUUCAGCAAGGAUGUCUGGAUCCCAAUGCGCUACCCUUUCCAUCGAAGCUGGACCUUGUGCCUAGUAAUCUCACAACAUACAAGACAAAAUAUAGAGCCACUUCAAUGUUUCAUAUCAUUGGUGACAUUGUUACGCUUCCUGUAGAGCUCACUCUGGCCGAAAUUGUUAUCACAUGCACACUAUCAUGCCUACAUGGGCAUCCACCUCUCCUCAAACGUUAAUGCCCUCUUCUUACUUUUGGUAAUGACUAGGUUUUCUAGCGAUCUAUUAACGAGCAAACCAUUGUCUGGUCCUCCAUGACAACAUGUUCAAUGGGUGUAUCCUACAAUGAAUGCACGAAUUCAUCAUUGCAUGGACCCCUGUCCACAUGUACAUAAACGAUCUCAUCCCGCUCCCUCUUAUUGUCCCAAGUGUACAUGUUGCUACUAAAACAAAGUUUUGAAACACUAUUAUUGGCUACACUCUCCCUAAUGCGCUCCAUUUGUGUGAAACUCCUCAAGUAAUCUCCUAGUUGUUGUGAUUAAAAGAAUUCUUUGUUGAGGUAUCAUUGUAACAGAUAAAUGUAUUAUUAGGAUCCAAUCUCUCGGAGCCUCCCUUAGCUACACAAAUUUUCAUCAAUCUCUCUUCCUAUCCAGUAGCUUUAGGUGAUAAUCAUUGUGACGCCUUUGGUGGUCACCUUCACGUUGCCUUGUCUUAUGAACAAAAGUGCCUCGUCUGCGUUGCUCUGAGGUAGAUGGGUCAUCUUUCCCAAUGGCCUUGCACCCUUUCCCAUAUAGAUUUUUUUAUGUCUUGCUUACUUUCAUGCUCCUUCCUCAGGUCCCACUUACUUUUUAGAUUUAAAUCAUCCCUUAGUUCACAAUCAUGUCACAUUUCUUGCCUGAAUUGGUCCUCCCUACACUUCAUCUUAGGCAGUUACCAUGUACAAGACCAUCUCGAGGAUCCUCGCUAGAGAGAGAGUCCACAGAGGGUGUAUAAUCAGUGUAUGACCUGCACGUAAAUGGACGGGCAUGCAACGCUACAUGACCCCUGCGCCAUAGACGCCCUUGCUUGACCUAGUGCUCCCAAAACUAAAGUUCCUGCUUUCUUUCACCGGCCUCUACUUAGUUUUUGUCUAUGAGGAGCCAUGUCCAAGUGAUGCCCUUAACCAUUCACCCAACUGGGGUGAGGAAUCAUUUUGUGGUUCAAAUCAUCUGUCAACAUGUGCUAGUCUGUCGUAGUCAAUCCAAAAGAGAGGUAUCUUCUCAAAUUGAAAAUCAAACAAGGUCCCCUCAUCUUUUGCUGAAGAGUGGAGAAAGAAGCCUUAGACUAGUGAAAGAAAUCUAUCUCUAAAUCUGAGAUGGUUCCCCCAUAAAUCCAUCGUUCUUAACAUCACUCUUUACCACGCCACCAAGACAAUUCCCAAGAGCAUUCCCAAAAGUAUAUGAUCAUUUAUAUAGGGGAGGAUCUGUAAUUAUCACCCAUGGCUCCGUCAUACAAAACAUUAUCUUCGAUGACCUGGUUUUUUCAUCAUAAUCCUUCAAAACUAUCACAUUAAAACCAAAUUGCCACAUUCAAUUAUAUAGAGCGUGCUUCUAGACUCCUUUGUUAUGGAAUCUAAAGAAGAAGAUACUAUUUCUAAUGUGACUUACUUGGACUUCCUAAUAGUGUCACAUGUAUGUUGCGUAGCCCUAGCAAACACGUUGAUGUUGAUUUGCUGGAGUGAGCAUGCCUUUCCAACCACUGACCACCGAGUAGGCCUCGGUCGGUCUGGAAUCCUGAUUCUCAAGCAUGAGAUCUAUUAGUUCCUUUUGUUGUUAACUUCAGGGCUCCUUGUUAAUUUGGUUGAGAGAUUAGCUGCCUCCCCUGAAGCAUUUCCAUCUGUCAGGGACUUUGAAGGUUCUCAUCUUAAUGAUCCUUGGUCGCCCUGUUCACUUGAGCUGUCGAUUUACGCCACGCCUUCUCUCCCAUAGUCGCGCAAAGGAGUGGAAGCACCAAGACCAAUCAAUGUAGGAGUAUAGAGUGUCAUCACCUCAUAGAUGAAUAGAAACCUAACCCUAGCACUACUUGUCGGUCGCCUAUAAUUGCCCUUAGCAUUUCUUUUCAUGUUGGGCCCGCCAUAAGGUAUUUAUACGUUCGCUUCCAUUGGUACUUUUUUUUGCACUGGAGCCUUUCUGCUACAUUUGCCUUUCUACGAAGGAUGUCUUAUCCAAAUCAUAUAGUCUCCUCUAUCUAUAGGAAGCGAGGACAUUAGCUCUUCUUUUUUUCAAGGCAAAUACACUUGCUAGUGUUCAAGCGACAUCGAAAGAAGUCUUGUCACAUGUGAAGACGACGCUAAGAGUGUGACACAUAUAGGUGCCAACUUGAAGAAUAAUGCAAAUUUCAGUAAAUAUGAAUAGCUCCUGGGGGAACGAGCGCAUAAAGGAAUCAGCCACCAUAAAUGGAUCAUUUCCAAAGAAACAAAGUCACAAAGAGAGAGACAAGACAUUAGCUUCUUUAUGGGGAACACAUAUAUUUAAAUGUUGCCUUGCUCUCUGAUUAUUAACAAGAAAUAAUUUUUACUAAUAUAUUAUGUGUAAAUCUUGAUAGAUAUGGAAUGUAUUUUGGUCAGUAUGUUUUAAGGAAUCAUAUUAGUUUUUGGUAUGUAGAAAUUAAAAGAAGUUCAUGUGCCUUCAAGGCAUGUCAAGGUGUGUUGUUCCACCUCAAAAUUGGUUCAGACUAAAUGGUUAUUCUCCCUACAUAUAGCCCCAAUUCUCAUGCUCUCUCUCUCUCUCUAUUUUAUAUUCCAGACUACUCCAUAAAGCCUAACUGGUGAAGGUCCAGAAACACCCAGCAGUGACGGGUUCAACUCCCAUUAGUAGUCGAUACUUAGUGGAGGAGAAACAAGCCACUUACAGGCACGAGCCCGCCAAUGGUGAAUAAAUCAGAAAAGAAAAUCAGGCCAUGGCCAGUCCAAAUCCAGCAUCUGCCAACAAUGUGUAGUCUCCACUACUCGAACCUACUUUUCCUCAGUGCGUGACAUCAUGUGAUGUUUGGAGAAUCCAUAGAGUUGGGGAUCCGAAUAUAAAAAACAACAAUGGGGAGUGUCUUGAAGAAUAGGAGCCAAGAAGCCGGACGGAGAAGGCCUCCACCAUACUGCACCAUUGGCCAAUACUGACCCGUAUGGUGCAAGGACAAAGGCAGAACUGAACACCGUCAUCAUCUAGGUUGCAAAGGAAGUUGGACCACUGUGUUGCUUCUCUCGAACAAACUCAAUGAUUUCAUGCAGUUGGCACCCAUGCCACAUUCCAUAGAGAUAACAACAUUGAGGAGGAGGAGGGACAACGCAAGGUUUCUUCCUCAUAGGAAUUAGUUUCGAGGAAGUGGGGGGACGAUAUGGCAUGAUGAGCAGUUAACAAGGGAAGUUUGCAUGACUGUGGAGGACAAAGCAUUAAGACAAGUGUGCUAGUAGCUAGAUAAGGGAUGAAUGAUAGCAGGAAGGAAUAAUGAGCUUACUGGGUGAGGCUACUAUUUUUUAAGUUGCGACCUACUGAUCAUAACAACAAUUGAUCGUAACAACAUACCAUUGAUGAUUUAGGGUAUUGAUUUAGUAACUGUUAGGAUGUGACUACGGCUUGUAAGUGGUGGGUUGUAUAUUACUAACAAGUAGCAUGUUUAGCCUCAAUAUUGUCCUCUGUCACUCGUAACAACGUGCCAUUGACGGACCACAUAUUGGGCCCGUCACUACUACCUUUUUCAAACAAAAAUAGAAUUUUAGUUAUAGUCAGAUUCACAACAAUCCCGCCGGUCAUUAGUGUUAAGUAGCAUUGCUGACCGGUUUUUUGAACCACCACUUUUGAUCGAUAACUAGGCGAGAACUCUAGUGUAGUGCACAUUUGUUUGGUUCAGAAUUUUUAGUGUUUUUAUGUGCACAAAGACAUAUCGUUCAACCCUAACAUGUUCUCUUUAGGUGGGGUCGAGAGUGAAGGACUGGGGAGCUUGGAAGCAGGGGAAAUGGCACCUCGAGGGGUUCAGGUCUCCAUGAUCAAUAACCACAAUUUUGAUCUGAAUGAGCUGCCGACUGAGCAUGAGUAGCUCAAGAAGGAGUAGUCACCCGUGGAGCAAGAGUAGCCCCCUAUGGCACAACAUGAGCUUUAAUAUUCACAAUGGUUGGAGGCUACUCAAAUCCCGCUUGUGUGAGCAAAAAUAACUCUUGGCCCAAAGUAUAGCCCUGUCAGAAAUUAUCGAAACAAUAUCCUUAUCCCAAGGACGAUUGUAAAGCUUAUGUGGAACUUUUCAAUUUCUUGCUUCCUAUUUUUUGGUGAUUGACUGACGCUAUUGCUAAACUUGAGGGAAGGACUUGGUAUACUGCCUCAUGAUCAACGUGUCACCUGGAAUGGCUUUUCUAUUCAUUUCCCAUGAUGGUUUUGAUAUGUAGAUUGUUUGAACAAGCAUUUAUUCAUUCGGUAAAGCUUUGUGAAACAUCAACGGUGGAGCUAGGUCUCUCGUCAUGUGAAAUGAUAGUAGGUCAAGAAGUGUGUUGGAUCAUGAGAUAACAUAUUUUCUAAGUUGUUAAUCAUGUGUGUUAACACCAUGGGUAGUAUGAGAGAAGGUCAACAUGCAUGUUUGGGUCUGAAAUGACCUCAUGACCAAAAAGGGAGAGAAACAUGGCUAAUAGGAAUACGAACAAUAUGGAAGUUACUUGUUGCAUGGAUGUUAACUGUGGUUAUGAAACCACACAAGAUGUCAGAGGACCCGCAUCCUUACAUAUCAAGGUUGACUUCACAUGCCAACUGGAUUUCGACUAAAUUAUUGUAUAUGUAUGUAUGUUAUAUCUUGACAUCUUACCAAACAAAAAACACCAAAAAAUACACUAUUUACUUCUCUUUGAUGCAUAUUCUAGUUGGAGGGUAAUCAUAACCUUAUGUGGAUAUUUUUCCAUAAUAGAAUAUAUAAUGGUCUAGUGAGGCAAGGUGUAAAUGGAGAGGACAAUAGUCGAACAUGAAAACAUCCAACAUUGUGUUAUAGUUGCAUCAAGUUGUCUAGUGAGUCAAUAUGGAAAUGGAGGAGGCUCAUAGGGCAACACGAGAACACCCAACAUGUUGCUCUACUUACUUCCUAUUGGUACGAAGAGACCGAGAGUAGUGAAAGGUUAAUCAUAACACAUGGACAAGAUAUCUCAUACAAGAUGAAAAUGGAGUGAGUCUUGUAUGAAAAUGCUAACAAAGUAUGAGUGUGCAUAGCAUGCCAUCCCCUCCCUUUCUUGUUCGAGUUUCCUUCACCAACCCCAUAGUACCCUGAUCAACACUAUUAUUUGGAUAUGCUUCUCAUCUGAGAAAGAAUAGUUAUUGAGAGACAUUUAUAUCAUUGUCUAGAUAGACUUGUUCAAGGGCCAAUAAUGGAGGUGUCUUAUCUAUUAUAGCCACAUUCCGGAGAAGAAUAAAAAAAGUAGACACAACCUGAUAAUUUAUUGAGAUUUGAAUUGAGGAUCCACAUACAUCAACUAUCCUACAUGUGAAUCAAAUCCACAUCCUACAUGGGCAUUGGGCUUUAGUUGGACUACCACUUUAUGGACAAGCCAUGUGCUCCAUGUAGUCUAUGUUGCAAAGGCGGGAGGACAAGGAGCAAAUAGUUUUUGAUGGCUGGACAUUGAAGUUAUUUGUCAAGAAAUUUGUUUCCUGACAUGGUUUGUUUAUUUCAUUAUUUAGUAUUUGAUAUCGGUUCAAUGCUCUAGUAUGUAACAUUCUUCUCACAUUUUGGGUCUAGCUCUUGGUGUUCAUGAGUUCAUUACUUAUGUUAACUAUUAUUGUUGUGCCCACUUGUUCGACAAGAGACUAUAAAGUUAACUAAGAUACUCUCGUAUUUAUAUUAAUAUAGUUGGCACUGAGCUAAUAAUAAACCUUGAAUACUACUCAUAUUUGUCAAAUAGGAGGUCAAGCUGGAUCUGUCUGGCGCAUCAUCUAUGGUCACAUGGUGUAUUGUCUAUUCUAAACCCAAUGAGUAUUGCAGAAUGACAUGUUCCUGCGAGGAGGAAUGAGUCACUCUUUUGUGUCAAGGGGUGAUGCCAUGCCUCAUAAUUGACAAUAAAAAAUUAACCACCUACAUCAAAAGUCUAACCCAAGUCAGGGAAUAGGCGCCAUUGCAAUUUUACCGCACAAAGUCAUCGGUAUUUUGCAAUUGAAUGUUCCCCAUGUUGUGACUGAGAACACAAAACACAAAACACCCCACAAAACACUAUUCACUUCUCUUCGAUGCAUAUUAUAGUGGAAGGGUAGUCAUAACCAUAUGGGAAUAUUUUACCACAAUAGAAUCUAUAAUGGUCUAGUGAGGCAAGGUUUAAAUGGAGAGGAUAAUAGGCGAACAUGGAAACAACCAACACUGUGUUUUACUUGCAUCUAGUUGUAUAGUGAGAUAAUAUUGAAACGGAGGAGGCUUAUAGGGCAACAUGAGAACACCCAAUAUGUUGCUCUACUUACUUCCUAUUGUUACCAAGGGACUGAGGCUCGGGCAUGGUUAAUCAUAACACAUGGAGAAGAUCUCUCAUACUAGUUGAUAAUAGAAUGAAUCUUGUAUGAAAAUGCUAACAAAGUAUGAGUGUGCAUAACAUGCCAUCUCCUCCCUUUCUUGUUGUAUUUUCCUUCACCAACCCCCAUAGUACCCUGAUCAACACUAUUAAUUUGAUAUGCUUCACAUCUGAGUUAGAAUUGUGAUUGGGAAUAGUUGUAUCAUUAUCUAAGUAGACUUCUUCAAGGGGAAAUAAUGGACGUGUCUUAUCUAUUAUAGCCACAUUCCGGAUAGGAAUAAAAAAGUAGACAUAACAAGAUAAUUUGUUGAGAUUUGAAUCGAAAAUACAACAUACAUCAACUAUUCUACAUGUAAAUCAAAUCCUCAUCCUACAUCGGCAUUCGGCUUUAGUUCGACUACCACUUUAUGGACAAGCCGUGUGGUCCAUGUGGUCUACGUCACAAAGGCCAGACGACAAGGAGAAAAUAGUUGUCGAUGAUUGAUCACCGAACGAAAUAGCAGCGAGAAGCUAACUCCAGGAAGCUAGGAUCGACCGCAGCACAAAAUCAUGAAGCAGACUCGGCCCAGCUCCACCAAUCCGAAAAGCUGAAGUUGGCCGAUAUUACAAGUAAACUGCCACAGCCAAUUCAUACGAGUCGAACCGGUACGCUCGAUCUGUUUGAUCUCUCCUCGUUCCCUCGCUCGUGCUCCCUCGCUGCUCCUCUAUAAGGCCGAUUUGGGUUGCCUCCAGUCAGCCCAACUAGCUCGAACAGGCCACAACCCUUCUAGCUAGGUUGCAGUGCCGCGAGAAGCUGCAAACCGAGCCAAACGGAUUUUUCAUCGCUGCUUGGAGUGAGAAGCUACUCUGAAAAGGUGAAUUUCUGAAGUUUUGGGAAGCUAGAGGAGAUCAGAAAAGGCCCUAAGUCAUCGGUAUUUCAUAAUUGAAUGUUCUCCAUGUCGUGACUUCUGAUGGUGUAAACCCAAAUAAUUGCCAUUGUGAAAUUAAGUUCCUUUCGUGAGUCAGAACCCACAUCCGUAAAGAUGUGCCACUACAAUCCACCUCAUGGCUAUCUUGGAGUCCUUAAUAUAAUCAAGUGUGCCCAAUAUGGUGACUUAAUAUGUACUUAUUGACCCUACGAAGCUAAUCGCCUCCAUCAAGACCCCUUCCUGGUUCUCCUUUAACUAGAUUCCUCGAAACCACAAGAAUCCUUACAAUGGGAUUACAACUUAGCACCUUUCGUUUUCACAUAGUAAGAAGAGUUGCUCCUUGGAUAGCACGGUACGAUCAAAGGUGUAACCUGUGUUUUGGAGCGAGUUAUUGUCUCGAAACUUUGUUCUCAACUAUUCCGAUUCCAGCAAACGGAGGCCAUUGGGUCAAAGCUGUAGCGCACGCCCUGUAGUUUUCAAGUGGGGCGAGACAACUUAGCUAGGAACCUAUUUUCAUUCUGACCAGCUCCCUGAAAACAAUGUUCGACUUCAUGUGUAGUCGGUGUAGAUGUGUCAUUGCAAUUCCACCACUAGGAUAUCACCAAGUCCUAUGUAUUACAUGUCAACAUAUGCCACCAUAUGGUUACUUGACAAAUUAAAUGGAUUUCACCAAGAUUUCAUGUUACAAUUAUAGUGAAGAUAGUGACUCACAUGUCAGCCUCCCUGACGGGAAGCAAAAUCACUCUGACUUUGGCAACCUAAUUCUUGGCGGGUUCAAGCAAACAUGUUGGAUUUGUAUUUUAUUUAUUUCAACAUAUAUAAUUCAUAUAAAUAAAUCAAUUCAUAAUAGGAGUCUUGGAGACACCCAUGUCAAUAAUGUGAAAUUAUGGGAAAUCUUAUUAUGUGCAUCAACAUAAGCCAAAACUCGUGGCUUAAGAGAUAUGUUUACAAUCUUCCAAUGGUUAUUCCCCCUACUGAAUUCAUGAUGUUAACUAGUUCCCAUAAGUUGAGAAAGAAGUUUAGUCAUGGGAUCAAUGUCCAGUGCAUCAUAUUUCCAGUUCCCAAAAAAAUUUAUUAUGGAAGUUGAGAAAGAGGUUUGGGCAACAUAUUUCCAGACACCUGUCAUGUCUAGGAUCUUCUCAAGCCUAGGUAAGCUUAGUCACGGGAUCAAUGCAGGCUAUUAGUACAUUGACCCGGUUCUUAAUUCAAGUCCUCCUUGCUUGAUACAAUAUUGAAUGGAAAGUACAUAAUCAAUUUAUUUAAGUGGGUGAACAAUGUUGGCUAGUAUAUUUCAACACUCACCUCACAUGCAUCUUUUAGAGGCAUAUAAUGCAUCAUGAUGGAAACAUUUUUUCUAUAGACUAAAUUCCAAUGAAAAAUUUAAUUAAUUUAAUUAGUAGCAAUCUCGUAAUGUAAGGAUAUAUGGCAAAUGAAAAUGAGGGCUCAAAUGCUACUUGUUGGCACACAAAAGUCAUGUUGUCUUUUUCCUCCCAUGUUGAUCCUUCGUGGUUUGACAUUGGGCAUUACAAAGAGAACAAGUUAUCUUUACACACCUCUAGAGCUACCAGACCCUGGAUGUUCCACCAUGAAUGUCCAUAUGGUGCAAUGAGUGAUAGCGAGCUAUAUUAGAACAUAUAGUUUACACCGUUAAAGUAAUUAAAUGGGCUAUUUUGGCUACUAUGAAAAAUAGUAUUUUAAGAGAAAACUAUGUAAGAGUUUGUGAUCUUUGUAUGUAAAAGCAUUAUUUGCCUUUGCUUGGUGUUCACGCAGUUUGAUUUAUGGUAAAAAUGUAAAAUCAUGGGACAAUAAUUGUUGAUAUUCUUUGCGGAGAAAGCGAGAUCUUUCCACUUUUCAGAUCACACAAAGUACUGUUUUUCUUAUAGGGGUGAUAUACAGUGUUCUAAAUCUGCACUUGUGAUUCGUUGUCCAUUUAAAUUUAAAUGGUUUCUUCCACAGAUUAUGUUGGUUUGUUGUUGUAUUUAUCUCAGCACUAAAGUAUACUGAUGUUAGCUAAGUCCAAUCAAAGGCCCAUGUUUUUAUCAUGUUAUACAAAUUAGUAAGCUAAGAUCUUACCAAACUCAAGUUACAUAAGCCCAGACUACGUGAAAUACACAUCAUGCAGUACACAUGUUCAUCUUAGUGUUAUGUUAUACUUGGCUCCGAGAUAACAAAUGGUAUCAAUUAUUACUAUCUUUUGCAGCUUGUUUCUGCCUGUUCAUCGUAGAAUUAUCUUAUGUGGUCUCCCAAGGUUCAUGCAACUUGGAUUUUCAUACUUUGGUAGUAUUAGUGUUCACUAGGACUAGGUGCCACUCUGUAGAAGCUAAGGAUACAGAUGGAGAAAGUAGUCAUGGUUUUUUUUUCAAAAAGUUUGUUCAUAUCUAUAAGAGGUUUAUGAUUUUUCAGUGUAUACUGUUGUGAAACCUAGAGUGUUUUAUCUCAUUUGACAUUGAACUACGCUUUGAAGGAAAAACCUUCAUUUGACAUCGAACUAUGCAUGCAGGGCAAACACCCCGUGCUUCGGUGCCACCGCGCCGCGAACCCUGGGAGCUUGAACCUGGAUGGGUGUGAACUUAAGAUUGAUGUCAAUGUUAGGGGUCAGUCAUGGAUAGAGAAUAAAGGGGACUUUGCGAAACUGUUAUUAAUAAUAUCGAUGAAACAUUGCCUUGUGGAGAGAAUAAGAUAUUUCGAGAGAUAUUUAUAAAUGGAUGCAUACUUGCAAUAGCAGUACAAAAUAUGAUGCUAACAUUUUAUUUUCAUUGUUGUUCCCAUUAAACUUCUGGUGGUGGCUCCAUUAUUCACAGCCUCACACAUGAAAAUGUUAUUUCGUUCGGGUAAAUGUUGCAUGUCGUUGCUCCUGUAGUUUUGCGGUUUGCAUGUCCUUGAAACUUGUGAAUUGGAUUUUGCGAAGUUGCAAUGCAAAUUUGGGAUGCAGGGAAGAUAAUAAACAAUGCUUUCUAAGAGCAUUGGAUAUUGGAUGCGACUCAGAAAGAACGCAUGCAAACGCAAGAUGCAAGACGUAGUAGGCACAUGUCCAGGUUUAUUAAGAGCAUCUACACCGGACGCCUCAUAUCUGUCACAGACGCAAAAUUGCCGGUCAGCACUAGGACGCAAAAUUGCCACCCAACAGGAUCUGUCAAACCCGGCCCAAACGUCUAGACAUGACCGCACUCCCCAUAUCCAGCCCAUAUCUCGGACGGAUAUGUGGAAGCCCAGAGACGCCCGGACACACCCGCCAUGUAGGAUCCGGCCGAGUGCGGCCCACCCGACCCUACAUAAAUUGGACCCUAUCCGCACUCCGAGCGAAACCCAAGCGGCAUUCAACUCCACUCUACUCCUCGCCAGGCCACUCCCGUCCACCCACAAGCCCCAUUUGCGAAUCUCCCACCAUUUCGAGUCGUUGAACUGGAGAUCGUCCCACGCGGCCCCAAGGAGGAGAUGGUCGACUGCCUUGCGCUUCUCCACUACCGGCGGAGUCCGCCCAGCAGCGGUCGAAAUCCAUCUAGUGGGAAUCCAUUGCGUUUGCCACAAUGGAGCAUGGAUCCCGCCCGAGGGCAGUCUACGCUGCCUUAGCACAGGCAGUGCACUCCGUCUGGCGUCCGAACGCCGUGGAGGAUACGCAACCACUUUGUUGGCGCACUGAGAAAGAUAUGCACACCUGCUUAACGUCUGAUAUUAAUAUGGUGUGUGGCGCAUCCACCGUGUUAGGAAAUGGGCACGGGAACCCGCGGCAGCCCUCGUGCCAGACGCCAGCGGGGCAGACUCGCACUCUUCGGUGCCUCGUAUCGUGCCCGGCAGCCCUUGGCGCCGAAAUCAUGUUGUGUUGGAUGCGGCCGGCUCCACCAUCAUGGAUCAAUCAUCGACCUCACAUCCACCGACGACGGGAGAGCACGGGCUCCGACGUGAAAGAGUAGGCCAUGGGAGAUGGCGCCGAAUCGAGUUUCUUUUGCCGGGUCGUGUCCCAUGUCCUACUCUACCUCACCAGAGACCGACCCUCCACUUUGACAGGCUCAGACAGCCAUCGGACAUGGACAGGUUAGGAACAACAAGGACAGUCACUGGCACAAAUUUAGACUACAGCCGUCGACGCGAGGUAAGUGCGGCAUGAGUUAAUCGCUGAAGAGGUUGGGCCGUUGUCGCCGGUUUGUCGUACAGUUGCCGACGUAGUCGUCCAUGACCACCAGAUCGACGCCGCCGUCACUGCAAGUCUAGGCGUCUCUGUAGUGGCUGAAGUCAUUUUAGUGUAUUUUCUUUGUAUUGUGAUGAUUGCAUACUGUGUUGCGUAUUGUGGCGUAUUUUCUUUGUAUUGUGAUGAUUGUAUACAGUACAAUGUAUUGUGGCAUAUUUUUUGUGGUCUAUUUUUAAAAAGAAAACUAUAAAUAGCUAAAAGUGGUGUGCAGAAUAAAUUUAUACCCGCCACUACAAAACAAAUGCCAGUACUGACACAUAUUUUUGCCCACCAUUAAUAGUAAUGACCCCCACUGCUACAAGUUCGAGGUCGAUGGCGGGCUGUUUGUAACGCCCGCCACUGUUAUAGUCAUUGGCAGGUGGAGCGCCCGCCACUAAUGCCAUGUUGCCAGUGGCAGGCGCCUCUGAGAGCCUUACCCGUCAUUACUAGGCUUUUGAUGCCGCCACUGCUACGCAUUCCUGCGAUAGUGUGCAAUUGCAUAUCUAGUAGAACAUAUACAACUAUCCUCCCAACAAACAGUUUCGUUCUACCAUGAAGUUAUAGUCGGGGUGAAGACAUUCAUUUAUAAUUGGAAGUGACGUUGCAGUUGCAUAUCAAGUAGGAGAUAUUUAACUGCCCUAAUGACAAAACACUUUUGUUCCCUGAGUUACAGUCGCAUUGGAGACAUGCAUUAGCGAAAUGGCACCACCUGUAGUUGCGUGUUUGGAGUUAGACAUGCAACUAGCUCCACAAUAAUAAUCUGAAUUUUAAGUUUUAAUGAAUUUUAAAUUAAAGAAAAAAGAAAAGAUGAGGAUAUAAAAACAGAAAUAGAGAAAACAAACAAUAGGAAAAAUCCUAAAAAAAGCAAAAACAAAGAAAGGAAAAACCUGUUUGAAGUUUGUAGAAGCUUCAUAAAACCAGUAGAAAGAGUCCUACAUGGGGCGGCCCACUCACACAUGUAAAAAGAGGCGGGCGAGGUGUAUGUCGACUAGCUCAGAGUUGGGGAAUCCUAUUCCGCGUAUAGGUCGCUACGUAGCGACCUAGCGCGUACCCCUCGGGUUUGUGGUCCUAUUCGGGUUGGUCCAUUCCAGGUUCUUCCCCAUACCGGUUUUUAGGAAAGUUCUAGAGCUUUUUUUCUAUUUUCUUUGUUUUCUUCUAGUUUUUUCUUUCUUUUAUAUUUUUUAUAUUACUUCUUAUUUUCUUUUACUUUAAAUUUUCUUUUUUGGUGUUGCAAACAUAUUUUCAAAUUCGUAAACGUUUAUUGAAUUCAAGAACAGUUUUUGAGUUGACAAACAUAUAUCUGAAAUAAUGAACAUUUUCUAAUUCGACAAUACAUUUUAAAAUCACAAAAUAACAAAAAAAUAACUUUUGAGGACAUUUUUUAAAAAUUCUGAACAUGUUUGUCAAUCGGCCGGCAUUUUUUGAAUCGAUGAACAUUUCUAUGAAUUGACAUGAUUUUUUUGAAUUGGUAAACAUUUUUUGAAUCGAUGACCAUUUUUUGAAUCAAUGAAUAUUUUUUACAUGAAUGAACAUUUUUGGAAAUUCACAAUAUUUUUUUUGAACAUUUUAAAAACUUGUUGAAUAUUGCUUGUAUCUCAACUUCCGUCCUGAUUAAUUAAAUAAAGUGGUGAUACCCAUCAAAAAAAAUAGCUACGGUUGGCACAAAAUUCGCGAUCAACGAAGGAAUAGACCUUCUUCCAGGAAGACCCGAUCAGACUCAGAAUCCCGGUUUACAAGACAUUUCGAUAAUGGUAAAACAAGACUAGCAAAGCCUCCCGCUGUGCCGACAAAUCCCGAUAGGAGCUGCACAUAUCUCGUUCUCAGGGCACACCGGAUUAUCCAAACUUCCGGUAGGCCAGCCCAGAGUUGCCCCUGGUGGCCACCGGCGGCUGGCAGGUUGGACCAACACUCACGACGAGCACUGGCCCGGGGGGGGGGGGGGGAAAAUAAAGAUGACCCUUGAGUCUGCAGAACCCAAGGGAAAAAGGCUUAGGUAGGCAAAUGGUAAAACCAAGGUUGGGCCUUGCUGGAGGAGUUUUAUUCAAAGCGAACUGUCAAGGGGGUCCCAUAAAUCACCCAACCGCGUAAGGAACGCAAAAUCCGGGAACGUAACACCGGUAUGACGGAAACUAGGGCGGCAAGAGUGGAACAAAACACCAGGCAUAAGGCCGAGUCUUCCAUCCUUUACCAAGUAUAUAGAUGCAUUAAUUAAAUAAGAGAUAUUGUGAUAUCCCAACAUAAUCAUGUCCAUCAUGGAGCAAUCUUCAACUUCACCUGCAACUAGCAACGCUAUAAGAGGGCUGAGCAAAGCGGUAACAUAGCCAAGCAAUGAUUUGCUAGGAAUGGUGAAAAGGUUAGAGGCUGACAUGGCAAUAUGGGAGGCAUGGUAAACAAGUGAUAGGUAGCGCAGCACAGCGAUAGAACGAAGCACCUAGCAAGCAAAGAUAGAAGUGAUAUCAAGGGUAAUGGUCAUCUUGCCUGAAAUCCCGAUAGGAAGAAGAACGAGUCCAUGAAGAAGAGAAACGAACGUAGUCGAACGAAUCCUCACAACUCCGGAACGAAACCGAAGCUAACGAAAGAAGCAAACCGGAAAGAAGCAAACAACAUGGUAAACACACACACAUAAACAUGGCAUGAUGCACAAACAAGUAUGAUGCAUGUCCGGUUUAAUGAGGCAUGGCAUGGCAAAGUGCGACAAACAAUACUACAAGUUAAGUGGAGCUCAAUAUGCAACGAGUUUCAUAUUGACGAAACACCACAUCAACUAUUUAGUUCUCUCUCGUUUAGGCUAACAAACAAUAUUUAAUGUUGUUAAACAUGUCAAGAGGUGAAAUAUAAUUAAACUAACUAUUUAGGCAAGUUUAAAUGAGGCCGGAAACAACAAACAACAAUUCCGGUAAAUCCCCAUAUGUCAAUUAGCAAUUUUAAAGCAAACAACAAUUUUAACCAUUUUAAUUGUUGUUAUCAUGAUGCGGAUGACAUAUGCAAGUUUUAUGCAAUUUUAUGAAAAUGUUGACAUGAGCAUGUUAUGAAGCAUUUGGUCACCAUGGCGGAACGAAAAGGGUGCCACGGCAACGAUAACGAAAAUGGUGCCACGGCAACAGAUCCGAAAAUGAUGCCACGGCAACAUAUCGGUCCCGAUAACUCGAGUGAGAUACCGAUGCAAACGAGAAGUGUGACGUGAGCGAGUCAUGCAAGAUGGUGGGGUGAUCCCGGCUACCGGGUUCCCACGGGUUAGUGGCAUGGCAAAGAGCGACAAUUCGGACGCGGUGCACACACAAGCAUCUCAUACAACACAUAUUCAUUCGGUCCACGCUUGAUCGUCUCGGGGCUUAUACCUUCGAAGCGUGCGUUUUCGGAGCGGUUCAAAAACGUCGAGGGAAGUAGUCGUUCACGGGUCGUAGGGGAAGUAGUCGUUCACGUUCGUCUCGGAGAGGUACUUGACGAAUCCAACAUCUUCGGGGCGACGAUAGUGGUUCACGGACGUCGUGGGAAGUAGUGGAAGUAGUUGUACACGGCGACGGUAGUUGUACACACGUUGUAGUCGAACUUGACGGUCUCGGUCCUGGCGAUCCAAAGGGCACUUGGCGGUUUUGAUCGAACCGUAGUGGUACUGGGCGAGAUACACAGCCACGGCAGUCUUCGGCCUUGAUUUUCCUGUACAUGACUCCACAGGUCCUGAGGGGACUCGGCGAUGGCCAUGGCAAAGAGGCGGCUAGGCGUUGGACGGACUAACAGGCAGAGGUGGUCGUGGUAGUACUAGCUCAUGGGGAUGGCGGUCUUGGGCGGCAACAACCUGCCGUGUUGGUGCAGCAGCGGCUGCUGGAGAGGCCAUGGCUACAAGGGUGGCGAGCUCGAGCAAAUCCGACGAGGACGUCCGGGAUGGCUGGGGUUGCGAGGGAGCAGAGGUCGGCCGGUCGUGGCAGACGGCGGAGAACACCUCAGCCACGGGGAAGGUGGACGGCGGGCUUCGGAGCAAGGGGAGACAGAUGCGGGCGAGCGGAGCACGGCGGGGACGCGGGGAUGCUGAUGGCCUGCGACAGAUAGACUUUUUUAGUUCGCACUCGUGUUCGUGUUGGAGACGGACUGCUCCUUCGUGUGCGAGAUGGACGACGACGUGUUUUUUUCCUCUUCCCGGUUGAUGAUGCCCAUAUGGAGUGCGGGUUGAUUUCAUAAAAGAUGAGGGACUUGUUUGCAAAAAUGCNNNNNNNNNNNNNNNNNNNNNNNNNNNNNNNNNNNNNNNNNNNNNNNNNNNNNNNNNNNNNNNNNNNNNNNNNNNNNNNNNNNNNNNNNNNNNNNNNNNNNNNNNNNNNNNNNNNNNNNNNNNNNNNNNNNNNNNNNNNNNNNNNNNNNNNNNNNNNNNNNNNNNNNNNNNNNNNNNNNNNNNNNNNNNNNNNNNNNNNNNNNNNNNNNNNNNNNNNNNNNNNNNNNNNNNNNNNNNNNNNNNNNNNNNNNNNNNNNNNNNNNNNNNNNNNNNNNNNNNNNNNNNNNNNNNNNNNNNNNNNNNNNNNNNNNNNNNNNNNAUAUAUAUAUAUAUAUAUAUAUAUAUAUAUAUAUAUAUAUAUAUAUAUAUAUAUAUAUAUAUAUUUCUAUCAUAGCUUACUAUGGAAAUAGCUAUCAGAACCGUCGGACUCUACCUCAAGAUUCGAACCGAAGUGUGGUCCGGUUCCUUUUCUUGUUCUUUUCUUGAUUUUUGGAUGGUGUAACCCACAAACAGAAACUCAAACGACAUCCACCCUGCUAGCCCAGGCUGCCGACCUGGAACCUAUCCCCUGAUCAAAGAAGCAGAAGAAGAACUCACGCAAGCAAGCAUCGCUCUCGCGUCAUGAUCAUCGCAAAACCUAUACCUGCAACUGUUGUUGUAGUAAUCUGUGAGCCACGAGGACUCAGCAAUCCCAUUGCCAUGGGUAUCAAGACUAGCAAAGCUUAAAGGGAAAGGAAGGGGUAAAGUGGUGAGGCUGCAGCAGCGACUAAGCAUAUAUGGUGGCUAACAUACGCAAAUAAGAGCGAGAAGAGAGCAAGCAGAACGGUCGUGAAGCUAGCAAUGAUCAAGAAGUGAUCCUGAACUCCUACUUACGUCAAACAUAACCCAGAAACCGUGUUCACUUCCCGGACUCCGCCGAGAAGAGACCAUCACGGCUACACACGCGGUUGAUGCGUUUUAAUUCGGAUCUGGUGUCAAGUUAUCUACAACCGGACAUUAACAAAUUCCCAUCUGCCUAUAACCGCAGGCACGGCGUUCGAAAGAUUAUACCCUGCAGGGGUGUCCCAACUUAGCGCAUGACAAGCUCUCGCGAUCAACGAAGGAAUAGACCUUCUCCCAGGAAGACUCGAUCAGACUCGGAAUCCCGGUUUAUAAGACAUUUCGACAAUGGUAAAACAAGACAAGCAAGACCGCCAGAUGUGCGGACAAUCCCGAUAGGAGCUGCACAUAUCUCGUUCUCAGGGCAACACCGGAUGAGCAAUCCGUACAACUAAAACCAGACCUCAAGUUUCCCUGAGGGGGUGCUGCAAAGGGCUCUAGUUCGGACCAACACUUAGACAAGCACUGGCCCGGGGGCGCUAAAAUAAAGAUGACCGUUGGGAUGCGCCACUCCCAAGGGAAAAAGGGGUAGGUGAUGCAAAUGGUAAAACCAAGGUUGGGCCUUGCUGGAGGAGUUUUAUUCAAAGCGAACUGUCAAGGGGGUCCCAUAAAUCACCCGACCGCGUAAGGAACGCAAAAUCCGGGAACAUAACACCGGUAUGACGGAAACUAGGGCGGCAAGAGUGGAAUAAAACACCAGGCAAAAGGCCGAGUCUUCCACCCUUUACCAAGUAUAUAGAUGCAUUAAUAAUAUAAGAGAUAUUGUGAUAUCCCAACCAAAAUCCUGUCCACCAUGGAGAAAUCUUCAACUUCACCUGCAACUAGCAACGCUAUAAGAGGGGCUGAGCAAAAGCGGUAACAUAGCCAAACAACGGUUUGCAUAGGAAAGGUGCCAAAGGUUAGAGGUUCAUGGCAAUAAGGGAUGGCUGGAUAAAUAGGUGAUAGGUAACGCAUCAUAGCAAUAGAACGAAACAACUAGCAUAGCAAUGAUAGUAGUGAGAUCCAGGGUAACAGUCAUCUUGCCUGAAAUCCCGCUAGGAAGAAGAAACGAGUCCAUGAAGAAGACGAACGGAUGAAGCCAAACCAAGCGUAGACGAACGAAUCCUCACGAUCGCAACGAAACAGGAACUAUCGAAAAGAAGCACACAACAUAGUAAACACACCACACAUGAACAUGACAUGAUGCACAACAAGCAUGAUGCAUGACAAAGCUACAUGAAGCUACUCAUGGCAAGAGAUGAUGCAAACAAGAACAACACAACAAGGCAAGUUUAAAUGAGGCCGGGAACAACAUAUAACAAUUGCGGUAAGUCCUCAUAUGCAUAUUUCGAAAUUGGUCCAGAUCUGAAUAAACCUUAUGUUCAAGUUGUUAAACAGCAAGUUAAGAUGCAACAAGAUGAUCUACACGAGAUUCUAGUCAAGUUACUUAUAAAGUUCAUUUAGUUCGGAGCUACGGCCUAAGAGAUAUGAGGAAAACAAGUUAAACAUGGCAUUGAUGCAAAAUGCACCCAAACAUCAAGCAAACACACCAAAACAAGGAUGCAACAUGAUAAUAUGAAACUACAUGCAAAAUCAAGCAAGUUUCAUAUAGAGCACACUCAAAAGGGAGCAACGGUUCAACACACUCACACUAAACAAGUCAUAGCAACAAUCUGUCCAAAACAGCAACCUGGCAUAUUGCAAGCAUCAAAAGAACGUGCUACAGGACCUCAACAAGAAAACAGAAGGCAUGGGCAUGAUGUACAGGUAAAUCAUUACAAAACAUGAACACUGAGCUAUCUCCAGAAAUCACUAGAAAAUGCUCAAACACACAUGGUAAGAUUGCAAGUUAUAACAAUUUCAGACUUUGCAGAAAAUAACAUCACGAUGCAAUGUUUAGAGCUAUCACACAAUAUGUUACAGGAACUUAUCAUGGCAAACAAAGGCAUGGCAUGAAUCUACUAAUUGCAUAGAUCAAAAGUCCCUUAGUGACCAUAAGCCAAAAAGGACCAGAAAAUAUGAUGGCACCCACGUAAAUAUGGCAAGUUAUUAUACAGAUUCAAACAUGGCAGAAACAGAAUUAUGAAGGCGUGUAGAUGAGCUUGUGCAACUCACUACAGAUCAUUACAUGGCAUUGCAAGGCACCCAACAGUAAGAAGGCAUGUUUGUGAAGCUAAGCAUGGCAAUAGCAAGGUCAUAGGGUUCAUGGAACACUAGCAAAACACAUGGAAACAAGUGAACUUAAUGUUAACAGGCUGACAGCAACAUUAUGAAGCAACUUUGGAGCAAGCUAUGAACAAGCUACAGCAAGCUAUAAAUGCAACCAGGGCAUGGAUGGAUAUAGCAUGACAUGUAGAACAAAACACAUUUAUAGAACAUCUCCAUAUUAUGCAUAGAAUGAUUUGUAGAAGCAUGUUUAUAUAGCAUCACGAAAUAACAGAUUCAGCCUAGCAAAACAACAUCAUGUACCCUACUUAACAAGCUCGAUUCACUCACCACAAGUCAUUGCAUGACAAGAUAAGAAUAGCAUCAUCAAGAAGACAUGUUUGUGAAACAAACCAAGUCAAGAACAAGUCCAUAGCAUGCAAGGAUCAACUACACAACCUUGGCUAAAUUGAAUGACAAGUAAACAAUCUGCCAGGAAACAUUUUGAAGCAAAAGUAGAGCACUCAAAUGACAUGCUAGACUACUCCAUAAUUGCAACCAAGGGCAUGAAUGGAUAGACAAUAACCAUAUGUUCAAAACAUCCUUACUGAAGGAUCUCAAAAUAUGCAUGGAUCUCUCUGUAGCAUCAAGUAUACAUGGCAUCAAAAUAACAGCAGAACAGGGACUAAAAUCAGUAACAUCACGAUGCCUAGUUUGCAUGCUUGUGCUAGUCACCACAUUGAUCACAAAAAUACAUGGUAAGCACCUCUGUAAAGAAGACAUGGCAUAGAUCAAAACACAUGUAGACAUCAACCUCAUAGGAUGCACACAUCAAUCAUGGCAAAAAAUGACAAAAGAGCUCGUUUUGGUAACAGACAGCAGAAAACAUUAUGAAGCACUCUUACAAUGAUGCUUCAGGCAUCAAGAUGACCUCAAAUGAAUAUGAUGCAAUGGAAUGAAAUGAUGUAAUCAUCGAGACGAACAAUUUGACAUAUUACACGCACGAAACGGAGCUACGGAUGCAGAGAUACAGCAGGUCAAACAUGGCAUGAAAAUUACACAGAUUCAGGGACUUAGGCAAAAUUAUACCUCGCGAAAAGUCAACCCGGGACGAGGACGUUCCGGGACGGAGGGAUCCAGGACGGGGGCGCCGUUUGGUUGGUGGGCCUGGUGGAUCUCAUCCACUCGUGGCGGAUCUGGCCGGAGGAGAGCUCCGGCGAGCUCUCCGGCGAGGCACGGUCGACGAGGGGCGAGGUGGGACGGCGGGGAUCCGCGGCAGAGGCGCGCAGGGGCUCGGGAUCCGGAGGGGNNNNNNNNNNNNNNNNNNNNNNNNNNNNNNNNNNNNNNNNNNNNNNNNNNNNNNNNNNNNNNNNNNNNNNNNNNNNNNNNNNNNNNNNNNNNNNNNNNNNNNNNNNNNNNNNNNNNNNNNNNNNNNNNNNNNNNNNNNNNNNNNNNNNNNNNNNNNNNNNNNNNNNNNNNNNNNNNNNNNNNNNNNNNNNNNNNNNNNNNNNNNNNNNNNNNNNNNNNNNNNNNNNNNNNNNNNNNNNNNNNNNNNNNNNNNNNNNNNNNNNNNNNNNNNNNNNNNNNNNNNNNNNNNNNNNNNNNNNNNNNNNNNNNNNNNNNNNNNNNNNNNNNNNNNNNNNNNNNNNNNNNNNNNNNNNNNNNNNNNNNNNNNNNNNNNNNNNNNNNNNNNNNNNNNNNNNNNNNNNNNNNNNNNNNNNNNNNNNNNNNNNNNNNNNNNNNNNNNNNNNNNNNNNNNNNNNNNNNNNNNNNNNNNNNNNNNNNNNNNNNNNNNNNNCAGACUCCGGGAAGAAAAGGGUGGGAGGGCGGGAAAACAAAGGCAACUUGGAAGGGGGAACGACGAAUAUCUUGAAGAGAAAACUCCGGUUGAAAUCAUUGCGGAAAGAAAGCAAAGACUUCGCACGAGUAGGAUGGAUACUCGAUUACGGACUCCGGCUUCGAGAAGAAAAGGGGAGGGCGGGUGGGAAAAGAAAACAACUGAGGAUUGAACUUGCAAAGAUGAAGAGGGUCAAGUCAACUUGACGAGAAAUGCACCGGAUGAAAAGAGCUGAGGAACAACGAUCGAAAAACCAACCGCGUGAUCCUAAAGAAAAAUUUGAAGGGGAAGAGGAGUAAUUCAAAUCACCUACAUCAAGAUUUCUCACCAGAGCGACGAAGGGGCUGAGGAGUAAAAAGACUUCCUACUCUCAGAUAUAACUAGACUCCGAAAACAGUUUUAUUCUAGACUCAACAUCGGCCAAACUACACGAUCAAUCAAGGGGGCUCCUAGGGUCGGUCGAGGCUCUGAUACCAACUUGUCACGCCCAAUAUGCGACCCUAUCCAAAAGGAACUCGAAGGUCCCACCAAGAAUAGGCCCGCAUAUUGAAACGCUUUUGCAAGGUGGAUAUCAUUACAUUAACAUUACAUAAUAUAUGGGGAAACAGACAUAAGGCAUACAAUGCACACGAAUACAACAUCACAAUACAUCAAAGCAUCAUCCAACUAUGGAUGAAACACAAACAGAAACUCAAACGACAUCCACUCUGCUAGCCCAGGCUGCCGACCUGGAACCUAUCCCUGAUCGAAGAAGAAGCAGAAGAAGAACUCCAAAACAAGCAACAUCGCUCUCGCGUCAUGAUCAUCGCACCACCUGUACCUGUAACUGUUGUUGUAGUAAUCUGUGAGCCACGAGGACUCAGCAAUCCCAUUACUAUGGGUAUCAAGACUAGCAAAGCUUAAAAGGAAAGGAAGGGGUAAAGUGGUGAGGCUGCAGGAGCGGCUAAGCAUGAUAUGGUGGCUAACAUACGCAAAUAAGAGCGAGAAGAGAGCAAGCAGAACGGUCGUGAAAUUAGCAAUGAUCAAGAAGUGAUCCUGAACUCCUACUUACGUCAAACAUAACCAAGAAACCGUGUUCACUUUCCGGACUCCGCCGAGAAGAGACCAUCACGGCUACACACGCGGUUGAUGCGUUUUAAUUCGGAUCUGGUGUCAAGUUAUCUACAACCGGACAUUAACAAAUUCCCAUCUGCCUAUAACUGCAGGCACGGCUUUCGAAAGAUUAUACCCUGCAGGGGUGUCCCAACUUAGCCCAUGACAAGCUCUCGCGAUCAAAGAAGGAAUAGACCUUCUCCCAGGAAGACCCGAUCAGACUCGGAAUCCCGGUUUACAAGACAUUUCAACGAUGGUAAAACAAGACCAGCAAGACCGCCCGAUGCGCCGUCAAUCCCGAUAGGAGCUGCACAUAUCUCGUUCUCAGGGCACACCGGAUUGUCCAAACUUCCGGUAGGCCAGCCCAGAGUUGCCCCUGGUGGCCACCGGCGGUUGACAGGUUGGACCAACACUCACGACGAGCAUUGGCCCGGAGGGGAUAAAAUAAAGAUGACCCUCGAGAGCGCGACUCCCAUGGGAAAAAGGGCUAUGUGAGGCAAAUGGUAAAACCAAGGUUGGGCCUUGCUGGAGGAGUUUUAUUCAAAGCGAACUGUCAAGGGGGUCCCAUAAAUCACCCGACCUCCCCGGCGAUCCUCGAAAUCCGUGCACGAGUUGACUUUCUCACCCUCGAGGUUGAAUUUUCUGCUAAGUCCCUAUAUUUUGUUAUUUUCAUGCCAUGUCCGUCAUGCUGUAUCUCUGCAUCCGUAGCUCCGUUUCAUGCGUGUAAUAUGUCAAAUUGUUCGUCUUAACGAGUACAUCAUUUCAUUCCAUUGCAUCAUAUUCAUUUAAGGUAAUCUUGAUGCCUGAAUCAUCAUUGUAAGAGUGCUUCAUGAUGUUUUCUGCUGUCUGUUAUCAGAACGAGCUCUUUUGUCAUUUUUGCCAUGAUUGAUGUGUGCAUCCUAUGAGGUUGAUGUCUACAUGUGUUUUGAACUAUGCCAUGUCUUCUUUACAGAGGUGCUUACCAUGUAUUUUUGUGAUCAAUGUGGUGACUAGCACAAGCAUGCAAACUAGGCAUCAUGAUGUUACUGAUUUUAGUCCCUGUUCUGCUGUUAUUUUGAUGCCAUGUAAACUUGAUGCUACAGAAAGAUCCAUGCAUAUUUUGAGACACUUCAGUAAGGGUGUUUUGAACAUGUGGUUAUUGUCUAUCCAUUCGUGCCCUUGGUUGCAAUUAUGGAGUAGCCUAGAAUGUCAUUUUCGUGCUCUACUUUUGCUUCAAAAUGUUUCCUGGCAGAUUGUUUACAUGUUAUUCAAUUUGGCCAAGGUUGAUAUAGUUGAUCCUUGCAUGCUAUGGACUUGUUCUUGACUUGGUUUGUUUCACAAACAUGUAUUCUUGAUGAUGCUAUGCUUAUCUUGUCAUGCAAUGACUUGUGGUGAGUGAAUCGAGCUUGUUAAGUAGGGUACUUGAUGUUGUUGUUUUGCUAGGCUGAAUCUAUUAUUUCGUGAUGCUAUAUAAACCUACUGCUACUAAUCAUUCUAUGCAUAAUCUGGAGAUGUUCUAUAAACAUGUUCUGAUCUACAUGUCAUCCUAUAUCCAUCCAUGCCCCUGGUGCAUUUAUAGCUUGUUGUAGAUUGUUCAUAUCUUGCUCCAAACUUGCUUCAUAAUGUUGCUGUCAGUCUGUUAACAUUAAGUUCAGUUGUUGACAUGAUUGUUGCUAGUGUUCCAUACAUCCUAUGACGUUGCUAUUGCCAUGCUUAGCUUCACAAACAUGCCUUCUUACUGUUGGUUGCCUUGCCAUGCCAUGUUUUGCUCUGUAGUGAGUUGCACAAGCUCAUCUACAUGCCUUCAUAAUUCUGUUUCUGCCAUGUUUGAAUCUGUAAUAUAACUUGCCAUGUUUACAUGGGUGCCAUCAUAUUUUCUGAUCGUUUUUGGCUUAUGGUCAGUAAAGGAAUUUUUGAUCUAUGAAAUUAGUAGAUUCAUGCCAUGCCUUUGUUUGCCAUGAUAAGUUCCUGUAACAUGUUGUUUGAUAGCUCUAAAUAUUGCAUCGUGAUGUUAUUUUCUGCAAAGUCUGAAAUUGUUAUAACUUGCAAUCUUACCAUGUGUGUUUGAGCAUGUUCUAAUGAUUUCUGGAGAUAGCUCAGUGUUCAUGUUUUGUUGUGCUUUACCUGUACAUCAUGCUCAUGCAUUUUAUUUCCAUAUUGUGGUGCUGUAGCAUAUUGUUUUGAUGCUUGCAAUAUACCUAGUUGCUGUUUUGGACAGAUUGUUGCUUUCACUUGUAUAUGGUGUGUGUGCUGAACCGUUGCUCCGUUUUGAGUGUGCUAUAUAUGAAACUUGCUUGUUUUUGCAUGUAGUUUCAUAUUAUCAUGUUGCAUCCAUGUUUUGAGGUGUUUGCUUGAUGUUUGAGUGCAUUUUACAUCAAUGCCAUGUUUAACUUGUUUUGCUCAUAUCUUCUAGGUCGUAGCUCCGAACUAAAUGAACUUUAUAUGUAACUUGACUAGAAUCUCGUGUAGAUCAUCUUUGUGCAUCUUAACUUGCUGUUUAACAACUUGAACAUAAGGUUUAUUCAGAUCUGGACCAACUUCGAAAUAUGCAUAUGAGGACUUAUCAGAAUUGUUAUAUGUUGUUCCCGGCCUCAUUUAAACUUGCCUUGAUGUGUUAUUCUUGUUUGCAUCAUCUCUGGCCAUGAGUAGCCUCAUCUAGAUUUGUCAUGCAUCAUGCUUGUUGUGCAUCAUGUCAUGUUCAUGUGUGGUGGGUUUACUAUGUUGUGUGCUUCUUUUCGAUAGUUCCCGUUUCGUUGCGGUCGUGAGGAUUCGUUCGUCUACGCUUGGUUCUUCGUGGCUUCAUCUUCUUCAUGGACUUGUUCUUCUUCCUUGCGGAAUUUUUGGAAAGAUGACCGCUACCUUGGAUCUCACUACUAUCAUUGCUAUGCUAGUUGCUUCGUUCUAUCGCUAUGCUGCGUUACCUAUCUCUGCUCAUCAAGCCUCCCAUAUUGCCAUGAACCUUUAACCUUUGACACCUUUCCUAUGCAAACCGUUGUUUGGCUAUGUUACCGCUUUUGCUCAGCCCCUCUUAUAGCGUUGCUAGUUGCAGGUGAAGUUGAAGAUUUCUCCAUGGUGGACAGGAUUUUUGUUGGGAUAUCACAAUAUCUCUUAUAUUAUUAAUGCAUCUAUAUACUUGGUAAAGGGUGGAAGACUCGGCCUUAUGCCUGGUGUUUUGUUCCACUCUUGCCGCCCUAGUUUCCGUCAUACCGGUGUUAUGUUCCCGGAUUUUGCGUUCCUUACGCGGUCGGGUGAUUUAUGGGACCCCCUUGACAGUUCGCUUUGAAUAAAACUCCUCCAGCAAGGCCCAACCUUGGUUUUACCAUUUGCCUCAUAUUUCUAUCAUAGCUUACUAUGGAAAUAGGUAUCAGAACCGUCGGACUCUGCCUCAAGAUUCGAACCGAAGUGUGGUCCGGUUACUUUUCUUGUUCUUUUGUUGAUUUUUGGAUGGUGUAACCCGACCCACGUGCUGACAACUUUACAGAUGGAGUAAAGACAGGGCCUGCCCCAUGUGGUUCUGACUCGUUCUUGGACCAACUCGUCGGUCACGGACGUGUGCAAUGGAGGUUCCACGCCGUCCAUUGAACUUUUUUUAGCAUCAGUAGGCGCCUCGUCGUCGAUGGGAACGUCUUCUCCCACUGAAAGCGCAUCGCCGGAAAUUCUGAAAUAAAUCCAGAAAUAAUGCGAGCACCAGGAUUUGAACCCUGAUGGGUUAGGGAUAUCACUGUCCACCUAACCAACUCAACCGCAGGUUGAUUCGCUCACCGUCCAUUGAACUUGCAUACCGGUUCCUGCUGCUCGUGAGCCUCGUUACGGCCAGUUCCUUCGUCGCAUGACACCUUUUUUUUCCAGUUGCCACGUCGCGUUCCUUUUCCAUCUCUUUGGCGAAUUUUGUGCUGAUAAAAGCCUGUGUUGAGUCAGUACAGCACAAGUUCGGAGGUUCCGCGCCCUCAUAAAAUGAACGUGUAGGUUCUGUCGUAUAUGAUACUACCAUAGUACAUGAUUUUCCCUACAUAUACGUAGCCGGCGUGCAGGAGUGUCAGAACCUUCAAUGCAUGCACUGUAUCAGUGUCAUACACAUGCAAUGGGACAAAUUUUUUAAGCACAAAAGGAUGGAUAGUUUAAUGCAACCCCUCAUAUGGACAUACAGGCAGCUUAAUUCGUGCCGUGCUCCUACAGGUAAAUAUACUACCUGUAAUCGCAAUUGAAUAUGAAAAAAAAACAGUCGAUUCAACGUUUCAUGAAGACUCGUUUGGCACCACUCUUGGAUUUGAUGAUACUUCGUGGCAACCAACUCCCUCCUGUCGGUUCUUUUAUGAAGACUCGUUCGACACCGCCCUUGAAUUUGACGGUUCUUCGGGGUGACCAACUCCCUCCUAUCGGUUCUUUUGUGAAGACUCGUUAGGCAUCAUCCUUGAAUUUGACAUUUCUCCGGGGCGACCAACUCGCUCCUAUCGGUUCUUUCGUGAGACUCGUUCGGCACCACCCUUGGGUUUGACGGUUCUUCGUGGCGACCAACUCCCUCUUAACUGUUCUUUUUUGAAGACUUGUUCGGCACCACCAUUGGGUUUGGCGGUUCUUUGUGGCGACCAACUCCCUCUUAUCGGUUCUUUUGUGAUGACUCGUUCGGUACUACCCUCUGAUUUGACGGUUCUCCAUGGUGACCAACUCUCUCCCAUCGGUUCUUUGGUGAAGACUCGUUCGGCACCACCCUUUGAUUUGACGGUUCUUCAUGAUGAAUAACUUCCUCCUACCAGUUCUUGAUGGCGAUGUCGGCUCUUCACAAAUUCGAUUCCAGUUGCAAGUAUAGUUUUGACGGCUCUACGGAGGUGGAAUCCGGUUCUUUGCAAAUUGUAUUCUGGUUCCAAGUAUAAUUUUGAUGGUACUGUGGAGGUGAGACAUCGGCCCUAGCGUAUUACCUUCUCACAAAAAAAGAACUUGUAUUACCUAGCGUAGUGGACACAAGCUAGUACAUACAGUUGUUUUAUACCUGAUGAAUAAUUAACUUAGCCAACACUAAUCAACUGUCUUGACAAGAUUACCUAACACAGUAGUCCCCCGUACAAGCCACGGGUCACAGCUAGGGAAGCAGGGAACGGAGACAGUGACCUCGAGGUACGGCAGUGCAUAUAUCGAAGCAUUGGCGCAUGCACAAGUGCACGCAUCUGCAGCAGUAGGGACAUACUCAUAUUAUAAUUUUCUGUGAAGCUCUAGCACCUAGUGCCCCAGCUCUGCACCAAGUCCUGAGGCCUGGAGUGUCAAUAGCUGCUUAGCCAAAAGAUCUGCUAAUGGAACGCAAAGUACAUUUCUGAUUUGUGCCAGCAUAUCCUUGCUUAGAAAAAAUCAUGCACCAAAAGCAGCCAGAAAAUCACACGGCAAGUAAACAAAUCAAGAGCCCUAGGGACACAAGUAAAUACAGGAACAAAAAUCAAGAGCAGAGUUAGAGAUCCACAAGUAAAUACUGGAACAGAUUUUUUUAGUAACUCACUUAAAGUUAUUUUAAGAUUGUGGUGCGAACUAGGGUCCCAUUUUGAUUAAAAGGCCCUGUGCUUGUCACGUGGUUCAUUCCCAACGCUCGUCGGAAUGGCACUGCUUCUACGUGUUUGCGACCUCUGUUCUCCGUUUCAGUCUAAAAGGUUCCAUCAGUCUCAAAGUGUUGGUCAUAUGCGUCUCUGGUCCAUUUCUCCAACCUGAACUCAUCAGAUGGACCACUGGUGGCCGCAGCCCGGGCGCAGCUUAUUCCUGUCAAACAGGCCACUAAAACUCCGAGAACUCCCUCCACAAUUUCUCCCCCUCCCGUGCUGCACGAAUCACAAAGUUUGGGGCAAUGACUUAGAUAGCUAUGUCUGGAGCAAGCUAUGGUAGACAUAAUUUUGCACACACACACACACACACACACACACACACACACACACACACACACACACACAUAUAUAUAUAUAUAUAUAUAUAUAUAUAUAUAUAUAUAUAUAUAUAUAUAUAUAUAUAUAUCCACAUGUAUUCUCAUUCACACACAUAUUCUCAUUCUUGAAAUGAACAACUUUUUUACUCACCUAUAUAUAUCUCCCGAGAGAGACCGAUCGAGAGAGCACGCGGUUAAUUAGAUGAUGAGAGAGACCGAUCGAGAGAGCAUGCAUGGAUGGCUAAAUAGCUAGCUAGAUCUAGUUGUUGGGGAGGAGNNNNNNNNNNNNNNNNNNNNNNNNNNNNNNNNNNNNNNNNNNNNNNNNNNNNNNNNNNNNNNNNNNNNNNNNNNNNNNNNNNNNNNNNNNNNNUGGAGAUGGAGUUAUGGUGGAGGGGGCAUUAAUGGGGAGAGGACGAGAGGUAGGAGAAAGAGAGAUGUGAGAGAGGCCAUUUAUGGAGAAGAGUUAUGGUGGAGGGGGACAUUAAUGAGGAGAGAAGAGAGGUAGUAGGAAGAGAGAAGAAGAGCAACAAUGGUGGAGAGUGGAGAGGGGAAAGGAGGGGGAGAGAGGGCAAAGUGGGGGAGAGGAGGGGGAGGGGGUGAAAAGGUGGCACCAGCCGCAACUAGCAGUAGCGCUGCUUACCAAAACGCGAUGCUGCUACCGUACUUAGUAGCAGUGCUUUCCUGGAGAAGCGCUACUACUAAGUGGGGCCCAUUAGCAGUAGCGGCGCAGUAAAAUAAAGCGCUACUACUAAACUGUUAGUAGUAGUGUUGGAUUCUGCACAGCGCUGGUACUACAUCUAUCGUCGGUGGCCUCGUCUGGUCCCACGUAGUAGUAUCGUGUUUUUGGUUUCCAGCGCUACUGCUAUAGACAGAAUAGUAGCACUUUCCUGGAUCGGCGCUACUGCUAACUAGUAGCAGCAUUGACUAUUUUCCAGCGCUACUGCUAACUAGUAGCUGCUAACUUGUAUAAGCAUUUCCCUAGUAGUGUUAAUUUUAUUGACAGAUUGCACUUCUAGUUUCUACAGCUAGUGCUAACCGAUGAUUGAAAAAUAUAUCUACCUUAACUCUAGACAACUACAUCACAUUGUCACUGCCUAGCAGUGAUGAACCCUAGCGAUACAAAUAAAAAAAUUACAAUGGCAGUGACCUACAGCAAAAGAGGGAGGGAUGAUAUGCUCACCGGGGUUGGAGCCGAGGGUUGCCUACAGCCUACUCUGUCGCCGUCAUCGUCACCUGUGGUAGAUGAGAGUGGGAGGCUCAGAUGCAAAACACACCUCUAAAUUAAAAAAAAUUCCAAAUGGACUAGAUGAGAGUGGGAGGCUCAGAUGUGUACCUCAAGACCGGAGAACGACGACAAUCGUCGGAAUCGGCCAAAAUCAAAGUGGCACGACCAGCGGCGAGAGAGGGAGAGAAAAGGGAACGAAACAGAGCAGCGGGUCACAGAGUGAGAGUGGGUUGAGGGGGUCGUUGCCCCCAUUGGUUUUGACCCCCACGGCAUUCUAAUACUAUUUGUGCUUGCCCAAUAAGAAAAAAGAUCACCACCUAGAAAUUGUCAUCUCAAAACUAUAUAUUUCAAGUCUUAAACUAAAAAGGAAAAAAAGUAAAUUUAACAAAAGUAAACUAUAAUAUACUAUUAAAAAGAUCACAGAAUAAAAAACUAAAAAAAUUUGGAAGUGUCAAAAUACAUAUUUGAAGGCUCAAAACUAUAUAUUUCAAGUCUUAAACUAAAAAGGAAAAAAAAUUAAAGUCUCAAAGUACAUAUUAAAAAAAUGUCAUUAUUUCCAUUUAAAAUAAUAUAAAUUUAAUAAAAGUAAACUAUAAUAUACUAUAAAAAAGAUCACCACACAAAAACCUAAAAAGAAAAAAAAUGGAAGUGUGAAACUACAUAUUGGAAGGCUCAAAACUAUAUAUUUCAAGUCUCGAACUAAAAAGGAAAAAACAGUGAAUUUUAAGUCUCAAACUACAUAUUUUAAAAANNNNNNNNNNCAUCAAAAUGAAUAAAGGAGGCUGUAUCUAGAUGUAUUUUAGUUCUAGAUACAUCCCUUUCUAUUUGUUUUGAUCACAAGUAUUUUCGGAUGGAGGGAGUAUUAAAUACUGUCACAACUAUUCUUAUAUUUAGUAACAGAGAUAAUAGUAUUUAAUAGUAGUAUAUCAUUUUUCCUAAAUACUCCCUCCGUACCAAAAUUCAUGUCUUAUAUUUGUCUAGAUACGGAUGUAUCUGACACUAAAAUGUAACUAGAUACAUCCGUAUUUAGACAAAUCAAAGACAAAAAUUUUGGGAUGGUGGGAGUAUAAGAAUAUUACUAUUAAAUACUAGUAUACAAAUAUAUAUUUAAUAGUAUACCAAAAUAUAAGAAUAUUUAAUAGAAAUAUACCAAAGAUAUGCUACUAUUAAUUGCUGGUAUUAAAUAAAUAAAUCUGUAGAUUAACACGCGAUCCCCACCUUGGCCUGUGCCUUCCGUUUCAGUUCAUAAAAGGCAACACAUGCUUCUCCUCCUCGCUCACAUUCUUCUCAUCCCGCUCUCCUCAACCAACUCCGCGCGUCUGCUCGACCGAUCCACCGCGAUGUCUAGCUCCGACGUCAGUGCCAUGCCCGCAGCCAACCACGAGGGGCACAGCCUAGCGGGCCCCGCCCCGCCCCCUGCGCCGGUGGUUCACAAGCGCAAGCCCGGGAGACCCCAGGAGAAAAGCCCGCCCCCAGCGGCCACCAGAGAGGAGCUGGAAUCCAGGGAGUCCCGGGAAGGACCCUUGAAGGUGCUUGCGCUCCCGGCGCCAGGGGCCCGGCGUGCUUAUGUUGUCUCGGAUGACAAGAUGGUGAGCCGCGCUCGCGCCCCCACACGGCGUGUAAGCGCGGUAUCCGACGNNNNNNNNNNNNNNNNNNNNNNNNNNNNNNNNNNNNNNNNNNNNNNNNNNNNNNNNNNNNNNNNNNNNNNNNNNNNNNNNNNNNNNNNNNNNNNNNNNNNNNNNNNNNNNNNNNNNNNNNNNNNNNNNNNNNNNNNNNNNNNNNNNNNNNNNNNNNNNNNNNNNNNNNNNNNNNNNNNNNNNNNNNNNNNNNNNNNNNNNNNNNNNNNNNNNNNNNNNNNNNNNNNNNNNNNNNNNNNNNNNNNNNNNNNNNNNNNNNNNNNNNNNNNNNNNNNNNNNNNNNNNNNNNNNNNNNNNNNNNNNNNNNNNNNNNNNNNNNNNNNNNNNNNNNNNNNNNNNNNNNNNNNNNNNNNNNNNNNNNNNNNNNNNNNNNNNNNNNNNNNNNNNNNNNNNNNNNNNNNNNNNNNNNNNNNNNNNNNNNNNNNNNNNNNNNNNNNNNNNNNNNNNNNNNNNNNNNNNNNNNNNNNNNUGCUACUAGUGAUUUGAAGUUAACCGGUGCCUAAUGAGCUGGAGUUAUUGACAAUCUUUAAUCUAGUCAUGUGAAUUAGUGCUAGUGCUUAAUGAACUACCUGAUGUGUAUGUGCAAGAAUUACGUGCUGGGCAUAUGUCCUUGGACUUUCUAAUCGCUGCGAUCUCAUCUGGCAGAUGGACAGGAACGAGAUAACGCCGGUGGUUCGCAGGCGCAAGCCCGGGAGACCCCAGGAGAAAAGCCCGCCCCCAGCGGCCACCAGAGAGGAGCUGGAAUCCCGGGAGUCCCGGGAAGGCCCCUUGAAGGUGCUUGCACUCCCGGCGCCAGGGGCCCCGCGUACUCACGCUGUCUCCGGCGACAAGAUGAUGAGACGCGCUCGCGCCCCCACCCGGCAUGCAAACACUGUCUCCGACGACAAGAUGGUGAGCCGCGCUCGCGCCCCCACCCUGCAUGCAAACCAUGUCUCCGAUGACAAGAUGGUGAGCCGCACUCGCUUCCCCCUCUCCUACUAGUGAUUUGAAGUUAACCGGUGCCUAAUGAUUUGAAGUUACUGCAUGUGAAUUGUACUGUAGCUUACUGAAUUACCUGAUGUGUAUGUGCAUGAACUACGUGGUGUGUAUAUGUCCUUGGAUUUUCUAAUCGCUGCGGUCUCGUCUGGCAGAUGGACAAGAACGAGAUGGCGCCGGUCCAGGGGGUGCCGCGCAUGCGAGGGAGCAUCGCGUCGUCAAGUGCGGUUGGUAAGUAUACUUUAUGCUGCUUUUUUUGUCAACAUCGUCUCCGUGCAGGCUACACUGGCAAACAAGCUGCUUAACUCUUGUGCAUGCUGGUUUUUCGUCAUCACUAGUAUACUGGUAUUGGACUGAAGCUUGUUAGCUCUGUCCAUGCUGGGUCUUUUUUUUCAUUAUUAGUAUUGUUAUAUAUUAGCUGAAGCUGCACAUGUUUUCUUUCCAUUGACGUUGGUGCGGGCGGUGCUACGCGUCAGUCGGCCGAGGGAUGGACGCCUUACUCACCUGAUUUUAAUCAAGUCCCACCUAGGUGUAGUUUGUUUUGUCACUAGCUGUGUAUACAUAGGCGAGCUCCAGCACUAUGUUGCAGCGUGGAAAACAUAUGAACUGUAAUAAGAAACAUGCAAUGGCUAGAAAUAUCUCCACAUAUUUUUUCAGCACGUUUUAGGUGUCAACGAAUUUAGUCGGAUCGCCAGCCAUCGAAUUGACAUAUGGAGCAUUGGAUCACACUACACGGCAGCAGAGAGAAUGGAAACCGUGUUCCUCCAUAGCCUCCACAAUACAUGUGUAUCCACCACCCCUCCCACAUCGUCGCAACAGACAAUUACGUCGGCCCCUUGCAACACCUGGCUUUGGUACCCUAGAGAUCCCUGAUAUCGCUUGGAUAUCCUUCAAGUAUUAUUACAAUGCGCCAACGAGGCGUCGUCCUUGCAACAUUGUCUUACAGACAAUGUAGUUGAUGCCACCACCACCAUCACCCAUUUACACAUGGGCCGUGGCAUGUGGCACUGUUCGUGGGAUAAAACACACCCCGCGAGAAUAUGCGGUUGCACCACUAUGAUCUGUGCAUCUUAGGAAUUGUUGUGACUGCCCCUGCAAAACUAGCGAUGAUACGACCAUCGCCCUGCAACAUCGGCCAUAGUUGUAGCACAUAUGAGAAGACGGAUGCCGCACCUAACAACACAUUAUGUGUUUUUUGCACCAUAUGAAAGCACUGCCUUGCAACAUCGGCUAUCAGGGUGCUGCACCGACAAACACACUCAUGACCUUGAGAUGUCGUAUGCCUUGGCCGAUGUAGCAUAGUGCUCCUCUUUCAGCAUAUAGCGAUGGCUUGUAGCAUUGAUGGUCGGAGAGUCGCAACAUCACUGAGUGGCAGUGCUAGCCCAACUCAUUGUCAUAGAGAAAGGGGCAUAAAGGAUGGGUGUGCACGUGGUGGAAAUAAAGUGAAUGGAUAUGGUGAAGAGAGAGGAAGACUAACAGGGGCAUCCGGCGCUAGAGCGAUCUGACUGAUUUACCCCUGAAACCAGCCUGUUGAAUAUAAUUCAAUUUUCUUUUCAGAGACCUCGUAAAAACGUCGCAACAUGCGAGCAUGUCUAUACAAAAAAUUGUAGAUAUACAACGCAUACUCAUUAGCUUCAACAAAUAAGUGAAAAAACACAAUGUAUAUAGGCCUGAACCGAUGGAUCAUCAGCAUGCAUCUACCAGAUCUUCCUAGGUUACGCCCAACCGUGAGUCGUUCAAUUGGGUCACACAUCACUACCCAAUCAACCACCAACUUAGUUGUUCCUCUCGUCUCCUCUACCCACCCUUCGCAACAUACACCCAUGAUUCUCAGCAAUAGACCAACAUGGAGGCGACAAUGGUGUCCAUGAUAGGCUAGUCAAAAGCACACCGGUGAUCAACCUUACAACACUAAACAGAACAUUGCAACAUGAGGUAACCCCAACUUUGUAGCACUGGUGCACCAUUUUCAACCACCUUGUAGCAAUGAAAAGUUCACUGACCAAUAGCAUUGCUGCACCAAGUUACUGGCUUCCAGCACUGAACACACGGGCUUGCAGCACCGCGAUGAUCGAUGGUCGGCCUUUCAACAAUAUUAGUUAACAUUGCACACCUCGUCUCCAUUUUUAUGUACAUACACAUGAGUGAGAUUGGAACAUCAGUAACGUAUCAACAUUACCAAACAUGAAGACAAUAAAUUUGUUUCUCCAAGCAUAGACGUUACUGAAUAAGCGUGCAACUGCACAUCCACCACAUGAGCCAUAAUUUUUUAGCUCUGUGACAACAGCUUAUAGUUGCAAAAGAGCUGACGAUGAUGGUUUAGAAUGUAUAUGAUCAAAAUAGAUUAAAUGGAGGGGAGGAUGGACUACCUAUGUUGAAUCGGACUAGCCGCAAGGUCACAAGUGCCUUGUCUAAAUAGCCAAAAAGACAAAAGGAGGCCUCCUGGAUUCUCCAUCCUGAAGCUAAGCAUAACUCCAACUCCAGACACGCUAGGGGGCUACUAAAGGUGCAAUACGCUAGGGAUGUCUUCUGGGUGGGAAGCCCGGUAGCAGGCUUGCCUUAGGGCCCAAGAGGCCAACUGGAGGAUCGGUGCAGUAGGGCAGCUCAGGAGCCUAGAUAAGGACUGUGGGAGCAUCUUGGCAGGCAAGCUAAGAUGGCAGUGGUAUGAGAUCUGAUGGAUUCCUUGUAAACCUAGCCCGCGCCACCUAUAUAAGGAGGGGCUCGGGGUUGUCAUUCACAUAUACUCUCAUAGACUAUACUCUCUGUAGCAUUAUACUUCAUCUCCACUCUAAACCCCUCGCACAAGGUGCUCCACCAUGAAUAAAAAUCAAAUACAGGAUGUUGGGCAUUACCUCUCACCGAGGGUCCGAACCUAGGUAAAAACCUUUGUGCGGACUACCUUGUCGUGUAUCCCCACAAGUUCACCACCCUACUAUGGGUACUCACGGUUUUCCAUACUAUCACAUAGUUAAGUUCUAAAACAUUUUCUUUGGGGAGUUGAAGCAACUCAUGGUGUAAGUAGGUGUUGCUUGAAGCACUGAUUCUACUAGCACCUCCUUUCCCUCCUUUGAGAUACCUUGUCCUUCCAAUCCAACCACUUUGCCAUUUGAGCUUUCUUUAAUAUGUUUAAAAUUUCCUUCCUUUGACCUACCCACCACGGUUGGGACCCCAAAUAAUGCUCGCUCAAUGCCUUAGGAUCUGUGCAAAGAUAUUAACAACAACUUAGUCCUCCUAUUUGCCUCACUUCCCAAAGAAUGUUGAAGCUUUUAGAAAAUUUCCCAUUUGUCCCGAGGCCCACUCGUAGUCAAAUAGGAUAUAUUUAAGGUUACAAAGUUGCCAUUUGACGGUUGAAGAAAUACUAUACUAUCAUCUGCAGAAAUAAGAUGGGCUACAUGGGGGUUAGUGCUCCCAAAAGAUAUACCAUUGAUCUCUUUAUCUUUGAGCACUCAUGAGAAAGGCCAAAAAACUCGCAACAUAGAAAUAAGAAAAUAGGGAGACCAUCGGUCUCCUUGCCAGAGCCCUCUUCAUAGUAUAAAAAAUACAUAACACACUCCUUUCAAUUUGAUAGAAAACCUGGCCGGGGUACCACACAUCAUAAUCAUCAAGAUCAACCUAUCUGAGAAACCAAGUGCCCUCAUCAUCAGAUCGAGGAAAAUCCAAACCACCCUCUUAUAGGCCUUCAUCAUGUAUAGUUUAAUUGCGAACAUUGGAUUUUUCUAUUUCUUGAACGAACAUACUUUGCUCCUGCGUGAUCAUUAUGGAUAUGACAACCUUCAAUCUCUUUGCUAGGCCUUUGAAGCAAUCUGACUGAGCGUGUUCAAUAAGUUGAUUGAUCCCAUUUGAGGAAGUAUCUCCAUUGAGGUAAUUUUGGGGAUUAGGACUAGAACCAUAUCACUAAAGUUUGGUCAAAUAACUCCAUUAAAAGAAUCACCUAUUACUAUGCGUACAUCAUUUUUUAGAAAUAACUAGUGAAAUUGGUAAACAUAAGUGAGAGGUUGUCUAGCCCCUGCGCUCUUGCCAGUCAAAUUUAGAAUAGUGCAUUCUCAAUUUCUUCAUCCAUCACGUCCGUGUUCACCCUCUCCUCCAUAUCACUAGUCACACAGGGUCGGAUGUGAGCUAAGAUGUUGUCAGCAUCAACAGAGGCUUCUGAAGAAAACAACUAAGCAUAGAAAUCGGCCGAAAUCUUCCCCAUCUCAUUGUCAAUAGUACAACUCGUGCCAUCCGCCCUCAUGUUUUGAUCGUCUUCCUUGAGAAAUUCCAGUUGGGAACAUUGCAUACACAUUAUUUGUUCCUGUGCACGAACCACAUGAAGCUACGCUUCAAUCUCGCUGGUCUUCAGCAAGGAUGUCUGGAUCCCAAUGCGCUACCCUUUCCAUCGAAGCUGGACCUUGUGCCUAGUAAUCUGACAACAUACAAGACAAAAUAUAGAGCCACUUCAAUGUUUCAUAUCAUUGGUGACAUUGUUACGCUUCCUGUAGAGCUCACUCUGGCCGAAAUUGUUAUCACAUGCACACUAUCAUGUCUACAUGGGCAUCCACCUCUCCUCAAACGUUAAUGCCCUCUUCUUACUUUUGGUAAUGACUAGGUUUUCUAGCGAUCUAUUAACGAGCAAACCAUGGUAUGGUCCUCCAUGACAACAUGUUCAAUGGGUGUAUCCUACAAUGAAUGCACGAAUUCAUCAUUGCAUGGACCCCUGUCCACAUGUACAUAAACGAUCUCAUCCCGCUCCCUCUUAUUGUCCCAAGUGUACAUGUUGCUACUAAAACAAAGUUUUGAAACACUAUUAUUGGCUACACUCUCCCUAAUGCGCUCCAUUUGUGUGAAACUCCUCAAGUAAUCUCCUAGUUGUUGUGAUUAAAAGAAUUCUUUGUUGAGGUAUCAUUGUAACAGAUAAAUGUAUUAUUAGGAUCCAAUCUCUCGGAGCCUCCCUUAGCUACACAAAUUUUCAUCAAUCUCUCUUCCUAUCCAGUAGCUUUAGGUGAUAAUCAUUGUGACGCCUUUGGUGGUCACCAUCACGUUGCCUUGUCUUAUGAACAAAAGUGCCUCGUCUGCGUUGCUCUGAGGUAGAUGGGUCAUCUUUCCCAAUGGCCUUGCACCCUUUCCCAUAUAGAUUUUUUUAUGUCUUGCUUACUUUCAUGCUCCUUCCUCAGGUCCCACUUGCUUUUUAGAUUUAAAUCAUCCCUUAGUUCACAAUCAUGUCACAUUUCUUGCCUGAAUUGGUCCUCCCUACACUUCAUCUUAGGCAGUUACCCUGUACAAGACCAUCUCGAGGAUCCUCGCUAGAGAGAGAGUCCACAGAGGGUGUAUAAUCAGUGUAUGACCUGCACGUAAAUGGACGGGCAUGCAACGCUACAUGACCCCUGCGCCCAUAGACGCCCUUGCUUGACCUAGUGCUCCCAAAACUAAAGUUCCUGCUUUCUUUCACCGGCCUCUACUUAGUUUUUGUCUAUGAGGAGCCAUGUCCAAGUGAUGCCCUCAACCAUUCACCCAACUGGGGUGAGGAAUCAUUUUGUGGUUCAAAUCAUCUGUCAACAUGUGCUAGUCUGUCGUAGUCAAUCCAAAAGAGAGGUAUCUUCUCAAAUUGAAAAUCAAACAAGGUCCCCUCAUCUUUUGCUGAAGAGUGGAGAAAGAAGCCUUAGACUAGUGAAAGAAAUCUAUCUCUAAAUCUGAGAUGGUUCCCCCAUAAAUCCAUCGUUCUUAACAUCACUCUUUACCACGCCACCAAGACAAUUCCCAAGAGCAUUCCUAAAAGUAUAUGAUCAUUUAUAUAGGGGAGGAUCUGUAAUUAUCACCCAUGGCUCCGUCAUACAAAACAUUAUCUUCGAUGACCUAGUUUUUUCAUCAUAAUCCUUCAAAACUAUCACAUUAAAACCAAAUUGCCACAUUCAAUUAUAUAGAGCGUGCUUCUAGACUCCUUUGUUAUGGAAUCUAAAGAAGAAGAUACUAUUUCUAAUGUGACUUACUUGGACUUCCUAAUAGUGUCACAUGUAUGUUGCGUAGCCCUAGCAAACACGUUGAUGUUGAUUUGCUGGAGUGAGCAUGCCUUUCCAACCACUGACCACCGAUAGGCCUCGGUCGGUCUGGAAUCCUGAUUCUCAAGCAUGAGAUCUAUUAGUUCCUUUUGUUGUUAACUUCAGGGCUCCUUGUUAAUUUGGUUGAGAGAUUAGCUGCCUCCCCUGAAGCAUUUCCAUCUGUCAGGGACUUUGAAGGUUCUCAUCUUAAUGAUCCUUGGUCGCCCUGUUCACUUGAGCUGUCGAUUUACGCCACGCCUUCUCUCCCAUAGUCGCGCAAAGGAGUGGAAGCACCAAGACCAAUCAAUGUAGGAGUAUAGAGUGUCAUCACCUCAUAGAUGAAUAGAAACCUAACCCUAGCACUACUUGUCGGUCGCCUAUAAUCGCCCUUAGCAUUUCUUUUCAUGUUGGGCCCGCCAUAAGGUAUUUAUACGUUCGCUUCCAUUGGUACUUUUUUUUGCACUGGAGCCUUUCUGCUACAUUUGCCUUUCUACGAAGGAUGUCUUAUCCAAAUCAUAUAGUCUCCUCUAUCUAUAGGAAGCGAGGACAUUAGCUCUUCUUUUUUUUCAAGGCAAAUACACUUGCUAGUGUUCAAGCGACAUCGAAAGAAGUCUUGUCACAUGUGAAGACGACGCUAAGAGUGUGACACAUAUAGGUGCCAACUUGAAGAAUAAUGCAAAUUUCAGUAAAUAUGAAUAGCUCCUGGGGGAACGAGCGCAUAAAGGAAUCAGCCACCAUAAAUGGAUCAUUUCCAAAGAAACAAAGUCACAAAGAGAGAGACAAGACAUUAGCUUCUUUAUGGGGAACACAUAUAUUUAAAUGUUGCCUUGCUCUCUGAUUAUUAACAAGAAAUAUUUUGUACUAAUAUAUUAUGUGUAAAUCUUGAUAGAUAUGGAAUGUAUUUUGGUCAGUAUGUUUUAAGGAAUCAUAUUAGUUUUUGGUAUGUAGAAAUUAAAAGAAGUUCAUGUGCCUUCAAGGCAUGUCAAGGUGUGUUGUUCCACCUCAAAAUUGGUUCAUACUAAAUGGUUAUUCUCCCUACAUAUAGCCCCAAUUCUCAUGCUCUCUCACUCUCUCUCUCUAUUUUAUAUUCCAGACUACUAUAUAAAGCCUAACUGGUGAAGGUCCAGAAACACCCAGCAGUGACGGGUUCAACUCCCAUUAGUAGUCUAUACUUAGUGGAGGAGAAACAAGCCACUUACAGGCACGAGCCCGCCAAUGGUGAAUAAAUCAGAAAAGAAAAUCAGGCCAUGGCCAGUCCAAAUCCAGCACCUGCCAACAAUGUGUAGUCUCCACUACUCGAACCUACUUUUCCUCAGUGCGUGACAUCAUGUGAUGUUUGGAGAAUCCAUAGAGUUGGGGAUCCGAAUAUAAAAAACAACAAUGGGGAGUGGCUUGAAGAAUAGGAGCCAAGAAGCCGGACGGAGAAGGCCUCCACCAUACUGCACCAUUGGCCGAUACUGACCUGUAUGGUGCAAGGACCAAGGCAGAACUGAACACCGUCAUCAUCUAGGUUGCAAAGGAAGUUGGACCACUGUGUUGCUUCUCUCGGACAAACUCAAUGAUUUCAUGCAGUUGGCACCCAUGCCACAUUCCAUAGAGAUAACAACAUUGAGGAGGAGGAGGGACAACGCAAGGUUUCUUCCUCAUAGGAAUUAGUUUCGAGGAAGUGGGGGGACGAUAUGGCAUGAUGAGCAGUUAACAAGGGAAGUUUGCAUGACUGUGGAGGACAAAGCAUUAAGACAAGUGUGCUAGUAGCUAGAUAAGGGAUGAAUGAUAGCAGGAAGGAAUAAUGAGCUUACUGGGUGAGGCUACUAUUUUUUAAGUUGCGACCUACUGAUCAUAACAACAAUUGAUCGUAACAACGUACCAUUGAUGAUUUAGGGUAUUGAUUUAGUAACUGUUAGGAUGUGACUACGGCUUGUAAGUGGUGGGUUGUAUAUUACUAACAAGUAGCAUGUUUAGCCUCAAUAUUGUCCUCUGUCACUCGUAACAACGUGCCAUUGACGGACCACAUAUUGGGCCCGUCACUACUACCUUUUUCAAACAAAAAUAGAAUUUUAGUUAUAGUCAGAUUCACAACAAUCCCGCCGGCCAUUAGUGUUAAGUAGCAUUGCUGACCGGUUUUUUGAACCACCACUUUUGAUCGAUAACUAGGCGAGAACUCUAGUGUAGUGCACAUUUGUUUGGUUGAGAAUUUUUAGUGUUUUUAUGUGCACAAAGACAUAUCGUUCAACCCUAACAUGUUCUCUUUAGGUGGGGUCGAGAGUGAAGGACUGGCGAGCUUGGAAGCAGGGGAAAUGGCACCUCGAGGGGUUCAGGUCUCCAUGAUCAAUAACCACAAUUUUGAUCUGAAUGAGCUGCCGACUGAGCAUGAGUAGCUCAAGAAGGAGUAGUCACCCGUGGAGCAAGAGUAGCCCCCUAUGGCACAACAUGAGCUUUAAUAUUCACAAUGGUUGGAGGCUACUCAAAUCCCACUUGUGUGAGCAAAAAUAACUCUUGGCCCAAAGUAUAGCCCUGUUAGAAAUUAUCGAAACAAUAUCCUUAUCCCAAGGACGAUUGUAAAGCUUAUGUGGAACUUUUCAAUUUCUUGCUUCCUAUUUUUUGGUGAUUGACUGACGCUAUUACUAAACUUGAGGGAAGGACUUGGUAUACUGCCUCAUGAUCAACGUGUCACCUGGAAUGGCUUUUCUAUUCAUUUCCCAUGAUGGUUUUGAUAUGUAGAUUGUUUGAACAAGCAUUUAUUCAUUCGGUAAAGCUUUGUGAAACAUCAACGGUGGAGCUAGGUCUCUCGUCAUGUGAAAUGAUAGUAGGUCAAGAAGUGUGUUGGAUCAUGAGAUAACAUAUUUUCUAAGUUGUUAAUCAUGUGUGUUAACACCAUGGGUAGUAUGAGAGAAGGUCAACAUGCAUGUUUGGGUCUGAAAUGACCUCAUGACCAAAAAGGGAGAGAAACAUGGCUAAUAGGAAUACGAACAAUAUGGAAGUUACUUGUUGCAUGGAUGUUAACUGUGGUUAUGAAACCACACAAGAUGUCAGAGGACCCGCAUCCUUACAUAUCAAGGUUGACUUCACAUGCCAACUGGAUUUCGACUAAAUUAUUGUAUAUGUAUGUAUGUUAUAUCUUGACAUCUUACCAAACAAAAAACACCAAAAAAUACACUAUUUACUUCUCUUUGAUGCAUAUUCUAGUUGGAGGGUAAUCAUAACCUUAUGUGGAUAUUUUUCCAUAAUAGAAUAUAUAAUGGUCUAGUGAGGCAAGGUGUAAAUGGAGAGGACAAUAGUCGAACAUGAAAACAUCCAACAUUGUGUUAUAGUUGCAUCAAGUUGUCUAGUGAGUCAAUAUGGAAAUGGAGGAGGCUCAUAGGGCAACACGAGAACACCCAACAUGUUGCUCUACUUACUUCCUAUUGGUACGAAGAGACCGAGAGUAGUGAAAGGUUAAUCAUAACACAUGGACAAGAUAUCUCAUACAAGAUGAAAAUGGAGUGAGUCUUGUAUGAAAAUGCUAACAAAGUAUGAGUGUGCAUAGCAUGCCAUCCCCUCCCUUUCUUGUUCGAGUUUCCUUCACCAACCCCAUAGUACCCUGAUCAACACUAUUAUUUGGAUAUGCUUCUCAUCUGAGAAAGAAUAGUUAUUGAGAGACAUUUAUAUCAUUGUCUAGAUAGACUUGUUCAAGGGCCAAUAAUGGAGGUGUCUUAUCUAUUAUAGCCACAUUCCGGAGAAGAAUAAAAAAAGUAGACACAACCUGAUAAUUUAUUGAGAUUUGAAUUGAGGAUCCACAUACAUCAACUAUCCCACAUGUGAAUCAAAUCCACAUCCUACAUGGGCAUUGGGCUUUAGUUGGACUACCACUUUAUGGACAAGCCAUGUGCUCCAUGUAGUCUAUGUUGCAAAGGCGGGAGGACAAGGAGCAAAUAGUUUUUGAUGGCUGGACAUUGAAGUUAUUUGCCAAGAAAUUUGUUUCCUGACAUGGUUUGUUUAUUUCAUUAUUUAGUAUUUGAUAUCGGUUCAAUGCUCUAGUAUGUAACAUUCUUCUCACAUUUUGGGUCUAGCUCUUGGUGUUCAUGAGUUCAUUACUCAUGUUAACUAUUAUUGUUGUGCCCACUUGUUCGACAAGAGACUAUAAAGUUAAAUAAGAUACUCUCGUAUUUAUAUUAAUAUAGUUGGCAUUGAGGUAAUAAUAAACCUUGAAUACUACUCAUAUUUGUCAAAUAGGAGGUCAAGCUGGAUCUGUCUGGCGCAUCAUCUAUGGUCACAUGGUGUAUUGUCUAUUCUAAACCCAAUGAGUAUUGCAGAAUGACAUGUUCCUGCGAGGAGGAAUGAGUCACUCUUUUGUGUCAAGGGGUGAUGCCAUGCCUCAUAAUUGACAAUAAAAAAUUAACCGCCUACAUCAAAAGUCUAACCCAAGACAGGGAAUAGGCGCCAUUGCAAUUUUACCGCACAAAGUCAUCGGUAUUUUGCAAUUGAAUGUUCCCCAUGUUGUGACUGAGAACACAAAACACAAAACACCCCACAAAACACUAUUCACUUCUCUUCGGUGCAUAUUCUAGUGGAAGGGUAGUCAUAACCAUAUGGGAAUAUUUUACCACAAUAGAAUCUAUAAUGGUCUAGUGAGGCAAGGUUUAAAUGGAGAGGAUAAUAGGCGAACAUGGAAACAACCAACAUUGUGUUUUACUUGCAUCUAGUUGUAUAGUGAGAUAAUAUUGAAACGGAGGAGGCUUAUAGGGCAACAUGAGAACACCCAAUAUGUUGCUCUACUUACUUCCUAUUGUUACCAAGGGACUGAGGCUCGAGCAUGGUUAAUCAUAACACAUGGAGAAGAUCUCUCAUACUAGUUGAUAAUAGAAUGAAUCUUGUAUGAAAAUGCUAACAAAGUAUGAGUGUGCAUAACAUGCCACCUCCUCCCUUUCUUGUUGUAUUUUCCUUCACCAACCCCCAUAGUACCCUGAUCAGCACUAUUAAUUUGAUAUGCUUCACAUCUGAGUUAGAAUUGUGAUUGGGAAUAGUUGUAUCAUUAUCUAAGUAGACUUCUUCAAGGGGAAAUAAUGGAUGUGUCUUAUCUAUUAUAGCCACAUUCCGGAUAGGAAUAAAAAAGUAGACAUAACAAGAUAAUUUGUUGAGAUUUGAAUCGAAAAUACAACAUACAUCAACUAUUCUACAUGUAAAUCAAAUCCUCAUCCUACAUCGGCAUUCGGCUUUAGUUAGACUACCACUUUAUGGACAAGCCGUGUGGUCCAUGUGGUCUACGUCACAAAGGCCAGACGACAAGGAGAAAAUAGUUGUCAAUGAUUGAUCAUUGAAGUUAUUUGUCAAGAAAUUUUUCCCCGACAUGGUUCAUUUAAUUCAUUAUUUAGUAUUUGAUAUCGGUUCUAUGCUCUAAUGUGUAACCUUCUUCUCACGAUUUGGGUCUAGCUAUCAGUGGUCAUGAGUUCAUUACUUAUGUUAACUACUAUUGUUGUGUCCACUUGUUCGCCAAGAGACUAUAAAGUUAACUUAUAUCCUCCCGUAUUUAUAUUAAUAUAGUUUGUGGUUAGGUAAUCCUUGACCUUGAAUAUUACUCACAUUUGUCAAAUAGGAGGCCAAGCUGGAACUCUCUAGUGCAUCAUCUGUGGUCACAUAUGGUGUAUUGCCUAUUCUAAACCCAAUGAGUAUUACAUUAUGGCAUGUGCUUGCGAGGAGGAACUGAGUUACUCUUUUAUGUCUAGGGGAGACGGAAUGCCUAAUAAUUCUCAAUGAAAAAUUAUAGCCUACAUCAAAAGUCUAACCCAAGAAAGUGAAUAUGUGCCAUUGUAGUUUUACAACACUAAGGGCGUGUUCUGAUCUUGUCGUGCUCCACGCUUCACAAAUUCCUGGAGCAGAUACGAGCCGAACGAAAUAGCAGCGAGAAGCUAACUCCAGGAAGCUAGGAUCGACCGCAGCGCAAAAUCAUGAAGCAGACUCGGCCCAGCUCCACCAAUCCGAAAAGCUGAAGUUGGCCGAUAUUACAAGUAAACUGCCACAGCCAAGUCAUACGAGUCGAACCGGUACGCUCGAUCUGUUUGAUCGCUCCUCGUUCCCUCACUCGUGCUCCCUCGCUGCUCCUCUACAAGGCCGAUUUGGGUUGCCUCCAGUCAGCCCAACUAGCUCGAAUAGGCCACAACCCUUCUAGCUAGGUUGCAGUGCCGCGAGAAGCUGCAAACCGAGCCAAACGGAUUUUUCAUCACUGCUUGGAGUGAGAAGCUACUCUGAAAAGGUGAAUUUCUGAAGUUUUGGGAAGCUAGAGGAGAUCAGAAAAGGCCCUAAGUCAUCGGUAUUUCAUAAUUGAAUGUUCUCCAUGUCGUGACUUCUGAUGGUGUAAACCCAAAUAAUUGCCAUUGUGAAAUUAAGUUCCUUUCGUGAGUCAGAACCCACAUCCGUAAAGAUGUGCCACUACAAUCCACCUCAUGGCUAUCUUGGAGUCCUUAAUAUAAUCAAGUGUGCCCAAUAUGGUGACUUAAUAUGUACUUAUUGACCCUACGAAGCUAAUCGCCUCCAUCAAGACCCCUUCCUGGUUCUCCUAUAACUAGAUUCCUCGAAACCACGAGAAUCCUUACAAUGGGAUUACAACUUAGCACCUUUCGUUUUCACAUAGUAAGAAGAGUUGCUCCUUGGAUAGCACGGUACGAUCAAAGGUGUAACCUGUGUUUUGGAGCGAGUUAUUGUCUCGAAACUUUGUUCUCAACUAUUCCGAUUCCAGCAAACGGAGGCCAUUGGGUCAAAGCUGUAGCGCACGCCCUGUAGUUUUCAAGUGGGGUGAGACAACUUAGCUAGGAACCUAUUUUCAUUCUGACCAGCUCCCUGAAAACAAUGUUCGACUUCAUGUGUAGUCGGUGUAGAUGUGUCAUUGCAAUUCCACCACUAGGAUAUCACCAAGUCCUAUGUAUUACAUGUCAACAUAUACCACCAUAUGGUUACUUGACAAAUUAAAUGGAUUUCACCAAGAUUUCAUGUUACAAUUAUAGUGAAGAUAGUGACUCACAUGUCAGCCUCCCUGACGGGAAGCAAAAUCACUCUGACUUUGGCAACCUAAUUCUUGGCGGGUUCAAGCAAACAUGUUGGAUUUGUAUUUUAUUUAUUUCAACAUAUAUAAUUCAUAUAAAUAAAUCAAUUCAUAAUAGGAGUCUUGGAGACACCCAUGUCAAUAAUGUGAAAUUAUGGGAAAUCUUAUUAUGUGCAUCAACAUAAGCCAAAACUCGUGGCUUAAGAGAUAUGUUUACAAUCUUCCAAUGGUUAUUCCCCCUACUAAAUUCAUGAUGUUAACUAGUUCCCAUAAGUUGAGAAAGAAGUUUAGUCAUGGGAUCAAUGUCCAGUGCAUCAUAUUUCCAGUUCCCAAAAAAAAUUAUUAUGGAAGUUGAGAAAGAAGUUUGGGCAACAUAUUUCCAGACACCUGUCAUGUCUAGGAUCUUCUCAAGCCUAGGUAAGCUUAGUCACGGGAUCAAUGCAGGCUAUUAGUACAUUGACCCGGUUCUUAAUUCAAGUCCUCCUUGCUAGAUACAAUAUUGAAUGGAAAGUACAUAAUCAAUUUAUUUAAGUGGGUGAACAAUGUUGGCUAGUAUAUUUCAACACUCACCUCACAUGCAUCUUUUAGAGGCAUAUAAUGCAUCGUGAUGGAAACAUUUUUUCUAUAGACUAAAUUCCAAUGGAAAAUUUUAAUUAAUUUAAUUAGUAGCAAUCUCGUGUGGUAAGGAUAUAUGGCAAAUGAAAAUGAGGGCUCAAAUGCUACUUGUUGGCACACAAAAGUCAUGUUGUCUUUUUCCUCCCAUGUUGAUCCUUCGUGGUUUGACAUUGGGCAUUACAAAGAGAACAAGUUAUCUUUACACACCUCUAGAGCUACCAGACCCUGGAUGUUUCACCAUGAAUGUCCAUAUGGUGCAAUGAGUGAUAGCGAGCUAUAUUAGAACAUAUAGUUUACACCGUUAAAGUAAUUAAAUGGGCUAUUUUGGCUACUAUGAAAAAUAGUAUUUUAAGAGAAAACUAUGUAAGAGUUUGUGAUCUUUGUAUGUAAAAGCAUUAUUUGCCUUUGCUUGGUGUUCAUGCAGUUUGAUUUAUGGCAAAAAUGUAAAAUCAUGGGACAAUAAUUGUUGAUAUUCUUUGCGGAGAAAGCGAGAUCUUUCCACUUUUCACAUCACACAAAGUAUUGUUUUUCUUAUAGGGGUGAUAUACAGUGUUCUAAAUCUGCACUUGUGAUUCGUUGUCCAUUUAAAUUUAAAUGGUUUCUUCCACAGAUUAUGUUGGUUUGUUGUUGUAUUUAUCUCAGCACUAAAGUAUACUGAUGUUAGCUAAGUCCAAUCAAAGGCCCAUGUUUUUAUCAUGUUAUACAAAUUAGUAAGCUAAGAUCUUACCAAACUCAAGUUACAUAAGCCCAGACUACGUGAAAUACACAUCAUGCAGUACACAUGUUCAUCUUAGUGUUAUGUUAUACUUGGCUCCGAGAUAACAAAUGGUAUCAAUUAUUACUAUCUUUUGCAGCUUGUUUCUGCCUGUUCAUCGUAGAAUUAUCUUAUGUGGUCUCCCAAGGUUCAUGCAACUUGGAUUUUCAUACUUUGGUAGUAUUAGUGUUCACUAGGACUAGGUGCCACUCUGUAGAAGCUAAGGAUACAGAUGGAGAAAGUAGUCAUGGUUUUUUUUUUAAAAGUUUGUUCAUAUCUAUAAGAGGUUUAUGAUUUUUCAGUGUAUACUGUUGUGAAACCUAGAGUGUUUUAUCUCAUUUAACAUUGAACUACGCUUUCAAGGAAAAACCUUCAUUUGACAUCGAACUAUGCAUGCAGGGCAAACACCCCGUGCUUCGGUGCCACCGCGCCGCGAACCCUGGGAGCUUGAACCUGGAUGGGUGUGAACUUAAGAUUGAUGUCAAUGUUAGGGGUCAGUCAUGGAUAGAGAAUAAAGGGGACUUUGCGAAACUGUUAUUAAUAAUAUGGAUGAAACAUUGCCUUGUGGAGAGAAUAAGAUAUUUCGAGAGAUAUUUAUAAAUGGAUGCAUACUUGCAAUAGCAAUACAAAAUAUGAUGCUAACAUUUUAUUUUCAUUGUUGUUCCCAUUAAACUUCUGGUGGUGGCUCCAUUAUUCACAGCCUCACACAUGAAAAUGUUAUU